GUAGGAUCGAAAGUAUGUCUAGAGGGGGGUGAUUAGACUACUUGACAAUAUAAAAAUUCAGCCUUUUGACAAAGAACAGUUUUUGGCAGAUUCACAAAUAUGAUCAAGUCAAGUAUCACCCUACACAUGCAAUUCUAGAGUAUAGGCAGCGGAAAGUAAAUUGCACAUGUAGUAAAGAGAGGUGGAGAAGAGCAAACGCAAUUUUGGAGACGCGGUGAUUUUUCUCGUGGUUCCGAUAGGUGGUGCUAUCGUACUUCCACGUUGAUGGAGACUUCAACCCACGGAGGGUAACGGCUGCGAGAGUCCACGGAGGGCUCCACCCACAAAGGGUCCACGAAGAAGCAACCUUGUCUAUGCCAUCAUGGCCUACGCCCAUGGAGGACUAGCCUUACUCGGGGUAGAUCUUCACGAAGUAGGCGAUCUCCUUGCCCUUACAAACUUCUUGGUUCAACUCCACAUCUCGACGGAGGCUCCCAAGUGACACCUAACCAAUCUAGGAGGCACCACCCUCCAAAAGGUAAUAGAUGGUGUUGAUGAUGAUGAACUCCUUGCUCUUGUGCUUCAAAUGAUAAUCUCCCCAACACUCAACUCUCCUCACUGAUUUGGCUGUGGUGGAAGAAAGAAUUGAGUGGAAAGCAACUUGGGAAGGCUAGAGAUCAAGCUUCAUAUGAUGGGAGUGAGUAACUUGAUCUCAACACAAGGGUAGGUAGUUCUCUUCUCAGAAAUGUAAGGUAGGAGUGGUAGUUCUUUCUGAUGGCUCUCUCCACGAAUGAAGAGGGGGUGGAGGGGUAUUUAUAGCCUCCACACAAAAUCCAACCGUUACACACAUUUGACCAAUCUCGGUGGGACCGAAGUUGACAACUCGGUGAGACCGAAAGUUCAAAUUAUGUGAACGUUGGGAUUUUCGGUGGGACCGAAAAUACAAUCUCGGUUAGUCCGAUCCGUGCAAAGACAAGAGCUUGCCAAUCUCGGUGGGACCGACUUCAUCAUCUCGGUGACACCGAUUUGAUGACAGAAGGUUACAGAAGCUUGGCAACUCAAGUUUCGGUGAGACCGAGUUCAGAAUCGGAAAAUCCGAGAUUUCUAGGGUUUGGCUUUGUGGCUGAGGUGGUUCAUCUCGGUGUGACUGGGUUUGGAAAAUCGGUGGGACCGAGAUUACUUAUGAGUGUAUAUGGUAGUGAAAGUUGCUGAUAGUUUAGGAGAUGUAUCACUAAGCACUUUGAGCAACCAGAUCAUCAUCAUAACCUCAUCCCCUUUUAAUAGUAUUGGCUUUCCUAUGGACUCAAUGUGAUCUUGGAUCACUAAACCAAAAAUGGAGUCUUGAGCUUUUGCCAAUGCUUGCCUUAGCAUUUUGAGGGGUCCACUUCUUCAGUCCUUGCCAUACCCAUAUCACUGAACUUUCUGAAAUGAUUCUCAAGUAACUAUUAGUUCAAUGAUAUAUAUGUUGUUAUUAAUUACCAAAACCACCCGGGGAUUAGUUGCACUUUCAAUCUCCCCCUUUUUGGUAAUUGAUGACAACAUAUAGAUCAAAGCUUCGACAAAGGAUAUAAUCAAUGAAUAAUAUCGUCGCUUUGAGAAGUAUGUGAUAAGCAAGAGCUCCCCCUAAAUUUGUGCAUUAUUUAAGAUUUGCGUUUGAAUGCAAAUGCACAAUCGAUUAGGAUCAUGGGUCACUCUUCCAUGUCACAUACAUCUUGGUGGAGCGCACAAAAUGAUAAGAAUGAAUAGCAUGCACCCAAUCACCAAGACAUGAGUAAAUGGUCAUACAAGAUAGGAAUAGCAUAUGAUAAGCAUUAAGCACACAUUAAGGCAUAGUACGACCAAGCACUCAUCAAACAUAGUAUCAAACACACAGAAUGUCUCGAAAACCAAAAGUAUCUCAAAGAAACCACAAAUGAACGAAAGAGCAAAAGCGCAAAGACAACAGCACUCUCUCUCUCGAAGUCCUAUGAUCUAUACAAUUUCUCCCCCUUUGGCAACAAGUUACCAAAAAGUUCGAAAAGGCAUAGAGCUAAGCGUCACUGGGGACUCUGCUGGCGGCUCCUGUCUGGGUUGAUGUUGGAGUUGAUAUGGCACCAUCGGCCAAGACUUCAACUGAUGUCUGUGCUGGAGGAGUGGUCACUGGAGCUGGAGCUGUAGCAACUGAUGGAACUGUGGGAGGUGCUGAAGCUGUAGUCCUGGUGUCAGUCACUGGAAUAGCAGCUGAUCGGGGUCCUGUGGGAACCGGAGCAGUCUGUUGAUAAGCAUCCUGGACUAAGUCAUCCUGCAUCUCACGCAUAAGCUCUUCCUUCUCCCUCUUUGCUUCCUCAAUGUCUGCCUCAAGCUUGUUGACAGUCACUUGCACUUCAGUCAGCUUUACAUCCAGAGCGUGGAUCUUGUCUUCGACAAUCCUCUCUAGGCUCUCCUGAGACUGUACAAUGCUGGCCAGGCGUUGUUCAAUCCUUUGGGUAGCUUCAAGGAGCUGCUCUCCAACACUCUUUGGUUUAACUGCUGCUGCUGCUGCUUCCUUGUCAGCUUUGGCUUUCUUGGCAGCUUCAAUAUUGGCUUGACCUUCAACCGAUGUUGGAUCCUCCUCAUCCAUCACAACAACAUUAUCCUCAUGCUCAUGCUGCAGUGGUAAGUGUGCUCUAUCCAACAAGUAUGUGCCCGUGCCAAACUUGGCAUUGAUAAGCAUCUGAAUCUGCGGGGCAAAUCCACACGACCUUUUCUGGUCAGCUGCAGUCCUCUUAAUGGUCUCAACCAUCAAGUCCAUCACCUUGAAAGGUGCCUUCUCAUCAAGUAUAUGCAGCAUGUUGAUAGAGUAUCCUCUGAUCAUGCGAUGAUCUCCAGACUUGGGCAUCAAGGUAUGCCUCAAAAUAGUGUUUGUGGUAGGUAGACCUGCCUGGAGAUAGUACACUGAGCCGAGCUUCCAGAUUCCCAAAUCCUUAGCUGGAACCUCUUUGUACAUGUUCUUCAUGGAUUCAUGGUUCUUCUUUGGAAUACCAUAAACAUCAAUAUCAUCCUCUCUUUGCACUGGAGCAUUCAGAAGUUCUGCCCAUUCUUCAACAGUUGAAGAAAAUCUUUGGCCUUCAGUCAUCCAUACAAUCCUUCCAUCUGGAUAGAAGUGAGCUGUGGCAUAGAAUUGCAUAAUCAUCUCAUCAUUCCAAUUUGUCAACUUCUGACCUACAAAGUCUGCAACGCCACAUGCAGUGAAGCUUUCAUGCACAUGUGGAAAGAAAUCUCUGUGCUCUUCGCUGUCAAUGUACUUCCAGUCAACAUAUCUCGUGUCUGCGACUAUGGGCUUCUUAUCCAUCAGCACUGUCUCAUAGAAGUCCUGCUGCUCUCUGGUGUGAAAUCUGGGAUCAACAGCAGUCCUUCUCCUCACGGCAUAUGGGUCAGCUUGUCUCCAUAGCCUGAGACCUCUAUCCUUCCUUGCCUUCAUAUCCUCAGCUUGAGGAUGAGCAUCAUUAUGUAGUGGCAGUUUUUGACGAAGUUUCAGCAAAACUGGUCCUUCACCAUCUGACUCAGCUGGUGGCACAUCAUCCUUGUUCUUUUCAGAUGCUGGAAUGUUCCUGACUGUCUUCUUGGGCUUGGCAGCAGGCUUUGCUGGAGCUGCCUUAGCUGGAGCAGAUUGCUUGGGCUUUGAAGUGGCUCCAGCCUUAAUGGCAUCACCCAUGAACUUAGACUUCUGAGGAGGAGGCUGGGGUGCUUCCUCAUCCUCAUCUUCUGCAUCAUCAUGCACUAACCUCUUUCUCUUGGAAGUUUUCUUAACUUUGCUUGUAGUUUCCUCUUCCAAACUCAGCUUCUUGGCAACAGUUGACUGCUUGACUUUUCUGGUGCCUUUCUUGGUUUGUUGACCUUGUGGCUCUUUGGAAACAACCUUCCUCUUGGGCUUUGAGGUGAUCUCUUCCUCAACAACAAAGUCUGAGUCUUCAUCAUCUGAGUUCCUCUUCUUUCUGGCUCUGGUGGCUGCAGGAGGUAAACCACUUGGUGUACUCCUCUCACCCUCAUCUGAUGAGCUGCUAGGAUCAGGACUAGUGCCUGCCUCUGGGAUAUCUGCAAUGGGUGUCUCUGACCUGUUCUGACUGUCACUAGCAUUUGACAUGGCUGAAAACCUGUGAAUAGAUAAGGUAUAGGCAGAGAAGAAGAGUCAUCACAAAUUGCAGAAGUUUUUGCAAAAAAAUGAGUUCAAAUUCUAGUAUUAGGUUUUCGCAGAAGACAUUUCGGUCAGACCGAGUUUAAAAUUCGGUGAAUCCGAAGUGUUCAAACAGAAGCUUUCACACCACUUUCGGUUGGACCGAAGUGGGUUUCGGUCCUGCCAAAAACACUAGGGUUUCACAGAAUCCUCAUUUCGGUCACACUGAUUUGCACAACUCGGUUGGACCGAAGGGUGCAGUGCAAUGGCCAUAGGCCAAAUCGGUCAUACCGAGAAUGUAAAAUCGGUCUCACCGAGAUGUGUUCGGCGGAAACCUAACCCUAAAACUUUUACUCGAAUCUAGUCCAAACGAACUAAUCUGGUGUACAGGAAGAUUUCAAUCGUGGCAAGAUUCUAGGCAAACCAAACGUGCAUUGAAUCGGAGAUGGGAGCACGAGUGGGAUCGAAACUCACCCUAACUUGGUGGAGUUUCUCUACGGCGGCAACGGCGCGGAGAAGAUGUCCGUUGACGGCGACGGAGACCUGCGGCGAGGGCGCACAGGCGACGACGGAGACGAUCCGGAGACCAGGGCGACGGCAGCAAGGGUUGUGGGGGCGAAGCGUUUGAAUGAGAAAUCAACGCGCGCGACCCUCGGAGUAUAUAUACCCUUUUGCUGUCGGUGGGACCGAGUUGUAAAACUCGGUGGCACCAAGAUGGAUAACUGCAGGCAGUUAUGCACUUCGGUCACGCCGAAAAUCACAACUCGGUUUCACCGAGGUGAAAACCUAGAUCAGUCCAAAUGCUUUCGGUUUGACCGAGUUUGAGUGAGUUGGUCUGACCGAAAUCACUUAGAAGGUUUUGGAAGUUAGCCCUUGACGGAUCGGUGGCUCCGAGUGCUCCUCACUCGGAGGGUCCGAAAAUGACUUGUUCAAAAUUUGUGAUGUAAGCAUGAAUAGAAUUUGAGACAAGAAAGCAUAGAUAGCUAGGGGAGGUACUUAGGCAUUCUUGUCCAUCCAUUUGGUCAGAAAAAUCAAAACGUCCAAAACAACAAAUGGAUGUCCUUGAAUGGAUAAAAUCAUGCAUCCAACAUGCUCACACAAUAAGAUAGCAAAUGAAAUAUGUGUCAAACAUGCACAAUCAAAACUCUAGCUACUAUCACACAAUUGGUCGAUGACUAGGUCAUCUUUAUAUGAGUAUAUUGACUUAGGAGCCAAAUGAGAACAUUUGAUCAUAGGUCAUACUCAUCGUUUAAGCACAAGUGGGGUUACCACUUUUUCAUAAAGCAUUGAUGUGUUCACAUCAUUUGAAGAUGCUUUAGCUCAAUUUUUAGAGCAAAGCUCCCCCUAGAUGUGAGAACCCCUUUUAAAGGGUCAAACUAACCUUGGGUUGUCGUAGAAGACUUCAUGUAGAUGUUGAAGAUGUGGAUGCUCAAUGUUGAUGAAGAUCAUCAAGAGUUUGGAGCAAUCCUUUGGAUUCGGGCACUUUCAAUACCUACAUGGGUUAGUCCCACAAGGAACAAACAAGGAUAUCCAUGGACAUAGAUUGAAGUUCACAAUAGAUGAUGUCCAUGAAAGCAAUGAUUACCUUGUCCCUUGACUUACCAACAAGAGGGUUUGUGACUCCAUGAACUAGUGCAAGAUGUGGAAGUUGAUUGCACAAGUUUUUGCCAAAAUGAAUGUGAGUGAAGUAUGUUGGCGGAGUCACCCUCAAGAACUUUCUAGUUCUUCUUCUUCGGGAUCCACAUCAUCUUGAUGGGAAUCCUUGGGGUUGUAGUUGAGCUUGACGAAGUAGAACUUGACGUUUCCUUGGGAACCCACUUGACCAUGGCUUGAGGUGCUUCAACAAAUGCAUCAAUCUCCUCUUGAAGCUUGUCCUUGCCUUUUAGCUUGUGGUCUUGUGGUGGAAGGUCAUCUUGAGCUUGUUCCACAUUGGAAGAAGUAGGAUCAUACUUCUCCUUUUGAGGAAUAAACUGUGGAGUAGGAUAUUGACCUUCUUCCCAUUCAACACCCUCGGCGUUGAACUUUCGCUCAAACCCAAUUCCUUGAUUCUUCCGGUGCCUUCCUUGCUUGCGAACAAUUUCCUCAAAGUUCUUGCUUCCGGCAAGGCUCUUGUAGACACCUUUCCCUAUAAUCCCUUUCAAUAAACUAUUUUCUUGCUCAAGUGUAACUUGGCUUGAAACAUUGUUAGUGGAAUCAAGAUAACUACUAGAAGCAACAAUAUUGGAUUUAGCAUGGUUAUUGUUACUACUAGAGAAAUAACUUUUCUUAUGCUUGUCAUGCUUAGUUUUAAUGGGUGGCAAGAAAUUAGACAAGAGAAGUCGUUUGGCAAGAUAUGAAGAACUCUUCUUUCGAAGAUCGUCAUUGAUUGCUUUUAGAAACUCAUGUUCUUGCUCUAGAGUGAGCUUCUCGAAGCGUAGCUUCUCAUGAGAUCUUAGGAGCUCUCUAUGAUCUUCUUGAGUUGUUUCAUGAGCUAACUUAAGAGUUUUUAGUUAUUUAGUCAGACGCUCAAUCUCCUUCAUAGCAUUGUCAUUCGACUCUUCUCGACUAUAAAGACUACUAGCAUGUUCAUCGUUACUAGAUUCAUUGGAUUUAUCAUGUAAGAGCUCAUCUUCACCAAGCAAGUCAUCCUCAUCACUAUCAAAGUCAAUGAAUUCAGGGUGUGAUACCUUGGGGCCCUUAGCCAUGAAGCAUCUUCCAAUUCCCUCAUUUGGUGAAUCAAAUAGGUCAUAGGAGUUGGAGUUGGAGGAUACGAGAGCAAGACCGGCAACACCUUCAUCUUGACUGUAGUCGGAGUUGGAGUGAUAGCUUCCUUCGGAUUGAUUGUCGGAGUCGGAGCCGGAGACCCAUUCACCUACAUGAGCUUGAUGUUUUCUUCUUGUGUAGCUCCUUGAUGACUUGUCUUUCCUCUCCGAAUCCUUGCUUCUCCGAGAGGGUCUUCGUUCAUAACGAUCAUCUCUACUCCUUCUCUCUUUCCGAGGUGACUCAUCUCUUGAGCUUCUUCUUCUUGGAGAUUCUUCUCUUCUCUUGUGGGGAGCCGAACACUCAUUUGAGUAGUGUCCGGGUCUUCCACAAUUGUAGCAGUUUCGAUCACGACUAGAAGAUCUCUUUUCAUCAUAUGAUCUAGACUUUGAGCUUCUCUCUUUGCUUCUACUCUUGUAGAAUUUGCUGAAGUUCUUGACCAUUAGGCUUAUCUCUUCAUUGGAAACUAGCUUGUCACUUGAGGUUGUAGGAGCAUCACUUGUAGCUUUGUAAGCACCACUUGACUUGUUGUGAAGCUCUUCCUUAUCCUUAAGUGUCAUCUCAUGAGCAACAAUUCUUCCAAUGACUUCGGUUGGCUUGAGAUUCUUUUAGUUUGGCAUCAUUUGGAUCAAGGUGCACACGGUGUCAUACUUUCCAUCCAAAGCUCUGAGAAUCUUCUUGAUGAUGAAUCGGACGGUCAUUUCUUCGCUUCCUAAGCCGGCAAUCUCAUUUGUGAUGAGAGCAAGCCUAGAGUACAUUUCAGCGACUCCUUCACCUUCCUUCAUCUUGAACUUGUCAAGUUGACCUUGAAGAACAUCUAGCUUUGAUUCCUUCACGGACUCGGUACCUUCGUGCAUCUCAACCAAAGUAUCCCAAAUCUCUUUUGCAUUCUCAAGACGGCUGAUUUUGUUGAACUCCUCGGGACACAAGGCAUUGAAGAGAAUGUCACAAGCUUGAGCAUUGUUUUGCAACAUCCGCAAUUCUUCCGUUGUAGCUUCGCGAUCCGGAACUUUUCCUUCCUCGAAGAAUUCACCUUGCAUACCAACACAAAUAAUGCCCCAUGCAGCUGGGUUAUGACCAAGAAUAUGCAUUUUCAUUUUAUGCUUCCAACUAGCAAAAUUUGUACCAUCAAAGUAAGGACCUCUACGAAAAUUACCCUCACUAGACGCCAUACUCUCCUAGGUUGUGAAACCAAGCUUAUGGAGUCCAAUGCAAUGGAAACCAAUACAAUGGAGACCAAAGCUCUGAUACCACUUGUAGGAUCGAAAGUAUGUCUAGAGGGGGGUGAUUAGACUACUUGACAAUAUAAAAAUUCAGCCUUUUGACAAAGAACAGUUUUUGGCAGAUUCACAAAUAUGAUCAAGUCAAGUAUCACCCUACACAUGCAAUUCUAGAGUAUAGGCAGCGGAAAGUAAAUUGCACAUGUAGUAAAGAGAGGUGGAGAAGAGCAAACGCAAUUUUGGAGACGCGGUGAUUUUUCUCGUGGUUCCGAUAGGUGGUGCUAUCGUACUUCCACGUUGAUGGAGACUUCAACCCACGGAGGGUAACGGCUGCGAGAGUCCACGGAGGGCUCCACCCACGAAGGGUCCACGAAGAAGCAACCUUGUCUAUGCCAUCAUGGCCUACGCCCACGGAGGACUAGCCUUACUCGGGGUAGAUCUUCACGAAGUAGGCGAUCUCCUUGCCCUUACAAACUUCUUGGUUCAACUCCACAUCUCGACGGAGGCUCCCAAGCGACACCUAACCAAUCUAGGAGGCACCACCCUCCAAAAGGUAAUAGAUGGUGUUGAUGAUGAUGAACUCCUUGCUCUUGUGCUUCAAAUGAUAAUCUCCCCAACACUCAACUCUCCUCACUGAUUUGGCUGUGGUGGAAGAAAGAAUUGAGUGGAAAGCAACUUGGGAAGGCUAGAGAUCAAGCUUCAUAUGAUGGGAGUGGAGCAACUUGAUCUCAACACAAGGGUAGGUAGGUCUCUUCUCAGAAAUGUAAGGUAGGAGUGAUAGUUCUUUCUGAUGGCUCUCUCCACGAAUGAAGAGGGGGUGGAGGGGUAUUUAUAGCCUCCACACAAAAUCCAACCGUUACACACAUUUGACCAAUCUCGGUGGGACCGAAGUUGACAACUCGGUGAGACCGAAAGUUCAAAUUAUGUGAACGUUGGGAUUUUCGGUGGGACCGAAAAUACAAUCUCGGUUAGUCCGAUCCGUGCAAAGACAAGAGCUUGCCAAUCUCGGUGGGACCGACUUCAUCAUCUCGGUGACACCGAUUUGAUGACAGAAGGUUACAGAAGCUUGGCAACUCAAGUUUCGGUGAGACCGAGUUCAGAAUCGGAAAAUCCGAGAUUUCUAGGGUUUGGCUUUGUGGCUGAGGUGGUUCAUCUCGGUGUGACUGGGUUUGGAAAAUCGGUGGGACUGAGAUUACUUAUGAGUGUAUAUGGCAGUGAAAGUUGCUGAUAGUUUAGGAGAUGUAUCACUAAGCACUUUGAGCAACCAGAUCAUCAUCAUAACCUCAUCCCCUUUUAAUAGUAUUGGCUUUCCUAUGGACUCAAUGUGAUCUUGGAUCACUAAACCAAAAAUGGAGUCUUGAGCUUUUGCCAAUGCUUGCCUUAGCAUUUUGAGGGGUCCACUUCUUCAGUCCUUGCCAUACCCAUAUCACUGAACUUUCUGAAAUGAUUCUCAAGUAACUAUUAGUUCAAUGAUAUAUAUGUUGUUAUUAAUUACCAAAACCACCCGGGGAUUAGUUGCACUUUCAGAUGUCCACUGGCACCUACACAACCCUAACAUAUUAACAAGCACAUUGCAAAUAAUCAAAAACCACAACUAUGGUAAGCCAUUAUUUUUUACCUUGUGCAGCUCACCCGGGGAUCCCGUCCCUCCGGGGGCCAUCUCCUUGUCCUUGAUGGGGGCCAUCACCUUGCCAGGGGAAUACUGCUUCUCAACGGUGACUAUCUCCUCAAAUUCGGCCUUGAGCCUCGCAUAGGUGGCCAUUAGAGUUUCUGGGGUAGGCACGAUGGGGCCAUCGCUGUUCUUCCAACUUUCUUUGAGGAGUUCGUCCGCCAACGUCGUCAACUCUUUGGCCAGUGCUUGUUUCUUGGAGUUCUUUGUCUCCAUGGGUUGGCCCGCCAACAUGGUCAAAUUGUUGGUCGGUGCUCGCUUCUUGGAGAUCGCUAUCUCCAGUGGGUUGUCCGCCGGCAACUCCUUGCCUAGUGCUCUAGGAUCCAUCAAUGAACUGACAAACAAAAGCAAUCAAAAGGAAACCACAAACCCAAUGCAACCGGGAAAAGAAUUUUCUGUGAGAAUCGGUCGGUUCUUCGCAAAAAGAAGAUUCUUGGAAUGAAAAUAUAGUAGCAUCACUGAUUCGCCCACCUUUCAUUCGUCGGUACAGAAGAAAAAUGGCAAAAGUGAGUAGCCUGGAGUGAGGUUUUCUUCAAGGGGAGAAAGGGCUUCAACGAGCGUUCCAGUGAAAUGAUGGUUGCUUCGUCUAGUCCAACUUUGAGGCCACUUUACCACUGCUGGUAAAGGUGUGGGUUUUGUGAUAUGACGGGUCAUGACGGCCACACCAGGGUGACCGGUGAGUGUCGACUGUAGCACCUCGAUGUGAUUUGGUGGAUGGCACGCGGGCCCAAAUGCUUUGAUGUCCCGCAUGUAGAUAGUGCGGCUAGUCAUAUAGGAGUUCUCAAUAUUGUGCACCGCGACCAAGGCGGAGAGAAAAACGAGAGAACUACGUAAUUAAUGCAUGAGUUUAAUUAGGGAAGUUUUGUAAAGUACGAGAUACAUUCCUCCAAUCACAAAAUGCCUUGGUUGAUGAGAUUUGAGAUUUGAGCCCUAUAAUCCGGAAGGGAGGAAGUACUACACGUGGUGUAGUCUAGUCACUUGUUGAAAUCUCUAGAAUGGCAAAUACUCCUUUCCGGUUUAUAGGGAUAUACUAGCAAGUACUAGUACUACAAUAAUGGGCUCAAAUAGCAAUUUUGUCUCAUGCAAGAGCCUGGCUAUAUGCGUGCUCCAAGGCACCGCACCACGCCCCACCCCUACACAAAGACUGCCAUGCGAGCGUUCGCAACUGCCACGUUCGGGUUGCGCUUGGCUCUUCGCCUCUUCGAGAAGAUGAACAAUGAUGUUACUGCUACUUCUACAGUAUUGAAUCCACUGUUGCAUGUCCGUCCACCACGUACGGGAGCGAUAGUGUGUAGAGAAAGCUUCUCCUAGUCCUGCGAACCACCACGCUCAUGCGCGAGGGAGGGACGCAGCUUCAUUGACUUACUGCUCCUGCCUUUGCGUCUAUGACAAGUGGGCCCAACAGGUGGGUGGCCACCUGUCAUGCAGCCAAAGCCAUGUACAGUUAAGGCACCGGAGCCAGUCCGUGAGGGAGAGGGCAUUGUAGUAAUCAAACUUCUCGAUCUUGUACGAGUUGACGUGACACAUCAAAGCACUGCACUCGAUAUAUUACAAUAAUUUGCAUUUACUGAUGCAUUAAUUACAACCUCCGAACCUUUUUUUGAACAAAGUACAAACGCCUAAACAUAAGUCAUUUUAGACAUUUCAAAUGGACUACAACUUAUAGAUGUAUGCAGACAUAUUUUAGAGUGUAGAUUCACUCAUUUUGCUUCGUCUGUAGUCACUUGUUGCAAUCUCUAAAAAGACUUAUAUUUCGAAACAGAGGGAGUACAACGCAUGCAUGCAUGCUGUGACUUUCCUUUUGAUACUUGCAUCUGUUGAUUUGAUGCACCUUGCCAAAUUUUGACUAUAAAUUUAACUAACCAAAUGUUCAUGCAUGUCGCAAAAAAUUACGAGGCUAUUUGGAUUGUGACUAUGUUUGUCUUAUGUUGCCACAUUAUUUUUGCCACACUUGCCUAACUUGAGUUGCUCAAAUUGUUAGACACACUUUGGCUUGCCUAAGGGAAUCUUGCCACACUUUUUGCGUCUAUGACAUGUGGGGUUCACUGCUAACAAAAAAUUCUUGUCUUAGGUGUGGCUAAUAAAAAAGACUUAUAUUUAGGAACGGAGGGAGUAGAAAAUAUAAAUAAUAAUGCAUGUUGGGGCAGCCCACGUUUCCGAUAAUUUUAGCCAUGGGCUUGUUCUCAAUUUUUAUGAGGGGGUGGUUGUUCAUUUAAUGGAGGGACUUGUACCAGACUUGAACGAUACAAAGUGCGACCUGGCACACCGUAACACCACUUGGAAUAAGCGGGUAGCUAUCUCAAAAAACAAUCAACAACUAAAAAAUGGUGACCUGGCACGUACACAAUUUUAAACGAUUUUUUUGAUGGAGUGAAAAAGGAAAACUACCCCACUACGUAUAUAUAGGCCGGAUCCUCCGCGCUUGCUUGCUAGGGUUGCUCUAUUCACACACUCUCAUCCUCUCCAUAUCUAAACAAGAUAGUGGUGGUAACACUGUCUUUCUCCCUUCAAAAAACACUAUCUUUCUAUCCACACCGCUGGUUACAGAUCCGGACGUAUCCCCUCCGCCGGUGAAGGGGAGGAGCGGCAUCGUUUAGGCCAUCGUCGAUAGCAAGGGAGGAGACCCACUGCCAGCCGCACCGUUAUCUUUGGCCGAGCGCCGGUGCGGGAGGUCCUCUGAUCCCUUCGUCGUUGCCCUGGUGUGGGCGGAUCCGGCCUCCCGCCGCCCACCUAUCCACAUCCCGACGACCUUUAGGUAUAUCUUCCUUCGAAACCGCCUUAGCUCUACUUCCCCAGCUCGCUACAUCGCUGCAUGUGCAUCAUUUUCUACCUCUCAGCCCCUCUCGAUCAGAUGGUCCAACGUCACCUUUUUUUAUUCUUCUAUUGUUAGAGGUAAAGGUACUUCAUGGAGUCGAAUCUUGUACUUGGUUCAAACAAGAAAUAAAGUGGGGGUGGGGGAAUUCAGUAUCUACAUCGGACUUGGUACAAACAGGAAGGAAAGGGGGUGAAAGUAGUACAGACUGGUCAUCCAACCGGUAUCUUGGUCGAAAAGGGAAAUAUAGGGGUAACGUUGUACACAGUGGUAUGACCAGCACUGGAUUUGUUAUCCACACAUAGGAGUAGGUGGCUAGAGUGAACAAAAAUGGAACCAACCCAGAUAUGUUUCUUGGAUGUUUGUUUCUCGGGGCAACAAACUAUGAAUCACCACUUUAUGCGCCUGUUUAGGUACAUGGUGCUGGACUGCUGGUGCACCCAUUGUCCCAUGUCCUUAUACCAAAUAUUUAGUUGUUCUUAAUCUAAUGCCCCUGGUAAAAUGAAGCCAUGCCACUGUUAUAAGCCAUGACAAGUUUAGCCAAAUGUUUUUGCCUGUAAUUGUUUGAGACUCUGACUGUUUCCUAUGUAACUUUUUGUGCAAACAGGGAUAUCCAUUUCACCUGGUUGUUGUUGUGACCUUUUGGUGCACUAAAACACUUCUUCAAAGAAGUGACUUUUGUGUUGUUUAACUGGAAUGUCAGAAUAGAAUAGUUGGUUCAUUUCGAUGGAACUGCACAAAGGGAGAUCUGUGUUCCAAUCCUCAUCAUCCAUAUUGGCACCAUAACCUUCCUUUAGGUAAGAAUGAUAUUUAAUGCAUGUGUUCAUCUCUAUUUUGCGAUUGCCAUGAGAAAAUAAUGCUACUUUUACUAGUACACUUGUACUCCCUCACGGACAAAACCAAUUCUGAAAUAGAAGGCCAAUCAUGUACUUGGUUUCACCAACUGGUGAGGAGAAAGAGAAAUAGAGCAUGAAGAGGAAGAAGAAGAAGAAUAAACAGUGCCAAGGUGAUCUUGCUGAAGCGAGAGACCUCAGUCGAGGCCACUCAAGGGCUCCGGCAACAUCUACCUUACAUGUGAGACGAUCCUCCAGGGAGCCCUUCCACUUCUGCUGUCUCACAUAAUUAAUUAGGAGUACUUAAGUACCACUAAUUUAUUGCUGCCUAAUUUUCCUGUUGGAGUUAAACAAAUAUUUAGUAGCACCCUAUGCUGAAUCAUGUACAUGUAUGUUUGUCUAUGGAGGUGAAUCAUGUGGUGGAGCAGGGAGGGAAUAUUAUUAGUGUCAUGACAUAAUAGUGCUAUUGUUUUGCAUGUCAAUUUAUUGCCAUGGUUCAAUGAGGCAAUGUUUUGCGUAUUGUCCAUCAUGAAUUUGAUACUACUGUUAGAGUAAUAUGCUAACGUCUUUCUAUCCUUUCUCACUAAGCUAAUCAAGGUUUCACCUUGUUCCUACUUGUGCAAACAGGGAUCAUGUUGUGCCAAUCAUACAUUUUAGUGGAACUACACAAGACAAUACAAUGAACUAUAUCCCAGCCAGUGCUUUAACUCUGCUAGAAGUUCUUGAUAAUCUUUCGAUAUAAUCUCAACACUGGUAAACAAGAGUGAUUUCAACCAUACAUUUGAAGUGCACAAAAAUAUAUACUAUUGAGUGAUUCCAGUGACUGCUUUAUCAUCUCUUAUGGGACUACAUGAAUAAGCUUUUUUCCUCAGGUUGGUACGGGCCUAAGGCCUUCAUCCAUAUUAGUUUGCUAUCAUCUCUAUUUGUAUCGUGCUAUUGUCAUGAGAAACUACUUUAUCGUUGGACGUUAAAGUUUUGCAACCUAUGAUACAUGGCAAUGCUUUGAGUGUUAAGCUAACUGACACUGAUUAAAUAAACUAAUACCUCUCUUUAAGCUAGACUACUAUGUUGCUAACUUUACCUAUUUAGAUAAUGAGCAUGCUUCUAUUUGUUAGUGUAUGUUUCAUCAACUAGUCGCACUAUUACAGUAAUCUCACUCUCUCAAUAUAUGUGCCAACAGGGAUGCUGGAUUUUGGUGGAACUGCACAAAAACUAUGGGUGCUUCAUUGCCUCGACAGCUUCCGUCCUUUCCUAUCAGUCACUAAUCUGGGCUUCCUUCCUUCCUUUGCUGUCAGUCACUUUGCUUAUCUCGGCUUCUAGUCAAAGGAAAUAGUAAUUGAUAUGCUACCUCACACAUGUUGGUACUGGUCUUUAUCCUGGUUAUUGUGCUUGUCAUAUGUAUUGGUAAUUUGGUAUUGUGAUGCUGUUUUCCAAUUUUAUAAAGGAGUAGCUUGGAGCCUAAACUCGCAGGCAAAUCAUUACAUUAGGUGAUUUCAGUAGAACUGCACAAAACGAUGAGAUGGACAAAUACUUAUGCUGCUGCUAUGUACUCCAAAGUUCACUCAGACAAGCAUCGAUGUUGAUAAGAAGAAGUGCCUAUAUUCAUUCGAGUAUCGACCGGCGUCAACCAGUUGUCAAACUCCAAGUAUUAGGACAGUGAACGCCAAAAAUAUUGCUUGGCGCAUAGCCUAGAAAAACAUAGUCCAGUCUUUGGUCCCAACUUGUGCCUUUUGGUUGUCGACAGAUAUGGUAGCGAACUGUAUGGCAUGGAGUCUAAAGAUUCCAAAAAAGUUGGUUGACGCGUAUAUUCAUCUGGCACUUAAUCAGUCUGCAUGCCAGAGAUGCUCCAUUUCAGUUGAACUGCACAAAAAAUUUGGGUGGUUCAUUUUCUCAACCGCCUCCUUUCUUGUCUGCAAUUUAGAAUUUUGGCGAGCUACAGGACCAAGAUGAGCUAGUAAACUAGUUGGAUGAAAGUAGUGGCCAAGUUGCUCAAACCUCCCUCGGCACGAGGCCACUAUCUGAGGAUAAACCUACAAGCAAAGUUCAGAUUGUUUGUGCUGCCUCUUAUGUGCUUGAAAGUUUACUCGUACAAGCAUUAAUUUUAGCAAGAAGUACCUCCGACUGAACACCAUUUACCAACCUGUACCCUAGGUAAUUAAAGUUCGUCCAUGGAUGAUAUUGGUUGUGAUCUCAGAUCAUUUGGAUGCAUAAACAUACUGAACAUGUGUAUAUAUGAAUCUUUUUGUGAAUUAUCUAUGAACAUUGUCGUGUGAUCUAUCAAUCAUUUGGAUGCAUAAACAUGCUGAACUUGUGUAUAUAUGAAUCUUUUGAGUUGUUGAUUGUGAAUGUUGGCUAUGAAUAUGAACGUGUCAUGUGAAUAUGAGUUUGAUACGAAUGUUUACCUUUUCUAUUGUACUUGUGCGUGAACUUGUUAGUAUGCCUACGGUGGGAUAUGCGACGUAUGGGUGUCAAUGGCAGACCUUCUUUCCGAGAAGAAUUGCACCUGCUUUGUUAGGGAAGCAACGGUGCAUCAACUCUUUUUAAUCUUUUUGCUCUGUUUUCCCCCUCCCCUGCUCAACCCCUGCCGUAAUGUUUUCGGCCUCAAAACAAACAUAGUAUUGCGUUGUUUUUGGGGCUUGAUGAAAAAUCGAGUGCUGGUUUCUAUAGGUUGGCCCGCACAACAAAUGGGCUGCUGGUCCACCACGGACUGGGAGGCUAAAAAUACAAGUUGUAUGGUGCAGAGGCAAGUAAAAAAACGCCAUCGAGAGCCAUCCACUGAAGAAAAGAAUCGCUCCUAUUGUGCUUCUUCAGUCGUGCCGCCGGCCCCCACUUUAAUCCAGUUUCCUCGGGGAUCUAUCUGGUAUCAUUUUUUCCAGGGGGCGAGCAAGUAUCAGCUAGGCCUAGGUUUUGUUUUUUAACAUGCGUAGCCCAUGACAUACGGAGACAGUGGUUUCAACUUAUUUUUUGAGGUCCAUGCCGGCCUAUGGGCUUUUUCUUAAAGAUCGGCAACCCAGUAUGUUUUUUUAAUAAAACGCAGAUCUCUGUUCUAUUUAUCUAUAUAUAAGAAUAAUAAUGUUGUGUCCAAUUUAUGUUUUCCCUUCUAACCACAUUAUAUAUAUUUAUAUUAUUACUAUUAUCGUAUAUUUUGUAGAUACUUAUAUAUACAUUAUAAAAACAUCCCACGUGUUAUUGACUUAUAAAAGUAAAUGUUUAAUAGAAGUUGGCAAGGAAAAUCCUGGUUGUUUUUGACUCACAGGCUAGGAAAAUCCUAGUGAUUGCGUACAAAAGCUUGCAAAGAUUUUAAUGACCAAUGUAAUAAUAACACGCUCAUUUUUAUUUUGAGCAAUAACUCUCUAAUUUGUUAAUUAUAUAUAUAUAAGAUGUGCCUCUCCGAUUUAUUUUUUGAUAUUAAUUGCUCCUUCUAACAUAACAUUAUAUAUAGACCGACCCCAGCUAAUUCAUCUAUUUCAAGAAAGUGCAAAUGGGCUGGGAUUUCUUAGAAAAUAUAAAUGGGCCGCAUUGACGCGAAUUUAUUUGUUCACCCAGCCCAGCAAAUGGACUAUAUAUUCUAGAAAACAUGGGUUAAAUAUAUGCCACAUUUUUGCAGGCUGACAUGUGGGCCAAUAGGUCGAAGCCUACGUUGGGUGUUGUCAACUUGGUCAACAAAUGAUUAUGACAUCCACAACCAUUGGAUUUAUAUCCAACGGCCGGCAUGCACCUUCAAUCUCUCGUCUUCUUCCUCCAGCGUCGUCGGGACCGCCUGGUCCGGCCUCCGGCGGCUAGCGGCUCUGCUUAACACGCAUCGCUGCGAAGCACUACCUCACCGCCGGCCAAGCUAUCCCUCCACCCCUCCACACCUCCUGUUAUUCUCCACCGACUGCAACCCCAAGCCACACCACAACCAGCUAUAACCCUUCUCCUCCUCCCAAUCUGCGACUCCACUGCCGCGUCUUCCCAUCUCCGGGUCGUUCCCGUCCGGGACCUCACCGUCGUCCAUCGCCUCACUGCGCUUGGUGCGGCGUGGUCAACAAAUGAGAGUCAUCGGAAGAGGACUAUACGUGGAGAGCCUGACGGCUGGGACCCACGAGGUCCAUGGUCGCACGCAAGGAAAGUUCCUCCUUAUUAAGCUGAAAAAAUGUUUCCUUCCCUUGACAGUUGGGACCCACCGGCUGUAUCUUCGCACGGAAGGAAGUGCCUCCUUGUUAUGCGAAAAAACUUAUUCCUCCCGUUGACAGCUGGGACACGUCAGAUUUGGUGGCUGACUUGUGGGCCUACUAAACGGACAUGUACGCAAGGCUUAGUCAACUAAAUCAACAAAUGAUUCUAGCAGCUGGACUGUUGGAUGUUAAUCCAAUAGUCGUGCUCUUCUUCAACCUCUAUUCUUGCUCCCGUCUCCCGUGGGAGGCAUCGCGGCAGUGCUGCUGCACACCCGAACCAGUCAAGUUUCCCACUCCUCUCCAUCUGCGACUCCAUUGCUGCGUCUUCCUCAUCUCCGAGUCGUUCCAGUCUGGGGCCUCGCCAUCGUCCACCGAUCUUGGUGCGCUCGGCACGGUGUGGUCAACGUGAUCAACAACCGAGAGUCAUCGAAAGAUGACUGUACGUGAGAGGUGAGGGAGUCCUAUAUUAGGGGGUAUCCGGAUAGCUGGACUAUAUACCUUGGCCGGACUGUUGGACCAUGAAGAUACAAUACUCAAGACUCCGUCAUGUGUCCGGAUGGGACUCUCCUUUGCGUGGAAGACAAGCUUGGUGAUCCGGAUAUUAUAUUUCCUUCUUUGUAACCGACCCCAUGUAAACCCUAGCCCCCUCCGGUGUCUAUAUAAACCGGAGGGUUUAGUCCUUAGAGGGACGAUCACAAUCCUAAUCAUCAUAGGCUAGCUUCUAGGGUUUAGCCUCUACGAUCUCGUGGUAGAUCAACUCUUGUAAUACCCAUAUCAUCAAUAUCAAUCAAGCAGGAAGUAGGGUUUUAACUCCAUCGAGAGGGCCCGAACCUGGGUAAAACAUCGUGUCCCUUGCCUCCUGUUACCAUCAGCCUUAGACGCACAGAUUGGGACCCCCUACCCGAGAUCCGCCGGUUUUGACACCGACAUUGGUGUUUUCAUUGAGAGUUCCUCUGUGUCGUCGCUGCAAGGCUUGAUGGCUCCUUCAAUCAUCAACAACAACGCGGUCCAGGGUGAGACUUUUCUCCCCGGACAGAUCUUCGUGUUCGGCGGCUUCGCACUGCGGGCCAAUUCGCUUGGCCAUCUGGAGCAGAUCGACAGGUACGCCCCUGGCCACCAGGGCAGGUUCGGAAACUUGAACUACACGACCGAUAUCCGUGGAGACUUGAUCUUCAACAGAUUUGGGCCUGCGCCAAGAGCGUCGGACAGUCACGACGAGCACGGCUCAGACCUGCUGUCGGACAAUGCUCGGGAUAUCGCCCCUACAGGAGCCCCGGACCUAAAUCUGGAGCAGAUUGCGUCGCUCGAGGACGGGUGUAUGGACCCCGCCCCAGAGGUUGCACACUCAUCGGCGGUAGAUCCGAACACAAACUUCACCCCCAAGGAAGCCUGUGACACCGGACCCCCGGACUCGUAUCCGGCUGCAGGUUCCAGUCCGCGCACUCCCAAGCCCGCCGAAGCUGGUGGGGCUCCGGUAAUGGAGUUCACCACUGCGAAUAUCUUCCGGCACACGCCCUUUGGUGACGUGCUAAACUCGUUAAAGUUUCUGUCUUUCUUAGGAGGCUCUUGGCCGAACUAUGUCUGGCUCGAGUGGGAAGCAGGCGACAAGGGAAUUCGUUACCCACCCACCACCCACUUCAUCGCCACGGUCGAUGAUUUAACCGACGUGCUUGACUUUGACUCUAAAGACAUCGACGGUGUGGACGACGAUGCAGGAGAAGAACAGGAACCACCGCCCAUGGGGCGAUGGAUGGCCACCUCCUAAUAUGAUAUAUAUAUGGUGGACACUCCGACAGAAACCAAUGGCGAUGAGGCAAUAAAGGAUAACCUAUCAAGGAAGAAGGCAAAGUAUGAACGUCAUCAGCGCCGCCUCAAGCUUCGCCACAACAAUACCGGCGCAGCAGUCAAAAACAAUCCAUACGGCGCCAAAGAUGAAUACAAUCCCGACCAGCCUGCCUUCGAGCAAGCCGGACAGGCGGCGGGCGUAUACUUCGAAAGGGAUAAUUACAUGCCCCCCUCCAAAGACAAGGUGAGCCUCGGCAACAACGAAUUCGGCGUGCCUGAAGACCCCGUGGAGCAAGUUUGCUUUAAGUGACGGCUCAUGGCCACGGCGAAAAGCCUGCAAAAGAAACAACAGUAGCUCAAAGCCGACCAAGAAUUGCUCACGGACAGAUGGACCAGGGUCCUGGCCACCGAGGAAUACGGACUCGACCGCCACACCAAAAGGUACCCUAGGCACAAUUCGCUACCUCAACCUAAGAAGGAAAACCUAAAGCCCACACCCCGGCGCCAAUAUACCACGGUCUGGGACAAUACGCAGGAGACGCGAGGAAGCAUCCACAAACCUCGACACAAGUGUCAUAAGCGUCAAGUCAAGGAAGUUGGUACCGAAUUCAGCAACCCCCAGUCCGGUCAGCGGAAAAAGAACAGCUCAAGCCCAUCCGGCCCGUGCAGCAUACUCGAUCAACCAUGUGAAAUUCAUGGUACCCCUAGAAGGACGGCCAAGCAUACCAAUAGAGAAUGUCGGAUCCUUAAAACAAAACGGUCGGUAGUGCGCCGGAAACAAUAAAGGGAGGUUUCCAACAACGAAAGACCAAUCAAACAUGGCGAAGUCAAAAGAAGAUUCUCCACAGCACAAAAAUACGGCAGAUCUUCACCGAUCACAUCGACCGUCCGGACAACAUCAACCAUAGCAAUUUAAUUGCACUCACUAUCGACCCAAUAGUCCGGGGGCUCCAUCUAGCACGAGUCCCCGCGGGCAUAAAAUUAUCAAUAACAUCUUCUAAAAGAUGGCAGGUGCAAAGGCCAAGUUUUAUUGGCCCGCCACUUUAACGGUUGUCUUCGGAUCACCAAACAAAUACCACGCCGAAGAAUAAGUCUUCGGCACUGUCCCCUUAUACAGUAAUUACCACAUACUACCGGGACAAGCUGCGUUGGCUAGAUUCAAUGGGGUACAACAUUAGGCCAGUCCCGCGUGACAUAGUCACAAUUAUGGGCAGCGCCGAACCCCACCCUUAGAAUGGAAAUCAUAAAGUUGCUGGAAUAGCGAGGCGUGCCUGUUUAUCAAAUUUUGAUUCGGCAGCCAACUACUCGGACACCAACUGAGGAGUCCGCGCUAUUUUAUGGCAUGACAACCUGUUUCAGCCAGGCUCCGAUCAGGCACCUGCGGUUCAACCAUAAGAGGAGAUGCAGCUGCCUUCAAGCAUUUGUCUUUACAGAAUAACUUUGGCGCAGAACAGGACUGGCGACAUGGAAUCAGCUCGGACACACAAGGGCAGGAACACAUAAGUAAAUCCGCCCCCUCCCAAAGGAGGUAGUCUGGAUUCACUUCAUAUCCAUACACAGCAUCCUCCAGUCCGGCCAAAACAGGUUCCGCCAAAAACACCUCUUUUCAUAAUCAUAAACCGUACUCAUAUGCAUAGACAUGUCAUCCUACUACAGUGCGUAGAUCUAAAUAACACUUAUUGGCUGUCAUUCUUCAUUAAACACCACUUUUUGCCAUAAACAGCACCCGUACAUUGUAUUAUACCCCACUAUGCCAGGGGUUUUAUAAUACUCGAAAUACCGCAACAAAGUCCAGCCACCUUUCCGGUCGCUCGGCACCCCGAACUUAUAGCAUUAUAUGCAUCAGCUCCGAAUCAUGUCUUGGGUCAUUAGUUGGGUUUGCCCGGCUCCCAUGUUUUGGUACCUUACGUUUCGCUCCAUCAGCUAAGGUAGUGCUGGGAGAACUACUGCGAUUGUGUCUCGGUUCUUCCGGAUGAGCACCUCGGUAGAGAAAGCCGAAAACUGACUGGCAUGAUACGGCGAGAGCUGGUCAGCUGUUCGAGAGGUUAUAAAAUCUCUAAAGAUCUAUUCCACACAAUGCCAUUAUAAAUGCAAAGUGCAACGGAUCGGUCUCCUGAUUAGGCGCCGAUAGAGCCCCUUGUACGGCCUUCCGAAUACCAGGGGCUGCACCCACCAUACUUGAAUUCCUAUGGCUAAGUGAGAGUGAUAAAGCCCUAUAGUCUAAUUGUCUGGUUCGUGGUGAGGAACACCUCCUUAAAAGGACCCAACAAUGGGAUAAAGAGUGUUCAGGUAUGCCCCGAACACCCCCGUACUUUUCACGUGGGGGCAGAAGCCGACGACUGGCCAACUCUCAGGUUUUAUAUACACUAAACGGUCGCACAGGAAGAACAAACAUUCACACAAACAGGCAAUAAAUAAUAAAAGUGCCAUUAUCCCACAUUACAAAGAAUGGCACGACUGCCUUUAGGGAAAUAUAGUGUCUUUGGUACACUGAUCCACCACAAGGCAGGCUCCUUUCAGGACACCUUCAUAGUAUAAUUCGGGCUUGCGAUGCUCCUUACCCUCCGGUGGUCCCUCAGUCAUCAGCUUCUCAGCAUCAAGCUUCCCCCAGUGCACCUUCGCACGGUUAAACGCCAUGCGUGCACCCUCUAUGCGAACUGAUCGCUUAAUGACAUCGAGCCGAGGGUAAGCACCAACAAUCCGCUUCACGAGUUCGAAGUAACUGCUUGGAAUUGGCUCCGCGGGACACAGCCGGACAACCAAGUCCUUCAUGGCUAGUUCGGCCGCCUGGUGCAGAUCGACCAACUGCUUCAGCUGAUCGUUAAAGGGUGUAAGGGCAUAUUUAUCCCUUAGGUGUUUUGGUGAUUGAUGACAAUGCAUUCGCGGACUAAUCGUGUGUCUUGAGUUUCACAGAUGCUUCAUCACUAGGCACGAGACGAUUCGGUGCCCCUCGAACACUAUUGAAGACGGCGUUGUUCUACGUUUCUUUUUGGUGGAUUUGAGUCGUAGGAGAGCCGUACUAUUAAGAGGGGGUCCGUGUCGGAAAGGUUCGGGUGGAAUCAUCACGUACACGCUUCCUUCAUUGUCUCCUCCUUUCCCUUGCACUUUGGAGCAUUCCCCGUCUAUCCUCUUUGUGAGUGCCUGGACUACUGUUGCUAAGCUUAAGGUAGUACUUCUCCGUGGAGCGGUAGUACCGCACGAACUCGCGGUAGUACCGUGCCCUUGCGCGGUAGUACCGCAGGAGCCCACGGUAGUACCAGUCCCUCGGAGUCAUAGUACCGUGGCUCCUAGGCCAAGUACCGCUGCGUCGCGGUAGUAGGCGCGGAUGUAAUUUUUUACAUCCGCGUCCACACGGUAGUACCACACGUUGAGGGCGGUAGUACCGCGGGUGCCCACGGUAGUACCGCUCCCCCCGAGCUGUAGUACCGUGGUUCCCUGGCCUAGUGUCGUUGCUUCACGGUAGUAGGGGCGGAUGUAAUUUUUUACAUCCGCACCCACACAGUAGUACGGCGUCGUGUGGACGGUAGUACCGUGACGGAUGUUUGCAUUGUCUCUUUGACAGCGGAAGUAGGCACAGAUGUAUUUUUAUUCAUCCAUGCCGGUUCCAGACCUAGUCUUACCUGCCUCGCGGUAGUACCGCUGGUGGGUGCGGUAGUACCGCGCCCGCGGUAGUACUGCCUAUGGUAUAGUCUCUGCAGCUGCCGCGGUAGUACCGUGGUCUCCCACGGUAGUACCGCGUGGCCUCGCGGUAGUACCGCGCCCCUGGAGCGGUAGUACCGCACGUCACAGGCUGGUCUAAGUGGAUAACGGUUGGAUUUCUUCCAUGACUAUAUAAGGGGCGUCUUCUACCUCUAGUUGACUACCUCUUCCACCUCUAAGCUCCAUUGUUGCUCCAAGCUCCAUUUUCGCCUGAUCUCUCUCCCUAGCCAAUCAAACUUGUUGAUUUGCUCGGGAUUGGGUGACAAGGGCCCGAUCUACACUUCCACCAAGAGAUAUUCGAUUCCCCCCACUUAUCCUUAGCGGAUCUUGUUACUCUUGGGUGUUUGAGCACCCUAGACGGUUGAGGUCACCUCGAAGUCAUACUCCAUUGUGGUGAAGCUUCAUGGUGUUGUUGGGAGCCUCCAAUUGUUGUGGAGAUUGCCACAACCUUGUUUGUAAAGGUUCGGUCGCCGCCUUCAAGGGCACCAAUAGUGUAAUCACGGCAUCUCGCAUUGUGUGAGGGCGUGAGGAGAAUACGGUGGCCCUAGUGGCUUCUUGGGGGGCAUUGUGCCUCCACACUGCUCCAACGGAGACGUACUUCCCCUCAAAAGGAAGGAACUUUGGUAACACAUCCUCGUCUCCACCGGCUCCACUCUUGGUUAUCUUGCGCCUUUAAUUUUGCAAGCUUACUUGUGUUGUUUCCCUUACUUGCUCGUGUGCUUGUUGUUGUCGCAUCAUAUAGGUUGUUCACCUAGUUGCAUAUCUAGACAACCUACUUUGAUGCAAAGUCUAAUUUGGUAAAGAAAAUCUAAAAAUUGUUAGUUGCCUAUUCACCCCCCCCCUCUAGUCAACCAUAUCGAUCCUUUCAAAGGGCACCGGAUAAUUCGGCGCCAAAUACUGCGACCAGAAAUCCUUCCCCAUAGACUUCUUCUCCUCAGUAUGGUAGAAUUGGGCAGCAUCUGAUAUGCUGCAUGGCAGGUCCGCAAACACACCUGGAGAAACAAGAAUUCAGCUUGUCGCUUAGAGCCCCCAUCACUAUGAAAAGAGUGUCCUUGAGUACAAAAGGCAUUACCAGCCGCAACCUUUCGUGCCUCUUGAAUGUCCUUCAGAGCACCUCGGGCUUCUUCCUGAGCAUCCUCCACAGCUUGGAGAGCUUGAGCGAGUUCGGAUUCUUUCCCUACUAAACUCUUCUCCAAGGCCUCACUUUUCUUCACAGCCUCCUGAAGCUCUCGCUCAGCUUCAAUGACCCUGGCCUCGUGUUUCUCACGAAGAGCCUGCUUGGCGGUGGCCUUCUCGUUGGCUUCGGCCACAGCCUUCUUGAGUGCCUCAUAUUCGGCACUCGCCCCUAGAGCAUAAAAUACAAAUAUUUUUCAUCAGGCACAACUACGCAUUCGUGCCGCAUUUAGGACAAGGUUUCGACAUACCUUGCUUGUCCUCCAAUUGCUUUUUCACACGGCCAACUUCCUCUUCGGCCCGUUCUAGACUCUGCUUUAGUCCGGACACCUCCACAUUAUGAGCGGCGGUCGUCCCUGCAGACGCUUGUUUUCAAACAAAGGGAUACAUGUCAUUAAUUGAGUCUCUUGCAAUGCGGAUGAUUUGAUCCUCUGUCCGGCUUUCUCUCUCUUUCGUCGGACAGUGCAUCAGGGGCUACUACUCACACUGUGACAAUCUCCAAAAGGUUUCUAAAAACAUACCUCAAAGCCCUUUAUAAGGCCAAGGCAGGACUCAUUCAGUCCGCGCUCGGUGAACUGAAUCUUUUCAAUCACCGCACCCAUGAGGGUCCGAUGUUCAUCGACAACAGACGCACUCCUUAGCGUUGUCGAUAGGCCACCCGACAGCUCUGCUUGGACAGAGGCUGCUGGCGGAGUAGGCAAGGCUCCCCCCGUCAAAGGUGGCUGCUCGCCCGAUCCAGGAGCUUUAAAGCUCUCCAGGACCGCGUUUGGCUGCGGUCCGAACCUAAGAUCGCUCCCGCCAUCGACACGUCUGGGAGCCGCUGCUCCUGUGUGUCCGGCCCCAGGGAUACGCCCCCCUGUACCAGGCCCCGUUGAGACGACACCUCGGUGUCGCGCCUAGGCUUCAAGGAAGGGGCCUCUGGAGGCGUCUCGCUCGCCAGGGCAUUAGAGCUCAGUGAAUCCUCCGAUGAGGACUGUCCAGCAUGGGACCUCGCCGGGCUGCACAAAAUAUGGUGACGGUAUAAACUACCACAUCCUAACAACCCCGAGCACGUAUGCAUGUUUGGAUUUCGUAUACUUACGACUUUUCCAGGGGCUGGACCCUGGGAUCCCACUCCGGGCUGCUAUCAGCAGCCGUGGUGGACGCCUCUGGAGGGAAGGCGAUUCGGCCUCCAGGGAUGAGGAAGCCGUCCUUUUCUUCCCCCCUGCGUCGGACUCGUCUUCCUCCUCCUCCUCUGCAUCUUCGGAGGAGGGGUGGUUGCUGGAGUCUUCGGAUUUUGCGUCCGAUGCAUCGCAACGACGGAGGCCACUCCGGGUCUUCUUGACCUUCUUGGAAGCUUCUUUCUUCGGCGCCUUGUAAGGCGCUGGGACCAGCAUCUUCGUUAGAAGAGGUCCAGCCGGUUCCUCCGGUAGCGGGGCAGGACAGUGCAUCCGCUCCACCUUUUUUAUCCAUCCCUGGGGUUAUGGUAAAGCAUGAUAAAAGCGUCUCCCUCAGGACAUGCCAACUGAAGCGUGGAUGGACAGAGCACAGCAAUGACUUACCGGACUUGCAGAGUGGGAUAGUUGAUACCCACGGUCCUCAGCGGAGCCCGGCCAUGAUUUGCCGGACUUAAAGAGCACCUUCCAGAUAUCCUUGUGGGAGGAACCAUAGAGCUCCCGUAGGGUCUGGUGCUCAGUUGGGUCGUAUUCCCACAAAUUGCAGGCUCGACGCUGGCAAGGGAGAACCAGGCGAACUAACAUCACAUGGACUACAUCGACGAGUUUGACAUCCUUGUCGACCACACUCUAGACGCGCGUCUGGAGCAGUGACAGCUCGUCGGACGAGGACCAGUUCAUGCCCUUCUCGGGCCAGGACGUGAGCCACAGUGGGGCUCCGGAUCUGAACUCAGGAACUGCAGCCCACUUUUUGCCGCACAGUUUGGUGAUAUAGAACCACUGCUGCUGCCACUCCUUGCCGGAGUCAUUGAAGGCACCCGUCGGCCAUACAACCUUGGGCAUCUUGCUCACCAUGGCGCCGCCGCACUCGGCGUGGUCGCCACUCACCACCUUGGGCUUCACAUUUAAAAUCUUCAGCCAUAGGCCGAAGUGAGGCGAAAUUCAGAGAAAAGCCUCACACACGUAGUAAUACAUGAUACCGCGAACGAAUGGGUGAAGGGGAAACCCGAGCCUGCGGACAAAAUGAGGAAGAAACAUGACCCUCUCAAGGGGCUCCGGAGUAGGGACGAUCUGUCCCGCCGGCGGAAGACGGUGGCCGAUCUUCUUGGCCAGGUACCCGGCCUCUCCGAGCCUUUCGAUAUCCUUCUCCUGGAUGGUAGAGGCCAUCCAUUUGCCUCCCGCCCCAGAUCCGGACAUCUUCGGCGAACCUCUCUUCGGUGGAGAAGAAGAGCGCUUGGGCGCUAGGGCUCGAACAGAGGGGAAUGGACUAGCAGAAGGAAAAGGCGUGGAUAAAAAGGAAGAGACCUUAUCUCUUUAUAGAGGCGGUAAAAGCUUUUGUGCCUCCCCACUUGUCUGGUGGAACCCGCUCGUUCCCCACUCGCCGCAAUUAGUGGUGCAGUUGGGCUACCCACACCCGUAUUGAUGAGAAUCCCAUGAUGAGGGGACACGAUCUCUGCUUCGGCAAGACGUACAGAGGAAACCGCCUCGCAAUAUGCGCUAUGGCUAGUUAUGGGAAAACGGUCCGAAUAAUGACCCGACCGUAGUGUCAUGUCACAUUGUCUAAAAAUUGCCAGCAGAUCAGAUUUAUGCUAUGCUCUCUAUGGUGGUGUGUGAAGAUCAUCUUGCAGACCCGGUCACGGUUUAAGUGUUCGAUAAUUACUUUGGAGUAUUCGGAGAUGGAACCCGCCUUGCAAUGCAAAGACAAAACUGCGCGCCGGACUCAUCGUCAUUGAAACCUGGUUCAGGGGCUACUGAGGGAGUCCUGGAUUAGGGGGUAUCCGGACAGUCGGACUAUAUACCUUGGCCGGACUGUUGGACCGUGAAGAUAAAAGACACAAGACUCUGUCCCGUGUCCGGAUGGGACUCUCCUUUGCGUGGAAGACAAGCUUGGUGAUCCGGAUAUUAUAUUUCCUUCUUUGUAACCGACCCCAUGUAAACCCUAGCCCCCUCCGGUGUCUAUAUAAACCAGAGGGUUUAGUCCUUAGAGGGACGAUCACAAUCCUAAUCAUCAUAGGCUAGCUUCUAGGGUUUAGCCUCUAUGAUCUCCUGGUAGAUCUACUCUUGUAAUACCCAUAUCAUCAAUAUCAAUCAAGCAGGAAGUAGGGUUUUACCUCCAUCGAGAGGGCCCGAACCUGGGUAAAACAUCGUGUCUCUUGCCUCCUGUUACCAUCAGCCUUGGACGCACAGAUCGGGACCCCCUACCCGAGAUCCACCGGUUUUGACACCGACAAGAGGCUGACAGUGGGGACGCACCAUGCCCAUGGACGCAUACAUGCAACUACAUCCUUUUUACCCUGAAAAAUAAUUUUUCUCCCCCUGACUGCUGGGACCCACCAGCUACAUCUUCGCAUGCAAGGAAGUGCGUCCAUAUUAUGAGCAAAAAAAACGACUCGCACCCUGACUGCUGGACCCACCAGCUACAUCUUUGCACACAAGGAAGUGACUGACAGUCGGGACCCACCUGGUCGAAGCGUACUUAGCGUUGUCAUUCUGGUUGCGAACGUGUAUGUACAUACUGGUCGAUGUAGAGGAGCGCACGUGUCGUAGUAGAGGCGUGCACGUGUCGUAGUAGAGGCGCGAACAUAGCAUGUACACGCACGUACAGCGACCAGGGUGCAAGAAAGUAAAUACGGCCACGUACGUCCAUACGGGUGGGGUCUCGAACACCUACUCGCGCAUACAUACGGCUAGGGCUCGUGUACAUGGCUGGGUCAGGACGGAGAAACUGCAUCGUCGUCGUGUUCAUGGGGAGCCAACCGGCUGGGUCAGAACGGAAUGCGUCAUCGUGUUCAUCGGGAGGGAUUGGAUGGAACAACCGAUGGAAACGAGGCCUGGUGUACCGCAGAACAGAGAAAACAGCCUUCUGUUCGACCAGCCAUGGUCGAAACGGGAUCCUUUUCAUCGGGAGGGGUCUGGCGUAUCACAAAACGGAGGAAACGGACUUUUGUUGGACCUCCUAUGGUCGAAACGGAGUCCUGUUGAUCGGGAGGGGUGUGGCAUACCGCUAAACGGAGGAAGCUGACUUGUGCUGGAGCGCUACGGUCGAAACAGGGGUCCUGCUCAUCGGGAGGGGUGUGGCGUACCGCAAAACAGGACUCCACGAGAUACUGUUCAUCUCCACCAUCGACCUCCUCCAGCCUCCACGGGCUAUUGUUCAUCCACUGUCGACCUCCUCCAGCCUCCACCUGUGACUAUUCAUCCACGGUCUCCUGUUCAUCCAGCCUCCACCGCGCGCUCCUCCACCGGCUACUGUUCAACCAGCCCUCUCCACGGGAUCCUGUUCAACCACCCCUCCAUGGGCUACUGUUCAUCCAGCCCUCCACCGGCUAAUGUUCAACCUUCCCUCCAUAGGGUCCUUUUCAUCUAGCCGUCCACGGGGUCUGUUCAUCCACGCCCAACUGGCUCGAUCGAUCGGGGUCCUGUUCAUCCAGCGGCAACACCACGGGGUCCUGCUCAUCCAACCCCCUUCAGGAACUGUUCAUCCAACCCCCCCCCCUCAACAACGCUCACUGUUCAUCCAGAGGCAACAUCGAUCGGCUUCAGUUAGCAGCAGUAGUGAAGGAAUCGCUCGAUUGCUCGGGUUCAGUAACGUGUAGCCUGCAAUGUAAUUGCUCGGGUUCAGUUAGGCGAUGCCUCGCUCGGGUUUAGUUAGAGCCCAAUGCCUCACACCCACGUGCAUACAUGUACGAGAGAAACGUGCAUCGCUCGGCCCCCAACCACCCACCGUAACCGGGAACUCCCUGAAAUUUUCCUCGCCCUCGCUUCUACCACGGUAUUUUCCGUCAUGAACGGCCCAAAGAAUGUCAUGCAGCUGCAUCUCCGGCCCGCCCAGGACGAAAAGCCCAUUUUCUGUCAUGAUUUUUUGUCAUAGAAGUAGGAGCCCACCACAUCUAUGAUGAUACUGGGUUUUGUCACAAUUAUCAUCAUAGAAGUGUCAUAAGUAUGACAGAAAAAAAAAAUUCGUUCGGCCCAAAAUGUCACGGAUGUGUCUUUUUUUGUAGUGCAUGAUAUGUGCUAUCCUUGCAAUGUCAUUUUAUUUGUUUUGCUUGAUGUUUGAAUAAUAUCCCAAGAUCUAAAAUUCUUAAAUGUUAGAGAGUCUUCACACAGUUACAUAAUUAUUCGACUACUCAUUGAUCUUCACUUAUAUCUUUUGGAGUAGUUUGUUAUUUGCUCUAGUGCUUCACUUAUAUCUUUUUAGAGCACGGCAGUGGUUUUAUUUUGAAGAAAUUGAUGAACUCUCAUGCUUCACUUAAAUUAUUUUGAGAGUCUCUAAAUAUCUUGGUAAUUUGCUUUGGUUAUGAAUUUAGUCCUAAUAUGAUGGGCAUCCAAGAGGGAUAUAAUAAAAACUUUCAUAUAAAAUUCAUUGAAUACUAUGAGAAGUUUGAUUCAUUAUGAUUAUUUUGAGAUAUGAAGAUGAUGAUAUUAGAGUCAUUCUAGUGGAGUAAUUGUGAAUUUGAGAAAUACUUGUGUUGAGUUUGUGAUUCCCGUAGCAUGCACGUAUGGUGAACAGUUAUGUAACGAAGUUGGAUCACGAGAUAUUUUUUGGUUGUCUUCCUUAUGAGUGCCGGUCGGGGACGAGCGAUUGUCUCUUCUUACCAAUCUAUCCCCCUAGAAGCAUGUGUGUAGUACUUCGUUUCGAUGACUAAUAUAUUUUUGCAAUAAGUAUGUGAGUUCUUUAUGACUAAUGUUGAGUCCAUGGAUUAUAUGCACUCUCACCCCACCACCAUUGCUAGCAUCUCUAGUACUGCGUAACUUUUGCCGGUACCAUACAUGUCACUCUUGAUUCAUUGCACAUCCCGGUACACCGCCGGAGGCAUUCAUACAGAGUCAUAUUUUGUUCUAGUAUCAAGUUGUAAAUUUCGAGUUGUAAGUAAAUAAAAGUGUGAUGAUCAUCAUUAUUAGAGCAUUGCCCCAUGUGAGGAAAUAAAAAAAUAAAAAAAGGAGGCCAAAGAAGCCAAAAUAAGAAAGAGAGGCCAAAGAAGCCAAGAAAAAAGAGAAAAAAAGGAACAAAUGAGAGAAAAAGAGAGAAGGGGCAAUGUUACUAUCCUUUUUCCACACUUGUGCUUCAAAGUAGCACCAUGAUCUUCAUGAUAGAGAAUAUCCUAUGUUGUCAGUUUCAUAUACUAGUGUGAAAGACAAAAUAAAAAAGAGAGGCCAAAUAAGCCAAGAAAAAAAGAGAAAAAAAGGAAAAAAAUGAGAGAAAAAGAGAGAAGGGGCAAUGUUACUAUCCUUUUUCCACAGUCGUGCUUCAAAGUAGCACCAUGAUCUUCAUGAUAGAGAGUCUCCUAUGUUGUCGCUUUCAUAUACUAGUGGGAAUUUUUCAUUAUAGAACUUGGCUUGUAUAUUCCAAUGAUGGCCUUCCUCAAAUUGCCCUAGGUCUUCAUGAGCAAGCAAGUUGAAUGCACACCCACUUAGUUUUUCUUUUGGAGCUUUCAUACACUUAUAGAUCUAGUGCAUCUGUUGCAUGGAAAUCCCUACUCGCUCAGAUUGAUAUCUAUUGAUGGGCAUCUCCAUAGCCCGUUGAUACGCCUAGUUGAUGUGAGACUAUCUCCUUCUUUGUGUAUUCUCCACAACCACCAUAUUCUAUUCCGCCUACAGUGCUAUAUCCAUGGCUCACGCUCAUGUAUUGCGUGAAAGUUGAAAAAGUUUGAGAACAUCAAAAGAAAGAAACAAUUGCUUAGCUUGUCAUCGGGGUUGUGCAUGAUUUGAGUAUUUUGUGUGAUGAAGAUGGAGCAUAGCCAUACUAUAUGAUUUUUUAGGGAUAAGCUUUCUUUGGCCAUGUUAUUUUGAGAAGACAUAAUUGCCUUGUUAGUAUGCUUGAAGUAUUAUUGUUUUUAUGUCAAUAUUAAACUUUUGUUUUGAAUCUUAUGGAUUUGAAUAUUCUUGCGACAAUAAAUAAUAUUACAUUGAUAAAUAUGUUAGGUAGCAUUCCACAUCAAAAAGUUUGUUUUAUCAUUUACCUACUCGAGGACGAGCAGGAUUAAGCUUGGGGAUGCUUGAUGUGUCUCCAAUGUAUCUAUAAUUUUUGAUUGUUCCAUGCUAUUAUAUGAUCUAUCUUGGAUGUUUUGUAUGCAUUUAUAUGCUAUUUUAUGUGAUUUUUGGGACUAACCUAUUAACCUAGAGCCCAGUGCCAGUUUCUAUUUUUUCCUUGUUUUUGAGCUUCGCAAAAAAGGAAUAUCAAAUGGAGUCCAAACAGAAUAAAACCUUUGCAAUGAUUUUUCUUGGACCAGAAGACACCCAAGAGACUUGGUGAUCAAGUCGGAAGAGCCACGAGGCGACCACAAGGGGGGAGGGUGUCGGUGUCAAAACCGGCAGAUCUCGGGUAGGGGGGCCCAAGUUGUAUGUCUGAGGAUCGAUGGUAACAAUUAUCAAAGGGACAUGUUUACCCAGGUUCAGGCCCUCUUAAUGGAGGUAAAACCCUACUCAUGCUUGAUUAUAUUUGAUGGGUAUAGGGGUUACAAGAGUUGAUCUACCUCAAUAUCGUAAUGGCUAAACCCUGACUUGGCUAGCCUAUUAAUGUUAUGAUCCUGCCUCCGGUCUAAACCCUUUGGUUUAUAUAGAUACCAGAGGGGCCUAGGGUUGUACAAAGUCUGUUCAACAGAAAGGAAAUAGUACUUCCGGACACCUAAACUUGUCGUUCACGCACACAGGAGCCCCAACCGGACACGGGAGGUGGUCUUCUUCCUUUUAUCUUGACAGCCCAUUAGUCCGACCCACACCGAAUAGACCAGACGCCCGAGGACCCCUUAGUCCAGGACCUCCAUCAGUAGCCCCCGAAGCAGUCUUCAAAGACGAUGUGUUCGGCGUGCAGGUUGUCUUCGGCAUUGCAAGGCAGGUUCCUCUCCUUGAAUAAUAUACAUCAACUUUCCCUCACAAAAGAAUUGUAUCUGGGUUUGCAUAAUUAACACGACCCUUAGCCGUGAAGGCAGGAUAUAAAAAAUAGGAAUAGUGUCUUUACUGACAACUUUUUCGGGGAAGCGUCAGACUUGACCCUUCAGUGUUUUGAACCGUUUUCACACUCCUUGUUUCGUGUUUCGAGGUCGAGCCCCCUUGGCCUGUCUUGUCAAAACAUAGAUCAUGCCCACUUAUUACGGGAUUACUCAUCAAUGAGAUUUGGGUAACCCAACCGAUUACGGCGCAUGCUCACAUUGGGAAUAGGCGAGUUUCAAGGCUUAAGUGGGGGGACGGUUGGCAUUUUUACCGCCUAUAAGAGGGCAAUAGUCUCCUCCUUUAUUCCCGCGCCUUCUUCCAGCCUCCGCCUUCCAAUCUCCCAAGCUCCAGCGCCCGAAAAAAAGCUUAUGUCUUUCUCACUACCACCACCCUCUCCAGCCAUGGCCGGAUCCGGUUCCAAGGGCAAGUGGGCGGCCUCCUCCAUCACGGAGAAGGAGGUGAAGAAUCUUCAGAGCGUAGGGUGCUUGGCCACAGACACUGCGCACAGGCUCCCUGACGAGGGUUAAAUCAUCCCCACUCUGAAGCCCAGCGAAAGGGUCGUCUUCCUCCCCCAUUUUCUUAGAGGGCUAGGAUUUCCACUCCACCCCUUCAUCCGGGGAUUCAUAUUCUAUUAUGGGCUAGAUUUCCAUGAUCUAGCUCUGAAUUCUUUCCUCCACAUCUCAGCGUUCAUCGUCGUGUGCGAGGCUCUACUCCACAUCCCACCACACUUUGGCCUAUGGCUUAAGAUCUUCAAUGUAAAGCCGAAGGUGGUCGACGGACAGCAUGCAGACUGCGGUGGGGCCAUGAUAAGCAAGAUUCCCAAUGCCACAUGGCCCAAGGGGGCCUUUAUCGAGACCGUCAAGGCCUGGCACCAGGAGUGGUUCUACAUCACCGAGCCGUGCCGCGCCACGCCAACUGGGCGCCAAUUCCUGAAUUCAGAUCUGGACCCCCCACGAGGCUCACUUUGUGGACCGCUAAGGUCCUCAACUGGGGGUCCCAGACGGAGGUGCAGAUGCUGCAGACGCGCAUCACCUAUGUGCUGAGCAAAAACGUUGGUCUCACCAAUGUGGUGCAGAUCAUGCUCUUCCGCCGCAUCCUCCCCUGCCAAUGCUGGGCAUCCCCCAUGUGGGAGUUUAGUACGUAGGAGCCAUAGACCCUAAAGCGCUUCUUCGGCACAACGCACGAAGGAAUAUGGAAGCAGCUCUUCAAGGCCUAGAAGAGCUGGCCUAUGGAGACCGAAGACAUCGGGCUCAACGUCGAGAAUCCAGCCACUCUGGUAAGUAUUAAACUUCCGAAGAUGUGUCUGGUCUGUAUUUUUUAUCAAUAUGAGUCUUAUCAUCCCACUUCUUUACAGGGCUGGACAUCAAAGGCGGAGCGAAUUAAGAGUCCGGCUCCAUUGCCCGAAGACACAGCCACUCCCUAGCCGACGGAGAUGCUGGUCCAGGCGCCUUACCAAGCACUGGAGAAAAAGGGCAAGAAGAAGGGCAAAGAGCCCAAGGGCGGCCCCCACCACAGAGGCCCUCGGAUGUUGUAUCCGGAGAGACAGAGAUUGUCUCCUCUCAUGAGGGAGACGAGGACGAAGAGGAGGAGGAGGAGGUGGAGAGCGACUCCCCUCGCAAGUUGACGAGGAAUAAGAGGACGACCUCCGAGAACCCGGAGGGGGCGGCACCGAAGAGGGGGAAGAUUACCCUCUCUGUCAAUUCGGACUCAGAGUCCGAACAUGUCCCCAAGAGGGCCCCCAGUGCAAAGCCCUUGCCCGAUUCGUAAGUAUCCAAAAUCUCACUCUUCAGUUUCCGCUUACUUAUCAAUGUUAAAUUAUGUAAUUUUUUACUUUUUAGUCCCCCUCGCGAUAUUCCGAACGCCUCGUCUUCGUCUAGGAACUCUCUAGCGCCUGAAGAGGCGGAGAGUGACGCUCCAUCAUGAGUCCCCUCGCCUACUACCAUGGAGUACACCGAGGUGUCGUCCAAAAGGACUCCUCCUGGCCGAUGAGGGGUGGACGAGGGCGUCAAGAAGGCGCCUGAGGUUAACACCUCGAUCGCCAAAGGCAUGGGGGAGGCAACCCCCAUGACUACCAACAACAGGGAGCCCCAACAGUUCGGGCCCCUGUCGCACACCAUUCUGGAGACCAAUACGGCUCCGAAAAGGGAUGUGCAGCCCCCUUCAACAGAGGGGGGAGGAGCAAGAGCUCCCGCAGCCCCCGUUAAUUCGGAGGCUGCUGAUGCUCUAGAGGAGGUGUUGCAACGCGCUUCCAUUGUGGAGGCGCACCGCACCCUGAUGGGUGCAGUUAUGGAAAAGGUUUAGUCUGUGAAAAGCGGACUGAAUGAAGCCUUCAAUAGCCUACUGACAGGCUUUGAGGUAUGCGAUGUAAUUCUCUAACAAGUUUUUCAUAUGAAAGGAUGAACCCAUAUAUAGACAGUAGCCCCUGAGACUCUGUCCGGAUUAGAACAAUCCGGAUAGAGGAUCCCCAAGCGAAGUUACUAAUGUACUGUGCUAGGAAUCCAUGUUGGCGGCUACUGCCCAAGCCGCGGAGGUUUCCGAGCUCAAUCGGAAGCUUCGAUUAGCUGAUGAGGAGCUCGACCGCGUCAAUAAGCGGUUUGACAAAACGCAAGGUAUGCGGAACUUAAAUACCAGAAGUGAUAUGUGUAUUAAUUCUUUUAACGUGUUUAAUUUUAUGAUUAUAAACAUAGUUGGCGCGGCCGAGGUUGAAUCCCUCAAGAAAGCGCUUGCCCAAGCCCAAAAAGAGGCAGAGGUGAACAGGGCAGACGCUGACAAGGCAGCGAAGGAGCUUGAGGCAGAGCAAAUUGCCCGCCGAAAACAUGAAGCUCGGGUGGGCGAAGUCGAGCAAGGGCUCAAGGACGCCAUUACUAAGUAUGAGCCCUUGGAGCAGAAGACUUUGCACCAAGCAUCCGAACUCGCCAAGGCUCUCCAGGAUAUCAAGGAGGCCCGGGUUGAGUUCCAGAGCACCCACCAGGAGAUCUAGUAGGUGAGGCAGAUAGCAGCUGAUAAGGCUUUUCUUCUGGAGAGUAAAUUUGCAAGUAGGAGAUAUAUCUUGCUGACCCAAGUUUCGAGUUCUCUAGGCGCAUUUGCAGAUCUACCGAGGAGUGUUGCUGACGCCACAGAGUUCUUCCGAGCCGAAGAGGGGAGCUCGAUGGAGAAGUUGUUCUGGUUGCAGUAUCUUGCGCAAGAGCAUCCGACACCCCUCAGCAAUCAGCUGAAGCAGCUAACCGAGUUGCAUAGGGUGGCCGGGUUGGCCAUGAAGGAUUUAAUAGUCCAACUUUGGCCAACCGAGCCCAUGCCUAGUAGCUACUUCGGACUCGUGAAGCAUCUUGUCAGUGCGCGUCCUCGAAUUGAUGCCAUAAAGCGGUCGGCCUGCAUAGAAGGUGCCCGGAUGGCCUUCGCCCGCGCCAAGAUACAAUGGGCGAAGAUGAAGUCCACCGAAAUUGCAACCGCGGGGCCGCCCGAAAGCAAGGAUCACCGGAGGCCGAGGAGGUACUUCAGCAAGGUCCUCGAGGGAGCCCGAAUUAUAGAGGGCCAAUGUUCAAAGGAUGUUAUAUUUGAGUAAUGGAGUUCGGGUUGUAAAAACCAUGUAAUGAACUCAUGAUGUGAAAUAUUUAUGCUUGCGCCUUUUAAUUUUGUUAAUUUAUCCUCCUGUUCAACUGUUAUAUUUCUAAAGAUUGCUAGUCGUCGGCUUUUGCCCCCAUGAAAGUAUUUCCGGGGUGUUUAAAAACGCGUAUCCGCUCUUUAUCCCACAUCUUGGUCCGUGGAGGAGGCAUCCGCUAGAUGAACUAGGCAAUCGGACUAUACGGAUUUAUUAUCUUCACUUAGCCAUAGCAGUCCAUUGGUGGGGCUAAGUACUAGCGCAUGUUGCGUGAAUGGCAAUCCGAAUUACGGCGCCUUUGCAACAUGGCUGGUCAAAUCCCAACCCCUCGUAUGACACGGCGUAAAUCGCAAACGAUUUGUAGUAUAACACUAAGUAACCGUAUCGCUGACCAGCUCUCGCAUAUCAUGACAGUCAGUUUUCGGCUUUCUCUACUAAGGUACUCGACCGGACAAACUGGAAAUACAAUCGCAGUAGUUCUCCCUUUGCUACCUUAGCUGAACUCGCGAAACGUAAGAUGGCAAACACAGGAGCCGGGAAACCCAACUAUAGACCAAAGACAUGAUUCGGAGCCGAUGCAUAUAGUGCAAUAUUUGGGACGCCGAAGAGUUCCUAUAGGUGUUCAGACUUUAAGAAUGUGCGAGGCCGAGUAUAGCCCCUGGUAUGAAGGCCAGGCCGAAGUGUGUAUGUCAGUGGAAAGUAAGGAGGGAAUACGGAUGAUGUUAUAAUAUAAGUACCAAACAAAAGGAGGUGAUCAUCAGCUUCCUUUAUAUCCCCAUUAAUACGUCGAAGCAUGUUUCGACAGACAAUGCCAUAAAUAUUGAGGACAUGUUACAUACCUAAAAAUCUACAUAAGGGAAAGUCUAACACAUGGCCUAAAAGUAAUGGUUCGAAGACUCCAGUGGUGCCCUGCCGCACGUCUGUGUCGUUUCUCCUUAGUAACGAAUCCUUUGAUAGGGGUAUUUGAUGGUUGUCCAUAAAGAAGGGAAAGACUAGCCUUGAAAGGAUCCCUGAUGCAACCAUACAUCAGAUAGGGCUCUUAAUGAACCUGCAGUGAAGAAAGGUGUGAGGUCCAAAUAGGGUCAAGUCGUACUAUGGACUUUUUCCACAGUGUGCCUCCGGUGUUGCCCAAAGUAUUUUGAGUGCGUAGUUAUGUAUGCACGGUACGUAAGCCACAACCUUAUGGGGCAGUCAGCGGAGGCCGAACUGCUAAUUGAGGUCCGGAUCCGUCGAGUUAUCACAGUGAUGUGUGGACCACACUCGUUUAGAUAUGUCAUUGGCUUUGACGUCCGACGAAUUAUUUGGCUUAAUAAGGGCGCCAUACACCUCGGCUGCAAGGGCUGCGGUGUCGGAGUAAUGGGCCAUGGGUAGGCUCACCCGAGUCCCAGAACCUUUCAAGACAUCGGAGCAGACUGCGCCCCUCAAGUAUCUACGGUGACUCCAAGAUGGCCGAGUCCCAGAGGCGACUCCCAUUCAAGCCGAGUCCCGGAGGCGACUUCAAGAUGGCCGAGUCCCAGAGGCGACUCCCAUCCAAGCCGAGUCCCGGAAGCGACUCCGAUGAAGCCGACUGUGGGGAGUUGGCCCGCGACUCCAACCACCCGAUAAUUAAGAGUAGGCAUGGCCACAGUGCGCCAUACUCGCGGAGAUCUCCGACCGGCACGGCACUGUUGCCAUGCCAGCUCUGACAUCAGCCCUCGGGGCGGGGCCCUGUGCCCACGACGCCUUGUAUGUACGGCCCGGAGACGGCGGGACCUACCAGUCAGCGAGAGUAUUGAAGACGGCGGGAGCGCCGAGAGUCGGACCCUGUCACAUCCCUAGUUCUGGUAUGACCUAGACUAGCUAGUCAUUUGUGCAUCAUGUUUAAAUUUCAUUUAAAUGUGAAAUGGGGAUUUGUAAAACCCUCAGAAAUCAUUUCUGGAAAUGACCCAGAUAAAAAUUGCUCCAAAAAGGUCCAAGAAAAUGUUCAUGUCUCUCUCUGAAAAUAUUGGGCAGAGAUAAAAAUCAACCAAUAUUUUUAGGAGCUCAUAAAUAUUUAUUUUGGGCAUUUGGAAUUAAUGCAAUAGUUAUUUUGUCCGAACGCACCGGUCGCCGCCGUUCGCCGUAGCCGUAGCCACCGCCUCCCCCUCGCCUCUCCGACACGCGCAGGAGCUCCGCCCCCUCGCCCUGAAGCUCUCCGCCGAGCCACACAAGCCGGAGCGCCCCGUGGAGCCGUCGCCGACGCCAUCUUCGCCUCCGACCGCCGUGGAUCCCCAUCGUCGCCCCGCUGUCUCCAGUGCGUCCCCGAGCUCGCCGUCAAGCCCGUCGAGUCCGCGGUGAGCUCCGCCACCGUUUUCCCCUCUCCGCUUAGUCGCCCGCACGCCAUAGCCCUUUCCCCCACCACGGCCGAAGCUUCCCACCACCGUUCAUGUCGCCGCCGUCGCCCUGGCCACCGCAGCCCGCAACCAAGCGCGUCACCGUGCUCCUUGUGACGCCAGGAGGCCGUAGAGCCUCUCCGCUCACUUCCCCGUGCCUCGCAGCACCCGCGCGCACCUGGCCGAACUCCGGUCGCUGCCCAAGUGGUCGCCGCCGGCGAUAUAAACCGUCUCCGGUGAAACGGAGGGCGCCACUGUAUGCGCGCGAGCCUGGGCUUCGCGUAGGUGCUCUCCGCCGCGCGAUUGGUCGCCGGAGCGACGAUCCCGCAGCCCUCCGCCGCGUUCAGGCCUCGCCGGCGGCUUAACGCCGGUGGGGUUGACCGUUUGACCCCGCCGGGCCGUCGGGUGGGCCCCGUGGGACAGGUGAUUAGCUUAAGGCUAAUCACCGUUAACUAGCCCCCCUAACACUGACAUGUGGGGCCCGGCCCUGCUAAUUUUUAGUUUAGGAUUAGUUUAGCAACUAAUUAACUCUAUUAACUAACUAUGUCACUGACGUGUGGCCCCACACGUCAGGUUUGACCCAGCUUGACUGCCGACGCAGUGCUGAUGUCGUGCUGACGCAAUUAUUUAUUUUCUGGAUUUAAAAUAAAUCAGGAAAUUCCAGAAAAUGAUUUAAACUUCAAAAAUUCAUAGAAAUUCAACCGUAGCUCAGAUUGAAAUAAUUUAUAUAUGAAAAAUUAUCAGAAAAAUGCAAUCUUUCCAUCUGUACUAGUUUCAUGCAUGACAAACCAACUUAUACAUGCUGAAUAUGAGGAAACACAUUAUGGCAUAUUAAGAGACUUAAAUUAGAAUUGCAUUUGAGCUUAGGGUUCAAAUGGACUUCAAACCAAAUAAAUACUAGUUGCAUUAGCUCAAACAACAUCACAUCUUCAUGCCAUGUUCAUGCAUCAUAUUGUUGCAUAUGUUUGUGUAUUGAUUGCCGACACUGUUCCUUCUCGAUAGGUCCUGCUCCGGAGUCCGUUCCAGAGUACCUGUCUGUGAAGCAGUGCCUUCCUUGUUGAUCUACCAGGCAAGCAAACCCCCUUGUUCAUUCCGAUAAAAUCCUACUCUCUCGCUCCUGCUCUCAAUUAUUGCAUUAGGACAACAACGAUUCAUCUGCUACUUUGUGCUGCGGUAGUUGAACCCAUUCCUCUGCAUGACCUGUCAUUGCCACAGUAAAUAGUUGAAACCCACUAGCAUGUGUAGGAGUUGAUUGAGCCCAUGUUGUGUUCCUACCAUGCUAUGCCUGCUAUUGCUUAGAGUUGUGUCAGGUCUGGUUCAUUGGGAAUGAAUUGGAGUGCAGUUCUAUGUUCUGAUGCUGAGAGUGAAGUGUGUGAACACGAUUUGGUAAAGGUAGCGGUGAGAGGCCAUGUAGGAGUACAUGGUGGGCUGUCUCAUUGGAACCGUCCUUAAGCACUGAGUUCUAUGUAUGUUGUCCAAUGACUCGAUACUACCACACAUUGGGCUCCGGGCGCUCCAAGCCCUCUCGACUUAUUAACCGACUUGAUCUCUGUCCAGGAGUCGCAACUAGUUUCUGGUGUUUGUAGGUAGUGCUAUUUUUCUACCAAGUGGCACCCGGCAGGGUGGGCUUGGGACAGACUAGGCACAGGUGGCACGGUGUACCAAGUGGCACCCGGAUGGUGGGCUUGGGAACCCUGCUCACAUCGUUUGGGGCCGUGAGCGACACCCCGGCCGGAUCUCCUUACGAAUGGAACCCGAAUAGGCGAUAAACCUGGGCUAGAGUCUUGUGUGGUUAGUCAGGUCGUGGCCGACACCCUCGCCAGGUUUCCGCUUGAAGGUUGCCGAGAUACAUGACGUGUACAUGGCGGUAAGUGGCGAGAGCGUGUGUGAAGAAGUACACCCCUGCAGGGUUAACAUGAUCUAUUCGAAUAGCCGGGUCCGCGGAUAUGGACUUCUUGGAUGCUUACAUGGUACAUAGAUAACUUGAAGUGGAUACAAUAAAAUGCUCAAGAAAAGUGUGAGUACUAUGGAUGGCCUUCUCGUAGGGAGACGGGGACGAAUCCAUAGUAGUGUAUUGUGUGGUGAUUAGUGGACUCGUGUGCGCCAUAUCACCUCAAAGAAGUUCUGGUAGUCGUAGAACAGGAUAGCCACAGAGUCAAAGCUGGCUUGCUGCAACUAAACCCCACAUUACCCUCUUGAUACAAAUGCAUGUAUGAUAGGAUCUGAUGUAAGUCUUGCUGAGUACCUUUGUACUCAUGGUGCUUUAUUUAUGUUUUUGCAGCGGAGACUUCAGUCUUACUAGUGUUCUCGUGGACUUCGACGAGUAGCUUGUACCUCAGCUACGAUCUUGAUCGAAUGUUGUAGAUAGUCAGGCUCUUCAGCCUUUUUCAUUUGUAGAUGUCUGUACUCAGACAUGUAAUGCUUCUGCUUGCUGCUUGUAUGCUCUGUAUGAUGGGUCCUGUGACCCCUGUUUGCAAUAAAUGCUAUGAUGGCUCUUCUAAGCCUUUAUCUAUAUGAGUUGUUGAGUUAUGCUGUGAUGCCAUGUUGUACAGCACAUACUUGCAUGUUAUGCGUACGUGUAAUGUGUAUUGCUAUGUGUGGGAUCUGACUAUCUAGUUGUUUAUUCUUAGUAGCCUCUCGUACCGGGAAAUGUCUCCUAGUGCUUCCACUGAGCCAUGGUAGCUUGCUACUGCUCCGGAACACUUAGGUUGGCCGGCAUGUGUCCUUCUUCGUUCCUGUGUCUGUCCCUUCGGGGAAAUGUCACGUGAUGAAUACCGGAGUCCUGUUAGCCCGCUACAGCCCGGUUCACCGGAGUCCUGUUAGCCCAGUGCUACAGCCUGGAUUCACUCGCUGAUGACCGACACGUUCGUUGCUGGGUCAUGUAUGCCUGUCCCUGUAAGUUAGUGCCACUUUGGGUUUACGACUAGCCAUGUCAGCCCGGGCUCCUUAUCAUAUGGAUGCUAGCGACACUAUCAUAUACAUGUGCCAAAAGGCGCAAACGGUCCCGGGCAAAGGUAAGGCGACACCCGUGGGGAUACCGUGCGUGAGGCCGCAAAGUGAUAUGAAGUGUUACAUGCUAGAUCGAUGUGGCAUUGAGUUGGGGUCCUGACAGCUUUGGUAUCAGAGCCUGACUGCCUGUAGGAUUACCAAGCCAAACUGGUCGAAGUUGAGUCUAGAAAUUCUUUAGUUAUGUAAGGGAAUUGAUUGUGGGAAGGAACGUAAGGCUCUUUUUACUCCUUAUACCUCAUGGCCUUCUGAUCUGAGUCAUCCUAUCUUUCCUACGGGGUUAAGGAACUAGGCUUCUCUUCCGUCUAUCAGGAUCAUGUGUUACUACUCCAUAGUUCCAUAGGAUUGGUUGGUCAGAGUCAUAUUCCAGUUUUUGAGUACUUCCGGUGUAGUCUGUUUAGUAUGAUCUCAGAACCUUCAGUGAUGAUGUUGAGUAUGUUACUACCCCAUUUUUGGCAGGAUGUCUCAUUCUGAGCAUUUUACUGCCGUUAUGCUGCCGGAAUUGCCCUAGGAGUUCGAGAGAUACUAAUUUCCUUGUCCUACAUUCUAUAGCCCAUAGUUGAUGCUGAUUCCGCCUUUGGUUUCGUUCUCAGGAUGUCAUCAGCUAAGCGAAGUUCUAUUGCUCAUAGCCAGAACCACGGAGAUGGUAGGGAUGAGGAUCCUCCCGACCAGCCUUCGUUGGCAGAGUUCAUGUUAGAGAUGGAGAGAAACAAGCGUGAGUCUAACCGCUUGUUGGCACGUAUCGAGGAGAACACCGCACAUCAGUUCAAAGGAUCUGUGACCAUUCAUGACUUUAUUCGCUUGCACCCACCUACCUUUCAUCAUUCCAUUGAUCCAUUUGAUGCAGAUGACUGGCUCCGUAGUAUCACACACAAGCUCCGUUCUGCGAACGUAGCUGAAGAUGACAAGGUCACCUAUGCCACAUACCACCUGGAAGGUCCUGCUAGUCUUUGGUGGCAGAACUAUGAGGCUAUGCUUCCAGCUGGCCAGAUUCCUACUUGGAGGAAUUUCAUUGAGGCGUUUCGCGAGCAACACAUUCCCCAGGCCCUCAUUGAUCGCAAGAGAGAAGAGUUCUGUAGUUUCACCCAGAAUAAGAUGGCUGUUGAUGCUUAUAGCAAAGAGUUUGAAAACCUUGCCCGUUAUGCCACAAAAGAGGUGUCCACGGACGCCAAGAAGCAAGCUAGGUUCCGGAAGGGUCUCAACCCCAAGUUGCGUCGUGAUCUCCACUUGCAUCAUUGUGAUACAUUCCAGGCUCUUGUGAACAAGGCCAUCAAUGCAGAGACAGCUCAGCUCACCUACGAGGAGUCUCGUAAGCACACCCGUGAUUUGGGAUCUUCUUCCGGCUCCAGUUCUCAGAAGCGCCGGAUUUGGGUUCCGAACUCCGCUCUUCCUUCUGGAUAUACACCGAGGCCAUCCUAUGUGGUGCCUCCCCCAGCUCAGUCGUAUGUUCCACCCAGGCCUACUGGUAGACCGCUUGUCAGUGUGGGUCCACGUCCAACUUCAGGGACUUGCUUCACAUGCGGGAAGCCAGGACACUAUGCACGUGACUGCUCUCAUACUAGUUAUGCUCCACCCCAGCCCGAGAAGACUGUUGGCUGUGUUAAGCCAUCACGCAAGAUGAUCAAUGUCAAGUCAGCUCCCACUGAACGUGGACGUGUGCAUCACGUCUCAGCUAAAGACGCUCAUGAUGAUCCAGAUGUCGUUCUUGGUACACUCCUUGUCAAUUGUCACCCAGCAUCGGUUCUGUUCGAUACUGGAGCGUCUCACUCCUUCAUUUCUGAAAGCUAUGCUAACUUGCACAACAUGUCAUUUUGUGAUAUGCCCUCUCCACUAGUCAUUCAAACUCCUGGAUCCAAAUGGCAAACUUCUAGUGUAAGCCAUGGUAACGAAAUCCUUGUUGACAGACUUGUAUUCCUUGCAUCACUUAUAGCCCUCAAGUCUACAGAUAUUAACAUCAUCUUGGGUAUGGACUGGAUGACAGCUCAUUAUGCCAAGAUUGAUUGUUACACCAGGUCCGUUCAGCUUACACACCCAUCUGGCAAGAUAGUCAUUGUCUCCACCAGAGUUGCAAAGCGCCAACUCUAUUCUCUUAAUGCCAGCCCUCUUCCAGACCUUGAAGAUAUCCCGAUAGUUCGUGACUUUCCGGAUGUCUUUCCAGAGGAACUGCCAGGUGUUCCACCUGACAGAGAUGUAGAGUUCGUCAUAGAUCUUAUCCCAGGAACUGCUCCAAUUUCUAGGAGACCUUACAAGAUGGCACCCUUAGAACUAGCCGAGCUUAAGAAACAACUUGAUGAGUCCUUGCAAAAGGGUUUCAUCCGUCCUAGUUCUUCUCCUUGGGCUUGCCCCGUCCUCUUCGUCAAGAAGAAGGAUGGUACGGACCGGAUGGUUGUAGAUUAUCGUCCCGUUAAUUUGGUCACGAUAAAGAACAAAUAUACGCUCCCCAGGAUCAAUGACCUGUAUGAUCAGCUCGCUGGAUCCUCAGUCUUCUCCAAGAUGGAUUUGAGGUUAGGUUACCACCAAAUCAAGAUCAGAAACGGGGACAUCCCCAAGACAGCCUUUAUCACUCGUUAUGGUCAGUACGAGUACACCGUCAUGUCCUUUGGUCUAACCAACGCUCCAGCAACAUUCUCCCGCUUGAUGAACUCGAUCUUCAUGGAGUACUUAGAUAAAUUCGUCGUGGUUUACCUCGAUGAUAUUCUUAUUUACUCGAAGAACGAGGAAGAGCAUGCCGAACAUCUUAGACUUGUAUUAGAAAAACUCAGAGACCACCGCCUUUAUGCCAAGUUCUCCAAGUGUGAAUUUUGGUUGCCAGAAGUGACCUAUCUAGGCCACGUGAUCUCUGGUAAGGGCAUUGCCGUCAAUCCCGAGAGAGUCAAGGCCGUUCUUGAUUGGACUCCACCUGAAACCGUUAAACAAGUUAGGAGUUUCCUUGGACUAGCCAGCUAUUGUCGCCGCUUUGUUGAAAACUUCUCCAAAGUAGCUAAACCCCUCACGGAACUUCUCAAGAAAGAUAAGAAGUUCGAGUGGUCCCCACAGUGUGAGUACAGUUUCCAGGAACUGAAAAGACGCCUGACUUCUGCUCCCAUACUUGUGCCACCGGAUUUCACUAAAGACUUUGUUAUCUACUGCAACGCCUCACGACAGGGACUAGGUUGCAUUCUUAUGCAGGAUCGUCAUGUGAUUGCCUAUGCAUCUCGACAGUUGCAUCCACAUGAGGAUAAUUAUCCUACACAUGAUCUAGAGCUUGCAGCCGUAGUCUAUGCACUCAAGACCUGGCGACAUUACCUCCUUGGUAAACGUUGCGAGAUCUACACCGAUCACCAAAGUCUCAAGUAUAUCUUCACCCAACAAGAUUUGAACCUUAGGCAAAGACGUUGGCUGGAGUUAAUCACAGAUUAUGAUCUAGGGAUUACCUACACUCCAGGCAAAGCUAAUGUCAUGGCUGAUGCUCUAAGCCGUAAAUCCUAUUGCAACAAUCUCAUGUUGCAGCAGGGCCAACCACUUCUCCAUGAGGAAUUCUGUAAGCUUAACCUUCACAUUGCUCCUCACGGAUUCCUUUCUACCUUGGUGGCGAAACCUGACCUUGAGGAUCGGAUUAUCGCUGCUCAAAAGCAGGACACGGGUAUUUCCCGGAUCAAGAGAAACAUUAAGAAGGAAGUUGGUGGAUGUUUCUCUAUGGAUGAUCGUGGUGUUGUUUUCUUCGAGAAUCGCUUGGUGGUUCCCAAGAAUCAACAUCUGCGACAAUUGAUUCUUAAGGAGGCGCAUGAAUCUCCUCUCACGAUUCAUCCCGGUAGUACUAAGAUGUAUCAGGACCUACGCCAGAGGUUCUGGUGGACUAGGAUGAAGAGAGAAAUCGCUGAGUUUAUUGCUAAAUGUGACGUUUGUCGUCGCGUUAAGGCAGAGCAUCAAAGACCUGCUGGCACCCUUCAGCCUUUAGCUAUUCCUGAAUGGAAAUGGGAUAAAGUUGGUAUGGACUUCAUCAUCGGCUUUCCCAGGACCAAGAGAGGGAAUAAUGCUAUCUUCGUAGUCAUUGAUCGUCUCUCCAAAGUGGCUCACUUCCUUCCUGUUCGAGAGAGCAUCACCGCUGGUCAGCUCGCUGACUUAUAUAUUUCUCGAAUAGUAUCACUUCAUGGUGUUCCACUAGAGAUUAAUUCAGACCGUGGCAGUCUUUUCACUUCUCACUUCUGGGAGAGUUUCCAAUCUGCCAUGGGAACCCAUCUUUCCUUUAGUACCGCUUUCCACCCUCAGUCGAGUGGUCAGGUGGAACGGGUCAACCAAAUCCUCGAAGACAUGCUUAGAGCUUGCGUUAUCUCAUUCGGUAUGGAUUGGGAGAAAUGUCUUCCUUUUGCCGAGUUUGCUUAUAACAAUAGCUAUCAAUCCAGUCUCAAGAAAGCUCCUUUUGAGAUUCUCUAUGGACGAAGAUGUCGAACACCUUUGAACUGGUCAGAAACCGGUGAAAGACAAUUCUUUGGACCGGACAUGAUCCAGGAGGCAGAAGAGCAAGUUCGCAUCAUUCGUGAGAAUUUGAAAACAGCCCAGUCUCGUCAGAAAAGCCAGUAUGAUCGUCAUCAUAAGGAUAUGACUUAUGAAGUUGGCGACAAAGCUUACCUUCGGGUUACUCCUUUGAAGGGUACCCAUCGAUUCGGUAUCAAGGGCAAGUUGGCUCCUCGUUACAUUGGUCCUUUUCGCAUUCUCGCUAAACGAGGAGAGGUUGCCUACCAAUUGGAACUACCCCCACAUCUUUCUCGAGUUCAUGAUGUCUUCCACGUCUCUCAACUCAGGCGUUGCUUCUCGGAUCCUAUCCGCGGAGUGGACUACGAAGCGCUUGAUCUCCAAGAUAACCUCACAUACCGAGAGUACCCGGUUCGCAUUCUCGAUCAAGCAGAGCGUGUCACUCGACGUCAUAACAUCAAGUUUCUCAAGGUUCAGUGGUCUCAUCAUUCCGAGAGAGAAGCUACUUGGGAGCGAGAAGAUCGUCUUCGACUGGAGUACCCCACCUUCUUUCCGUCGACCCCCGAAUCUCGGGACGAGAUUCUUUCAAGUGGGGGCGAGUUGUCACAUCCCUAGUUCUGGUAUGACCUAGACUAGCUAGUCAUUUGUGCAUCAUGUUUAAAUUUCAUUUAAAUGUGAAAUGGGGAUUUGUAAAACCCUCAGAAAUCAUUUCUGGAAAUGACCCAGAUAAAAAUUGCUCCAAAAAGGUCCAAGAAAAUGUUCAUGUCUCUCUCUGAAAAUAUUGGGCAGAGAUAAAAAUCAACCAAUAUUUUUAGGAGCUCAUAAAUAUUUAUUUUGGGCAUUUGGAAUUAAUGCAAUAGUUAUUUGCUUUGGAUAUAUAUUAUUAUAUAUAUAUAAUGUUGUCCAAAAAUUAUGCAACUUGCUGAGGAGCUCUGGAAUAAUAUAGUUAGCUCCUGCAAAAAUGGGCAUAAGAAAAUAAAAUGGUUUAGUAUUUUAUUUAAACCAAACAAAUGUCAGAAAAAAAGAAAACAGAAAUAAAAAGGGAGACUUACCUGGGCCUCCUCCCUGUGCAGCCCAGCAGCAGCCAGCCCGGCCCAGCCCACCUGGCGCCCUCCUCUGUCGUCUUCGUCCUCGACAGGGAGAUGGGCGCGUGCCCGACGCGCGUGCGCUCCGCCGCGCCACGCCACCUCCCUCUCUGCCUGCCUGCCCUCUCCCCUCCUCGUCUGGAUGCCCCGGAGACGCCACGCAGCCACCCCGACCUCUCUCGCACUCUCCCUCGCCCUCGUCCUCUCCUCUGUCACCCUCUCUCUCUCGUGUCCGAACGCGCCGGUCGCCGCCGUUCGCCGUAGCCGUAGCCACCGCCUCCCCCUCGCCUCUCCGACACGCGCAGGAGCUCCGCCCCCUCGCCCUGAAGCUCUCCGCCGAGCCACACAAGCCGGAGCGCCCCGUGGAGCCGUCGCCGACGCCAUCUUCGCCUUCGACCGCCGUGGAUCCCCAUCGUCGCCCCGCUGUCUCCAGUGCGUCCCCGAGCUCGCCGUCAAGCCCGUCGAGUCCGCAGUGAGCUCCGCCACCGUUUUUCCCUCUCCGCUUAGUCGCCCGCACGCCGUAGCCCUUUCCCCCACCACAGCCGAAGCUUCUCGCCGCCGUUCAUGUCGCCGCCGUCGUCCUGGCCACCGCAGCCCGCAACCAAGCGCGUCACCGUGCUCCUUGUGACGCCAGGAGGCCAUAGAGCCUCUCCGCUCACUUCCCCGUGCCUCGCAGCACCCGCGCGCACCUGGCCGAACUCCGGUCGCCGCCCAAGUGGUCGCCGCCGGCGAUAUAAACCGUCUCCGGUGAAACGGAGGGCGCCACUGUAUGCGCGCGAGCCUGGGCUUCGCGUAGGUGCUCUCCGCCGCGCGAUUGGUCGCCGGAGCGACGAUCCCGCAGCCCUCCGCCGCGUUCAGGCCUCGCCGGCGGCUUAACGCCGGUGGGGUUGACCGUUUGACCCCGCCGGGCCGUCGGGUGGGCCCCGUGGGACAGGUGAUUAGCUUAAGGCUAAUCACCGUUAACUAGCCCCCCUAACACUGACAUGUGGGGCCCGGCCCUGCUAAUUUUUAGUUUAGGAUUAGUUUAGCAACUAAUUAACUCUAUUAACUAACUAUGUCACUGACGUGUGGCCCCACACGUCAGGUUUGACCCAGGUUGACUGCUGACGCAGUGCUGAUGUCGUGCUGACGCAAUUAUUUAUUUUCUGGAUUUAAAAUAAAUCAGGAAAUUCUAGAAAAUGAUUUAAACUUCAAAAAUUCAUAGAAAUUCAACCGUAGCUCAGAUUGAAAUAAUUUAUAUAUGAAAAAUUAUCAGAAAAAUGCAAUCUUUCCAUCUGUACUAGUUUCAUGCAUGACAAACCAACUUAUACAUGCUGAAUAUGAGGAAACACAUUAUGGCAUAUUAAGAGACUUAAAUUAGAAUUGCAUUUGAGCUUAGGGUUCAAAUGGACUUCAAACCAAAUAAAUACUAGUUGCAUUAGCUCAAACAACAUCACAUCUUCAUGCCAUGUUCAUGCAUCAUAUUGUUGCAUAUGUUUGUGUAUUGAUUGCCGACACUGUUCCUUCUCGAUAGGUCCUGCUCCGGAGUCCGUUCCAGAGUACCUGUCUGUGAAGCAGUGCCUUCCUUGUUGAUCUACCAGGCAAGCAAACCCCCUUGUUCAUUCCGAUAAAAUCCUACUCUCUCGCUCCUGCUCUCAAUUAUUGCAUUAGGACAACAACGAUUCAUCUGCUACUUUGUGCUGCGGUAGUUGAACCCAUUCCUCUGCAUGACCUGUCAUUGCCACAGUAAAUAGUUGAAACCCACUAGCAUGUGUAGGAGUUGAUUGAGCCCAUGUUGUGUUCCUACCAUGCUAUGCCUGCUAUUGCUUAGAGUUGUGUCAGGUCUGGUUCAUUGGGAAUGAAUUGGAGUGCAGUUCUAUGUUCUGAUGCUGAGAGUGAAGUGUGUGAACACGAUUUGGUAAAGGUAGCGGUGAGAGGCCAUGUAGGAGUACAUGGUGGGCUGUCUCAUUGGAACCGUCCUUAAGCACUGAGUUCUAUGUAUGUUGUCCAAUGACUCGAUACUACCACACAUUGGGCUCCGGGCGCUCCAAGCCCUCUCGACUUAUUAACCGACUUGAUCUCUGUCCAGGAGUCGCAACUAGUUUCUGGUGUUUGUAGGUAGUGCUAUUUUUCUACCAAGUGGCACCCGGCAGGGUGGGCUUGGGACAGACUAGGCACAGGUGGCACGGUGUACCAAGUGGCACCCGGAUGGUGGGCUUGGGAACCCUGCUCACAUCGUUUGGGGCCGUGAGCGACACCCCGGCCGGAUCUCCUUACGAAUGGAACCCGAAUAGGCGAUAAACCUGGGCUAGAGUCUUGUGUGGUUAGUCAGGUCGUGGCCGACACCCUCGCCAGGUUUCCGCUUGAAGGUUGCCGAGAUACAUGACGUGUACAUGGCGGUAAGUGGCGAGAGCGUGUGUGAAGAAGUACACCCCUGCAGGGUUAACAUGAUCUAUUCGAAUAGCCGGGUCCGCGGAUAUGGACUUCUUGGAUGCUUACAUGGUACAUAGAUAACUUGAAGUGGAUACAAUAAAAUGCUCAAGAAAAGUGUGAGUACUAUGGAUGGCCUUCUCGUAGGGAGACGGGGACGAAUCCAUAGUAGUGUAUUGUGUGGUGAUUAGUGGACUCGUGUGCGCCAUAUCACCUCAAAGAAGUUCUGGUAGUCGUAGAACAGGAUAGCCACAGAGUCAAAGCUGGCUUGCUGCAACUAAACCCCACAUUACCCUCUUGAUACAAAUGCAUGUAUGAUAGGAUCUGAUGUAAGUCUUGCUGAGUACCUUUGUACUCAUGGUGCUUUAUUUAUGUUUUUGCAGCGGAGACUUCGGUCUUACUAGUGUUCUCGUGGACUUCGACGAGUAGCUUGUACCUCAGCUACGAUCUUGAUCGGAUGUUGUAGAUAGUCAGGCUCUUCAGCCUUUUUCAUUUGUAGAUGUCUGUACUCAGACAUGUAAUGCUUCUGCUUGCUGCUUGUAUGCUCUGUAUGAUGGGUCCUGUGACCCCUGUUUGCAAUAAAUGCUAUGAUGGCUCUUCUAAGCCUUUAUCUAUAUGAGUUGUUGAGUUAUGCUGUGAUGCCAUGUUGUACAGCACAUACUUGCAUGUUAUGCGUACGUGUAAUGUGUAUUGCUAUGUGUGGGAUCUGACUAUCUAGUUGUUUAUUCUUAGUAGCCUCUCGUACCGGGAAAUGUCUCCUAGUGCUUCCACUGAGCCAUGGUAGCUUGCUACUGCUCCGGAACACUUAGGUUGGCCGGCAUGUGUCCUUCUUCGUUCCUGUGUCUGUCCCUUCGGGGAAAUGUCAUGCGAUGAAUACCGGAGUCCUGUUAGCCCGCUACAGCCCGGUUCACCGGAGUCCUGUUAGCCCAGUGCUACAGCCUGGAUUCACUCGCUGAUGACCGACACGUUCGUUGCUGGGUCAUGUAUGCCUGUCCCUGUAAGUUAGUGCCACUUUGGGUUUACGACUAGCCAUGUCAACCCGGGCUCCUUAUCAUAUGGAUGCUAGCGACACUAUCAUAUACGUGUGCCAAAAGGCGCAAACGGUCCCGGGCAAAGGUAAGGCGACACCCGUGGGGAUACCGUGCGUGAGGCCGCAAAGUGAUAUGAAGUGUUACAUGCUAGAUCGAUGUGGCAUUGAGUCGGGGUCCUGACAGACCCGUUGGGAGUCGGCCCCUGGAGUCAGCCGGCCCCUCCCACGGGCCCCGCAUGCCAUUAACCAGAUGCGACCGGGGAAUGGCCACAGUGAUCGCCCGCAGGCGGCGGCACUGUUGCCAUGAUCCACUGACCAAGCCCGCGUCAUUAGAAGCACGGCUACAGUAAUCUGCAGCCGGCAGGACCCGCCCGCGGCAGACACGGGCUAACGCCCUCGUACCAUGCUAGUCGGCGGGCCCCAGGAGUCGGCGGAGAAGACGGCACCUGAGAGACAGACGGCUGGGAUCCGCGCCCAGCCGGAUUUACCAUUGUAACCCUGGGGGGUAGGCCUAUAUAAACCCCCCAGGGCACCCAUGCAAAGAUUUCGCAUCCAUAGACAUUAGACAGACCACAUAGAAGGGAGAGAGCUAGCCGUGCCCUCUCCUACCUCCAGAAACAACUCUAGGAGCAAGCUUGUACUCACUUUGCCUUAGUGAUCAUGCGGAGACCCCGCAGAGCAGCAGUAGGGGUAUUAUCUUCUUGGAAAGCCCUGAAGCUGGGUAAGAUUCGCCGGCGUGCAUGUCUUCGCCUCAUCCCAUUUCCAGGCACUGGCGACGUCCUACUCGCCCCCACCAUGAUAAGCCAUCCUUUGGCAUAUGUCGCACCCAACCCCCAACAUUUGGCGCCCACCGUGGGGCCUGGUGCACCGUCGUCCGGAGAUCUGUUCUGGACGGGAACCCUCUUCCUCCCUGGCAAGCGCAGCCAGCCAGGCUCGCCGGACGGAGUCUGCAUCGACGCGCUGCGCGGCGCUGAGGCCGCCUGUGCGGCGAGCAGCCUCGCUGAACUUGUCGGCGAGGUUCGCCUCUCUGACGAGCCUGCAUCCAAUGCAGGCACGGGUGGCCCCGAGAGUCUCCUCGCGGGCCUCCUUGACCAACUCCACGUCGCUGGCGAGCCUGUCGUGGACUUGGAGUCCGUAGGCUCCACCGACCCGAUGCUGGUCGACUCCGACGCUGUGUCGCUCGACACUUUCCCCACCAACGUGGUGGUCUACGACGAGCCGCUUCCUCACGAGGAGAGCGGCGGAAGCGCCAUCACGGAGGUGCUCGUCAUCAGUCAUGAUGAGUGCUCCGGUGAGGAAGCUCAGGACCCGCUCGCCGCGGCCCUGCAAGACCUAACUGUGCCCAUUCCAGAGGACGCAAACGCCAAGACGCUGGAGACACGCUGCCUUCAGAUCAUUGAAGGCGCCAAGAAGCUGGCAAGCAUGAGGCGCUUGUCAGAAGCUUACCAGCGCGAAAUGGAUCGCGCCGUGGGCGGCUCGCUGGCUCCGAUUGGGCCUAGCCGCCUAGGCACGGUCCGACAACAUGGCGCGGCCAUCGCCGACUUGUUUGGGGCCAGUCGCCCCGUAUACGCCACCCUCGCGGAGAACAUCUGCGCCGCCCAAGCGGCGAUUGACGAGCUGAAGAACUUCGAGGGUGAAGAGCACCGCAUGAUGACGGAGCGAGUCCAGCAGCUCCUCAAUGUGGUUGCUGCGCAGAACGCAGCCGGCGGCCGCACGGAUGCGCUGCAGCAACCAAAUGAGGACUUGCCUCCCCGCCGAGACCAAGGCGCGACAUCUCGGACACCGACUGGCGGAGUCCGCGGAAGGAAAUAAAAAGAGCCGGUUGUCAGUCACAGUCGGACUCGCAUCACCAUUGAGCGCGACCAAGACGGCCGGCCGAGAGCAGUGGAGCGGCGGGACGACUACCUGCCACCCCCACCCAGAAGAGAAUGGCGAGUUUCCCCGCCGCCUGUUGAGCAUCCGACUCUCGGUGGUCGCCUUGGCCGCCGAGAGGGAGUCGGAGAGAAUGACGCCCGCCAUCGGAUCGACCGACUCCACCGAUCCCUGGCGCUGGAAGAAGAAGAUGAGCUGGGUCCGCCUUGCUUCGGGCCCCGCAUCCGAGACGAGCCCUUUCCCAAAGGGUUCACGCUCCCCUGAGACACACCCAAGUACACCGGCUCCGUGAAGCCAUAAGACUGGCUAAUUGAUUAUUCCACGGCCGUCAGCAUAGCGAACGGCAACAAGCGAGUCGCCGUGAAGUACGUUCCACUCAUGCUCCAGGGCACGGCCCGGACAUGGUUGAACAGUCUGAAGCCCCGCAGCAUCAAUAGCUGGGUCGACUUCACCGAAGCCUUCAUCCGCAACUUCACAAGCACGUACAAGCGACCUCCCAAGCCGCGCCAGCUUUCCUUGUGCGUGCAAGGCCCUGACGAGUCAACACGCGACUACCUCACGCACUGGGGCAAGCUUCGGAACUCCUGCGAGGGCGUGCAUGAGGUGUAGGUGAUCGAGUACUUCACUGCCAGGUGCCGAGAAGGCACCCUCCUCAAGCACAAGCUCCUCUACGACAAGCCAGAAACCCUCGACGAACUGCUGGUCAUAGCAGACAAAUAUGCCACAGCCGACUCCUCCAUGAAGACGGAGAUUCAAGUCAAUGCGGCUAGCAAAGUGGCCCCUCAGGCUCCCAGGACUCCAGCUGGAGACAGCAAUCAACGGCAACAGAGUGAAAACAAAUGCAAGGCCCAACAGCCGACUUCCAGCAGUCGGCAGGUUGCGACAGUUGAAGAUCAACAGCCGGAGGGUAGCCUCCGGCCAAGCGACAGAAAGGCGGCAAGUCCAACUGGUUGCCGGCCUUCUCUUAUGAGCAGACUCUGGAUGGUCCCUGCAAGUUCCAUAGCGGCGCGAAGCCAUCGAACCAUACCACCCUAAAGUGCCACUGGCUUACCAGCAUCGCCAAGGGAGACGGCCUCCUUCCUCCCCCGCCUGCUGGGCCGCCGCCUCCACCGCCGCCCCAGCAGCCGGCUGCUCGGCCAGUCGGCGCAGUACAAGAUGAGUACCCCAAAGAGCAUGGAGCUUAUGUGGUGUUCACCAGUGUCGCUGAUGGUCGACGCAGUAGACGGCAUCAGCAGCAAGAAGUAAACGCAGUGGCAAUAGAUACUCUAGAGUUCAUGCACUGGUCCGAGAAGCCUAUCAGUUGGAGCAGAGCGGACCACCCAGAGGUGAUGCCGAAUCCGGGCUCCUAUGCCCUGGUCCUAGGUGCUACCUUGGCCACUGAUAGGUGGGCAACCCGCUUCUCAAGGGUGCUGAUAGACGGAGGCAGUAGCAUCAACAUCCUGUACAAAGAUACUAUGGAGAAGCUAGGAAUCAAGCAAAGACAGUUGCAGAGCAGCCGGACUGUGUUCCAUGGUAUUGUACCCGGCCUUUCCUGCUCACCAAUCGGCAAGAUCCUGAUAGACGUCCUCUUCGGAGACAAAGAUCACUUCCGCCCAUACCACGCACUUCUUGGCCGACCUGCACUGGCCAAGUUCAUGGCGGUUCCUCACUACGCCUACCUAAAGAUGAAGAUGCCGAGUUCCAAGGGAAUUCUAACCGUAGCCGGCGACUACAGGAAGUCGUUCGCCUGCACGGCCGAGAGCAGCCGGCUGGCCGAGUCCCUGGUGAUCACAGCUGAGAAGCGGCUCCUUGAUCGGGUCGUGGCGAUGGCCGGAAAACAGCCAGAAAUGUCGCCUGACCCCAAGGAGUCGGAAGCUGAAGGUUCGUUCAAGCCGGCCAAAGAGACCAAGAAGAUACCCUUGGACCCGGAGCAUCCUGAGAGGUACGCUGUCAUGGGUACAAACCUUGACAACAAAUAGGAAGGCGAGCUCGUCGAUUUCCUCUAUGAGAAUCGAGACAUCUUUGCAUGGUCCCCCAAAGACAUGCCGGGUGUACCGACGGAAUUCAACGAGCACAAGUUGCACGUCCGACCUGAUGUGAAACCCGUCAGGCAGCCUUUGCGCCGACUGUCAGAAGAGAAGAGAAGAGUUGUUGGAGAAGAGAUAGCCCGGCUCCUGGCAGCCGGCUUCAUUAUGGAGGUGUUCUUUCCAGAGUGGCUUGCAAACCCGGUCUUGGUACUGAAGAAAAACAAGCAGUGGCGAAUGUGCAUUGAUUACACAAGCCUCAACAAAGCCUGCCCGACAGACCCCUUUGCUUUGCCAAGAAUCGAUCAGGUGAUAGACUCGACAGCCGGAUGCGAGCUGUUGAGUUUCUUAGAUGCAUAUUCAGGAUAUCAUCAGAUCAAGCUGAACCCGGCAGACAGACUCAAGACCGCCUUCAUCAUGCCGUUCGGGGCCUUCUGCUACCUGACCAUGACGUUCGGCUUGAGGAAUGCUGGCGCCACCUUUCAGCGUUGCAUGCAGAAGUGUCUCCUCAAGCAACUCGGCAGAAAUGCCCACGUCUACAUGGACGAUGUGGUGGUGAAGACGGAGAAGCGUGGGAUGCUGCUAGAGGACCUCAAGGAGACCUUUGAGAACUUGCGCCGAUUCCAGAUCAAGCUCAACCCUGAGAAGUGCGUUUUUGGAGUGCCAGCCGGCCAACUCCUUGGCUUCCUGGUCUCUGAACGCGGCAUAGAGUGCAACCCCGUGAAGAUCAGGGCCAUCGAGAGGAUGGAGGUACCCAGCCGACUGUUAAAUGUGCAGAAGUUCAUUGGCUUCUUGGCGUCCAUCAGCUGGUUCAUCAGUCGGCUGGGCGAGAAAGCUCUCCCUUUGUAUCAAUUGAUGAAGAAGACCACCUUUUUCGAGUGGAACCAUAAGGCGGAUGAAGCAUUUCUCCAGCUGAAGAAGAUGUUGACUACUCCCCCUGUGUUGGCGGCUCCGACUCCCAAAGAGCCCAUGCUCCUGUACAUCGCCGACACCAGCCGAGUAGUCAGCACAGUCAUUGUAGUCGAACGCAAGGAGGAAGGCAAGGCGCUCCCUGUCCAGAGACCGGUAUAUUACCUGAGCGAGGUACUAUCGACCUCCAAGCAGAACUACCCCCACUACCAGAAGAUGUGCUACGGUGUGCAUUUUGCCGCCAAGAAACUGAAGCCUUACUUUCAAGAACAUCCAAUCACUGUGGUUUGCACGGCCCCGCUGGCCGAGAUCAUUGGAAGCCGAGAAGCCUCUGGCCGAGUAGCCAAAUGGGCCAUAGAUCUGGCUCCUUACACCAUCUACUACCAGCCCUGCACCGCCAUCAAGUCGCAAGCGUUGGCCGACUUCCUCGUCGACUGGGCCGAGACCCAGUACCUGCCGCCAGCGCCCGACUCCACCCAUUGGCGGAUGCAUUUCGACGGCUCCAAGAUGCACACCGGCCUAGGAGUCGGCGUCAUCCUCACCUUCCCCAAAGGCGACAAGCUCAAGUACGUGCUGCAGAUCCACUUCGCUGCCUCCAACAACGUCGCCGAAUACGAGGCGCUCAUUCAUGGGCUCCGGCUUGCCAAAGGACUCGGCAUUCGCCAGAUCCUGUGCUAUGGCGACUCCGAUUUGGUGGUCCAGCAGUCAUCUGGCGAUUGGGAUGCCAAAGAUGCGAACAUGGCGAGCUACCGCUUCCUGGUGCAACAACUCAGCGGAUACUUCGAGGGGUGCGAGUUCCUUCACGUGCCAAGAAAUGACAACGAUCAAGCAGAUGCCUUGGCACGAGUCGGCUCCACCCGCCAAGCAAUACCAGCUGGUGUCGCUCUUCAGCGCCUCCUUAAGCCGUCUAUCAAGCCUUCACCAGAAUCAGACUCCAUCUUCGUGCCGGCUCCUCCCGAAGAAGUCGGAUCCGACUCAAGAGCCCCAGCAGACGGCACCAAGAAAAUCAUAGUUGAAGCCAGCCCGGGGACUUCAGAACCCGGCCCGGGGACUGCGCCGGUCGGCCCGGGGACUUUGUCAAUCCAGCAAGCGGCCGCAGACUCUAGCCCGCUGCCUCCCAGCCCAGCCGCCCUUGUCCAAGUCGCUGUAGUGGCGGUUGAAGAAAUAGCAGCACCCUCAUGGGCACAACCCAUCCUCAAGUUUCUGGUGAACAAAGAGCUGCCAACUGAUGAGAUCUUGGCUCGGCAAGUGCAACGCCGAGCGGCAGCAUACACCAUAGUCAACAGAGAACUGGUCAGGCGCAGUGUCACUGGUGUCUACCAGCGCUGUGUAGAGCCAGAACAAGGCCAAGCAAUUCUCAGAGACAUUCGUCAGGGCGAGUGCGGCCACCAUGCAGCCUCAAGAGCACUCGUCGCCAAAGCCUUUCGGCACGGUUUCUUCUAGCCAACUGCCCUAGAAGAGGCUAAAGAGUUAGUCCAAAAAUGCAAGGGGUGCCAGAAGUUCCGCUCCAAGCCGCUUCAGCCGGCUUUCGCGCUGAAGACAAUUCCCAUCGCCUGGCCCUUUGCAGUUUGGGGCCUGGACAUGGUGGGACCAUUCAAGACGGCCCGAGGCGGCCUGACUCAUCUGCUAUUCGCGGUGGACAAGUUCACUAAGUGGAUAGAAGCAAAGCCCAUCAAGAAGUUGAACGGUCCGACUGCAGUGACUUUCAUUGCCGACAUCACGGUGCGGUACGGCAUACCACACAGCAUCAUCACCGACAAUGGCACAAAUUUUGCCAAAGGCGCCUUGGCCCGUUUCUGCGUGACGCAGGGCAUCCGACUGGACUUAGCGUCCAUUGCCCAUCCGCAGUCAAACGGCCAGGUGGAGCGAGCAAACGGCCUCAUCCUGUCCGGCAUCAAGCCUCGACUGGUCGAACCACUCGAGCAUUCGGCCGAUUGUUGGCUUGAGGAGCUGUCAGCCGUCCUCUGGAGUCUGCGCACGACUCCAAACAAGUCAACUGGCUUCACGCCCUUCUUCCUCGUAUAUGGUGCCGAAGCCGUCAUCCCGACGGACAUAGAGUUCGACUCUCCACGAGUCACCAUGUACACCGAAGAGGAAGCUAAAGAAGCACGUCAAGACGGUGUCGACCUGCUAGAAGAGGGCCGGCUGUUGGCACUCAGCCGGUCCGGCAUCUACCAACAGAGUCUGCGCCGAUACUACAACCUCAAGGUUAGGCCGAGAUCAUUCCAAGAGGGCGACCUUGUGCUCCGGCUGAUUCAGCGAACAGCCGGCAAGCACAAGUUGUCGGCGCCUUGGGAGGGCCCCUUCAUUGUCAGCAAAGUGUUGGGCAACGGCUCCUACUACUUAAUCGACGCUCAGAAGCCUCGAGCACGCAAGAGGGACGACUCCGGCAAGGAGUCAGAAUGACCAUGGAACACAAAUCUUCUCCGAAGAUUUUACAGUUGAUGCAGUAUGUACCACGCUAUCCUUUGUAUUAAAGUACCGAGACUUUGGCCCCCCGAGACGAGCUCGGGGACUGCCCUUUUUUGUUAUCUGCAUGAUAAGAAUUAUGCCUCCGAGUAUGCUACUCUUUGUUAUGCCGUUUGGCACCGGGUUCGACUAGUCGGCCCGGGGACUUGCCAUCUUGCGCUAUGAAAUGCUUCCUGCAGUCGGACGAGUAGUGUGCUAUGCUUAAGCCGUCUCCUGUCGAAAGCCGCAGCUCGCAGAGCGACUGUUGGUAGGCAGAGAAUAAGCAAGAACGAGCGCACACACGAAGAAAUGGCUAAGGACUCAAAGCGUAUGCAUAGCCCAAGCCGGCUUCCAGCCUCUCUUCACAAAGCCGACUCUUGAGCAGUCGGCUUGCCACCUUCUAUCCCACUUGUUUAAAAACUCUAAAAAGGCAAAGUCCUUGCCUUCCCUAAGUAGCCAAGCAGUUGACUUGUGGCAGUCCGCGGAGCGGCUAUCCGUCUGGCAAAGCAGCGACUAUGGAAAGGCGGCAAAGGAAAAAGACAAAAAGAGCAAUAAGCAAGGAAAGAUAGAAGGCAGAUAGAUAUUUACAUAGCAAAGGCCUCUAGCCAAGUUCAAAAUACACCCCGCGGGUGGAAUUGUGCAAACUAACAAGUUCUGUCAAAAGACUAUUAAGACAGGAAAAAUAAAGGCAAGUCAGCAGCCUAAGGAGCGGCAGACGGGUUCGGAGGGUCGGCGGAGACGGCGGUGUCAGGCGCCGGAGCGGCCGGCUGGGCGGUCUCGGCUUGAUCGUCUCCGGCGGUAGUCGACCCGGUCGGACGCGACUCGUUGCUGGAGGUGUGAUCGAGCUGAGGCUGGCCAUCCGCUCUGUCUUUUGGCGCCUCCGUCUCGUCUUCGUCCCCCGCCUCAUCUUCCUCCUUGGUGCUGGAGCCGAUCACCUCCGCCGAGUCCUCAUCGUAGUCGGGGUUCAUCCCGAACCACUCCGGAGGCACCUCCUCGCCGUUCGCGGCCCGCUCGGGAAUGAAGACGCUGGUGUCGGGGUAGUCGGUGAUCGCCGCCGCACGCUUGACGAGGGCGCCUUCCACAGCCGCCAGUUCUGCCUGGGCCUCUGACCGAAAUGCGGCCAGCCGGUCCAGGUCCAGCCCUGGAUAUCAGGCCUUGACGAAUUCCAAGGCCCGGCGCGCUCCAGCCCGGGCCAAGGAACCCUUCCAAGCCUCAAGACGGUCGGCCACGACCUCCAGCCAGUCGAUAGUUCGACUGGCAGUGCGCAGAGCCAGCAUGCCUGGCCACAGGGCAGAGAUCACCUGGGCCCCGGCACAUUGAAGCCGGCGCAGCAGCUGAUGGGCCGGCCGCAGACGGGUCUCGAUGCUCAGGAGCUGCUCGUCGACGGUCAGGGGGGCGUUGGCGGUGAUCUCCUCGCCAUUCGCCCUCCGCGCCUCGCGUUCAGCCUCGAUGGCUCGAGUGACCGCUUGCGAGUGGCCAGGGAAGAAGUCUGCCCAAAACAGAAAGAAGCAAAGAGAAAAUCAGCAGUUGGCGUGACUUACAGUCGGCAGCUCGAGGAAAGAAAGAAAAGGAACUCACCAUCGACAAUGUCCACGAUCUUGUGGAAGCCGGAAGUCAGCAUCGCCUCCCUGUCGGUCCAGGAGGAGCGCUCCAUCUCGAACUCGGCCAGGAGAGCGGUCUCUUUCUUCCUCGCCUCGUCCCUAGCCGCCUUCAGCAGCUCCUUCUGCUCCGCCAGCUGCUCGGCCAGCAAGUCGCGCUCUUUGACGAGCUUGCCGCACUCCUCCUCCUUGGUGCGAAGGGUCGUGCUGACUUCGCCCAACUGUUCCUGAAGAGCGGCAUUGGCCUCUGAAUAAUAAAGAGAAAAGACGUUAAGUCGUCAGCAGCAAAGGUCGCCAGGAAGAUCCGGCCCGACUGCUCAGCAGUCGGCCCGAAUCUCGGGGACUACAGCCCGCGGGUGCACCAGCGCGCCCCGGCGGAAAAGAAGAAGAACUUACUCCGGCUCUCCGACAAGUCGGCAGUCCGCUUCUCCAGCCGCUCAACUUUACAGUUAAAGGCGGUGACGGGGAGGUUGUGAUACUCCUGCGAUAAAAAUUAGACAAAGACAAAAAAGAGGAACCCGCCAGAUUGAGUUCCGGGCCGCCUGCGUAGCAGCCGGUCCGAAACUCGGGGACUACACCCAGUGGGUGCGCUAGCGCGCCCCCACAGAGAAGAAUGAGAAAAGGCAAAGUCAAAAAAGAAAAACGUACUCGGAUGGACGCGUGCGACGCCAGAUGCGCCCUAGUGCAGCCCUGGAUGGCUUCGCCCUCAGCUCGCAGCUUCGCCUGCACGUCCAGGAGCGCCUGGUUCAGCGGACCGUCACCACCUCCUCGCACCCAUCCAGUAGGCGCAGCACUUGAUGCCUCGGCGUCUAGAAUGGCCGAGCUGGCGGCGCCGGCUUCCAAGGGGCGUGGCGCCGAAACCGCCUUCGCAAGGCGGCGGCGCGCUAGUGAGGCGACUUGAAGAAGCAGCCUUGCCACCGCCUCAUCCUCAGCCGGCGGCACUGGAGGGCCCGCUGGCUGCUUGCCAUGCGGUGGAGGCGGCGGUGGCGGGGAGGCCGUGCCCGACGCGGAGGCCUCGCCACCGUCCUUCUCCACGAUGGAGUGCUCCCCGCCGACCUCUCCAGUCUGCCCCGUGAACUCCGGGGGUGGCGGUGCGGAGGUCAGCGGGACGACAAGCAGUGCCGACUGGCGGCGCGCGGCCUCCUCCGCCCGCCGUUUUGCUGCGGCGGCGGCUUCGGCCUCCUCCAGCUUCUUCUGGGCGGAGGCCGCCGCUUUCUCGGCCUCCGCCUUCUCCAGACGGUCGGCCUCUUCCUCAUCGUGCUUCUCGCGCGCGUUGUGCUCCGUCGCCUCCCGGAGGUCGGCGGCGGGGUCAAUCCGCCGAGUGUUGGUGGACAUCUUGGCCGACCCCAUGAUAGAGGGGACGGCGACCCUCUCAAGAGAAAGAGGGGCCCUGAAGCAGAAAACAGAAUGAAAAAGACUCAGAAAAGAUCCGUCCAAGAAAACAAGAACAAACGAUAGUCAGCACUUACGCAGAGACCAGCGGCGGCUUCUUCACUUCCUUGCGGAAGCGGUUGGCCUUCGCGAUCGCCUCCUCCCGCUUGGUCGCGGCGGUCGUCCCCUUGAACUUUUUCGGCCGACUGCCGAGCGAACUCGGCGCGGCCCGGCACUUCUUCGCGCCGACUGGACCGGCCAAGCCGGCAGAGGAACUCGCGCCUGGAUGGCCAGCUUUCGGUUGGCGGCGCAGGACGACCUCACCGUCAACCUUGUCCUAUGGCCAGUCGGCGAAGGUCGCCGAGGGCCGGAGGCCGCCUUCCGCUCCUCCUCCCCCGCCUUCGACGUCGGCCUCCAUCGCCGCCGCCCCCAAGUCGGGGUCGUCGAUGUCGCUCUCCGCGCGGUCUCGGGCGAACUCGCGGGGCGGCCCGGUGGCGCCGGCUGCAGGCUGGAUGAGGGGGUUCUGACUCAGAGAACCAAGAAGAUCAGAAGUCGGAUUCGGCUGUAAAGAAAAAUAGAAAACAAAAGAUUCGACUUACCACAAGCGGAGGGUUGGCACGCGAGCACGGCUCCUUGCCGAACUGCCAGUCUUCCGCGAGCUCGCAGUUCGCGAUGUGCUUCACCAUGUUCACCACCUCCGCGUGGGGCAUCUCCCAGGUGCUCAUCUGGCUCGGGUCUCGGUGGUCGCUCAUCUGACAGAUCAGAUGAGGCCGGCCUUGGAGUGGGAGGACUCGGCGCGCCACGAAGGCGGCCAGCAAGUCAGCCCCGACCAGGCCUUCCGACUGCGUCAGCACUCGAAGUCGGGCGACGGUGGCGGUGCCGGCAGGAGACAACGUCUUGGCCCGAUUGGACCAGCUGGGAAGCCUCCCAGCCGGUGUGUCGGCUUCAUAGUGCGGCAGGUUGACCCAGUCGCCUUCCGUGGCGACGUUCUUCAUGUAGAAGUACGAACGUUGCCACAUCUUCACUGACUUGAUCAGCGCGAUGGAGGGGAAGGGGUUGUCGGCGGUCGACCUGCGCAUGGCGAUGAAGGCGCCGCACUGGGCCGUUAUGCCGGCGGAGUGCGUGCCGAGCUUUGAUUGGAAGAACUCUCCCCACAGCUCGAGGGUGGGGAGAACGCCGAGAAAACCCUCGCACAGGGUGGCGAAGGCGGCCAGCAGCAACACCGUGUUCGGGGUGAGGUGGUGCGGCUGGAGUCCGUUGAACUCCAACAACGAGCGGAGGAAGCUGCUCGCCGGCAGGCCCAUGCCGCACAUGAGGUGCGAGAAGAAUAUGACCCGCUCGCCCUCCUUCGGCGCCGGCGUUAUCUCCCCCUCCGGUGCGGCACGGGAUCGCACCAGGUGCGCGCCGGGGAGCCGGCGCGUCCUGCGGAGGUGCUCGAUGGCAUCGUCAUCCACCCGAGAACCAUCCCACGCGUCGGAGCAGACGGCAGAAGCCGCGGCGGAGGAAGAGCUCAUCGUUGCGGAGCGGUGCGGCAUGGUGCGGCGAAGGCAAGAAGAAGGAGAGAAAGAAGGAAGCGGGGGAAGCAGGGAAGAAUGAGCGCGCGCUUCGCCGUCCCGCUUCCCCCGCCUAUUUAUAGUCUCGAAGGCUGAGAAGCCGAUGGGGCGGCGUGGGGAUUAACUGCGCGCGAGCCCCCCACGUCCCCCACGAUUAAAACCCACGAAGUUACUGCGCGCAGUAACAACGUGGGGAACCCAACCGCCCGCCUGGCCGCAGCGGAUCUGAUCGCGUGCCGAGGCGCGGUAGUGGCGGGCCCCGCCUGACGGCCUGUCCCGUCGCGCGCGUGGGCAGGCAGACUGCCCCUGCCACGUGGCGCCGCGCGACGAGGCCGCGGCGGGCGACCGCGGGAAGCGUAUCAGGCACGCCGCCUGGUUCCCGCUACGACGUUCGAAACGCCUCAAGGGGCAAGACGGCCCUCGGCGAAUCCGACUCCAGCCAGUUGGCCUGGAGGAAGGCGGCCACCAGAGCUUGUUUUCCCCCAUCUGAAGAAUGAAACUGCUGAGGCGCACGACGUAUCACCCUCGGAGCCUCACCAGCUUCGGGGACUACUGUCGGAGUAAUGGGCCACGGGUAGGCUCACCCGAGUCCCAGAACCUUUGAAGACAUCGGGGCAGACUGCGCCCCUCAAGUAUCUACGGCGACUCCAAGAUGGCCGAGUCCCAGAGGCAACUCCCAUUCAAGCCGAGUCCCGGAGGCGACUCCAAGAUGGCCGAGUCCCAGAGGCGACUCCCAUCCAAGCCGAGUCCCAGAAGCGACUCCGAUGAAGCCGACUGUGGGGAGUCGGCCCGCGACUCCAGCCACCCAAUAAUUAAGAGUAGGCAUGGCCACAGUGCGCCGUACUCACGGAGAUCUCCGACCGGCGCGGCACUGUUGCCAUGCCAGCUCUGACAUCAGCCCUCAGGGCGGGGCCCUGUGCCCAUGAUGCCUUGUCUGUACGGCCCGGAGACAGCGGGACCUACCAGUCAGCGAGAGUAUUGAAGACGGCAGGAGCGCCAAGAGUCGGACCCGUUGGGAGUCGGCCGGCCCCUCCCACGGGCCCCGCAUGCCAUUAACUAGAUGCGACCGGGGAAUGGCCACAGUGAUCGCCCGCAGGCGGCGACACUGUUGCCAUGAUCCACUGACCAAGCCCGCGUCAUUAGAAGCACGGCUACAGUAAUCUGCAGCCGGCAAGACCCGCCCGCGGCGGACACGGGCUGACGCCCUCGUACCAUGCCAGUCGGCGGGCCCCAGGAGUCGGCAGAGAAGACGGCACCUGAGAGACAGACGGCUGGGACCCGCGCCCAGCCAGAUUUACCAUUAUAACCCUGGGGGUAGGCCUAUAUAAACCCCCCAGGGCACCCAUGCAAAGGGUUCGCAUCCAUAGACAUUAGACAGACCACAUAGAAGGGAGAGAGCUAGCCGUGCCCUCUCCUACCUCCAGAAACAGCUCUAGGAGCAAGCUUGUACUCACUUUGCCUUAGUGAUCAUGUGGAGACCCCGCAGAGCAGUAGUAGGGGUAUUAUCUCCUCGGAGAGCCCUGAAGCUGGGUAAGAUUCGCCGGCGUGCAUGUCUUCGCCUCAUCCCGUUUCCAGGCACCGGCGACGUCCUACUCGCCCCCACCAUGAUAAGCCAUCCUUUGGCAUAUGUCGCACCCAACCCCCGACAUGCGGUGUGCUCUUCAGUACGGAGGGAGCGCUCCAUGUUUCCAUUGACUAUAAUGACGCCACGUGGUCCGGGCAUUUUUAAGCUUCAAAUAAGCAUAGUGCAGGACUGCAUUAAAGCGGGCAAAAGCAGUUCGUCCGAGCAAUGCGUGAUAACCACUGCAGAAGGGGACGAUGUCGAAGAUCAGUUCUUCACUUCGGAAGUUGUCUGGGGAGCCGAAUACGACCUCCAGUGUUAAUGAGCCCUUACAACGGGCCUCCACGCCGAGUAUUACACAUUUGAAGGUAGUGCUACUAGGCUUGAUUCUUGAUGGGUCGAUACCCAUCUUGCGGACAGUAUCUUCAUAGAUCAAGUUGAGACUGUUGCCGCCGUCCAUAAGGACUCUAGUGAGAUGGUAUCCGUCGAUGAUUGGAUCGAGUACCAGGGUGGCCGAACCCCUGUGAUGGAUACUGGUUGGGUGAUCCCUGUGAUCAAGGGUGAUCGGACAGGUUGACCAUGGAUUAAAUUUUGGGGCGACAGGCUCUACGGCGUAGACGUCCCUUAGUGCGCGCUUGCGCUCCCUUUUGGGGAUGUGAGUGACGUAGAUCAUGUUCACUAUUUUCACCUCGGUGGGAAACUGCUUUUGGCCCCCGGUGUUCGGCUGACGGGGCUCACCAUCGUCCUCACUUGGAGGUCCCUUUCCCUUGUGUUCGGUAUUUAACUUACCAACCUGUUUGAAAACCCAACAGUUUCUGUUGAUGUGGUUAGCAGGCUUGCUGGGUGUGCCAUGAAUCUGACAGGGCCUCUCAAGGAUUUUGUCCAAGUUGGAUGGACCGUCCCUGUUGCCUUUGAAUGGUUUCUUCCACUGACCGGAUUUAGAACCACUGAAUCCGGCAUUGACUGCCGUCUCAUCUGCGUUGUAUGUUGCUCUGAUGUUUGUUUUUAUUGCGGCAUGGUCUACCAUUGUCAUCCCUGUCCUCAAAAGUGUCGGGGUCGCCGGAGGUGUUGCUUCUACGAGCCAACCAGCUGUCUUCACCCGCACAGAAGCGGGUCAUGAGUGCAAUUAAAGCUGCCAUGGUCUUCGGCUUUUCCUGCCCGAGGUGUCGGAUGAGUGAUAUGUCUCCAACGUAUCUAUAAUUUUUGAUUGUUCCAUGCUAUUAUACUAUCAGUUUUGGAUGUUUCAUAUGGAUUAAUAUGCUAUUUUAUAUUAUUAUUGGGACUAACCUAUUAACGAGAGCCCAAUGCCAGUUUCUGUUUUUUUGCCUAUUUUAGAGUUUCACAGAAAAGGAAUGCCAAACAGAGUCCAAACGGAAUGAAACUUUCGCGAUGAUCUUUCUUGGACCAGAAGGAAACCAGAAGACAUGGAGAUGAAGUCAGAGACGCAACGAGGCGGCCACGAGGCAGGAGGGCGCGCCUAGGGGGUAGGGCGCACCCCCUACCUCGUGGGCCCCUCGUGGGUCUCCUAACCUAGCUCCUUCGCCUAUAUAUACUCUUAUACCCUGAAAACAUCCAGGAGAGCCACAAAACCACUUUUCCACCGCCGCAACCUUCUGUACCCAUGAGAUACCAUCUAGGGGCCUUUUUCGAUGUCCUGCCGGAGGGCGAUUCGAUCAUGGAGGGCUUCUACAUCAACACCAUUGCCUCUCCGAUGAUGCGCAAGUAGUUUACCACAGACCUACGGGUCCAUAGCUAGUAGCUAGAUGGCUUCUUCUCUCUCUUUGAUUCUCAAUACCAUGUUCUCCUCGAUGUUCUUGAAGAUCUAUUCGAUGUAAUAUUCUUUUGUAGUGUGUUUGCCAAGAUCCGAUGAAUUGUGGAUUUAUGAUCAGAUUAUCUAUGAAUAUUAUUUGGUACUUCUCUGAAUUCAUAUAUGCAUGAUUUUAUAUCUUUGCAAGUCUCUUCAAAUUAUCGGUUUAGUUUGGCCUACUAGAUUGAUCUUUCUUGCAAUGGGAGAAGUGCUUAGCUCUGGGUUCAAUCUUGCGGUGUCCUUUCCCAGUGAUAGUAGGGGCAGCAAGGCACGUAUUGUAUUGUUGCCAUCGAGGAUAAAAAUAUGGGGUUUUCAUCAUAUUGCUUGAGUUAAUUCCUCUACAUCAUGUCAUCUUACUUAAUGCGUUACUCUGUUCUUUAUGAACAUAAUACUCUAGAUGCAGGCAGGAGUCAGUCGAUGUGUCGAGUAAUAGUAGUAGAUGCGGAAUAAUUUCGGUCUACUUGACACAGACGUGAUGCCUAUGUUCAUGAUCAUUGCCUUAGAUAUUGUCACAACUUUGCGCUUUUCUAUCAAUUGCUCGAUAGUAAUUUGUUCACCCACCGUAAUAUUUGCUACCUUAAGAGAAGCCACUAGUGAAACCUAUGGCCCCCGGGUCUCUUUUCCAUUAUAUUGAAUCUCUUUUACUUCAUACUAGUUUCCAGUCUACUAUUUUGCAAUCUUUUACUUUCCGGUCUAUAAACCAAAAAUACCAAAAAUAUUUACUUUACCGUUUAUCUAUCUCUAUCAGAUCUCACUUUUGCAAGUGACCGUGAAGGGAUUGACAACCCCUUUAUCGCAUUGGGUGCAAAUUGUUGAUUGUUUGUGCAGGUAUUUGGUGACUUGUGCGUUGUCUCCUACUGGAUUGAUACCUUGGUUCUAAAAUUGAGGGAAAUACUUACGCUACUUUGCUGCAUCACCAUUUCCUCUUCGAGGGAAAAACCAACGCAAGCACAAGAGGUAGCAAGAAGGAUUUCUGGCGCUGUUGCCGGGGAGAUCUACGUCAACUCAACCAUACCAAGUACCCAUCAUAAACUCUUCUCUCUUGCAUUACAUUAUUCUCCAUUCGCCUCUCAUUUUCCUCUCCCCCACUUCUAAAACAAUUUUCAAAAACCUUUGCCUUUUCUUUGCCUCUCUUCCGUUCGUCUUUUUGAUUUGCUUUUUGUGUGCUUGUGUGUUGGUGUGCCUGUUUGCCUUGAUGGCGCAGCCAAAAUGCAUUGGUCCUCACCUAGGAGGUUGGAAGAGAUUCAAAAUAAUGUUAGAAGUUUUAUGUCUUUACAAUUUGAGCAUAAUAAUUUCUUUAGAAACAAGCUUAAAGAACAAAAAAGUUUUAUGGAGUAUAUGGAUAAAUAGCUCGAUGAUAUGUCUGAAGAAUUUUAUGGUUUGAAAUCUCAGUUUGCUUAUCUUGAAAAUUUAGUAGGACAAAUUUCUGAUAAACAAGCCACCUUAGUUAAUAAGAUUGCCGCUAAACCUGAGGUUCUAAAUAAUAAUGAUGAAGAUCUAAAAGUGAUUGAUGUGACUCCUAUGAUUUCAAGGACUGGAGAUGAGUCAACUUUAGUUAAAAGGCAUCCCAAUGAUUUGGAGUUUUUAGAUCUAGAUGCAAAAAUUGAUAAAAGUGGGAUUGGAGAGGUCAAGACUUUAAGUAGCAAUGAAUCCACUCUUUUGGAUUUCAAGGAAUUUAAUUGUGAUAAUUUUUCUUAAAUAUAUUGUAUUUCCUUGUUGCAAUCCGUGUUAAAUUCUCCCCAUGCUUAUAAUCAAAACAAAGCUUUUACUAAACAUAUCGUUGAUGGUAUGAUGCAAUCUUUUGAAGAAAAGCUUGAACUAGAAGUUUCUAUCCCUAGAAAACUUUAUGAUGAGUGGGAACCUACUAUUAAGAUUAAGAUUAAAGAUUAUGAAUGCUAUGAUUUGUGUGAUUUGGGUGCUAGUGUUUCCACGAUUUCAAAAACUUUGUGUGAUGUGUUAGGUUUCCGUAAAUUUGAUGAUUGUUCUUUAAAUUCAUAUCUUGCGGAUACUUCUAUUAAGAAACCAAUGGGAAGGAUUAAUGAUGUUCUUAUUGUUGCAAAUAGGAAUUAUGUGCCCGUAGAUUUCAUUGUUCUUGAUAUAGAUUGCAAUCCUACAUGUCCUAUCAUUCUUGGUAGACCUUUCCUAAGAACGAUUGGUGCAAUUAUUGAUAUGAAAGAAGGAAACAUUAGAUUCCAAUUUCCGUUAAGGAAAGGCAUGGAACACUUUCCUAGAAAGAAAAUUAAAUUUCCUUAUGAAUCUAUUAUGAGAGCCACUUAUGGAUUGCAAACGAAAUAUGGCAAUACCUAGAUCUAUUCGUGUUUCUUUGCCUAGCUAAGGGCGUUAAACGAUAGCUCUUGUUGGGAGGCAACCAAAUUUUAUUUUUGUUCUUUGCUUUUUGUUCCUGUUUAGUAAUAAAUGAAUAAAUAAUUCAUCCAGCCUCUGGUUAUAUGUGGUUUUAUGUUUUAAUUAGUGUCUGUGCCAAGUUGAACCUUUAGGAUAGCUUACGGUGGUAGUUGUGUUGAUCCUGCUGAAUAUUAGAAACUUUUACGCUUAGUAAUUAGUUUUGAAAAUUCACAUAAACGUGCUUUUGAUCUGAUUAUUCUUGCUCUGGAUUGGUACACAAAUUUCUCAUAUUUUCCUAAUUGUGAUGGAUUUUUGGAGUUACAGAAGUAUUUGAGAGUUACAGAUUACUACAGGCUGUUCUAUUUUUGAUAGACUCUGUUUUUCGCGUGUUGUUUGCUUAUUUUGAUGAAUCUAUGUGUAGUAUCGAGGGGUAUGAACCAUGGAAAAGUUGGAAUACAGUAGAUAGUACACCAAUAUAAACAAAUAAUGAGUUUGCAACGGUAACUUAAAGUGGUGAUUUAUUUUCUUACACUAACGGAGCUCAUGAGUUUUUUCUGUUGAGUUUUGUGUUGUGAAGUUUUCAAGUUUUGGGUAAGGAUUUGAUGGACUAUGGAAUAAGGAGUGGCAAGAGCCUAACCUUGGUGAUUCCCAAGGCACCCCAAGGUAAUAUUCAAGGACAAUCAAAAGCCUAAGCUUGGGUAUGCCCUGGAAGGCAUCCCCUCUUUCGUCUUCGUCUAUCAGUAACUUUACUUGAGGCUAUAUUUUUAUUCACCACAUGAUAUGUGUUUUGCUUGGAGCGUCUUGUAUGAUUUGAGUCUUUGCUUUUUAGUUUACCACAAUAAUCCUUGUUGUACACACCUUUUGGGAGAGACACGAAUGAAUCGUGAUUUAUUAGAAUACUCUAUGUUCUUCACUUAAAUCUUUUGAGCUGAACAAUAUUGCUCUAGUACUUCACUUAUAUCUUUUUAGAGCACGGUGGUGGCUUUAUUUUAUAGAAAUUGUUUAACUCUCAUCCUUCAAUUAUAUUAUUUUGAGAGUCUUUUAGGACAACAUGGUAAUUUUCUUUGGUUAUAAAACUAGUCCUAAUAUGAUGGGCAUCCAAGAUGGAUAUAAUAAAAACUUUCAUAUAAAGUGCAUUGAAUACUAUGAGAAGUUUAAUUCUUUAUGAUUGUUUUGAGAUAUGAAGAUGGUGGUAUUAGAGUCAUUCUAGUGGAGUAGUUGUGAAUCUGAGAGAUACUUGUGUUAAAGUUUGUGAUUCCCGUAGCAUGCACGUAUGGUGAACCGUUAUGUGAUGAAGUUGGAGCAUGAUUUAUUUAUUGAUUGUCUUCCUUAUGAGUGGUAGUCGGGGACGAGCGAUGCACUUUUCCUACCAAUCUAUCCCCCUAGGAGCAUGCGUGUAGUACUUCGUUUUGAUAACUAAUAGAUUUUUGCAAUAAGUAUGUCAGUUCUUUGUGACUAAUGUUGAGUCCAUGGAUUAUACGCACUCUCACCCUUCCACCAUUGCUAGCCUCUCUAGUGUCGCGCAACUUUCGCCGGUACCAUACACCCACCAUACACCUUCAUCAAAAUAGCCACCAUACCUACCUAUUAUGGCAUUUCCAUAGCCAUUCCGAGAUAUAUUUCCAUGCAACUUUCCACCGUUCCAUUUAUUAUGACACGCUCCAUCAUUGUCAUAUUGCUUUGCAUGAUCAUGUAGUUGACAUCGUAGUGUGGCAAAGCCACCAUUCAUAAUUCUUUCAUACAUGUCACUCUUGAAUCAUUGCACAUCCUGGUACACUGUUGGGGGCAUUCACAUAGAGUCAUAUUUUGUUCUAAGUAUUGAGUUGUAAGUAAAUAAAAGUGUGAUGAUCUUCAUUAUUAGAGCAUUGUCCCAUGUGAGGAAAGGAUGAUGGAGACUAUUAUUCCCCCACAAGUCGGGAUGAGACUCUGGACCAAAAAAAGAGAAAAAAAAAGAGGCCAUAAAAAAAGAGAAGGCCCGAAUAAAAAACAUGAGAGAAAAAGAGAGAAGGGGCAAUGUUACUAUCCUUUUUCCACACUUGUGCUUCAAAGUAGCACCUUGAUCUUCAUGAUAGAGAGUCUCCUAUUUUGUCACUUUCAUAUACUAGUGGGAAUUUUCAUUAAAGAACUUGGCUUGCAUAUUCCAAUGAUGGGCUUCCUCAAAAUGCCCUAGGUCUUCACGAGCAAGCGAGUUGGAUGCACACCCACUUAGUUUCUUUUUGAGCUUUCAUACAGUUAUAGCUCUAGUGCAUCCGUUGCAUGGCAAUCCCUACUCACUCACAUUGAUAUCUAUUGAUGGGCAUCUCCCUAGCAUGUUAACACGCCUAGUUGAUGUGAGACUAUCUUCUCCUUUUUGGUAUUCUCCACAACCACCAUAUUCUAUUCCACCUUAGGGCUAUAUCCAUGGCUCAUGCUCAUGUAUUGCGUGAAGAUUGAAAAAGUUUGAGAACAUCAAAAGUAUGAAACAAUUGCUUGGCUUGUCAACCGGGUUGUGCAUGAUUUAAAUAUUUUGUGUGAUGAAGAUAGAGCAUAGCCAGACUAUAUGAUUUUGUAGGGUUAGCUUUCUUUGGCCAUGUUAUUUUGAGAAGACAUAAUUGCUUUGUUAGUAUGCUUAAAGUAUUAUUGUUCUUAUGUCAAUAUUAAACUUUUGUUUUGAAUCUUUUGGAUCUGAACAUUCAUGCCACAAUAAAGAAAAUUACAUGGAUAAAUAUGUUAGGUAGCAUUCCACAUCAAAAAUUCCGUUUUUAUCAUUUACCUACUCGAGGACGAGCAGGAAUUAAGCUUGGGGAUGCUUGAUAUGUCUCCAACGUAUCUAUAAUUUUUGAUUGUUCCAUGCUAUUAUAUUAUCUAUUUUGGAUGUUUUAUAUGCAUUAAUAUGCUAUUUUAUAUUAUUUUUGGGACUAAACUAUUAACCGAGAGCCCUGUGUGAUACGUCCAUUUAGCAUCAUGUUUUCCUACUGUUAUUUAUGUUGUUUUAUUGUAUAAUAAUGCUUUAUGGAGUAAUUAUAAUGCCUUUUCUCUCAUAAUAUGCAAGGUAUGCACCAAAGGGGAGAAUUCUGGCAGCUGGAAAUCUGGAGUUGGGAAAGCUACGUCAAGCUACCUAUUCUGCACAUCUCCAAAUGAGCUGAAACUCCCCGAGGUUUUUUUAUGGAAUAUUUAGGGAAUAUUGGAGCAAAGAAGUACCAGAGGAGGGCCACCUGUCGGUGUCAAAACCGGCAGAUCUCGGGUAGGGGGUCCCAAGCUGUGUAUCAUGGAUCGAUGGGUAACAGGAGACAGGGGACAUGAUGUUUACCCAAGUUCGGGCCCUCUCUAUCGAGGUAAUACCCUACUUCCUGCUUGAUUGAUAUUGAGCAAUAUAGGGUUUCAAGAGUUGAUCUACCUCGAGAUCAUAUGUUGUGGUCUAAGCCCUAGAGGUAUGAUGAGUAAUGCCAUAAUGAUCUAGCUUAUCUAUCGACUAGCCUAGCCUCGAUUUCUAUAAUGUACCAGAGGCCUAAGAUAACAAGAGUCCUAGCCGAAUACGCCGAUGGGGAGGAGUCCUUGUCUUGAUCACCAAGUCUUGUGGAAUCUUCCUUGUAUGCGGCAGCUGUCCGAACUGGCCCAUGAGUGUACGGCCAUGGGGGUCCUCUGCCCAAUCUAACUGAUCGGGGGACGAUGUGGUGAGUACCCCCUAGUCCAAGACACCGUCAGUAGCCCCCUGAACCGAUCUUCAAGUUGGGGAUGCUCCUCGAUUCUUCUGAACUGUUCUUCAUCUUCGGUCGUCGGUCUUGAAAACUGGUUCAACAAAUCUUCCCAUCUUCGAUCUUGAGGAUCACCAACGUGCAUCCGAAGAGUUUAUACGUCGGGUAUCCGAGGAGCCCCUUUGAGUUUUCGGCCUUUUGAUACGUCCAUUUUGCAUCAUGCUUUUAUAUCAAUAUUUAUUGCAUUAUGGGUUGUUAUUACACAUUAUAUCUCAAUACUUAUGGCUAUUCUCCCUUAUUUUACAAGGUUUACCAUGAAGAGGGUGGAUGCCGGCAGCUGGAAUUCUGGCUGAAAAAGGAGCAAACGUUGGAAACCUAUUCUGCACAACUCCAAAAGACUUGAGACUCCAUGAAACAACUUUUUAGAUUUAAUAAGAAUUUUUGGGCAAAAGAAAUAGGCCAGGGGGCCCACACCCUGUCCAGGAGACGCCCCCCCCUAGGGUGCGGCCCCCUAUCUCCUGGGCCCCUGGUGGGCUUCUGGCGUCCAUCUUCUGCUAUAUGAGGGGUUUUCCCCUAGAAAAAAUCGUGGGCAAGCUUACGGGACGAAACUCCGCCGCCACGAGCUGGAACCUUGGCGGAAUCAAUCUAGGGCUCUGGCGGAGCUGUUCUGUCGGAGACACUUCCCUCUGGGAGGGGGAAAUCAUCACCAAUGUCAUCAUCAACGAUCCUCUCGUCGGGAGGGGGUCAAUCUCCAUCACCAUCUUCACCAGCACCAUCUCAUCUCAAAACCCUAGUUCAUCUCUUGUAUCCAAUCUUGUAUCAAAACCACAAAUUGGUACAUGUGGGUUGCUAGUAGUGUUGAUUACUCCUUGUAGUUGAUGCUAUUUGGUUUACUUGGUGGAAGAUCAUAUGUUCAGAUCCUUUAUGCAUAUUAUUACCCCUUUGAUUAUGAACAUGAAUAUGCUUUGUGAGUAGUUACGUUUAUUCCUGAGGACAUGGGUGAAGUCUUGCUAUUAGUAGUCAUGUGAAUUUGUAUUCGUUCGAUAUUUUGAUGAGAUGUAUGUUGUCUUUCCUCUAGUGGUGUUAUGUGAACAUCGACUACAUGACACUUCACCAUUAUUUGGGCCUAGAGGAAGGCAUAGGGAAGUAAUAAGUAGAUGAUGGGUUGUUAGAGUGACAGAAGCUUAAACCCUAGUUUAUGCGUUGCUUCGUUAGGGGUUGAUAUGGACCCAUAUGUUUAAUGUUGUGGUUAGGUUUACCUUAAUACUCCUUUUUGUAGUUGUGGAUGCUUGCAAUAGGGGUUAAUCAAAGUGGGAUGCUUGUCCAUGUUAGGGCAGUACCCAAGUGUCGGUCCACCCACAUAUCAAAUUAUCAAAGUACCGAACGCGAAUAUUAUGAACAUGAUGAAAACUAGCUUGACGAUAAUUCCCAAUGUGUCCUCGGGAGCUCCUUCUUCAUUAUUAGAAUUUGUCCAGGCUUAUCCUUUGCUACAUCAAGUAUUGGGCCACCUUGCUGCAAUUUGUUUACUUUAUUACUUUUUGCUUGUUACUAUUUAUCUUAUCACAAAACUAUCUAUCACCUACUAUUUUAGUGCUUGCAGAGAAAACCUUACUGAAAACCGCUUAUCAUUUCCUUCUGCUCCUCGUUGGGUUCGACACUCUUACUUAUCGAAAGGACUACGAUAGAUCCCCUAUACUUGUGGGUCAUCAAGACUCUUUUCUGGCGCCGUUGCCGGGGAGCGUAGCGCUCUUGGUGAGUGGAACUUGGUAAGGGAACAUUUAUAUAGUGUGAUGAAAUUUUCUGUUACUUGUCACUAUGGAAACUAAUCCUUUGAGGGGAUUGUUUGGGGUAUCUUCACCCCAACCAGAAGAGCAAAGAGAUGCUCCUCAACCUACUGAACCUUAUGAAAAUAUUCACUUUGAGAUUCCUUCGGGUAUGAUAGAAAAACUGCUAGCUAAUCCUUUUGCAGGAGACGGAACAUUGCAUCCUGACUUACACCUUAUCUUUGUGGAUGAAGUUUGUGGAUUAUUUAAGCUUGCAGGUAUUCCCGAUGAUGUUGUCAAAAGGAAGGUCUUCCCUUUAUCUUUGAAGGGAGAUGCAAUAACAUGGUAUAGGCUAUGUGAUGAUACGAGAUAUUGGAAUUAUAAGCGAUUAAAGUUGGAAUUUCACCAGAAGUUCUAUCCUAUGCAUCUUGUUCAUCGUGAUCGUAAUUACAUAUAUAAGUUGGCCUCGCGAAGGAGAAAGCAUCGCUCAAGCUUGGGGGAGGCUUAAGUCAAUGUUGUAUUCAUGCCCCAAUCUUGAGCUCUCUCAGGAAAUGAUUAUUCAGAAUUUUUAUGCUCGGCUUUCUCUUGAUAAUCGCAACUUGCUCGAUACUUCCUGUGCUGGUUCCUAUAUGCUGAAGACUAUUGAUAUCAAAUGGGACUUAUUGGAAAGAAUUAAACGCAACUCUGAAGAUUGGGGUUUCGACAAUGGUAAGCAGUCAGGUAUGACACCUAAGUUUGAUUGUGUUAAAUCUUUUAUGGAUACCGAUGCUCUUCGUGGAUUUAGCUCUAAGUAUGGACUUGACUCUGAGAUAGUAGCUACUUUUUGUGAAACUUUUGCUACUCACGUUGAUCUCCCUAAAGAGAAGUGGUUUAAAUAUAAUCCUCCUGUUGAAGUGAAAGUAGUUGCACCUAUUACAGUCGAAGAGAAGACUAUUACAUAUAGUGAUCCUAUUAUUCCUACUGCUUAUGUUGAAAAACCCCUUUUCCUGUUAGGAUAAAAGAUCAUGUUGAAGCUUCGACUGUUGUUCGUAAGAGUAAUACUAGGACUUAUACACCUCCUGAGCAAAUUAAUGUGGAACCUGGCAUUGCUAUGAUUAAAGAUCUUUUGGAUGAGGAUUUAGAUGGGCAUGUUAUCUCUUUCUUGGGUGAAACUGCUAAUAUUGCUAGACCCGAUACUAAGACACGUAGACCUGUUGUAGGCACGCCUGUUAUUUCUGUUAAAAUAGGAGAUCAUUGUUAUCAUGGUUAUGUUAUAUGGGUGCUAGUGCUAAUGCGAUACCUUAUGAUCUUUAUAAAGAAAUUAUGCACGAUAUUGCACCUGUUGAAUUAGAAGACAUUGAUGUUACUAUUAAGCUUGACAAUAGGGACACCAUUGAACCUAUUGGGAUUGUUAGAGAUGUUGAAGUCUUGUAUGGGAAGAUUAAAUACCCUGCUGAUUUUCUUGUUCUUGGUUCCCCACAAGAUGAUUGAAAGUGCAACUAAUCCCCGGGUGGUUUUGGUAAUUAAUAACAACAUAUAUAUCAUUGAACUAAUGGUUACUUGAGAAUCAUUUCAGAGAGUUCAGUGAUAUGGGUAUGGCAAGGACUGAAGAAGUGGACCCCCUCAAAAUGCUAAGGCAAGCAUUGGCAAAAGCUCAAGACUCCAUUUUUGGUUUAGUGAUCCAAGAUCACAUUGAGUCCAUAGGAAAAGUCAAUACUAUUAAAAGGGGAUGAGGUUAUGACGAUGAUCUGGUUGCUCAAGUGCUUAGUGAUACAUCUCCUGAACUAUCAGCAACUUUCACUGCCAUAUACACUCAUAAGUAAUCUCGGUCCCACCGAUUUUCCAAACUCAGUCACACCAAGAUGAACCACCUCAGCCAUAAGCCAAACCCUAGCAAACUCGGAUUUUCCGAUUCUGAACUCGGUCUCACCGAAACAUGAGUUGCCAAGCUUCUGUAACCUUCUGUCAUCAAAUCGGUGUCACCGAGAUGAUGAAGUCGGUCCCACCGAAAUUGGCAUGCUCUUGUCAUUGCACGAAUCGGACUAACUGAGAUUGUAUUUUCGGUCCCACCGAAAAUCCCAACGUUCACAUUAUUUGAACUAUCGGUCUCACCGAGUUGUCAACUUCGGUCCCACCGAGAUUGCUCAAAUGUGUGUAACGGUUGGAUUUUGUGUGGAGGCUAUUUAUACCCCUCCACCCCCUCUUCAUUCGUGGAGAGAGCCAUCAGAAAGAACUACCACUCCUACCUUACAUUUCUGAGAAGAGAACUACCUACCCUUGUGUUGAGAUCAAGUUGCUCCACUCCCACCAUAUGAAGCUUGAUCUCUAGCCUUCCCAAGUUGCUUUCCACUCAAUCCUUUCUUCCACCACAGCCAAAUCAGUGAGGAGAGUUGAGUGUUGGGGAGAUUAUCAUUUGAAGCACAAGAGCAAGGAGUUCAUCAUCAUCUACAACAUCUAUUACCUUUUGGAGGGUGGUGCCUCCUAGAUUGGUUAGGUGUCGCUUGGGAGCCUCCAUCAUCGAGAUGUGGAGUUGAACCAAGAAGUUUGUAAGGGCAAGGAGAUCGCCUACUUCGUGAAGAUCUACCCCGAGUAAGGCUAGCCCUCCGUGGGCGUAGGCCAUGAUGGAAUAGACAAGGUUGCUUCUUCGUGGACCCUUCGUGGGUGGAGCUCUCCGUGGACUCUCGCAGCCGUUACCCUCCGUGGGUUGAAGUCUCCAUCAACGUGGAAGUACGAUAGCACCACCUAUCGGAACCACGAGAAAAAUCACCGCGUCUCCAAAAUUGCGUUUGCUCUUCUCCACCUCUCUUUACUACAUGUGCAAUUUACUUUCCGCUGCCUAUACUCUAGAAUUGCAUGUGUAGGGUGAUGCUUGACUUGAUCAUAAUUGUGAAUCUGCCAAAAACUGUUCUUUGUCAAAAGGCAGAAUUUUUAUAUUGUCAAGUAGUCUAAUCACCCCCCCUCUAGACAUACUUUCGAUCCUACAAGUGGUAUCAGAGCUUUGGUCUCCAUUGUAUUGGUUUCCAUUGCAUUGGACUCCAUAAGCUUGGUUUCACAACCUAGGAGAGUAUGGCGUCUAGUGAGGGUAAUUUUCGUAGAGGUCCUUACUUUGAUGGUACAAAUUUUGCUAGUUGGAAGCAUAAAAUGAAAAUGCAUAUUCUUGGUCAUAACCCAGCCGCAUGGGGCAUUAUUUGUGUUGGUAUGCAAGGUGAAUUCUUCGAGGAAGGAAAAGUUCCGGAUCGCGAAGCUACAACGGAAGAAUUGCGGAUGUUGCAAAACAAUGCUCAAGCUUGUGACAUUCUCUUCAAUGCCUUAUGUCCCGAGGAGUUCAACAAAAUCAGCCGUCUUGAGAAUGCAAAAGAGAUUUGGGAUACUUUGGUUGAAAUGCACGAAGGUACCGAGUCCGUGAAGGAAUCGAAGCUAGAUAUUCUUCAAGGUCAACUUGACAAGUUCAAGAUGAAGGAUGGUGAAGGAGUCGCUGAAAUGUACUCUAGGCUUGCUCUCAUCACAAAUGAGAUUGCCGGCUUAGGAAGCGAAGAAAUGACCGACCGAUUCAUCAUCAAGAAGAUUCUCAGAGCUUUGGAUGGAAAGUAUGACACCGUGUGCACUUUGAUCCAAAUGAUGCCAAACUACAAGAAUCUCAAGCCAACCGAAGUCAUUGGAAGAAUUGUUGCUCAUGAGAUGACACUUAAGGAUAAGGAAGAGCUUCACAACAAGUCAAGUGGUGCUUACAAAGCUACAAGUGAUGCUCCCACAACCUCAAGUGACAAGUUAGUUUCCAAUGAAGAGAUAAGCCUAAUGGUCAAGAACUUCAACAAAUUCUACAAGAAUAGAGGCAAAGAAAGAAGCUCAAAGUCUAGAUCAUAUGAUGAAAAGAGAUCUUCUAGUCGUGAUCGAAACUGCUACAAUUGUGGAAGACCCGGACACUACUCAAAUGAGUGUACGGCUCCCCACAAGAGAAGAGAAGAAUCUCCAAGAAGAAGAAGCUCAAGAGAUGAGUCACCUCGGAAAGAGAGAAGGAGUAGAGAUGAUCGUUAUGAACGAAGACCCUCUUGGAGAAGCAAGGAUUCGGAGAGGAAAGACAAGUCAUCAAGGAGCUACACAAGAAGAAAACAUCAAGCUCAUGUAGGUGAAUGGGUCUCCGGCUCCGACUCCGACAAUCAAUCUGAAGGAAGCUAUCACUCCGACUCCGACUACAGUCAAGAUGAAGGUGUUGCCGGUCUUGCUCUCGUAUCCUCCAACUCCAACUCCUAUGACUUAUUUGAUUCACCAAAUGAGGGAAUUGGAAGAUGCUUCAUGGCUAAAGGCCCCAAGGUAUCACACCCUGAAUUCAUUGACUUCAAUAGUGAUGAGGAUGACUUGCUUGGUGAAGAUGAGCUCUUGCAUGAUAAAUCUAGUGAGCUUAGUAACGAUGAACAUGCUAGUAGUCUUUAUAGUCGAGAAGAGUCGAAUGACAAUGCUAUGAAGGAGAUUGAGCGUCUAACUAAAGAACUAAACACUCUUAAGUUAGCUCAUGAAACAACUCAAGAAGAUCAUAGAGAGCUCCUAAGAUCUCAUGAGAAGCUACGCUUCGAGAAGCUCACUCUAGAGCAAGAACAUGAGUUUCUAAAAGCAAUCAAUGACGAUCUUCGAAAGAAGAGUUCUUCAUAUCUUGCCAAACGACUUCUCUUGUCUAAUUUUUUGCCACCCAUUAAGACUAAGCAUGACAAGCAUAAGAAAAAUUCUUCCUCUAGUAGUAACAAUAACCAUGCUAAAUCCAAUGUUGUUGCUUCUAGUAGUUCUCUUGAUUCCACUAACAAUGUUUCAAGCCAAGUUACACUUGAGCAAGAAAAUAGUUUAUUGAAAGGGAUCAUAGAGAAAGGUGUCUACAAGAGCCUUGCCGGAAGCAAGAACUUUGAGGAAAUUGUUCGCAAGCAAGGAAGGCACCGGAAGAAUCAAGGAAUUGGUUUUGAGCGAAAGUUCAACGUCGAAGGUGUUGAAUGGGAAGAAGGUCAAUAUCCUACUCCACAGUUUGUUCCUCAAAAGGAGAAGUAUGAUCCUACUUCUUCCAAUGUGGAACAAGCUCAAGAUGACCUUCCACCACAAGACCACAAGCUAAAAGGCAAGGACAAGAUUCAAGAGGAGAUUGAUGCAUUUGUUGAAGCACCUCAAGCCAGGGUCAAGUGGGUUCCCAAGGAAACGUCAAGUUCUACUUCGUCAAGCUCAACUACAACCCCAAGGAUUCCCAUCAAGAUGAUGUGGAUCCCGAAGAAGAAGAACUAGAAAGUUCUUGAGGGUGACUCCGCCAACAUACUUCAUUCACAUUCAUUUUGGCAAAAACUUGUGCAAUCAACUUCCAUAUCGUGCACUAGUUCAUGGAGUCACAAACCCUCUUGUUGGUAAGUCAAGGGACAAGGUAAUCAUUGCUUUCAUGGACAUCAUCUAUUGUGAACUUCAAUCUAUGUCCAUGGAUAUCCUUGUUUGUUCCUUGUGGGACUAACCCAUGUAGGUAUUGACAGUGCCCAAAUCCAAAGGAUAGCUCCCAACUCUUGAUGAUCUUCAUCAACAUUGAGCAUCCACAUCUUCAACAUCUACAUGAAGUCUUCUACGACAACCCAAGGUUAGUUUGACCCUUUAAAAGGGGUUCUCACAUCUAGGGGGAGCUUUGCUCUAAAAAUUGAGCGAAAGCAUCUUCAAAUGAUGUGAACACAUCAAUGCUUUAUGUAAAAGUGGUAACCCCACUUGUGCUUAAACGAUGAGUAUGACCUAUGAUCAAAUGUUCUCAUUUGGCUCCUAAGUCAAUAUACUCAUAUAAAGAUGACCUAGUCAUCGACAAAUUGUGUGUUAAUUGCUAGAGUUUUGGUUGUGCAUGUUUGACACAUAUUUCAUUUGCUAUCUUAUUGUGUGAGCAUGUUGGAUGCAUGAUUUUAUCCAUUCGAGGACAUCCAUUUGUUGUUUUGGUCGUUUUGAUUUUUCUGACCAAAUGGAUGGACAAGAAUGCCUAAGUACCUCCCCUAGCUAUCUAUGCUUUCUUGUCUCAAAUUCUAUUCAUGCUUACAUCACAAAUUUUGAACAAGUCAUUUUCGGACCCUCCGGGUGAGGAGCACUCAGAGCCACCGAUCCGUCAAGGGCUAAAUUUCCAAAACCUUCUAAUUGAUUUCGGUCAGACCAACUCACUCAAACUCGGUCGAACCGAAAGCAUUUGGACUGAUCUAGGUUUUCAUCUCGGUGAAACCGAGUUGUGAUUUUCGGCGUGACCGAAGUGCAUAACUGCCUAGCAGUUAUCCAUCUCGGUGCCACCGAGUUUUACAACUCGGUCCCACCGACAGCGAAGGGGUAUAUAUAUCCGAGGGCCGCGCGCGUUGAUUCCUCCUUCAAACGUUUCGCCCCCACACCCCUUGCUGUCGUCGCCCUGGUCUCCGGAUCGUCGCCGUCGUCGCCUGUGCGCCCUCGCCGCAGGUCUCCGUCGCCGUCAACGGACAUCUCCUCCGAGCCGUUGCCGCCGUAGAAAAACUCCACCAAGUUAGGGUGAGUUUUGAUCCCACUCGUGCUCCCAUCUCCAAUUCAAUGCACGUUUGGAUUGCCUAGUAUCUUGCCACGAUUGAAAUCCUCCUGUACACUAGAUUGGUUCGUUUGAACUAAAUUCGAGUAAAAGUUUUAGAGUUAGGUUUCCGCGGAACACAUCUCGGUGAGACCGAUUUUAUAUUUUCGGUAUGACCGAUUUGGCCUAUGGCCAUUGCACUGCACCCUUCGGUCCAACCGAGUUGUGCAAAAUCAGUGUGACCGAAAUGUACAUUCUGUGAAACCCUAGUGUUUUCGGUAGGACCGAAACCCACUUCGGUCAAACCGAAAGUGGUGUGUCAAGCUCUUGUUUAACACUUCAGAUUCACCGAAUCUUAAACUCGGUCUAACCGAAAUGUCUUCUGUGAAAACUUAAUACUAGAAUUUGAACUCAUUUUGUUUGCAAAAACUUCUGCAGUUUGUGAUGACUCUUCUUCUCUGCCUACACCUUAUCUAUUCACAGGUUGUCAGCCAUGUCAGAUGCCAGUGACAGUCAGAACAGGUCAGAGACACCUAUUGCAGACAUUCCAGAGGCAGGCACUAGUCCUGAUCCUAGCAGCUCAUCUGAUGAUGGUGAGAGGAGUACACCAAGUGGCAUGCCUCCUGCAGCCACCAGAGCUAGAAAGAAGAGAAAUUCAGAUGAUGAGGAUUCAGAUUUUGUUGUUGAGGAAGAGGUAACCUCAAAGCCCAAAAGGAAGGUUGUUGCCAAAGAGCAACAAGGUCAACAAACUAAGAAGGGCACCAGCAAAGUCAAGCAGUCAACUGUUGCUAAGAAGCUGAAUUUGGGAGAGGCAGCUGCAAGCAAAGUGAAGAAAACCACCAAGAGAAAGAGGAUAGUGCAUGAUGCAGCAGUAGAGGAUGAGGAUGAGGAAGCACCCCAGCCUACUCCUCAGAAGCCGAAGCUCAUGGGUGAUGCCAUUAAGGCUGGAGCCACAUCCAAGCCCAAGAAAUCUGCUCCAGCUAAGGCAGCUCCAGCAAAGCCUGCUGCCAAGCCCAAGAAGACCGUCAGAAACAUUCCAGCGUCUGAAAAGAACAAGGAUGAUGUGCCACCAGCUGAGUCAGACGAUGAAGGACCAGUUUUGCUGAAACUUCGUCCAAAACUGCCACUCCAUGAUGAUGCUCAUCCUCAAGCUGAGGAUAUGAAGGCAAGGAAAGAUAGAGGUCUCAGGCUAUGGAGACAAACUGACCCAUAUGCCGUGAGGAGAAGAACUGCUGUAGAUCCCAGAUUUCACACCAGAGAGCAGCAGGACUUCUAUGAGACCGUGCUGAUGGACAAGAAGCCCAUAGUCGCAGACACAAGAUAUGUUGACUGGAAGUACAUUGACAGCGAAGAGCACAGAGAUUUCUUUUCACAUGUGCAUGAAAGUUUCACUGCAUGUGGAGUUGCAGACUUUGUAGGUCAGAAAUUGACCAGUUGGAACGAUGAGAUGAUAAUGCAAUUCUAUGCCACAGCUCACUUCUACCCUGAUGGAAAGAUCACGUGGAUGACUGAAGGUCAAAGAUUUUCUUCUUCUGUUGAAGAAUGGGCAGAAAUUCUGAAUGCUCCAGUGCAACGAGAAGAUGAUAUUGAUGUAUAUGGGAUUCCAAAGAAGAAUCAUGAAUCCAUGAAGAACAUGUACAAAGAGAUUCCAGCAGAGGAUUUGGGAAUCUGGAAGCUCGGCUCAGUCUACUAUCUCCAGGCAGGCUUACCUACCACUAAUACCAUUUUUAGGCAUACCUUGAUGCCCAAAUCUGGAGAUCAUCGCAUGAUCAGAGGAUACUCUAUCAACAUGCUGCACAUACUUGAUGAGAAAGCACCUUUCAAGGUGAUGGACUUGAUGGUAGAGACCAUUAAGAGGACUGCAGCUGACCAGAAGAGGUCAUGUGGAUUUGCCCCGCAGAUUCAGAUGCUUAUCAAUGCCAAGUUUGGCACGGGCACAUUCUUGUUGGAUAGAGAACACUUACCGUUGCAGCCAGAGCAUGAAGACAAUGUUGUUGUGAUUGAUGAGGAGGAUCCGACAUCAGUUGAAGGUCAAGCCAAGAUCGAAGCUGCUAAGAAAGCCAAAGCUGACAAGGAAGCAGCAGCAGCAGCUAAACCAAAGAGUUCCGGAGAGCAAAUUCUUGAAGCUACUCAAAGAAUUGAACAACGCCUGGCCAGCAUUGUACAGUCUCAGGAGAGCUUAGAGAGGAUUGUUGAAGACAAGAUCCACGCUCUGGACGUGAAGCUGACUGAAGUACAAGUAACCGUCAACAAGCUCGAGGCAGACAUUGAGGAAGCAAAGCAGGAGAAGGAAGAGCUUAUGCGUGAGAUGCAGGAUGACUUAGUCCAGGAUUCUCAUCAACAGACUGCUCCAGUUCCCACAGGACCCCGAUCAGCUGCUAUUCCAGUGACAGACACCAGGACUACAGCUUCAGCACCUCCCACAGUUCCAGCAGUUACUCCAACUCCAGCUCCAGUGUCCACUCCUCCAGCACAGACAUCAGCUGAAGCCUUCGCCGAUGCUGUCAUAUCCACUCCGACAUCAACCCAGACGGGAGCCGCCAGCAGAGUCCCCGGUGAUGCUUAGCUCUAUGCUUUUUCGAACUUUUUGGUAACUUGUUGCCAAAGGGGGAGAAAUUGUAUAGAUCAUAGGACUUCGAGAGAGAGAGUGUUGUUGUCUUUGCGCUUUUGCUCUUUCGUUCUUUUGCGGUUUCUUUGAGAUACUUUUGGUUUUCGAGACAUUCAGUGUGUUUGAUACUCCGUUUGAUUCUACCUUAAUGAGUGCUUGGUCGUACUAUGCUUUAAUGUGUGCUUAAUGCUUAUCAUAUGCCAUUCCUAUCUCGUAUGACCAUUUACUCAUGUCUUGGUGAUUGGGUGCAUGCUGUUCAUUCUUAUCAUUUUGUGCGCUCCACCAAGAUGUAUGUGACAUGGAAGAGUGACCCAUGAUCCUAAUCGAUUGUGCAUUUGCAUUCAAACACAAAUCUUAAAUAAUGCACAAAUUUAGGGGGAGCUCUUGCUUAUCACAUACUUCUCAAAGCGACGAUAUUAUUCAUUGAUUAUAUCCUUUGUCGAAGCUUUGAUCUAUAUGUUGUCAUCAAUUACCAAAAAGGGGGAGAUUGAAAAUGCAACUAAUCCCCGGGUGGUUUUGGUAAUUAAUAACAACAUAUAUAUCAUUGAACUAAUGGUUACUUGAGAAUCAUUUCAGAGAGUUCAGUGAUAUGGGCAUGGCAAGGACUGAAGAAGUGGACCCCCUCAAAAUGCUAAGGCAAGCAUUGGCAAAAGCUCAAGACUCCAUUUUUGGUUUAGUGAUCCAAGAUCACAUUGAGUCCAUAGGAAAAGCCAAUACUAUUAAAAGGGGAUGAGGUUAUGAUGAUGAUCUGGUUGCUCAAGUGCUUAGUGAUACAUCUCCUAAACUAUCAGCAACUUUCACUGCCAUAUACACUCAUAAGUAAUCUCGGUCCCACCGAUUUUCCAAACUCAGUCACACCGAGAUGAACCACCUCAGCCAUAAGCCAAACCCUAGCAAACUCGGAUUUUCCGAUUCUGAACUCGGUCUCACCGAAACAUGAGUUGCCAAGCUUCUGUAACCUUCUGUCAUCAAAUCGGUGUCACCGAGAUGAUGAAGUCGGUCCCACCGAAAUUGGCAUGCUCUUGUCAUUGCACGAAUCGGACUAACCGAGAUUGUAUUUUCGGUCCCACCGAAAAUCCCAACGUUCACAUUAUUUGAACUAUCGGUCUCACCGAGUUGUCAACUUCGGUCCCACCAAGAUUGCUCAAAUGUGUGUAACGGUUGGAUUUUUGUGGAGGCUAUUUAUACCCCUCCACCCCCUCUUCAUUCGUGGAGAGAGCCAUCAGAAAGAACUACCACUCCUACCUUACAUUUCUGAGAAGAGAACUACCUACCCUUGUGUUGAGAUCAAGUUGCUCCACUCCCACCAUAUGAAGCUUGAUCUCUAGCCUUCCCAAGUUGCUUUCCACUCAAUCCUUUCUUCCACCACAGCCAAAUCAGUGAGGAGAGUUGAGUGUUGGGGAGAUUAUCAUUUGAAGCACAAGAGCAAGGAGUUCAUCAUCAUCUACAACAUCUAUUACCUUUUGGAGGGUGGUGCCUCCUAGAUUGGUUAGGUGUCGCUUGGGAGCCUCCGUCAUCGAGAUGUGGAGUUGAACCAAGAAGUUUGUAAGGGCAAGGAGAUCGCCUACUUCGUGAAGAUCUACCCCGAGUAAGGCUAGCCCUCCGUGGGUGUAGGCCAUGAUGGAAUAGACAAGGUUGCUUCUUCGUGGACCCUUUGUGGGUGGAGCCCUCCGUGGACUCUUGCAGCCGUUACCCUCCGUGGGUUGAAGUCUCCAUCAACGUGGAAGUACGAUAGCACCACCUAUCGGAACCAUGAGAAAAAUCACCGCGUCUCCAAAAUUGCGUUUGCUCUUCUCCACCUCUCUUUACUACAUGUGCAAUUUACUUUCCGCUGCCUAUACUCUAGAAUUGCAUGUGUAGGGUGAUGCUUGACUUGAUCAUAAUUGUGAAUCUGCCAAAAACUGGUCUUUGUCAAAAGGCAGAAUUUUUAUAUUGUCAAGUAGUCUAAUCACCCCCCCUCUAGACAUACUUUCGAUCCUACAAUGAUUUUGUCCCAUUAUUUUUGGUAGACCCUUCUUGAAUACUGCUAGUGCUAUGAUUGAUUGUAAUAGGAAGGUUUUCACUGUUGGCAUAGACGGUACGUCUCAUGAGUUUAAUUUUGCCAAGUUUAGUAGACAACAACGUGAAAAGGAACCAUCUAGUAAGGAUGAAAUUAUUGGUCUUGCGUCCAUUGUUGUUCCUCCAACUGAUCCGUUAGAACAAUAUUUGCUAGACCAUGAAAAUGAUAUGUUUAUGAAGGAAAGGGAAGAAAUAGAUGAAGUGUUCCUUAAACAAGAACCUAUGCUGAAACAUAACCUUCCCGUUGAAAUCCUUGGGGAUCCUCCUCCACCCAAGGGUGAUACCAUGUUUGAACUCAAACCAUUACCUGAUAAUCUUAAGUAUGCUUAUCUUGAUGAAAAAUAAAUAUAUCAUGUUAUUAUUAGUGCUAACCUUUCAGAGAAAGAAGAAGAAAGAUUAUUGAAAACUCUGAAGAAGCAUAGAGCUGCUAUUGGAUAUACUCUGGAUGAUCUUAAGGGCAUUAGUCCCACAUUAUGUCAACACAAAAUUUCAGUGGAGAAAGAUGCCAAACCAGUUAGAGACCCUCAAAGACGAUUAAAUCUCAAAAUGAAGGAAGUGGUAAGAAAGGAGAUACUAAAACUCCUUGAGGCAGGUAUUAUUUAUCCCGUUGCUGAUAGUGAGUGGGUAAGCCCUGUCCAUUGUGUCCCUAAAAAGGGAGGUAUUAUCGUUGUUCCUAAUGAUAAAGAUGAAUUGAUCCCGCAAAGAAUUAUUACAGGCUAUAGGAUGGUAAUUGAUUUCCAUAAGUUAAAUAAAGCUACUAAGAAAGAUCAUUACCCUUUAACUUUUAUUGAUCAAAUGCUAGAAAGGCUAUCCAAACACACACAUUUUUGCUUUCUAGAUGGUUAUUGGGGCUUCUCUCAGAUACCUGUAUCAGCGGGGAAUCAAUCUAAAACUACUUUUACUUGCCCUUUUGGUACUUUUGCUUAUAGACGUAUGCCUUUUGGUUUAUGUAAUGCACCUGCUACCUUUCUGCCAUGAUUUUCGUUUUAGUUUAUCUUUUCGCUCGUUUAUCGGAAUCAGGCGAUUCAAGCGCAUAGAGUUUCAUCUUGAAGGCCUCAUUCUGUUUAACCAACUUAAACAAGUUUUUGCUACUGUAAAAUUUGACUUAAGUCUAGAUUAGUAAACGAAGCUUGUUUUUUCGCAGUUUGAGUUUCGUUGCUUCGUUUGAUCUAAUUCUUUUUGCAAACCGGAGUUCUUAAGUUGAACUUUCUGGUGAUCUUUUAUUUGAGUUUUACCCGUGCUUCUAGUUGAGUGCUUAUUGUAUGCUUGUUUGUUUGUGAUAGAGUACCCGGAGUGCGAAGCGUGCUACUACGAGUCUGUAGGUUUCACGGAUCAUAAAAAAGGCAAGUAACACUUUGAUCAUACCUCUUUACUACCCAGUUUUAUUGCAUUAGAUCAAUCCUCAAACAACUGCAUGGUUAGGAUCUGUUUAACUUGUGGGUUUUGGGAAGUAGAUGAGGUAGUACCUAUUGUCCUGUUUAUUAUCAAAUCUUUGGGAGUUACUUCUACUUUGCUUAUAUUGCUAUGCUAUGCUUGUAGACGUGGAUUGAGUGAGUGUAUCCAUCACAUAUGUGAGUGUUGUUAUUUAAUGGUUAACUUGACGUGGCUACUUUAAUACACAUCUGGGUGGAUUGAGGCACCUGGGGAACCUAGUGUUGCAUGCAUUUUUGGAAAUCCCAGGGUACCGUGUGAUUCUCCUAUGGACCGCCACCCAGGCUCAAAGGGAUCAUAAGAUAUUCAUGCUAGAAACUUCCGUGUGCAGCCACAAGCUAUUAUGGGCUCUAGCAUAGUUGAGUAUGUUGCAAGACCUCUUUCAGUGGUGGGCUAGCAGAUGUAGGGGAAAGUAGGUGUAACUGUCCACCCAGAGUAAAGAGUUAUUGUUUCAGAAAGACUGUGUCUCGUUUCUCCAACCAUGGAUGUAUUCGAGUCUUGUGGGGAAAAGUGCGCAAACCUCUGCAGAGUGUACAAACUAAUCAUGGUUAGCCGUGUCCCCGGUUAUGGACGUCUUGACUAUCUAGUUCUUGGAUUAUCAUGUGGAUCUCAUCACUCUUAAUAUAACUUGAUUGGGUUUAAUGAUGAUGCUUAAUUGGGAUUGAGUUGGGUGAACCUUCUCAAUGUUUAACAACCACCAUGAUAGUUAAAUAAACUUUAUUCCUUUGUUGUAGAGGAAAAUUGGCUUUAUGCAAAACUGUAACCAUAGAACUUAAUUUCCACCAACCAUGUAUGCAUGUAGUGAUAGCAUUAUUCUGUUCAUUACUCUCUUGUGUUACAUUGCCAGCAUAUUCCAUGUGUUAACCCGUUUCGGGCUGCAACAUUCAUGUUGCAGACUUUUUAGACGACGAGUAAGGUGCCUUAGGUUGUGAUCUUUCACUCAGUGAUGUCGUUGGAGUUGAUGGACUCACUUUAUCUUCCAAGCCUUCCGAUGUUAUCGUAUUUAGAUGGCCUUAAGCCAUAUUUAUUGUAAUAGGUUCUCUUUUGAGACAUUCGAUGUAAUAAGUGUGUGACUGCUACUCUGUUAUAAAUCCUUCAAGUACCGUGCAUGUCAGCAUUACCGAUCCAGGGAUGACACUGAUGCACAGAGAUCAGACUGUUUGAGGUCUGGUCACUACAAUUUGCCCUUAAUAGAUUUCUUGAUUUUGAUCUAGAGAAGAUUUAUAUGUAUUGUGCGGUGAAUUGCACUGAAAAUACUUAUAUUGUCAAUUACCUAAAAAAGAAAGCAAAUAGAAGAUGAAGAGAACACUAAUGAAAGGGAAGAGACUUCCCAAUAUCCUCCUAUUAUUUCUUAUGAUGAAUCGGGUAACGAGGAGGAGCUUUCUAUUCAACCAAUCUCAUCAAUAAGGAGCUCAGAGAAGAAGGUUGAACCCACACAUAAUGUGAAGAAGAAAAAGAAAAACGGAGAAGCAAAGGUAAAAAGGUAUCCCUCCCAAAUGAUGUUGCUCCUACUACUCAUUGUGAUGAUGAUAAUUGCUAUGCUAUUGGUGCUAUCCAUACUAUUAAUGAUGAGAGUGAUUAUGCUUAUGAUAUGAAAAGGCCCAAGCUUGGGGAAGCUGUGUUUAAUGAGGAUGAGAUAUUUGAGAAUAUAUUUUCUGAAAUUAAUGUUUGUCCCAAGCUUGGGGAUGCUACGUUUAAUGAAGAUGAUAUUUUUAGCCUCCCAAGUUUUGAUAUGAAAAGUUGUUGUGGUGAUAGCAUGCCUCUUACCUAUGAUGAUUAUAUUGAUGAAAGUGGGUUUGGAAGAGUGUCAACUUUAGGAAGUAAUGAUCCCACUAUUUUGGAGGAUGUUGAAUCUUAUUGUGAUGAAUAUGAAAGUGGAUUUGGAGAGGUCAUGACUUUAUUUAGUGAUGAUUCCACUAUUUUGGAAGAGGUAUCAAUUGAUUAUGAUGAGAACAAAUUUGCUACUUAUGAUGAUUAUUGUGAUGAAACUUAUGCUAUAAAAAGUAGUGAUGAUUAUAUUUAUAAAACUUGUCAUGAUUAUGAUUACCAUUUUUCUGAACAUUACUCUUUUAAUGUGGAAACAAUUUAUAGUAUUCGAGUCUCUAAUGAUACUCCCACUAUUCUGAAUGAGAAUAAUUUUGCUUAUGUGGAGAGUAAUAAAAUUUCUAUGCAAGUAGAUCAUGAAAAGAAUGCUUUAUGUGCUGGUUAUAUUGUUGAAUUCAUUCAUGAUGCUACUGAAAAUUAUCAUGAGGGAGGAACAUAUGCUUGUAGGAAUUGCAAUAAUAUCAAGUUUCCUCUCUAUGUGCUUAAAAUCUUGAAGUUAUGCUUGUUUUGCCUUCCUAUGCUAGUUGAUUAUUGUUCCCAUAAGUUGUUUGCUCACAAAAUUCCUAUGCAUAGGAAGUGGGUUAAGCUUAAAUGUACUAGUAAUAUGCUUCAUGAUGCUCCCGUUAUGUUUCAACUCUUAUCUUUUAUGUGAGCAUCAUUGUCAUCAUCAUGCCUAGCUAGAAAGGCAUUAAAGAAAAGCGUUUGUUGGGAGACAACCCAAUAUUUUACCCUUACUGUUUGUGUGUGUUCACAUGAUUAUGCUACUGUAGUAAUCAUGUUUUAUAACUUUUGUUUCAAUAAAGUGCCAAGUAAGACCUUUAGGAUAGCUUACGGUAAUAGUUGUGUUGAUCCUGCUGAAAAUCAGAAACUUUUGCACCUAGUAAAUUAGUUUUGAUAAUUCACAUAAACGUUAUUUUGAUCUGAUUCUUUUUGCUAUGGAUUGGUACACAAAUUUCUUAGUACUUACUAAUUUGGUAUGAUUUUUUGAGUUCCAUAAGUAUACGUUUGAUAUAGAUUACUACAGACUGAUCUGUUUUUGACAGAUUCUGUUUUCUAUGUGUUGUUUGCUUAUUUUGAUGAAUCUAUGAGUAGUAUCGGAGGGUAUGAACCAUAGAGAAGUUGGAAUACAGUAGAUAUUACACCAAUAUGAAUUUAGAAUGAGUUCAUAACAGCACCUAAGUGGUGGUUUUAUUUUCUUAUACUAACGGAGCUUACGAGUUUUCUGUUGAGUUUUGUGUUGUGAAGUUUUCAAGUUUUGGGUAAAGAUUCGAUGGACUAUGGAAUAAGGAGUGGAAAGAGGCUAAGCUUGGGGAUGCCCAAGGCACCCCAAGGUAAUAUUCAAGGACAACCAAGAGCCUAAGCUUGGGGAUGCCCCGGAUGGCAUCCCCUCUUUCGUCUUCGUUCAUCGAUAACUUUACUUGGAGCUAUAUUUUUAUUCACCACAUGAUAUGUGUUUUGCUUGGAGCGUCAUUUUGUUUUAUUUUGUUUUGCUUGUUGUUUGAAUAAAAUACAUUAGAUCUGAAAUUCUUAAAGGAGAGAGAGUCUUCACAUAGUUACAUAAUUAUUUAACUACUCAUUGAUCUUCACUUAUAUCUUUUUGGAGUAGUUUGUCAUUUACUCGUGUGCUUCACUUAUAUCCUAUGAGUAAAUGGUUGAAUGAGUUGAAUGUCAUAAAUCUGAAAUUAUAUAUGUUUCAUAUGCUUACCCCGUUGGGAGUAAUGACUUCAUAGCUAAGAAAUAGAGGUAGUAAAUUUAUUGAAGGUUAGCAAUCAUUAUAUUGGUCACUUGAACAAUUCAUGAAAGAAUAUUGAAGGAAGAGAGAUUUCACAUAUAAAUAUACUAUCUUAGACAUCUUCUAUGAUUGUGAGCCCCAUUAAUUAUUUUCAAACCUGAGAAAAUUAGUUGAAAUUGAACAAGGAAGACAACGUAAUGAGUUAUGUUUGGGUGUAUUUGUAUAGAAGUUAUAUUGUUAUAGAUCCUCCAACAUGUGGUGCUUGUUGUUUAGAAUCCUUUGCUAUCCAAAUAUCUGUACUAAGCGGGAAUACUGCUUGUGCAUCCAAAUCCCUUGAACCAAGUUUCUUUCAUGAGUGUCCACCAUACCUACCUAUAUGCGGUAUUUACCUGCCGUUCCAAGUAAAUUUGCAUGUGCCAAACUCUAAACCAUCAAAUAAUAAUCUGUUUUGUAUGCCCGAAUCGCUCAUGUAGCGAUUAGGGGUUGUCAGUAUCUUCCAUGCUAGGUGGGUUAUUCUCACGAUGAGUGGACUCCACUCAUCAUUCACGAGAAAAAUGGCUGGUAUCCGGGAUGCCCAGUCCCAUGAUCAAAAGAUCAAAAUCAAAUCAAAAAUAAUUGCAAACAAAACUCCCCUAGGAUUGAUGUUAGUUGGAGGCACCUGUUGUUUCAGGCAAGCCAUGGAUUGAUGAUUGUUGGUGGAGGGGGAGUAAAAACUUUACCAUUCUGUUUGGGAACCGCCUAUAAUGUAUGUAGUAUGGAAGAUAUUGGGAACUCUUGGUUGUUAUGUUGACAAUAAAAGCAUAUCUCUCAAAAUUAUUUUCAUCUCUAUUUAAAAACCGAGCUUUGUCACCUCUGCAAAUCCCUGCUUCCCUCUGCGAAGGGCCUAUCUUUUACUUUUAUGCAAGAGUCAGUAGUAUUCCUUCUCAUUCCUACCUACUCUUUAGUUGGCAAGCAUCGUGUGUUGGGGAAAGAUCUAAGCAUCUAUGGCCAUGCAAAUAUAUUUGAUCAUGAAUUAUUAUUGUUGACAAUUAUCUAUAUGAUAAGUGAGUUGGGAGGCGAAACACUAAGCCCCUAUCUUUCUCUGUGUUCGAUGGAUGCUAUUUGUUCUAAGAAUAUGCUUUGAGUGGUAGCAAUCAUGGAAGACUAUAUGAUAGUUGAGUAUGUGGAGUUUUGCUAAAUCAAAGCUCUGACAUAGACCCUUCCUGAAAAUAAGAUGAAUUGUAAUUGUUUGAUGACUGAGAAUGAAGUUUGCUAGUUUUCAAGAAAGUUUAUGGUCUAUGCUUUAACAUGUGAAUAUCUUGUUACUUGAUCUUGAGAAGUUUUAUGAGAUGAACUACUGUUAUGACAUAUAAUCAUGCUAGAAAAGGUGAUUGAAAUUACCAUUGAUCAAACUUGUGCACUUGCUAGCAUUCACACUUCAUAAAUUCUUUCUUUUAUCAUUUACCUACUCGAGGACGACCAGGAAUUAAGAUUGGGGAUGCUGAUACGUCACCAACGUAUCUAUAAUUUAUCAAGCAUUCAUGCUAUUAUAUUAUCUGUUUUGGAUGUUUAUGGGCUUUACUAAGCACUUUUAUAUUAUUUUGGGACUAACCUAUUAACCGGAGGCCCAACCCAUAUUGUUGUUUUCUUGCCUAUUUCAGUGUUUCGAAGAAAAGGAAUAUCAAACGGAGUCCAAAUGGAAUGAAACCUUCGGAAAAGUUAUUUUUGGAACGAAAGCAAUCCAGGGGACUUGGAGUGCACGUAAGGGAAGCUUCAAGGUGGCCACGAGGCAGGGAGGCGCACCCACCUCCCCUGGGCGCGCCUCCACCCUUGUGGGCCCCUCGUGGCUCCCGUGACCGACUUAUUUUGCCUAUAUAUCUCCAUAUACCCUAAAAACAUCGGGGACAACAAUAGAUCGGGAGUUCCGCCACUGCAAGCCUCUGUAACCACCAAAAACCUCUCGGGAGCCCGUUCCGGCACCCUGCCGGAGGGGGAAUCCAUCACCGGUGGCCAUCUUCAUCAUCCCGGCGCUCUCCAUGACAAGGAGGGAGUAGUUCACCCUCGGGGCUGAGGGUAUGUACCAGUAGCUAUGUGUUUGAUCUCUCUCUCUCGUGUUCUUGAGGUGAUACGAUCUUGAUGUAUCGCGAGCUUUGCUAUUAUAGUUGGAUCUUAUGAUGUUUCUCCCCCUCUUCUCUCUUGUGAUGAAUUGAGCUUUCCUCUUGAAGUUAUCUUAUCGGAUUGAGUCUUUAAGGAUUUGAGAACACUUGAUGUAUGUCUUGCGCUUAUCUGUGGUGACAAUGGGAUAUUCACGUGAUCUACUUGAUGUAUGUUUUGGUGAUCAACUUGCGGGUUCAAUGAACUUAUGCACAGGGGUUGGCACACGUUUUCGUCUUGACUCUCCGGUAGAAACUUUGGGGCACUCUUUGAAGUACUUUGUGUUGGUUGAAUAGAUGAAUCUGAGAUUGUGUGAUUCAUAUAGUAUAAUCAUGCCCACGGAUACUUGAGGUGACAAUGGAGUAUCUAGGUGACAUUAGGGUUUUGGUUGAUUUGUGUCUUAAGGUGUUAUCCUAGUACGAACUCUAUGAUAGAUCGAACGAAAAGAAUCGCUUCGUGUUAUUUUACUACGGACUCUUGAAUAGAUCGAGCAGAAAGGAUAACUUUGAGGUGGUUUCGUACCCUACCAUAAUCUCUUCGUUUGUUCUCCGCUAUUAGUCACUUUGGAGUGACUCUUUAUUGCAUGUUGAGGGAUAGUUAUAUGAUCCAAGUAUGUUAUUAUUGUUGAGAGAACUUGCACUAGUGAAAGUAUGAACCUUAGGCCUUGUUUCCUAGCAUUGCAAUACCGUUUACGCUCACUUUUAUCAGUAGUUACCUUGCUGUUUUUAUAUUUUCAGAUUACAAAAACCUAUAUCUACCAUCCAUAUUGCACUUGUAUCACCAUCUCUUCGCUGAACUAGUGCACCUAUACAAUUUACCAUUGUAUUGGGUGUGUUGGGGACACAAGAGACUGUUUGUCAUUUGGUUGCAGGGUUGUUUGAGAGAGACCAUCUUCAUCCUAUGCCUCCCACGGAUUGAUAAACCUUAGGUCAUCCACUUGAGGGAAAUUUUCUACUGUCCUACAAACCUCUACACUUGGAGGCCCAACAACGUCUACAAGAAGAAGUUUGUGUAGUAGACAUCAAGGAUCACCAAGAACAAGCACAAUAUCAUCAUUGCAAUGACCAAUACUACUCACCCUAGCAUUACCUUCUGGAAAUCCACAUGUAGGUGAAGUAGAGAAAGUUGGGAUGGCAACACGGCCGGAGGUGGAGGAAGAACAAUCAUCCCUAAAAAUCUUGGAAACACCUAUUUAUCUUGAAGCUUUGUCCACAACUCAUGAGCAUCCCGGAACGGCAUGAGUUGAAAUAUAACUACAUUGAUCAAAGCAUCAAAAAGCACAUUAGAAGCUUGAGCAUUGAGAUAAGAGUUUUUCUCAUCCUCUAAAGAUAAUCUUCGGGGAUCCUUUGGAGGAGAAAAACCCAUAUCUACAUUUCGCUCUAAAUUUGGGUCCAUGACUCUAAAGAGAUUAAGCAUGUGAAUUACCCAAACAUCAAAAUUUGUGCCAUCGAAACUAAGAGUGUCAGAGAAUCCUAAACCCCUAGUCGACAUCCUUACUCUCUAGGCGGUUAAGCUCUAUAACGAGAGACGAGGUUGUGAUACCAAUUGGAAGAUCGUGGAAGUCGCCUAGAGGGGGGGGGGUGAAUAGGCGCUUUAAAAUAAUUACAGUUUAGGCUUGAACAAAUGCGCAAUAAACCUAGCGGUUAAUUUGUCAAGCACCAAACCUACAACAACUAGGCUCACCUAUGUGCACCAACAACUUAUGCUAAGCAGGAUAAAAAACUAAGUUAUAGCAAGAUAUAUGACAAGAAACAAUAUGGCUAUCACAAAGUAAAGUGCAUAAGUAACGGGCUCGGGUAAGAGAUAACCGAGGCACGCAGAGACGACGAUGUAUCCCGAAGUUCACACCCUUGCGGAUGCUAAUCUCCGUUUGGAGCGGUGUGGAGGCACAAUACUCCCCAAGAAUCCAUUAGGGCCACCGUAAUCUCCUCACACCGUCGCACAAUGCAAGAUGCCGUGAUCCCACUAAGGGACCCUUGAGGGCGGUCACCGAACCCGUACAAAUGGUAACCCUUGAGGGCGGUCACCGAACCCGUACAAAUGGUAACCCUUGGGGGCGAUCACCGAAUCCGUACACUUUGGCAACCCUUGGGGGUGGUCACCGGUACCCGUCAAAUUGCUCGGGGCGAUCUCCACAACCUAAUUGGAGACCCCGACGCUUGCCUGGAGCUUUACACCAUAAUGAUUGAGCUCCAAACAACACCAACCGUCUAGGGCGCCAAGGCACCCAAGAGGAACAAGCUCUAGGGUGCCUAAACACCCAAGAGUAAUAAGCUUCUCAAACUUCACUUCCACGUAUCACCGUGGAGAACUCAAACCGAUGCACCAAACGGAGUGCCCAAGUCCUUCUCUCCCAAAUCCCACCAAAGCAACUAAUGCUAGGGAGGAAAAUGAGAGGAAGAACGAAAGAAGAACACGAAGAACUCCAAGAUCUAGAUCCAAUGGUUUCCCCUCACUUAGAGGAGAAAGUGAUUUGUUGGAACAUGGAGCUAGAUCUCCUCUCUCUUUUUCCUCAAGAACUAGUACGAAUCAUUGGAGGGUUUGAGAGUUAGCAAGCUCAAAUAAGGUCAACAAUGGGGGAAGAACACGAGCUCAAGAGAGAAGGUUCAUUGGGGAAGAAGACCCCCUUUUAUAGGUGGGGAAAAUCCAACCGUUAUGCUCACCGCCCGCCCAGAGAGGUACUACCGCUCGACCUCACGGUACUACCGCUCGACCUCACGGUACUACCGCAAGGGGUAGCGGUACUACCUCAAAGGGUAGCAGUAUUACUGCUUGCGAGCAGUACUAAAAAAAUACAUCUGUGCCUACGACCGCUGGACUUGUGAUGAGUUUUUGGUCCGGAGCGGUAGUAAAAAAUUACAUCCGCUCCUGUCCGCGGUAGUACCGUUGCAGCCUUUCCAGAACACAAAAAAUGCCACAACUUCUGUAAACGGACUCCGAAUUCAACGAAACCAAGUUUGUUUGAAAGCUAGCAUCAAGGGCUAACACAAUAUUUAUAGAACUAACAAUAAUAAGGAAAUUAGAAAAGGCCCAAGAUAAAAUGGUGAGAACCCUUCCUCGAAAAGAUCGGUAAAACCUCCAACAACGAAAAUGCGAUAGAAGAGGCAUAUGAAAUCCGUUUUCGAAGUACUAGAGCUUGUCACGGAGAUAACCACAAGCUCUAAAAUCUCAAAAUAAAAAACAAAUAAGAAUCAAGAAAGAUGAUGCAAGGAUGCAAUGGUUUGAGCUCUCGACGAACGAUACGAUCAAGCUACUCACUUGAGAGCCCCCCUUGAUAGUACGACUAUCGAUCUUAUAACCCGGUCUGCAAACUAUCACCAUGAGACUAGUAAAAUAUAAAACCUAUCAAGGGCAAACCUUUGCCUUGCACGAAGCCCACUUGAGCUAGAUGAUGACAACCUUGACUCCCUCAAGUUGGACCACCUUUCUUGAUUGCGUUCGCUCGAUGAAGACUAGUUGAUUGCUCCCCCGUACUCCACUAUUGGUGAGCCACUCUUUGGCACAUCUUCACAAGUCCAUUGAUACCAUCAUGGACGGCAAGCUACAAGCAUGAUUUCUUCGUGAUGCUCCACUUGAACUUGCACAACACAACCUUGAUUUGAUGUCAUCCUCCAUGGGUUGUAUGUGAUCUUCCUCUUGAUGCAAGCCCAUGGAAGCAAACCUAACCCCACAUAGAACUCUCACAAAGACCAUGGGUUAGUACACAAAGCGCAAUGGACAAUGCUUACCAAACCGUGAGAUCACUUGAUCCCACUCGGUGUAUCUUCUACGCUUUGUGUUAUGAUCAACUUGAAUCGCUCUCUGUACUUAGUCUUGAUCAACCUUGACUCUUUCCAACUCUCUUCAUUUGGAUGAUGUCUUGAAGGUAAACAUGAAUGAUCACACAAUCUUCUUCUUUAAGACAUGCUUGCAAUAAGCUCAAUACUCACAUGACCAAUCUUUGGAUAAUAAUUAAUAACACCUUGGUCAACUCAUAAACUCCUUGAAACCAACACAUGUACUUCAAUAAAUGCCUAUGGACAAAUCCUUCAAAUAUAACUCAAUGCAACCAUUAGUCCAUAGAGAAUGUCAUCAAUUACCAAUACCACACAUGGGGUCGCCGCAUGUCCUUUCAUUAACCUUUACAUAGAUUAGCUUGGAGAGUCUCAAAGAUUUCCUUAUGCAUACACCCUUCAUGCACAAAUAAACCUAAAUAUCUAGGCCAUAAAAUUUAAUUACGAAUAUCACGGAUCCUUUUAACCUAAACACAACUUCCGAGCAAUUUUCGGAAAAAAUGAUGAAACCUUUGAUAAAUUGAACCGUCAUCACGACGUAAGUUUCAACAAACCUUUAACCAUUGUAGCCUACCGCUCAGAGAUCUGAAUAACAACAAUGAGUCAUCCGCAAACAACAUAUGCGCAAUAGUUGGAGCUCUUCUAAAAAAUUUAACCCCUUCAAAACCCUCCGCUCCACCGCUUUGUUCAAUAGAGCAGUCAAGGCUUCAACAAUAAAAAGGAAUAAAAAGGUGCAAUGGCGGUGCCAGGAAUUCAAUCAUGGGUAGUCAACUGAAUCUUGUGUAGUCAGAAGCAUGCAUUUGUAGGUAUUUUUGCAUGAUGUCUAUUUGUUGUAGGAUGUGUUUUGCAAAGAGUUGUGUACUCAAUGGACUACACAGCUCAUGUGUGGCCUCAUCACUGAAAAAGGGGCUUGAUGUAGACCACGCGAGGGGUCGAAGGACUCCAACAAUUUCUCAUUAAACUUCACAUAAUAUUCGCCGAAGACACAAGUCAUAACACGAGCAAUCUAGUGCUGGGAGUUCCUUUGAUCUAUAGAUUUUUCCAUAAUCUGUUGUUACUUGGGUGACAAAGGACGGAAAUGCAUACCCUCUUUUCCAAACUAGCGUCCCAAAGUUCCUUUGAUCUGUAAUUUUUUCCAUAGAGACUUUUGUCUCACGUUGGCCGUGAACCCGUGACUAAAGUAGAUUUAUGUUAUUACUUGGGUGACAAGAGAGUUUAGGGUGGUCAAGGUGCAUAGCUUUAAUUGGGAAAUGAGAAACUUGCAAUCAGUUGAUUUUUUCUCUCUAUAUCAAUGCAUGUGCAUUCAACCAUGUAUCUCUUCAUGUACACAAAUGCAUAUAUUGUGCAUGUAUACUUUAACAAAUGAAUAAUUAAUUAUCGCAAAAAAUACAAAUGGAUAAUUAAAUUAUCUGUUAAGACGGAUCUUGAUAGCAUCAUAUACGUGAGUUUUCUCCCAUGACAAUGCAUGGACUCACGAGCUAAACAUGAAAGAAUUUUUUUCUCCCGUUGCAACAAACGGGCAUGUUUGCUAGUGUGUUGUACAAAUACAAAGAAACACCCCGAUAUAAAUUGAUCGUGGAAACCAGGGAAAAACGCUUUCCAAAUUGUCCCGGCGAUAAGGCCCUGUUUGGUUUCAAAUAAGUCACCAACUUAUAAGUCGAAAAGUGCAAAAAGUGACUUAUUUUGCCAAACGGCCCCAACUUAUAAGUCAUCCCAACUUAUAAGUCAUAAGUUGCUCCACCCCAACUUAAAACUUAUAAGUCACCUCCUUUUGCAUGGGUCCCACCACAUACAUGAUGUUAAUUGGUGUGGAAAGGUGUGGGAAGGUAAAUUAUAAGUCAGGUGACAACCAAACGGGUGUGACUUAUAAGUCACUGGUUUUAAGUCACCUGACUUAUAAAUCAGGGGACUUAUUGGAACCAAACAGGGCCUAACAUUAGUUGAAGCCUUCCGAACCACGCCUCACGGGCCCACCGGUCUGAAAUCCAUCCGAAAUUUCGCGGCAGCGAGCACCUCCCCGCGCAGGAAAAAUCCAUCAAAAAAACUGCUGGGUCCCCCUGCCAGAAACCCACCGAGGCGCACCCCUCCUGGCAUCCCGGCACCCCGCCUCCUCCUCAGAAAAGAAACACACUUCGCCCGCCACGUCACCGAUCCGCGCCACCCCUCUUCCCCAUUCCGCACCACCGAUCUGCCAUCCGACGGCCGGCACCCCGCAUCACGCGGAUCGCGGCCGCGCCCCUGGCCCCAAACCGCGCGGCUAUAAAUCUACCUCGCCCCGCACGGCCCAACCAUCAGCACCGCAGCAGCCACCUCCCAAAGACAAGUCAACCUCACCGAGGAGAAGCAGAGAGAAGGGAGAAGAUGUCGGGGCGCGGUAAGGGAGGAAAGGGGCUCGGCAAGGGCGGGGCCAAGCGCCACCGGAAGGUGCUCCGGGACAACAUCCAGGGCAUCACCAAGCCGGCGAUCCGUCGUCUGGCGCGGCGGGGCGGCGUGAAGCGCAUCUCGGGGCUCAUCUACGAGGAGACCCGCGGCGUGCUCAAGAUCUUCCUCGAGAACGUCAUCCGCGACGCCGUCACCUACACCGAGCACGCCCGCCGCAAGACCGUCACUGCCAUGGACGUCGUCUACGCGCUCAAGCGCCAGGGCCGCACCCUCUACGGCUUCGGCGGCUAGGCCACCGCCAGAUUAGCUAGCCUGUGUCUAGGGUUCGUUGUCCAUGAUGUAAUUGCAGCAUCUCGCUGUUGUUUGCUAUCUUCUGUAGAAUCGAAUGGAAUGGAAAUUGAACUAGUUUAUCAUUGGAAUCUGUUGCGUCCGUCAAUUCCCUAUUAGCUGGCUCUCCUGCUCAAGUCGGUCGUUUUUUUUGGUGCACGCAAUUCGAACGUAUCUGGCCUGUGAAAUCCACACUCCAAACUUAUCCCAAUUCCAAAUCCAUCGAGUAAUAACUUGCGGGCACCGAUCCACCUCCGUUGCAGAACGCACAAUGCUUUGGAAUCGGUACCGAUUCCUCCGUACCGAGGUUCCCGUUCAGCAAUUUCGUCGAGCACCUGAGGUUCGUUGUGUUUUCCUUGCCGCCUUGUCUUUUGACGGCAUGGAUGUUCAUUACUCUGCUUCUGGAGCAGGUUGCGUUGCCGCUCACAACAGAGUAGGAGGCAGGUGAUCGUGCUGGAGCCUUGGAACCUGCUGGGAUUGCGUGCAGUGCUGGAGCGAUCCCUCGGUACACAUCUGCCUUGGCUGCCUCUGUUGUCUUCCCAAACUUUCUCAUGAUUAAUUCUGCUUCAUGGCUUAAGUAACCACAUGAAAAUCUGCUCCUCUGAUAUAACUAAAUUCUUUUUAACUGUAAUUACAAGUUAUAAGUCAUGAGACACGAUUAGCUGGCCUGACCAUUUGAAUUGUGAUGGGAUGGAGCUGAUUCUUGGCCGAAAGUGGAUUUUGACUACCUGAUCCAAUUUGUUGAAUUACAUUAACCAGCGGCAGGCAAAGCCCAUGCCCCAGCUCCAGAUCACAUUAGUAGCUAGGGUUCUUGAAUUGCAAUAACCAGCUGCUGUUUGCUCUGGUCUGUGCUUCAUGUUAGGAUGUACGAUGAACCGGCUACUGCUUGUUUGAUGGAAUGGAUGGGUAGUAGUAAAUUUCAGUUGUUUACUGUGUUCUGCUGUUUGCUCUGGUCUGUGCUUCAUGUUAGGAUGUGCGAUGAACUGGCUACUGCUUGUUCGAUGGACUGGAUUGGGUAGUAGUAGUAAUUUCCAGUUGUUCACUGUGUUAGGAUGUACGAUGAACUGGCUAUUACAUGUUCGCUUGAAUGGAUUGGAUUGUUGUGAAUGUUAGGCUCUUUUGAUCUACAUUUGUGUAUUCUUCCUUCUGCCCCCAAACCAACCAUGUUCACGCAAGGAUACGAUUCGAACUGUCUUUGCAUUUUGGCAUCUUAGCAGUCGAAUUUUCACGGCGACUAGUUGCAGAAGCAAAGUUCAGUUCAGAAUGCCUUGUGGUUUGCACCUUUGUUGCUUUACUGCCUUCUCAAAAGUUGUCAUGAUCAAUUAGCUUGUCUGUUCUGAAUCUCUGAUGCGUAACUUUUCUCAUUGCUGUACAACUGUAGGGAGUGGUAUUCUGUAUUCAAGUUUUUCUUUAUGUACUAAGGAGUACUAAGAUAAGUCAAUAGUAAUAUCCUUCACCCAUUUUUUCCUAAUAUCAUCUUUACCCUUUUAUAUGUUUUCUUUUCACAAGUUUGUGAGUUAGCCCUUGCUCCCUUUGCUUUUAUCUUCUGUGGACCCCAUUUUGGUGUCUUGGACUUCUCAUACUGUUGCAGGCUUCUCAGUUGGCCAAUGUUUUCUUUCCUUUCUGCAGUGAUUUAUAAGCGUUUUUAAAGAUUUGCCGAACAAGGUACUAAGAUCAUUUAAAAAUAGAACCACUUUAUUAGUCACUCCAUUGAUGUGGUUGAGAACUGUUAUUCCUUCACAAAAUAAGCAGUGCAAACUUUGGCUCAUAUUACCAUGGCAGCAGCAAAUCGUAUGAUGAUUUGCUGUGUAAUUCAUUUGGUCUGCACAUGUUCGUCAUUUACAUAACAUAUUGGGCUGGACAGCGGACUGUUUACCAUUGAUUCUUACUAUUUCAUACCCACAUUUUAGCUUCGUCAUGGUUAUUUUGCCAUAAUAAGAUUGGGAUGAUUGUUGAGAUAUGAGGUGUGAACUUCUUUAUGUAGACUAUACUCUAUAGCAUUUUGAUGUCAAGAGCUGGGCUAUCCAAAUGACAACAUAGGUAUGUUGUACUUAACCCAACAUCUUUUUAUCCUGUCAGUAGAGGAACUAAAAUAAAAUAAAAUGUUCGUAGCACUCCUAUGACUUCUUUUUAUGCUUUGGACCGUUAUACAGGGUUUUCUAAAUUUCAUACAAGAUGCAUGUAAAGAUACAUCAAAUGAAAUUUACUUGUGAUUUUCAGUAUAUAGUAUAGCAAAUAACUGCCCUGUUCUCUCUUCUUUCGCUGCCUCAGGUUUUGUGUGUGGGAAGGGAACAGUGCACGAAUGCUCCAAAAUAACUUGAGGGAAGCAACUAGACCUCCCCCAACACCUUGAAAGAGCAAAAAACAUCUUAGGAGAUGCACUAAUUAAAAUUUAUUAUGGUAAUCUGUAGAGUUAUUUCCUGUAGUUAAGCUAACAACAAAGUGGCUAAAACAAAGACUUGUUGAAAUCAUCUAUAGAGCCCUGAAGGUAUCUGCUUUUGUCUCUUCUUUUGCUUUGAAUAUAAUAGUGAAAAAUGUGCUCUUGUCUUAUGCAAAGGUCUGCAUAAUCAGCAGGUCCAUAUGGCUGGAACCAUUCAGCCAGGAAUCCUUUCUCUCUGAAAUCAUUCAAAAGUGGGUUCAUGCUUUUGAUAUACAUUACUUCACUAAGAUCUUGCAAUAGUGCAGAAUAUGUAUAUAUAGUUUUCUAUUGAAUAUUUUUCACUUCGAAUGUAGGCUCCAUUUAGGGAACUAAGCAGUGUGAUUUCUUACUUCCUAACCUCAUUAUUAGUUCACUUUUCCCCUUAUUUUUCCGUGUUACAACUGUUAAGCGGUGGUGCAGUUCUCUAGGAAAAAAAUGUUCUCCCUAUGCUAGUAUUUAUUGUCCUCCAAGCAUGCCAAGCUGAAAAAAUUGUCCAACCUGUACCUGUACAGAGGAACUGAUGUAUCUGAUGAUCCUGUCACUAUAUCUCUACACCAGUUUGUUGCGAAGAUGUCCCUAAGCUUCUGGUCUCCGCUGAAUCCUGUUGCUAGAAUUAUAAUAUCACUCUUUAUGCAUUCAUUUCCUUCCUCCAGGAUGAUCCCAUUACUGCAGAAGCUGAACCUCUUGGAUUUCUCAAGAAUAACGCUACCCUCAUCAACCCUGUCAUGAAAACCUAUUGCCAGCAUUGCAAUCAAACACGAAGACAUAGCAAAGGAGAAGCUGUAGUCAGGACUCCCUUUAUCAUUGUCCGCGGACACGACAAAUACCGUGUCUUUUUAGAGGAUAGCGUCGAAGACGACUGUAUACAAUGCGAGAAAGAAACACCCAUAUAUCAAUUGAUCGUGGAAAACCCAGAAAUACGCUUUCCAAACUGUCCUAGCAACAGCCUGAGUUUACGUCUCCGAACCAGAAAUCCGUCCAAAAUUUCGCGGCAGCGAGCGACGCGCCCCGCGCAAAAAAAUCCAUCCAAAAACUGCGGGGUCCCACCCGCCAUAGACCCACCGAUGCGCAGACGCUCCUCGCAUUCCCGCACCCCGCUUCCUCCUCAGAAAAGAAACACACCUCCGCCGCCACGUCACCGAUCCGCGGCACCCCUCGUCCUCGCUCCCCUCCAUCGACCCCCCAUCCGACGGAUCGCACCCCGCAUCACGCGGAUCGCGGCCGCCCCCGGGCACAAAGCCAGCAGCUAUAAAUUCGCCUCGCCCCAGAAGCCUGCUCCAUCCACCUCAUCGCUCUACACCUCACAAAGACAGGUCAACCUCACCGAGGAGAAGAAAGGAGAAGCGAGAAGGAUGUCGGGGCGCGGCAAGGGAGGCAAGGGUCUGGGCAAGGGCGGCGCCAAGCGCCACCGGAAGGUCCUCCGCGACAACAUCCAGGGUAUCACCAAGCCGGCGAUCCGUCGUCUGGCGCGUCGGGGCGGCGUGAAGCGCAUCUCGGGGCUCAUCUACGAAGAGACCCGCGGCGUGCUCAAGAUCUUCCUCGAGAACGUCAUCCGCGACGCCGUCACCUACACCGAGCACGCCCGCCGCAAGACCGUCACCGCCAUGGACGUCGUCUACGCCCUCAAGCGCCAGGGACGCACCCUCUACGGAUUCGGAGGCUAGGCCACCACCGCCGCCAGAUUAGAGUGUCUAGGGUUCGUGGUCUUUGAUGUAAUCGCAGUAUCUCGCUGUUGUUUGCUAUCUUCUGUAGAAUGGAAUUGAAUGGAAAUCGAACUAGUUUAUCCUUGAAAUUCUGCAGUCUGUGUCUGAUUCGUGAUAAAAUCGUUCUAUUGCGUUACCUGAUUCCCCAUUCUGCGCCUCUAUCCUUAACCCCAAAAUCUGUUGUAUUGGUUUAUGUUACGAACCGCAUCGAUCUUAUUCAAAUUCCAAAUCCGUCGAGUGAUAAGCUUCAGGCGUCGACAUUGGCGCAUCUGCGUUGCAGGUACGAACUCCCCAAACAUUUGUUCCCGUUCAGCAAUUUUGUCGAGCACCUGAUGUGCAUCCAAGGCACAAGUUCUCGUUAAUUCGCAUGCCUUCUAUUUCUGGAACAGAUUUGGGGCCGAGUUCGUGGCUGACCGCAGCGUACGAGGCGGACAGGGCUGAGAUAUAUUUGUCAUCGUGCUGCUGGCGGCUGGAGCUUUGGAAUGCGUCCGUGGCCAUGGGCGGCCCUGGAGUCGGGAUCGCGUGCGUGCCCCCCUCUACCUCUGCCUCCAACCUGCUUCGCUGCUCCUGCUGUCUCACGGUAUGGUGACGAUCUGCUUUGCUUACUCUGUUGUAGUUUUUCUGACUGAAAUUACUCAUGACCUACUGCUUCCGUGGCUUAACCGCAUUAGGAUGUGCUCUUCCAAUAGAACCGAGUUUCAAAUCAGAUAUGUGCUGCCCAUUUGAGGCUGUGACUCCUGGGGGUUGAUAACAACUCCUGUGGCCAGAGUAGCUGACCCUGACAAUUUGAAUUGUGAAUUUGUGAUGGGACUCGUGGUAGACAGCUGAUUCAUUUGGCUGAAAUUAGACUUUUACUUACCUGAUCCAACUUCUUGAAUGGAAUAAACAGUGGCUGGCCAAUGCCAGGCCCCAGCGCGCCCCCACCGACAGAUCAGAUUAGUAGCUAGGAUUCAUGGUUCGGCAGGCAGGCAGUCUCUUGCUGCUGUUUGCUCUGGUCUGUGCUUCAUAUUAGGUGUAUGAGGAAUUGGCUACUGCUUGUUCGCUGGAACCGAUUGGGUAGCUCCUAGUCUACAUCUGUGUACAUUUGUUCAGUGGAGUAAAUCUCAGUUGUUUACCUUGAAAAUCUCUUGGUGCUCCUAGUCUACAUUUGUGUGUUCUUCCUUCUGCUCCCCAAUUUCUUGUUCUGUGUGAUAAACUAAGCAGUUACUCCACUUGAGGUUGAAAACUGUUACUCCCAAAUUUGAACUAAAACCACGACACUUAUUUUGGAACGGAGAGAGUAUUUCUUAAGAAAGUAAAUUGUGUAAUCUUUGGCUCAUAAUGGAACGAAAUGCAAAGAUCCUUUGCGUUUUCUCGAAAAAAAUGAAGCGUAAAGCACCUUAGGAGAUGCUCUAAUUAAAAUGUACUGCAGAAAACUGUAGAGUUAUUUCCUGUAGUAAAGCGAACAACAAUCUUGCUAAACAAAGACUUGCUGAAAUAAUCUAUGGAACCCUUAAGGCAGCAGCUCUCGUCUCUUAUUCUUUUGCUAUGAGUACACUAGUGACAGAUAUGCUAUUGUCUUCAGCAAAGGCCUGCAUAAUCAGCAGGUCCAUAUGGCUGGAACCAUUCAGCAAGGAAUCCUUUCUUUCUUCUAGGGUUGCAUCCGAUGUCUUGGCACAACAAAUCAUUAAACCAAAUAUUCACUGUGCUUAUGCAAGAUCGUCGAAAAUACUUUCCAUUGUAAAGAUUCUUGUACUUUGUCCACUCUGCUACACUCUCUUCCAUGCGUCUUACGCUUGGCAUUUGGAAGCCACCAGCCAGGAAAUGGAUUACCCAAUUAGCCACCCUCUCUGAGACAUAUAUGUCGGUAAGGCUCUCAGAAUAUCCGACUAUUGCCAACUGAGGGAUUCGAGGAUGGAUGCAUUCUCUGUUAAUUAAUUCAAUCCAUUUAAUAAAUGAGAUUAGUAUGCAUAACACAAAGUAAACAUGCAAAUGUUACUUCCACCUAAAUUAAUGGUUUGAUUUUAUUAAGCUUGUUAUUUUUAUUGAGCCAAAGCAAGAGAUAGAAAAGCAGAUAACAACUUGAAAAGUGGGCGCAUCCUUUGAUACAUUACUUUGCUAAGAUCUUGCAAUAGUGCACUGUGCAUAAUGUAUAUAAUUUUGUACUGAAUGAUUUUUGCUUUGACUGUAGACUCCAUUUUGGGAACUCGCAAUGUGAUAUCUUACUUCCUAACCUCAUUAUCAGCUUACCUUUUCCCUUACCUUUCCGUGUUACAAUUGUUUAGCUCAGUGCAAUUCUUUAGGAAAAAAAUGUUCUCCCUAGCGUAUUGUUUAUUGUCCCCAAAUAUGCCAACCCAAAAAAUUGCCCAACCUGUACCUGUAUAGUGGAACUGAUGUAUCUGAUGAUCCUGCCACUAUAUUUCUGCACCAGUUUGCUGUGAAGAUGUCCCUAAGCUUCUGGUCUCCUCUGAAUCCUGUUGCUAGAAUUAUAAUACCACUCUUUAUGCUUUCUUCUCCAUCCUCCAGGUUGAUCCCAUCACUGCAGAAGCUGAACCUCUUUGAGUUCUUAAGAAUAAUGCUGCCAUCAUCAACCCUGUCAUAAAACCCUUUUGGCAGCAUUGCAAUCAAGCAAGAAGACAUAGCAAAGGAGAAGCUGUAGUCAGGUACCAUCCCAUGUUUUUGUAAAGGAAUCCUUUGCUUGAGGUAGGUUUCAAUUACUUUUGUAAUUGCCCAUCUCUGAAAACAACAGGAGUAUUGUGGAUUCAUGAGCUUUCUAUGCACACAUAUGAAAAUAAAUUGACUGUUGACUGCUUUCAAAACUCUAGUCAAGAAGAAAAUAACUGUUUACCAAGGGAGAGAGUGCACUAGCCAACAUAUAGUGGAGAAAUCCUUCACCGGGUUUAUGAACGAAUAAUUGCGAGAUGCGGUUAAGAUAGAAGUAAUUAAGGUUAACUCCCCACAUACUAAAUUUGUCAACCCGCCAGUGUUUUGUUCUGUAUAUCAUGGUGCACGGCUGAGCUGCACCUGCAUUGGGGCAGAAGUGUCAGACACAUAUUCUGAAUGAUUAUUGCUAGUUAGUGCGGUCUUAGUUCUCUUGGACUCACCAUUCACUUUGGCAACCUCUGCAGCAAUGUCAAAUGCUGAUUUUCCGGACCCAAUUAUUGUCACACUCUUCCCUUUAACAAAUUCAGCCGCAUUAUCCAUGUAAGAGUAGUCCAUAGAGUGCAAUAUUUUGCCCUUGAAGAAUUCAGGCCCUUUGCUCACUGGAAAUUCUGGGAUAUUUGGGGUUCCACUAUGCCUUCCGAUGCACAGUAUGAGAAAAUCCACCUGAAAAACCUGCAACAUGAUGUUACUUAUACAUAGUUACAGUCUGCAUGGCCUACAGAGUGAUUCCAGGCAUGUGCGAAUGCAUCAUAUUGUUCAAGCAGACUGUCCUAGUUCAUAUUUUCCUAGCUCAGGAUGUUGUUCCUUUAUUUCCAAUGAAUGAAAAAUAUCUGUACCAUUCGACAAAAAGCAUUUUAAUUGUCAUAUGGUUCUGUGAUUGUCCUUUCUUAGCAGUUACUAUGCACAUGUGUGGAGUCAAUUAAUAGGACUCAUCUAUACCAAAUAGUUAUUUACUACCACUGCACACCAUAGUGAAAACAAAAUUGAAUCAUAAUACCCCAUUUAGAUGCAACCUGCACCUGGGCUCUAUGUUUGUGCAUGUACAAACAUGUAUUCCGAAACUCGAACCAAGAUAGAUAUCCCAAGGGAUUGCAAAUACCUCAACUGCACCAAUUUUCAGGUCCUUCACUUUAAGGCUCCACCCUCCAUCUUUCCCAGCUCUGAACGCCUUCCCGUCGUCACCAGACCAAUGCUUCCACUCCAUAAUCUCUUCCUCGGUUGCACCAAAGUAUUCAACUCCAAGCACCUGGCUACUGAACUUGAUACACUUGAGGAGGUCAAACUCGCACGCGUACAACCUGAGGUAUUCCAUGACUUCAUGGUGGCCUGGGUACGUCGCCGUCACGCUGGCCGGCCAUGCCAAGUCCGAGAACCGGAACGAUGUCGUCGGCGCCUGAAGCCUUGUUGACUGCAAGGUAUGCGCCCACACUCCACCGAUGGUGUCAUCGGCCUCGAAUACCACCGGGCUGAACCCCUUGUCGAGUGCGUGCUUGCAGGCUGCUAGGCCGCUCACACCAGCACCAACAAUGCCCACCCUCUUCCUGUCCAUUUAUGCUGCUCCUAUUCAGAGUUCUUGGAAGGAAGGAGAACCUGAGGAUGAAGGUGAGAGAGUGUCUAUUAUGUAAACCAGGGGUGCUGGAUGAGGCUGAACUGCUGAACCACUACUUGCCUGAUAUCUUCCAUUGUUUUCUUCGUCUAUUUCUGUCAUCCUCUGUCCCCAUGUGCUAUUUUAUCUUCCGUCAGCUAUUUUUUUGUUUUCAGCUAUACAUGUACAGACGGCUAGCUGAUGGGUGAGUUUUAAAAUGAUUGCUAAUUUAUAUCGACAAACUAUCUCGUGUUGCAUGUUGAGGUGAUGCUGCAUACCUUACGGCCAGGUGGCAUCAGGAUGACCUCAGUAAUAAACCUGAAGGAAGUCACUUACAGCCGUAAGUAUGAGUCACGAAAGAACUGCUCACCCAGAGUGGAAGCUUUUAGUUGCCCAGCUGCGAUGGUUCGAUAUGCACUGUUUGUGAAUUUGACAACACUUCCGUGACAUGCGGGUUUGGUUUCAGAGGUGAGUAUCAUGAAGCUGGGCAGCUAAUAGUUUUUGGGUAGUCAUUUGGACCCAUUGACAUUUUUAUAGACGAUUAUUAUAUUCCUGAGUCCUGACAAAAAAAAAAGAUCAUUAUAUUCGGUGGUGGUGGUUACACUUGGUCGAAGGAGGGAAUCCCUUGAAAGCGACAAUCUAUAUGUCACAGUAGAGUAGCUGAAGUUCUGGGUUUCUGGGUUCAAAGUGCGCACACAUUGUUUUUCAGUCGUUAAUUCUGAAUAGUGUUGGAAAUCAAUUGACAAGUCCCUUCAGUUUUUAAUUUGACUGUGUGUCUAGUUGAUGCGCUCAUUUUUCAUGAGGAAAUUAAACAUAAAGCAUAUUGUCAUCUUCCUGAAACUGACACAGGAGAAUGGUUUACCGAUUGAAAAGAUUCCUGGAAGAAUGGUAGUAGUUUGAGUUCAAUGCUGACUUGCUGCACCUAUAUUCAGGAACAUGGCAGCAAAUGUAGUUUCAACUGAAGAGCUCAUUCUGUGACAUUCAGUUUGUACAAUAGUCAUCUGAUAACAAUGACCCUUGCAGCUGAAAUGGUCGCACAGAACGACACACUAGGUCACUGGCUAUGGCUGUUCAUGAAAUCUGCCUGCAAGUAUUGCUGGUGGUUGCAUUGUUUUACUUCCGGAUGCAUUGGCAGUUUCUGCCCCAAGUGCCCAGGUGCUGCAACUUAUUCAGUUACGUUUUUCAAAUAUAAUUUGUGAACACUGUCAGAUGCAAAACAAUCACGGUUGCUUCGGACUUCACUAUGUUUAAUCUUUCUGGAUGAGAACUAUAACAUGAUCUUGUGCUGUUUGUAGAUUUGAACCAAUCAAUGCAAGACUUAAGUCAUGCUAGUCCCUUCAGUUUAUUGAAUGGAUUUACUUGAUUCAGAGCGCUGAUUGCAAGUUUCCGAUGCUAAACCUGACUACGACGCACACAAUGUACUAAAGGUAGUAAAUUUUACUAAUUAUCUUGAGGCUACUCUACAUAGGUAGAAAGUAAUAUCUGCACGUUUCAAGCCAACUUCGCAUGAACUUUGUUUCCAAGACAUGUGUAUUUGUUCUUGUAGCUUUAGGACAUCUUCUGUUAUAUUUGUUAUAGCAUUGUUAUAGCAUGAUCAACAGUAAUAUCUUUACCUGUUUAUGUAUUCUUGAAGUUUGUCAGUGCCAGGCCGCCAAUCAAUGCCCUUGCUUCGGACUCUAUUUCGGUGUCUCGGACUUCUCAUGCUUUGCUUUUUGCAUGGGUUUAUUAGUUUUUUUAUGGGGACAGUAUGAAAAAAAAUCCUACUAGUGAAUACAGUAUAUAUUAUACAAUAAUAGGAACAAAAUUACACUUCAUAAAAGUCCAAAGGAUUCAAAAUCCAAAACAAACGAAAUAUUUUAGGAGCAAUAAUGCAUCCAGAAAAUUGUAGAAGUAAUUUUCUGUAGUUAUGGUAACACUAAAAUUUCCAAGACAAACACUUCCUAAAAUCAUCUACAGAGCCCUGAAGGUAGCAACUCUUGUCUCAUCUUCUUUUCCUAUUGAAUACACUAGUGAGAAAGGUGCUAUUGUCUUCAGCAAAUACUUGCAUAAUCAGCAGGUCCAUAUGGCUGAAAGUGAGGUGCUAUUACCUUCAGCAAAUACCUGCAUAAUCAGCAGGUCCAUAUGGCUGGAACCAUUCAGCCAGGAAUCCUUUCUUUCUUCUAGGGUUGCAUCCGAUGUCUUGGCACAACAAAUCAUUAAACCAAAUAUUCACGGUGCUUAUGCAAGAUCUGCGGAAAUACUUUCCAUUGUAAAGAUCCUUGUACUUUGCCCACUCUGCUACAUUCUCUUCCAUGCAUCUUACGCUUGGCAAUCGGAAGCCGCCAGCUAGGAAAUGGAUUACCCAAUUGGCCAUCCUCUCCGAGGCAUAUAUGUUUGUAAGGCUCUCGGAGUAUCCGACUAUUGCCAACUGAGGAAUCCGAGGAUGGAUGCAUUCUCUGUUAAUUUGAAACAUUUUAAUAAAUGAGGUCACUAUACUCAACAUAAGUAAACAUUUUAAAUUUACUUCGACCUACCUUAAUAUUUUGAUUUUAUCAAGCUUAUCAUUCUUUUCAAACCAAAACAUAUGAUGCCUACUAUGCUGAUAAUGGUGUUACACAAUUGAUAGAGAAGUACUUAACAACUUCUAAAGUGAGUGCAUGCUGUUGUUUAUGCUCCCUCCGUCCUAAAUCAAAGACACUUAUUUUGGGACGGAGGGAGUAUUAGUUUGCUAAGAUAUUGCAGUACUGCAGAAUGAUAUUUUCUUGUAUUGAAUAUAAUUUCCACUAGUGUAGGCUCCAUUUGGGGAACUCUGUGUGCGAUUUCUUAUGUCCUCACUGCACUAUUAGUUCACCUUCCCUUAUUUUUGUUAAGUGGUGGUGCAGUUCUUAAGGAUUUUUUUAUUCUGUAGCACAGUAUAUUGUCCUCCAAAUAUGCAACCAAAAAAAAGUUGUCCAACCUGUACCUAUAUAAAGGAACUGAUGUAUCUGAUGAUCCAACCACUAUAUUUCUACACCAGUUUGCUGUGAAGAUGUCCCUAAGCUUCUGGUCUCCUCUGAAUCCUGUUGCUAGAAUUACAAUAUCACUCUUUAUGCAUUCAUUUCCAUCCUCCAUGAUAAUCCCAUUACUGCAGAAGCUGAACUUCUUGGAUUUCUUAAGAAUAAUGCUGCCCUCAUCAACCCUGUCAUAAAACCCUUCUGGCAGCAAUGCAAUCAAGCAAGAAGACAUGGCGAAGGAGUAGCUGUAGUCAGGUACCAUCCCAUGCUUUUCUAGAGGAAUCCUUUGCUUGAAGUAGGUUUCAAUUACUUUUGUAAUUGCCCAUCUCUGAAAUAACAGGAGUUUUGUGGAUUCAUGAGCUUUCUAUGCACGAAUUGCUUAUAUGAAAUAAAUUGACCAUUGACUGCGUUCAAAACUCUAUUUAAGUUGGAAGUAAUUAUUUACCAAGGGAGAGAGUGCACAAGCCAAUAAAUAGUGCAGAAAUCCUUCACCAGGUUUAUGAACAAGUAGUUGCGAAAUGCGGUUAAGAUAGAAGUAACUAAGGUUAAUUCCCCAUAUGCUGGAUUUAUCAACCAGCCAGUGCCUCGUUCUAUAUAUCAUGGUGCAUGGCUGAUCAGCACCUGCAUUGGAAUAGUUGUGUCAGGCACAUAUUCCUUUGAACAAUUAUUGCUAGUUGGUGAGGUCUUAGUUCUCUUGGGACUCACCAUUCACCUUAGCAACCUCCGUAGCGAUGUCAAAUGCUGAUUUUCCGGACCCAAUUAUUGUCACACUCUUCCCUUUAACAAAUUCAGCCACAUUAUCCAUAUAAGAGUAGUCUAUAGAGUGCAAUAUUUUCCCCUUGAACAACUCGGGCCCUUUAUUAGCUGGAAAUUCCGGGAUAUUUGGUGUCCCACUAUGCCUUCCAAUGCACAGUAUGAGAAAAUCCACUUGAAAAACCUGUGACACGAGAUUGCUUACACAUAGUUGUGCUAUAGCCUACAGAGUGAUUCUGUGUACAUAAGGUAAAAAUGCAUUACAUUAUUCAAGCAGAUUUAUCUUAUUUGAGAUUUUUCUGGUCAGGAGAUGUAUUUAUGGAUUUUAUGAAUGAACAACAUUUUUAUACCACUCUAAAGAGAGUAUUUCUCGUUUGGUUGUGUGAUUCUUCUCUCUUAUUAUGCACUUACAUGAAGUCGAUGCAUAUGACUCAUCUGUGCCAACUGCCUAGCUAUCUACUGCCAUUCUAUAUUUCUAUACAUCAUAAUGAAAUCGAAAUAGAAUCAUAAUACCCCAUUUAGACGCAACCUGCAAUCUGAGCUCUAUGUGCGCAUUAGCAAGCAUGUCGAUAUCUGAAUUCAGAGGCAGAGCAAGACAGAUAUAUGAGGGUCCCAAGGGAUUGCACGUACCUCAACAUUACCAAUUUUCAGGUCCUUCACUGUGAUGCUCCACCUUCCAUCCUUCCCAGCUCCGAAUGCCGUCCCAUUGCCAGACCAAUGCUCCCACUCCAUGAUCUCUUCCUCAGUUGCACCAUGGUAUUCUACUCCCAACACCUGACUAUUGAACUUGAUACACUUGAGGAGGUCAAACUCGCACACGUACGACCUGAUGUACUCCAUGACUUCCCGGUGGCCUGGGUACGUCGCUGUCACGCUUGCAGGCCAUGCCAGGUCUGAGAACCGGAACGAUGUCGUAGGCGCCUGAAGCCUCGUCGACUCCAAGGUAUGCGCCCACACUCCACCAAUGGUGUCAUCGGCCUCGAAUACCACCGGGCUGAACCCCUUGUCUAGCGCGUGCUUGCAGGCUGCUAGGCCGCUCACACCAGCACCAACAAUGCCCACUCUCUUCCUGUCCAUUUUUACUGCUUUUCUUGAGGAUGGAGAGGAAAGGGUGUCUAUUAUAUAAAUCUUGGGUUUGAUUCUCUGGAUGGGCUAGAUAUUUUUAAAAUCUCAGGAUCUUUUGGGUGGCUGGAUGAGGCCGAACGAACCACCACUUGCUUGGUAUCUUUCGUUGUCUUCUUGGUUUAUUCCUGUCACCCUCUGACCACAUGUCCUGUUUUAUUUUCUUCAGUUAUCCUUUUUGUCUUCAGCGACACGCUGGGAGUAUGGGAUACGUGUGCAAGUAGCUGAUGUAUGAGUUUUUAGAUGUUUGCUAAUUUAUAGACCCCUUCCAAAUUUAAGUCGACAUCAACUGGCAUGUAGAGUUAACUUUGGAAAACAACCUCAUGUUGCACGUUGAGAUGAUAUUUCAUACCUUAUAGUCAGGUGGCAUCAGGAUUGCUCCAGUAAGCCUGAAGAGUCACUUACAGGUUACAGCCAUAAGUAUGAGCACCUGAUUUAUUGACUCAAUGGCAUGCUGCCACAUAAAACUGCCAACGCACCCAUUUUUGAUGGUUCAAGACGUAUUGUUUGUGAUUUUGACGACACUUCCAUGGCAGGUGGGUUUGGUUUCAAAGGCGAGCAUCAUCUAGCUGGACAACUAAUAUUCUUAGUAAUCAUUUGGACCCAUUUUUUAUAUAUGAUUAUCAUAUCCGGUGGUAUUCGAGGGAAUCCCUUGAAAGAGACAAUUUAUAUGUCAUAGUAGAGUACUUAGAGAUCUAAGUUCAAACCGUUGUUGUUUCCCAUGGUCCCUGGCUGCUACACUGAAAGCAUGUGGUGACGAUGCGGUGCUGUGGCGUGCCAGACUGAAGGAGGGAGACCGUUCCCAUAUUGAUAUCUGGCUGGCUGUUCUCAGGACCAGAUGAAAAGCCCGAUGGCUAGUCCGCCUUCUCCUCUUUCUGUAAACUCUCCCUCUCUGUAAUCUGACAUUCAGAGGCUUUGCGCCCUUUACGCAAUAUAUAUUCAGGUGGUGGCCCCCCCCCUCCCCCCACCCCCGGUGAAAAUUCAAAAAAAAAGUUGAUAAGUCUGCUCAAUUAGUAUUUUGAAGUAUAUGGGGAGUUCGUGAGGAAAUUGACAUGAAGCAUAUUGUCAUCUUCUGAAACUGGUGCUGACAAUGGUUUACCCAUUGGAAGGAGUCCUCAGAGGACGGUAACAAGUAUGAGUUCACAGCUAUCUUGUAGCACUUAUAUUUAGGAACAGAGCACCAGAUCUUGUUUCUGUUGAAGAGCUUAUUAUUCUUGGAAGUUGUACAUUUCUUGAAUGGUAUUUUUCUCUUCCAUUCAAGAGCAACAAUUGGCGUGACAGAUCUCAGUCAUGAACUGAUUGAAUUUCUGAUAUUACACAACCUUCUGUGUCUGAGAUUACAACACCCACAUCGCCUUUUUGCUGAGGCCACUUCUUCAGAUUGAUAUCGUUGUAAUCUGAUGGAAGAUAUGGCAUCAUCCACUGCAAAGAACUCUUUCUUUCUUCUGGGUAGCUUUCGUUGUUUUCUUCGUUUAUUCCUGUCACCAUCUGACCACAUGUCCUGUUUUGUUUUCUGCCAAUAAUUAUUCUUGUCUUCAGUGACUCACUGGGAUGAGUUGUAAAAUGCUUGCUAAGCUAUAGGUCUCUUUCAAAUUUAAAUCGACACCAACGUGCCAUGCAGAGUUAGCUUUGGAGAACUAUACCGUGUUGCACGCUGAGGUGAUGAUGCAUACCUUACAGCCUACCAAAUAGGUGGCAUCAGGAUUGUGCCUGUGAACCUAAAGCAAGUCACUUACAGGCAUAAGUACGCGCAGCUAAUAUUUGGACGCAAUGGCAUGCUGCCACAUAACAAAAUUACUUUCAAAUAUGUAUCCUUUGCAAAAAUAUAUUGAGUAAUGAAACUAGUUAGUUGCCAAAAUUACUUUUGUUGUCCACUUGAAAUGGUUCAAUAUGUAUCCAUUGCAAAACAAGGCAUUUUGAUAACACUCCUAUGACAAGUGAGUUCUAUCUCUUUUAGAAAUGGGCAUCAUCUAGCUGGACCGCUAAUAUUUGUAGUUUUGCUUUGGACCCAUUACUAUUUUCUACUCCCUCCGUUCCAAAAUAGUUGACUCAACUUUGUACUAACUUUAUAUUAAAGUUAGUAUAAAGUUGAGUCAUCUAUUUUGGAAUGGAGGGGGUAUAUAUGAUUAUCAUAUGAGGUGUUGGUGGACCGAUGGUCACCCAUUGGCCCAAAGGGACAAUUUUUUGGUCGCAGUUAGAAUAGCUAAAGAUCUGGGUUCAUACUGGGGAUGCAUGUUCUUUUAGUUUUUAUUUUGGAUAGUCUUGAAAAUUAAUUGACAAGUCUGGCUGAUAUGCUCAUUGCUCAUGAGAAAAUUAACACAAAUCAUAUUGUCAUGCUCCUGAAACUGAUAGAGAUUCCUUGAAGAGCGGUAGUAGUCAAGUUCACUGCUGACUUUCUGCACCUAUAUUUAGGAACAGGGCAACAAAUGUAGUCAACUGAAGAGCUUAUUCUACAACAUUUCAGUUUGUAGAAUAGUGAUCAUAGCAUCUCUAGAAUGAUAAUAUUUCUGUUUCAUUUAAGGACAGCGAUGUCGUGACAGCAUGUCACUUCUUCAGGUUGAUAUCACUUCUUCAGAUCGACAUCCUUGUAAUCUGAUGGAAGAUAUGUCAUCAGCCAAUCUGCAAAGAACCCUUUCUUCCUCCUGGGUUCACACCCCAUGUCCUGGCACAACUGGUCAUUGCACCAGAUGUGGAGAGCUCCAACGCAAGAUCGACGGAAGUAUUCACGAGAGUACCUCUUCAUGUAUUCAUCCCAUUCCUUUAUAUCCAGCUCCAUAGACUUUAUGCUAGGCAACUGAAAUGCUCCAUCAAGGAAAUGUGCCAACCAUUUGGAGUGCAUGUUGCUAUGCUCUCAGAGUAGCCGGUGAUCGCCAAUUGCGGGGUCCUAGGAUGCACGCAUUGCCUGCCCAGUUGACAAAAUUCACUGUGAGCUUCUACAUAUGUACAGACAGCCAAACAAACAUGUUUAAGAGAAAGACAGAUUAAACCUGUAGAGAGGAGUACUACUGGAUGGCGGGCCAGUCACAAUGUCUCUGAACAAGGAUGAUGUGAACAUCCCCUUGUAUCCGGUGACGAAUAUGACCACAUUGCUCUUUAUCGGCGUGGACUCACCUUCGACAAUGACACCUUGUUUGCAGAAACUGAAGCUCUUUGCUUUCUUGACAACAAUGCUUCCUUGAUCAACCAUGUCAGAAUUUGUCUGGCAAUAUGGCAACCAAGCAUGAGCUGAUGACCUGGAAGAAACUGUGGUCUGGCACCAUGCCGUGCCUAUCCAUAGGCACCGCCCAUCUGUAGUAGCUCUCGACGAACUUCGAAAGGAGCCAUCUCUGAUCAGUGUAUAUAUUCAGGUUGAAUAAAUGCAUGAGCACAAAUAGAUGAUCUGUAGUUACUUAAAAGAGUGGUGUGGUAUAAGUAGAAACUCUGGCUGGUGGCCCUUACCAAGGGUGAUAAGAAGGUAGCAAGAAUGCUAAGGAGCAGCCCAUCUCCUGGCCUGUGAACUAGGAGCUCCGAGAAUCGGUUGAGGUAGAAGAACGCAAUGGGAAUGCCCCAGGCGUAGCAGUCAGGUAUGAUCCAUCUCUUCGUCCGACAAAUUAUUGUGCAUGGAUACUUGGCUCCUGAGUGCAACAACAGUGAACAAUUAAAUUAGGACUUUUUCUCUGAACUCUUCUUUCUUUUGAUCACCCUGCAGUGGAGAGUAGCAGGAGAGCUAGAGAUGUCACCAUUCGUGUUUGUGCACUCUGCAGCAAUGUCAAUAGCGGACUUCUGGUAACCGACAACAGUAACGAGCUCGCCCCUGGUAAGCUCGGUGGACUUUGCACCGCAGCGCCCAUGUCGGAGUAGUGAGUUAUUUACCCAAAACCACCACAUUAUGGGCUAGGAUAACAGAUCGGUAUCACAUUUCAGGCAGUUCACACAAAACCAUCAACAAUGGGGCUAAUCUGUAACGCGGAGCACUGACGCUGCGUUUUAGCCCCGAAAACAGCGAAUCCGACAGGUGGGUCCCGCCUGUCGGGCUGACGUGGCGCGUGUUGACGGACGCCGUUAGACGGCGAGAGACGGCCGGCGCGCCCGUUUAAGUGGCCGCACGGUCGGUGUUCGAACCAGACCAGCCUGUUCAUCACUCUCGCUCUCCACUCUCUCGACCCCGACCACCGCCGGCGCCGGCACUGUCGAGUCGCCGCCUUUCGCCGCUCCGCCAUGGUUUCUUGGAGCGAGCCGUCCUCGAGCUCUUCUUCGGACGGCGAGGAAGUCACUAGCCAGGUAUGCAUGUUCGCCUCUCGCCUCCCCCACGGAUUAGGGUUCAUCCCGCUAGGGUUAGGGUUCAUCAUUUGGGGAUUUUUUUUACAAGGUCGCUCAUUUGUGCAAUUUGUGUGCUGGUUAGCUUCCUAGGACAAUCUCUUGCUAUGAAUGGAGUGGCAUUGCUCACGAUCUGUCGUCUCGUUGUCUGCAUCAACAACCUUGCAUCAGGCUUGUUGCAUUUGAAUCUGUGGACACAGGCAGACGUUUUCUUGCGUGUGCUGAGGAGAAGGUAUGUUGGUUAGUACUGUAAGUGAGUGCUCACUGUAAGUAGAUUAACUUAGUUAGUUUUUGGUCCAUUCACUUGUCAGUAAUCCAAUUUUGUGUAUCAAAGAAUUGUUUCUGGAUAGUUGUUGCUUCAGUACUCCAAUCUUGUGUUGCUUCAGUUGCUGUAAUAGUUGUUGCCCAUAAUCUAUGCAUAUAAUAUAUGCAUAUACAAUUUUGCACACAUUAAAAAAUUAUAUAUGAUGUUAUAAUUGUUUUUUCCCAGAAUUCAGUGGAUAGAAGUAAAUUAUAAUUUCAUAUAAUUUGUGCAUACAAUCUUAUUGAGAAUAUAUUUAUUUAAUUGUAGGUAGAACUAAAGUGCAACUAUCUGGAGCGGAUAGACCAAGAGUGGCCAGUGGCUAUGCAGUUCUCCCUCACUGAAUUGUGGAGCAUGUAUGACAAAGAUAUGAAGGAGAGGCACACAGAAAAUGUUGAGCUUGCUGAAAGAAAUUACAAACUAGUUGGAGAAAAGAGGAAGAUGGAGGAAGAUCUUAGGUUUUUCAAACUGGACUUUGCUAAAAUGGUUGCUGACAAGGAGGAUGCUAUCACAGAGUUGGGCAAUGUUAGGUUGGCUCUAAGUGAUCUCAAAGAGGAGAUGGAGAAGAAGAAGCUGGCAGACCAUGGUUGUACCAAUCUUCAUCAGGUACUUAGGGCAAAGGUAGAGAAAGAGAGGGACCAGCUAGUUGUAGAGAGAGACCAAGUUGUGAGAGAGAGGGACCAACUUAAACAAGAGAAGAAAAAACUGGAGUACAUCAUUGCAGAUCUGCUCAAACAAAAACAUGGGUACAAGGACAAGAUCAAGAAGUUGAAGGAGAUAUGUGAUGAUUUUUAACUAUGUAUUGUGCUGUGGUUUAGGGUAGCACUGCAGUUGAAUGUGCUCUUAUGCACUUAAUAAGCUGUAGUGCUUUAUGUAUCUUUAUGUCCAAGACUUGUGUUGUGUACUCUGAAGACUUGUGUUGUGUACUCUGAAGACUUGUGUUGUGUACUAAAUGUUUGUGGUUGUUUUGCCAUAAUAUUUGCAGAGAACAUAUAUUCCAGAGUGAUCUGUUACCAUUUACUUUGUGGUUGUUUUGCAUAAUAUUGGCAUGAUCUGUUUUGCACAGAAAAUAUUUGUGGUUGUUUUGGCAUGAUCUGUUUUGCACAGAGAAUAUUUUGCACACAUCAUAUAUUGCACAAAUCACAGAAAAUUUUGCACACAUCAUAUAUUGCACACAUCACAGCAAAUAUUUUGCAUAGAACAACUCCACAGAACAUAUAUUUGCAGAGAAUUUUAACAGCAGGAGAUAAACAAGGAUAACUUCACAGUGCCAUACAAAGGUUCAUAAUGCCAUACAAAGGUUUAACAAACAUAGGUUCUGAGUGCCAUAGUGCCAUAGUGCCAUAAUGCCAUACAUAGGUUCAUAAUGUCAUAAUUAAAGUGAUGUAAUGCCUGAUUUAGCACAGAUGCACUUGCAUACAGACUUCAAAUUUGAGCAUUUAGUAGUUCCCACUGGCAUAGAAGUACCCUUCCAUCCUCUUGCUCAUGUACUUUGUCCUCUUUGGCCUACUGCCUGCAGGCUGGCUAGUAGAAGCUUCUGCAGAAUUUCUUGGAGGCUUCAACCUUGCUCCUCUUCCAGCAGCAGCAGAUGAAGUAGCACCCCUUCUAGCACCCCUUCCAAGAGUAGAAGCAGACCUUGCUCCUCUUCCAGCAGCAGCAGAUGAGGCUCCUCCUCUUCCAGCAGCAGGAGCUGAGGCUGCUCCCCUUCCAGCAGCACCCCUUCUAGCAGCAGUAGUCUUUGCACCUCUUGCAGCAGCAGGAGAGGAGUUUGUAGUAGAUGAUGAUGGUGCACCCCUAGCACUUCCAGUAGCUGAUGAAGCUGCAGCAUGGUGCCAUUCAGGUACAGUCCUGUUUUCCUGUAAUUAAAAAAUUAAACAACUUUAUAAUAAUCAGUCAACAGAAAUAAACACUCAAGUAAUUUCAAAAUGAAAAUACCAUGUGCUUGUUCCUCCUGAUUUGCAAAUCAGGCCUUAAUGGCUUAGGACAACUUGUGUACUUGUGUCCUUGCAGCUUGCAGUUCCCACAUGUUAUAGUAGCCAUCCUAGAAGUCUGUUUUGCUUGAGGUGGCUCAAACUUCCCUUUUUUCCCUUUCUCUUCUGCUGGCCCCUUCUUGUCAUCUUUGAACUGUGGUGGUUCAAUGUCAGGUGUUGGAGUUUUCACCCAGCUAUCUGGACCAGGAACAGGGUAAAUUACUGGCUUAUAUGCCUCCAAGUACAUAGAUUUCUUGAAGAACACAUUGAUAUGAUCCUCUGGCAGCUGUUUAGACCUAUAGAUGGCAGAACAAGCAUGGUUGCAAGGAACUCCAGUGAUGUCCCAUUUCUUGCACCCACAUAUCUGUAUGUUUGUGUCAACACCAUAGGUCUUGUCUCCACUAGUUACUUGGAAAAGUCCUUGGCCAGCUAUCAGUGCUUUGCAAUCCCUUGCAUACUUCUUGUUCAUCUCCAACUUCUCUGCAUAGGUUGGUGCAAUCUCCCAUCUAGCACAUUUUCCACCCUCUCUCUUCUGGUGGAACCUCACUAGGAACUUGUCCUUGAUCCCAUUGAUCAUUGUGACAAUUGGCUUGUUCCUUACAUCAAGAAUGUACUUAUUAAAAACUUCACUUAAGUUAUUCACCACCAAAUCAGUUUUGCAGUUAGUGUCCAUUGCAUGCCUAGACCAAGCUUUAGCAGGAAUUCUUGACAUCCACUCCCAAGCAGCAGUGCACUCAGCCUUCAUGCUUUCCAUGGCCAAAUUGAAGUCAUGUUCAGUGUAAGCAUAGGCAGCUGCAUCCAUGCAUCUCUUCAAAUCCUCUCCUCCAAAUCCCGCUCUCUGGAAAUUUGCAUAGAUGUGCCUCAAACAGUACCUAUGAUGGCAGUUUGGGAAUACUGCUGUCACUGCAUUGAGUAGACCCUGCAUGAAAGUGAAUUGAAAUAAAUUUAAAUGAUUUUAAAUGAUUUUAUAUGAUUUAAAAUGAUUUUAUAUGAUUUUAUAUGAUUUAAAAAUGAUUUUAUAUGAUUUAAAAUGAUUUCAUAUGAUUUAAAAUGAUUUUAUAUGAUUUAAAAUGAUUUUAUAUGAUUUAAAAUGAUUUCAUAUGAUUUAAAAUGAUUUUAUAUGAUUUAAAAUGAUUUAAAAUGAUUUUAUAUGAUUUAAAAUGAUUUUAUAUGAUUUCAUAUGAUUUAAAAUGAAUUUAUAUGAUUUUAUACGAGUUAAUAUGAGUUAAUAUGAUUUUAUAUGAUUUAAAAUGAUUACGACUCGACACCUACCAACUAGUCAUGAUGGCAUCACUUUGAUGAUGGAUAUGUUCUUUGAUACCACAUGGGUCACCCUAGGCUAUAUAUGCCUAAGUGUCGACAAGAAGGGUUAUGACUCGACACCCACCAACUAGUCAUGAGCAAGUAAAUGAACUAAAUGAACAUGUAAAUGAUCAAGUAAAUGAACUAAAUGAACAACUAAAUGAACAUUAUAAUGAACUAAAUGAACAACUACAUAAACAAGCAAAUGAACUAACCUUCUGUCUAUCAGACAUGAAUGUGUACUUUCCAAACUUGCCCUCUUCACUUCCCCCUAGAGCAUACUUUAGCUGUGUCAAGAACCAGGACCAGUUAACUGUAUCUUCAACUCCAACCACUCCAAAGGCAAUGGGGUACAUAUUGUUGUUAGCAUCCCUUCCAAUAGCUGCUAGUAUCUGUGCACCACUAGUCAAUUUGAUGAAGCAGCCAUCUAGACCUAUGAAUGGCCUACAUCCAUUCAAGAAGCCCUCACAACAUGCAUUCAAACUGAAAAAUAGACCAUGGAACCUUGGUCCAGCAGUAGGAUUUUCUCUGGUUCCACUAACAGUAGUGACAAUGCACCUAGAUCCAGGAUUUGUAAGCUUCACAGUCUCCAAAUAGUCUCUCAGCCUCUUAUAUUGCUUCUUGUGAUCACCAAGCACAAUCUCUUUUGCUUUCUUCUUAGCCCUCCAUGCCAUCAUCCUAGGAAUCUCAAGCCCAAAUUGCCUCUUUGCCUUGUCAACAAUAGCAGGUACAGUAGUGUUGGGAUCUGAUCUGAUGGUCUCAAGCAUUUUGUUGCCAAGCCACCUUGAACUAAUCCUAGUUUUCUCAGACUGGGUGGGACAUGUGUGUUCCAACCUCAUCUUCUUAAUGCAGAAAGUGGGCUCAUUUGUUAUCUGUGCUGCUACCAUGUAGAACUGACAACCAUCUCCCUCACAGCAAACAAUUACCCUAUCACUGCAGUUUCUGUGGUAUUUAUAUCUUCUAAGUUGUUUCACAUGCAAAUUGACAAGGGCCUCUCUGAAUUGGUAAACAUCUUUGAAACAGACUUUAGCUGGAAUUGUUGUUCUGGAUGCAUCCUGUCCUCAUCAUACCAGACCCUAGGUGGUCUUUUCUUAGCCCUACUCCUUCUGCCAGAGCUGAUAACAAAGGACAUUGGUUCAUUUCCAUCAUCAUCUGCUUCAAAGCCUGUAUCUUCCUCUUCUGAAGAUGGAAACCAAUCAGGAUUAAUGCUUGGACCAGCACUAGAGUGGGACCUACUAGUAGGACCUGGCCUCUUUGCCUUCUUCUUAACAGGCUCAGGAACUGGAAUCUCUUGGGCCUCCUCAUCAUCUUCUUCCUGCUCCAUGUCAUAUAUAUCUUCAGGAUCUGUGUCCCCCUCACAGUGUGUACUUGACAUAUAUUCAGCUCUCUUCCUCUUUAUUUCAGAAAGAGUUUCAUCUAGCUCAGGUUCCUCUGUCCUCCUAUUUGCAAAUUGUUCUUCUACAUACUGCACUGAAUCUGAGUCAUCUUCUUCUUCUUCUCCUGCAUCUAAGUGGUCAACAUCAACUACAAAAUCUUCAUCACUGCUUGAACCUUCCUCACUAACUGCAUUGUCCUCCUCAUCAGUGUCCAUGCCUACAGGAAUUGCUUCCUCACUAACUGCAUUGUCCUCCUCAUCUGAAUCAAACUGAAAAUCAGCAUAAUUGACACUUACUUCAGUGUUAAGCUGUGUCCCAAGAUGGAACUGAUAGUUAGGAGGAACUGAUUUGAGUGGCAAAAAAUUUACACUUUCCUGUGUCCCAAGAUGUAACUGACAGUUAGGAGGAACUGAUUUGUGCACAACACCUGAUUCAGCAACAGCAAAAACAACAGGUGCCUCUUCUUCUAUUUGCUGUGCAUGUUGAUCUUCUCCAACUGGUGGUUCAAUAACUACCUUUCCCUUUCUAACUGUCAGUGACAAUGUCUGGGUGCUCUCAAAUUGUCUCAGCAUGUGAACUACUUCAAUGUUGCCUUUAAUAACACAAACACCUUGCAACCCUAUAUUUUCAUCUUUCAAGUAGCAAAGACUGUCAUCCUUACAGUAUCCAUUGCUGACCAUUACAUUGACCAAACUACCAUAAGUGAUUUCUCUUUCAGACAUCUUAACAAGAGCAUACUUCUCUCCAGGAAACUGGAAAUAGAUUGACCAUAAAUCUUCAGGCCUAAAAUAGACAUACAAAUGAAUAUUAACAAGUCAAUUGUAUUAACAUAACUGACCAUUAUAUCUGACAAUUAUAAUGAACUAUUUUAAAUUAUAGUAACAUGGCAAAUCAGUACUAACAUUACUAGCAGUGUACUAGCAAAAUUUUGAAUUACAAUAACAUGACAAUGCAGUGUACUCAAAGCAUUACAAUGCAGUGUAGCAAUACCAUAAAUGAAAACUACAGUGUGAUUUUCUCCAAAAAUUCAGAACCAUACAGUACUACUAAGAUAACUGAACCCUAACUAAAGAUGUGAUAUUCGACAAAUAUUCAGGACUACAAUCCCUUCUAAAUGACUAACAAAUCAAUGUUUAUAACAGAUCCUGCAGUAAGGAGGAAAGAUUGAAAUAACAGAUUUUGAAAGAUUCAGAUUACCUAGCUGAAGAUGGGGCGAACGGGAGCACAUCCGCGGGAACAAUCUGCGAAGCUGCUUCCUCGGUACCAUGCUCCGGUGACAGGCCCGCCGCCGCGGCAGACUCUGGAUCUAGGUCGCAGCCGCCAUCGGUGUGGGGGCCGAUGACCCCGCAUUGCGAGCGCAACAGCUUCUGCCCUGAAGUAGUACCACCGCCCUCGCCGCUGAGUGCGGCGUCGCCGCUUCCGUCGACUCCGUGUGCGCCGUCGCCGCCGGAGCUGGUCGCCAUCGGAGCGGAGCGGGGAAGGACUGAAUCGACUGGACUGAAUCGAGCGAGGGAAGGGAACGGCUUAACCUAGUAGACGGGCGCGCCGAAACGGCCGUCUCUCGCCGUCUAACGGCGUCCGUCAACACGCGCCACGUCAGCCCGACAGGCGGGACCCACCUGUCGGAUUCGCUGUUUUCGGGGCUAAAACGCAGCGUCAGUGCUCCGCGUUACAGAUUAGCCCCAUUGUUGGUGGUUUUGUGUGAACUGCCUGAAAUGUGGUACCGAUCUGUUACCCUAGCCCAUAAUGCGGUGGUUUUGGGUAAAUAACUCCGGAGUAGUCUAUGGAGUGGAUCACCGUGCCGUCAAAGUUCUCCAUCCCUUUGUUCGGCGGAAAUUGUGGGAAUGUUGGGGACGCCGCUGAAUCUCCCAGUGCACAGGAUCACAAAGUCCGCGACUCAGUAUGUCUGGAAAUCAGCUGUUGCCGAUGCACCAAUCUGUUCAAGUGUUGAUGCAAACCUGUUUUCUCACUGUUAACUAUUGUCACUUUGUCAGCUCUUAACUACAUUUUUUUUACUGCUAGUGCCAUGUAGAGGCCAAGAAAAUUAUUAUUUUCACCUUGUUCUCUUGGAUCUUGAGGUUCUUUGCAGAUGUCAUGUCCUCACCCGGUCACCCCCGACCGCUGGUUCCGGUUGCGCCGACGAAGCAACCCUCGGUCAGCGCGGCGGCUAGGGAUGUUAAGGGAGGCUGCGGCGCCGGCGAAUCUCUUCUCCAUCGGCGCGGGGGCAUGAAUCUCAGGGAGUCAGCGUCUGCUCGGUCGCGGCAGAGCGGGAGGUCGCAUGGUCCCACGUAUUUUUUUUUUUGAGGAAAUCUCGCCACUUUAUUAAGAAGCAACAAUGUUCAUAGGUACACGGUGUUCGUCAUGGGGAAUUCCCAACCAGACGUGCCGAUCUACUCCUAAAUUACAAGAAAAUUUGGCGAGAUUAUGAGCUUCGAAGUUAUGGUUUCUCCGCUCGUGAAUGAAAGAAACCGAAGCAAAAGUGUUCCUUCGGUCCAUUAUUUCAUGAAUAAUGGCCGAGUGUGGACCUCCUGUCCCUUGGUUUAAAUCCAUCACCACACCUUGGCAGUCCGAAGCUACUAUCAGAUUUGUUUCAUGUAGAUCAACUGCAAGUGCUAACGCCUUCCUGCAGGCCAAUGUUUCCAAGGUUGUGGGAUCAGUGAUUCCUUUGAAGACCACCGCCGAGGAGCCCAAAUAUAGACCUGUAUGAUCUCGGCACACAGCCGAAACCGCUCCGCCACGUCUGUGGCGCGCCAUAGCUCCGUCGACGUUGAUCUUAGCCGCCCCUACAGGUGAAGGUAGCCAGCUCCUCGGGCCUUCUCUCCGAGCCCCUGUCACCGCAUGAGGUUGUGCGGGUUUUGCAAUCUGCGGGAGGCCAACUGAGACCAACUAAGUUCAAGGGCGUCGGGAGGAUAGAGCGUCAUGUUCGUCUUUUGGUGUCCUAUCCUGGUGGUUGAUUCCUCUGUGCGGUUCAUCAGUUUAUCUUAUGUAGUUGAUUCCCGUACUUGGGUAUUAGUCCUUGUGGCAGUUUUUGUUUUCUUCUGAGCUUUGUUGCUCUGGAUGUUCGUUGUGCCUGGUAGUGUAUUCUCUGNNNNNNNNNNNNNNNNNNNNNNNNNNNNNNNNNNNNNNNNNNNNNNNNNNNNNNNNNNNNNNNNNNNNNNNNNNNNNNNNNNNNNNNNNNNNNNNNNNNNNNNNNNNNNNNNNNNNNNNNNNNNNNNNNNNNNNNNNNNNNNNNNNNNNNNNNNNNNNNNNNNNNNNNNNNNNNNNNNNNNNNNNNNNNNNNNNNNNNNNNNNNNNNNNNNNNNNNNNNNNNNNNNNNNNNNNNNNNNNNNNNNNNNNNNNNNNNNNNNNNNNNNNNNNNNNNNUUCGUUCAAAAAAAACAAAGGAUGAAGUAUGCAUUGGUGAUCGAAAGACACCCUCAUGGAUUGCCUGUCUCCGAGCAUACCAUAUUGCCCAUAAGGUGACUACCAUUGACGUGAAUGAACUGUGAUCAAGAGACUCGUUUAACUGAAACAGCCAGUUCUUUGCAUGGGGUUCUGAAUUCUCUGCCAUUUUCGCCACUAGCACGGGGUCGGAUAGAGCCCAUGUGCACCUUGCCGACGUGCAUGAGACCAAUGCGUGGCGCCAUGAGUCGGGUGAGCCACAUAACGGGCAAGCAUCCCUGGUUGCCAUAUUUUUUCUGUUCAACACGUCUGUAGUUGGGAGAGCUAAGCGCCAUAGAAAAACCUUGACUUUUGACGGCACCGUCAAUGACCAUAGGCUAGUCCAGUCCUUCUCCUCUCUUUCAGUGCUUGAAGAACCACUUCUGCCUUCGAGCCAGCUUUCUCUUGGUAACUUUCCCACGUAAGUAAGUUUGAGCUAAUCCCGCGUGGGUGCCCACGAUCACGAUUUUUGUGGGCUCAGCCCACAUCCACGUACAGCCUGAUUCAUACAUACGGUCCCGUCCGUGGGCGCUACGAUUCGACGAUGAUCCGUUGCUUCCUCGGAUACAAAUACGAAAAUCGCGAGAGCCAAUCACAAGGCGGUAAACGUAUCACGUACGUACGUCCUGUAUCUGUAUGUAUGCAGCUCUCCGAGUCCGAUUCAAUCAUCGACGCAAAGGAGAAAAAAGUCCGAUUCAGUCACCUGGCACGGAGCCUAUAUUAAUCCACGGCUACAAGAGAGGUACCGUUCGAUCCAAGAUGGCAUCGUCGUCGAGAAGCAAGUACGGCGUGAAGACGCCGGAGGAAGAGGAGGCGGACGUCGUGUGCUCGCGCUGGAUCUUCCUCUAUGUAGCAGUGCUCCACCUUGGCCUCUUCGCCAUCACCGCCAUGAUCUCCUACACGCACGUGUUCCCCCGCGCCAAGAAGUUUGACAAGAUCUUCUUUGGAGUCACGGGAGCGGUUUGCCUGUCCAUCGCCGUUGGCAUCAUCUGCGUGCUUCUACGGGGGGACUUCCCCUUCAGCAACAAUCGUGCCACCGCCCGAGUCGCCGACCUGCCGCUCGCCGAUGUGUGCUAGUUAUCUUUUGGUUGGUUGCUUCUAGUGCACGAAUUGAUUUAUGUGUGCUAGCCAUCAGUAAUAUUUGACUGAUCUUUUUUGCUUGGCAUACUGUUUUUCAAGAUACGCGGUUACCGGCGGUAUCCUUGCAUCUAUCUUUAUAUUUUAUGUUAGAAAAUGAUUUUACUAAAUCUCAAUUGCUAUUACUCGUCGCUUACGCGAUGUUGGAAUCAUAGAUCUGAUGUUGGAAUCCUUGCAAUGGUCACUGGUUAAAGGACCUCAAACCUCUGUCACUGUAAAUAAGUUCAUCCAGCUGCUCAACUUGUGGAAGUUAGUUUGCCCAGUACAACUCUCCCGAAUCAAGCUGACAAUUGGAGAUGGUCGCGCGGCUCCUCUAGAAACUGCUCUUCUACAAAAGCUUCUAUUGAGGGAUGGCCGUUAUGCGCUUCGGCCAGUGCCAUUUGGAAGAGCUGGGCACCCCUCCAUGGUUCAAAGACACGAUGACUAGCCGGGAAUAUUGACCAAAAUCUCGGGGGUUUACCUGGUGAGGAAAUCUCCAAUACCGUCUCCUCAGAUGAGAUUGACGAGGCCCCUGAGGAGCAGGCGCGGAAGCUCAAACCCUAUAAGAACAAAUUCUCGGCAUGCAGGAACAUCCACGAGGACGAAUCUACCUCUAAUGCUAAGAAAAUAGUAUGGCUUGUGUAGCCGUCUUUGGUUGUUUAUAGGGCACGAAUUAAUGUUCCGAGUAUUACUUUGUUUUCUUUGACUACUACUAGUAAUUUGCCCGGGAUAUACCUGAUACAUUGGUGAUGAUAAAUUUUAAUGAUUAUUUCUACACAACGACCAUGAUUGCAUGCCAUUUUAUUAUUAUUAAUGUGAUGGUGUAAAAAUUUAGACUCUAGCUAUCGAUCAAAUACAAACUUGGCUUCUAAAAAAAAUUAGCACUAUGAUUUUACUUGGUAAGCCAAUAAGAAGUGUGAUAGUUUAGGCCCGUAUCAACUAAUAUAUACAUUCAAAACUUUCUCAAGGCGCACACACUUGGAAAAAUUGCACACUAAAAGUAUUUUUCAUCUCCUUAUACGAACCGCGGAUUUGGUUUCUCCAUAAAAAAACAUAAAGCAAUUACCCUGCUAUUCGGGACAAAUAUCCACGGCCUGAGGGAAUGGGAAGCCAACAACCCAUUGAAGUUGAAGGUGUUAGAGUUAUAAUAUAAGUCAUGUACCCCUUUGUAUUUAUCCCAUUGUAUAAGGGAUUUUCUGCAUAUGUUUCACACCUGUACAUGUAUAUACAUCGGCCUAUGGCCUCAUGGGAAUACAAGUAGCAUAUUUCCUAACAGAAGGCAGCUACCUGCUAGAUUUAGAAUAUGCAUAUAUAUUUUAAAUGACCUAACUUUAUCAAUAUAUGUCGAAAUGCAAAGUAAUAAACAUCAUCAAUCACUCAUGUGAUAGUAUAAGAUUUAAAAGGAGAUCAUCUCGCAUUCAUGCUUUAUUAUUCACACACAUGCAAACUAUUACAAUAGGAGAUAAACAUACUUCUCUGACAUUCUAUUUCGAUAAAAAAUAGAUUGAUUGUGUCAUCUUUUGCACUCUGACAUCAAGAAAUUUUAAAAUUACUCAAAGCAUUUUUUUUACUAAGAGUUGAAAUACAACAUUCCCAUUCAAUGUUGGAUAUGCAAGGAAAUUACGAUCUUCCACAAAAAUACAUACUUAUGACAAUUUGUAUGCAACUAUCAUCUUGCAAGCAUGUGCACAUAAAUCAAAUCAAUUGGCAAAAUUUAAAAAAUGCUCAGAUCUACCAUCAUCUCACAGCAACAUGAUAUAGACAAAUCUAGGUACUACUUGUUCGUGUUUGCUGAGUUGUCACAAAAUGUCUUGCUUCCAAGAUCUAGGAACACCAACCAUGAACCAUCCAAAUAACCAGGCCAGCUCCUUUUAUUUCCUCGAGUCGGUUGUCGAUGAUUUUAUCAGGUUAUUAUUAGUGCAAUUCAUCAAGCACUUGGUAGUAUAAAAAUAAGUGAUGUAUCAGAAAAAAUUAACAUACCCAAGCCAUCGGCAAGAUGCACAAGAUUGAUUGGCAGAUAUGUGCACAUCGCUCUCCAUGUCCUUUCGACGUGUCAUCAUCGUACCCGAGUAUCACCAAACAGAGUAGGACCAGACUUCCGGUGAUCUUCUCCAGCCUCCAGCGCCAACAUCAACCGCCUCCAUCAGUGCCAACAUCGUACUGGGUCAUCACGUUGCCAAGGNNNNNNNNNNNNNNNNNNNNNNNNNNNNNNNNNNNNNNNNNNNNNNNNNNNNNNNNNNNNNNNNNNNNNNNNNNNNNNNNNNNNNNNNNNNNNNNNNNNNNNNNNNNNNNNNNNNNNNNNNNNNNNNNNNNNNNNNNNNNNNNNNNNNNNNNNNNNNNNNNNNNNNNNNNNNNNNNNNNNNNNNNNNNNNNNNNNNNNNNNNNNNNNNNNNNNNNNNNNNNNNNNNNNNNNNNNNNNNNNNNNNNNNNNNNNNNNNNNNNNNNNNNNNNNNNNNNNNNNNNNNNNNNNNNNNNNNNNNNNNNNNNNNNNNNNNNNNNNNNNNNNNNNNNNNNNNNNNNNNNNNNNNNNNNNNNNNNNNNNNNNNNNNNNNNNNNNNNNNNNNNNNNNNNNNNNNNNNNNNNNNNNNNNNNNNNNNNNNNNNNNNNNNNNNNNNNNNNNNNNNNNNNNNNNNNNNNNNNNNNNNNNNNNAGAGAGAGAGAGAACGGGAGGGCGGAGCAGAUCGGUGGCGCCAUCAUGGAAAGGAGAACACACGUUGAAGAGGAGAUCUGUUGCUCUUUUUUUUGAAGGUAGAGAUCGGUUGCUAAGUCCUGGGAAGGAGAAUCUAUACCCCGAUUUUUUGGAAGAACUUACUUCCUCUGUUUAUUUUAGUCUGCAUAUAAAAUUUGGUCAAAGUCAAACUUUGUUAAUUUUGACUAAAUUUAUAGAAAAAGAUAUCGAGAUUCACAGUAUGAAAUCAACAUUGUUACAUGCAUCAUGAAAUUAAUUUUCAUACCAUAUAGCUUUAAUAUUUUAGAUGUUGUUAUUUUUUUCCUACAAAGUUGGUCAAACUUUAUAAAGUUUGACUUUGAUCAAAUCUUAUAUGCAGACUAAAAUGAAACAAAGGGAGUAAAUGUGAUUGGAUCGUGGGUUAGAAAACCAUGGGAAAGUUGGUAACGGCCAAAAAAAAUCAAUGGAGGGUGCGGACGAAGAGGUGGGACGUAAGAGGGGAGACGGACCCUUAAGCUUUUUUUAGGUAGUAGAGAAGAUAGAGAUAGAGAUUAGUGUAUUUCUCAUUCUGCUUGCUAGUUGUAACAUCUUUUCUUCUUAGCUGGUGCGAAACUUGUAGGUACUAGACUGUCAAAGGUGAGCGUUGUUGCGCCUGUCGGAUUUUGACACUAAUAUUAGUGAUUGAUGCAAUUAUAUGUAAAUAUAGAAUUUUAAUCAUGGGGUAUAAUCUUCACAUUAUACUUUAUUUAAGGCAGUAUUCAAUCAUGAGAUAUAAUUAUCACAGCUCAUGAAUCAUGUGUUUUGACCUGAAAUUUCAUCCAAUGGUGUGUGCUUUUGCACCAACUUAUUUUGAAAUUCCAAAAUAGCUAUUGAAAAACAGGAACAAAAUUUAGAAUUCCAAACAUCUUUUUGAAAAUUUAUGAUUUUUUUGAAAAAUCAAAAACACAAUUUAUAAAUGUGUUUUUAAUUUCCAUAUAUUUUUAACAAGCACUAUCAAAUUUUGAAAUUUCAUCAAUUUUCUGAGAACACAAACAAAAUUUGGAAAUCCCAAACAUUCUUUAAAAAUAAGAAUUUUUAAUAAAAAGAAAAAGAUACAAAAACAAAAAUAGAAACAGAAACAGAAAACGAAAAAAUAGAAAAGAAAAAGAAAAAGAAAAAGAAAAGAGGGAAAUGAAUUAUUUUCCAAAAUUAAUCUGAAUAACCGGUAAAAGAAACAAAAUACGAGUUCAGGGAAAUUUUUAGAAGGUUCUGAGAACCGGCUUCCUCUUGAUGUAUUGAGCGUCAUAUAGGGUUUUGCGUUCUGUUGCACGGUUAAAAAAAGUAUUUGCUAAAAGAUUGCUCCUUGUUAACUAAAUUGUCGGCCAUGCUCGACGGCCAGCCUCGAGUUAGUUAUCUAUCUGGGCUACCCAUCGGGGUAGGUUGGGCUUGCUAGAAACAAAAUAAAAAUAUUUACCGAAAUCACUAGUUGGGGAAUACUAUCAAAACUUUUCCCUCAAGUUAGGGUUUUCUUCCUCCUCUCGGGGCGACAACACCGCCGUUGAGUUCCCCUGUUUCCCUGCCGCCGAUCUCCGCCCUGUUGUUACCCGAGAGAGAUAGGGGCGGCUGUGGGUCGCAUGCCUGUUUGUCUGGAAGGGGCUGCGGGGUGCGGCGGAUCUGGGGUUCCACACAAAACCCGUUUUGAGAUCGUCUCUUCGUGUUAGAGAUACAGAUGGCAUCUAAGGGAGUCCCGAGCUCCUCUAGUCUUAGCGAGGUGGAGAAGAUGAUGGAGGAUCUUGGCCUGCGUGAGGAGGACCUCGAUGACGUCGUCUUCGACGAUAAGGAGGCGCCGCAGGAGGCGGUGCGGUGGAUGGCUUUGGCUAGGGUUAACACGAGUAAGACCUAUAGUCAGACAUGGUUUUUCAGAAACAUGCGCUCGGCAUGGGAUGCGGCACAGGAGGUGAAGUUCAAACCUCUGGAAGAUAAUCUCUAUACAGUCAAGUUUUCGUGCCUUGGGGACUAGAAGAGAGUCAUGCAGGACGGUCCGUGGAAUUUCAGGGGAGAUGCGGUGCUCAUAAUGCCGUAUGAUGGAGUCACUAAACCAUCAACGAUCAAGUUGGAAACUAUUGACAUAUGGAUUCAAAUUCAUGAUGUGCCUGACUUGUAUGCUCACUUAGUUGGUCCUAUGGCGAAGAAGGUAGGAGAGGUUCUGUAUGCUGAAACGGGCUCCAAUGAUUUUCCUGGAAACUUUUAUCGUGUGUGGGUUCGCAUCAAUGUCCUCAAACCUUUGAAGAAUGCAGUAUCAAUGGUCAGAGAUGGGCAGAGGAAAAUCUACAGGGUUAAGUACGAGCGGCUUCCUGACUGGUGUGCCGUGUGUGGCAUGUUGGGUCAUCUUUACAAAGAGCAUGGCAAUGGAAUACACCCCCCCUCGGCGUCGGUUUUCAAGGACCUACGUGCUACUUGGUUCAUGCGCGCUGGGAGAGGACCUGGUGAGGGCAGUGGACGUCGGGGUGGCCGACGGGGUGGCCGCACUAGUGGCCGCGCUGGUGGCCGAAUGGGGGGCGAUCCUGGAGCAACCCAAGAGGAUUUUCAUCAGGACAAUUGGGAUGGAUCAGUGCCUUUGGUUGAUGUGGACAUGACUGAUCAAAAUAGGAAGAGAUCCAACCCAUCCACUUCAAACUCUUUGCAGACUCAGCGGAUAGUUAAAGGGGGACUAAAUGACCAGAACAGCACGCAGGCAGGAUCCAACCAAUUGGCGAUUGCCCUCACCUCCCAUCGCCGCUCAGUCCUCCACCGAAGAGGGACCCAAAGAGGAAUAAACAUGCUGCAGAAGAAAAAGAAGUUGCUUCGAAGAACAGUUUGGCGGGCUCCCAAGUGGGGCGCCGUCCGGCCCAAUGAGUGUCUUUUGUUGGAACUGCCGUGGCGCGGGCAAACCUGCGGUAGUUCGUGUCCAGAAGGAGAUAAAGGAGGCCUCGCUUGAGAGGUUGUGAAGCGAUCCAGCCGAACUGGAGCGACGCACAUAGAGAUCAAGAUGAAUGAAAAGCUGGUGGAGCUGUACCAUAGGGAGGAGAUAAUGUGGCGACAGAGAUCAAGACUGGAAUGGCUUUCAGCGGGAGACAGAAACACUAAGUUUUUCAUAUGCGGGCUAGUAUGAGGAGGAAGAAGAACAUGAUCAAGGCAUUGUAUAACUCACUGGGUGUCCACACUGAAGCCCCAGCCGUGCUAUGCAUUAUGGUUCGUGAGUUUAUGAGGCACUGUACACAUCUGAGGGUGUUAACGGUGUCGAGGAAGUGUUGCAGCACGUCCCCCAGAAAGUAACCCCGGCAAUGAAUGAUAUGUUAUGUGCCCCUUAUGCCAACGAUGAAGUUAAGCAUGCGUUAUUCCAGAUGUUUCGAACUAAGGCCCUGGGUCCUGACGGGUUCCCAACUCAUUUCUAUCAGAGGCACUGGGAUCUAUGUGGCGAGGAACUUACUAAGGUGGUACUGCGGAUAAUCAGGGGAGAAGAGAGUGCUGAACAUAUCAAUGACACAGUGCUAGUAUUGAUCCCUAAGGUAACAAACCCCACAUUACUGUCUCAGUUUCGGCCUAUCAGUCUUUGCAAUGUGUUGUACAAGAUUGCUUCCAAGGUGGUAGCUAACAGAUUGAAACAAAUACUUCCUGAUGUCAUCUCAGAAGAACAAUCGGCCUUUGUACCUGGGAGGCUUAUCACUGACAACAUUAUAUGUGCCUAUGAAUGUCUGCACUUCAUGAAGAGGAAUAGAUCAAGAACUUCCGGUUUUUGUGCUUUGAAGCUGGAUAUGAUGAAGGCCUACGACAGGCUUGAGUGGGAUUAUUUACCGUCUAUCAUGUUGAAACUCGGUUUUGCUCCAGCCUGGGUUGAUGUAGUGAUGUCCAUGGUUAGGUCUGUAUCUUUUUCAGUCUUAUUCAAUGGAGAGAAGUUGGAACAAUUCAAACCUACAAGAGGUAUACGACUGGGAGAUCCCAUCUCCCCCUAUCUAUUCUUGCUAGCAGCGGAGGGCCUUUCGUGCCUUUUAAAAUCUAAUUCUCAGUCAUCAGUGCUUAGUGGUGUCAAGGUGGCACCGACAGCUCCUGCUGUUAACCACCUGUUGUUUGCAGAUGACAGCCUGCUACUUUUUAAGUCUAGUGUGGAGGGUGCAACUUGGGUAUCAAACCUGUUGGAUAUUUAUUGUGGAGCCUCGGGACAGAAGGUAAAUAAUGAAAAAUCUUCUAUCUUUUUCAGCAAGGGGUGCCCUGUCUCUCAAAGACAAGAGGUAAAGGAUGUUCUUAAUGUGCAAAAUGAGUCCUUGAGUGAAAGGUAUCUAGGGAUGCCAACGGAGGUCGGUCAGCCAAAGAAUGGUACAUUCAAAUACCUUCGUGAUAGGGUAUGGGAAAGGAUCAAGGGUUGGAUGGAGAAGCUCUUGUCUGCCGCUGGGAAGGAGGUUCUGAUUAAAUUAGUAACACAAGCUAUCCCGGUGUUUUCAAUUCUUGCUUUCGAUUACCAAGGGGUCUCUGUGAGAGCAUAACUUCACUCAUUCAUCAAUUCUGGUGGGGCAACAAACGUGGAAAAAGAAAGCCAUGUUGGGUAUCUUGGGAUGUUAUGACUAAUCCUAAAAAUUUGGGUGGUCUGGGUUUCCAGGACAUGGAACUAUUCAACCUAGCUCUGCUGUCACGUCAAGCUUGGCGACUACUUCAAGAUCCGUGGUCCUUGAGUGCGCGCUUGCUGAAAGCUAUCUACUUCCCGAACACUAGCAUUAUUGAGGCUGAACUUGGAUCAUCACCAUCGCAUAUUUGGCGCUCCAUUGUGGAUGGGUGAGACACCAUGCUGAACGGAAUUAUUCGGAGGAUAGGCGAUGGAACUACAACACAUAUUUGGAGCAUAACUGGCUGCCCAGGGAUAGGCUGAUGAGGCCUAUUUCUUCAAGGGUUGCAAACCCUCCGCAAUAUGUUUUAGAACUUAUCAACGCCACUACGGCAUCAUGGCGAGAGGAUAUAGUGCGUGAUGUGUCCGUACCCCUGGAUGCUGAAACAAUCCUCAAGAUCCCUCUAUGCAUGAGACAGAUUGGUGAUUUUUGGGCAUGGUCAGAGGAUCCUCGAGGCCGUUUCUCUGUUUCAUCCGCAUACAGGAUGAUCUCACGCAUCAAGGCGAGCAGAGAGGCAUGGCUGGAGGAAGGGCAUGAUGUUUCCAACAGUGCCAUCGAGAAGAAGGGAUGGUCCUCCAUCUGGUCUAUGCAAGUUCCUUCAAAACUCAAGGUGUUCACAUGGAGGCUGGCUCAACACUCGUUGCUGAUGGGGGACGUACUAUACCAUCGGAACAUGUCGACAACUCAUGUAUGUGCACUGUGCGGAGUUGAAGAUAGCUGGAGACACUCAUUGCUUGAUUGCACCAUGGCGAGAAGUGUUUGGGCCUUGAGCAAAGAGGAGCUAGUUGAACACAUGUGCGCGAAUAGAGAGUAUAGUGCAACUGGUUGGCUUUUUACUAUGAGUGAUUCAUUACCAGCUGAAGAUUUCACAAAACUUAUUGUUACUAUGUGGGCAAUUUGGCAUGCACGUCGCAAGGUAAUCCACGAGGGGAUUUUCCAAACACCUUUCGCGACUCACAGUUUCAUUAUAGUUUAUCUAUCCGAACUCCAAAUGUUGAAGAAGCCGAUACUGUGACCGACGCGUGAGCAUGCAAGGCCUACCUCCUGGAUCCCACCGACGACUGGACAUGUGAAGAUCAAUGUUGAUGCAGCUACUCCUAGAGCGGGAGGUUUUGGUGUGGUGAGCGCUGUUGCACGUAAUUCUGACGGAAUCUAUCAGGGAGCUUCUGUAGUAAUUUUCAGCAAUAUUGAUGAUCCCGAAGUUCUGGAAACUCUAGCGAUCGGAGAGGCGUUAGCACUGGCUAAUGACCUGCACAUUCAGCAAGUUCAUGUGGCGCCUGAUUGCAAGCAGGCCGUCGAAGCCAUUAAAGGAGGAAUAGCUUCAUCCUAUGCGGCAAUUGUGCUGGAAAUUAAGGCACAAUCUACUUCUUUAGUUUCUUGUUUAUUUAGCCAUGAAUUUAGAACCUCGAAUGUCAAGGCUCACAGACUAACAAAGCAAGCGUUAACGCUCGGGGUUGGCCGCCAUGUCUGGUUAGGUCACCCUCGAGGUCAUUUGUUCGUCCAUGUAAACUGUGUGACGGGUGAAUAAAUCUUUGUUGGUUUGCCUACAAAAAAACUAGUUGGGGAAUACUUCUUUCAAAUAUCACCCUUCCUUCCAGGUUGUCACAAGUGGCGCGUGUGCGCCACUUGUCAUAACCUGAGUUUUCCAUUUUUUUGUAGAUUCGUUUAUUUAAAACAUUUUAUCUCUUAAACCGUGCGUCCAAAUCUCGAACCGUUUUCACUGUUGGAUUUCUCGUGUUGAGAUUUUCAAAACUAGAUCCCAUGUUGAUAGGUUUGACGCACUUUUCUUCACAAAAAAACAGACGAAAAAACCAAACUGGAAGCACGUUUUCCCCCCUUUUUCGGAAGCCGUUUCUGAGAGGCACGGUCGUGCCUCUCACGGAAGCAAAACCGUGCCUCUCACGAAAAAACAGAGAGAAACACGUUUUUUUUCCGAUAGGCACGGUCGUGCCUCUUGCGGAAGCAAAAUCGUGCCUCUCAUGAAAAAAAGAUAACACAUUUUUUUCUAUUUCUGCGUGCCUCUCGCGGAAGCAAAAUCAUGCCUCUAACAGAAAAAAAGAAAACUCGUUUUUUUCAUUUCCGGAAGGCACGCCCGUGCCUUCCGAGAAAGCAAAACCGUGCCUCUCACGAAAGAAAAAAGAAGAAUAGAAAACACGUUUUUUCCAUUUCCGGGAGGCAUGGCCGUGCCUCUCGCAGAAGUAAAAUCGUGCCUCUCGUGAAAGAAAACCAUGCCUGCAAAAAACAAAUUUUUAUAUUUUUUUGUCGAAAAGCUAAGAAAGACCGGUAGAAAACCAAAAAGUCAAAAACCAAGAAAAUAACCAUGUAAAAAGCCGAAAAUGCAUGCGAAAAAAAAAUCCGAAGAAGUGCCAAGAGCAUGACUCGUGGUGGCGGCUGAGGGGCGCUCUCGGCCCAUCUCAUGUGAUCGUUGGGGAGGCUCCUGAAGAAGGGCGCUUCAAUUCCUAACGUUCAGCGACACCUAGGGGGAGCGCUCGCAUGGAGAGGCAGUGCACAUGGGCCGGCCCAGGUUCGCUGGAGGGCACAUUCUCAUUUUUUUAAUUUUUUGUUUUCUUUUUGGAUUUUAUCUUUGUAGUUUUGCUUAUACUUUAAAAUAUAUAAAAGAGUUUUUAAUAAAUGUAGAAAAUUAUUUGAAAAAUGUUAAAUAGUAUUUAAAAAAUAUUGAACAAGUAUUUGAAAAAUGUUAAACACGUACUUGAAAAACUAUUGUACAAGUAUUUGAAAAAAAUGUUGAUCAUGUAUAUAGAAAUGUUGAACGAGCACUAAAAAAUAUUGAAUGACUAUUUAAAAAAUGUUGAACAUAUAUUUCAAAAACAACGGUACAAGUAUUUGAAAAAAUGUUGAUCAUGUAUAUAAAAAUGUUGAACAAGUAUUUAAAAAUGUUGAAUAGGUAUUUGAAAAAAAAUGUUGACAAGUAUUUGAAAAAAUGUUGAUCAUGUAUAUAAAAAUGUUGAACAAGUAUUUGGAAAGUGUUGAACAAUUGUUUAAAAAAGUUGAAAAAGCAUUUGAAAACUGUUGAACACAUAUUUUAAAUGUUGUACAAAUAUUUGAAAAAAGUUGAUCAUGUAUAUAAAAAUGUUGAACAAGUAUUUGAAAAAGGUUUAACAAGUACUUAAGAAAAUGUUGAACAAGUAUUUUAGAAAAUGUUGAUANNNNNNNNNNNNNNNNNNNNNNNNNNNNNNNNNNNNNNNNNNNNNNNNNNNNNNNNNNNNNNNNNNNNNNNNNNNNNNNNNNNNNNNNNNNNNNNNNNNNNNNNNNNNNNNNNNNNNNNNNNNNNNNNNNNNNNNNNNNNNNNNNNNNNNNNNNNNNNNNNNNNNNNNNNNNNNNNNNNNNNNNNNNNNNNNNNNNNNNNNNNNNNNNNNNNNNNNNNNNNNNNNNNNNNNNNNNNNNNNNNNNNNNNNNNNNNNNNNNNNNNNNNNNNNNNNNNNNNNNNNNNNNNNNNNNNNNNNNNNNNNNGAAAGCAAAAAAAAAACUAAGCAAAAAAUGGAGAAGAAAAAAGAAAAUGAAAAAACCUGAAGAAAAAACAAAAAGAAAAAAACCAUGAAAACAAAUAAAAACCCGGCUUCACUCGCCUCAACUAGAGAACGCAUCUCAUUCUAACCACGAGCUAGACUUGGGUGCAGUGGCUAGCAGAGCUAGCUCUCCGAAAGAAGAGCAAGGGUCGAAUCCGCUUCUCCCCGCGAUCGCUUAAUGUAAUAAAUAGUCACUGUGCCCGAAGAAGCGCUCCUCAACUAGUUGGUCCACCUUGGCCUCUUUGCCAUCUCCGCCGUAAUCUCCUACACGUACGUGUUCCGUGGUGCCAAGAAGUUUGACAAGAUCUUCUUUGGGGCUCUAGGAGCGGUUUUCCUAUCCAUUAUCGUUGGUAUCAUCCGCCUGCUUCUACGGGAGGACUUCCCCUUCCGCAACAAGCGUGCUACCGCCCUAUAACGCUCUAUCCGCAGGCGACUGAGGCGUCGCCUGCUCCUCCACCAUGUCCAUGUCGAAGUGUGCAUGCGCCUGCUCCAUGGUCAAGCUGAAGGAAAUAUGCCCUAGAGGCAAUAAUAAAGUUAUUAUUUAUUUCCUUAUAUCAUGAUAAAUGUUUAUUAUUCAUGCUAGAAUUGUAUUAACCGGAAACAUAAUACAUGUGUGAAUACAUAGACAAACAUAGUGUCACUAGUAUGCCUCUACUUGACUAGCUCGUUUACCAAAGAUGGUUAUGUUUCCUAGCCAUGGACAAAAGAGUUGUCAUUUGAUUAACGAGAUCACAUCAUUAGGAGAAUGAUGUGAUUGACAUGACCCAUUCCGUUAGCAUAGCACUUGAUCGUUUAGUAUAUUGCUAUUGCUUUCUUCAUGACUUAUACAUGUUCCUGUAACUAUGAGAUUAUGCAACUCCCGUUUAUCGGAGGAACACUUUGGGUGCUACCAAACGUCACAACGUAACUGGGUGAUUAUAAAGGAGUACUAUAGGUGUCUCCAAAGGUACAUGUUGGGUUGGCGUAUUUCGAGAUUAGGUUUUGUCACUCCGAUUGUCGGAGAGGUAUCUCUGGGCCCUCUCGGUAAUGCACAUCACUAUAAGCCUUGCAAGCAAUGUAGCUAAUGAGUUAUUUACGGAAUAAUGCAUUACAUAACGAGUAAAGAGACUUGCCGGUAACGAGAUUGAACUAGGUAUUGGAUACCGACGAUUGAAUCUCGGGCAAGUAACAUACCGAUGACAAAGGGAACAACGUAUGUUGUUAUGCGGUUUGACCGAUAAAGAUCUUCGUAGAAUAUGUAGGAACCGAAGGAAAUAUGCCCUAGAGUCAAUAAUAAAGUUAUUAUUUAUUUCCUCAUAUCAUGAUAAAUUUAUAUUAUUCAUGCUAGAAUUGUAUUAAUCGGAAACAUGAUACAUGUGUGAAUACAUAGACAAACAUAUAGUCACUAGUAUGCCUCUACUUAACUAGUUCAUUAAUCAAAGAUGGUUGUGUUUCCUAACCAUAGACAUGUGUUGUCAUUUGAUUAAUGGGAUCACAUCAUUAGGAGAAUGAUGUGAUUGACAUGACCCAUUCCGUUAGCGUAGCACUUGAUCAUUUAGUAUAUUGCUAUUGCUUUCUUCAUGACUUAUACAUGUUCCUGAAACUAUGAGAAUAUGCAACUCCCGUUCACCGGAGGAACACUUUGGGUGCUACAAAACGUCACAACGUAAUUGGGUGAUUAUAAAGGAGUACUACAGGUGUCUCCAAAGGUAGAUGUUGGGUUGGCGUAUUUCGAGAUUAGGUUUUGUCACUCCGAUUGUCGGAGAGGUAUCUCUGGGUCCUCUCGGUAAUGCACAUCACUAUAAGCCUUGCAAGCAAUGUAACUAAUGAGUUAGUUACAGAAUGAUGCGUUACAUAACGAGUAAAGAGACUUACCAGUAACGAGAUUGAACUAGGUAUUGGAUACCGACGAUCGAAUCUCGGGCAAGUAACAUACCGAUGACAAAGGGAACAACGUAUGUUGUUAUGCGGUUUGACCGAUAAAGAUCUUUGUAGAAUAUGUAGGAACCAAUAUGGGCAUCCAGGUUCCGCUAUUGGUUAUUGACCGAGAAUAGUUCUAGGUCAUGUCUACAUAGUUCUCGAACCCGUAGGGUCCGCACGCUUAACGUUACGAUGACAGUUUUAUUAUGAGUUUAUAAGUUUUGAUGUACCGAAGUUUGUUCGGAGUCCCGGAUGUGAUCACGGACAUGACGAGGAGUCUCAGAAUGGUCGAGACAUAAAGAUUGAUACAUUGGACGGCUAUAUUCGGACACCGGAAGUGUUCCGGGUGUUUUCGGAGAAAACCGGAGUGCCGGAGGGUUACCGGAACCCCCCGGGAGAAGUAAUAGGCCUAGUGCGUUCCCAGAGAAAGAUAAGUUGAAAGAUGAUGGUAGCAACUACACGGACAGGGCCCAUAACUUGAGGAUUAUCCUCACUGCUGCGCAGAAGAAUUAUGUCCUUGAUGCACCGCUAGGUGAAAGGCCUGCUGUAGGAGCAGAUGCUGAUGUUAUAAACGUCUGGCAAGCUCGAUAUGAUGACUACUCGAUAGUUAUGUGUGCCAUGCUUUACGGCUUAGAAUCAGGACUUCAAAGACGCUUUGAACGUCAUGGACCAUCUGAGAUGUUCCAGGAAUUGAAGUUAAUAUUUCAAGCAAAUGCCCAAGUUGAGAGAUAUGAAAUCUCCAACAAGUUGUAUAGCUGCAACAUGGAGGGAAACAGUUAUGUCAGUGAACACAUACUCAAAAUGUCUGGGUAUUACAAUCACUUGACUCAGCUGGGAGUUAAUCUUCCAGUUGAUUGUCUCAUUGACAGAGUUCUCCAAUCAUUACCACCAAGCUACAAGAGCUUCGUGAUGAACUAUAAUAUGCAAGGGAUGGACAAGACUAUCGCCGAGCUCUUCGCAAUGCUCGAAGUUGCGGAGGGACCACUAGUUUCAAGAAAACGGCAAAGGAAAGAAGGGGAACUUCAAGAAGAAUGGCAAGCAAGUUGCCACUCCCGGGAAGAAGCCCAAGUCUGGACCUAAGCCUGAAACUGAGUGCUUCUACUGCAAAGGGACUGUACACUGGAAGCGAAACUGCCCCAAGUAUUUGGCGGAUAAGAAUGAUGGCAAAGUGAACAAAGGUAUAUUCGAUAUACAUGUUAUUGAUGUGUACCAUACUAAUGCUCGUAGUAACGCAUGGGUAUUUGAUACUGGUUAUGUUGCUCAUGGUUAACAAAAUAACUUCAUCCUCGAAUGCUAAAGCAUGCGGACCCUACGGGUUCGAGAACUAUGUAGACAUGACCGAGACACCUCUCCGGUCAAUAACCAACAGCGGAACAUGGAUGCUCAUAUUGGUUCCCACAUAUUCUACAAAGAUCUUUAUCGGUCGUACCGUAAUGACAACAUACGUUAUUCCUUUGUCAUCGGUAUGUUACUUGCCUGAGAUUCAAUCGUUGGUAUCUUCAUACCUGGUUCAAUCUCAUUACCGGCAAGUCUCUUUACUCGUUUCGUAAUGCAUCAUCCCGCAACUAACUCAUUAGUCACAUUGCUUGCAAGGCUUAUUGUGAUGUGCAUUACCGAGAGGGCCCAGAGAUACCUCUCCGAUACUCGGAGUGACAAAUCCUAAUCUCGAUCUAUGCCAACCCAACAAACACCUUUGGAGAUACCUAUAGAGCAUCUUUACAAUCACGCAGUUAUGUUGUGACAUUUGAUAGCACACAAGGUAUUCCUCCGAUACACGGGAGUUGCAUAAUCUCAUAGUCAAAGGAAUAUGUAUAUGACAUGAAGAAAGCAAUAGCAAUAAAACUUAANNNNNNNNNNNNNNNNNNNNNNNNNNNNNNNNNNNNNNNNNNNNNNNNNNNNNNNNNNNNNNNNNNNNNNNNNNNNNNNNNNNNNNNNNNNNNNNNNNNNNNNNNNNNNNNNNNNNNNNNNNNNNNNNNNNNNNNNNNNNNNNNNNNNNNNNNNNNNNNNNNNNNNNNNNNNNNNNNNNNNNNNNNNNNNNNNNNNNNNNNNNNNNNNNNNNNNNNNNNNNNNNNNNNNNNNNNNNNNNNNNNNNNNNNNNNNNNNNNNNNNNNNNNNNNNNNNNNNNNNNNNNNNNNNNNNNGCCCCCUUUCAGGUGUCAUGUACGUAUAAAGGUAUAGUAGCCCAUCAGCCCAUUGCUCUUGUUGAAAAGAAAGUAGCCUAGUAAGGGAUGGCAGGUAAUAAUAGUGUACGCACAUAAAUCACGUCAAUCAGAUCGCGAGGGAAAAAAGAUCAGCGUACGCACGUAAAUCACGUCGUCCCCGUCCUCUUUCCUUCUUUUUUGGCACAGUACCGAUCUCUUCCCUUAUUCCUUACGAUCGUGAAACAUUCUCUUAAAAAAAGACGACCGUGCGCCAUGUGUUCAUCCCAAAUUUACUAUUCUCUGUUCCCUUGUUCCAAACUUCAGAUCCCAAGUCGCAGAGGGCUGGUUGGUCUCAAGGCGCUGUACGCAGACAAGACACGGCACGAAACAUCGCCUGGCUCCUAAAAAUUGACAUUGAUGGAGUUAGCGCACGCGUACAUCGCCGAGCACCUGCCACCAGACAUGCACAUCACAUCAUUGCCCCGAUCCAAUCAAUCUGAGGUAUAUCAUAUUACUAUUCCCGACAAUUUCAGCAAAGUUUCGUGCCAUGUGGGAACAAACAGUUUGAUAAAAAUAGUUGACCAAGAAGAAAUUCUAGAAGGUGAGAAAAAAAAUUUCAUGUUAAAUAUUUGUUUGUUUUGGUUGAUAUGAAUCACUUCAUUGAAGAAAGGGUUUAAAAAACUCAUGGUGUGUAAAGAUUUAUUCGGAUUUACUGUGCAUGUGAUUUUUGCAACAGCUAAAAGAAGCUUUUCAAACUUGAAAUUAUUGAAAGAACAAUUGGCAUAAACAAUUACCCAACAGAGCUUAAAUGGUUAGGCAACAUUAUGCAUGGGGAAGAAGGAUGAGAUUGACAUCGACACAAUCAUAAGCAUCUUUGCAUCAAAGAAUGUUACAAGAAAAUUUUAAGAUAAUAAUGUGUAUAAGUUAUUAUAUAAAUAUGGAUUUCCAAUGCAGUUAAGUAUUUAUUGGUAACAUUUCAUGUAUAAUUAAAUUAGUUAUUAUUGUUAUGAUGAUUAUAUUAAGGGGCCCGAAUGUUAUCUUCGCCCCGGGCCUCCAAAAUCCCAGUACCGGCCCUGCACAUGUCUAUGGUUAGGAAACUUAACCAUCUUUGAUUAACGAGCUAGUCUAGUAGAGGCUUACUAGGGACUUUAUGUAUCCACACAUGUAUCAAUUUUUCGGUUAAUACAAUUCUAGCAUGAAUAAUAAACAUUUAUCAUGAUAUAAGAAAAUAUAAAGUAACAACUUUAUUAUUGCCUCUAGGGCAUAUUUCCUUCAGAAUCUGGCUCUGGCGCCCUCAACCGGCAUGAAUGUGCGGCAACCGCUUCGGGUUGUAGAAACCGGAUGUUAGCGCAGAACAAAACAAAUGAAGAGGUCAAUGUUGUCGCACCAGGAAUGGGCUAACUCCUUCUCUUGAUAAACGCACCAACUGCCAAGAUUCAAAGGGAACCAAUAGACCCGACGACCUCUACCCUCACGAACCCUUCAUUGACAUCGAAUUUAAAGCCAAAAGGUAGGAAGAUGCCGAAAAUACCUUAUUCUAACACACCAAUGCCGCCAUGGAAACAAAAUAAAAGAAAAACAUGACCUAGUAAGAAAAAACAACAAAGACGAAGGGUCCCUACCGCCCCCAGACGAAAAAGAGAAGGGUGAUUGAGAUGGCGGCGUGGUACGACCAUAGCUGCGGCGGAUGUGUUUUCCAAUCACGUGGGUGUUUCUGAUAAGGGAUAAGGGAUUAAGAUGUUUUUCUUGAGAAACACCUGUAAUUUUAUUCAUACUCAUAACAAUUACAAAUGCACUGAUUUGGAUCUAAGAUCCAAGAAAAUACAAAGUAACUCCUAUGACUAAGAAUUACAAUGAAAUCUCUUGAAAACACCUUCUUCGCGGUAUCAGUCUCUGCUUGAAGAAAUACUCCAAAAGACUUCAGUAAAGAGGCUGCAAUUGAACUGGAGCAACAAUGUUGUCACUCUUUCACCCGUACGAACACUACCAAUAAUGGUUUACGAAAGCGCCUUGAGUUGCCCAUCCAAAAAGAUGGGAAGCCUUGAUCGAUGAACCUACUUGGGUCGGGGAUGAUCCUCUAGAAGUGCACACCAUCGAAUCACUAUAUCUUCACCAUGGUGUCGAUGAAAGAUUUCACCUCCACAAAGAAUCAGUCUAACAAAAAAAAAGCAUGACACAACAACAUAAACUCAUCAUAUCCGAAUAAUUGGAUCUGCGAGGACAGAUUACUCUUUAGCCAUAUGACAUCACCAAAAGGACAAGAGAAAAUUUAUUCUCACAAAACUAUGAUGAUCACGAUACGUCGACGAAGAGCAUAGAGGUCUUAAAGAUUUGAGGUGCCCCCACUUCUCAGCACCAAGAUGGCAGCCGGUGGCGAGGGGACCCAAAUUUUUCAGAUGAUGACGGUGGCGGCACAAAAUUUUAUUUUUGUAAGAGACACCAUAGAACACAUUUUUUUUGAGACAAGACACCGUAGAACACAUAGUGCGGAGUUGUGUAAGGCGCUACAUGGAGCCCGUUAUUCUAAAAUAAAGUGAUACCUCCAAUUAUAAAAGAUUUAAAAAAAAUCCUGUCAGAACUUAUAUAUAUUCGGAAGGGAUCUGUAAAUUUUCGUCUCGAUUGCUAGUAUGGUGGGCUAGCCCAUUAGGGCUCCUCGCUUGCUCGCUAGUUGUCAUGGAUCACCUACUCAUUCGUGUUUUAUUUAAUGUUUCCUAAAAAACAUCGGUCUUUUACUUCUGUUUUUUCACAAACUUGAAAAUUGUUUUUGAAUUUGAAAAAUUCUAGGAAUUCAAAAAAUUAUGGAAUUUUAAAUAAUCACGAAUUGGAAAAAAAUGUCUGUAGUAUUUAUUUUUUCCACGAAUUUGAAAUUUAUUCAUACAUUCAAAAAUGUUUGUGAAUUACAAAAAUGUUGAAUAUACUUGAACUGUUUUUGAAAACUCAUGAACAUUUUUUGAAUUUGUGAACAAAUUUUGAAAAAAGAACGUUUAAUAAAGUUUUGGAAAAUGCAUUCACUUUUUGAAGUUCCCACCGUCUCCGACGGGCACCCCUAUUCCUCGCGUUCAGCGAGACAGGAGCGAACCUCGAGAGCAACUAGUUGACGAGCGCUCCUUCUGGAGCUUCGCAACGCUAUGGUAGGCUGAGAGCGCGUCACUUGGCGUGCUCUUAGCUUCCACCACGUGUCACGCUAUGGGCGCCCCUCCGGAUUUUUUUAUUUUUCUGCACGCGUUUUCAAACCGUUUUUUUGUUUUUUUCCGUCUUUUUUGUUUUUCGCGGGUCUUCCUUAGCUUUUGGACCAAAAAAUUCGGGAACUUUUUUUUUUGCACAAACAGCCCGUUUUUUCUUUCACGAGAGGCACUAUCUUUCCUCUCGGAAACGAAAAAGACGCGUUUUCUAUUUUUUUUUCUUCCGUGAGAGGCACGGCCGUGCAUCCAGAAGUGGAAAAAACGCAUUUUCUAUUUUUUCCCCUUCAACGAGAGGUAUGGUUUUGCUUCCGUGAAAGAGACAUGGUUGUGAUUUUCACGAGAGGCACGGCCGUGCUCUCGAAAACGAAAAAAAAUGUGCUUUCUAUUUAUUUUUUUCUUCGGCAAGAGGCACGGUUGUGCUUUUCGCCAGAGGCACGGCCCUGCCUCUUUCGGAGAGGAAAAAACCGUGCUUCCUAUUUGGUUUUUUACAUGAAAAAAGUUCAUCAAAACCUAUCAACAUGGAUCUAGAUUUGAAAAUCUCGACGCGAGGAAUCCAACGGUGAAAAUGGUUCGAGAUUUGGACGCGCGGUUUAAGAGAUAAAACAUUUUGAAUAAACGAAUCUACAAAAAAAGGGAAAACUCCUAGGUUGCGACAAGUGUCGCACAUGCAGCACGCCACUUGUCACAAUCUGGGAAGGUGGCAGUGAUCUUUGUAAGGAGUACUCCUCAAUUAGUGAUUUUGGCGAACCUCUCGCAUCGGAAGAGCUUCGCCAGAAGCUCCAGCCUCCCUUUUCUGUUUUUUUUCCUUUUUGUUCUUUUUUUGGUUUACUUUUGUCUAUACUUUUAAAUAUUCUAACUAAAUAUAUUAGAAUAUUUAAUUAUUUUGAGUAAGUAUUAAGAAAAUGUUGAAUAAGUAUUUGAAACAUGUUGAAUAAGUAUAAAAAAACGUUGAACAAUAAAUUCAAAAAAAUGUUGAAAAUAUAUUUGAAAAUGUCGAAAAAUUAAUAAAAAUGUUGAAAAAUUAUUUUAAUUUUCUAAAUAAGUAUUAAAAAUGUUGAACGAGUAUUUGAGAAAUGUUGAGUAAGUAUUAAAACUGUUGAACAAAUAUUUGAGAAAUUUUAAAUAUGUAUUAAAAACUGUUGAAGGAGUAUUUGAAAAAUGUUGAACAAGUACUUGAAAAAUGUCGAAUAAGUAUUUGAAGAAUGUUGAACAAAUAUUUGAAAAAAUAUUGAACAAGUAUUCAGAAAAAAUGUUGAACAAGUGUUUGAAUUUUUUUAAUUAAGUGCUUGGAAAAUGUUAAAUAUAUAUGGAAAAAUGUUGACCAUGUAUUAAAGAAACUAUUAAACUUUCAUUUGAAAACUGUUAAUAAAUUAUUCAAAGACAUGUUUAAAAUGUAUAAAAAAUGUUGACGGUGUAGUUAAUCUUGUUUUGUACUCCCUCCGUUCUAGAAUAUAAGGUGUAUUGGUUUCCGUGCAAGUCAACCAUUUGAAAGUUUGACCAAGAUUAUAGAACAAAAUAGAAACGUCUGCAAUACCUAAUAGAUAAAAUAUGAAACCACCAUUCAUGAUAGAUCAAAUGAUAUAAAUUUCAUAUUGUCAAUAUCGAUGUAUUUUUCUAAAAACUUGGUCAAACUUGCACUCGUUUGACUUUUGAAAAAACAAAUACACCUUAUAUAAAUAUUAAUCAAGCAUUUGAAAAAUGUGUAUAGGUAAAUGUUGAUUAUGUAUUAUGAAAUUGUUUAAUUGGUAUUAUGAAACUCUUUUUAUACACAAAAUGUAGAAUAAUAACCAAAAGAACAAACAAAACAAUAAAAAGAACCAAAAUAAACCAAAUAAAAAAUAAAAUGCAAAAAAAAAUGAAAAUAAUGGAAAAUAUAGAGAAGAAAAAGAAAAGAAACAAAAGAAAACGAAAAAAAGGAGAAAAAAACGAAGGAAAAAAAACUGGCUUGAAUCAACUCAAGUAGGACGCGCUCCGAAAACUAACUAUGUAUGGGAACUGGAUGGGGUGGCUAGCAAGGGCAUUUCCUAUUUGGCGCCACCGGCGCCAGUUAACGUGAAUUUUGUUAACUGGCGCCUGUGGCGUCCGUAAUGGGCCGGCCCAUCUAGGCGCCGGUUGACCAUUUUUUAAUAAAAAUUCUGUGAACUUUUUUUAGAUUGAUGAACUUUUUUGAAUAUUGAUUAACCUUUUCUAAAUUAAAUGAACAUUUUGUCUUGAAAAUGGAUGAACUUUUUUUAUUUAUGAACAUUUUUUUCAGUUCCAUGAAUUUUUUCUAAAAAUACAUGAACUUUUUUCAAUUUCUGUGAACUUUUUAAAAAUUUAAUGAACUUUUGCGAAAUUGGAUGACCUUUUUUUUCAUUUUGAAUGAACCUUUUUUCAAAUUGAUGAACUUUUUCAAAAUUUAUGAUUUUUUUUAAAGAUAUGAAAUUAUUUUUUCGAAUGGAUGAACUUUUUUUCUUUAAAUCUGAAAACCUUUCUUCAUUUCUUAUUUUUAUUUUUGCAAAAAAAAAUAAAAAAACAUUUAGGGCAGCACGCUAGUGGGCCGGCCCAUGCUACCAGCGCUGCAGGCGCCGGAUCGUUAACGGGCGUCUGCAGCGCUGUAUAGGAGCUCCCGCUAGCAAGGCAUGCGCUGUCCCUGGAGACCAGGGAUCGAUACCUUUCUAGUAAUAAGUAAUUAAUUUGGGCUUCCCAAAAUAAAAUGCUCUAACACAUUUCUUGCUAACAACAAUUUUGGCCCAGCUCAAAGGCUAGCCACUAUAUUUCGGACUACGGGCUGGUAGUAUGGGCCCGUCUUGAAUGAUUUGGUAAUUGGUCUUUCUGUGUGUGUUACAAAAAAAAAAGAUUGGUUCCGUUAGAAAAAACAAGAAGAUCAUUGGUCACGAAUUAUUGGUGCUAUGCAUGCACGAGCUACCCGAUGGAGCAAAUCACAGCCAAUGAUCAGGGUUUUGUCCAAGCUCCUGUUAAGCUCUCGAUUCCGGUCCUCGCAAAAACAAAACAAAAAUUAAAAAACUCUCGAUUCCGGUCUCUGCGCAGAAAAGUGACGGCGGCCCUACCUAACAUCACGACCAGAAUUGCAGAAGUAAAAAAAAAACAUAAACAUGCACGACCAGCCCCGCUGCGGCGACGAACUUGCGAGUGUAUUGCGGUGCGCCGGGUGUGCUCUUGUCUCCUGGUCUGGUCCCUCCCUGUGCUCGCGAGUGGACCAUCGCGCAGCUCGGGUUUCGGUGCAAAAAAGCGCAGCUCCUUUUGGUCAAGGGCAGAAGAGGCGCCUAUCCAUUGCCAUUCAGGUAGCAUGCCAGGGCCAGGCCGCCAGCUUUUCUACCUUGGAGAAGGGGAACGGCUCUCUCCCGUGGCUGGUGGCUGGCUACGGCUACGCAGGCAGGCGCCGGAUCCACCACCAAACGUCCUAUUGCCGUUGCAACCAGUCGCGCUACUGUCUAGGAUUCUCCAUCGACUCAAACAGGUUUCCACGCUCGUGGCUCUUCUAUCAGUACAAUUUUUUCGGAGAGUACAUAAAAAUACGGGAUUUCUGGGGGGUAAACUAAAUUAAUUAACUAACUAGAAUUAACAGUAAAGUAAAUCGUCUAAAAUAUAACUUCUGAGAUUUAUAAUCAACGGGAAAUAAUAAGAAGAAAAUUAUUUUUAAUAUAUAUAUAAUAUUCUAAUAAACUUAAAGAAAAGAGCAAAGUAUAUUUUAAAAUUUCAUUGGAAUCCAUGGAUUUCCAAGAUUACGUUGUGCAUUACUAAAAUUCCAUUAAUCAUUGUUCAGUACGUGGGAUGCUUUUUUCAUAGACCUUUUCCUUAGUCUUACGAUUUUCUUUUACAUUUGGGCACGAGAACAUAUCGAGCAGGCCCUUUAGACCAAAAAAGGGGGGGUAGAGGUAAGAAAACGAGGUCCACAAGGGGGCAUACUAUUAGGGCCCCAAAAUUGGGCUAGAUGAUUCCAUUUUUCUCACCGACACCUUCUCCAACGAGUCUCUAGCACAACCCCCUAACUCAAAUAGACCAAGACUCGGAGGAAGUUCCAUAUCCCGUCCCUGCACAUGCCCUCCUCCUCCUCCUCCUCCUCCUCCUCCCACACUGGUGCGCUCCGCCUCCUCCCCUUCGAUGGCAAAUUUUGUGUUGCCAAGCUCAUUUAUUCCCCAGAAUUGGUCGACUCUACCCCCAUGCUCGUUGCCCACCUCACUGACCCGUUUUGGUUUAGUGCCUACUGUAGUCAUGCUUGUCGUAUCUGUUUCGUCCUCACAUUCGCUACUGGAGCAACAACACCAUGGCCCGGGACGAUGACAACGUUGUCAGACCUGCAGCCGAUAACCACAAAGGCAGGGCACAUGUUAAGUGCAUAACAGUCAGUUCGUGUGGGGGAAAUGGAAGAGGGGAGCAAGCCGAGAUCACACUGGUUGGUAGUGGUGCAGGAGGUGGCUGGAGAGAAAGGAAAAAUAAAAAGGGAAAUAGAAGAAAAAGGUGACCCGCUGGCAUGUGGGUCCUAUGUGUGGCAAAAGUAAAAGAGGCUACUACUAGACUUGAUGUCGUCUUUUGCGGUCUCAAAAAAUGCAGGCAUCCCCCAUUUAGCUUUUAGGGGCUCUAAAUUGGAGCAAUUGUUGUAGAUACUUUGAGUGGCUACCAAAUGUGUGAAUCACCAUGUCAUUACCAAAUAUCGAUGCGCAUUGACAAUAGUUGAGAGACCACAAGAGAUACUUGUUUUAUUUGUAUUAACGCCCACCAUUUUUUAAUUGCAUAAAUUUUAACAAAUUAGAUAUGUUCAGUAGUUCUCAUGGCUUAAUACAAUAUACCGUCAUCCAAACUAAACUCCAUUUUAAAGAAAUUCUUAUCGUAACUAUUUCCUUUUCCAAACCCCUUCCACAUCCCCGGAAUCCUUUGAUAACCCACAAGAAUAGGGGAUCAAUUGUAGCCUCUUUCGAUAAAUAAGAGUGUCGAACCCAACGAGGAGCCAAAGGUAGAACAAAUAUGCCCUCAAGUUUUAUCGACCACCGAUACAACUCUAUGCACGCUUGACGUUCGCUUUACCUAGAACAAGUAUAAAACUAGAAGUACUUUGUAGGUGUUGUUGGAUAGGUUUGCAACAUAAUAAAGAGCACGUAAAUAAAAGUUAGGGGCUGUUUAGAUAAAGACACAACUAAGUUAGUUUAGCGAGUGUGGAGAAGUGGUGGUAUGAGUUGUGAAAUUGUCCCUAAGCAAUUGACUACUUUACUAGACCGAUAGCAAAUUUUAUGUGGGAGAGGCCACUGCUAGCAUGUCAUCCCUGACUUGGAAUUAUAUGCACUUAUGAUUGGAACUAUUAGCAAGCAUCCGCAACGACUAAUGUUCUUUAAGGUAAAACCCAACCAUAGCAUUAAGAUAUAUUGGUCCCCCUUCAAUCUCGUAUGCAUCAAUUUCUAUGCUAGGUUGAAGCUUCUGUCACUCUUGCCCUCCAAUACAUAGUCCUAUCAACAUACAACUAACCCUAUGGUGUGAUCCACGCACGCGCUCAUAUGAUGGGCACCAAAACACAACAACAUAACCACAAGCAAAUUAAACCAAUCAUAGCAAUUCACCAAUCACCGAUAGGACAACGAAAAUCUACUCAGACAUCAUAGGAUGACAACACAUCAUUGGAAAAUAAUAUGAAGCAUAAAGCACCAUAUGCAAGUAGAGGGUACUGUUGGAAAUAUGCCCUAGAGGCAAUAAUAAAAGUAUUAUUAUAUUUCAUUGUUCAUGAUAAUUGUCUUUUGUUCAUGCUAUAACUGUAUUAUCCGGAAAUCGUAAUACACGUGUGAGCACAUAGACCACAAUAUGUCCCUAGUGAGCCUCUAGUUGACUAGCUCGUUGUGAUCAACAGAUAGUCAUGGUUUCCUGACUAUGGACAUUGGAUGUCGUUGAUAACGGGAUCACAUCAUUAGGAGAAUGAUGUGAUGGACAAGACCCAAUCCUAAGCAUAGCAUAAAGAUCGUGUAGUUCGUCUGCUAGAGCUUUGCCAAUGUCAAGUAUCUCUUCCUUCGACCAUGAGAUCGUGUAACUCCCGGAUACCGUAGGAGUGCCUUGGGUGUAUCAAACGUCACAACGUAACUGGGUGACUAUAAAGGUGCAUUACAGGUAUCUCCGAAAGUAUCUGUUGGGUUGACACGGAUCGAGACUGGGAUUUGUCACUCCGUAUGACGGAGAGGUAUCUCUGGGCCCACUCGGUAAUGCAUCAUCAUAAUGAGCUCAAGGUGACCAAGGUGUUGGCCACGGGACCAUGCAUUACGGUACGAAUAAAGUGACUUGCCGGUAACGAGACUGAACAAGGUAUUGGGAUACCGACGAUCGAGUCUCGGGCAAGUAACGUACCGAUUGACAAAGGGAAUUGUAUACAGGGUUUUGAUCGAAUCCUCGACAUCGUGGUUCAACCGAUGAAAUCAUCGAGGAGCAUGUGGGAGCCAGCAUGGGUAUCCAGAUCCCGCUGUUGGUUAUUGCCCGAGAGUCGUCUCGGUCAUGUCUGCGUGUCUCCCGAACCCGUGGGGUCUACACACUUAAGGUUCGGUGACGCUAGGGUUGUAUGAAUAUGAGUAUGCAGCAUACCGAAUGUUGUUCGGAGUCCCGGAUGAGAUCCCGGACGUCAUGAGGAGUUUCGGAAUGGUCCGUAGGUAAAGAAUAAUAUAUAGGAAGUGGUAUUUCGGCCAUCGGGAAAGUUUCGGGGUCUCCCGGUAAUGUACCGGGACCACCGGAAGGGUCCCGGGGGUCCACCGGGUGGGGCCACCCAUCCCGGAGGGCCCCAUGGGCUGAAGUGGGAGGGGAACCAGCCCAUAGUGGGCUGGUGCGCCCCCCUAGGCCCACCCCCUGCGCCUAGGGUUGAAACCCUAGGGGUGGGGGGGGGGGCGCCCCACUUGGCUUGGGGGGCACUCCACCCCCUUGGCCGCCGCCCCCCUUGGAGAUUGGAUCUCCAGGGGCCGGCGCCCCCCCUGGAGGGGGAGGAGGGCAGCCGCACCCUUGUGCUUGGUGCCUCCCUCCCCCUGCUACACCUCGUCCUCCUCCCGUAGUCGCUUGGCGAAGCCCUGCCGGAGUUCUGCUGCAUCCACCACCACGCCGUCGUGCUGCUGGAUCAUCAUCAACCUCUCCUUCCCCCUUGCUGGAUCAAGAAGGAGGAGACGUCUCCCGUCCCGUACGUGUGUUGAACGCGGAGGUGCUGUCCGUUCAGCACUUGGACAUCGGUGAUCUGAAUCACGUCGAGUACGACUCCAUCAUCACCUUGCAAGCUUCCGCACGCGAUCUACAAGUGGUAUGUGGAUGCAAACUCUCUCCCAUUACUCGUUGCUUAGAUGAACUCAUAGAUGGAUCUUGGUGAAACCGUAGGAAAAUUUUUAAUUUUCUGCAACAUUCCCCAACAGUGGUAUCAGAGCUAGGUCUAUGCGUAGUUCUCUAAUGCACGAGUAGAACACAAUUUUGUUGUGGGCGUGGAUCUUGUCAACUUACUUGCCUCUACUAGUCUUUUCUUGCUUCAACGGUAUUGUGGGAUGAAGCGGCCCGGACCAACCUUACACGUACGCUUACGUGAGACCGGUUCCACCGAUUGACAUGCACUAGUUGCAUAAGGUGGCUGGCGGGUGUCUGUCUCUCCCACUUUAGUUGGAGCGGAUUCGAUGAACAGGGCCCUUAUGAAGGGUAAAUAGAAGUUGACAAAAUCACGUUGUGGUUAUUCGUAGGUAAGAAAACAUUCUUGCUAGAACCCAAUCGCAGCCACGUAAAAGAUGCAACAACAAUUAGAGGACGUCUAACUUGUUUUUGCAGCGAUUGAUCAUGUGAUGUGAUAUGGCCAGAAGUUGUGAUGAAUGAUGAAUUGUGAUGUAUGAGAUCAUGUUCUUGUAAUAGGAUUCACGACUUGCAUGUCGUUGAGUAUGACAACCGGCAGGAGCCAUACGAGUUGUCUUUAUUUUUUGUAUGACAUGCGUGUCAUUGAAGAACGCCAUGUAAACUACUUUACUUUAUUGCUAAACGCGUUAGCCAUAGAAGUAGAAGUAGUCGUUGGCGUGACAACUUCAUGAAGACACGAUGAUGGAGAUCAUGAUGAUGGAGAUCAUGGUGUCAAGCCGGUGACAAGAUGAUCAUGGAGCCCCGAAGAUGGAGAUCAAUGGAGCUAUAUGAUAUUGGCCAUAUCAUGUCACAACUAUAUAAUUGCAUGUGAUGUUUAUUAUGUUUAUGCAUCUUGUUUACUUAGGACGACGGUAGUAAAUAAGAUGAUCCCUUACAAAAAUUUUAAGAAGUGUUCUCCCCUAACUGUGCACCGUUGCUACAGUUCGUCGCUUCUAAGCACCACGUGAUGAUCGGGUGUGAUGGAUUCUUACGUUCACAUACAACGGGUGUAAGACAAUUUUACACAGCGAAAACACUUAGGGUUAACUUGACGAGCCUAGCAUGUACAGACAUGGCCUCGGAACACGGAGACCGAAAGGUCGAACACGAGUCGUAUGGAAGAUACGAUCAACAUGAAGAUGUUCACCGACGAUGACUAGUCCGUCUCACGUGAUGAUCGGACAUGGGCUAGUCGACUCGGAUCGUGUAACACUUAGAUGACUAGAGGGAUGUCUAAUCUGAGUGGGAGUUCAUAAUUUGAUUAGAACUUUAUUAUCAUGAACUUAGUCUAAAACCUUUGCAAAUAUGUCUUGUAGAUCAAAUGGCCAACACUAAUGUCAACAUGAACUUCAACGCGUUCCUAGAGAAAACCAAGCUGAAAGAUGAUGGAACCAACUAUACGGACUGGGUCCGGAACCUGAGGAUCAUCCUCAUAGCUGCCAGGAAGCAAUAUGUCCUAGAAGGACCACUAGGUGACGCUCCCGUCCCAGAGAACCAAGACGUUAUGAACGCUUGGCAAGCUCAUGCUGAUGAUUACUCCCUUGUUCAGUGCGGCAUGCUUUACAGCUUAGAACCGGGGCUCCAAAAGCGUUUUGAGCAUCACAGAGCAUAUGAGAUGUUCGAAGAGCUGAAACUAGUUUUUCAAGCUCAUGCCCGGGUCGAGAGAUAUGAUGUCUCCGACAAGUUCUACAGUUGUAAGAUGGAGGAAAACAGUUCUGUCAGUGAGCACAUCCUGAAGAUGUCUGGGUUGCACAACCAUAUGACCCAGCUGAACAUUAACCUCCCAGAUGAGGCGGUCAUUGACAAAAUCCUCCAGUCGCUCCCACCAAGCUACAAGAAUUUUGUAAUGAACUACAACAUGCAGGGGAUGGUGAAGGCCAUUCCUGAAGUGUUCUCGAUGCUGAAGUCAGCAGAGGCUGAAAUCAAGAAAGAACAUCAAGUGUUGAUGGUCAAUAAGACCACUAAGUUCAAAAAGGCAAGGGUAAGAAGAACUUCAAGAAGGACGGCAAAGAUGUUGUCGCGCCCGGUAAGCCUGUUGCCGGGAAGAAGUCAAAGAAUGGACCCAAGCCUGAGACUGAGUGCUUUUAUUGCAAGGGGAAGGGUCACUGGAAGCGGAACUGCCCCAAAUACUUAGCGGAUAAGAAGGCCGGCAACACCAAAGGUAUAUUUGAUAUACAUGUAAUUGAUGUGUACCUUACCAGUACUCGUAGUAACUCCUGGGUAUUUGAUACCGGUGCCGUUGCUCAUAUUUGUAACUCACAGCAGGAGCUGCGGAAUAAACGGAGACUGGCGAAGGACGAGGUGACGAUGCGCGUCGGGAAUGGUUCCAGAGUCGAUGUGAUCGCCGUCGGCACGCUGCCUCUACAUUUACCUACGGGAUUAGUUUUGAACCUUAAUAAUUGUUAUUUAGUGCCAAGUUUGAGCAUGAACAUUGUAUCUGGAUCUCGUUUAAUACGAGAUGGCUACUCAUUUAAGUCUGAGAAUAAUGGUUGUUCGAUUUAUAUGAGAGAUAUGUUUUAUGGUCAUGCUCCGAUGGUCAAUGGUUUAUUCUUAAUGAAUCUCGAGCGUAAUAUUACACAUGUUCAUAGUGUGGAUGCCAAAAGAUGUAAAGUUGAUAACGAUAGUCCCACAUACUUGUGGCACUGCCGCCUUGGUCACAUUGGUGUCAAGCGCAUGAAGAAGCUCCAUGCUGAUGGACUUUUAGAGUCUCUUGAUUAUGAAUCGUUUGACAAAUGCGAACCAUGCCUCAUGGGCAAAAUGACCAAGACUCCGUUCUCCGGAACAAUGGAGCGAGCAACCAACUUGUUGGAAAUCAUACAUACCGAUGUGUGCGGUCCAAUGAGCGUUGAGGCUCGCGGAGGAUAUCGUUAUGUUCUAACUCUCACUGAUGACUUAAGUAGAUAUGGGUAUGUCUACUUAAUGAAACACAAGUCUGAGACCUUUGAAAAGUUCAAGGAAUUUCAGAGUGAGGUAGAGAAUCAACGUGACCGAAAGAUAAAGUUCCUACGAUCAGAUCGUGGAGGAGAAUAUUUAAGUCAUGAAUUUGGCACACACUUAAGGAAAUGUGGAAUCGUUUCACAACUCACGCCGCCUGGAACACCUCAGCGAAACGGUGUGUCCGAACGUCGUAAUCGCACUCUAUUGGAUAUGGUGCGGUCUAUGAUGUCUCUUACCGAUUUACCGCUAUCAUUUUGGGGAUACGCUCUAGAGACAGCUACAUUCACUUUAAAUAGGGCACCGUCUAAAUCCGUUGAGACGACACCGUAUGAAUUAUGGUUUGGGAAGAAACCUAAGCUGUCGUUUCUAAAAGUUUGGGGAUGCGAUGCUUAUGUCAAGAAACUUCAACCUGAAAAGCUCGAACCCAAGUCGGAAAAAUGCGUAUUCAUAGGAUACCCUAAGGAAACUGUCGGGUAUACCUUCUACUUAAGAUCCGAGGCAAGAUCUUUGUUGCCAAGAACGGAUGCUUUCUGGAAAAAGAGUUUCUCUCGAAAGAAGUAAGUGGGAGGAAAGUAGAACUUGAUGAAGUACUACCUCUCGAACGGGAAAGUGGUGCAGCGCAGGAAACCGUUCCUGUGAUACCCACACCAACUGAAGAGGAAAACAAUGAUGAUGAUCAAGGUACUUCGGAUCAAGUUGCUACUGAACUUCGUAGGUCCACAAGGACACGUUCCGCACCAGAGUGGUACGACAACCCUGUCCUGGAAAUCAUGUUGUUAGACAACGGUGAACCUUCGAACUAUGAAGAAGCAAUGGCGGGCCCAGAUUCCAACAAAUGGCUUGAAGCCAUGAAAUCCGAGAUAGAAUCCAUGUAUGAAAACAAAGUAUGGACUUUGACAGACUUGCCCGAUGAUCGGUGAGCGAUAGAAAACAAAUGGAUUUUUAAGAAGAAGACGGACGCGGAUGGUAAUGUUACCAUCUAUAAAGCUCGACUUGUCGCUAAGGGUUAUCGACAAGUUCAAGGGAUUGACUACGACGAGACAUUCUCUCCCGUAGCGAAGCUAAAGUCCGUCCGAAUCAUGUUAGCAAUUGCCGCAUACUAUGAUUAUGAGAUAUGGCAGAUGGACGUCAAAACGGCAUUCCUUAACCGACAUCUUAAGGAAGAGCUGUAUAUGAUGCAGCCGGAAGGUUUUGUCGAUCCUAAGAACGCUAACAAAGUAUGCAAGCUCCAGCGAUCCAUUUAUGGACUGGUGCAAGCAUCUCGGAGUUGGAACAUUCACUUUGAUGAGAUGAUCAAAGCGUUUGGGUUUAUGCAGACUUAUGGAGAAGCCUGCGUUUACAAGAAAGUGAGUGGGAGCUCUGUAGCAUUUCUCCUAUUAUAUGUAGAUGACAUACUCUUGAUGGGAAAUGAUACAAAACUUCUGGACAGCAUUAAGGCCUACUUGAAUAAGUGUUUUUCAAUGAAGGACCUUGGAGAAGCUGCUUAUAUAUUAGGCAUCAAGAUCUAUAGAGAUAGAUCGAGACGCCUCAUAGGUCUUUCACAAAGCACAUACCUUGAUAAGAUUUUGAAGAGGUUCAAAAUGGAUCAGUCCAAGAAAGGGUUCUUGCCUAUGUUACAAGGUGUGAGAUUGAGCUCGGCUCAGUCACCGACCACGGCAAGAGAUAAAGAAGAGAUGAGUGUCAUCCCCUAUGCUUCAGCCAUAGGAUCUAUUAUGUAUGCCAUGCUGUGUACCAGACCUGAUGUAAACCUUGCCGUGAGUUUGGUAGCAAGAUACCAAAGUAAUCCCGGCAAGGAACACUGGACAGCGGUCAAGAAUAUCCUGAAGUACCUGAAAAGGACAAAGGACAUGUUUCUCGUUUAUGGAGGAGACGAAGAGCUCGUCGUAAAGGGUUACGUCGACGCUAGCUUCGACUCAGAUCUGGAUGACUCUAAGUCACAAACCGGAUACGUGUAUAUGUUGAAUGGUGGAGCAGUAAGCUGGUGCAGCUGCAAGCAGAGCAUCGUGGCGGGAUCUACGUGUGAAGCGGAGUACAUGGCAGCCUCGGAGGCAGCACAUGAAGCGAUAUGGGUGAAGGAGUUCAUCACCGACCUAGGAGUUAUACCCAAUGCGUCGGGGCCGAUCAAACUCUUCUGUGACAACACUGGAGCUAUUGCCCUUGCCAAGGAGCCCAGGUUUCACAAGAAGACCAGGCACAUCAAGCGUCGUUUCAACUCUAUCCGUGAAAAUGUUCAAGAUGGAGACAUAGAGAUUUGCAAAGUACAUACGGAUCUGAAUGUCGCAGAUCCGUUGACUAAACCUCUCUCGCGAGCGAACCAUGAUCAACACCAGAACUCUAUGGGUGUUCGAUUCAUCACAAUGUAACUAGAUUGGUGACUCUAGUGCAAGUGGGAGACUGUUGGAAAUAUGCCCUAGAGGCAAUAAUAAAAGUAUUAUUAUAUUUCAUUGUUCAUGAGAAUUGUCUUUUGUUCAUGCUAUAACUGUAUUAUCCGGAAAUCGUAAUACACGUGUGAGCACAUAGACCACAAUAUGUCCCUAGUGAGCCUCUAGUUGACUAGCUCGUUGUGAUCAACAGAUAGUCAUGGUUUCCUGACUAUGGACAUUGGAUGUCAUUGAUAACGGGAUCACAUCAUUAGGAGAAUGAUGUGAUGGACAAGACCCAAUCCUAAGCAUAGCAUAAAGAUCGUGUAGUUCGUCUGCUAGAGCUUUGCCAAUGUCAAGUAUCUCUUCCUUCGACCAUGAGAUCAUGUAACUCCCGGAUACCGUAGGAGUGCCUUGGGUGUAUCAAACGUCACAACGUAACUGGGUGACUAUAAAGGUGCAUUACAGGUAUCUCCGAAAGUAUCUGUUGGGUUGACACGGAUCGAGACUGGGAUUUGUCACUCCGUAUGACGGAGAGGUAUCUCCGGGCCCACUCGGUAAUGCAUCAUCAUAAUGAGCUCAAGGUGACCAAGGUGUUGGCCACGGGAUCAUGCAUUACGGUACGAGUAAAGUGACUUGCCGGUAACGAGACUGAACAAGGUAUUGGGAUACCGACGAUCGAGUCUCGGGCAAGUAACGUACCGAUUGACAAAGGGAAUUGUAUACAGGGUUUUGAUCGAAUCCUCGACAUCGUGGUUCAACCGAUGAAAUCAUCGAGGAGCAUGUGGGAGCCAACAUGGGUAUCCAGAUCCCGUUGUUGGUUAUUGCCCGAGAGUCGUCUCGGUCAUGUCUGCGUGUCUCCCGAACCCGUAGGGUCUACACACUUAAGGUUCGGUGACGCUAGGGUUGUAUGAAUAUGAGUAUGCAGCAUACCGAAUGUUGUUCGGAGUCCCGGAUGAGAUCCCGGACGUCACGAGGAGUUUCGGAAUGGUCCGGAGGUAAAGAAUAAUAUAUAGGAAGUGGUAUUUCGGCCAUCGGGAAAGUUUCGGGGUCUCCCGGUAAUGUACCGGGACCACCGGAAGGGUCCCGGGGGUCCACCGGGUGGGGCCACCCAUCCCGGAGGGCCCCAUGGGCUGAAGUGGGAGGGGAACCAGCCCAUAGUGGGCUGGUGCGCCCCCCUAGGCCCACCCCCUGCGCCUAGGGUUGAAACCCUAGGGGUGGGGGGGCGCCCCACUUGGCUUGGGGGGCACUCCACCCCCUUGGCCACCGCCCCCCCUUGGAGAUUGGAUCUCCAGGGGCCGGCGCCCCCCUGGAGGCCUAUAUAAAGGGGGGAGGGAGGGGGCAGCCGCACCCUUGUGCUUGGCGCCUCCCUCCUCCUGCUACACCUCGUCCUCCUCCCGUAGUCGCUUGGCGAAGCCCUGCCGGAGUUCUGCUGCAUCCACCACCACGCCGUCGUGCUGCUGGAUCAUCAUCAACCUCUCCUUCCCCCUUGCUGGAUCAAGAAGGAGGAGACGUCUCCCGUCCUGUACGUGUGUUGAACGCGGAGGUGCUGUCCGUUCAGCACUUGGACAUCGGUGAUCUGAAUCACGUCGAGUACGACUCCAUCAUCACCUUGCAAGCUUCCGCACGCGAUCUACAAGUGGUAUGUAGAUGCAAACUCUCUCCCAUUACUCGUUGCUUAGAUGAACUCAUAGAUGGAUCUUGGUGAAACCUUAGGAAAUUUUUUAAUUUUCUGCAACGUUCCCCAACAGGUACAAUGGGUUCCGGGAGAGUGGACCGAUGUAGAUAGAUGGGGGAAGGUGAUGAAGAUGUUGGUGAAGAUGACGGAGGUGUUGGUGUAGAUCGUUGUCGCACGAUUAUGGCCCCGACGGUGUCCCGGGGCCACCGGGAGAGAGGGGGAGAGAGAGCCCCCCUUCUUCUUCUUCUUCUUCUUCUUCUUCUUCUUCCUUGACCUUCUCCCUAGAUGGGAGAAGGGUUUCCGCUCUGGUCCUUGGCUUCCAUGGCAUGCGAGGGGCGAGAGCCCCUCCGAGAUUGGAUCUAUCUCUCUGUCUCUCUCUGUUUCUGCGUUCCAGAUUCUGGCCUUUCACCGUUUCUUAUAUUCCCGGAGAUCCGUAACUCCUAUUGGGCUGAAAUUUUAACAUGAUUUGUAUCCGGAUAUUGGCUUUCUUGCGGCGAAAGAAGGGCACCAACCGCCUUACGGGGUGGCCACGAGGGUCAAGGGCACGCCCCUUGCCUCGUGGCCCCCUCGGGCAUCAUCUCUCGUUGAUUCUUCUUCCCCAAAAUCACAUAUAUUCCAAAAAAAUCUCUGUAUGUUUUUAUCCCGUUUGGACUCUGUUUGAUAUGGAUUUUUUGCGAAACAAAAAACAUGCAACAAACAGGAACUGGUACUGGGCACUGGAUCAAUAUGUUAGUCCCAAAAAUAGUAUAAAAAGUUGCCAAAAGUAUGUAAAAGUUGUAGAAUAUUGGCAUGGAACAAUAUAGAUACGACGGAGACGUAUCAGUAUCUCCAAGCUUAAUUCCUGCUCGUCCUCGAGUGGGUAAAUGAUGAAAAAGAUAAUUUUUGAUGUGGAAUGCUACCUAGCAUAAUCUUGAUCAUGUAAUCUAAUCAUGGCAUGAAUAUUAAGACACAAGUGAUUCAAAGCAAUAGUCUAUCAUUUGACAUAAAAGAAUUUAAUACUCGGGCAUCCCAACGAACAAUCAAGUCUUUCAAAAUAUCAAUGCUAAAGAACGUUAUCCCUACAAAAUCAUAUAGUCUUUUAUGCUCCCUUUUCUUAACACAAGGUACCCCUCAUGCCCAUCCCGGUGUCAGCCAAGCAAUUGUUUUCAUACAUUACUUUUUCGAACCUUUUAAACUCUUCACACAAUAUAUGAGCGUGACCCAUGGACAUAGCACUAUGGGUGGAAUAGAAGGUGGUGAUAGACAAAAGUAGGGAGAAAGUCUCACAUCGACUAGGCAAAUUAAUGGACUAUGGAGAUGUCCAUCAAUUGAUAUCAAUGUGAGUGAGUAGGGAUUGCAUGUAACGGAUGCACUAGAGCUAUAAGUGUAUGAAAGCUCAAAGGAAAACUAGUGGGUGUGCAUCAACUUGCUUGCUCAUGAAGACCUAGGGCAAUUUGAGGAAGCCCAUCGUUGGAAUAUACAAGCCAAGUUCUAUAACGAAAAAUUCCCACUAGUAUAUGAAAGUGACAAUAUAGGAGACUCUCUAUAUGAAGAACAUGGUGCUACUCUGAAGCACAAGUGUGGUAAAAGGAUAGUAACAUUGCCCCUUCUCUCUUUUUCUCUCAUUUGUUUGACGGGCUUCUUUGGCCCCUUUUUUUAUUUAGGCUUCUUUGGCCUCUCUUUUUUAUUUCCUCACAUGGGGCAAUGCUCUAAUAAUGAUAAUCACCACACUUUUAUUUACUUACAACUCGAUAUUACAACUCGAUACUAGAACAAAAAUAUGACUCUAUAUGAAUGCCUCCGGCGUUGUACCGGGAUGUGCAGUGAUCUAGCAUACCAAUGGCAUAAAAAAACGGACAAGCCAUGAAAAUAUCAUGCUAGCUGUCUUACGAUCAUGCAAAGCAAUAUGACAAUGAUGGUGCAUGUCAUAACAAACGGAACAGUGGAGUUACAUGGCAAUAUAUCUCGGAAUGGCUAUGGAAAUGCCAUAGUAGGUAGGUAUGGUGGCUGUUUUGAGGAAGGGUAUAAGGUGGUUUGAUGCACCGGUGAAAGUUGCGCGGUACUAGAGUGGCUAGCAAGGUGGAAGGGUGAGAGUGUGUAUAAUCCAUGGACUCAACAUUAGUCAUAAAGAACUCAAAUAGUUAUUGCGAAAAAUCGAUUAGCCCUCAAAGCAAAAUACUACGACGCAUGCUCCUAGGGGGGAGGUUGGUAGGAGUUAACCAUCCCGCGCCCCGACCUUCACGCAGAGAUAAACAAUCAAAAUACAAUGCGCGCCAAUUUGGUUACAUAGUUAGAAGACCAUACGUGCAUGCUUCGGGAAUCACAAACCUUAGCACCAAUAUUUUUACUAAACCACAAUCAUUCACUAGUACCUCCCACAUAUUAGCAUCUCUAUAUCGCAAAACUAUUGCAAGGAAUCAAACAUAUCAUAUUCAGCGAUCUACAAGUUUAUGUAGGAUUUUAUGACUAACCAUGUGAAUGACCAAAUUCCUGUCAACUCUCUAAAUAGAUAUAAGUGAAGCAAGAGAGUUUAAUUCUUUCUACAAAAGAUAUGCCCACGCUCUAACAAAUAUAAGUGAAGCAAAAGAGCAUUCUACAAAUGGCGGUUUUCUAUGUGAGGAGAAACAGGCAAUCCAAACUUCAAAUGAUAUAAGUGAAGCACAUGAAGCAUUCUAUAAAGUCAUACUCAAAAGAUAUAAGUGAAGUGCAAAGAGCAUUCUAUAAAUCAACGAUGGACUAUCUCAUACCAGCAUGGUGCAUCAAAGAAAAGUGAAAACUAAAUGCAAAAGAUGCUCCAAGAUUUGCACAUAUCACAUGAACGAAACGAAACCGAAAACAUACCGAUACUUGUUGAAGAAAGAUGGGAUGCCUUCCGGGUCAUCCUCAAGCUUAGACGCUUGAGUCUCCUUGAAUAUUUACUUGGGGUGCCUUGGGCAUCCCCAAGUUUGAGCUCUUUCCUCUCCUCCUUCUCCUCAUAUCGAGACCUCCUCGAUCUUUGGUCACUUCAUCCACACAAAACUCAAUAGAAAGCUCGGUAAGAUCCGUUAGUAUAAUAAAACAAAUCACUACUCUAAGUACUGUUGCAAACCAACUCAUAUUUUGUUUUUGCAAGCUUCUGUAAUAUAACUUUUCCAUGGCUUAUUCCACUGAUAGAAAUCGUUAGUUUCAUCAAAACAAGCAAACAAUGCAUCAAAAAACAGAAUUUAUCUUAAAUAGGACAGUCUGUAGUAAUCUGAACAUUCACCAUACUUCUGGUACUCCAAAAAUUCUGAAAAAAAUUAGGAAACAUAAACAACUUUUAUAGAAAGACAGUGCAAAAAGUUUCAGAACCGUUUUACGUUCCAGUAAAAAAUGUAAAAUCAUGCACUACAGCCAAAGUGUCUGUUUUGCACCGCACAAACCAACAAGCAAUGUAAACAUCCUAGAGGCAAAUCUUGGAAAAUUAUUUUUAUAAUACAAUGGAAUUGUACAAGGGGAUAAUUAUUUUUGUUGAAAAGUUUCUGUAAUCAAGAUUCACAAAGUUUCCGUGAGCAUGAACAAAGUUCAAGGAGAUCCCUCACUUCAACAAUGCUUGUCUCUCUCACUUUCACUUUCCUUUUUGAAAAGCUUUGGGUUCCCCUCUUUAUUUUUUUGUUUUAAACUCUAUAAACUCACUCAACAGAAAUAAAUUACUCGCUGAAACUUCCAGAUUGUCUCCCUGGCAACACUUUCUUUAAAGCCAUUAAGCUAGGCAUACAGUGCUCAAGUAAUGAAUCCACCCAGAUCCGAAGGUACAUCAAAGCCAAUUUGAAUUAGCAAUGAUUUGGCAUUUAGUAGUGAGCAAAAAGCAACAUAUAUCAAGCAAUGACGAAGUCUAACUUUCUUCCUAUGCAUCAGCAUGUCAUACAAGAACAUUUUAUGCACAACAAGUAAAGGCCAAUGCAUAGCAUAAGAAGUUUCUUGCAAUUUUAUCGUGUUGGAAACAUAGAGAGGCGGUGUAGUUCCUCUCUCAUAAUAAUUGCACGUGGGAGAAGAAGCACAUGCAUAUUAUAUUCAUCAAAAUUAUUAUGUGCAAUGGUAAAAGGCCACCCAUCAAUAUAAUCCUUAAUAAGUGCAAACUUCUCCGAUAUAGUGUAGUUUGGAGAAUUCAAAAAGAUAAUAGGACUAUCAUGUGUGGGUGAAAUAGCAACAAUCUCAUGUUUAACAUAAGGAACUAUAGCGAGUUCAUCUCCAUAAUCAUAAUUCAUAUUGGCAUCUUGGCCACAAGCAUAGCAAGCAUCAUCAAAAAGGGAUAUUUCAAAAGAAUCAACGGGAUCAUAACAAUCAUCAUAGCAUUCAUCCUUCGGUAAAUUCGAAGGGAAAUUAAACAAUGUAUGGGAUAAAGAGUUACUCUCAUUAGAUGGUGGGAACGGGUGAUCAAUCCGCUCUUCCUCCUUUUGUUCUUCGCUCUCCUCCUCAUCUUUUUCAUCCAAUGAGCUCACAAUGUCAUUAAUUUCUUCUUUCAUAGACUCCUGCAAAAUAUUAGUCUCUUCUUGGACAGUGGAGGAGUCCUCAAUAUAUGGUUUAAUAUAAGGAUUAGAAGCAUAAUUAUCAUAGCAAUAUUUAAGUAUGGCCAAAUUUUCAGAUUUGUAGAGAGUAGUAUCACACUCUUCAAUAAAAAAAAGCAAUUUCACAAGUACCCCUAAAAGCAACUAAUUCUUUAAUUUGUUGAACAUCAUAGUAAUUAUAAACACCCUUAGUAUAUGAAGAUACGAUUCCAUUAUCACUAAACUCACAUUGGUAAGAAAGGUGUUUCUUAGGGUCUUUAGAUUAACAAGUAAAAUCAUAUAUUUCACAUAAAUUCCAAGCAUAGCACUGCAAACAAUGAAUUUGAUCCAGUAAAAGUUUCCCUUUUUUGGAUAUGCGGUGUCGCACAUAACAAGCAUGCUCAUCUAAAGAUUUGCCCUCAACUAAGCUAGUUAGGGUUUCAGCCCGAGCACAUAGGGAUCGAAGAUGAUCCAAGUAAAAAGCUUCAGUAGUGUGAUAGAUUUUGAGUGGUUCUUCAACCAUUGAUUCAGUAGGUACCACCAAUUUUUUUUUGUAUUUUGCGUUUCCUACCCAUAACUAAAGAUAGAUAACAAGAUCACAUAAAAACUACUUAGUGAUAAAGCAAACAAGCACACACGAGAAUAUUCACCUCACGCUAUAACUCCCCGGCAACAACGCCAGAAAAAUGUCUUGAUAACCCACAAGUAUAGGGGAUCAAUUGUAGCCUCUUUCGAUAAGUAAGAGUGUCGAACCCAACGAGGAGCUAAAGGUAGAACAAAUAUUCCCUCAAGUUUUAUCGACCACCGACACAACUCUACGCACGCUUGACGUUCGCUUUACCUAGAACAAGUAUAAAACUAGUACCUAGAACAAGUAUAAAACUAGAAGUACUUUGUUGGUGUUGUUGGAUAGGUUUGCAAGAUAAUAAAGAGCAUGUAAAUAAAAGCUAGGGGCUGUUUAGAUAAAUACACAACUAAGUUAGUUUAGCGAGUGUGGAAAAGUGGUGGUAGGAGUUGUGAAAUUGUCCCUAAGCAAUUGACUACUUUACUAGACCGAUAGCAAGUUUUAUGUGGGAGAGGCCACUGCUAGCAUCUCAUCCCUGACUUGGAAUUAUAUGCACUUAUGAUUGGAACUAUUAGCAAGCAUCCGCAACUACUAACUUUCAUUAAGGUAAAACCCAACCAUAGCAUUAAGAUAUAUUGGUCCCCCUUCAAUCCCAUAUCCAUCAAUUUCUAUGCUAGGUUGAAGCUUCUGUCACUCUUGCCCUCCAAUAUAUAGUCCUAUCAACAUACAACUAACCCUAUGGUGUGAUCCACGCGCGCGCUCAUAUGAUGUGCACCAAAGGACAACAACAUAACGACCAGCAAAUUAAACCAAUCAUAGCAAUUCAUAACCUUUAGGACAACGAAAAUCUACUCAGAAUCAUAGGAUGGCAACACAUCAUUGGAUAAUAAUAUGAAGCAUAAAGCACCAUGUUCAAGUAGAGGGUACAACGAGUUACGGGAGAGUGGACCGCUGUAGAUAGAUGGGGAAAGGUGAUGAAGAUGUUGGUGAAGAUGACAGAGGUGUUGGUGUAGAUCGUCGUCGCACGAUGAUGGCCUCGGCGAUGUUCCGGCGCCACCGGCAGAGAGGGGGAGAGAGCCCCCUUCUUCUUCUUCUUCUUCUUCUUCUUCUUCUUCUUCUUCUUCUUCUUCUUCUUCUUCUUCUUCUUCUUCUUCUUCUUCUUCUUCUUCCUUACCUUCUACCUAGAUGGGAGAAUGGUUUCCCCUCUGGUCCUUGGCUUCCAUGGCAUGGGAGGGGCGAGAGCCCCUCCAAGAUUGGAUCUGUCUCUCUAUCUCUCUGUUUCUGCGCUCUAGAUUCUGACCUUUCACCGUUUCUUAUAUUCCCGGAGAUCCAUAACUCCGAUUGGGCUGAAAUUUUAACACGAUUUGAAUCUGGAUAUUGGCUUUCUUGCGGCGAAAGAAGGGCACCAACCGCCUUAUGGGGUGGCCACGAGGGUCAGGGGCGCGCCCCCUGCCUCGUGGCCCCCUCAGGCACGCAUUGUUUCUUCUUCCCAAAAAUCACAUAUAUUCCAAAAAAAUCUUCGUAAGUUUUUAUCCCGUUUGGACCGUUUGAUAUGGAUUUUCCGCGAAACAAAAAAAUAACAAACAGGAACUGGCACUGGGCACUGGAUCAAUAUGUUAGUCCCCAAAAUAGUAUAGAAAGUUGCCAAAAGUAUGUAAAAGUUGUAGAAUAUUGAAAUGGAACAAUCAAAAAUUAUAGAUACGACAGAGACGUAUCACCCUUCUAGUUGUCUCCGUGCACAUAUGACCUCCUUUUCUAGGGUUGGUGGUUGGCACCAUGUUUUCCAAUCGCACAUCUGUAUGCACACUACUACCGGUUUGCAUCCGCUCCGCCUUAUUCUAAGCAAAGUGGGAUAUAUAUGUACUCACCAAAAUAAUCAACUUGUGGUUGCCACAGUCCCUCCGACCUCUGCUCCCUCUGUCACUCGCCCACCGCUCCAUCGUAUAUCCAUGGAUGACAGCCGUUGGCUGAUCUGCUAUCCUAUGAUCGACUACCUCGCUAUCGGGAUGGAUCUGGUCCUGCUUCAGGAGAAAUCCAUGCUGACCUGAGCGUUAGCUGGCCACGACAGCGCCACCCCGGUGUCAUUUUCCCUCCUGGGGGGCAUGGUCCUUGAGCUGUACCUGGCCCGCUCGGUAUGGGCUUCGGGCGAAAGUCCAUUGACGACGUCGUCUGCGGACGUCGUUCACCUUCUUGAACGCAACAUUGGGAGCUCUUCGCUGUCAUCCAUCCAACCCUGCUCACUGUUGAUUGCACCACUUUGGUGAUACUUGUUGAAGAUCCUCGCAUGGUUGCCGUUGUGAUGCGGUGAGCUUUAUGCUCUUGGUGCUAUCUCGGUUCAUCUUUGCUCAAGGAUGACGCAAGAUGCCUCACAAGCUUGCUAGUCGUUCUUAUUUCCUAUGGUGGAGUUUCCAAUCGAGGUUCGUGUUUGCUAUGGCACUCGUUGAUUGUGAAUGCUCCUAAGCUGUGCAGCGGGGGUCGGUACGCACGCCGGUGCGUUCGGCUGUUUGUAGAUCUUGGUGUUGUGAUCCUUUGACGGCACCUCACAUCUACUUGUGUGUCUCGUGGUGAUGGUUUUGCCUUGUCUUGGGCACCCAUUCGUUCUCAUAUUCUUUUAUCCUUGUUGUUUGUACGGUUUUUGGGCCCGGUUUCCUUUAUAAAUGAGGUCAACUUGUUAAGGUUUUCGAUCCAGUUUUUCUUAUAAACCGGAUCACUCUAUGGCAUAUUGACCACUUUGAGUAAUAUAUUCAGGUGGGACCCCCAAGGUGAUUCUCAAACAAAAAGAAAACUCCAGCCCUCGAUAGUAACACGGCAAUACUGUAAUAUGCAUGAUGCAACUGUGCGGCAACAAACUGUGACAAUCGCCAGAUGUGCGCCAACAACAAUCGAUCACAGAGAAAGCUAUGUAGUUAUAUGAGAUAGUAUAUGAGAAACUACAAACAUUGUCCCCAUCCGUCUACCGGGAAUCUCUCGUUGAGAUAUUGCAUAACAAAAAAAAAAAUGCCCAUGGAUUGAUGCCAACUCUAGAGCAUCUAAAAUGGCGUGAUGCCAAUGUUGUUUAAUCCUAACUCGCCACGUAGGAUUUUUUGUUCAGUUGGAGAAGAGAGCGGGUUGUGUUUCUCUUGGCAUCCGUUAUUCAUGGUCCAUGGAUUGUUGGCUAAAAUGUGACUGGCCGACGAUGAGUUCCUGCCAUGCACGCCCUAGCUAGCUAGAGCCAUGGUAGAGCGGUAGAUCAAGGAAAGCACACCCACCCAACGAUUAGUGUUCUCCCCGUCCAAAUCCUAGCCAAAUCCCCUAAAAAAUUGUAAGCUAACUCCCUUCGCCAGUUCACGUGAAAUCCCUUCGAACUAAACGCAAACUGCACGUGCCUAAACGGAUAGUAGAAUCGAUGUGAAUACACUACUGUACGUACUAGUAGUAGCAACACGGACAGACACCAACACGGUUGGCUUGUGGCCUUGUGGUCGCUGAGCUCCCGCGCUGGUUUUUCUGACGGAAUCUCCGUCCAUCUUUGUCGGUUCCUUUCUUGAACAAGGUGCAGCCGCUUUUGGUGCAGUCAGAGGAGGAGUUUACCGCUUCCGGUAAGAUAAGAAGCAUCAGCAGGCCAUUGCCAGGGGCCCGCCCAGAAUCUCUAUUGUGUCUUGGAGAAGGACAAGGGAGUCUGUUUCUCUCUGGCACGUGACAAUGCAUGGCUGCUGCUGGCUGGCUGGCUACGGCCACCCAUACUAGGUGCACGCGAACCUACGCGGAGCGCGACGUGCACAGAUUAGACCGGACAGACACGCCCCCAUGGCCCAUGCUGCUGCCGUUGCAAUGGCGUAACCACGUUGCAGUAGCCCGAGACAGAAACGUACUAGUAUUACUAGGCGUUCAUUUUUUGGCACGAUGGAGGUUAAAUUAUUAGGGCUGCUAUGCACACGAUACCCGUUGGACGAUUGCUGGACGAUACUGCAAAUCAGGCCAUCCAUGCGUAGGACUAGGUGCAACGCAGCCGCUGGAUUAACUAUCGUGCCUGAAUCGUCCAUCAUGCAUCGUCUGUGAAGUAGUUUCGAUUAUGGGAAAUGUUUCCAGACGGUGCACCGGCCGAGCGUUUCGGCCGGUCCCGCGCACGCCGCUCGAUCGGGUAGCGAUCCAGCGCUCCCGCACCUCCCGAUCCACGUUGUUUUUUUUCCUUGGCCCAUCACGUGGCCUUGGUCCACCACGUUUACUCGGUCAGCUUUUUUUUUUCACCAACCGCUCAAGCUGUGGGGUGGGAAAAAUAUCUACAACUGCAGACGGACGAAAGUUGCAUCCGUUUUUUGCUGCAACAACGACAUUUUGUUGCUGCAACUGCCGUUAUCUUUUGCUACGACCAGCGUGUUUUUUUGCUACAUCCUUUUUUUGCUAUCGAUUUCUUGCCCAAAUAAAAAAAGCUGCAACCAUUUACAUGAAAGCUUCAACCCUACAUUUAAAAAGCUUCAACUCAUAAACUUUUUUGCUGGAACCAACUACUGUAUUUGUAGCUGAUUCUUUUUUGCUGGAACUAGUUUUUUGUUUUGCUACCACCGACGGCUUCAUUUGCUACCACCGGCGACAUGGUUUGCUACCACCAUAUGCAGCGGCCGGUCGACGUCAAUGUUUUUCUUGCUACAACCGUGUCAUGUUUUUGUUGCAACCGGCAGCCACAGAAGAUACAAUCGGUUAACAUUUUUGCUACAAUGGUGCCGGCGAGCUUUUAAUUUGUUGGAAGUGUUGCCCUUUUUUGCUACAACCGGUCGUUCUUUUUGCUGCUACCGACACCCCGACGGAGAGUACAGUUUUCUUAUGAGCUCGUCGCCGGAGGUGUUGCGACCUGCAGCCGCAGAACGCCGGAGCUGCGUUCGUCAUCACCGGAGUUGCGACCGUCGUCACCGAGAGAUGCAACUACGGGGACACGCUGCUGCAUGCAUGGAGCCAACGAGAAACACAUGAGACAUCAGGGUUGUAGUACCAUUGCAACACGGUCCACUACCACCAGGGCCCUGCCUGCUCAGGGGACUCCGGCCAUGAACGGCAGCGGAGCUCGAGCCUAAAUCCAUGGUGGCAAGGAGGUCAUGACGUAUGUACGACAUGAUUGAAGCAAUCCCAAGGCGGCUUGAUAGGUGGGGGAGCCCCUCCUAGACGUGAUUCGGCUGCGGGCAACGAAGAACAGGCGGAUCCGGUCGCCACCGCCGCGGAUCGGGGACGGGCGGACGCGGGGGAUCGAGCUCCCCUGUUUUUCUCGUUGUGGCUGUUCGUACAAAGGUUGCAACAAAACAUGUUCUUUUUGCUGCAACGGUUGGUUCGGUGGUGGCGUCGCGCGAAAAUCUAACGGCUGGGGCUGACCGCAUCGCACGGCUUGGGCUGGACCGGCCGAACAGUUCGGCCGGUGCGCCGGCGCGUAUCACUCCUCUUCGAUUAUUAGGCGGCCGUUGCAAGCAGGCACGAGGUCAGGUCACCUGCUGCGCGCGCGCUGUCCUCCGGCUGGUCUAGUCUGGUGCAUGCAUGUGUGGGAUUUUUGUGCGUGCCAUGAGGCGAACUAGCUAGCAAUUGUUCAAACAAAAAGUAGACUUGUAGUAAUACUAGUAAUCGCUCAGUUGGUCUCGGAGACCAAAGUCGCCUCUCUCUCACGUGACAUGCCACUACUCCAUUCGUGGUAUGAGCAGUCCCCAAUAGCCUACAGCUACAACUAUAUCUAUGGCUAUUGCCUAUUGGUGUGGUAGCACGCACGCGCCGUCGGGCCACCCGCUGCAGUCGCUCCUCUCUCUCUCUCUCUCUCACGUGACAAUGCAUGGCUGCUGGUGUCUGGCUACGGCCACGCAUGCUACGUGCACCCGAAUCUACACCGCGACGUGCACCGAUCAGACUGGACACGACCCCAUGCUGCUGCCGUUGGAAUGUAGGGACCAAACGGACGCGCGUUUUGUGUGUGUUUUUGCUCGUUUGGGUCGCUACUUUGGCCCAUGUAUGGCUGUGUCCGCGUUAACCGUUUGUUACAUUUUGGUACGGCUCAGCCGUUUUUGUUGCCAAUUUAUCCCAAUCUAGACAUUCUAUAGGCAUAAAUCAAAAGAACAAAUGAAAAUAAAACAUUGCACAUACUUAAACAGAUAAGUCACAUCUUUUACAACACAAUAAAUUUAAAUCACAGAGUUUAUUACAACCAAAUGUUUUUUAAAUUGUAGUAAAUACAUUGAACGAAAAAGUGUAGAUAUAUCUAUUGGUUUCCUAUGUGAGUUCACAUAUACUCAAUCAAAUCAUUUUGAAGUUGAAUGCGAGUUAUUCAAUCACGCAUUCCUUGAUGAAAUUGGGUGAACUGUGCAUACGUUGUUGCUUCAUACUUAGGCUCAACAUUCUCACCAUGAAAGUCCCACCCUUGAUCCAAGAGGUUGUUCUCAUGCUCAUCCUCUAUGAUCAUGUUGUGCAUGAUCACAUAAUAUGUCAUCACCUCCCACAUCUUUUGAGUGCUCCAUGUUCUAGCAGGGUGCUGGACAAUAGCCCAUCGAGAGCUGUCGGCGACCCCUGUCCUCGGCGUGCCUUGUAGUACUCUAACGGCAGCUAGGACCGGCCACAAGGCCGGCGAGAUUUGGCGUGGUGACGGUGGUGGCUCAGGCAUGUCCGUGGAUGCGGCCAUUGGUGCUCUGGUGGUCGUGAGACGACCGUAACUGGAUGGCGGCGGCGAUAGCGGCGAGCCAGGGGUGUUAGAGUGGAGGGGGAAGGACCGUUAUACCAUAGACAGGAGGGCCAGGGGGAGGACAAGGGAGGGCGAUGCGGGCGUCCGCAACGUGUUUGCACGGACGCAAACUUGGCCCAAAUUUGUGGCCAGAAAUGGGUUGAGUCGGAAAAAAGUACACCCGCUAGUUUGCGUCGAGCCGUAAUUUUUGUCUACGCGGACCCAAGCAGACGUGAACGGACCAAAUGCGUCCCUAUGUUGGAGUUGGCCUUGGACCAACUUAAUUGUCAUUUAUCAAAACAGACACAUCAAAUAUUCAUGGACACGUUCCGACGUCUUUACGGAUAUCAAAUAAGCAUCAAAUCUGAACAACAGAGCGGCGCAUGUGGACCUCGCAUUAGCAUCAAAUUCUGGUCGGUGGAAUAACGAGAUCAACGUCAUAGUUGUCGAACCAACUCCCACUGUAGAAAGUGCAAACCUGUCCAUCAGAUAUCUUCGUUAUAUCCGACAGUGCACACAUCGCCGAAGCAAGAGAACACACGGGGGAGACCUUAUGAACACCACCGCCACCGCCUUUGGAUGGGAUGAAGGACUACUUGUCCACCCUAUCUCACUUGCCGCAACGUCAUAUGCACCGUCGGGCCGGGGCCGAAGAAGAACAUGGAAGAUCCAUUACUGAGCACCACCACCAAUGAUGGAUGGUUAAAAUGGUGGACUAAUUAAGACCUACCUAAUGUCCUAUGACGGAGAAACUACAACCCCCUCUGGUUGAUCGGGACCUCCGUGCACACCCCCACCGUCGGAGCCAUGGGAGGAGGAGGUUGGUGAUCUACCGACGGUUCAAACAUCAAUAAUGAACAUGAAAAGGGUGAAAUAAUUAUUGUAGACAAAAUUGCUGAAUAACAAAAAAAGCAUUGCUAAAAAAUUAGCAAAAUACCAUGAUCUAGAUUGUAUUUAAAUCCUUGGCUUUUCAAGAUUAUGUUAUACAAUGUUAAAAUACCAAUAAUCAUUGUUCACUUUCCUGGAAUGUUUUUUUCUUACAGAUUUACCCUCAUUCUUAAAAAAAACACAUGUUUCUUACAUUUUGGCUAGUGUCUUAAUUCCCAAGGUUCUGCAUCCCAAGAACCUGAAGGAUAUUAGGCCAAUACGCUUGUCCAACAUGGUGUACAAGAUUGUUUCCAAGUUUUUGGUAAACCGACUGCAUCCUAUCCUUGGUGAUCUUAUCUCGGAGAAGUAAAGCACUUUUGUCCCUUCAAGGCUUAUAACUGUUAAUUUGAUCAUAGCUUUUCAGUCCAUUCACUAUAUUCAAUCUCUGAAGGUAAAUUCCUGAGCUGCUUGUUGCUACAGAUUGGACCUGUCCAAGGCCUAUGGCCGGGUGGACUGGGGUAUUCUUGAAAUGGCACUUCACAAGUGGGAUUUUUUCUCUAGGUGGAUUUUUCGAGUCAUGGCUUGUGUGACCUCGAUUAAGUACCCCAUGAAGUUUAAUGAGAAAUUGAUACAGACUUUUACCCCAUCGCGUGGGCUUUGUCAAGAUGGACCCUUGUCCUCCUUUUCUUUUUAUUUGUUGCUGACGUGUUUUCUGCUCUCAUCAACAAACCAGUCAUCAAAGAGGGGUUGGAGGGAGUAACAAUUUGUCACGGGCCUCCGGUAAUAUUCCAUCUUUGGUUUGAGGAUGAUCCCAUGUUGUUUUUCCAAGCUUCUAGCCGACAUGCAAACAUUGUUAAAUGUUUGUUGAACACAUAUGCGACGGUGAUGUGUAAACUCAUAACCCCCAAAAGGGCUCCAUUGUUUUCUAUAGUAAUUGCCAGGAGGCAGUGGUUGAGGAAGUUAUGACAUCCCUCCUAGCGCACUCUAAUAAGCCCAGAGGAAGGCAUCGGGCUGAGGGUAGAACACUCACUUGUAAUCUCCAUGCAAGAGCAAGAACACCACCGGAGGGAGUAGGGUAUCAUCUCAUGCGACGAGGGCCCAGACAUGUAUACAUCAUUGUGCGUACACCCAUUUGCAUAUUUCGUUAGAUACGAUCGGCCCUACUUUCAUACCCCCAUAGUAUUGUCAGGUUUAUAUCCACGUGACCCCUUUAUCACUCGAUUACUUGAAAUUCUAGUCACAUAAGCAUGCCAAAUGGUAACCUGUUGCUCAAGAGAUUUAUCCGCGGAUCUAGAGAAGGCAAAGAUAAUAGAAGAGAGAAAAAAUGUUAUGGUGGGAAAUAAACAUAAACAAAAAGAGAGGAAAAAAGAAAAAUGUGAAUGAAAGGGAGAAAUGAACAAAGAAGAAAAAGAAUACAAAGAAUAGAGCGAGCAAAACUUAGCAGUAAUUAAACUUAGUAGUGUUGCCUAAAAACGGUAUUGUUAUCUGGCGAACGUCAGCUAGAAAUGGGGUGGCAAGCAAAGAUUUUUUUAUGGCAAUUUCACGUGGUCGGAGAUGGAAAAUCCUUCUUUUUUGCAGCAAUUUUUUCUUCUCUUCUAGAAGUUUCCAUGUGUUUCUGAAGAAACUGCUACCCUCCCAUGUCGUAUGAUGUGAACCAAAAGCGCGUCUUGUUUCCUAUUCCUAUUCAUAGGAUUUGAGAUAGGAUUACAUGUCAUCUCAUUUCAUAUGACCUUCCUAUCCCUAUUAUUUCCCUAAACCAUGAACCAACCUAAAUUGGCAGAAAAAACAUUUGCAAUUGCCACAGUUUCCCAGUUGACCUAGCGGAAGAUUUAAGAAGGGCAUGCUCGUAUGGCCAUGAACACGUCACUAACGUUGGUCCAAAAACUGUUGUUACUAAGUUCCAAUUAACAAGUAUAUGUUUUUUUGUGUGUGUAAAUUCCCAAACAAAUAGUUAUGCCAUUUAUUUAUAUAACUACUUAAAUGAUUAUAAAAAUGCUCACGUGUUGCAUAUUUAAAACGACCGCUCAUAUAGAAGAAAACAUUCGUGUAUGUAAAAAAUGUUCAUGUAUUUUUUAUCUCACUAGUUUCGUAUCUGGUUCUUAUAACUAAGUGAAAAUCAUUCAUGAUUUGCAAAUAAAUAUUCGCGCAUAUAUUUAAAAAAAAUGUCCAUGUAAAAUUUUAAAAAUGACCACAUGUCUUUUUCAAAAAUAUUCUGUAUGUGGAAAAGUGUUCAUAUGUUGCGAAAGAAAAAUGUUGACGCACAUGGAAAUAUAGGUUCCGUGCAUUUUCUUGUAAAAAGUUCACGCAUGUAUUUAUUUCCCCAUUUAUUUGCAAUAUAGGUUCUGUAUGAAGAGCUAGUACACCGCAGAAAAGCGACGGGUGGCCCUGUGGGCGCGCGGGGCAGCGCGGCACACGCCAAACCAACAUGCAUGCACGUACGUAUAGGAUUGAGCCGCGGCGACCAACCGCGAGCGCCGGCGCCGCUCCACUACCGCGGGUGUGGACACGGCUGGCUUGUGCGGUGCACCGGCCGGUGAGCUCCCACGCUAGCUUUACCUGAAGGAACCUCCCUCAUCACUAUCUACUCCCUCAUCGUGUUCACGUUGAACGAAAGGCAGCCGGUAUUGGUCCAGUCAGAGGGGUAGUUUUAGCGCUUUUUUUCUUUUGAGAUUGAGAUUGAGAAAAGGAGUCCAACCCUUGGGGUCUAGUCAGAAUGCCAGGGGCCAGAAUCGCUUUUGUGUCUCGGGGAAGGAGAAGGGAGAUUCUCUCUCGCAAGUGGUGGUCUCAUGGCGGCUGGUGUCUGGCUAUGGCUUCGCGGACAAGCACACUGAACGUACGCCGCGGCGUGCACCGACUAGACCGGACAUGACCCCAUCUUGUUGCCGUUGCAAACUUAUAUAUACUGUACGAGGUUAAUUUAUUUUACGCCCACUAACAAUUACGCGCAAAGAUUUGUCGCUACAUCUGUUUUUACUGUUGUCAUAAAUAAAUUUCCUAACGUUUGCACCAACAAUGAUAUGGAAGGUGCAUUGAACGUUUGAACCGGCGCAACACGACGUGUCACGCGAGAGGGUACUAGUACACCAUUGGUAGCACUAGCACGCCUGCAUCUGCAUGAACACAAGUUACAGAACCCUACCGCGUACAGCUACGUCUACGGUCUACCCCUCAAAAAAGAAAAAGAAAAAACAACGUCCACGGUCACAGGCACGGGCCUGUUGCAAAGCAGGCACGAGGUCACCUGUCUCCGCGCUGUCCGCCGGCUGGACCUGCAUGUAAUAAACCCUGGCCUAGUCUGCUCUGAUCUGGUCUGGUGCAUGCAUUUGUUGGGUUUUUGUGCGAGCCAAGAGGCACAGGAAUUCAAACAAAAAGUAGGCAAAGGCAACAGAGAGAAUAAAAGGUUCCGGCCUUUUUUUCCUUUUCCUUUUUCUCUAGCUCCGUUGGUCUCGGUCCGGGGACGGCCGGGGAGAAGCGCAGGCUGUACGUCUAUGCAUGCGCCAAGGCGCUGCGUGACAGCCCAACCAGCCUAGUUGGUCGUCUAAAAUAGCCAGCCUAGUUAAACUCACACGGUUUAUCUAGCGCACACAUAUUAUAUUUUAGCUAUUCAUCUCAUCAUGCUAGACAGCCAACGUUAUCCAUCGUCAAGAUUUUUCGUACAUGCCAUUGUGUUGCCGUGCUGUUCUCUCGUAGAAGAUGGCUUAAUCGCGAACCAACCUACAGUUGAAUGGUUAAAAGGGCAGUGGUAUCUCAGCUCAUCAGGGUUUAAGUCAUGGUACUCGUAUUAUUCUUGAAUUUAUUUUGGAAUUUUCGGCGAUGCGCUUUCAGUGGGAGGAGACGUUCCCGUCAACGACGAGGCGCCUACUGUGACUUCGUAAACCACAGUCACCUGUGUCUGCGCUGUCCGGGGAUGUGGAUGGGGAUGGUGGUAUUAUUUUUACUAAAUGACAUCGGAGGGUCUUAUUUCANNNNNNNNNNNNNNNNNNNNNNNNNNNNNNNNNNNNNNNNNNNNNNNNNNNNNNNNNNNNNNNNNNNNNNNNNNNNNNNNNNNNNNNNNNNNNNNNNNNNNNNNNNNNNNNNNNNNNNNNNNNNNNNNNNNNNNNNNNNNNNNNNNNNNNNNNNNNNNNNNNNNNNNNNNNNNNNNNNNNNNNNNNNNNNNNNNNNNNNNNNNNNNNNNNNNNNNNNNNNNNNNNNNNNNNNNNNNNNNNNNNNNNNNNNNNNNNNNNNNNNNNNNNNNNNNNNNNNNNNNNNNNNNNNNNNNNNNNNNNNNNNNNNNNNNNAAGGCAUCUUUGACCGACGCCGACAACCAGCUGCCAGCGUGGCAUCCACCAAUCGUGCCCAACCGAGAGGCGUGAAUCAACUGGAUGAGCCGGAAUUUUAUACAUGACCAUGUUAUCGCUGUAUCAGACCAUCUUAUAUAUCCAAGUACCAGUGGGUGUUGUAGCUGCAUCCGGCUAACAUGUCGGAUUGUCUGAUGUGCUCCCUGGACACGCUCAUCUAUUUGGCGCAAUAUCCUUGUGAGAUCAUCCGACAUGUUAGGUUGGCGCGACUGGGUCCUUGUGGGCCAUAGCUGCACGUCGCCGCACAUACUUAUUAGGCGUUUAUCCUGAAGUAAAAAUUACCUUGCCAGGCGCUUAAAAAGUUAGGCGGUCUGGCUCACUGCUGUGUGGGUCCACACGAUGGCAUUGGAAGCAUCCUAUUUAGCCUUCGAACCCCUUUUUUGGUGAAACCAUUUGCCAUUUCUCCCCGCCGCCCUCGUCCUCCUCUUCCCCGCCGUCGGUGCCGCCACCUGCACGCGCCAUCAUCGUGCAUGAUUUGAUCUCGAUGGCCGAUAAGCCGACUCCGUCCCCAAAGCCAAGGAAGUAGAUGGUUGAUCAGUAAAUGGAAGAACUGGAGCGGCAAGUUCAUGCCAAGAUUGCCGGAAAGCGAGCUGUUGGUGGCACCCCCAUGGAGGGAGGAUCCAACAAUCCUUCUGCUCAUGUAAGUAAUCCCGACGCAACAUAUGUACCGACGGGUGAUUUCAAAUCGGUAGGAUCUAUCUUUUGUGGUGGUUACAAUUUUUGAUUAUGCAUGUAGCAUUACUGAUUAAAUCCUAGGUUUGGGGGGUAAUCUAGAUUCAUGCUGGGGUUCAAAUGUCUGGAUCCGUACAUAAAUAAUAUUGCAUUAGGUUUUCUACUGUGCAGAAACCAUCCUAAACCAGUAGUAAUUAGAUCCGUCAUUAUAGGUGCUAUUUGAUAUAUUCUGUUUGGUUCAGUUAUAUAGAUCUGCCAACCCAGUUGCUUGGCAUUUGAACAUGCAAUCAGUUGGUAUUUGAUUUAUUCCCACACGCAGUUAGCACAGUCAUCGGUUCGUUUGGAUUGCAUAGAUGGGUUAUCCACGCUGAUGUACAUAUCCUUCUCUGUAGAUUGCUUAUUCAGCAAUUCUAUGCACAUGCAUUUCUUAUUUGAAUUAGUUCAUUGGUCUUUAGAUUGGUCAUCAAGCAAACAUCAGCUGAUGACCCACAAAUAUGGGGAUCAAUUGUAGUUCUUUUCGAUAAGUAAGAGUGUCGAACCCAACGAGGAGCAGGAGGAAAUGACAAGUGGUUUCUAGUAAGAUAAUGUUUGCAAGUGCUGAAAUUGUAAGUAGCAGAGUUGUUUGAUAGCAAGAUAAUUUGUAACGAGCAAGUAACGAUAAUAGUAGCAAAAGUGCAGCAACGUAGCCCAAUCCUUUUGAGGCAAAGGACAGGCCAAAACGGCUCUUAUAAUAAGCAUAGCGUUCUUGAGGGUACACGGGAAUUUCAUCUAGUCACUUUCAUCAUGUUGGUUCAAUUUGUGUUCGCUACUUUGAUAAUUUGAUAUGUGGGUGGACCGGUGCUUAGGUGUUGUUCUUACUUGAACAAACCUCCUACUUAUGAUUAACCCUCCUGCAAGCAUCCGCAACUACGAGAAAAGUAUUAAGAAUAAAUUCUAACCAUAGCAUUAAACUUUUGGAUCCAAUCGGUCCCCUAAGGAAUAGCACAUAAACUGGGGUUUAAGCUUCUAUCACUCUCGCAAUCCAUCAUCUAAUUGCUACUCCACAAUGCAUUUCCUUAGGCCCAAAUAUGGUGAAGUGUCAUGUAGUCGACGUUCACAUGACACCACUAAGGGAAUCACAACAUACAUACUAUCAAAAUAUCGAACACAUAUCAAUUUCACAUGAUUACUUGCAAUAUGAUUUCUCCCGUGACCUCAAGAACAAGAGUAACUACUCACAAAUGAUAAUCAUGCUCAAGAUCAGAGGGGUAUUAAAUAGCAUAAUGGAUCUAAACAUAUAAUCUUCCACCAAAUAAACCAUAUAGUAAUCAACUACAAGAUGUAAUCAACACUACUCGUCACCCACAAGCACCAACCUAUAGUUCCGGUAACAAGAAUGAACACAAGAGAUGAACUAGGGUUUGAGAUGAGAUGGUGUUGUUGAAGAUGUUGAUGGAGAUAGCCCUCCCCAAGAUGGAAGAGCUGUUGGUGAUGAUGAUGACAAUGAUUUCCCCCUCCGGGAGGGAAGUUCCCCCGACGGAAUUGCUCCGCCGGAGGGCAAAAGUGCUCCUGCCCAAAUUCCGCCUCGAGACGGCGGCACUCUGUCCCGAAAGUCAUCUCCUUAUUUUUUAGGUCAAAAUGACUUAUAUACCAGAAGAUGGGUACCGGAGAUGGGCCUGGGUGAGCACAACCCACCAGGGCGCGCCUGGGCUCCCUGGCGCACCCAGGUGGGUUGUGCCCACCUGGUGGGCCUACUUUGGUACUUAUUUGCUCCAAUAUUCUUCAAAUAUUCUAUAAAGAUUCUCCGUGAAGUUUCACCUUGUUUGGAGUUGUUGAGAAUAGGUAGCCUGACGUAGCUUUUUCAGGUCCAAAUUUCUAGCUGCCGGAAUUCUCUCUCUUUGUGUGUACCUUGAAAAUUAUGAGAGAAACGACAUUAGAAUUACUCUAAAAAGCAUUAUUAUGCAUAAAAACAUCAUAAAUAACAGUAGGAAAACAUGAUGCAAAAUAGACGUAUCAUCAGCCAUGCUGUAGCGAACCUUGACAUCGCUGUUGUCGACAGGGUCCCAGAGGAUAAUACUGUCCAUGCCCUAUGUGCGUGCAUUUUAGUGAAGCGGCAAGCGAGAAUGGCACGUGCACUUGCACGCGAGCAAAUGCUAGCAGUUCGUUCACUCGCCAGCCAGCCUCCUAGAGAGGAGGGCCCUCCAAGGAUGCCAUUCUUGAGGUCGUUGCAGAUAAAGAGACAUGGAUUUGGCAUUCAUAUUCUGGAAUGCCGGGAUCUUGCAACGAUAUCAAUGUUCUUGACAAGUCACCUCUUUUUGUGAAGUUAGCAAAUGGAGAAACUCCUCCAGUGACCUUCGAAGCAAAUGGCAGCACCUACAAUUAUGGGUACUACCUUGCGAAUGGGAUCUAUCCGAAGUGGAGUACUUUAGGGGAGCCAAUCCAAAGCCCCCAAGGUAAGAAAGAACUAUAUUUUCACAAUGCUCAAGCGACAGCUAGGAAAGAUGUUGAGAGAGCAUUUGGGAUUUUGCAAUUCAAUUUUCUAUUGUGCGAGGACCGUCAGAUUCUGGGACCAGAAAAACCUUUGGUACAUCAUGACUGCUUGCGUGAUCAUGUAUAACAUGAUCAUUGAGAACCAUCGUGGGCAGGAUUUGGAUUAUACCUUCGACGAUCUCAUGGGCAUACCCGUUAUGCCGAUUAGAAAAGAGGACCGAAUAAGACGUUUUAUGAAGGUGUACCAUGAAAUUAGAGACGCCGAUAUGCACAAUAAACUUCAGAAAGAUUUGAUGAAGGAGUACUGGAAAUGGCAUGACGAAAAAACCUUCUAAUUUCAUUCUCUAUUUGUCGUAUUGUGCAAGAACUUUGUUGUAUUUGUGUUGCAUUUGAUCUUGUGGAUUUGAUGAAUUAUGUUAUAAUUUGAUAUUGUGGACAGAUGAAAUUGUAUGCUUUAAUUUGGAAUAUUUUCAAAAUUGUGCGGUUGUUAUGCGGCUGGAGUGCGGCUAGACUGCUUCUGUACAACGGCUGUAGCACUGCUAUCGUGCGGCCGUUGACCGCUUUUACAUCAUCUGUUGGAGCACUAGUUUUACAUUGUCAAUUAUACAUCAUUUGCUGGAAUUAGGUGUUUUUUGAUGAUGUAAAAAUGAUUUUUUUUAUAAUGUAAAAUAUACAUCUAGCAGUUUUACAUUUCUAAAUAUACAUCUUUUAUUGAAGAUGCUCUAAUGGAUGAACACAGGCAACCCUGAACGAGGUUUAGAGACCAAUGAAAAUUUGACAUAACCAUACAAAAACAAUAAUCGUCCAUGCAUUUAUCAUUAUAACUAAAAAAACUAAUUUAGGUGGGCACUCAUCAUUUGAACAUGGGUAUGGUUAGGCCUCAAUCGACUAAGAUUUGAGCAAGUAUCAGUCAAUGUAAGACAUCACGGAUAUAGUAUUGACUGAGACUUCGCGUGAGACUUAGCAAGACUGUUUAAACAUAUAUGGGCUCGUAUAAAUAUGAAGAAACGUAAAUACUUAUUUCUUUUUCGGGGAAAAAAUACAAGUGCAACACUGGAGUGGCUCUAGCAAAUUAAGCUUUCACAGCUCUCCGCCCUGACAAAAAGCCUGCAAAGGCCGCGGCCAUUCUCAUCUUCUCCUCCGUCCUAUCGAUCGGAAAAGAGUUGCACUUUGAAGUUUGAACACCCACAGCACCACAUCUUCCCCACCGUCUUCCCCGCCCCCCCGCCGCCACCUCGUCCGGCCUCACGGAUGGCGUCCGCCGCCUCACCGGGGUUCGACUCACCUGCAGGGGAUCACCGCAUGAAUUAAUGUGCAGGCCCAAUAAUAGAGCGCCACGUAUCCUUGUCUUCUGGGCCAACAACUUUCAUUAAGCUACAUUUAUUUUGUUACCGUUUCAAGCUCCUCCGCCGAGGCCGCUGCAGACCGGCAGUCACCGCUGACGCGUUCGCUGCUAGUGUCUCCCGCAUCACUGCCUCUAGGCUCUCGUUCGUGGUCUAACCGGCGCCCCUGACCACGCGUGCGCCCGCGGUGGCCGCGGCAACUUCCUCUUGCGCCGCUCAUGCUCUAGGCUUCACUGCUCCACGUCUCGUCGUGCCUCAUCACUCAUCAGGUGUUCAGGCGUCAUCUUCCUCCCCUCGCCGCUGUCCCUCAGUCCUUCCUGCGUCACGACGAGCUGAGAGGUCACCCGACUCAGCUCAUCCUCCAGCGACGGGUUGGAUGCCGACGACACGCCCUCCUUCCACCGCAGCGCGGCUUUCCCUUAUUCACGUAUGCGCGCAGCAACGUGGCGGCGACCUGGACGAUCUUGGCCUCGUCCUUGGCUUCUCGACGCUCGCCAUCGCUUUCUCAAGCUCCGUCUUCAUCUUGCCCUGCAUCCCCGGCGUGCUGCUUGCCGUGGGUGUCUCUUCCUCCUCGAUGGCGCGCGCAAACAGCUCAGCUCUUAGCGUCGCCGGAUGCUCGGAAGCCGUCACCAUCUUGUUCUCGAGGUCGUCGGUGGCGUCCAGCUCGGCCCUCAACCUCCGUGCCUCCUCCUCACCUCGCUCUAGCUCGUUCUGGUACGCCAGCGCCAACAUCAUCCUCCGCUCCGCUGUGUUGUGGACAGCGCGCGCGGACUCGAGCUCCGCCUUGAGCACAUCGAGCUCUCAAAAUUUGUGGCACCAACAUCGCUGCUACAGCAAGAAAGAGAAAAUAAAUUGAGAACGCAGUAACAAAAUAAAUCUAGCUUAAUGAAAGUUGUUAGCCCACCAGAAAAUGAUACGUGGCGCUCUAUUACUGGGCCUGCACAUUAAUUCCUGCGGUGAUCCCUGCAGGUGAGCCGAACCCGCCUCACCGAUGCCGCACUGCACGCCCGUACAUCUGCUGCCUCCGGCGGCCCUACACCCACCGUCGCCGUCGCCGCCGCCUCUAGCCGUGUGGGGGACAUCAGCUGCAGCACCACCACCUGUUUCGUUGGCGGAGGUGGUGGUGAUAUCGGCUUCUCUUCCGACGGCGUGGAUCUCACCACACAGCCGGCUUCCUGGGCACAAGCCCCCGCCGUCGACCAGUGGGUACGUCGUCACCGGCGGCACAACCCUCCCCGACGAGGAGAUGGGCAUCAGGGCAUCUUCCUCGCCGCCGCGUCUUCCUCGACCCCCUGCCACGUCUUCUCCGGUGCCUCUACCCGAACCCGACGACAAGAUUGGCCUCGAGGGGUCGAGGAAGACUACCCCGCCGUCCUGGUCUUUAACUCCAACUCCAAGUUACGGACUUCUCCCUCCUGCUGCAGUGGGCACAUCGACCCCGCCGUGGUCUUCAAGUCGGCUCCUUCCCCCUCAAACUGCAGCGGCCACAACACCACCGCCCUCGUCUUCAACUCCAUGCCGUGGGGUUCCCCCUCCUGCUGCAGCAGCGGUCACAUCAACACCGCCGUGGUCUGCAACUGCAAGUCGGCUGCUUCCACCUCAUCCUCAUGUUGCAGCGGCCACAGCACCGCCGCCCUCGUCUUCAACUACAAGCCGUGGGGUCGCCCCUCCAGCUGCAGCACUGGUCGCAUCAACACCGCCAUGGUCUACAGAUCGGCUUCCCUCUCAUGCUGCAGCUGCCACAACAUUGCCGUCCUGGACUUCAAUUCCAAGUCGUCAGCUUUCUCCUUAUGCUGCAGCGGCCACAGCAAUGCCGUCCCGGUCUUCAACUCCGACCCGUCGUCAUGCUGCAGUGGUGACAGCAAUGCCACCGGCGGAGCCGAGUUCGGGGCGUGCACGGCUGUCCCACCAAAGGCCGACGCCGCCGUGGCCUCCCUGCAAGCCUGCUCCUAUGGUCAGACCCAAAUCACUCUUGCCACUACUGCAGUCGGCGGCCGGGGAAGGAGCUCCGCACGUUAGUGACGGCCGGGCAGCUGAAGUGGGGAUCCGCGAGGAAAAUGAAGAUGCUGAGUCCGGUUUGCUGGCCCGACAGGAAGCACGGGAUCAUCCUCUAAGCAGUGACCAUGAAAGCAAUGGUGGAACCGAUGCAAGUGGAAUUGCUCCUAACAAUGGGGGGGCUCCUGUUGGGGAAGCUAGAGGAGGUGGAGAAGGAGGCGGAGGUGGUGCAGGUGGAGGAGGUGGAGAUGGAGCUCCACAAGCUGUCGCUGAGAAAUCUCCACACAAGCUCAUGUUGGCUGUAGUGAUGAUCUAUGUGGGAUACCAUGUAUGUCUAAUCUUUCUAUCGUGGUUUAUAUCCGUGAUUGACAAGGAAGACCAAACCAGGAUUGGAAAUAUUCUGUGGGCAUGUUUUUUCCUGGCAGCUAUUCCUUUCGUCGUUUUCCCCUACAUGCAUUACUGUGGUCAGGCCGUGCAAGUUAAAGAAGCUCGGAGGGCAGCUAGGAGGGCAGCCAACCCUGGAAACGAUGUGCAAGAUGAAUGGUACACGCUCAGCGCAGUGAGGGUGAAUGGUUUGCUGAUGUGGAUAGGCGGGAUCGCGAGGAUUGUCUAUUUGCUUGCAGGUAGUUCAUUCCCUCUUGUCAUCGUGGCACAUGUGGUGGCAUUCUUCGUUGAAGUCAUUGAGCUGGUUCUGAAGUACUAUGUCCAAGGGGAGAUCAACGUUGCAAUGCCGCAGGUAUGAUGGCCAUAUUGUCGAUGAGCUACAACAAGUCUCAGUAUCAAACUCCUGCUCAAGUACUCUGUGGAGGGAGAGGUCAACAUUGCAAUGCCCCGGAUAUGAUGGUCACUGUGGAUGAACUCCACACCAGUUUAUUUCCAUUUUGAGUGCUGCCAUAGUUACACUUCUUCAGCGGCAUGUGUGUGUCUGUGGACUGAAUGGGAUUCCAGUACUGUGAAUUGCUUGCAUGAAAGCAGUUGAUUUCCUGAGUGUUGCUACUUCUCAAUUCAUGUAAUGCUGUGCUUGUGUACAAUUUCGAAUCUGAAGGUUCAACUAUCUUAUUCCCACUUUGCUUAACGUGCAAGAUUCCAAUACCGAAUUGCGACUUCCCUGAAUGUGCCCAUGUUUUGAAAUAUGCAAUUCUUUUUCAGACUUCUCCAAAUUCAUUUGCUCCUUCAGUUUGGCUAUUGCUUCAUCAAGCUCCUUUUUUGCAGUUUCAUAUAUUUGUCAUUUAACAUGUGCUUCUCUGCCAGUGUGCUUUCGCACUGCUCGUCAGUUCUUCAUGCUCUUCCAGAGUAGAAGAUACCUGGCUUUCCAGUUCUUCCUUGCGCUGAAUCAUGUUUUUCGCAAUGAAUGAAUCUCUUCCGAAGACCCCUGAUUUUCUUCUACUGCAGCAGCAAGUGUCAACUGUAAUUCAUUCAGCUUGCUUUGAUUUACUACUUCCAAUUCCUCAUUCAAACCACUAUUAGCAGUAAUCAAGUUUUCUUUCUCUGUUCUGGAAAAGAUCAACCUUGUUUUGUGUUUCUGCAAGUUGUGCUUCUAGGCUCUUUAGUUUGUGUACAACUUCAUCAAAUUUAACCUUAUGUUUUUCUUCAUUGGCAGCAGCUUCGGUUGCCUGCUCCUCAUAAUAUCCCAACUCAAUCUCGAGAGUAUCCAGCUUCUUUCUCAUGUUUUUGACUCCAGCUCCUUUCUGUGUUAUUGUCUCGAGGGCUUCAUGUAGCUGAGCUUCAGUUUCUCCAUUCUCUGUUUGAUUCAGCUGCAGAAUGGAAUUCCGAGUUUCUUUUGGUGUGGACAUCUGUCAGGUGUGUGAUUGUUCCCUCAUGAGCAGCUAGGUUCUCUACAGCUUCUUCCUUUUCAGAAUGAGUAGACUAAACCGUUCCUGUAACUCAUCAUACAUGGCCACCUUAUUAGCAACCCCUUCUAGGUACUCAUUCUUAUCAGCCAGUUUUCCAUUCUCAGCUUCAAGAGAAACCAUCUUUCCAUUGAGGUCUGUAACUUCAGCUUCUUUGUUUGCAAUUGUCUCAAGAGCUUCAUGCAGUUGACUCUGAAUUUCCACAUACAUCGAUUCAACAGCAGACUGGAUUUCACAGACGCAAAUUGCUCUUGCAGCUCAUCAACCAUGACCAACUUAGAACUGAUUUCCCGCUUCAAGGCUUCGUUGACAUGCAUCAAACUUUCAGUCUCACAGACAGAAUAUGUCAUGUCGUUUCUGUACUAGAUCAGAUCAUGCAGUAUGAAAUGAUGUUUUGAGAUGUAUGUGUAUAUACUGUUGCAAGAUCUUUGCAAAGUAAUGUAUAUCAAAAGAAUGCACCCACUUUUGAAGUUAUUAACUGCUUUUAUAUCUUAUACUUUGGCUGAAUAAAAAUAGCAAGCUUAAUAAAAACAAAAUAUUAAUUUAGGUGAAAGUAAAAUGUACACGUUUACUUUAUGUUGUGCAUAGUGGUCUGUUAAAAUGGUCGAACUAACAGAGAAUGUACCCAUCAUCGAAUUCCUUAUCUGGCAAUAGUCGGAUAUUCUGAGAGCCUUACCAACAUAUACGUAUAAGAGAGGACGGCCAAUUGGGUAAAUACAUUUCCUGGCUGGAGCUUCUAGUUGCCAAGCAUAAGAUUAAUGGAAGAGAGUGUAGCAGAGUGGGCAAAGUACAAGGAUCUCUACAAUGGAAUGUAUUUUCGUAGAUCUUGUAUAAGCACUGUGAAUAUUUAGUUUAAUGAUUUGUUGGGCCAAGAUAUCAGAUGCAACCUUAGAAGAAAGAAAGCAUUCCUGGCUGAAUGGUUCCAACCAUAUGGACCUGCUGAUUCUGCAGGCUUUUGCUGAAGACAAUAGCGUAUCUGUCACUAGUAUAUUCAUAGCAAAAGAAUAAGAGACAAGAGCUGCUACCUUCAGGACUCUAGAUUAUUACAGGGAAUCUUUGUUUUAGCAAGUUUGUUGUUAGGUUCACUACAGGUAAUAACUCUACAGUUUCUGCAAUACUCCGAAGAUGCUUUUUGCUCUUUCAGUAGUGGUUAGGAGAGAACUAAUUACUUCCUUACAAUUUGCUGCAGCUAUGGCUAUUAUGCCUCAUGAACCCACAAAGAAAAUGAUGUUAGGGUGAGGCUCAGUAUAAACAGUAAAUAAAUGGACCAUGGUAAAAACUAAAAUGUGCGUAUAAAAAUAUUUACAUAUAUGUAAAGUUGUAAACAGUGUGCUGGCCCAAUCUGUGGUGUAAAUGUUCACAGGCAGACCGAACGAAUUUCAUAGCAAAGCAUCAUACAAUUUGCUGCAGGUAUAGUCAUUAUGAACUAAAGUUUGCACUGCUUGUUUUGUUAAGGAGGCUUAGUUGUCCGAACCUAUAACUGUUCAAUAGCAUAUGUUAUGCUAGAUAUAUACUAGUGGGAAAUCCAGACUCCCUGAUAACGCCUUAGCCCACUUUUGAUUUCAUCAUCUACAUACUCUCUAUUACUCAUUUACUUUACUUGCACACCUUUACUUUCAAUCACCUUACACUCAUAAUAUUAGAAGCUUUCACAUCCGCGUUUCUUUGGGACAUGACUAACUUGCUGGCAUAGUUUAUAAGUCUCUACAAGAGAUAAAGUCCAUUUCAUGUGCUUGUUGUUGGAUUGAUACUCUUACUUUGAGAAAGCACAACUAAAACAGCCCUAAAAUAUUGCUUCUAAAUAGUUGCAUCAGAGAGAAUCAUGCAUCAUGUCUAAAUUCAAUAUACCUUAAAUUGAGGGAAUUUUCAAAGGCUCAGAAUUUUUUGAAUAAAUGGCAAAAACCCUGAAAAUGCAUUCAAUAUUUCCAAAGUAGCCUUAAGCACGUUUGAAAUUUUUGGCAAGAGCUAUAUUUAAAAUAAAAUUAAGGAACAUUUUUUAGGAAUAUUUUGGGACUUUGAAUUUAAAUCAUAUUCUAUUUGAAUUUGGAUUUAUAUUCAUACUAUUAGAAUAUAAAUUUAAAAUUCCCUGAAAUAUUUUAUGUGAUUUGGAGAAAAUCCUUUGAGCCACUUAAAAUAUUCAAUGGUUUUUUGGGCACUGGUUUAAAUACGUUUUGAAAUUUAAACAGUGGCAAACAAAUAAUUGAAAACAGACGCAAUAAGUUUUUUUUAGGGAAAAACAGACGCAAUAAGUGAAAGGAACAGGAAACAGGAACUUACCUGGCAGCGCACACUGUGCACGACCCAGCCCACCUACCUCCACCGCGUUGUCUUCCUCGUGCGAGUAGGAGCUGGUGCGUCUUGACGCACACGCACUCACGGCCACGUCCUCGCGCCACGUCCUGCUUCCUCCCCCGUCCUCAUCCGCGCGCCUGGAGACGCCCUAGAGCCCCUGGUCCUUCUCCCCCUCUCGCCGCGCUCGCCCCCCUUCCUCCUCCGCCCGAUCCCGCAACCAUCAUAGAGCAGCACCCGGUGCGUGUCGUCGUCGCCUGCGUGGCCACAGCCAUAACCUCGCCGCUCCAACAUGUACAGAGGCCUCGCCGUUGAUCAGAGCUUCACGACACCGAAGAAAACUACACCAGAUGCCCUGUAGCGACACUAUCGAGCUCGUCUUCCUCCUCUGCCCCGACGACCGUAAUCGUCAAAUUCGUCGCGCCCCGAUCCUCCUCGAGAUCACCGUUCGUGCCAGAAGAUCCGCUGUGAGCUCCUCUCCUUUACCCCCUACUCCCCUGGUCGCGCUCGUUCGCUAGGUGCGAUUCCCACCAUGGUCGCCGCCGCAUAGCCGCCACCCCGCUUGACCAAACCAAGGACCCAUCUUGGAGAUCCCAGGAGGCCGUAGCGUUCCUCGCGUCUCCCGCUAGUGCACAGCAGCGGCCUUUCGGACGAACCCGAGCAUGCGGCCGCAGUUAAGCUCGUCGCCAGCCUCCUUUCCGGCGACCCCUGCGUCCAAGUCCAUUGUCCCUUGAUGCAGGCGAGUAAGGGCUAUGCCCUGGUGCCCUCAACGCGCCAUACCGAUGCCUGCAGCGCAAGUCCGGCGUGCCUCCGCCGUGUCCUGUGGUCGCCGCCAGCUAAUCUCCGGCGUGAUGACGUGGUGAUGGAUUAACUAGUGUUAACCACCCCUUAAUCAACCCCUAGACUCACAGAUAUGUGGGUCCCCUGUCACUAAUUAAACCAGGUUUAUUUUCUUGUUAGAAUUAGUAUUUCACCCAGUGGUCCCACACGUCAGUUUGACUUGGCUGACGUGUGCGUUGACUGGGCCCAGUAGUCAAUGAGUGCGGCUAGCUAACAGCCGAGUAACCAAAGUAUUUUGUGAUUUAAAUCAGAAAUGAUUUAUUUAAUUCCGGAAAAUGCUCAAAACAUAGAAACAAAUCAUAGAAAAUCAAGCGUAACUUAGAUUGAAAUAAUUUAUAUAUGAAAAAUGAUCAGAAAAAUCCAACAUGUCCAUCUGCACCAUUUCAUGCAUGUUUGAACAACUUAAAGUUGCUGGGUAGGAUAAUUUAAAUGAAUGGCAUUUGAAAUGCCGUAUGUGGAGCUUGAAUUUGAACCUUGGGUUCAAUUCAACUCCAUUUAAAUCUAUUUCUAAUUGUAUUAUCUCAAACACUAGCACAUUGCCAUGUCAUGAUGAUGCAUCAUAUUGUUGCAUUUGUUGUGUAUUGAUUGCCUUCUUCGGUGUUGUUCUCCGCGAUAGGAUCUAUUCCCAAGGGUAUGUUCGAGUAUCCACUGAAGGAGCAGUAUUCCAUUGUCAAUCUGCUUGGCAAGCAAACCCCCUUGAUCAUGUCGAUACAAUCCUACUCUCUCGCUCUUGCUCUCUUUACAAUGCAUUAAAACAAUACAAUUCAACAGUUACAUGUUUCGAUAGUUGAACUCAUUCCUUUGCAUGACCUAUCAUUGUCAUAGUAAAUAGCUAAACCUUUCUGGCAUGAUUAGGAGUGCUUAGCCAUGAUGUGACUUCAUCCAUGCCAUGCUUGCUAUUCUUAGAGUUGUGUUAGGCCUGAUCUAACUGGGCGAUGAAUUGGAAUGCUUGUGUUCAUGUCCUACUAAUGAGAGUUAAGUGUGUGAAUCCGAUUUGGUAAAGAUAGCGAUGAGAGGCCAUGUAGGAGUACAUGGUGUGUUGUCUCAUUGAGACUGUCCUUAAGAACUGAGUUAUGUGUAUGUUAUAUAAGACUAGCUACUACCACACAUUGGGAUCCUUAAUUGACUCUCUCAACUUAUUAAUCACCAUGAUCUCUAUCCAGGAGUUGCAACUAGUUUCUGAUGUUUGUCGGAUGUGAUGUUGUUCUACCAUGUGGCACCGACCAGGUGGGCUUGGGGAGACUAGGCACAUGGCAUGGUGUACCAAGUGGCACCCAGAUGGUGGGCUUGAGAACCCUGCACACAUCUUUUGAGGCCGUAAUAGAAACUUUGGUCGGACUUCCUUCGUGGAUUCAACCUUAGAUAGGCGAUAAAACUGGGUGUCUUGCAUUAAUGGUUGUGGCCGACACCCUUGCCAGGCUUCUGCUUGAAGAUUGGCGAGUACAUGACGUGUAUAUGGUGGUAAGUGGUGAGAGCAUGUGUGAAGUAUACCCCUGCAGGGUUAAUGAUCUAUUGUAAUAGUUGCAUCCUCGGAUAUUGUCGGAUUCAGGGCUCCGCAGACCCAAGAAAAGGUUCGAACCCGGGGGCGUGUGCGAAGAAUUCAACCCCUUCAGCCAACCAGUUCGUCGCCCCCACGGACUAGAUUGAUGAACAAGGAAGAAGAUGGACACGGCAGUUUACCCAGGUUCAGGCCACCUUGCGCUGUAAAACCCUACUCCUGUUUUGUGGUGGAUUUGCCUCACGAGGGGUUGAGGAUGAACUAGUACAAGGGAAGAACAACCUCACGAGGUCUGCUCUGGUGUGGAUGUGAGCUGAUGGGAUUCCGAACCAAAGCCAUGUUUUCUACUAGUGCUCCGACCACCUACUAUGGUGGUGGCUAAGCUAUAUUUAUAAUGGCCUUGGUCCUCUUCCCCCAAAACGAAGGAGGGAAGGGAUCCCACAAUGGCCAAUUUUGAAGGGGGACAAGUAGUACAUCUUAUCCUGACAAAAGGUGGUCUUCUCCUGCAAAGCUCCUGGUCGUGACGCCGCGGUGGGCUCGGCGAUGACAUGUUCUUUUAGUUUUUAUUUUGAAUAGUCUUGGAAAUUAAUUGACAAGUCUGGUUGAUAUCCUCAUGAGAAAAUUAACAAAAAUCAUAUUGUCAUGUUCCUGAAACUGAUAGGGAGAAUGGUUCCUCGAAGAGCGGUAGUAGACUAGUAGUUCAAGUUCGCUGCUAACUUUCUGCACCUAUAUUUAGGAACAUGGCAACAAAUGUAGUCAACUGAAGAGCUUAUUCUACAACAUUCAGUUUGUAGAAUAGUGAUCAUAGCACCUCUAGAAUGAUUUUUUUUUAGAAAUGGAGGAGGACCUUUGUCCUCUGCAUAUGGACGAUGCAUGCAGCCACUUUAUUAAUUAUUCACACAAGACCUUACAAAGUCAUACACCAGUAAGACUAAAGCCACCAUCUAGGCGACAUCUGUCGCUACUCCUAUCCAAUUGAUGAAGGGAUGAAGGGAUGCUGAUAGUCUGGACCUAAUACCAAACAGACCUCGCAGCCAAACCUAACAUCUAAGACCCGAGGGCCCAACUAGGACGCCUGCCGGGUAUGGGGCACCCACCAGUCGGCACACUCCUCAACCAGGACACCUGUCGGGUAUGAGGCCACCGCAGCCACCUGCCACCAAUCCAUCUUCAGUUCUGUACUACUGCAUAUACCUUGCCCGGUCUAGCUGUCGUCGAUGCCACCACGGCGCCAGACAACGCCACCAUCCUGCAAGUAUCCAUCCACACGCGCUGAUACGUCUCCAACGUAUCUAUAAUUUUUGAUUGCUCCAUGCUACUUUAUCUACUGUUUUAGGCAAUAUUGGGCUUUAUUAUCCACUUUUAUAUUAUUUUUGGGACUAACCUAUUAACCGGAGGCCCAGCCCAGAUUUGCUGUUUUAUGCCUAUUUCAGUGUUUCGAGGAAAAGGAAUAUCAGACGGAGUCAAAACGGAACGAAAUCAACUGGAGAAGUUAAUUUUGGAAGGAAACCAACCUGAUGGGCUUGGAGUGCACGCCAGGGGAGCCCCUGGCUGUCCACGAGGGUGGAGGGCGCGCCCCUCCCCCCUGGGCGCGCCCCCUACCUCGUGAGCAACCCGGAGAUGUAACCCCUGCACCCAUAUAUACCUACGUACCCUAAAACUUCCAGAACAGAAGAUAGAUCGGGAGUUCCGCCACCGCAGGCCUCUGUAGCCACCAAAAACCAAUCGGGACCCUGUUCCGGCACCCUGCCGGAGGGGGAUCCCAUCACCGGAGGCCAUCUUCAUCAUCCCGGCGCUAUCCAUGACGAGGAGGGAGUAGUUCACCCUCGGGGCUGAGGGUAUGUACCAGUAGCUAUGUGCUUGAUCUCUCUCUCUCUCUCUCUCUCUCUCUCUCUCUCUCUCUCUCGUGUUCUCUCUCGUGUUCCAUCUAUGGCAUGAUCUUGAUGUAUCCCGAGCUUUGCUAUUGUAGUUGGAUCUUAUGAUGUUUCUCCCCCUCUACUCUCUUGUGAUGUUGAGUUUCCCCUUUGAAGUUUUCUUAUCGGAUUGAGUCUUUAUGAGAACACUUGAUGUAUGUCUUGCCGUGAUUAUCUGUGGUGACAAUGGGAUAUCAUGUGCCACUUGAUGUAUGUUUUGGUGAUCAACUUGCGGGUUUCGUGACACUUGGGAACCUAUGCAUAGGGGUUGGCACACGUUCUUGACUCUCCGAUAGAAACUUUGGGGCACUCUUUGAAGUACUUUUAUGUUGGUUGGAUGAAUCUGAGAUUGUGUGAUGCAUAUCGUACAAUCAUGCCCACGGAUACUUGAGGUGACAAUGGAGUAUCUAGGUGACAUUAGGGUUUUGGUUGAUUUGUGUCUUAAGGUGUUAUUCUAGUAUGAACUCUUUUAUAGAUCGAUCCGAAAGAAUAGCUUUGUGGUGGUUUCGUACCCAACCAUAAUCUCUACAUUUGUUCUCCGCUAUUAGUGGCUUUGGAGUGACUCUUUGUUGCAUGUUGAGGGCUUGUCAUAUGUUCUAUCUAUGUUAUUAUUGUUGAGAGAACUUGCACUAGUGAAAGUAUCACUACUAGGGAAAAGGCUAUACACAGAAUCUUAGCAGCAGCGAGGGUUAAAAACCCUCGCUACUGCUACUUACUAGCAGCGCAGGUUUUUAAACCUCGCUACUACUAAGUUGAUAGCAGCAGCGCGGGUUUGUAACCCUCGCUACUACUAAGCGGUCUCUACCGUGCCCCUCGGGAUAUGCCAUAGUAGUAGUGCGGGUUUUUAACCCUCGCUACUACUAAGUUGAUAGCAGUAGCGCGGGUUUUUAACCCUCGCUACUACUAACCCGCGCUACUGCUAUCAACUUANNNNNNNNNNNNNNNNNNNNNNNNNNNNNNNNNNNNNNNNNNNNNNNNNNNNNNNNNNNNNNNNNNNNNNNNNNNNNNNNNNNNNNNNNNNNNNNNNNNNNNNNNNNNNNNNNNNNNNNNNNNNNNNNNNNNNNNNNNNNNNNNNNNNNNNNNNNNNNNNNNNNNNNNNNNNNNNNNNNNNNNNNNNNNNNNNNNNNNNNNNNNNNNNNNNNNNNNNNNNNNNNNNNNNNNNNNNNNNNNNNNNNNNNNNNNNNNNNNNNNNNNNNNNNNNNNNNNNNNNNNNNNNNNNNNNNNNNNNNNNNNNNNNNNNNNNNNNNNNNNNNNNNNNNNNNNNNNNNNNNNNNUUUAAAAAAAUAAAAGAAAAUGAUAAAAAUGUCAAAAAAAUAAAAGAAAAUAAGUUUCCCAUGUGAUAUGUGGUCUAGUUGUUGGGAAAAUUUACAAAUAUGAAUUUCGACUUUAUUUGCAAAAUCUCUCUGGAAAUUUGUAAAAUGGCCAUAACUUUUGCAUACGAACUCGGAUGAAAAAGUUUUUUAUAUGAAAAAUCAUCUACUCGAAAAGUUACAUCCAAAUUUAACCGGGGGAACCCCGUUAAACAUUUUUAAAAUCCUCAAAAGCCUAACAGAAAAAAAGUUACGGGGCUUUUAAGAUCUGGAGGCAAAAAAAUUCAAAAAAAAUCAGUUUUUUUAAGAUUUGACAAAUCUGGUCAAACUAUGGUCAAACUAAUUAUUCAAGAAUAUUAGUGUUAAUAAAUAAUUAUUUUAGUUUUUUUGAAUUUUGGUCAAAUCUGGUCAAACUGUGGUCAAACUAUGGUCAAACUAAUUAUUCAAGAAAUAUUAGUGUUACUAAUUUUUUAGAACAAUAGUUUCAAACUCAAACAGUGAAAUGUGUGACUUCAUUCUCAAGCUAAAUUCCUGAGGUUAAUAGGAUUGACAUCUUACUAUUGUCAGGAAAACAACAAGUGCAGACUUGGAAACGAGGGAGAAUAGAACCCGAAAGUUAAGCGUGCUCAGGCUGGAGUAGUGAGAGGAUGGGUGACCGUCCGGGAAGUUAGAUGAUUUGGAAUGAUGAGGGGUGAUUAGAGAUUAAAUUGAGCAGCGAUGAGGGGUGAUUAGAGAUUUGAGGUUAAAAUAAUUAAGAAAUUUGAAAAUUAGGGAAAAAAAUUCAAAAAAAAUUCGAAAAAAUUCAAAAAAAAAAUUCAGAGAUUACAGAUUAGUAGUAGCGCAGGUUUCUACCCACGCUACUGCUAUACGUUAGCUGUAGCGCGGGUUGCACCCGCGCUACUGCUAUAAGUUAGUUGUAGCACCUUAUUAGUAGCGCGGGUACCCGCGCUACUAAUAGGCCCAAAACCCGCGCUGCUGCUAGGCUUUUCCCUAGUAGUGUAUGAACCCUAGGCUUUGUUUCCUAUCAUUGCAAUACCGUUUACGCUCACUUUUACCGCUUGUUAGCUUGCUGUUUUUAUUAUUUCAGAUUACAAAUACCUUUAUCUACUAUCUAUUUUGCACUUGUAUCACCAUCUCUUCGCCGAACUAGUGCACCUAUACAAUUUACCAUUGUAUUGGGUGUGUUGGGGACACAAGAGACUCUUUGUUAUUUGGUUGCAGGGUUGCUUGAGAGAGACCAUCUUCAUCCUACGCCUCCUACGGAUUGAUAAACCUUAGGUCAUCCACUUGAGGAAAAUUUGCUACUGUCCUACAAACCUGUGCACUUGCAGGCCCAACAACGUCUACAAGAAGAAGGUUGUGUAGUAGACAUCACGCGCCCGUCGCCGAAGCUCCGCAGCGCCAUGCUGCCGGGAUCCGUCGUCGGCCUUGCGGUAGAUGAAACACCGCUCCUUCUCGUCCCCUCCAGCCAGCUCCUGCUCCAAAACAAUGCCCUCAGGAGGGAGCACGACACCAAAGGCGCUGUCAUCGUCCGAUCCGGUAGACCCAGAUCUAGGAUUUCCCCCAGAACAUCCCGAUCAUGUUGACGCAGUUUGCAACGAUGAUGCCUCAACAGGGGGCGUCGGAGACGCCGUCACCGUCCAUCAUCCUACUCUGAGAUCUAGAAUGAUAAUAUUUCUGUUUCAUUUAAGGAAAGCGAUGUCGUGACAGCAUGUCACUUCUUCAGGUUGAUAUCACUUCUUUAGAUUGAUAUCCUUGUAAUAUGAUGGAAGAUAUGGCAUCAGCCAAUCUGCAAAGAACCCUUUCUUCUGAAGGAAAUAUGCCCUAUAGGCAAUAAUAAAGUUUUUAUUUAUUUCCUUAUAUCAUGAUAAAUGUUUAUUAUUCAUGCUAGAAUUGUAUUAAUCGGAAACAUAAUACAUGUGUGAAUACAUAGACAAACAUAGUGUCACUAGUAUGCCUCUACUUGACUAGCUCAUUGAUCAAAGAUGGUUGUGUUUCCUGACCAUAGACAUGAGUUGUCAUUUGAUUAAUGGGAUCACAUCAUUAGGAGAAUGAUGUGAUUGACUUGACCCAUUCCGUUAGCUUAGCACUUGAUCGUUUAGUAUGUUGCUAUUGCUUUCUUCAUGACUUAUACAUGUUCCUACAACUAUGAGAUUAUGUAACUCCCGUUUAUCGAAGGAACACUUUGUGUGCUACCAAACGUCACAACGUAACUCGGUGAUUAUAAAGGAGCUCUACAGGUGUCUCCAAAGGUACAUGUUGAGUUGGCGUAUUUCGAGAUUAGGUUUUGUCACUCCGAUUAUCGGAGAGGUAUCUCUAGGCCCUCUCAGUAAUGCACAUCACUAUAAGCCUUGCAAGCAAUGUAGCUAAUGAGUUAGUUACGGAAUGAUGCAUUACGUAACGAGUAAAGAGACUUGCCAGUAACGAGAUUGAACUAGGUAUUGAGAUACCGAUGAUCAAAUCUCGGGCAAGUAACAUACCAAUGAAAAGGGAACAACGGGACCGAUAAAUAUCUUCAUAGAAUAUGUAGGAGCCAAUAUGAGAAUCCAGGUUCCGCUAUUGGUUAUUGACCAGAGACGUGUCUCGGUCAUGUCUAUAUAGUUCUCGAACCCGUAGGGUCCGCACGCUUAAAGUUAGAUGACAGUUAUAUUAUGAGUUCAUGUGUUUUGAUGUACCGAAGAUAGUUCGGAGUCCCGGAUGUGAUCACGGACAUGACAAGGAGUCUCGAAAUGGUCGAGACAUGAAGAUUGAUAUAUUGGACGACUAUAUUCGGACACUGGAAUGGUACAGGGGGUUAUCGGAUAUAUACUGGAGUACCGGGGGGUUACCAGAACCCCCCGGGGGGCUAAUGGGCCUCAUGGACCCAAGUGGAGAAGAGGAGGGGCGGCCAGGGCAGGCCGCGAGCCCCCUCCCCCUUUAGUCCGAAUAGGACAAGGGGGGGGGCUCCCCUGUCCUUCCUCCCCUCUCUCCCUUCCUCCCCCCUCUCCUACUUGGACAAGGAAAGGAGAGAGUCCUACUCCCGGUGGGAGUAGGACUCCUCCUGGCGCGCCCCCUCCUGGCGGGCCGCCCCCUCCCCCUUGCUCCUUUAUAUACGGGGGCAGGGGGGCACCUCUAGAAACAACAACAAUUGAUCCUUGAGAUCUAUUAGCCGUGUGUGGUGCCCCCCUCCACCAUAUUCCACCUCGAUAAUAUUGUAGCGGUGAUUAGGCGAAGCCCUGCGUCGGUAGAACAUCAUCAUCGUCACCGCGUCAUCGUGCUGACGAAACUCUCCCUCGACAUUCGGCUGGAUCGGAGUUUGAGGGACGUCAUCGAGCUAAACGUGUGCAAGAACUCGGAGGUGUCGUUCUUUCGGUGCUUAAUCGGUCGGGACGUGAAGACGUACGACUAUAUCAACCGCGUUUUAUGCUAAUGCUUCCGUUUUCGGUCUACGAGGGUACGUGGACAACACCCUCCCCUUUCGUUGCUAUGCAUCACCAUAAUCUUGCGUGCGCGUAGGAAAUUUUUCAAAUUACUACGUUUCCCAACAUAUUUCUCCUGGGUUCACACCCCAUGUCCUGGAACAACUGGUCACUAUACCAGAUGUGGAGAGCUCCAACGCAAGAUCGACGGAAGUAUUCACGAGAGUACCUCUUCAUGUAUUCAUCCCAUUCCUUUAUACCAAAAAGGGUUUCCCCCCACUUUGUAUUCCAAAGCAAACCACCAUUGUACACAUCGCAAUGCUGGGGUGAGCAGCACAUCAAGCCCAAAGAAAAAGAAGAAGAAAUAAAUGCCAACAACGGCAGCUCGACAAAGCGCUGAAGACCCGCGACCGAUGCGCCCUCCGGAAACAAACCACCACACCGAGGCUCCGAUGUACCGCGAACUAAGCAGCACCUCCAAGAAGGGAUGCGACGCCGACGACGCUGCUGCCCGGACAAGUCCUAGGGUUUCCCCCAGUACACGGAGGGAGGUGGGGCAUAGCUAAUACCGACACCCUCCAAGAAGGGAUAGUGGCACCUGCCGGUGUCACCGCAUCGGAGCCGGACGAACCAGCAAGGAUUUCUCCACCACGCCAAACCCCACCGGCCAACCGGAGCCAACCAGCCAAACCACUGCCCAACACCAUGCGCCAUCACGGUUGAGCCGCCACCAACGCCGUCUCGCCACGAGCACCACCACGAGGCCAAGAAGACCGGAGAGAAGAUCCAAGCGACGGGAGCAGAAAAACCAAGGCCGAGCGGGAGGGAACCACCUCCACCGCCAUCGUGCGAGAGGCCCACGCCUUUGGCACCGUCGCGAUAGCCGUCCAUACACGGCAGCGAGGCAUACUAGGCCACCCCUGGCCCGGCCAGGCCCGAAACGGGCCCGUUAAGCCUCUCCGACCACGCUGCAGCAGGCUGGCGUCGGCGCCGCCAGCACCCCGCUGUUCAUCGCCGCUCCCCAGCCUCCUGGGAGUCACGCCGCAGACCCGUCCUGCCGCCGGCCCGCCCAGCCCCAGAUGGGACCUGAAGGGCCCAGAUCUGGGCCGAGCGCCGCCGCCAGGCCGCGCCGCUGCGCCACCCCGCCGCCAACGUCAGCGCCGCCGCCCANNNNNNNNNNNNNNNNNNNNNNNNNNNNNNNNNNNNNNNNNNNNNNNNNNNNNNNNNNNNNNNNNNNNNNNNNNNNNNNNNNNNNNNNNNNNNNNNNNNNNNNNNNNNNNNNNNNNNNNNNNNNNNNNNNNNNNNNNNNNNNNNNNNNNNNNNNNNNNNNNNNNNNNNNNNNNNNNNNNNNNNNNNNNNNNNNNNNNNNNNNNNNNNNNNNNNNNNNNNNNNNNNNNNNNNNNNNNNNNNNNNNNNNNNNNNNNNNNNNNNNNNNNNNNNNNNNNNNNNNNNNNNNNNNNNNNNNNNNNNNNNNNNNNNNNNNNNNNNNNNNNNNNNNNNNNNNNNNNNNNNNNNNNNNNNNNNNNNNNNNNNNNNNNNNNNNNNNNNNNNNNNNNNNNNNNNNNNNNNNNNNNNNNNNNNNNNNNNNNNNNNNNNNNNNNNNNNNNNNNNNNNNNNNNNNNNNNNNNNNNNNNNNNNNNNNNNNNNNNNNNNNNNNNNNNNNNNNNNNNNNNNNNNNNNNNNNNNNNNNNNNNNNNNNNNNNNNNNNNNNNNNNNNNNNNNNNNNNNNNNNNNNCCCCGCCGCCAGCCAGACCGCCGCCGCCUAGGAGCACCCCCGGUGCAGCUCCGCCCCGCGCCGGAGAGCCACUGGGAGGGGAAAGUCAGGGGGCGCCGCCACCAGCAUCCCCGAGGCCAGGCCGGCCGCGGGCGCCAGCGAUGGCGGCGGGGAGGAAGGGGAGAGGGGGGCCUGGAGGAGGAGGAGGGCGCCGCGAGGCCGCUCGCCCGCGGGGGCGACGCGGUCGCGAGAGGGGAGGGGGAGGGUGCCAUUCCUUUAUAUCCAGCUCCAUAGACUUUAUGCUAGGCAACUGAAAUGCUCCAUCAAGGAAAUGUGCCAACCAUUUGGAGUGCAUGUUGCUAUGCUCUCAGAGUAGCCGAUGAUCGCCAAUUGCGGGGUCCUAGGAUGCACGCAUUGCCUGCCCAGUUGACAAAAUUCACUUUGAGCUUCUACAUAUGUACAGACAGCCAAACAAACAUGUUUAAGAGAAAGACAGAUUAAAUCUGUAGAGAGGAUUACUACUGGAUGGCGGGCCAGUCACAAUGUCUCUGAAAAAGGAUGAUGUGAACAUCCCCUUGAGCUUUUGGUCUCCCUUGUAUCCGGUGAUGAAUAUGACCACAUCGCUCUUUAUAUAUCAGCGUGGAUUCUCCUUCGACAAUCACACCUUGUUUGCAGAAACUGAAGCUCUUUGCUUUCUUGAGAACAAUGCUUCCUUGAUCAACAUCAGAAUUUGUCUGGCAAUAUGGCAACCAAGCAUUGGCUGAUGGCCUGGAAGAAACUGUGGUCUGGCACCAUGCCGUGCCUAUCCAUAGGCACCGCCCAUCUGUAGUAGCUCUCGACAAACUUCGAAAGGAACCAUCUCUGAUCAAUGUAUAUAUCCAGGUUAAAUAAAUGCAUGAGCACAAAUAGAUGAUCUCUAGUUACUUAAAAGAGUGGUUUGGUAUAAGUAGAAACUCUGGCUGGUGGCCCUUACCAAGGGUGAUAAGAAGGUAGCAAGAAUGCUAAGGAGCAGCCCCUCCUGGCUUGUGAACUAGGAGCUCCGAGAAGCGGUUGAGGUAGAAGAACGCAAUGGGAACGCCCCAGGCGUAGUAGUCGGGUAUGAUCCAUCUCUUCGUUCGACAUAUUAUUGUGCAUGGAUACUUGGUUCCUGAGCGCAACAACAAUGAACAAAAUUAAGAUAUAUCUGACCUCAGUGCUCUGAACCCUUCUUCCUUUUGAUCACUCUGCAGUGAAGAGAUCUCACCAUUUGUGUUUGCGCACUCUGCAGCAAUGCCAAUGCGGACUUCGGUAGCCGACAACAGUAACGAGCUCGCCCCUGAUAAGCUGGGUGGACUUCGCAGCGCCCAUGUCGGAGUAGUCGGAUCACCGUGCCGUCAAAAGUUCUCCAGCUCUUUUGUUCGGCGGGAAUGUGGGAAUGUUGGGGACGCCGCUGAAUCUCCCUGUGCACAGGAUCACAAAGUCCGCGACUCGUAUGUCUGGAAAUCAGCUGUUGCCGAUGCACGAAUCUGUUCAAGUGUUGAUGCAAACCUGUUUUCUCACUAUUAACUAUUGUCACUUUGUCAGCUCUUAACUACAAUUUUUUUACUGCCUCCGUCUAGGUGUAUAAAUCACCUUACGAAAACUAAAUAAUCCCAAAACACUUAGGCACGGUACAUUAACUCCCUCCUCGUUUCUUCUUUUGUGAUAUAUCAACCAAUAAGAGAUGUGGGCCAUGCGUGCUUUCAAUGACUUGAGACUGCCAAACAUGACAUGCAGUGGUUAGUUCAGUGCAUGCAAUGCUAUUAAUUAGCAAAACAACAUUAAGUUUUCUCGUUUUCCUCUCCGCCUUGGUCGCGGUGCACAACGUAAGAUGACUUACACACCUAGACGGGGAGAGUACAUAAAUAUAAAAUUGAGUUUUUUUUAAGAAGAAUAGAGGUUUCCUCCCACCCCAUUUUUUUUUUGCGAGAAAAUUUCCGAUCUAUUCAUCUUCAAUCAUGGCAGUACAACGAAUACCAGAAAUAAUAGAAAUUACAUCCAGAUCCGUAGACCACCUAGCGACAACUACCAGUACUGAAGCGAGCCGAAGGCGCGCCGCCGUCAUCGCCCCUCCAUCGCCGGAGUCGGGCACAACUUGUUGUAGUAGACAGUCGGGAAGUCGUCGUGCUAAGGCCCCGUAGGACCAGCGCACCAGAACAGCAACCGCCGCAGAUGAAGAAUAACGUAGAUCAGAAAAAUCCAAUCCGAAGACACACGAACGUAGACGAACAACGACGAGAUCCGAGCAAAUCCACCAAAGAUAGAUCCGCCGGAGACACACCUCCACACGCCCACCAACGAUGCUAGACGCAUCGCCGGAACGGGGGCUAGGCGGGGAGACCUUUAUUCCAUCUUCAGGGAGCCGCCGCCGUCUCGUCUUCCUGAACAGGACACAAACUCUAGCAAAACUGAAAGAAACGAUUAAAAACGGAGCCCUCCCACCGACCCUUGCCGAGAUCCACUGCGCCCCCAUGGCCCUAAGGCCAUCGGAGAGUAGGCGGACCUGCGGCGGCGGCGGCGGGAGGCAAAAACCCUAGCUUUUUGUGGAGGAGAAGGAGGAGGCGGCAAUUUGUGCCUAUUUAGAUACAUUAUACCACCCCAUUUUAUUAAAACGAGGCAACAGGGAACAAGCCAUAGUAGCUGAACGUGAUUACAGAGCUUAAGUAGAACUACUACAACGAACAGCCACUGUAGGGUUUUUAAGACAAACCAAGCUAAUUAUUACUCCCUCCAUAAAAAAAAAUAAGUAGUGAUCUAAACACUCUUAAAUUUCUUUACGGAGGCGGCAGAGCGGGAGGUCGCAUGGUCCCACGUAAGUUUGAGCUAAUCCCGCGUGGGUGCCCACGAUCACGAUUUUUGUGGGCUCAGCCCACAUCCACGUACAGCCUGAUUCAUACAUACGGUCCCGUCCGUGGGCGCUACGAUUCGACGAUGAUCCGUUGCUUCCUCGGAUACAAAUACGAAAAUCGCAAGAGCCAAUCACAAGGCGGUAAACGUAUCACGUACGUACGUCCUGUACGCUGCAGCCAGGGCUGUAUCUCCUGUAUCUGUACGUAUGCCGCUCUCCGAGUUCGAUUCAAUCAUCGACGCAAAGGAGAAAAAAGUCCGAUUCAGUCACCUGGCACGGAGCCUAUAUUAAUCCACGGCUACAAGAGAGGUACUGUUCGAUCCAAGAUGGCAUCGUCGUCGAGAAGCAAGUACGGCGUGAAGACGCCGGAGGAAGAGGAGGCGGACGUCGUGUGCUCGCGCUGGAUCUUCCUCUAUGUAGCGGUGCUCCACCUUGGCCUCUUCGCCAUCACCGCCGUGAUCUCCUACACGCACGUGUUCCCCCGCGCCAAGAAGUUUGACAAGAUCUUCUUUGGAGUCAUGGGUGCUUCUACGGGGGGACUUCCCCUUCAGCAACAAACGUGCCACCGCCCGAGUCGCCGACCUGCCGCCCGUCGAUGUGUGCUAGCUAUCUUUUGGUUGGUUGUUUCUAGUGCACGAAUUGAUUUAUGUGAGCUAGCCAUCAGUAAUAGUGCUUGGCAUACUGUUUUUCAAGAUACGCGGUUACCGGCGGUAUCCUUGCAUCUAUCUUUAUAUUUUAUGUUAGAAAAUGAUUUUACUAAAUCUCAAUUGCUAUUACUCGUCGCUUACGCGAUGUUGGAAUCAUAGAUCUGAUGUUGGAAUCCUUGCAAUGGUCGCUGGUUAAAGGACUUCAAACCUCUGUCACUGUAAAUAUGCCAUCUAGAUGCUCAACCCGUGGGAGUUAGUUUCCCCGGUACAACUCUCCCGGACCAAGCUGACAAUUGGAGAUGGUCGCGCGACUCCUCUGGACACUGCUCUUCUACAAAGCUUCUAUUGAAGGAUGGCCGUUAUGCGCAUCAGCCAAUGCCACUUGGAAGAGCUGGGCACCCCUCCAUCGUUCAAAGACACGAUGACUAGCCGUGAAUAUCGACCAAAAAUCUCGGGGGUUUACCUGGUGAGGAAAUCUCCAAUACCCUUUCCUCACAUGCGAUUGACGAGGCCACUGAGGAGCAGGCGCCACAGCUCAAAACCUAUAUGACAAAAUUCUCGGCAGGCAAGAACAUCCACAAGGACGGGUCUACCUCUAAUGCUAAGAAAAGAGUCUGGCUUGUGUAGCUCCGUCCGGUGCAAACCACAUUUUGGGGAGGCUCAAUCCUACAAUUCCAGGAGGGAAGAAAAAGUGGUCGCUAGGAAUAUGGUCGUAGUGGUACCAGGCUCACCAUGCAUGCCCGAGACCCUACUCCGGCAGGAUGACCAUCCUGUUGACACCUGAUUUUGGCAAGAUACAAAGUGAAAGGGUUUUCAACAUGAGAAAAUUUCAUAUCGUCGAGUGGAACAACUUUGAUGUUUAGGCUAUCGACAUUCGACCUCAUCUCAGUGGCCGAAGCUGUACUCCGAGUGACAAAAUUUAAUAUUCUGAGUGCUUUUCGGCUGAUUACGUCCUCAAUAUGACCUCAGAUGAAGGAGUGCUCUAAAGGAAUUGUCUUCGUCUCGUCGAGACAGUCGAUUUUCAUAUAUAAAUUAUCUCAAUCCGAGUUCACAUGCAAAAGUUAUAGUCAAUACGGUCUGGACAGGUUCAGAGACCAAAAUAUUACGCUUGACACCAGACACAUGUUGAUAAGUGUCUGAUGCAAUGCGUGAGCAAUUCGGCCUUCAAGACGGCCUUGAAUUGAAAAACCUUCAACACGGAAAGGUUUCCUAUCAUCGAGCCGAUCGAUUUUCAUAUAUAAUUCGUCUCAAUCCGAGGUCGUAUGAGGCCUGGAAAGACAAAUCAAGAUCAGGCUAUGUUCUCAGUCGGAAAAACUGAGUGAAAAGUUCACCAUCCGAGUGAAAAUUUACCGGUCGAGUGAAAGUUUGCUGACCGGAUGAACUUAUUAUUAUCCAAGUGGAAAUAUAGUCAUCCGAGUGGAAAUAUGGUCAUCCGAGUGAAAUUGUCCUCCAGGUGAAGAUAUUUCGAGUGAAAACCUACCGAUCGAGUAAAAGGUCGAGUGAAAACCUACCGAUCGAGUAAAAGGUCGAGUGAAAACAUACCGGUCGAGUAAAAGGUCGAAAACAUACCGAUCGAGUAAAAGGUCGAGAGCCUACCGAUCGAGUAAAAGGUCGAGUGAAAACCUACCGAUCGAGUAAAAGGUCGAGUGAAAACCUACCGAUCGAGUAAAAGGUCGAUCGAGUAAAAGGUCGAGUGAAAACUGAUCGAUCAAGUAAAAAAUUGUCUUCCGACUGAAAAUGUGGUCAUCAUCCGAGUGAAAGAUUGUCUUCCGAGUGAAAAUAUAGUCAUCCGAGUGAAAAGGUCUAGUCGAGUGAAAGACUCUAAUAUCCGAGUGGAUGAGCUCAAAUCCGAGUGAAACUGAACAUGUGCCCAAAAGUUUAUCAAGAUGAUCUCGGAUGGAGAAGUGUUCAAUACAGAAGUUGUGCGUAUCAUCAAGACGAUAAACUUUGGUUUUGGAGUCAUCGUCAUCAGAGAUAUUAUAUGGCCUGCAAAUUCACUACAAGACUCGGAUAAUUCAGUCUACCGCAAGACCGAGUCCGACUGGAAGGUAAAGACGACCUCUAAAAGUGUUCAAGAUGGCCUUAUUUGAAAAAGUGAUCAACAUGAGAGUUGUUCGUAUCGUCGAGGCGCACAAGUUUGGUAUUUGGGCCAUCUUGAUCGGAGGUCAUAUGGAGGCUCGGCGGCCUGCACAAGGAGGAAGACAGAAGUUGGGCCAGAUUCAGACUGAAUCCGAGUUGGAAUAGAACUAGGACUCUAGGACGCGAAUUGAUGUAAUUUUUCUUGUAAGGAAAGCCUAGAUGAAUCCUUUACUUGUAUGGGAAGUCCAGCCGCCUCUUAUAUAUGUUGGGGGUGACGGCCGAUUGAACAACACACAAUCGAACAAAUCAAUAUACUACUUUUUCCUGUCUACUUUUUAUCUCUCCACCGUUUUUCUCUCUCGUUCUUCGCUGUUCUUCGUGUUUGAGAGCUGCGAAUCCGGAGGCUCUAGGGGCGAGCGAAUCGACCUAGGGCAGCCCAUAGCCGCCGCAAUCCCUGACGGGGUCCCUCCCGGGUGCGCGGGGUUUCGGGUCUGCAAAAGCGCCCGCCGACUGUCUUGCGUAUCGCGCUGUCGGUCGGGUCUCCUUCGACGUGAGCUGCGGUGCAUCACCCCCGGCGUCGAGGGUACACGUGACGUGUUCGUGUGUCAACACACUUUUUGGCGACUCCGCUGGGGAUCGAAGAUCAAUCAUCAUCAUCCACCAUGUCCAAUCUUCCCAAGCCAUCCGAGGUAGACGCCGAUAACAUCAUUAAGCCCAGUCUUGAUGAGAUAUCGGCCGAUCAUCGCCAAGUCUAUGAGGAGUACAAGAAGGCGCGCGAGGAGAAGGACUUGCAGGAGUUCCUUGCGAAGUUCAAGAAGGAUCGCCAAGGCAACAUCACUCCGAUUGAAGAAAUCAAGUUCCCUCCUCUUCAAGCCGUGCAGGUUAAACCCUCUGUAAGUACCGCCUUUUCUCCUGAGCAGUGGGCUGAGAUUGAAAGUCGUAUUGCUGAUGGUAACAAUCUAGUCUAUCAAACUUUCAUAGAAAAUACUAAUGCUCAGAAGAAUACAUCUCAAUCGACUAGUGGUAAUGAUGGUGUAGCUGCUAGUGUGCAAAACCCUAAUCUGGCUUUACCUAUCUCAUCGGCGCCUCCCGUGCCGAUGACUUAUUAUCCUACCCAAACAAAUCAGAUUGUGGCUGCACCCGUUAAUCCUAUUAUGAGCAUGCCAGGUUCGGUGGUGACGCCGAACCAAACCCUACCUACAGCUACAACCACUCGACCACUACCAAAUUAUGGGUCGACAUACAUGCCACAAUUCCUACCUAUAGCUAGUAACCCUACUCCUCCUAUGCCACUGCCACAAGCUUCAUCGUCCACUAUGGAUGAUGGUUUAGCUAAUCUUAGAGAGGAGAUGGCUAAGAUGCUUCGAGAGAAUUUUGGAGUUGAGCUACCUCGGAAUCGGAUUUACCAAAAGCCGUACCCCGAGUACUUUGAUGCCAUCCAGUGCCCUCCAGGAUAUAAAAUUCCAGAUUUUGUUAAGUUUAAUGGAGAAGGCACAAAAACCACAUGGGAGCAUGUUAGUCAGUAUUUAGCACAAUUGGGUGAGGCAGGCUCAUUGAAUGAAUUGAAAGUGCGUUUAUUUCCUUUGUCAUUAACUGGUACCGCAUUUUCAUGGUUUUCUUCUUUACCACAUGGUUCUAUUCGAGUUUGGUCGCAGCUAGAGCAGAAAUUUCAUGAUCACUUUUAUAGCGGCGACAAUGAACUCAAGUUGUCACAUCUAACAUCGGUUAAGCAGAAGCAUGAUGAAUCGGUCUCCGAUUACGUCAAGAGAUUCAGAGAAACGAAAAACCGGUGUUUUUGUUUGGUGAUAACCGAGAGAGACUUGGCAGACCUAGUGCUGAGUGGUUUCAGAACUCCCAUUAGAGAAAAGCUAGAAGGCUAUGAGUUCUUAAAUAUCAACCAAGUCUUACAAAGGGCUUUGGCUCAGGAAAGCCGAAGCAAAGAUCUCAAAGAAGUGCAUAUAUACAAAACCGAUCGUCCGAAGAUGAAUAUGGUGGAAUAUGAUAGUGAUCACUCGGAUGAUGAGGGUGAUGUUUUUGCUACCGAAUUUGUUUGGCCAUCUAAGGCCAAACCCUUUACUUGCAAUGAUCUGAAACCGAUUCAUAAGAAUCGUGAUGAAGAGAUGAAGUUUACUUUUAACAUUGCUAAGUGUGAUAGAAUAUUUGAUGCUUUGCUGCAGGCUAAGAUUAUUAGAAUAUCUCAUACUUUACCGCCGUUUGAAGAGCUGAAACGGCGUGCUUCUUGCAAGUAUCAUAAUUCUUUUUCUCAUGCUACUAAUGAUUGCAAUGUUUUUCGACGACAGAUACAAUCGGCCAUUAAUGACGGACGAUUGAACUUUUCUGAGAUGCAAGUUGAUAAACAGCCCUAUCCAAUAAACACCAUGGAUUUAGAAGGGAAGAAGCUGCUCAUUCGGCCGGAGGUAGCCGAAUCUGCUAAUAAAGCUAAUGUCAUUGUUGGUGAGCCCAGGAAAGACAAGGAGGGCGACAAGGUCUUGGGGAGACAUGUUGUGCUUGAUAAGCAACCCGAUGGCAAGAAAGUGAUCAAGAUCACCAUCAAGAAUCCUACACUCGGGGGGCAAACACAGGUGCAGCAGGACACUCGAGUUAAAUUUGUCAAGCCCAAGAAUCCAGAAGUUGGCAAAUGGAAGAGGAACGAAGUUAAAGUAUAGCGCAAACGGAACAAACCAACUUUUGAUAUGUUGCUGUCCAAAUAUGCCAAUCAGUCGGCUGGUUCCAGCUCUAACCGGCCAUCAUACUUGAAGCGACCAAGGUCACCAUCAGAUGAUAUGUUCAGUCAGUAUAUGAAACCGAGUGGACCAAGGGCGCAGUUUUUAGAAGAGCAGAGGCAAACUGUUUGGGACCGACUUGAAUACUCAUAUAAUGGCCGACUGAACAUCGACAAUUAUUGGUCGGCUGGUCAAAACAUACGACCGGAUGGAAACUACCCUAGUGUAAGAAUGCACCCUGGUGGAAGCUAUCCGAGUGAAAAAAUAUGGUCAAGUAAAUUCCAUCCGAGUGACAUCAAUUCGAGUGGAUUCCAUCCAAGUAAAAAGGUGCGCCCGAGUGGAAAUUUCGUGCAUCUGGAAAGUCGAAAAGAAUGGCGUGUUAAGUCACCAAGUGUUGCAGCAGUUGAGUCGGGCAAAGGAAAGGAGAAAAUGGAUGUCGACUCACUUAUUUUGGGCACCAAAACAUUCCCCAUACAGCAGCCGACUGUGCAUAAUCACUCAACUGAGCCAAUACUUUCUAUCGUGCCAAAGCACUCGGUUAAUGACCAUGAAGCAAGCACCAGCCAAGUAAAGGUGAGAGAUGCUAAAUACACUCGACCAAAGUGGUGUCCUCCAGGGCUAACAAAGACACAGAAGAGGAAACUACAGAGGUUAAGGAGUCAAGAGAUGGCGGAGCAGGAGGACGAGAAGCAAAGGGAUAAGUUGUUCAAUGACACUCGGCCCAUGGUUCCAGCAAAACAAGUGUGGAGGCCAAAACAAAUACAAGAUACAUCAGCUUCUACAUCUAUCACAGAAGUGCCUACACCACCCAAGGAGGACGAUGUGACGCCUAUUACAUCGUCUGCGACACUUCUUACUUCUCCUUCACUCGGCCAGAUUUCAGAAUCGGUCGAUCCACUUGGAGAAGAGGCUGAUAUGUUGGACUAUGAAUCUACACCGGUUCAUGAAGGUAUGGAUAUCAAUAUGGUGUAUUACUUACCUGCUGAGUUUCGUGCUGUAGAUGAGGAAGGGGAAGUUGCUCAGCUGGAUUUUGGCCCUAAGAACGCAAUAUUCGAGAAGCCAAAAGAACCAGUAACACAUUUGAAACCGUUGUAUCUCAGAGGUCAUAUCAAUGGAUCGCCACUUAGUCGAAUGCUUGUUGAUGGUGGUGCUGUGGUAAAUCUUAUGCCCUAUUCGGUCUUCAAGAAAUUGGGUUUGCCUGAUGAAGAAUUGAUCAAGACCAAUAUGGUGCUCAACGGGUUUGAAGGCAAAGAGAAAACUGAAGCCAAAGGUGUAAUGUAUGUGGAGCUUACAGUCGGAAGCAAAACUUUGGCCACUGCAUUCUUUGUCGCUGAGGUGCAAGGUAACUACAACGUUAUACUAGGCCGUGAUUGGGUUCAUGCAAACCAGUGCGUGCCAUCCACUAUGCACCAGUUUUUGAUUCAGUGGGUUGAUGAUGAAGUGGAAGUCAUUCAUGCGGAUAACUCGGCCUGUGUUGCUUUGGCCGAUGCAUCGGUGGAUUGGCAACAUCCCAAUGCUACUUGCUUGACGGGAUGUGACUUAUCAGAGUUUGAUUUUCUCAGCGCGACCAAGAAUGGUUUUGUGCCCGUGUCUUUAAAGCCGACUGAAUGCAAUCGGCUCCAAGGUAUGAUAGGUUUAAAUGGAUUCUAAUUCCGAGUGGUUACAAAAACGUCUUGUAAAAUAUCGGUCCAGUGAGGACGAUAUGUAUGAGUCUAUAGAGGAGUUGGAUGACAUGGAUAAACUUGGACAAGGUUUUACAUCGGCUGAUCCAUUAGAAGAGAUAGAUAUUGGAGAUGGUUCAGUCACUCGACCGACAUUUAUAAACAAAAAUUUGAAAGCCGAGUGUAAGGCCAAAUUAAUCAAGCUAUUGAAAGAAUAUGUUUGUUGCUUUGCAUGGGAAUAUCAUGAGAUGCCAGGGUUGAGCCGGGAGCUAGUGGAGCAUCGGUUGCCUAUAAAAGCCGGUUUUAGACCUUAUAAACAGUCGGCCAGAAAGUUUAAUCCGAAAACAUAUGACCGGAUCAAGGAAGAGAUCGGUCGACUGCUUGAAGCUAAUUUCAUUCGACCUUGCAGGUAUGCCGAGUGGAUUUCUAACAUUGUCCCAGUGGAGAAGAAGGGAUCCGGCAAGUUGAGGAUGUGCAUUGACUUCAGAGAUUUGAAUAGGGCUACACCCAAAGAUGAGUAUCCCAUGCCAAUAGCCGAUAUGCUUAUUAAUGAUGCUUCUGGACAUAAGGUUAUUAGCUUUCUAGAUGGUAAUGCCGGAUACAAUCAAAUUUUUAUGGCCGAAGAGGACAUGUACAAAACAGCUUUUCGAUGUCCUGGUUUCCUUGGUUUAUUUGAGUGGACAGUGAUGACAUUCGGAUUGAAAAAUGCUGGGGCCACAUAUCAAAGGGCUAUGAAUUUGAUUUUUCAUGAUUUACUCGGUAUCAUACUUGAAGUUUAUAUUGAUGAUAUUGUUGUCAAAUCGGAUGCUUUUGAAUCUCACUUGGCCGAUUUGCGUUUAGCUUUUGAAAGGAUGAAAAAGUAUGGACUGAAGAUGAAUCCUUUGAAGUGUGCAUUCGGCGUGUCUGCUGGCAAAUUUUUGGGUUUCAUUAUUCAUGAAGAUGGCAUCGAAAUCGAUCCCAAAAAGAUAGAGGCCAUACAGAAAGUGGAGGCUCCAACAUGCAAGAGAGAUAUGCAAAAGUUCCUUGGCAAGGUCAAUUAUUUGAGAAGGUUCAUAGCUAAUCUGUCAGGGAAAGUUGAUGCAUUUACUCCUAUCCUUCGGUUAAAGAAUGAUGUUGAUUUCACUUGGGGGGCAAAACAGCAAGAAGCCUUUGAUAUGAUCAAGAAUUAUUUGUGCACUCCUCCGGUGAUGAAAGCACCCAAGCAUAGAGAGCCUUUUAAACUUUAUAUCGCAACAGAGGAAGGUGUUAUUGGUGCUGUUUUGACUCAAGAUACCGAAGGAAAAGAGCAUGCCAUUACAUAUUUGAGCAGACGUUUAUUGGACGCCGAGACAAGGUAUACAUUUAUUGAAAAACUAUGUCUAUGCUUAUAUUACGCUUGCACAAAAUUGAGACAUUACCUAGUGCCGAGUGCUUGUGUAGUAGCUUGUCAAACCGAUGUCAUUAAGUACAUGUUGCAUAGGCCAAUUUUUAGUGGUAGAAUUGGCAAGUGGGCUUAUGCUUUGAUUGAGUAUGAUUUGGCUUACGAAUCUCUAAAAUCCAUGAAAGGCCAAAUUGUUGCUAAUUUCAUUGUUGAACAUCGGAUUAAUGACAAGCAUGAUGUUGAUAUGAACCUUGUUUCAUUAGUACCAUGGAGAUUAUACUUUGACGGUUCAGUUUGUAGCAAUGGCCAAGGUGUUGGUAUUGUUUAUAUAUCUCCUCAUGGUGCUGUUUUUGAAGCCCCAUGCCGCUUAGAAUAUUUUUGCACAAACAAUCAAGCCGAAUAUGAAGCAUUGUUAUUCGGCCUAGAGAUGUUACUUGCUAUAGGUGUUACACAUAUUGAGGCUUACGGUGAUUCAUUACUAGUAGUGCAACAAAUAUCUAAAGUCUUUCAGUGUUUGGACGAAUCACUUAAUGUUUAUCUUGAUAGAUGUCUAGAUAAAAUUUCUACUUUGGAUUGUUUUAGCAUUGCACAUAUAUCUAGACAUGACAAUUGGAAAGCAAAUGAGUUGGCACAGCAAGCAUCUGGAUAUCAUGUUGAUCAUGGCAUGUUUCAUAUUUCUCAAAGUCCGAUGUCUUGUCUUACCAGUAUAGAAGAGGCCGAACCAGAACCCACUGAUUCGGUCAUUAACAAAGAAUCUAGUGCAGAUGACAAUUCCGACUGGAGGAAGCCCAUUGUUGCUUACUUGCGCAAUCCGAGUGAAAGGGUGGACAGGGCUGUUCGGCGUAUGGCUUUUAAAUAUACUAUGAGGGAUGAUGACCUUUAUCGCCGAACAGUCGAUGAUGUUCUUCUAAAGUGUUUGGAUGAGGACCAGGCAAGAGUUGCUAUGGGAGAAGUACAUGAAGGUAUUUGUGGCACUCACCAAUCGGCUCCUAAGAUGAAAUGGUUAUUACGACGUGCUAGGUUUUAUUGGCCGACCAUGAUUAAUGAUUGCUUCAAAUAUUAUAAAGGGUGCGAAGCUUGUCAAAAAUUUGGUGAUAUUUAAUUGGCUCCUGCUGCUAUGUUGCAUCCUAUUAUCAAGCCGUGGCCUUUCAGAGGAUGGGGUUUAGACUUUAUUGGGCAAAUUCAUCCAUCUUCCUCAAAGGGGCAUCGAUUCGUGUUGGUGGCAACUGAUUAUUUCACUAAAUGGUCUGAAGCAGUACCUCUCAAGAACAUGACACAUACAGAGGUAAUUCAAUUCAUAACCGAGCACAUUAUUCAUAGAUUCGGUAUUCCUCAAACGUUAACUACAGAUCAAGGUUCAUCUUUUAUGUCACACCAAGUCAGAGAGUUUGCCGAAUCUUAUAAUAUAAAGUUGCUCAAUUCCUCUCCGUAUUAUGCCCAAGCUAAUGAACAAGCUGAGUCUAGCAAUAAAAUUUUAAUCAAGCUCAUCAAGAAGAAGAUUGAGGAUAAUCCAAGGAGAUGGCAUGACUUAUUGUCUGAGGCAUUAUGGGCACAUAGAAUCUCAAGGCAUGGUGCUACGAAAGUGACUCCAUAUGAGUUGGUAUAUGGUCAGGAGGUUGUUUUACCGGUGGAAGUAAAUUUGAAUGCUUUGAGAAUAGCCAAACAAAAUGAUUUAUCAGCAAUAGACUUCUAUAACUUGAUGAUGGACAACAUUGACGAGGUUGCUGAUAAACGUUUGGCUGCUUUGAAUGCCAUAAAGAGAGAUAAGUUGAGAGUAGCUAGGGCUUACAAUAAGAAAGUUAAGUUGAAGAAUUUUCAAGUUGGUGAUCUUGUCUGGAAAGUGAUUCUGCCGAUUGGUUCAAGAGAUAGAAAAUUCGGGAAGUGGUGUCCAAGUUGGGAAGGUCCUUUUAGGAUUACAAGAGUCGUUCCCGGAAAUUCAUAUUUGGUGGAAUCAAUACAAGGGGCAUUGUUACCUCGAGCUCUCAAUGGCAAAUAUUUGAAGAAGUCCCACCCGAGUGUGUGGCAGGAAGCCUAAGUAGGCAAUGGCCGAUAUACAAUUAUCGUCCUUAGCACAAACAUGGCCGAUACAUAAUUAUUGCCCUGAGAAAAAUAAAUGGCCGAUGGAGUGUUAACAUCGUCCUUAGAACGAACACUAUGCAUAUUAUUUUUCGGCAUGCAAGCUUUGCCGAAAAACAGGGGGGCAUGUGUUGACACCUGAUUUUGGCAAGAUACAAAGUGAAAGGGUUUUCAACAUGAGAAAAUUUCAUAUCGUCGAGUGGAACAACUUUGAUGUUUAGGCUAUCGACAUUCGACCUCAUCUCAGUGGCCGAAGCUGUACUCCGAGUGACAAAAUUUAAUAUUCUGAGUGCUUUUCGGCCGAUUACGUCCUCAAUAUGACCUCAGAUGAAGGAGUGCUCUAAAGGAGUUGUCUUCGUCUCGUCGAGACAGUCGAUUUUCAUAUAUAAAUCAUCUCAAUCCGAGUUCAUAUGCAAAAGUUAUAGUCAAUACGGUCUGGACAAGUUCAGAGACCAAAAUAUUACGCUUGACACCAGACACAUGUUGAUAAGUGUCUGAUGCAAUGCGUGAGCAAUUGGGCCUUCAAGACGGCCUUGAAUUGAAAAACCUUCAACACGGAAAAGUUUCGUCUCGUCGAGCCGAUCGAUUUUCAUAUAUAAUUCGUCUCAAUCCGAGGUCGUAUGAAGCCUGGAGAGACAAAUCAAGAUCAGGCUAUGUUCUCAGUCGGAAAAACCGAGUGAAAAGUUCACCAUCCGAGUGAAAAUUUACCGGUCGAGUGAAAGUUUGCUGACCGGAUGAACUUAUUAUUAUCCAAGUGGAAAUAUAGUCAUCCGAGUGGAAAUAUGGUCAUCCGAGUGAAAUUGUCCUCCAGGUGAAGAUAUUCCGAGUGAAAACCUACCGAUCGAGUAAAAGGUCGAGUGAAAACCUACCGAUCGAGUAAAAGGUCGAGUGAAAACCUACCGAUCGAGUAAAAGGUCGAUCGAGUAAAAGGUCGAGUGAAAACUGAUCGAUCAAGUAAAAAAUUGUCUUCCGACUGAAAAUAUGGUCAUCAUCCGAGUGAAAGAUUGUCUUCCGAGUGAAAAUAUAGUCAUCCGAGUGAAAAGGUCUAGUCGAGUGAAAGACUCUAAUAUCCGAGUGGAUGAGCUCAAAUCCGAGUGAAACUGAACAUGUGCCCAAAAGUUUAUCAAGAUGAUCUCGGAUGGAGAAGUGUUCAAUACAGAAGUUGUGCGUAUCAUCAAGACGAUAAACUUUGGUUUUGGAGUCAUCGUCAUCAGAGAUAUUAUAUGGCCUGCAAAUUCACUACAAGACUCGGAUAAUUCAGUCUACCGCAAGACCGAGUCCGACUGGAAGGUAAAGACGACCUUGAAAAGUGUUCAAGAUGGCCUUAUUUGAAAAAGUGAUCAACAUGAGAGUUGUUCGUAUCGUCGAGGCGCACAAGUUUGGUAUUUGGGCCAUCUUGAUCGGAGGUCAUAUGGAGGCUCGGCGGCCUGCACAAGGAGGAAGACAGAAGUUGGGCCAGAUUCAGACUGAAUCCGAGUUGGAAUAGAACUAGGACUCUAGGACGCGAAUUGAUGUAAUUUUUCUUGUAAGGAAAGCCUAGAUGAAUCCUUUACUUGUAUGGGAAGUCCAGCCGCCUCUUAUAUAUGUUGGGGGUGACGGCCGAUUGAACAACACACAAUCGAACAAAUCAAUAUACUACUUUUUCCUGUCUACUUUUUAUCUCUCCACCGUUUUUCUCUCUCGUUCUUCGCUGUUCUUCGUGUUUGAGAGCUGCGAAUCCCGAGGCUCUAGGGGCGAGCGAAUCGACCUAGGGCAGCCCAUAGCCGCCGCAAUCCCUGACGGGGUCCCUCCCGGGUCCGCGGGGUUUCGGGUCUGCAAAAGCGCCCGCCGACUGUCUUGCGUAUCGCGCUGUCGGUCGGGUCUCCUUCGACGUGAGCUGCGGUGCAUCACCCCCGGCGUCGAGGGUACACGUGACGUGUUCGUGUGUCAACACAUCCAAUUCCAUGGGACGGGCUACCCGGAGAACCCUCUUCAUCUAGGACAAUAUCGACUAGUAGCAACACCCAUGAGAUCAAAGGACAUGGUACAUCGAGUUUUGGUAGACGGAGGGAGCUCUUUAAUUUAAUCCUAAUGCAGACUUUGGAGCAAAUGCAAAUACUGCGAAGGAUCCACCUCGACGGAGUUGUUUUAUGGGCUCCUCCCACAGACAACGAGAACCACAAUCCUCUGAGAAGGAUCACCCUCCCGGUGAUCUUUGAAGAGAAAGGAACUCCCGGUGAUCAUUUGAGGUGAUAGGCUUUGACAUGAUUUUUUUUCCCGAAGAAGAGGAUAACCCCCAGCCUCUGCAUUGAGCGAUGCACACAACCACAUAUAUAUAUAAUUGUGAGAAUUCUGAAGAAAUAUGAGUUGGUUAAAGUUAUCUCCUAUGCCGUCCCAUCCGCUAUUAGUAUGCAUCCAUUGUCGAUCCAACAUCUCUGAAGCAAAGAUUUCAGAUUUCAAAGAAGUUGGUUUUCAUCGGGUACAUGCCGUCUUAAAAAUACAUGGAUGCUUUUUAAAAUUUAAUGAACAUUUUUUAUCAAAAUAUGAGCACAUUUUUAUAUAUUUUACUUUCACUUUUUAGUUAGAUAUACAAAACUAAAGUAAAUAUGUUAAAACAGUACAAAAUAAAAUAAAAUAAAUAUCUGAAAAAUGAAAAAUUGAAACAAUAUUAAAUGGAAGAAAAAGCAAAAGAAAUAAAAGAAAGUAAGAAAAAAAUGCGCUCCACCCCGCAGUGGCUCGACCCAACUGCAUGAGUUUAGUGCAAGUUUGCUAGCCACCCCGUGCAUUACAUGACGAUUUGGAAUACUUUUUUUGUUGAAAAAAAGAGCUCUCUCUCCGAUUUUCAUUAAUAGAACUCACAGUUUCUUACAAACUACCAUCGACCACUACAUAUACACUGCCAACACACAACCAUUGACAGAUCAAACGACGUGCUCCCUUGAUGAUGCAGAACUGGGCAUCUCCACACCCCAUCAGGAUCGCAGACCAGGGGGAAAGCUACAUGCUGCCUACACCCUAGCAAAACACAAGAUCUAACACAUAGUCUGAAUCACACACACCCUCGUGAGAAAUCCCACAUGUCGGGCCUCCAGGCAAGAGGAUAUUAUUUAGCAUCGCACAAAACGCAAACCAAGUAUCACCAAGUGCAUAUUCAUCUAGGAAAGCAGAAAAAACAUUUGGAAUAAGCUUAUAGCGGGCACCUAUAAGAUUUGCUCGCUAAUAUUAAUUGUUUGAUUUUUUUUUUAGAAUCAUUUGCUUUUUUUUUUUGAGAAUCAGAAUCAUUUGCUAUAAAAAGAUGAUAUUGUUAACAGACAUUUUUGGCCCAGGUACGUAUGACCUGGUACCUGGCGUCUUUAGCCCAAGAGUCAAAUGUCCUUGUAAGCACUGGUGCCUGGCCCGUUAAUACUCCCCCGCCUGUCCCCCAGAAAACAAAAUACGUAUUAGUGUACGUAUUACGUCCUCCGUCCGGGUGCCGCUAGGGCUACAUCUCCCGUACGCACGCAGCUCGAUUUAAUCACCUGGCGGCACGAAGCUUCUUUAUUUACGACCACAAGAGGCCCCCCGUUCGAUUCGAUCAAUGCUAACUAGGAAGAGAUGACAUCGUCGAGAGGCAACGACCGCGUGAUGACGGCGGAGGAAGAGGAGGCUGCCGACCUGUGCGUGGGCUGGAUCUGGGUCUAUAUCGCGGUGUUCUACCUCGGCUUCUUCGCCUUCUCCGCCGUGAUCUCCUACACACACGUGUUCGCCCGCGCGACCAGGUUUGACAAGAUCUUCUUUGGGGUCCUGGGAGCGCCAUGUCUGCUCAUCGCCCUUGGCUUCAUCUGCCUGCUUCUACGGGAGGACGGGCCCUUCCGCAACAAGCGUGCCACCCCCCGAGUCGCCGACUCUCCGCCCGCCGAUGUGUGCUAGCCAUCUUUGGUUGUUUCUACUUUCUAGUGCGUGAAUAUUAAUGUUCGGAGUUUUACUUUGUUUUAUUUGAUCCAAUGUAGUUCUCUUUCGGCUUGCUAGUUGUAACAUCUUUUGUCCUUAGCUGGUGGGAAACUUGUACGUACUAGAUUGUCAAANNNNNNNNNNNNNNNNNNNNNNNNNNNNNNNNNNNNNNNNNNNNNNNNNNNNNNNNNNNNNNNNNNNNNNNNNNNNNNNNNNNNNNNNNNNNNNNNNNNNNNNNNNNNNNNNNNNNNNNNNNNNNNNNNNNNNNNNNNNNNNNNNNNNNNNNNNNNNNNNNNNNNNNNNNNNNNNNNNNNNNNNNNNNNNNNNNNNNNNNNNNNNNNNNNNNNNNNNNNNNNNNNNNNNNNNNNNNNNNNNNNNNNNNNNNNNNNNNNNNNNNNNNNNNNNNNNNNNNNNNNNNNNNNNNNNNNNNNNNNNNNNNNNNNNNNNNNNNNNNNNNNNNNNNNNNNNNNNNNNNNNNNNNNNNNNNNNNNNNNNNNNNNNNNNNNNNNNNNNNNNNNNNNNNNNNNNNNNCCGCCACUGGCUGCGCCCCUCGAUUUUGACACUAAUAGUAGUGAUUGAUGCAAUUAUACGUAAAUCUAUAAUUUUAAUCACGUGGUAUAAUCAUCACAUUAUACUUGAAGGCAAUAUUCAAUUAUGAGAUAUAACUAGAAAACAUGACCGUGCGUUGCAACGGAAGCAAAUAUGUUAUGAAGGCCCUAUCAAGAUGCAAUGAUGGCAGAAAGACUUUUUUGACUUUGAAAUGUUGCCACGACUACUUCUCUGUUGCAAAUCUUCCUUCCAUAUAUCCCAGGUUGCGCAAGGACGAUGCUACUUGCAACAACAAUGCCAGGACUAAGCCCACGACGAACCUCCCAUCACCAAAGGCAAAAGUCAUAGCAACAUUUAUUGCAGCUUCCGUGCAAAUCAACUAUAGAUGUCCUACAAUAUUCAUAAUCAUAUUAUAAGGGUUAUUGUCGUGGUUUUGUCACGGCAGAUGUCCUAGUGUGAGGAGUUAGUCGUGGAGCCAUCGCAACGUAGUUAGCUUAAAGGGGUUAAAGCGGGACAAAGGACGCAAAGAGUUUAUACUGGUUCAGCCCCUUGCGGUGAAGGUAAAGGCCUAAUCCAGUUGAGGUGGUAUUGCUAGGGUUUCGAUGACCAAGGAGCGAAUACGCUUUGCCUGGCUCUCGAUCUGUUGUUUCUUGUCUCUAAAUCGCUGCCGGGUCGUCCCUUUAUAUACACAGGUUGACGCCCAGGGGUCUACAGAAUCCCGGCCGGCUCAUAAACGUGUCCAGCUCAGUUUCUACCCUUUCCUAUCUUAUCACACAAGUUAUACAUCAUAUGACGGUUUACAUCUACGGGUCCUAAUCCGCCUUUGGGCCUUCUUGUUAGAUCUUCUCCGUAAAGUGACAUACUCCUUGUCUUCGUGGGCUUCAAUAUGAAUAACUCCUUUGAAGUAUAACCCAGCCCCUCCUGGGCGGUUUAUACUUAGUAGUUAUAUCCCCAACAUUAGGCCCCAGAUUGAUUUGAACUUGUUCAUGUCAAUCUUCAGUACUUAGGAAAAUUCCUUCUUCAACACCUUCGUGAAAAUCUUGUAACUCGCCGUGACGUCAUCUUCCAAGAUCAUGAUAAUCCGCCAUGACGUCAUCUGCCAUUAACUUUAUAUAGAACCCAAAUCUUCUAAUAUUUAUCCUUUAAUGAAUCUCCGAAAAUUGAGGCGUCUGUAUAUCUACAAAUCCGUUUUCCGACCUCCUCGAUUCCCGCGCCUGCCACUUAUCCAUUCACCUUAUAAAUAGGACCGGGGGUCAUUUUCACUUUCCCCCCUCGUGCCCCUUCACUUCAUCUUCUUCCUCGCGUCGACCUAGCGCUCAAACUCAGCCGCUGCCGCCAAGUCUUCGACCUCGACCUCAACUCCGGCCGCUGGAUCGCCCUGAUCGUACCAGAGAAUCGCGGCGCCACUCCAUUGUUCCAUUAGCAUCAGUAAGCCUUCUUUCUCUCCGCCAUAGAUCUGCCAUUAGGGUUUCAGGGUUCAUUGGUGUUCGUCGGUGUCCAUCGCUGUGCAAUAGCUCUUGAUUUAAAUCUUGACUUUUAUCUCGUACAGCGAUACCCGCAUCCCUUCUUUUCAUUAGUGCAUCUCCUUUAAGUAGAAAAUCCCAUCUGGAUCCUUCAACUGUUCAAGUACCAAAAUAUUUAACCCUGAAUAUUUUUUUCAUUUUCUGACAUGUAGUAGAUCCAGAUCUGCAAUAUGAAUCUGCGAAAACCUGUUUUUACAGCACUUAACCAUUUUCCAACCCAAGCUCUGUAUGCUCAAUAUCUGUAUGGGUAAUUUAACUUUUUAGAAAAUAAUAAUCCGCCAGGCACCAUUAGUCCUCUCUUAAACCGCCAAUUGCUCAUCACUUUAACUCUGAUAAUAUGAUCCUUCGGUUUAACAUUUUUGUAUGCUUUAACACUUUCUGUCUCUUAACCUGCAAUCUUUAUGCUUAUCAAUUAUAAAUCUUAAACCGGCACGAACCUUCCUUCGGGUUAUCAAAUAAAUGGCCAAGUCUUUUUAUGCUUGCAACUGGGUUCCUUCCUGGGUUACUGAAGAACAACUGACCGGGUGCGUCGCAACUGACGCUUUAGCAAAAAAGGAAGUCAUUCACUGGAGAACCCCUAGUCUAGAAAAUCCUCCUGAGCCUAAGGAUGGAGAAGUGAUUGUGUUCGUUGAUCAUUUGGGUCGAGGGUUUAGCCCUCCCGGAUCAAAAAAUUUCCAUGAUGUGCUUGCUAGCUUCCAACUCCGCCCUCAAGAUAUUGGACCUAACUCCGUGUCCAAUAUUUGUAAUUUUCAAGUGUUUUGCGAGGCUUAUCUGCAAGAAGAACCCACCGUUGAUCUGUUCAGAGACUUCUUCUAUUUAAACCACCGGACUGAAUUUACAGAUGGGCCCAAUACUGAACUUGACGGGGUUUCAAUUCAGAAAAGGAAAGAUGUUAGCUUCCCUCAUGCCAAACAUCAUAGUCACCCCAAAGACUGGAAUCAGACUUGGUUCUACUGCCGAGAUACGUCUCCAGCUGACGAGAAUCCUCUGCCGGGUUAUCGUGCUCACCGGCUUACCAAUACACGUCCAUUUCCCCAAAGGCUGACUACAAAGGAACGGGCCAACUAUGCACCACAACUUUCAAAGCUCAGAGCCUUUGUUGCGAACGGAUUAACAUGCAUUGACUUUGUUUGUUGCUGGAUAUCCUGGAGCAUUCUGCCUUUAAGCCAUCGCCCCGGUUUAAUGUGCGAGUACACAGGGGACUUGAAAGAUCCUCAAUGACAUAUUAACAUUCAUAUAAUGGAAGCUGAAAUUACUGAAGCUGUCAAGAAGAUACUGGAUGAACCGGUGGCUGUCUGCAGCAAAACAGGGCUUAGUCCCUUCUGCGUUUCCAAUAAACCGCCAGCUAUAAGAAUUAUAUAACUCUUGUUUUAAUCCAGCCCUUUUAACUAUUCCCUUAUAACUUUUGGCAAUCUUUGAUAGGGUGAUGAUCCGUUCUAGAAGAAGAAACCGCAGUAUAAACCGGAAAAAAACCCUCGUGUCAAGACCAAGGUCACCAAGAAACCUGCCAAAAAGAAAACCACCGACUCCACCGCUUUAAACUUUGAUGAUGACGAUGAAAAUCACGAGUCAGAGGUAGAACUUGAUUCACUUGGUUCCUUCUUCGUACAUCUUAUUGAUAAUGAUUAUUAUCAGGAGGACGCAGAGGCUAGUCAAGCUGGUGACGUAGAGGUAAUUAUUCUUUCCUCCGGCUCAGAACCUCUGCCAACUCCGAAAACCUGUCAAGCAAACCGAAAAGUAAGAUUUUCUCACCAUCUAGCUCACAUGGAUCCAAACUUUCUUUUGAAGAAACAACAACACGAAGCUCGCCGCACAACCCGGCAUAGCGGCCAUGUGGUAACUUCUUCCGGUUUACCGAACACGCCGGUUCGUAAACGUCGCCCAGAGGUCUCUUAUACUGCUGAUCCAUGUUAUCCUAAGGCGGGUUAUUUCCGGCAACCUCUUACUCCGUCUGAUUCAAAUUAUCAAGGAACUUCCCAUUCCUCUUCUAGCGAAUCAACAGAGACGCAACUUCCAACCCUCAAAAUGGUUCCUGGGUAAGAAUGUUUAAACUAACCCUUAACACUUUAUAUUUACUCACUGCACCAACCUUUGCGUUCGUUCCUUUCAGUGCCAAGCCCAGACCCAGCAAAAAGGCCAAGUUGAAUAAACCGGCUGAUGAUAACCCGGCCACUGAAUCGGAGAAGACCCCAUAACAGUUUGAGCCAUAUGCUGAUGCUAUUCUUAAUGAUCCGCCACCGCAAGAUCAUGAAACUUUUGCUAAACAGGUGGAAAAUGAUCCCACGGGCCAUGCUGUUGAUCCGCCAAGCCCAGCUAAAGCUGCUGAUAAACCGUUAAGCCCAUCAAAGCUGCUGAUGACAAAGCGGAUAAUGUUGUAGUUACUGGCUUUGGCUACACAACUCCUGGCAACCCCAUCGCUUUAUCAAAACAUAGUGCCAAAUAAGAAUUUGCUGCUAUGGAUAAGGGCAAGUGGACAACAGAUUUGGAAAACUAUGCCCACCUCAACGCCCAAGAUUUCCAUUCUGGGUUUUUAAACUGCCUGUACACAAACCGCGACUAUGAAGCCGGUUUAGUGAACCGGAUGAAAGAGCGAUAUGAGAUAAAUACUGUUAACUCUGCAUAAUUAUUCCUCCCUUAUGUCCAAUUUCUAAUAUCAACUCCAGUAGCCCCCAAGGGCCGGUUUAUAAUACCAAUAUGAACCGGGACUUUGGUAAUACUUCAACUUUUGCCUGCAUAGCCCCCAAGGGCCGGUUUAUCUUUUCAAGAUGAAAUGGGACUUUAGAAUAUUAAUCCUUCAAUUUCACAUGUGUAGCCCCCAAGGGCCGGUUUAUCUUUUGAAGAUGAACCGAGACUUUAUCCUAGGAAACUCAAAAUUGUUGUUUGAACAUCUUGGUAAACUGAUUAACCACCCUGCUGACUGAACAAAUAUGCAUUAGCCCCCAAGUGCCAAGAAUAAUACUUGAAUUAAGCUUGGGACUUGCAAUAAUUUUUUGAUAAAAAGCAAUAUGCAUUAGUGUUGGGGAACGUAGUAAUUUCAAAAAAAUUCCUACGCACACGCAUGAUCAUGGUGAUGCAUAGCAACGAGAGGGGAGACUGUUGUCCACGUACCCUCGUAGACCAAAAGCGAAAGCGUUAGCACAACGCGGUUGAUGUAGUCGUACGUCUUCACGAUCCGACCGAUCCAAGUACCGAACGUACGACACCUCCGAGUUCAGCACACGUUCAACUCGAUGACGUCCCGCGAACUCCGAUCCAGCAAAGCUUCACGGGAGAGUUCCGUCAGCACGACGGCGUGAUGACGGUGAUGAUGUUCCUAUCGACGCAGGGCUUCGCCUAAGCACUGCUACGAUAUGACCGAGGUGGAAUAUGGUGGAGGGGGGCACCGCACAUGGCUGGAAUAGAUCAAUAGAUCAACUUGUGUCUAGAGGUGCCCCCCGCCCCCGUAUAUAAAGGAGCAAGGGGGAGGCGGCCGACCAGGAGAAGGGCGUGCCAAGGGGGGAGUCCUACUCCCACCGGGAGUAGGACUCCUCCUUUUCCUUGUUGGAGUAGGAGAGGGAAGGAAGGAAGACAGGAGGAGAAGGAAAAAGGAGGGUGCCGCCCCCCUCCUUGCCCUGGCUGCCCCUCCUCUUCUCUCACUAAGGCCCAUGAAGCCCAAUUAACUCCCCGGGGGGUUCCGGUAACCCCCCGGAACUCCGGGUUUUCUCCAAAACCACUCGGAACACUUCCGUUGUCCGAAUAUAGUCGUCCAAUAUAUCAAUCUUUAUGUCUCGACCAUUUCGAGACUCCUUGUCAUGUCCGUGAUCAUAUCUGGGACUCUGAACUACCUUCGGUACAUCAAAACACAAAACUCAUAAUACCGAUCGUCACCAAACUUUAAGCGUGCGGACCCUACGGGUUCGAGAACUAUGUAGACAUGACCGAGACAUGUCUCCGGUCAAUAACCAAUAGCGGAACCUGGAUGCUCAUAUUGGCUCCUACAUAUUCUACGAAGAUCUUUAUCGGUCAAACCGCAUAACAACAUACGUUGUUCCCUUUGUCAUCGGUAUGUUACUUGCCCGAGAUUCGAUCGUCGGUAUAUCAAUACCUAGUUCAAUCUUGUUACCGGCAAGUCUACUCAUUCUGUAAUGCAUCGUACCAUAACUAACUCAUUAGUCACAUUUAUUGCAAGGCUUAUAGUGAUGUGCAUUACCGAGAGGGCCCAGACAUACCUCUCCGACAAUCAGAGUGACCAAUCCUAAUCUCGAAAUACGCCAACUGAACAAGUACCUUCGGAGACACCUGUAGAGCACCUUUAUAAUCACCCAGUUACGUUGUGACGUUUGGUAGCACAAAAAGUGUUCCUCCGGUAAACGGGAGUUGCAUAAUCUCAUAGUCAUAGGAACAUGUAUAAGUCAUGAAGAAAGCAAUAUCAACAUACUAAACGAUCAAAUGCUAAGCUAACGGAAUGGGUCAAGUCAAUCACAUCAUUCUCCUAAUGAUGUGAUCCCGUUAAUCAAAUGACAACUCAUGUCCAUGGCUAGGAAACUCAACCAUCUUCGAUUAACGAGCUAGUCAAGUAGAGGCAUACUAGUGACACUAUGUUUGUCUAUGUAUUCACAAAUGUAUUAUGUUUUUGGUUAAUACAAUUCUAGCAUGAAUAACAAACAUUUAUCAUGAUAUGAGGAAAUAAAUAUUAACUUUAUUAUUGCCUCUAGGGCAUAUUUCCUUCAGUCUCCCACUUGCACUAGAGCCAAUAAUCUAGAUUACACAGUAAUGUUUCUAACACCCAUGGAGUUUUGGUGCUGAUCAUGUUUUGCUCGUGGAAGAGGCUUAGUCAACGGGUCUGCAACAUUCAGAUCCGUAUGUAUCUUGUAAAUCUCUAAGUCUCCCACCUGGACUUGGUCCCGGAUGGAAUUAAAGCGUCUCUUGAUGUGCUUGGUCCUCUUGUGAAAUCUGGAUUCCUUUGCCAAGGCAAUUGCACCAGUAUUGUCACAAAAGAUUUUCAUUGGACCUGAUGCACUAGGUAUGACACUUAGAUCGGAUAUGAAGUCCUUCAUCCAGACUCCUUCAUUUGCUGCUUCGGAAGCAGCUAUGUACUCCGUUUCACAUAUAGAUCCCGCCACGACGCUUUGUUUAGAACUGCACCAACUGACAGCGCCACCAUUCAAUGUAAACACGUAUCCGGUUUGCGAUUUAGAAUCGUCCGGAUCAGUGUCAAAGCUUGCAUCGACGUAACCAUUUAUGACCAGCUCUUUGUCACCUCCAUAAACGAGAAACAUAUCCUUAGUCCUUUUCAGGUAUUUCAGGAUGUUCUUGACCGUUGUCCAGUGAUCCACUCCUGGAUUACUUGGGUAUCUCCCUGCUAGGUUAAUAGCAAGACACACAUCAGGUCUGGUACACAGCAUUGAAUACAUGAUAGAGCCUAUGGCUGAAGCAUAGGGAACAUCUUUCAUUUUCUCUCUAUCUUCUGCAGUGGUCGGGCAUUUAGUCUGACUCAACUUCACACCUUGUAACACAGGAAAGAACCCUUUCUUUGCUUGAUCCAUUUUGAACUUCUUCAAAACUUUCUCCACGUUUGUGCUUUGUGAAAGUCCUAUCAAGCGUCUUGAUCUAUCUCUAUAGAUCUUGAUGCCUAAUAUGUAAGCAGCUUCACCGAGGUCUUUCAUUGAAAAACUCUUAUUCAAGUAUCCUUUUAUGCUAUCCGGAAAUUCUAUAUCAUUUCCAAUCAGCAAUAUGUCAUCCACAUAUAAUAUCAGAAAUGCUACAGAGCUCCCACUCACUUUCUUGUAAAUACAGGCUUCUCCAAAAGUCUGUAUAAAACCAUAUGCUUUGAUCACACUAUCAAAACAUUUAUUCCAACUUUGAGAGGCUUGCACCAGUCCAUAAAUGGGUCGUUGGAGCUUGCACACUUUGUUAGCUCCCUUUGGAUCGACAAAACCUUUUGGUUGCAUCAUAUACAACUCUUCUUCCUGAAAUCCAUUCAGGAAUGCAGUUUUGACAUCCAUUUGCCAAAUUUCAUAAUCAUAAAAUGCGGCAAUAGCUAACAUGAUUCGGACAGACUUAAGCAUCGGUACGGGUGAGAAAGUCUCAUCGUAGUCAAUCCCUUGAACUUGUCAAAAACCUUUCGUAACAAGUUGGCUUUAUAGAUAGUAACAUUACCGUCAGCGUCAGUCUUCUUCUUGAAGAUCCAUUUAUUCUCAAUGGCUUGCCGAUCAUCGGGCAAGUCAACCAAAGUCCACACUUUGUUCUCAUACAUGGAUCCCAUCUCAGAUUUCAUGGCCUCAAGCCAUUUUGCGGAAUCUGGGCUCACCAUCGCUUCUUCAUAAUUCGUAGGUUCGCCUUGGUCAAGUAACAUGACCUCUAGAAUUGGAUUACCAUACCACUCUGGUGCUGAUCUUACUCUACUUGACCUACGAGGUUCAGUAGUAACUUGAUCUGAAGUUUCAUGAUCAAUACCAUUAGCUUCCUCACUAAUUGGUGUAGGUGUCACAGGAACCGGUUUCUGUGAUGAACUACUUUCCAAUAAGGGAGCAGGUACAGCUACCUCAUCAAGUUCUACUUUCCCCCCACUCACUUCUUUCGAGAGAAACUCCUUCUCUAGAAAGGAUCCAUUCUUAGCAACGAAUGUCUUGCCUUCGGAUCUAUGAUAGAAGGUGUACCCAGCAAUUUCCUUUGGGUAUCCUAUGAAGACACAUUUCUCCGAUUUGGGUUCGAGCUUAUCAGGUUGAAGCUUUUUCACAUAAGCAUCGCAGCCCCAAACUUUAAAAAACGACAACUUUGAUUUCUUGCCAAACCACAGUUCAUAAGGCGUCGUCUCAACGGAUUUCGAUGGUGCCCUAUUUAACGUGAAUGCAGCAGUCUCUAAAGCAUAACCCCAAAACGAUAGUGGUAAAUCAGUAAGGGACAUCAUAGAUCGCAGCAUAUCUAGUAAAGUACGAUUAUGACGUUCAGACACACCAUUACGCUGUGGUGUUCUGGGUGGCGUGAGUUGCGAAACUAUUCCGCAUUGUUUCAAAUGUAGACCAAACUCGUAACUCAAAUAUUCUCCUCCACGAUCAGAUCGUAGAAACUUUAUUUUCUUGUUACGAUGAUUUUCCACUUCACUCUGAAAUUCUUUGAACUUUUCAAAUGUUUCAGACUUAUGUUUCAUUAAGUAGAUAUACCCAUAUCUGCUCAAAUCAUCUGUGAAGGUGAGAAAAUAACGAUACCCGCCGCGAGCCUCAACAUUCGUUGGACCACAUACAUCAGUAUGUAUGAUCUCCAACAAAUCUGUUGCUCGCUCCAUUGUUCCAGAGAACGGCAUUUUAGUCAUCUUUCCCAUAAGGCAUGGUUCGCAAGUACCAAGUGAUUCAUAAUCAAGUGAUUCCAAAAGUCCAUCAGCAUGGAGUUUCUUCAUGCGCUUUACACCAAUAUGACCCAAACGGCAGUGCCACAAAUAAGUUGCACUAUCAUUAUCAACUCUGCAUCUUUUGGCUUCAACAUUAUGAAUAUGUGUAUCACUACUAUCGAGAUUCAACAAAAAUAGACCACUCUUCAAGGGUGCAUGACCAUAAAAGAUAUUACUCAUAUAAAUAGAACAACCAUUAUUCUCAGAUUUAAAUGAAUAACCGUCUCGCAUAAAACAAGAUCCAGAUAUAAUGUUCAUGCUUAACGCGGGCACCAAAUAACAAUUAUUUAGGUCUAAAACUAAUCCCGAAGGUAGAUGUAUAGGUAGUGUGCCGACGACGACCACAUCGACUUUGGAACCAUUUCCCACGCGCAUCGUCACCUCAUCCUUAGCCAGUCUUCACUUAAUCCGUAGUCCCUGUUUCAAGUUGCAAAUAUUAGCAACAGAACCAGUAUCAAAUACCCAGGUGCUACUGCAAGCUCUAGUAAGGUACACAUCAAUAACAUGUAUAUCACAUAUACCUUUGUUCACCUUGCCAUCCUUCUUAUUCACCAAAUACUUGGGGCAGUUCCGCUUCCAGUGACCAGUCUGCUUGCAGUAGAAGCACUUAGUCUCAGGCUUAGGUCUAGACUUGGGUUUCUUCUCUUGAGCAACAACUUGUUUGCUGUUCUUCUUAAAGUUCCCCUUCUUCUUCCCUUUGCCCUUUUUCUUCAAACUGGUGGUCUUGUUGACCAUCAACACUUGAUGCUCCUUCUUGAUUUCUACCUCCGCAACUUUUAGCAUUGCGAAGAGCUCGGGAAUUGUCUUAUCCAUCCCUUGCGUAUUAUAGUUCAUCACGUAGCUCUUGUAGCUCGGUGGCAGUGAUUGAAGAAUUCUGUCAAUGACACUAUCAUCCGGAAGAUUAACUCCCAGUUGAAUCAAGUGAUUGUUAUACCUAGACAUAUUGAGUAUAUGUUCACUGACAGAACUAUUCUCCUCCAUCUUGCAGCUGUAGAACUUAUUGGAGACUUCAUAUCUCUCAAUCCGGGCAUUAGCUUGAAAUAUUAACUUCAACUCCUGGAACAUGUCAUAUGCUCCAUGACGUUCAAAACAUCGUUGAAGUCCCGGUUCUAAGCCGUAAAGCAUGGCACACUGAACUAUCGAGUAGUCAUCAGCUUUGCUCUGCUAGACAUUCUUAACAUCGUCAGUUGCAUCUGCAGCAGGCCUGGAACCCAGCGGUUCCUCAAGUUACGGACCCAGUCCGUGUAAUUGCUACCAUCAUCUUUCAACUUUGCUUUCUCAAGGAACGCAUUAAAAUUCAACGGAACAACAACACGGGCCAUCUAUCUACAAUCAACAUAGACAAGAAAAAUACUAUCAGGUACUAAGUCCAUGAUAAAUUUAAGUUCAAUUAAUCAUAUUACUUAAGAACUCCCACUUAGAUAGACAUCCCUCUAAUCAUCUAAGUGAUCACGUGAUCCAAAUCAACUAAACCAUGUCCGAACAUCACGUGAGAUGGAGUAGUUUUCAAUGGUGAACAUCACUAUGUUGAUCAUAUCUACUAUAUGAUUCAUGCUCGACCUUUCGGUCUCAGUGUUCCGAGGCCAUAUCUGCAUAUGCUAGGCUCGUCAAGUUUAACCCGAGUAUUCUGCGUGUGCAAAACUGGCUUGCACCCGUUGUAGAUGAACGUAGAGCUUAUCAGACCCGAUCAAAACGUGGUGUCUCGGCACGAUGAACUUUGGCAACGGUGCAUACUCAGGGAGAACACUUUUAUCUUGAAAUUUAGUGAGAGAUCAUCUUAUAAUGCUACCGUCAAUCAAAGCAAAAUAAGAUGCAUAAAAGAUAAACGUCACAUGCAAUCAAUAUAAGUGAUAUGAUAUGGCCAUCAUCAUCUUGUGCUUGUGAUCUCCAUCUCCGAAGCACCGUCAUGAUCACCAUCAUCACCGGCACGACACCUUGAUCUCCAUCAAAGCAUCAUUGUCGUCUCGCCAACUAUUGCUUGUGCAACUAUCGCUACCGCUUAGUGAUAAAGUAAAGCAAUUACAGGACGAUUGCAUUGCAUACAAUAAAGCGACAACCAUAUGGCUCCUGCCAGUUGCCGAUAACUCGGUUACAAAACAUGAUCAUCUCAUAAAAUAAAAUAUAACAUCAUGCCUUGACCAUAUCACAUCACAACAUGCCCUACAAAAACAAGUUAGACAUCCUCUACUUUGUUGUUGCAAUUUUAUGUGGCUGUUAUGGGCUGAGCAAGAACCGUUCUUACCUACGCAUCAAAACCACAACGAUAGUUCGUCAAGUUAGUGUUGUUUUAACCUUCUCAAGGACCGGGCGUAGCCAUACUCGGUUCAACUAAAGUCGGAGAAAAUGACACCCACCAACCACCUGUGUGCAAAGCACGUCGGUAGAACCAGUCUUGCGUAAGCGUACGCGUAAUGUCGGUCCGGGCCGCUUCAUCCAACAAUACCGCCGAACCAAAGUAUGACAUGCUGGUAAGCAGUAUGACUUGUAUCGCCCACAACUCACUUGUGUUCUACUCGUGCAUAUAACAUCUACGCAUAAAACCUGGCUUUGAUACCACUAUUGGGGAACGUAGUAAUUUCAAAAAAUUUCCUACGCACACGCAUGAUCAUGGUGAUGCAUAGCAAUGAGAGGGGAGAGUGUUGUCCACGUACCCUCGUAGACCGAAAGCGGAAGCGUUAGCACAACACGGUUGAUGUAGUCGUACGUCUUCACGAUCCCACCGAUCCAAGUACCGAACGUACGGCACCUCCGAGUUCAGCACACGUUCAGCUCGAUGACAUCCCGCGAACUCCGAUCCAGCAGAGCUUCACCGGGGAGUUCCGUCAGCACGACGGCGUGAUGACGGUGAUGAUGUUACUACCGACACAGGGCUUCGCCUAAGCACCACUACGAUAUGACCGAGGUGGAAUAUGGUGGAGGGUGCAUCGCACACGGCUGAAAUAUAUCAAAAGAUCAACUUGUGUCAAGAGGUGCCCCUGCCCCCGUAUAUAAAGGAGCAAGGGGGGACGGCCAGCCAGGAGGAGGGCGCACCAAGGGGGGAGUUCUACUCCCACCGAGAGUAGGACUCCUCCUUUUCCUUGUUGGAGUAGGAGAGGGAAGGAAGGGAGAGAGGAGGAGAUGGAAAAAGGGGGGCACCGCCUCCCUCCUUGUCCAAUUCAGACUAGAGGGGGAGGGGGCGCGCGGCUGCCCCUCCUCUUCUCCCACUAAGGCCCAUGAAUCCCAAUUAACUCCCUGGGGGGUUCCGGUAACCCCCCGGUACUCUGGUUUUUCUCCGAAACCACUCGGAACACUUCCGGUGUCCGAAUAUAGUCGUCCAAUAUAUCGAUCUUUACAUCUCGGCCAUUUUGAGACUCUUCGUCAUGUCCGUGAUCAUAUUCGGGACUCGAAACUACCUUCGGUACAUCAAAACACAAAAACUCAUAAUACCGAUCGUCACCAAACUUUAAGCGUGCGGACCCUACGGGUUCGAGAACUAUGUAGACAUGACCGAGACAUGUCUCCGGUCAAUAACCAAUAGAGGAACCUAGAUGCUCAUAUUGGCUCCUACAUAUUCUAUGAAGAUCUUUAUCGGUCGAACCGCAUAACAACAUACGUUGUUCCCUUUGUCAUCGGUAUGUUACUUGCCCGAGAUUCGAUCGUCGGUAUCUCAAUACCUAGUUCAAUCUCGUUACCGGCAAGUCUCUUUACUCAUUCCGUAAUGCAUCAUCCCGAAACUAACUCAUUAGUCACAUUGCUUGCAAGGCUUAUAGUGAUGUGCAUUUCCGAGAGGGCCCAAAGAUACCUCUCCGACAAUCGGAGUGACAAAUCCUAAUCUCAAAAUACGCCAACUCAGCAAGUACCUUUAAAGACACCUGUAGAGCACCUUUAUAAUCACCCAGUUACGUUGUGACAUUUGGUAGCACACAAAGUGUUCCUCCAGUAAACGGGGUUGCAUAGUGUCAUAGUCAUAGGAACAUGUAUAAGUCAUGAAGAAAGCAAUAGCAACAUACUAAAUGAUCAAGUGCUAAGCUAACGGAAUGUGUCAAGUCAAUCACAUCUUUCUCCUAGCGAUGUGAUCCCAUUAAUCAAAUGACAAAUCAUGUCCAUGGCUAGGAAACUCAACCAUCUUCGAUUAACGAGCUAGUCAAGUAGAGGCAUACCAGUGACACUAUGUUUGUCUAUGUAUUCACACAUGUAUUAUGUUUCCGGUUAAUACAAUUCUAGCAUGAAUAAUAAACAUUUAUCAUGUUAUGAGGAAAUAAAUAGUAACUUUAUUAUUGCCUCUGGGGCAUAUUUCCUUCAAUUAGCCCCCAAGUGCCAAGUGUAUAACUUGUUAUGUGCUUGGUACUUCAAAUAUGUACUGUUAACUUAUAACAUGGAUGUCUCUUAUAGGCUGAGCUGAGAAAAAAAGAAUCCCAAACCGCUGACCUUCAAGGAAAUAUCAAGUCCCAACAAGCAGAAAUCUCCAAGGCCAAAGAGGAGCUGACCAGUGCCUUAGCAGCCAUGGAGAAACUCAAGGAGAUAUUUAAAAGCGAGCGGGCUGUCUGGGAUAUAGAGAAAGCGACUCUGCUGAAGAGGGCUGAGGACGCUGAAGCAUCUCUUAAUCCAGUAACAAAAGAGCUGACUGGCUUGAAGCACCAAAUAAAUGCCAUGACUUCAGCUGUUUUUGGUAAAGAACCUCUUCCUAAGCUUAAACAUGUAUUAUCCCAUAAACUGCCGGUUUACCCAUGUUUGAGACGAUGCAGGAUCUCACAUUACUCAUCUUGGCUCCGACAUGCAGAAGAAAUUAAAGGCUGCAUAUACUCUUAUAGAGCAAUUAUAUACCGGUGCACAACAGAUCAUCUGUAUCGCCUCUCAUAACAAACCACCCCAACCUUGAUCAAGGAAACAUUAGAGAGGCUGUCGAUGCUACCUGCCUGGUUUGAAGAGUUAAAAAGAUCAGCUGCAAGGGCAGGUGCUCUGAUCGCGCUAACCCGGGCUAAAGCAUGGAUACCAGAUCUUGACCCGGCUGACGUGGGAAAUGGCUAUCUAAGCAUAAAGGAGGACGGGUCAGAUUUUGACAAUGAUGAUCUUCGAGCUUUGACGAAGGAAAUGCGCCCAUUAGCUAGCAAAUUGGCUGAAGAGACUGAUCUUUCUCAUUACCAGUCAAUUUAUGGCACCGACAACAAACGGGUUAAUGCGGCAACUUAUGAUGUGCAAAAUAUUAUCCCGCCAAUCCGUAAGCAUUCCUACGCCCCUGAUGUUGAGCCCUCCACACUUAUAAGCGAUGAAGCUAUAUUCAAGGACCUAACUAGAAUCGAUUGGACAACCAUUGACUUCCAGCCGGUGGGUGGAGAGGAGGAGGAUGAACCGGUGUAGGAUGAUCCACAACCUUCAAGACAGCCCGACGAAGAUUCAUGAACCGGAGGCCAGUUUAGCUUCUGCAUACUGCAACACUUGUUGAAAACAAUUAUCCUUUUAGGCAUCAAAGCACCUUGUAAUAGGCUAGUUUAAACGCUUGGUCUGCUAUGCCAUCGUGCAUAUUCACUUUGCAUGACACUGUUAAUCCGCCAUGAUUAAAAUAUGCUAUGUCUGCUUAUGAUCCUUAGCAGCUUAUUCAAUCUGUUCCUGCAUACAACAGGUUUAAAGUGUCCUAGCGGUUUACCGCCGAACGGGUCAUAAUGCUCAACAUAUAGCCAUGGUUUAUAACCAAGGCUGUACUUAAGAAUAAUCAAAUAUGAAAUAUGUCAUACCUGUGAUAUUGAAUCACGUCGUUGGUUUACCAACUUAUUGUAGUAAGGGUGAUAACCCAAAUCCUGAGUAUUGAUAAUUCCUCCUUUUGCUAGUUUAUAGCAAAGUUGGACCGGUUUUAAUAAAUACCGGAUUAUUCUUAUAUCAUACUGGCGACUUGUAAUCGAAAACCAGGCCGGGUCAAUAAACACCGGGUUGUAGCUGAUCGUGCGCUGACGACUUAUAGUCGAAAGCCAAGCCGGGUCAAUAGACACCAGUUAUCUGUUAAAUUUGUACUGGCGAUUUAUAGUCAAAAUCCAGAUCAGGUCAAUAAACACCGGAUUAGUAUAAACCUCAUCAAAAUAAACUUUAGAAAGAAAGUUUUCAAAAGAAAACAUGUAAGAAGCGAUGCUUUUCAUGGGCUGUCAGGCCCAAAGCGAGGCUUUUCAUGGGCUGCCAGGCCACUCAGUUAAGCCGUUUUACAAACCUUAUAAGAUGGACCUCACAUUAACCAAUCGUGAUUUUAACUAUGACAAGUUCAGGGUCUGCAUAACCUUGACUUGUCAAAUGUUCGAUGGGUCUUACCAGGAUUACCUGGGCGGAGUGACUUACUUAACAAGGGAGGAUAACCUGGGGUUUUAGGUGAAUACACCUGGCUUCCAAGCCUGGUUUUAUAGCCUAUUACAAGGUUAUAGACUCGUUGUUCUUUAGAACAAAAGAGCCCCCAAGCAAUAUUUUGAGCUGUGCUCAAUGGGCGCCUAUGUUUGAGUUGUGCUUUUGCAACAAACUCUCUUUGGUCCCUUUUGACUUUUUUAUGUGUGGCCUAUAAGCCGGAUCAAUGGGCAAUCAGAACUAUGUUUUAUAAACAGAAGCCCUCAUGUAACCAAAAACUUUUAAGGAAAAAACGAUAGAGGCCCUGCUUUAGCAAGGAUGCCGGUUUAUUAUAUUGAUCAUAAUAUAUACAUUGUCAAGAAUAUGUACAUAAAAGGAGCCUAUGGCUCAGGUGUAGUAAGGUCGAAGAUGAGCAAUAUUCCACGGCCGGUGGGUCUCCUCCUCCGAUUUACGUGAGUCUUUGCGCUCUCGAACAUCGAUAAGGUAGUAUGACCCAUUGUUCAGAUUCUUGCUGACCACAAAGGGUCCUUCCCAAGGCGGGGAUAACUUGUGCAUAUCAGUCUGAUCCUGGAUGAGCCGGAGCACCAGAUCGCCUUCUUGAAAAGUUCUGGUUUUAACCCGGUGGCUGUGAUAAUGACGUAGAUCAUGCUGGUAAAUCGCUUAACGAGCCAUUGUAAUGUCACGCUCCUCAUCUAACAGGUCAAGUGCUUCCUGACGUGCUUUCUCAUUGUCGGCUUCAACAUAAGCCGCUACACGAGGUGAGUCAUGACAGAUGUCACUAGGGAGAACCACCUCUGCUCCGUAAACCAUGAAAAAGGUGUGUAACCCGUAGACCUAUUGGGGGUGGUAUUGAUGCUCCAUAACAUAGAAGGUAAGUCCUCCACCCAACAACCCGGCGUCCUCAGUAAUGUAACCAUAAGCCGGGGCUUGAUGCCUCUCAGGAUCUCUUGAUUGGUUCUCUCCGCUUGACCGUUAGAUUGGGGGUGAGCCACUGAUGAUACGUCAAGACGGACGUGCUCACGUUGACAAAAUUCUUUCAUAGCACCCUUGGACAGAUUAGUGCCAUUAUCAGUUAUGAUACUGUGGGGGAAACCAAAACGGAAAAUCUCUUUUUCAUGAACUGAACCACCAUCGCCGCGUCACAUUUACUGACCGGCUUUGGCUCAACCCACUUUGUAAACUUGUCAACCGCCACCAGAAGGUGUGUCUUUUUGUCCUUGGACCUCUUGAAAGGCCCAACCAUAUCAAGCCCCCAGAUUGCAAACAGCCAAAUAAUUGGAAUCAUCCUCAAUUCUUGAGACGGUACAUGGGCAUGUCGUGAGAAUUUCUGACAUCCAUCAAAUUUACUAACCAUCCUCAGCAUCAGCAUGAGCCGUCAGCCAAUAAAAUUUGUGACGAAAAGCCUUGGCCACAAGAGACUUUGAACCGGCAUGAUGACCACAAUCCCCUUCAUGAAUCUCACGCAGGAUCUCACGGCCCUCUUCUGGAGAAACACAAUGUUGAAAAGCUCUUGUAACACUGCAGUGAUGUAGCUCUCCAUUGACAAUUGUCAUUGACUUAGACCGUCGGGUUAUCUGUCUGGCUAAGAUUUCAUCCUCAGGUAAUUUAGCCCGGGUCAUAUAAGCCAAAUAAGGGACCGCCCAAUCAGGAAUGGCAUGAACCGCCACCACCAACUGGGCUUUCGGGUCAGGAAUAGCCAAAUCCUCCUUCGUAGGUAACUUAACUGACGGGUUAUGCAAGACAUCAAGAAAGACAUUAGGCGGCACUGGUUUACAUAGAGAACCCAACCGACUUAAGGCAUCGGCCGCUUCAUUUUUCCUCCGAUCAAUAUGCUCAACUUGAUAACCUUUGAAGUAACCAGCAAUAAUAUCCACUUCUCAUUGAUAAGCCGCCAUGAGUGGAUCCUUAGAUCCCACUUACCAGAGACUUGGUUAGCUACUAAACCGGAGUCACCAAAGCAUCUCACCAGGCUUAAGUUCAUCUCCUUAGCCAUCCGAAGACCAUGAAGUAAGGCCUCAUAUUCAGCUACAUUGUUAGUACAAGGAAACAUCAACCGGAGAACAUAACAAAAUUUAUCACCUCGAGAGGAAGCAAGCACAACUCCAGCCCCGAGCCUUCCAGUUGCCUAGACCCAUCAAAAUGAAUUGUCCAGUACGUGUUAUCUGGUUUAUCUUCAGGCGCCUGCAACUCUGUCCAGUCAUUGAUAAAAUCCACGAGCGCUUGUGACUUGAUGGCCGUGCGAGGCACAUACUUCAGACCAUGGGGUCCAAGCUCAGAGGCCCACUUGGCAACUCAUCCUAUGGCUUCUCUAUUUGAAUGAUAUCUCCCAAAGGAGCAGAGCUGACCACCGUAAUAGGAUGUCCCUGAAAGUACUGCUUGAGCUUUCUGCUGGCCAUGAACACCCCGUAUACCAGCUUCUGCCAGUGCAGAUACCUCUGCUUAGACUCGAUAAGCACCUCGCUAACGUAGUAAACCGGUCUCUGAACCGGGUAUUCUUUGCCUGCCUCCUUCCAUCCCAAAAGGCAUAAACACAUAACAGAAGGCUCCAAACGGAGUUAUGAAUGUCGUCUUAUCCUGGUCCUUAACUGCUCUUGAUCUGAUAAUAACCAGAGUAAGCAUCCAGAAAACUCAAAAGCUCACAACCCGCCGUAGCAUCAAUAAUCUGAUCAAUACGAGGGAGAGCAAAGGGAUCAGCCGGACAAGCCUUGUUCAAAUCUGUGUAGUCCACACACAUACGCCAAGUGCCGUUAGUACUAGCACCGGGUUAGCUAACCACUCAAGGUGAAAAACCUCCACAAUGAACCCUGCUACCAAGAGCCGGGCUACCUCCUCACCAAUAGCCUUGCGCCUUUCUUCAUUGAAGCGGCGGAGAAACCGCCUGACCGGUUUAAACUUGGGAUCGAUGUUAAGAGUGUGCUCAGCAAGUUCCCUCGGUACACCUGGCAUGUCAGAAGGUUUCCAUGCAAAGAUGUCCCGGUUCUCACGGAUGAACUCGAUGAGCGCGCUUUCCUAUUUCGGAUCCAGAUUAGCACUGAUGCUAAGCUGCUUGGAUGAAUCGCCAGGAACAAAAUCAACUAACUUAGUCUCAUCGUCCAAUUUAAACUUCAAGGCCGGAUCAUGCUCUGUAGUUGGCUUUUUCAAAGAAGUCAUAUCCGCCGGAUCAACAUUGUCCUUAUAAAACUUCAACUCCUCUGUUGCACAAACCGACUCAGCAUAAGCCGCAUCUCCUUCUUUAUAUUCCAAAGCUAUCUUACGGCUCCCAUGUACCGUGAUAGUCCCCUUAUGACCCGGCAUCUUGAGCUGCAGAUAAACAUAACAGGGCCUUGCCAUGAACUUAGCAUAAGCCGGCCGUCCAAACAGGGCAUGAUAAGGGCUCUUGAUUUUCACCACUUCAAAGGUCAAUGUCUCUGAUCUAGAGUCAUGAUCAUCUCCAAAAGCAACCUCCAGGGCUAUCUUACCGACUGGAUACACCGACUUACCAGGCACCACACCAUGGAAAACAGUGUUCGACGGUUUGAGAUUUUUAUCUGUCAACCCCAUGCGACGGAAGGUUUCAUAAUAGAGAAUAUUGAUUUGGUUAUCUGUCAACCCCAACAGUUAUCACUCCGUUUUAUAAUUGUUUGGUGCUAAUCAAUAUACUAUGUGAUUUAUUUUUUGCGAUGAAUAAAAUAUAAGUUUUUAGUACAACAUUUCAGAACUGGGUAUCUAAGGAAGUAAUUCAUUACCAACACCUUUAUUACAAGCAUACACGAAAGCGUGUAGGUUGGUCGCAAAAGGAUGACAGUUUGACCAAAAAAGAGAGGCUAUUUAGAUGAUCUGUCGGGUCAUAGACAAGUACAAAAUGGGGACUAUGUCGACAUUUGGUUAUCAAUUGCAGCAAUCCCACUUCACAUUUAAUAAAAUUAUAGCCACAAAAGUGCACCAGUGCAAAGAUGAAAAAAAUGUAUGAAUUGCAAUAGUACCUCGAGGAAUGGUCUUGUGGUUGGUGACUUACCCUGCAACCAGCACUCUUGAUAUGCCUGCUCAAAAUUCCUGCCCAUUUGCAGUCUUACACAGAAUGACCAUGUGACAAUAUUUACAUUCUACCUCCACAAGGAUUCCAUUACCAUCUCUUAUGAUUACGAAAAUGGUCACAUGCAUGCCUUGGAGCAUUGCUUCUUGCCACGACUGCUACUUGUUAGCGGUAUAUCAACAUGAACCAUCGAUGUCGAAAUGGUUGUACACAAUCAUAUAAGUAUUGACAUGGUCCUUGGGAUGGUGAAACUCCCUUGCUUCUUUACAUUUUGAAACCAGAACAUGCCAAAAGUUGCAUGUUCAGUAAGACUCCCAGGGCUCACAAGCCCAAGCAAGUUUUUUUUUGCACGGGAAACAAAUUAGGAUAUCGAGAGUUUCAGCACAACACUAACUGGUAUGAACUGACCAAAACAUUUCACAGUAUCACCUACAGAAAGAAACUCAGAUAAAUUCCAGUUUCACCGUGUUUUGCGAUAUAAAGCCAUGGGCACAGGGACGGGUUUGUGAAAGUGCUACUAUCGACUAGAGGGGGGGGUGAAUAGGCGAUUUUUAUGAAAGUCUUCAAAGCUUGGAAGUUUCGAAGACAAACAACAGAAAUGACCUAAUUGUUAUGCAGCGGAAGAUAAACUACCCUAAGCAAGCCAUAGUCAAGUAUGCAAUGAUGUGAAAGUACAGGACUAAUAGCAGUUAGAUAGUAAGGAUCAGGAAGGAAGAUGGUAUGAAGCCAAUCAACAGUAGUAGUCAAGCAAUGAAGUCAAACAGAUACACAGAUAGGCAAUGACUUCACGAAGACAAACUAAAGUAAGGUUGGGAAGGGAUAGAACCAGUUGCUUGUUGAAGACACAUGAUUUGUUAGACCAGUUCCAGUUGCUGUGACAACUGUACGUCUGGUUAGGGAGGCUGAGAUUUAACUCAGAAGACCGUGUCUUCACCUUAUUCCCCUUGAGCUAAGGACACCCAGUCCUCGCCCAAUCACUCUGGUAAGUCUUCAAGGGAGACUUCCAAACCUUCACAGACUUCGUUCACCGGCAAUCCACAAUGACUCUUGGAUGCUCAGAACGCGACGCCUAACCGGCUGGAGGAUUCACAGUCCUCAAGUGUAAUAAGUCUUCAGGUCACACAGACAGAAAGACUUCAGUGAUGCCUAACACUUUUUGGCUCUGGGUGUUUGGGCUUUGUCCUCGCAAGGAUUUUUCUCUCUCUCAAAAGCUUCGAGGUGGGUUGCUCUCAAACGACAAAAGCCGUGCACAAACUCUAAGCAGCCGCCAAUUUAUGGUGUAGGGGUGGGCUAUUUAUAGCCACUAGCCCGACCUGAUUUGUCCAAAAUGACCCUAGGUCACUAAGGAACUGACACGUGUUUCAACGGUCAGAUUUCAAACACACACGACAACUUUACUUGGGCUACAAGCAAAGCUGACUCAUCCAGCUCUGGAUAAGGUUUGCUCUCAUUGUCUUCACUCGAAGACAUAGGAUUUGAGUUGAUCAUCACUUCAGUCACUCUGACUUAGUUCACUUGGACCCCACUUAAUAGUACGGUGGUUCUUAUGACUCAACAAAGAAGAAAAGGAAGCAACGAAACCACACAGUCUUCGUGCUCCAUAGUCUUCACGCAAUGUCUUCUCAUGUCAUAGUCUUCAAUAUGAAUAUCUUCUCAUACCACCAUUGUCUUCAAUGUCUUCAUACAUUUUUAGGGGUCAUAUCCGGUAGGUAAACCGAAUCGAUGAGGGACACUACCUGCAUUAUCCUGCAAUUCUCACAAACGCAUUAGUCCCUCAACCAAUUUGUCGUCAAUACUCCAAAACCAACUAGGGGUGGCACUAGAUGCACUUACAAUCUCCCCCUUUUUGGUGAUUGAUGACAAACUGGUUGAAGUUUUCAACGGGGAUAAAUAUGUGAAAUUGUAAGCAUAGGAAAUUGUCUUCAUAAGUUGCAAGGGCUCCCCCUGAAGAUGUGCAUAUAAGUAAUUUGCUUUUGGAAUGCAAAUGCACAUGGCAGGUUGUACUUGUGGAGAUCCACUUCAACUUAUGAAGAUAGUUCAUCAUGCAUGAAAUGAUAUAGCAAGUAGAAUGACAUGCAUAAUGAAAAAUGGAUGUCUGCAGAAUGAUCUAAGUGCGGAAGUUAUCAUCGCACAUGCGGAAUUUAUCAUCGCAUCACAGUGAAGCAAAUAAGUAGCAGACGACCAUCAAGUUUAGGUGUUACAACUCAGAGAACCAAAUGUUUCAAAAGCAAGAGUUAAGCAAGAGUUGUAAGCACGAGGUAAAAUAUGAUGCAACCGUCCAUAUGAACCCGCUUGAAGACUAUCAACUCAUACGCUUCUCCCCCUUUUGUCAGUAAGGACCAAAAAGGUUUGAAGACAUAGAGCAUCUACUCGUCCUCAUGAGUAGGUGAAGCAGCAGGGUUGUCGUCGUUGGUUGGCGGUGCAGAUGAACUUGGUGUAGUGUCAAUGCGCGCAGUAGUAGGAGGUGGUGAAGUAGCAUCAUCUUCAUCCUCGAUCACUCUGGCAUUUACCGUUGCCGCGGAGGAAGAGUAUUCAGAGUCUUCAAGAGAUGGAGUGCGACGUAGGACAGCAGUCCGUGGAGGAGUGGAGUCAAACUGGAAUCUUUCAUUGAAGCCAUCGUCUUGAAGAUCAGCUUCAGCACUGAGCAGGGUCAAACUCUUCCAUGAUCGCCAGCAAGUUUCAUGAGCAACAAAGGCAUUCUUGGUGGCAAGGUUGCGAAUGCGAUUGACAUCCACCAAGAGGCUUUGCAUCUGUCUCUUGAGCCAGAAAUGAUGCUUAUCCUGUUUCUGAUGAAGGGCCACAAGAAGUUCUCGGUCAUUGAGAACGCAAGAACACUUCUGAGGCCUUUGUGCAAUGGUGCUUUCAGUGGCUUCAGUAGGUGCUCGAUGAGGCAGACGAGUAUUUCCAGCCAAUGGAUAGAUUCGUGUCGCUUCUUGAACACCUUCAAUGGGUUGAGUGAAGCUCUAGUGCUCGGCAUUCUGAAGACAAAGAGGCCUCUUGGCAGGGUCAGAGUAUAUAGCUUCAACUGACAUAUCAACCUCUGGUAAAAAGAUCAUAUGAUUGCGAGUAGAGGGCUGAUAGUUGACAGAUGAGUGUCUCUUGAUGAGGCGCAUGACCCAUGGAGCAUAAAACUUCAAACCAAAUAGGUCAUAGCCAGAAGCAGCAAGUUGCCUAAUGAAGAAUUCAUGAGUGUUGAAGCUGAUGCCAUUGAGAAUAUAGAAGACCAAAGUCUUCAUAGCUCCUUCAAGCUUGGCCGCUGAUGAAUGUCCUUUGACAGGCCAUGGAGUUCGCCUGAUGAUAUGAUAUAUGGUGUGAGGAAGAUACUCAAGGUCUUCAACAAAAAACUCUGUUGGAUAUUUAGCAUUAGAUGGCAAGGGCUUCAUCAUGCUCAACAUCUGGCUCAUAUUGGGUUCUGGCUUAUGGAAGAUACUCUCCACUGCAUUGCGAUGUAGCUGACAGUCAGGUUCAUAUAGUUCUCCAGGAGUGGCUAGCCCUGUAAGCUCGAUGAUAUCCAUAGCUUUGGCUUCAUGAUGAACAUUUCCAGUCAUCCACUCAAGAACCCAUGUCUUGAUGUCUCUAUAGUAGCCGCGAAUGUGUAGAGUAGCAAAGAAUUGAAGCAACAGCUCUUCAUUCCAAUGUUCUUUGUCUGUCACAAAGUGGAGCAGACCAGCAUCACGAAAGCAAUCAAGUGCUUCUUCUAAGCACGACAGUCCAACAAUGGCUUCAGUAUCAAGGCGCAUAUGAGGGAAAAUGCGCCCUUGAUCAUAUAGAACGCAAGAUUAAUAGCUUCUCUGCUGAUAGCUCCAAAACCGAUCUGAUGAUAUCCUUGGCUUGGAGUAGGGGUUCUUGGCGCUGUCAAAGAAGGUAUUGUGGCUUGUGAAGCCAUUUGCAUUGAAGGACCCUGGUGAGUUUGCAGUACCUGGAAACCUUGGCAACCUAGGCUUUGGCUUCUGGACUUGUGGUCUAUGCUCAACAUGAUAGUCAAAUUGAGGUCCUGAGGCAGUAGGCAGAGGCACCAGAAUGGGCCAUCGGACAGUGGUAAGCUGACCAUGACUGUAUGCUUUCUCAAUUGUGUGAGGCCUUGGUGGCAGAACAAGAGCAGGGGCAACAGCUAAGGCGUCAGGCUGCACAACAGGUGCUUCAGGCACACUAGUUGGUGCAGGCUCCACAUUAGCGUCAGCCAUGACUACGUCAUUGGCUUCAUUGGCGUUGGCGGUGGCAGCCUCAACAUUGUCAACCUCCUCUUGACGAACAGGAGGGUCGGGAACAGGCACGUUCACAUCAGGAACUGCUUCUUCUUCAAUUACUGGGGGAGUAGGUACACGUACUUCUUCUUGAUUUUCCACGGCUGAUGCAGCCGGAAUGUCUUCAGCAGCAUGUGCUUCAGACUCGGAGACAUUCACAGUUGGAGCAGGUUCAGAAAAUACUUGACGUGCAACAGGUGAACGUUGCACUUCUCCUUCUGGAGCGCUCGAUAGAGGGACUUGAGGCCUUUGUCCUUUGCGAAGCUUGCGAAAUGCUGGCAACGCCAUAGGAGAUGGAGUUGGCUGGGCCUCAAAGUCUUCAUCCUCUUCUUGCACGGGGGGUGUAGCUUGUUGUUGUUGUUGGGGAGUACUGGGGGAGUCUUGUAGUUGUGGGUGAUCAGCCCACGAUGCAGGGGCGAACCCACGUUAACCCACCAGGUAGCACAGGACACCGAAUAAAAAACUCAUUUACCUUAUAAGUAUAGAGCCCAUAUACAAUGGGACACCCCUAAUUUUCCUAGAAGGACACCCGUACAUCACGUAAGUGCAGCCCAGUUGUAGCAGCGCGUGACGCCGUAUCGACUCAGGAAGCCACGAAGGCCCAGUCCAGCUUGUCCAGGAUAGGAGCAGUACAUUGAUCGAUACUUGCCUUUGGCCCUUCGGCCCUUCGUCUCGCCUGUUCGCCUGCUCGACUUUGCGCUUCGUGCCCUUGUUCUUUCGCCUUCCUUUGUAUCCCCGUACGUCGGACACGCCGCCUAUUCUGCAGAUCGCGGCAAGUCGCCGAAUCAGUGUUGAAAAGAAGGCACAGGUAUGCUGCAUCAGACCCAAGCCUGAUCAGACCCCCAAUUCGAUGUGCCUCUGUGGCUUUGCCUCAGCCUUUUGUAAAUCUUAUUCUAAUCAUUGCUUUGUCUCUCUCACCCUAGGGAAUUAGGGGUACUGCCGUACUGGAUAUUACUAGAUUUUGACUGUAUUGGGUAAUUGAACUAUUUGAGAUAAUUGUGCACCAAGUGGAGACCAAUAUUGCAAAAUUCUAGGACGGCUGGAAGCAUGGGCACCAUGUCAACUAUAUUGAUAAUCACAAACACAUUAUCAUUGGCUCUACAACGAAAGAAUCAGGACAUUGUGAAUGCUAUUAAUUGUGUGAAUUCAACCAAAGCCUCCUUGAAUGAUCUAAGGAGAAAUGGAUGGGAAUCUGUCCUACAUGAAGCAUAUGUCUUUUGUGACAAGCAUGACAUUUCCAAGUUGCAAAUGGAAGACCAAUAUGUGAACCCAAAGAAGCCACGGCAAAAAACAGGUAUCACUAAUAGGCAUCAUUAUGAAGUGGAUUGUUUUAAUGAUGUUAUUGAUUGGCUGCUUCAAGAACUUGAUAAUCGCUUCAAUGAGAAAAAUUCUGAACUACUUGUUUGCUCAGCGGCUUUGAGCCCAAAUGAAUCAUUUCAUGAUUUCAACUUAGAACAUUUGAUGAGUCUAGCUAAACUUUAUCCAAAAGAUUUUGAUGAUGGAGAACUCAGGGACCUUAGGCAUCACCUUCAUCUUUACAUUGCUGAUGUCCGAGCAGAUGAUCGCUUCUCUGGAUUAAGUAAUAUUUGUGAGCUCUCUCAAAAAAUGGUGGAGACAAGAAAACAUAUUGUCUAUCCCUUGGUUUGUCGACUUUUGAAGCUAGCACUAGUAUUGCCUGUUGCCACUGCUACAGUUGAGAGAUCUUUUUCAGCUAUGAGAAUUGUAAAGACAUAUUUGCGCAAUCGUCUUGGUGACGACGCCUUGAAGUGCGACCUUAUUUUUUAUGUGGAGAAAACCGAAAUGAGGAAGGUUACUAAUGAUGCGGUAAUUGAUCGCUUUGAAGCCAUGAAAAAACGUCGGAAACCAUUUUAGGUAGGUAAUGGUUUUAACUUACUUAUUAUUACACAACUGUUAUUAAUAUGUUACUAAGUGGUUUUGUUUCUUUUUUAUUUGUACGCAAUCAAGAUCUAGUGUUGCAUUUUCUUGUUGGCGGUUAUACUUUAUUCGGAUUUUGGACACUUUGAUUUUCUUUUAAUAUUCAAUUUCCUACCAUCAAUUAAUAUUUCAAGUGAAACUCUUUAUUCUGGAUUCUCGGUAAGCACAUUCACGGUUAUAUCGUAUUCUAUGUAUAUUGUAUUGUUAACUGUUACUUUUAGAUAUAUUUGUACUUCAUAUCCAAAUAUACGUGAUAGACAUGGGACCCCGGGUCAUUUUUAUCCUGGGUCCGCCCCUCCCACGAUGCAUCCUGAGCAAUUGGCGUCAGAGGACGACCAAUGCUGAUGAGUUCGCUGUUCGUAUGAACAAGCGAUGAUACCACUUCAUGUUCGAUCUGAGGAAGAACUUCAUCAUCAGCUACAUUGUCAUCAUGACCAAUGUCUUCAGCAGCGGUGGGUUCAACUGCUGGAAUAUCUUCAGCUUCAUGAGCCUCUGUGGGAGCAGGCUCAUGCACUAUCAUCCUUCAUUCUUGAUGUUCUGACGCUGGGCGAACCACUGAAAUGGGUUCAACAACUAAGGGCUCUGUGGAAGCAACCCUAGUCUUCUUGGUCUUGCGCUUCUUCUUGGAGGGAGCGGCAUCAGAGGCUUCAGUGUUCUUUCUCUUUCUGGCUUCAGCCUUGGCAGCCCUCGUCUUCUUCUGUUCUGAAGCGGUUGUGGUGACCUUUGGCUUCGAGCCAGUCAUGCUGCUUGGGAAGAUAAUGCGAGGGGCUUCUUGGCUUGAAGGUUCAGGCUGUUCAGCAGGAAGCUUCUUCUUCUUCUUUGCAGCCAUCCUGGGGUCAAUGCCAGGACGGCCAAGUGACUUGCGCUUCUCAGCCUCAUUGUAGGCGAGCACACACUUAUCAGCCAAACUCUUCAUGCGCUCACGAGAGCCCUGAGCUUCUUCACGCUUCUUCAGAAAAGCUUCUUUAAGCUCAUGUAGCAUGACUUUGAAGUUUCUGACGUCUUGAACACUUAGCUUGGCCACAUGCUUCUUGAAUUGAGCCUUCUCAUAAUCAAUCUUGUUCGUGAGCUCAACGAUGCCCUGAACGAGAGCUAGCUCAGAAGCAAUGGCGCCAUUGAAGGCGACACUGAGGCCAAUGGGAAGCUGUAAAUCUUCAAAGCUGAGAUUGGGGGUGUCGAACCACUCAUCAAUGAAAUUGUGGAUGAUGGCCACAUCAAAGAGAGGCAAGUUGUUGAAUAUUUCUGCUUCUUCCUUGCUCUUUAUCAGCUGCUCAAGGGCAUCAUCAGCAAGAUCUUCAUCACUUGACAGAUCAAUGGGUUCUUCGCGCAGAAUGGCGGCAGGAGUCAAGGCUCUUUGAUUAGAUGGUCUGACAAGUUGCCUUUUCUUCUCCGUUCUCUUGGAGACACGGGAUUGAUCUUCAGACUGCACACUGGCUUCAGGAGGUGCAGUGGCCAGUGGCUUCACACGAGAAGUCUUCGAAGGUGCAGCUGAUCUUGAAGCGUUUGGCUUCUUUUGCUUCUGCGACUUUGGAGGAGGAGCGGGGGCUUCAUCGGAGUCAGCAUCAUUUUCAGAAUGAUCUACUCUUGCACGUUGGACCAUGAUGUAGGUGAUGAGGCCGUCAAGGUUGGAGAAGGGGCCGAUCACAUUGGGAUCAGCAUCACGGGAGCCGUCAGCACGGGGAGCAGAGGGACCUGGGUUGAAGUCCAAACCCAAGGACUUCUUGUUCUUCUUGGCCGAAGCCACAGCAAACUGGUCGUUGCGCUUGAAGAGAGAGUCGACACGACACCAGAGUAGUGAGGUGGGAUCGGCGUUCUCAGGCUGUGGUCCACGGACCAUGCAAGGAUAGAAGCCUUGAGCAAUGGCUUCAGCUCUGUUCUUGGGUUGAAGGCCUCGAUAGAGGAUAUCACCCCAAGGUCUCUUGAUGACAUUCUUCUCUGCAUUUUCCUUCGUCACAAACUUGUACUUGAACCAUUCCUCAGCCCAAUAGCGUCGAAUCCAUUGGAUUCAUGUCUUUCUCUGAUGAUAAUUCUCUUCGGGAUCUGUCUUGUAGAGUUCUGCUAAGUCAUCAGGCAGAUCUUGGGAUGUUCCUUCUUUGCACUGUUUGCCACCCUUCCUUGCUGAUCUUUCUGCAGCCAUGAACUUCAAGCUGAACGGCUUCAAUAUGUUCAAAGGCUUCAGAGACUUAUGCUUGUUGGUCAAGCAGGAACUGGCUUCAGGAGAAUUGAUAUGAUGCUGUAAGUAUUCUGCAAACGAAUGCAGACUAUGAGAACCAAGGGAUUCUCCCACGGACAUGUACCUGUGACAGCAUUAGAGAUGCGAGGGAAGGGGAAGAGGUCAUAUGCAUUCUCAGAAGAUUUUGAAGAUAAAUCAGUUCGAAGACAUUGACCUCAUGAUGCGAAUACAUUCACUUAUAUAGGUGAGUUGGUUCCAGAUUUGUACCAAUCCGUGAAUAAGUACAAGUGAGGAAUCAAACUAGACAGGAAAUCUAAGUGAAUUGACUAGGUAGUAUGAGAUGCAGACAGAAUAGAUCUAACUUGAAUAGGCACUUUCGGUAAACAGGAUGAAUCUUGAAGAUCAAAAAGGUGGUAAAAAUAGAGUUAUAAUUACCGCACGAAGAACUGCUAGAUGGGAAGAAUAGGAGACCGAGCAGUUCAGCCCACCGUGCCCUAACUUGGCAACGGAGGACACCUACGACGACGGCGGAGAGGACGAUGUCCGCGAUCGGCGUGAGGACGGCGUCGGAGAAGUCGCGGCAGCUAAGCGCUUCGUCGCCGACGUCGUCGCGAGCUAGCGGUGGCGCUAGGGUUUUGACGGAGGUGGAGAGGUGGAAGAAGGAUUUCUUUACCGCAGGGGACAAGUAUUUAUAAGUAGGUGAGAGACACAGCGCAAUUACGCUGGUGCCGCUGGCGGUUCACAUCUGUGGGGCACAUGGCAAGCAUGCAACAUACUCAGAGUUGUCCCAUGUUCGCACGCCCGCCAGGCAUGUCGGAGAGUUGUUCCGGCUUCUCCGGAUUUCAACAAUAAAGAUAAGUCAUUUAAAACAGAUUUAAUGUUUGUCCCUUUGCCUUCUGCUGACUAGGACGCAGAGAAGACAUUCGACAGUUUCAAUAGAAUGCAUAUGAUUUGGACAGAUAGAGUUUGAGAUAGGAAGCAUAGAGAGGUUAGGGUCCGAUCACAUUCACUUAGUUCAAAAGAUCCAAUCUUGAAGACACAGCUAUAAGUGAAUGUUGUAGAGGACAGAACACUAGUAUAUAUAUAUAUAUCAGAAAGCAAUCAAAUCAUCAUAGUGUAGAAAUUCAUGAAGAUAAAUUGAAACUGAAGACAAACCAAAUGCGAAGUCAUUGCAAUAUAACGCCAUGAGUGAAACACUUCAAACAGAGAAAUUUUGUGGUGGCGUUACCCACCGCAUAGGAAGUAUUAGACCCAGACACGGCGCACAAUUAUCGUGGCGCUCCGAAGUCAAAUUCCAUGUUAAUGUAUUCACACUCAGAGUGUAAAUCUUCAUUGAUUGAAGAUAUACAUUACUUUGUGUGUUGCACAUCUAAGUCAUCAACAUGCAUAAGUGUUAGGAUGUGUGCCUGAUCACAGGAUAUUAGAGGAUUCCAAGAUAUUUAGCUCACACCGUAACUUGCAAAACCUUUUCUCAUCCAAGGGCUUCGUGAAGAUAUCUGCCAGUUGCUCUUCAGUGUUGACGUGAGUGAUAUCGAUAUCUUUCUUCAUAACAUGAUCUCUGAGAAAGUGAUGACGAAUUUCAAUGUGCUUUGUCUUCGAGUGUUGGACUGGAUUGUUGGCUAUUUUGAUGGCACUUUCAUUGUCGCAGAAGAGAGGUACUUGUUUCAGGUUGAUGCCAUAAUCCUUGAGAGUUUGCUUCAUCCAUAGAAGCUGAGCACAACAGGAUCCAGCAGCAAUGUAUUCAGAUUCAGCAGUUGAGAGUGAUACACAGUUCUGCUUCUUUGAAGACCAAUAGACAAGUGAUCGACCAAGGAAAUGACAUGUGCCUAAUGUAGACUUGCGAUCCACCUUGUCACCAGCAUAAACAGCAUUCGAGAAUCCAACCAAAUUGAAUUUUGAGCCCUUGGGAUACCAUAAUCCGAGUGUUGGGGUGUAAGCCAAAUAUCGAAGAAUUCGCUUCACAGCUAAGUGAUGCGAUUCCUUUGGUGCCGCUUGGAAUCGAGCAGACAUGCAAACACUAAGCAUAAUAUCUGGCCUAGAUGCACAUAAAUAAAGCAGAGAACCAAUCAUGGAGCGGUAUACCUUUUGAUCGAACUCUUUACCAUUGUCGUCGGGACCAAGAUGGUGUUUGGCUGGCAUUGGCGUCGUGUGGCCUUUGCAGUCUUCCAUUCCAAACUUCUUCAGACAAUCUUUGAGGUAUUUUUCUUGAGAUAUGAAGAUGCCAUUUCUUUGCUGACGAAUUUGAAGACCAAGGAAGAACUUCAGCUCACCCAUCAUGGACAUCUGAUAUUGCUCUUGCAUCAUGUACCCAAACUCAUCACUAUACUUCUGGUUGGUGCAGCCGAAGAUUAUGUCAUCCACAUAUAUUUGGCACACAAACAGUUCACCAUCAUAUGUCUUCGUGAAGAGUGUGGGAUCGAGGGAUCUAGGUUUGAAGCCUUUUCUCUUCGGAAAGUCUUUGAUUGUAUCAUACCAGGAACGAGGAGCUUGUUUGAGGCCAUACAAUGCUUUGUUUAGCUUGUACACCAUAUCAGGAUGUUUUGGAUCUUCAAAGCCAGGUGGUUGUGCAACAUAUACUUCUUCUUCAAUCUUGCCAUUAAGAAAUGCACUCUUUACAUCCAUUUGAUAUAGCAAGAUGUUGUGAUGAUUAGCGAAGGCUAGCAGUAUGCGAAUAGCUUCAAGUCUAGCAACAGGAGCAAAUGUUUCAUCGAAGUCAAUUCCUUCAACUUGAGUAUAUCCUUGAGCCACAAGACGUGCUUUGUUUCUGACGACUUGACCAUGCUCAUCUUGCUUGUUUCGAUAUAUCCACUUUGUUCCAAUAAUGUUAUGCUUGUGAGGGUCAGGUCGCUUGACGAGUUCCCAGACAUUAUUUAGUUUGAACUGUUGAAGUUCUUCUUGCAUGGCUUGAAUCCAUUCAGGUUCCAUAAAAGCUUCAACAACUUUCUUGGGUUCUGAUAUUGACACAAAUGAAAAAUGCCCACAGAAGUUUGCUAGCUGUGUUGCUCUUGAUCGAGUGAGCAGACGUGCAUUGAUGCUGUCAAUUAUCUUCUCUAUUUGAACUUCAUUUCCAACACGAGGAUGAACAUGACGAAGAUUUUGCUCUGGCUGAUCAUUGUCAUCAUUGGGAGGAUUGUCUUCGGUAUGAGCAUUGUCUUCAGGUUGAUUUGGUGCAGAGAUGAUAAGUUCCUCUUCAGGCUGUGCUUCAGAGGGCAUGAUUUCACCAGUUCCCAUCAGCUUGAUAGACUCGUUUGAAGGAGCUUCAUCUAGUGUACUUGGUAGAAUCUCUCUCUGUGAACCAUUGGUUUCAUCAAAUUUCACAUUAACAGUUUCAACGAUUUUGUAGAGAUAAAGGUUGAAGACUCUGUAGGGUGUGAAUCCUUUCCAUAGCCAAGCAUGAAGCCUUCGUGAGCCUUAGGUGCAAAUUUUGACUUGUGAUGGGGAUCCUUGAUCCAGCAUCUAGCUCCAAAUACUCUGAAGUAACUGACGUUUGGCUUCUUGCCAGUAAGGAGCUCAUAAGAUGUUUUGUUCAAAAGCUUAUGGAUGUACACACGGUUGAUGAUGUGACAUGCUAUAUCAAUAGCUUCAGGCCAGAACUUUCUUGGUGUCUUGUACUCAUCUAGCAUUGUUCGAGCCAUCUCAAUGAGGGUUCUGUUUUUGCGCUCAACGAUGCCAUUUUGCUGAGGUGUGUAUGGAGCAGAGAACUCAUGAGUGAUUCCCAUUGUAUCCAGAUACAGAUCAAGUCCAGUGUUCUUGAAUUCAGUGCCAUUGUCACUUCUGAUGUGCUUGAUCUUCACGCCAUAAUUGUUCAUUGCUCGAUUUGCGAAGCGCCUGAAGACAUCUUGCACUUCAGUCUUGUAAAGAAUUAUAUGAACCCAUGUGUAUCUUGAGUAGUCAUCAACAAUGAUGAAGCCAUAGAGACAGGCAGUUGUUGUGAGGGUGGAGUAGUGAGUAGGUCCAAAUAAGUCCAUGUGUAACAGCUCGAAGGGUUGAGAUGUUGUCAUGAUUGUCUUUGAGGGAUGCUUUGCCCUUGUCAUCUUUCCAGCUUCACAGGCACCACACAGAUGAUCCUUUUUGAACUUGACAUCCUCGAUGCCAAUGACAUGCUUCUUCUUGACGAGUGAGUGUAAGUUUCUCAUGCCAGCAUGUCCUAACCUUCGAUGCCAGAGCCAACAUUCUGAAGCUUUUGUGAGAAGACAUACGGCAAGCUGUGGACCUGCUGAGAAAUCUACCAUGUAUAUAUCAUCUUUUUGAUACCCUUCAAAGACUAGAGAUUUGUCAGAUUCCAUUAGCACAAGGCAACGAUAUUUUCCAAAUAUCACAAUCAUGUUCAAGUCACAAAGCAUUGAGACAGACAUUAAGUUGAAACCAAGGGAUUCAACAAGCAUCACUUUAUCCAUGUGUUGAUCCUUUGAGAUUGCAACUCUACCUAGACCCAAUACCUUGCUUUUACCAGUGUCAGCAAAUGUAAUGUGACUCUUGUCGGAUGGACGUAAGGUUGAGUCCAUGAGAAGACUUCGAUCACCAGUCAUGUGAUUUGUGCAUCCACUGUCCAUAAUCCAUUCUGAAGCUUUUGGUGAUGUACCCUACAGUGCAGUUAGGAGGAUAGGCUUCACAAGAGUGCUGUGAAGCAUAAGCAUUUGACACAUAUAGGCACAGUCACAGCUUAUAUCAAAGUUAGGACAUAGUAUGACUGAUAAGAGAUUCAGAUGUGAAGUAUAUAGAAUUACAUUUUAGCGUGCGUCCUAAAUGAGUUUUAGGUCCCCACCAAUAGUAUCGGACGCCAUUGAUUGCUGGCUGGAGACCGUUUUCUGCAAAAGAGAGUUAGUUCUUCUUUGCCACCCACAUCUUCAGUGGUGGCUUAGAAGCAAUGAGUCUUAGUGCAGCAUCUGAGAAUUUUGGCUUUGAAGCCCUAGCAAAUAGCCUUGCAGGAGAUGAAUGAUACUCAUAUGAAUAAGCUGAAAAGUUCUUAGUCCUAUGAACAUAGCGGUUCGAAGAUACACGCUCAUAUUCAUAAGUCUGAGCAUAAUUUCCCUACAAAACAUUGGCGUUAGGGUGACUCAUGUGAGUCCUGUAUCUGUAUGAAGCCUUUGGGCCACAUGAAGCUAUAGGUCUGGGGUUUGUCUUCUUCCUUGGUGGUGUCAUGACGACAUUCACAGGAAGAUUCUCAGUGUACUACUUAGGUACCCAGAUCUUCUUCAUUGGUGGUCCAUUCUUGCAGUUAGUACCAAUGUACCUGGCAAACACUUCACCAUUCUGACUUUUGAACAGCUUAUAGUUUGCAUCAAAGGAUUCAUCAAUGAUAACAGGAUUAGCACAGGUAAAGCCAGAUAAGGUGGAUGGAUCUACUGAAGGUUCCAUUGCAGCAACCCAUGUGGUUUUGGGGUACUGCUCAGGCUUCCAGUACGAGCCAUCAACAUUCAUUUUCCUUUCGAACCCAACACCCUCUUUCCUAGGGUUUCGGUUCAGAAUCUGCUUUUUGAGGACAUCGCAGAGAGUCUGAUGUCCCUUCAAACUUUUGUACAUCCCUGUUUCAAGCAAUGUCUUCAACAUAGCAUUUUCAUCAGCAACAGCAGUGGUAUCCUCCGCAGAGGGGUUAGUAACCACAUCAGUAGGUGAAGACAAUGAAACAGUAGCAGUAGUGGAACAUUCAGCAACAGAUGUAGCGUUAUCACGCUCAAUGCAUUUUAGACAUGGUGGUUCAAAUCCAUCCUGAGCGGAACUGAUCUGUUGAGCACGAAGUGACUCAUUCACCUUUUGAAGAUCUUCAUGAGCCGCCCUCAAUUUCUCAAGCUCUUGUUUCCUUUGAAGAUAAUCAUAGGAGGGCCUUUCAUAAGUAGUUGAGAGCGAUUCAUGACGACCUUCAAGUUCUUGGUACUUAGCAUGAAGAUUUUUUAUGUCAUCAACUAAGGACUGUGAACGUGUCAUUUCAGCGUCCAACAGGUCAUCGCUUUUGUCUAACAGUUUUUGAGUAUGGUCCAUAGCCUUUUGUUGUUCAGUUGCAAUUUUAGCAAGUGUUUUGUAGCUAGGUUUGGAUUCGCAAUCAGAGUCAUCUUCACUUGAAUUUUGAAAGUAAGAAUCGCGUGAUUUUACCUUGGCACCAUGUGCCAUGAAGCAGUAGGUGGGAGUAGGAUCGUCUUCGUCAUUAGCUUCAGCGUUGGUGUGGAAGUCAUUGUCUUCAGUGUUGAAGAUGGACUUGGUGACAUAGGCUGUGGCUAGAGCCAGACUUGCAACGCCAGGGUCAGACUCCUCUCCAGACUCCACCUCCGCCUCCUCUGAAGCAGACUCCUCCUCUGAAUCCAUUUCCUUGCCAACAAAAGCAAGAGCCUUGCCCGAUGAGCUCUUCUUGUAUGAUGAAGACUUGGAAGACUUUGAGGAUUUCUUCUUCUUCUUGUCAUCGGAAUCAUAUUCCUUGCUUUUCUUCUUCUUCUUCUCAUUGUCCCACUGUGGACACUCAGAUAUGUAGUGACCAGGUUUCUUGCACUUGUGGCAGGUUCUCUUUUUCUGGUCAUGGGUGGAAGCUUCAUCAUUCCUUGAGCUGGAUCGUGAAGACUUUCUGAAGCCUUUCUUCUUAGUGAACUUCUGGAACUUCUUCACAAGCAUAGCAAGUUCCUUUCCAAUGUCUUCAGGAUCUUUAGAACUGCAGUCAGAUUCUUCUUCAGAUGAGGAAACAACUUUUGCCUUCAAAGCGCGAGUUCGGCCAUAGUUUGGGCCAUAGAUAUCUCUUUUCUUAGACAGCUGGAACUCAUGUGUGUUGAGCUUCUCAAGAAUAUCAGACGGAUCGAGUGACUUGAAGUCAGGACGUUCUUGUAUCAUGAGGGCAAGGGUGUUAAAGGAUCUAUCAAGUGAUCUCAGCAAUGUCUUGACGAUUUCAUGCUUGGUAAUCUCAGUUGCGCCAAGAGCUUGAAGUUCAUUUGUGAUAUCAGUGAGGUGAUCAAACAUGAGCUGGACAUUUUCAUUGUCGUUUCUCUUGAAGCGGUUGAAGAGGUUGCGAAGAACACUGAUUCUUUGAUCUCUCUGGAUUGAGACGCCUUCGUUGACCUUGGAUAGCCAGUCCCAGACUAGCUUCAACGUUUCCAGAGCACUCACACGGCCAUACUGUCCUUUGGUCAGAUGACCACAGAUAAUGUUCUUUGCAGUAGAGUCCAGUUGAAUGAACUUCUUGACAUCAGUGGGGGUGACACCUUCACCAGUUUUGGGAACGCCAUUCUUGACGACAUACCAGAGGUCGACAUCAAUGGCUUCAAGAUGCAUACACAUCUUAUUCUUCCAGUAGGGAUAUUCAGUUCCAUCGAACACGAGGCAAGCAGCGGAGACUUUGAUUAUCCCUGCAGUCAACAUAGCUGAAACUCCAGGUGGUUAAACCGAAUCACACAGAACAAGGGAGUACCUUGCUCCGAUACCAAUUGAAAGUGCUACUAUCGACUAGAGGGGGGGUGAAUAGGCGAUUUUUAUGAAAGUCUUCAAAGCUUGGAAGUUUCGAAGACAAACAACAGAAAUGACCUAAUUGUUAUGCAGCGGAAGAUAAACUACCCUACGCAAGCCAUAGUGAAGUAUGCAAUGAUGUGAAAGUACAGGACUAAUAGCAGCUAGAUAGUAAGGAUUAGGAUGGAAGAUGGUAUGAAGCCAAUCAACAGUAGUAGUCAAGCAAUGAAGUCAAACAGAUACACAGAUAGGCAAUGACUUCACGAAGACAAACUAAAGUAAGGUUGGGAAGGGAUAGAACCAGUUGCUUGUUGAAGACACAGGAUUUGUUAGACCAGUUCCAGUUGCUGUGACAACUGUACGCCUGGUUAGGGAGGCUGAGAUUUAACUCAGAAGACCGUGUCUUCACCUUAUUCCCUUGAGCUAAGGACACCCAAUCCUCGCCCAAUCACUCUGGUAAGUCUUCAAGGGAGACUUCCAAACCUUCACAGACUUCGUUCACCGGCAAUCCACAAUGACUCUUGGAUGCUCAGAACGCGAUGCCUAACCGGCUAGAGGAUUCACAUUCCUCAAGUGUAAUAAGUCUUCAGGUCACACAGACAAAAAGACUUCAGUGAUGCCUAACACUCUUUGGCUCUGGGUGUUUGGGCUUUGUCCUCGCAAGGAUUUUUCUCUCUCUCAAAAGCUUCGAGGUGGGUUGCUCUCAAACGACAAAAGCCGAGCACAAACUCUGAGCAGACACCAAUUUAUGGUGUAGGGGGUUGGCUAUUUAUAGCCACUAGGCAACUCGACCUGAUUUGUCCAAAAUGACCCUGGGUCACUAAGGAACUGACACGUGUUUCAACGGUUAGAUUUCAAACACACGCGGCAACUUUACUUGGGCUACAAGCAAAGCUGACUCAUCUAGCUCUCGAUAAGGUUUGCUCUCAUUGUCUUCGCUCGAAGACUUAGGAUUUGAGUUGACCAUCACUUCAGUCACUCUGACUUAGUUCACUUGGACCCCACUUAACAGUACGGUGGUUCUUAUGACUCAACAAAGAAGAAAAGGAUGCAACGAAACCACACAGUCUUCGUGCUCCAUAGUCUUCAUGCAAUGUCUUCUCAUGUCAUAGUCUUCAAUAUGAAUAUCUUCUCAUACCACCAUUGUCUUCAAUGUCUUCAUACAUUUUUAGGGGUCAUCUCCGGUAGGUAAACCGAAUCGAUGAGGGACACUACCUGCGUUAUCUUGCAAUUCUCACAAACGCAUUAGUCCCUCAACCAGCUUUGUCGUCAAUACUCCAAAACCAACUAGGAGUGGCACUAGAUGCACUUACAGUUUGGGUGAAAAAUAUUAAGAUGGGUAAGGGUUUGGGCGAUCGUUAACCGCACCUGAACCCGGGGGGUGCCAUAUUAGAUUGCUCGUUUGAGGUGAUUGGCUUUGACAUGCUUUUUUCGAAGAGGUGGAUAACCACCGGUAUUUGCAUUGAGCAAUGCACACAACCACAUAUAUAUAGAAUUGUGAGAAUUCCUGAAGAAAUAGGAAUUGGUUAAAGUUGUCUCCCGUGCCAUCCCAUCCGUGGCUAGUAUGCGUCCAUUUGAUCCGACAUCUCACAAGCAAAGAUUUCAGAUUUCAAAGACGUUAGUUUUCAUCGGAUACGUGCCUUCUUAAAAAUACAUGAAUAGUUUUUAAAAUAUAAUGAACAUUUUUUAAUCAAAAUAUGAGUAAUUUUUAAUUUAUAUAUAACCUUCAUUUUUAAUUAGAUGCACAAAACUAAAGUAAGUUUGUUAAAAACAGUCAUGAAAUAAAAGAAAAUAAGUAUCUUCCCUGCAAAAACAAUACAGUAAUAAAAAAUAUCUGAAAAGUGAAAAAUGGAACAAUAUUAAAUGGAAGAAAAAACAGAUGAAAGAAAAGAUAAAAUUUUUCUUCCUUUUUUUUGAGGGGUAACAAAAUGUUUCUUCCAUUUAACAAACAUCAGGGUUAGGUUUUUUUUUGAGCAACUCAUCGGGGCUAUGUACGUAUGGCCUAGUGCGUGGCGCGUCUGUCAGCCAAAGAGUCGAAUGUCUUUGUAAGCCCCCCACGAAAGAAAUACGUAUGCCUGGCCCGUUAUUACGGCCCGGCCUGUGCGCGCUACGAUUCAGGGAUUCGUUGCUUCCCUCAGAAAAAAUACUUAUUAAGGGCAUGUACAAUGGUUGAUAAGAUAGUCUUAUCUUAAGUCUUGCAUGUAAAUUAGAGAUGACAAAAAAAACAUGUCUACAAUGAGUCAUUUCUUAGCCUUAUCUUCAAUAAUUAAUUGUUCCUAAAAACAUGGUGAGACAAAUUGUGCUAAGAGACCAUCUCUUGUCUUUUCUUAAAUAAGAGAAGACAAGCCUUAUCUUACGAUUUCUCUCUCCUCCACCUCAUCAUUUAUCCUACAUGGCACUCUUAAGAUAGAACCAUUGUACUUCCGUCCAUGCAGCUGCAGCUAGGGCUUCAUAUCCCGUACGCAGCUGGAUAUGAAGCUUCUUUAUUUACGACUACAUACAAGAGGCGUCGUUCGAUGGAUGCUAACUAGGAAGAGAUGACAUCGUCGAGAAGCAACUACCGCGUGAUGACGGCGGAGGAAGAGGAGGAGGCCGGCUUGUGCGUGGGCUGGAUCUUCCUCUAUACGGCGGUGAUCUACCUCGGCUUCUUCGCCUUCUCCGCCGUGAUCUCCUACACACACGUGUUCGCUCGCGCCACCAGGUUUGACAAGAUCUUCUUCGAGGUCCUGGGAGCGCCCUGUCUGCUCAUCUCCGUCGGCAUCAUCUACUUGCUUCUACGGGAGGACUCGCCCUUCCGCAACGAGCGUGCCACCGCCCGAGUCACCGACCUGCCACCCGCCGAUGUGUGCUAGCCAUCUUUGGUUGGUUGUUUCUAGUGCAUGAAUUGAUUUGUGUGUGCUAGCUGAUCUCUUUUGCUCGUCAUACUGUUUUCAAGAUACCUGGUUACCGGCGGUAUCCUUGCAUGGCCUGUUACUAUCUUUUUUCUAUGUUUGAUUGAAAGCGAUUUUGCUAAAUCUCAAUUGCUAUCACUUGUCACGAUGUUGGAAUCCUUGCAAUGAUCGCUGGUUAAAGGACUUCAAACCUCUGUCACUGUAAAUAUGUCCAUCCAGCUGCUCAAUCCGUGGGAGUUAUUUUGCCUAGUACAACUCAUCCUGGAUCAAGCUCACAAUUGGAGAUGGACGCGCAGCUCCUUUGGACACUGCUCUUCUACAAAGCUUCUAUUCAGGAAUGGCCAUUAUGCACUUCGGUCAAUGCCAUUUGGAAGAGUUGGGCACCCCUCCAUCGUUCAAAGACACGAUGACUAGCCAGGAAUAUCGACCAAAAAUCUCGAGGGUUUACCUGGUGCGGAAAUCUCCAAUACCCUCUCCUUAGAUGAGAUUGACAAGGCCCCAAACGAGCAGGUGCCGCAGCUCAAAACAGUGGUGGAUCCAGGACCCAGGCUGGGGGGGGGGGGCUGGGCCUUGGGCAUGAGGACUGCACACUGUCUUCAGUAUAACAUGGUGGGCACUGUAGCGGCACUGUAGGGUGUAAUGUAGCUGGCCUAGGGCCCAGGGCUUAGCCCAAUCCUGGGUCCGCCCCUAGCUCAAAACCUAUAGGACAAAAUUCUCGGCAUGCAGGAACAUCCACGAGGACGGGUCUGGCUUGUGUAGCUCCGGUGCAAACCACCUUUUGGGAAGGCUCAAUCCUACAAUUCCAGGAGGGAAGAAAAAGUGGUCGCUAGGAAUAUGGUCACAGUGGUACCAGGCUCACCACGCCCGAGACCCUACUCCGGCAGGAUGACCAUCCAAUUCCAUGGGACGGACUACCCGGAGAACCUUCCUCAUCCAGGACAAUAUCGACAUGAUAUCAAGGGACAAGUGAUACGUCUCCAACAUAUCUAUAAUUUUUGAUUGUUCCAUGAUGUUAUAUUAUCAUUCUUGCAUGUUUUACAACCAUUUUAUAGCAACUUUAUAUCAUUUUUUGGGACUAACCUAUUGACAUAGUGCCCAGUGCCAGUUGCUAUUUUUUUGCUUAUUUUUUACUUCGCAGAAAAUCAAUACCAAACGGAGUCCAAACGCAGCUAAAAUUUUUGGAGAGUUUUUCAGAAGACACACAAUGGGCGAAGAAAGUACCAGAGGGGGGCUCCGAGGGGAGCACACGUGGGUUGUGCCCACCUCGACCUCCUCCCGCACCACCUCUUUGCUCUAUAAAUACCCCGAAAAUCCAAAAACCCUACAGGACUCGAUGAAACACAAUUCCACCCGCCUCAAGUUCCAGAAACACCAAAUCCAAUUUAGACACCAUCACGGUGGGGUUCAUCAUCCUCACUGGUGCUUGUCCGAUGAUGCGCGAGUAGUUCAAUGUAGACCUUCGGGUCCGUAGUUAGUAGCUAGAUGGCUUCCUCUCUCUCUUUUGAUUCUCAAUACAAUGGUCUCUUGGAGAUCUAUUUGAUGUAACUCUUUUUCCGGUGUGUUUGUUGGGAUCCCAUGAACUUUGAGUUUAUGAUCAGAUCUAUUUUAUCCAUGAAAUUUAUUUGAAUUUUGAUCUAUUAUAUGCAUGAUUGUUUAUAGCCUCGUAUUUCUACUUUGAAUCUUUGGUUUAGUUAGGCCAACUAGAUCGAUUUUUCUUGCCAUGGGAAGAGGUGCUUUGUGAUAGGUUCGAUCUUACGGUGCUCAAUUGUAACGCCCCGGAUUUGAUGCGCCAGGUGUCUUCCAGUUAUUCGUCGGUGUUGCCAUGUAAUUUGCUUGCGUGUUGCAUUUUUGCCAUGUCAUCAUGUGCAUCUCAUUUUGCAUACGUGUUCGUCUCAUGCAUCCGAGCAUUUCCCCGUUGUCCGUUUUGCAAUCCGACACUCCUAUGCCCUCCGGCGUUCCCCUUUUGUCUCCUGUUGUGAGCGGGUGUUAAACAUUCUCGGAAUGGUCCUUGAUUUGCCAAGCGGCCUUGGUACACCACCGGUAGACCGCCUGUCAAGUUUCGUGCCAUUUGGAGUCCGUUUGAUACUCCAACGGUUAACCGGGGUACCGUAAAAGCCUCUUUUGUUGCAGCCCAACACCCCUUCAUAACAGCCUAUGAGCCCAUCCAAACCCCCUCCAUGCUCUCGGUCGUUCGAUCACGAUUGUGUGGGCGAAAACCGCACCCCAUUUGGACUCUCCUAACUCCCUAUGCCUAUAUAAACACAUUCUCCCUCGAAAUUCGCGGAUUAUUUCCACCCUAACCCUAGCUCCCACCUCCUCCGCACUGCCAGACAUGUCCGCCCGGUGGCCGGACGCGUCCGCCGCCCCACAGCCGUCGCCCGGCCAAUCACGACGCGCCACGUCAUCGUCUGCCGCCCGCCGCCACUCCCGGAGUGCCNNNNNNNNNNNNNNNNNNNNNNNNNNNNNNNNNNNNNNNNNNNNNNNNNNNNNNNNNNNNNNNNNNNNNNNNNNNNNNNNNNNNNNNNNNNNNNNNNNNNNNNNNNNNNNNNNNNNNNNNNNNNNNNNNNNNNNNNNNNNNNNNNNNNNNNNNNNNNNNNNNNNNNNNNNNNNNNNNNNNNNNNNNNNNNNNNNNNNNNNNNNNNNNNNNNNNNNNNNNNNNNNNNNNNNNNNNNNNNNNNNNNNNNNNNNNNNNNNNNNNNNNNNNNNNNNNNNNNNNNNNNNNNNNNNNNNNNNNNNNNNNNNNNNNNNNNNNNNNNNNNNNNNNNNNNNGACCUGCGUCGUGCGCCGAUCUACCUGCCUCGCCGGGGCUCCGCCUCCCGUCGCCCGCGCCUCGCCUGGAGCUCGCCACCGGCCGCCCCGCCCCGUUCCUCAUCAGAUCCGGCGAGCCCGCGGCCGGAUCCGCCCCGCUCCGACCUUCACGGCCCCUCGCCGGAGCCGAAGCUCCGUCCGGCCGCCGCCGUGGCCUUGGGCCUCCUGUGCUCCGAUCUGGACGACGCCGUCCCGGAACCCCGUCGUCCCGCCAUCCAAACGUCGCCCCCGAGCCGUACCGCGCCGUCCUGAACCGAUCCAUCCAGUUUUCUGCGAGGUAAAGGAUAUGACUGUCCCGAAAUAUUUGCAUUCUGGUCCCCUGUUCAUCGCAUCAUAUCUCCUAGCAUACUGCUCCGUUUUCCGUGCAUGAUAUACCGAAAUGUUCACCGUGAUGUGAUCUCAUUUUGUUCCAUUGUGCCAUGUUUGUUUGAGUUCAUCUUGAUGCUCUAAUCAUUGUUGCAAGAGUGCUAUAUGAUGUUAACUGCUGGGUGUUAACAUAACUUGGUGAUUUGUCUUUUUCAUUGCAUUUUGUGUCUGCAUCCUAUGAGAUAGAUGUCUACAUGAGUUUUGAGAUACAUCAUUCCAUAUUUACUGUGGUGUAAUCCAUGUAUUUUUGUGAGUCUUGUACUGAGUGCAUCGAGCUCGUGAAGUAGGGUACUUGCUGUUACUGUUUUGCUAGUCUGAAACUGUUAUAUCAUGAUGCUAUGUAAACCUGCUGCUACAAGUCAUUCUAUGCAUAAUAUGGAGAUGUUCACUAAGGAUGUUUUGUUAUACAUGUCAUGAUAUAUCCAUCCAUGCCCCUGGUUGCAUUUAUAGCUUGCUGUAGAUUGUUCAUAUCAUGCCCCAAAUUUGCUAAAUAAUGUUGCUGUCAGCCUGUUAACAUUAAGUUCAGUUUUGCCAUGAGCUUUGCUAGUGAUCCAUGUACCUUAUGAACUUGUUCUUGCCAUUCUUAGUUUCAUAAACAUGUCUUCUUACUGUUGGUAACCUUGUCAUGCCAUGUGUUGCUCUGUGGUGAGUUGUACAAGCUCACCAACAUGCCUACUUAUUGUUGUUCCUGCCAUGUCUGAAUCUGUCAUAUCACUUGCUAUGUUUACAUGGGUGCCAUCAUAUUUUCUGUGCCCUUUUGGCUCAUGGUAAGUAAGGGAAUUUUGUUAUAUGCAAUUAGUAGAUUCAUGCCAUGCCUUUGCUUGCCAUGAUAAGUUUCUGUAACAUGUUGUUUGAUAGCCCUAAACAUUGCAACCUGAUGUUAUUUCUGCCAAGUCUGAAACUGUUAUUAUUUGCAAUCUUGCCAUGUCCUUUUCAGCAUGUUAUAUUAUUUUAUGGAGAUAGCUCAGUGUUCAUGUUUUGUCAUGCUUUACCUGUAAUUCAUGCCCAUGCCUUCUUUUCACGUUGAGAUGCCGUAGCAUAUGGUUUUGAUGCUUGCUAGAUGCCUAGUUGCUGUUUUGGACAGCUUGGUCUUUAAACUUGUAUAGAGUGUAUGUGUUGAACCGUUGCUCCGUUUUGAGUGUGCUCCAUAUGAAAUUUGCUUGGUUUUGCAUGAAGUUUCAUAUUAUCAUGUUGCAUCCUUGUUUUGAGGUGUUUGCUUGAUGUUUGUAUGCAUUUUGCAUCAAUGCCAUGUUUAACUUGUUUAGCUCAUAUCUUCUAGGCCGUAGCUCCGAAUUAAAUGAACUUUAUAUGUAACUUGACUAGAAUCUCGUGUAGAUCAUCUUGGUGCAUCUUAACUUGCUGUUUAACAAUUUGAACAUAAGGUUUAUUCAGUUCUGGACCAAUUUCUAAAUUUGCAUAUGAGGACUUACCAGAAUUGUUAUAUGUUGUUUCCGGCCUCAUUUAAACUUGCCGUGAUAUGUUGUUCUUGUUUGCAUCAUCUCUUGUCAUGAGUAGCCUCAUCUAGUCUUGUCAUGCAUCAUAUUUGGUUGAGCAUCAUGCCUUGUCUAUGUGUGGUGUGUUUACCAUGUUGUGUGCUUCUUCUCGAUAGUUCCUGUUUCGUUGCGAUCGUGAGGAUUCGUUCGUCUACGCUUGGUUCAUCUUCGUGGCUUCAUCUUCUUCAUGGGCUCGUUCUUCUUCCUUGCGGGAUUUCAGGUAAGAUGACCACUACCCUGGAUCUCAUUACUAUCAUUGCUAUGCUAGUUGCUUCGUUCUAUCGCUAUGCUGCGCUACCUAUCCCUUGUUUGUCAAGCCUCCCAAAUUGCCAUGUCAACCUCUAACCUUGUCACCCUUCCUAGCAAACCGUUGUUUGGCUAUGUUACCGCUUUUGCUCAGCCCCUCUUAUAGUGUUGCUAGUUGUAGGUGAAGAUGAAGAUUGCUCCAUGGUGGACAGGGUUAUGUUGGGAUAUCACAAUAUCUCUUAUAUUAUUAAUGCAUCUAUAUACUUGGUAAAGGGUGGAAGGCUCGGCCUUAAGCCUGGUGUUUUUUUCCACUCUUGCCGCCCUAGUUUCCGUCAUAUCGGCAUUAUGUUCCCGGAUUUUGCGUCCCUAACGCGGUUGGGUGAUUUAUGGGACCCCCUUGACAGUUCGCCUUGAAUAAAACUCCUCCAGCAAGGCCCAGCAUUGGUUUUACCAUUUUCCUACCACCUAUACUUUUCCCUUGGGAGUAAUUAACCCGAGGGUCAUCUUUAUUUUAGGCCCCCCGGGCCAAUGCUUGUCUAAGUGUUGGUCCAAAUUAGAGCACCGUGCGGGACCAUCCCUUGGCAACUUGGGUUACGUUGGUACCUGUACGCUCAGCUUAUCCGGUGUGUCCUGAGAACGAGAUACGUGCGACUCCUAUCGGGAUUGUCGACACAUUGGGCGGUCUUGCUGGUCUUGUUUUACCAUUGUCGAAAUGUCUUGUAAGCCGGGAUUCCGAGACUGAUCGGGUCUUCCUGGGAGAAGGAAUAUUCUUAGUUGACCGUGAGAGCUUGUGAUGGGCUAAGUUGGGACACCCCUGCAGGGUAUAAACUUUCGAAACCGUGCCCGCGGUUAUGUGGCAGAUGGGAAUUUGUUAAUGUCCGGUUGUAGAUAACUUGACACUUGACUUAAUUAAAAUGCAUCAACCGCGUGUGUAGCCGUGAUGGUUUCUUUUCGGCGGAGUCUGGAAAGUGAACACGGUUUUGGGUUAUGUAUGAACAUAAGUAGUUUCAGGAUCACUUCUUGAUCACUUCUAGCUUCUCGACCGUUCCGUUGCUUCUCUUCUCAUUUGCAUAUGUUAGCCACCAUAUAUGCUUAGUCGUUGUUGCAACCUCACCACUUUACCCCUUCCUUUCCCAUUAAGCUUUGCUAGUCUUGAUACCCAUGGUAAUGGGACUGCUGAGUCCUCGUGGCUCACGGAUUACUACAACAACAGUUGCAGGUACAGGUUAUGUGAUGAUCAUGACGCGAGAGCGAUGUUUGCUUGUUUUGGAGUUCUUCUUCUGCUUCUUCUUCGAUCAGGGGAUAGGUUCCAGGUCGGCAGCCUGGGCUAGCAGGGUGGAUGUCGUUUGAGUUUCUGUUUGUGAUUCAUCCGUAGUCGGAUGUUGCUCUUAUGUAUUGUGAUGUUGUAAUCAUGUGGCUUUGUAUGCCUUUUGCAUGUAUCCCCAUCUAUUAUGUAAUGUUGAUGUAAUGAUAUCCACCUUGCAAAAGCGUAUCAAUAUGCGGUUCUAUCCUUGGUGGGGCCUUCGAGUCUCUUUAGGAUAGUAUCGCAUAUUAGGCGUGAUAUCAAUCCCAGUGACAGAAGGGGACAUGACACGUAUGUAUCCUUGCUAUUAAGGAUAACAAGAUGGGGUCUAUUCCUACAUGAUAGAUUUUGUCUACAUCAUGUCAUCGUUCUUAUUGCAUUACUCCGUUUCUCCGUGAACUUAAUCACUAGAUGCAUGCUGAAUAGCGGUCGAUGUGUGGACUAAUAGUAGUAGAUGCAGGCAGGAGUCGGUCUACUAAUCUUGGACGUGAUGCCUAUAUAAUGAUCAUUGCCUGGAUAUCGUCAUAAUUAUUUGAAGUUGUAUCAAUUGCCCAAUAGUAAUUUGUUUCCCCGCCGUAUGCUAUGUUUCUCGAGAGAAGCCACUAGUGAAAUGUAGGGGCCCCGGGUCUGUUCCUUGUCAUAUUUGCUUUGAGAUAUAUUUUUAUUCGCUUUUAUUUUCAGAUCUAUUAUUCCAAAAACCCAAAAAAUACCUUGCUGCAAUUUUUUUGUUAUUUGUUUUAUUUUGCGUUUCCGCAAGAUCUAUUUAUCCAAUCUACUAUAAACCAAUCUAUCUUUUACCUGGGAGGGAUUGACAACCCCUCUUACGCGUCGGUUGCAAGUAUUUGUUCUUUGUGUGCAGGUACCGUUUACAAAGUGUUGCAUGGUUCUCCUACUGGUUCGAUAAACUUGGUCUCAUCACUGAGGGAAAUACCUACCGUAGAUAUGCUGCAUCAUCCCUUCCUCUUUGGGGAAAUAUCGACGUAGUUCAAGCCGAAGAAAUUUUCUGGCGCUGUUGCCGCGGAGACAUCAUCAACAUCUAUCAGGUUCCUAAUCACAAAUCUCAUCUCAUUGCAAUUUACAUUAUUUGCCAUUUGCCUCUCGUUUUCAUCCCCCCCCCCACUUCAAAAAAUUGCCGGUUUAUUCACCCUCUUUUUUGUUUGCCUUUUUCUCGUUCGAUCUUUUGUUUGUGUGACAUCUUGUUUGCUAUUUUUGCUUGUGUUGCCAUGUGCCUUCUAUUUGCUUGCAUCUUCGCUUGCUAAAAAUCUAUUGAUAUGGAUCCUCAUCCACUUGCUAAUAUUUUUAAAAGAUCCAAUUAUGAUGAACCAAUUGCUAGUGAUAUGAGUGCACUAGAUUAUCUCUAUGAAGUUUUGCUUGAAAUUCGUGAAUCUAAAAAUUGUGAUGAAGUACUAAAAGAAUAAAUUUAUGAAGAGAUUCAUGAUAGCUCCUUGAAUGAAAAGCAUGAUUGCAAUGGUGUUACUAUAAUUCUAUUAUUGUCAUUGUGCUAAUAAUAUGCAAAACCCCAAGCUUGGGAAUGCUAAUUUUGCUAUGUCCACUACUUGUUACAACGAUCAUGAUUGGGGUGAUAAUGAUUCAUAUGAUCUUGAAAAUUUAUUUAAGCCUCAUGAUGAAUAUGUUUGCGAUAAUAUUGAAAGUGGGUUUGGAAGAGCGUCAACUUUCAGUAUAAAUAAUCCCUCAACUUUCUUUAUACUUGUGUAGUAAUUUCUCUAGAUUAUCUCUAUCAUUACAAGCAAGAAUAUCCCUAGUUGUUUCUUCACUCAUAACAUAACCUUCUGGUACCUUAGGCAAUUCAUAUCUAGGAGGGCUAGUUCUAGCAGGUGUUUCAGGAGAUUCAGUUUCAAGCUCAUCAUCAGAUUCAACAACAUGUUGUAUUACUCUAGAAAUUUGUUCAUCAAGAAAUUCACCAAGUGGCACAUCAUCAUUAUCAAGCAAGGUACUAGCAUCAUCAUAAGCAUCAUUCAUAGUAGAAGUAGCAUCAUCGAUAACUUGCGACAUAUCAGAAUUGAUAGCAUGUGGUGUUGUUGCAAAUUUACUCAUAACAGAAGGUGAAUCUAAAGCAGAACUGGAUGGCAGUUUCUUACCUCCCCUCGUACUUGAGGGAAAUAUCUUAGUCUUAGGAUCCUUCAGAUUCUUCAUAGUGAUAAUAUGAUAAUAAUCCCAAGUGACUCAACAAAUAUAGCUAUGCUCCCCGGCAACGGUGCCAAAAAAAGGUCUUGAUAACCCACAAGUAUAGGGGAUCGCAACAGUUUUCGAGGGUAGAGUAUUCAACCCAAAUUUAUAGAUUCGACACAAGGGGAGCCAAAGAAUAUUUGAAGGUAUUAGUAGCUGAGUUGUCAAUUCAACCACACCUGGAGAUUAAUUAUCUACAGCAAGGUGAUCAGUAGGAAAGUAGUUUGAUAGUUUUGAUAGUAGUGAUAGUAGCAACGGUAACAGUAACAGUGAUAGCAGUAAUUUUGUAGCAAGUAUAACAAUGAUGAUAGCAGUAGUAACUUAGCAGAACAAUAUAGGAUAAAUUCGUAGGCAUUGGAUCGGUGACUUGUUGGAUGAUAUUCAUCAUGUGACAGUUAUAAACUAGGGCGAUACGGCACUAGCUCCAGUUCAUCGAUAUAAUGUAGGCAUGUAUUCCGUAAAUAGUCAUACGUGCUUUAUUAAAAGAACUUGCAUGACAUCUUUUGUCGUACCCUCCCGUGGCAGCGGGGUCCAUAUUGGAAACUAAGGGAUAUUAAGGCCUCCUUUUAAUAGAGAACCGGAACAAAGCAUUAACACAUAGUGAAUACAUGAACUCCUCAAACAACGGUCAUAACACGUAGUAGGUGACUAUAACUUGCAAGAUCGGAUCUAGAACAUGGAUAUAAUGAUGCUAACAUAAAUGGUUCAGAUCUGAAAUCAUGGUACCUGGGCCCAAAUUGACAAGCAUUAAGCAUAGCAAAGUCAUAGCAAUAUCAAUCUAAGAACAUAGUGGAUACUAGGGAUCAAGCCCUAACAAAACAAACUCGAUUACAUGAUGAAUCUCAUCCAACUCCUCACCGACCAGCGAGCCUACGAAGGAAUUACUCAGUCCCGGUGGAGAGCAUCAUGGAAUUGGCGAUGGAGAAGGGUUGGUGAUGACGAAGAACGAAGACCCCCCUCUCCGGAGCCCCAAACGGACUCCAGAUCUGCCCUCCCGAGGAAGAACAGGGCUUGGCGGCGGCUCCGUCUCGUGGAUCGUGAUAAUUCUUUCUCCCUGAUUAUUUUCUCCAAAAAUAGGAUUUUAUAGCGUUGGUUUUAGGGUCAGCGGGGCCACUAGGUGGGGACAACCCACCUAGGCGCGCCAGGAGAGGGGGGCGCGCCCUGGUGGGUUGUGCCCACCCAGGUGCCCUCUCUGGCAGGUCUUGGCUCCAGAGAUUCUAUUUUAUUGUAUAAAAAUUCCUUGCAAAGUUUCGUUCCAUUCCGAGAACUUUUAUUUCUGCACAAAAACAACACCAUGGUAGUUCUGCUGAAAACAACGUCGUCCGGGGUUAGUUUCAUUCAAAUCAUCCAAAUUAGAGUCCAAAACAAGAGGGAAAGCAUUAGGAAAAGUAGAUACAUUGGAGACGUAUCAGUGUUCAAUCUUAUGAAUUUUUUUUUAUGAAAGUGGGUCUUGAGAGGUCAUGACUUUAGUUGAUGUUAAUCCCACUAUCUUGGAAGAUUAUAAGAAUUUUAUGCAUGUGGAUCAUGGAGAGAAAAUUUUGUGUCAUAGCUAUAUUGUCGAAUUUGAUUAUGAUCAUACAUGUAAUUAUUUUGAGAGAGGAAAAUAUGGUUGUAGAAAUUUUCAUGUUACUAAAUUCCCUCUCGUUAUGUUGAGAUUGUCAAUGUUUCAUUCUUCUCCCUUGCAUAUGCUAAUUUUUGCUUGCCUUGAUAAUCUGUUUGCUUAUGAAAUGCCUAUGCAUUGGAAGCAUGUUAGACUUAAAUUUAUUUGUCACAUGUUUUAUUAUGCUUUCUUCAUGUUUCAAUUAUUAUCUUUCAUGAGAGCAUCAUUGAAAUCUCAAGCCUAUCUUAAUGGCUAUAAAGAAAGAGCUUGUUGGGAGGCAACCCAAUGAAUAUUUUUUUUUGUCUUUUUCAUUCUGUUCUUGAGUGUUUGCACAAUUAUGCUACUGUUAUGAUUAUGUUUUUCAUGUUUUAAUUAGUGUUUGUGUCAAGCAAAGCCUUUGGGAUCAUGUUGGGUGAUAGCUGAUUUGAUCUUGUUGAAAAACAGAAACUUUUGCGCAUGGUAAAACAAUUUUAGUUAAUCACAGAAGCACGAUAAAAAUCCUGAUUUUGUACACAAGAUUGAUAUACAAAUUGCCCAUGUUAUCCUAAUUUUCAUAAUCUUUGGAGUUACAGAAGUACAAAGUUUUUAGAUUGCUAUAGACUGUUCUGUUUUUGACAGAUUCUGUUUUCUUUGCGUUGUGUGCUUUUUUUAUGAAUCUAUGGUUCGUAUUGGAGGGUAUAAGCCAUGGUAAAGUUGGAAUACAGUAGGUAUAAUGCAAAAAUAAAGUAUGAAUGGGUUUGCAACAGUACUUAGAGUAGUGAUUUGCUUUGUUAUACUAACGAAUCUCACGAAGGUUUUGUUGAGUUUUGUGUGAUUGAAGUUUUCAAGUUUUGGGAGAGAUCACGAUGGAUGAAGGAAUAUGGAGUAAGAACAGCCUAAGCUUGGGGACUCCCCAUGGCACCCCAAGUUAUUAUCCAAAGAGGAACAAGCAACUAAGCUUGGGUAUGCCCCGAGUGGCAUCCCCUCUUUCUUCUAACGACCAUCGGUAUUUUACUUGGAGCUAUAUCUUUAUUCGUCACAUAUCAUGAGUUUUUCUUGGAGCGUCUUGUAUUAUAUGAGUCUUUUCUUGUUUUUCUUUUUGUUUGUGUCAUCUAACCUUGCUGGACACACCUAUUUGAGAGAGCCAAAAUUAUGCUAUGAUUUGCUAGAAUUGCUCUAUGUGCUUCACUUAAUUUUUUUUGAGCUAUGGAAUUGCUUUAGUGCUUCACUUAUAUCUUUUUGAGCAUGGUGUGCUUUACUAUUUUUGAAGAAAUUCUCUCAUGCUUCACUUAGAUUUAUUUGAGAGUUAGUAAAAUUUUGAAGAAAUUUUCUCAUGCUUCACCAAAAUGUUUUUGAGAGAAGAAAAUGUUUAUGCUCAUGUUCUUCACUUAGAUUUGUUUGAGCUAUCAAAAGCAACAUAUGAAACUAGUCCCAAAGUGAUAGAUAUUCAAGAGGGAUAUAAUAAAAACUUUCAUGAAGAUCAUUGGACAAAAUAAACUUAAUUCUUUGUAAUAGUUUUGCGAUAUGAUGAUAGUGAUAUGUGAGUCAUGUUGAUAAGUAAUUAUGCUUUAGUAAGAAUAUUGAUGUUAAAGUUUGUGAUUCCCUAUGCAAGCACGAAAGUCAGUAGUUAUGCAAUGAAAUUACAUCCUACUUGUGGUGCAUUAUUCGGUGUUAGUUAUGCUUAACCCUCGCUUAUGAGGUUUUUUGUUUCUUGGUUGGAUGCUUCUCAAUCUUUUGCUAGCCUUCACUUGUACUAAGUGGGAUUACUACUUGUGCAUCCAAAAUCCUUAAACCCAGUUUUGCCAUAUGAGUCCACUAUAACUACCUAUAUGCGGUAUUUCCAUGCCAUUCUAAGCAAAUUUGUAUGUGCCAUCUCUAAUUUUCAAAAUAAAUUUCCUUUUUGCGUGCUCGUACCGCUCAUGAAACGGUAGGGGGUGGCUGAUAAUUUUCCAUGCUAGACGUGUUAUUCUCAAGAUGAGUGUUUAUUCACUUGUCAUUGCACGAGAGUACGACAAAGGUAUUAGGGAUGCCCAGUACCAAAAUGAAAAAUGAAUUUACUUUAUGUUGUCAAAUAAUAAAUUCCUUGAAAUUUUUUGGUAUGGAUGGUACCUGUGGAUUCGGUUAGCCGUGGAAUGUGAAAGUAUGGUGGAAAAAGGAAUAAACUUUAUUUUUUGUUUGGGAACCGCCUAUGCUAUAUCUAGCAUGUAAAGUAUUGGGAACUACUCCAUUGUUUUCAUUGACAGGAAAAGCAUGCCACCCAAAAUGUUUUAUCUCUAUCUUUUUCCGCUUUGAGCUCUGGCACCUCUACAAAUCCCUCCUUCCCUUUGCGAAGGGCCUUUUUUUUACUUUAUGCAACUUUUAUUUUUAUUUGAGUCUCCAUCUUCUCUUAUAAAGCACCAACUAAGGGGCACCAUCAUCGUACUUGAGCAUUGGGUGUAGCUAAUAUGCAAGUGUGUUUCAUGAAUGCAUCAAUGAUUGAGCAUAAUGGGCUAGGGAUAACUUGCUUUAGUGUGGAUAUUUUGAAAGACAUGUUUGUUUGUUGAUAUGCUUCAGUAUUGAAAUCUUCAUGUCAAAACUAGACUAUUGUUUUGAAUCAUAUAGAAGUCCAAAUGUCCAUGCUACAAAAUAAAAGAAUAUGUGAUGAACAUGAUAGGCAGCAUUCCACAUAAAAAAUUCUGUUUUUAUCAUUUACCUAAUCGAGGACGAGCAGGAAUUAAGCCUUGGGAUGCUGAUACGUCUCCAACGUAUCUAUAGUUUUUGAUUGUUCCAUACUAUUUUAUUAUCAUUCUUGGAUGUUUUACAAUCAUUUUAUAGCAACUUUAUAUCAUGUUUGGGACUAACCUAUUGACAUAGUGCCCAGUGCCAGUUGCUGUUUAUUGCUUAUUUUUUACUUCGCAGAAAAUCAAUACCAAAAGAAGUCCAAACGCAGCAAAAAAAUUUGGGGAUUUUUUCAGAAGACACAUGAUGGGCCAAGAAAGUACCAGAUGGGGGAUCCCAGGGAAGCACAACUCACCUGGGUGCGCCUAGGGGCCCAGGCGCGCCCUGGUGGGUUCUGCCCACCUUGGCCGGCUCCCGCACCGCCUCUUUGCUCUAUAAAUACCCCAAAAAUCCAAAAACCCUAGGGGAGUCGACGAAACACAGUUCCAGCCGCCUCAAGUUCCAGAAACACCAGAUCCAAUCUAGACACCAUCACAGAGGGGUUCCUCAUCCUCAUUGGUGCCUCUCCGAUGAUGCAUGAGUAGUUCAUUGUAGACCUUUGGGUCCGUAGUUAGUAACUAGACGGCUUCCUCUCUCUCUUUUGAUUCUCAAUACAAUGGUCUCUUGGAGAUCUAUUUGAUGUAAAUCUUUUUGCGGUGUGUUUGUUGGGAUCUGAUGAACUUUGAGUUUAUGAUCAGAUCUAUUUUAUCCAUGAAAGUUAUUUGAGUUUUGAUCUCUUAUAUGCAUGAUUGCUUAUAGCCCCGUGUUUCUUCUCCGAAUCUUUGGUUUAGUUAGGCCAACUAGAUCGAUUUUUCUUGCCAUGAGAAGAGGUUCUUUGUGAUAGGUUCGAUCUUACAGUGCUCAAUCCCAGUGACAGAAGGGGACAUGACACGUAUGCAUCGUUGCUAUUAAGGAUAACAAGAUGGGUCAAUACCUACAUGAUAGAUCUUGUCUACAUCGUGUCAUCGUUCUUAUUGCAUUACUUUGUUUCUCCAUGAACGUAAUACACUAGAUGCAUGCUGGAUAGCGGUCGAUGUGUGGAGUAAUAGUAGUAGAUGCAGGCAGGAGUCGGUCUACUAAUUUUGGACGUUAUGCCUAUAUAAUGAUCAUUGCGUGGAUAUCGUCAUAAUUAUUUGAAGUUGUAUCAAUUGCCUAACAAUAAUUUGUUUCCCCGCCGUAUGCUAUUUUUCUCGAGAGAAGCCACUAGUGAAAUCUACGACCCCCGGGUCUGUUCUUUAUCAUAUUUGCUUUGAGAUCUAUUUUUAUUCGCUUUUAUUUCAGAUCUAUCAUUCCAAAACCCCCAAAAAUACCUUGCUGCAUUUUUUGUUAUUUAUUUUAUUCUGCGUUUCUGCGAGAUCUAUUUAUCCAAUCUACUACAAACCAAUCUAUCUUUUACCCACGAGGGAUUGACAACCCCUCCUACGCGUCGGGUUGCAAGUAUUUGUUCUUUGUGAGGUACUGUUUACAUAGUGUUGUGUGGUUCUCCUACUGGUUCGAUAACCUUGACGGAAAUAUACCCUAGAAGCAAUAAUAAAGUUUUUAUUAUUACAUUUCCUUAUUCAUGAUAAAGGUUUAUUAUUCAUGCUAGAAUUGUAUUGACCAAAAACUUAAAUACAUGUGUGAAUAGAUAAGAAAAUACCGUGUCCCAAGUGAGCCUCUACUAGACUAGCUCGUUACAAGAGAUGGUUAAUGUUUCCUAACCAUAGACAUGUGUUCUCACUUGGUAACGAGAUCACAUCAUUAGGAGAAUGAUAUGGUGGACAAGACCCAUUUGUUAGCAUAGCAUAUGAUCGUCCAGUUUAUUGCUACCGCUUUCUUAAUGUCAAAUACAUAUUCCUUCGACCAUGAGAUCAUGCAACUCCCGGAUACCGGAGGAAUACCUUGUGUACUAUCAAACAUCACAACGUAACUGGGUGAUCAUAAAGAUGCUCUACAGGUAUCUCCGAAGGUGUCUGUUGAGUUGGCAUGAAUCAAGAUUGGGAUUUGUCACUUCGUAUAUCGGAGAGGUAUCUCUGGGUCCUCUCGGUAAUACAACAUCACAAGAAGCUUGCAAACAAAGUGACUAAGAAGUUAGUUACGAGAUGAUGUAUUACGAAACGAGUAAAGAGACUUGUCAGUAACGAGAUUGAACUAGGUAUGAAUAUACCGACGAUCGAAUCUCGGACAAGUAACAUACUGACAGACAAAGGGAAUUACGUAUGUUGUCAUAAGGUUCGACCGAUAAAGAUCUUUGUGGAAUAUGUAGGAAUCAAUAUGGGCUUCCAUGUCCCGCUAUUGGUUAUUGACCGGAGAGGUGUCUCGGUCAUGACUACAUAAUUCCCGAUUCCGCAGGGUCGCACGCUUAACGUCCGUUGACGCUAGAGUAGUAUUGGGAUAUCUGAUGAGUGGUAACCAAAUGUUGUUAGGAGUCUCAGAUGAGAUCUCGGACGUCACGAGGAGUCUCGGAAUGGUCGGGAGGUAAAGAUUUAUAUAUGGGAAGUCAUAUUUUGGGUUCCGAAAAAAGUGUAGUUUUUUCGGUUUUGUACUGGGAAGCUUCCAGAAGGUUUCGGAGGAUUCCGGAGGGGUCCGGAAGUCCNNNNNNNNNNNNNNNNNNNNNNNNNNNNNNNNNNNNNNNNNNNNNNNNNNNNNNNNNNNNNNNNNNNNNNNNNNNNNNNNNNNNNNNNNNNNNNNNNNNNNNNNNNNNNNNNNNNNNNNNNNNNNNNNNNNNNNNNNNNNNNNNNNNNNNNNNNNNNNNNNNNNNNNNNNNNNNNNNNNNNNNNNNNNNNNNNNNNNNNNNNNNNNNNNNNNNNNNNNNNNNNNNNNNNNNNNNNNNNNNNNNNNNNNNNNNNNNNNNNNNNNNNNNNNNNNNNNNNNNNNNNNNNNNNNNNNNNNNNNNNNNNNNNNNNNNNNNNNNNNNNNNNNNNNNNNNNNNNNNNNNNNNNNNNNNNNNNNNNNNNNNNNNNAGAGAACACACGAAAUCCUAGGCGCCCCUCUCUCUCCCAUUACUCCGUAGUUCCACCGCCUCGUCCCGGUGACGCUUAGCAAGCGCUAUCGGUACUCCACCACCACCAUCAGCACCACGCCGUCGUGUUGGUUGUGAUCCCAUCUACUUCUCCUCUCCCGCUUGCUUGAUCAAGAAGGAGACAUCAUCUACUUCUCCUCCUCUCAUUGCUAUGCAUCUCCAUGGAUAGAUCUUGUGUGUGCCUAGAUUUUUUUUUUUUGUUAUCCAUGCAUCGUUUCCCAUCAAACCUUGGUCCCAUCACUAAGGGAAAUACCUACCGUAGCUGUGCUGCAUCAUCCCUUCCUCUUUGGGAAAAUACCGACGUAGUUCAACCGCAUCAACAAGGUACAUCGAAUUUUUGUAGACAGAGGGAGCUCCUCAGUUUAAUCCUAAUGCAGACUUUGUAGCAAAGGCAAAUACCACGAAGGAUCCACCUCGACGGAGUUGUUUUACGGGCUCCUCCCACAAACAACCCACAAUCCUUUGAGAAGGAUCACCCUCCCGGUGACCUUUGGAGAGAAAGGAACUACAAGAAGCAGGAUUCCUCAUUUGAGGUGAUAGGCUUUGACAUGUUUUUUCUUUCCCGAAAAGGAGGAUAACCCCUGACCUCUGCAUUGAGCUAUGCACACAACCACAUAUAUAUAGAAUUGUGAGAAUUAUGAAGAAAUAGGAGUCGGUUAAAGUUAUCUCCUACGCCAUCCCAUCCGCAACUAGUAUGCGCCCAUUCUCAAUCUAACAUCUCACAAGAAGAUUUUAGAUUUCAAAGAAGUUAGUUUCCGUCGGAUACAUACCGUCUUAAAAAUACAUGGAUACUUUUUGAAUUUAGUGAACAUUUUUUUUAUCAAAAUAUGAGCACUUUCUUUAUACUGUAAUUUCACUUUUUAGUUAGAUACAUGAAAAUAAAGUAAAUAUGUUACAUGCAGUACGAAAUAAAAUAAAAUAAAAAUCUGAAAACAAAAAAUUGAAACAAUAUUAAAUGGAAGAAAAAACAAAAGAAAGAAAAGAAAUUAAGAAAAAAUGCGCUCCACCCCGCGCUUGGGUGGAUGCAACUGCAUGAGUUUAGUGCAAGUUUGCUCGCUACCCCGCGCAUUACGUGCCGAUUUGGAAUACCUUGUCUUUUUGAGAAAGAGAGAUCCAUCUCUGAUUUUCAUUGAUAGAAAUCACAGUGUCUUACAAACUACCAUCGACCACUACAUAUAUACUGCCAACACACAACCAUUGACAGAUCGAACGACACGAUCCCCUGACGAUGCAGAACUGGGCAUCUCCACCCCCCAUCAGGAUCGCAGACCAGGAGGAAAGCUACAGCUGCAAAACACAAGAUCUAACACAUAAUCUGAAUCACACAACCCCUCGUGAGAAAUCCCAUAUGUCGGGCCUCUAGGCAAGAGGAUAUCAUUUAGCAUCGAACAAAACACAAACCAAGUUUCACCAAGUGCAUAUUCAUCAAGGAAAGCAAAAAAAAAAUAUUUUUUGUAAUAAGCUUAUAGUUGGCACCUAUAAGAUUUGCUCCAUAGUAUUAGUUGUUCAAUUUUUUUAGAAUCAUUUGCUGUAAAAAAGAUGAUAUUGUUAACAAACAUUUUGGGCCCAGGAGGUACGUUAUUUUUUGAGAAUCUGGGCCCAGAUACGUAUGGCUUGGUACCUGCCGUCUUUAUCCCAAGAGUCAAAAUGUCUUUGUAAGCACUGGUGCCUGGCCCGGUAAUACGGCCCGGCCUGUGCGUAUUACGUCCUCCGUCCGGCUGCCGCUAGGGCUUCAUCUCCCGUAGGCAGCUUGAUUUACUGCCGAAGCUUCUUUAUUUAUACGACUACAUACAAGAGGCGCCGUUCGAUCAAUCCUAACUAGGAAGAGAUGACAUCGUCUAGAAGCAACUACCGCGUGAUGACGGCGGAGGAAGAGGAGGCGGCCGACCGGUGCGUGGGCUGGAUCUUGGUCUAUAUCGCGGUACUCUACCUCGGCUUCUUCGCCGUCUCCGCCGUGAUCUCCUACACGCACGUGUUUACCCGCGCCGCCAGGUCCGACAAGAUCUUCUUUGGGAUCCUGGGAGCGCCUUUUCUGCCCAUCGGCCUUGGCUUCAUCUGCCUGCUUCUACGGGAGGACGGGCCCUUCCGCAACAAGCAUGCCUCCGCUCGAGUCGCCGACCUGCCGCCUGCCGAUGUGUGCUAGCCAUCUUUGGUUGUUUCUAGUGCGUGAAUUAAUGUUCGGAGUAUUACUUUGUUUUAUUUGAUCCAGUGUAGUUCUCUUUCUGCUUGCUAGUUGUAACAUCUUUUGUCCUUAGCAGGUGGGAAACUUGUACGUACUAGAUUUUCAAAGGCACGCGUUGCUGCGCCCCUCGAUUUUAACACUAAUAGUAGUGAUUGAUGCAGUUACACGUCAAUCUAGAAUUUUAAUCACGUGGCGUAAUCAUCACAUUAUAUUUGAAGGCAAUAUUCAAUCAUGAGACAUAAUUAGAAAACAUGCCCUUGCGUCGCAACGGGAGCAAACAUGUUAUGAAGGCCCUAUCAAGAUGCAACGAUGUCAGAAAGACUUUUUUUAACUUGAAAUGCUGCCACGACUGAUCCCCCCCCCCCCCCCCCCGGCCCCUGCGUCGCUCCCGCAGGGGCAACUCGGGCGGCCCUAACCCUAGCCGCCGCCGGCGGCCCCUCCCCCUUCUCCUCUCCCUCGCCACCACCGGAGGGGGUCGCCGGAAAGCCGCGCGUCCGCCGGGGAGGGUGGUGGCGAGGAUCUGUCCGCCUGUUUCGCGCAGGGGAUGUGGAGCCGGGGCGGCGGCCUCGGGUGGUGGUGCGUCGCCGUCUUCAGCCCGCGGUGUCGCUGGUGCUGGCCGCCCACUUGGCCACGCGGGUGGCAAGGCGGCGGCGGGUGGUGGCUGUGGGGCGCGGCGGCCGCGGGGGCGCCUGCCCCGGAUCUGACGCCUUCGCCCCCAACCAGUUCGGCCUUUGUCAGAUCUGGCUUCCGGCUGGCCCUGGUCGCCGGCGCCGCGUCUGUGGUAGGGGUGGGGGAGACGGGGGACCUGGAGAAAUCCACGGCUGGCUAGGCCGGCCACGACGACGGCGACGCCUGAGGGCGCCGUCUCCUACCUGUAGGGGCCGUCAAGGUGCCCCCUUUCCCCCUUCUGCCUCUCUCCCCUUCUCGUGCACCGGGGUGAAAACCCAAAUCCCCCUGGAUUGGGCGGCAGCGACGCUUGCGGCGUCGCCACCUUCAUGGAGGUGCCGUCUUCGGUUGAGCAUGGGGAGGUGGCUAGUUUGAUCUGGUUGGUGGGCGUCCGGUGGCGACAUGGUUGGCGUUGAUGGGGUCUUGGUGGUGCUUCUCCAAGUCAGUGGCUUCCCAACAUUGUCUGCUCUGUCACCAGCAGCCUCACCAUGCUUUUUGCUUCUCCUUGAGUUUGGUUCCCCCCUGCUCCAUGUUUGCCUUUGUGGAGCUCGGCGACGCGAGUUAGUGGUGCCCGGGUCAGGCUUUCCGGGCGGCAAUGGCGUCGGUUGUACAUCUUUGCUCUAGGGACACUAGUAGAAAAAGGGUCAAACGUGAAGCACAUUAGUGCCGGUUUGUAUUAGAGUCGGCACUAAUGCAUACAUUAGUGUCGGUUCCAACGGCUAGCCGGGCCGCUCUCAUUAGUACCAGUUCGUGGCUAACCUUUAACAAUGGUUCGUGCCACGAACCGGUACUAAUGAGGGUGGUGGCAGGAUGUUGUCAGUCUGGGCCCCCUCCAGCACCUUUAGUACCGGUUCAUGGUACGAACCGGUACUAAAGGUCCUCCUACAUAUAAACCCUUCGUCCAGCUCGCUCUGUUCUUCCCCCUUUCCCCUCUCCUCUCCUCUCUGUUCUUCCUCUUCUCCCCUCGAGCUCAUCACACAUUUUGCCCAAAAUUUGUCAAGAUUUGAAGGCCCCCAUCCAUUCAAGUGAUCACAAAGGUUAGCAACUUUGUCCUUUCAUCUCUCAUUGCUAGAUUAGCUCUUGCAAUGCUUUAUAUAGUUACUAAUUUGUGAGUUUAGUAAUUUGGGAGGAAAUAUAUAUAUAUGUGCUAGUAUUUGAUUUUUAUGCAAUUUGAGGUCAAAAAUAACACUUAGUUUGCAUAUGUAGGUGUGGUUUACUUAGUGCCUUCUAAAUCUCCGUCGUAACCACCGUCGAUCGCCCGCACCGUCCCGUCGCCGGCACCACCUUGUGGUGAGCCUCUUGUUCAUGAAAUUUUAUAUAAAAAAUUGAUGUUUGUGUGAUUUGGAUAUAUAGUUAAUCAUGUAAUAAUUAUCUUACCCGUACGUUGUUUGUUAUACAUAGUGCCAUGGUUUUGAUAUCCGUCCCCGUCGGCUCUCGUCCUUGUUAUGAUUCGGAUGUGGUAUAUUCUCUUUUAAAACUAUUUGUUGCAUUUCGUGUUUAUGACAAAUUAUGCCCAUCAAGUUGACAUAGAUAUUUUUAUCUAGGAGGUAUGUGAACCGGAAAUUCCAAUCGACCCUAUUAUCGAGAGGUUAAAUUUAGUUGAAAGAGAAAACGAGUACUUGAAAGAAAAAUUGAAAAGAAUUGAGGGGGAGAAGAUGGAAUUGGAGUUGCAUGUUGCCGAUGUCGUCGAUGAUCACAAGAUCAAGAUGGAGAAAAUGCGCUUGAAGAAUAGAAAGAUUAGAAAAUAUGCCAUCAUAGUGAGGCUUGGUAUCAUUAUGCUGUUGGAUCAAUUGUUAUCUUAGUUGCGAUCUUGAUCGCAUUUGUUGUUGCAUUUAAAUGCUUUAGCUAGAGAGUUAUUUGUUUGUUGCAUUUAAGUGUUGUAUGAACUUGUAUUAAUUUGGUCUAUUCGGUGUUGUGUAAUGAAGAUGAGCCGGCAAUGGAUGUACGAUGACCGAUGCUCUCCCCAGUUCGUUGAGGGUGUGCAUACUUUUCUGCUUGCGGCUGAGGCAAACAAGCGGGCGGAUGGUUUUAUGCCUUGUCCAUGUGCUGGUUGUAAGAAUGGUCACAAUUACUCCACGUCAAGAACCAUUCACGUCCACCUGUUUGAGUCCGGUUUCAUGUCCCACUAUAAUGUUUGGACCAAGCACGGAGAAAGAGGGGUUAUGAUGGAAGACAAUGAAGAAGAAGAGGACGACGACAGCUAUCCUGGCCAUGGGUUCCCUGAAUACGAUGAUACAACAAUGGGGGAAGAAGCUGAGCCGGUAAUGCGGGAAGAAGUUGAGCCGGCAAUGCGGGAAGAAGCUAAAGAAGAGGCAUCAGAUGAGCCCGUUGAUGAUCUAGGUCCGGCCAUUGCCGAUGCAAAGAGAAACUGCGCAAGUGAUUUGGAGAAGAAGAAGUUGCAGCGCAUGUUAGAGGAUCACAAAAAAUUGUUGUACCCGAAUUGCGUAGGUGACAAGAAAAAGCUGGGCACCACGCUAGAAUUGCUGCAAUGGAAGGCAGAGAAUGAUGUAUCUAACAAGGGAUUUGGAAAGUUGCUGGUAAUGAUAAAGGAUAUGCUUCCAAAGGACAACGAAUUGCCCGAGAGUACGUACGAAGCAAAGAAGGAUGUCUGCCCUCUAGGGUUAGAGGUGCAGAAGAUACAUGCAUGCCCUAAUGAUUGCAUCCUCUACCACGGUGAGUACAAGGAUUUGAACGCUUGCCCGGUAUGUGGUGCAUUGCGCUAUAAGAUCAGUCGCGAUGAGCCUGGUGAUGUCGAGGGCGAGCGCCCCAGGAAGAAGAUUCCUGCCAAGGUGAUGUGGUAUUCUCCUAUAAUACCAUGGUUGAAACGUUUGUUCCAAAACAAAGAGCAUGCCAAGGCGAUGCGAUGGCACAGAGAAGACCGUAAGAAAGACGGAAAGUUGAGAGUACCCGCUGAUGGGUCGCAGUGGAGAAAAAUCGAAAGAAAGUACGGGAAGGAUUUUGCAGAUGACGCAAGGAGCGUAUGGUUUGGUCUAAGCGCAGAUGGCAUUAAUCCUUUUGGGGAGCAGAGCAGCAACCAUAGCACCUGGCCUGCGACUCUAUGUUUGUAUAACCUUCCUCCUUGGUUGUGCAUGAAGCGGAAGUUCAUUAUGAUGCCAGUGCUCAUCCAAGGCCCUAAGCAACCCGUCAACGACAUUGAUGUGUACCUAAGGCCAUUAGUUGAAGAACUCUUACAACUGUGGAAUGGAACAGGUGUACGUGCGUGGGAUGAGCACAUGGGGGAAGAAUUUGACCUAAAGGCGUUGCUGUUCGUGACCAUCAAUGAUUGGCCUGCUCUCAGUAACCUUUCAGGACAAACAAACAAGGGAUACCGCGGAUGCAUGCACUGUUUGGAUGAUACCGACAGUAUAUAUUUGAAUAGUUGUAAGAAGAAUGUGUACCUGGGACAUCGUCGAUUUCUUUCGAGCAGGCAUCCCAUAAGAAAGAAAGGCAAGCAUUUGAAAGGUGAGGCGGAUCACCGGACGAAGCCUCGCCACCGUACUGGUGCUGAUGUACAUGAUAUGGUCAAGGAUUUGAAGGUGAUAUUUGGAAAGGGUCCUGGCGGACAACCUGUUCCAAAUGACGCGGACGAACGCGCACCCAUGUGGAAGAAGAAAUCUAUAUUUUGGGACCUGCCAUAUUGGAAAGACCUAGAGGUCCGCUCCGCAAUUGACGUGAUGCACGUGACGAAGAAUCUUUGCGUGACCCUGCUUGGCUUCUUGGGCGUGUAUGGGAAGACAAAAGAUACACCUGAGGCACGGGAGGACCAGCAACGUAUGCACGGAGAAGACGGCAUACAUCAGGGUCAUGCAAGCUACGCUCUUACCAAAGAAGAGAAGGAAAUCUUCUUUGAAUGCCUGCUCAGUAUUAAGGUACCGUCUGGCUUCUCGUCGAAUAUAAAGAGAAUAAUAAACAUGGCAGAGAAAAAGUUCCAGAACCUAAAGUCUCAUGACUGCCACGUGAUUAUGAUGCAACUGCUUCCGGUUGCAUUGAGGGGGCUUCUACCGGAAAACGUUCGAUUAGCCAUUGUGAAGCUAUGUACAUUUCUCAAUGCAAUCUCUCAGAAGGUAAUCGAUCCAGAAAUCAUACCAAGGUUACAGAAUGAUUUGGUGCAAUGUCUUGUCAGUUUCGAGUUGGUGUUCCCACCAUCCUUCUUCAACAUCAUGACGCACGUCCUAGUUCACCUAUGCGAAGAGAUUAACGUUUUGGGUCCUGUAUUUCUACACAAUAUGUUCCCCUUUGAGAGGUUCAUGGGAGUCUUAAAGAAAUAUGUUCAUAACCAUGCUAGGCCAGAAGGAAGCAUCUCAAAGGGCCAUCAAAAUGAGGAGGUCAUUGAGUUUUGUAUUGACUUUAUUCCUGACCUUAAGACGAUUGGUGUUCCUGAAUCGCGGCAUAAGGGCAGACUAGAUAGAAAAGGCACGCUAGGAGGGGAACAAAUAAUAUGUAUGGACGGACAUUCUCUCACUGAAGCACACUACACAGUUCUACAGAAUUCCACCUUGGUGGCUCCGUAUAUGGAUGAACACAAGAAUUUGCUAUGCUCCAAACACCCGGAGCGGUCUGAUGACUGGAUUACACGUGAACAAACCAGGAGUUUCGCCAACUGGUUGCAGACACGUACCAUGCAUGACACCUCUAUUGAAGAUGACCUGUCCUUGCUGUCCCAGUUACCAUCUUCGAAUAUAAUGACUUUCAAAGGGUACGAGAUAAAUGGUAAUACAUUUUACACGAUCGCCCAAGAUAAGAAGAGCACCAACCAAAACAGUGGUGUCCGCUUUGAUGCAGAAACCAAGACGGGAAAGGAAACAUAUUAUGGUUAUAUACAGGACAUAUGGGAACUUGACUAUCGACGUGGUUUAAAGGUCCCUUUGUUUUGGUGCAAAUGGGUCAAUAUGACACGAGGCGGGGUAACGGAAGACCCGCAAUACGGAAUGACAACAGUGGAUCUCAACAAUCUUGCGUAUGCAGACGAACCAUUCGUCCUAGCCAAUGAUGUGGCACAGGUUUUCUAUGUGAAGGACAUGUCUACCAAGCCAAGAAAAAGAAAAGAUAAGGAAGCGAAUGCAUCGUACGAUGAGCCAAAGCGGCACAUAGUUCUUCCUGGGAAGAGAAACAUCGUGGGAGUGGAUGACAAGACAGACAAGUCAGAAGAUUAUGAAAAGUUUGAUGAAAUUGCUCCAUUCACAGUGAAUAUUGACCCGAGCAUCCCGUUAAAUGAUGAAGAUUUUCCAUGGUUACGGUGCAAAGGGACACACGCGAAGAAAAAGUUUCACACCCAAAGAUCUGGGAUGUGAUCGGCUUCACUAUCAUCACUUUCUUCUGUGUCUCACACCCAGGAGGGAAUGUCUGUAAUAGUUAGGGUAGUUAUGUAUUUUGGCAUUUGAAACGCGAAGAAAUUUUAUGUGAAAACAAAUUCUUUUCAUGCAUUUACUGAUUUUUUUUCCAGCUAAAUGACCCUGAAAUUGAAAAGCAAUUCAAAUGAACUCAGAAAAGGUUGAAAGUUCGCAUGGUAUCAUAAUUUCAUACAAAUAGCAUGUGCAAGAAAGUAGAGAGGGUUACGGCAAAAACUAGAUGCACUUCGUGUAUAAAAUGGACAAUCUCUUUCGAAGUAUCAGGGUUUCCAACGAAAACUGAACUGUUACAAAGGCAUUUCAUUUUUUAAAUAACCUAAGCAUUACUAAAUUGAAUAUAAUGAUAAAACACACUAAUAUUAAACAUAAGAAAAAAGAAUCACUGAAAAAACUUUUUUCAAAGUUAAGUUGUUCACAAACUAGUGAUUCACACAAAUUUCAAAUAAUUCAAAAUUUAAACUAUUUAAAUUUGAAAUCUACCGGCACUAACAGAAAGUUUGUAAUUUUUUGUACCUAAAGCAAAAAUAUUCACAAAGAAACUCUAAAUACAGCAAAAAAAACAACUCAAAAAUAAAUAAAACAAAAAAAUAAAGCAAAAAAAAAAUUUAAGAAAAAAAAGCCCGCCUACUGGGCCAAAGCGGCCUGCAUACGACUAGCGACACAACCUUUCGUUGGGCCAGGAUGCAGGCCCGUGAAGGCCCAGUAGGCCCACAAGGCGAGGAGGACAGGUAGGCCCAGUAGGCCUGAUUAGGAGAGGAGCUCGAGAGAGCUACCGCACUGGGGCUUAUAAACCAGUGCGGUAGACCCUCGACUAGCGAGGUGGGACUAAACUUCCGCACCGCACCUGCGCCAGUGCACCACCUUUAGUACCGGGUCGUGGCACAAACCGGUACUAAAGGGGGGGUCUUUAGUACCGGUUUGUGCCACCACCCGGUACUAAAGGGGGUCGCUUCCCUCCGCUUGGCCUGGCCAAAACAGACCUUUAGUACCGGUUGGUGGCUCCAACCGGUACUAAAGGUGCCUUCUAUAUAUACAACUGCUACGAAAAUUUCAGUUUCCCUCUGUUUUCGCUCCUCUGUUCCGUCGUCUUCGUCGCCGUCGCCGCCGCCCUCGAUCGUCUCCGACGUCGCCNNNNNNNNNNNNNNNNNNNNNNNNNNNNNNNNNNNNNNNNNNNNNNNNNNNNNNNNNNNNNNNNNNNNNNNNNNNNNNNNNNNNNNNNNNNNNNNNNNNNNNNNNNNNNNNNNNNNNNNNNNNNNNNNNNNNNNNNNNNNNNNNNNNNNNNNNNNNNNNNNNNNNNNNNNNNNNNNNNNNNNNNNNNNNNNNNNNNNNNNNNNNNNNNNNNNNNNNNNNNNNNNNNNNNNNNNNNNNNNNNNNNNNNNNNNNNNNNNNNNNNNNNNNNNNNNNNNNNNNNNNNNNNNNNNNNNNNNNNNNNNNNNNNNNNNNNNNNNNNNNNNNNNNNNNNNNNNNNNNNNNNNNNNNNNNNNNNNNNNNNNNNNNNNNNNNNNNNNNNNNNNNNNNNNNNNNNNNNNNNNNNNNNNNNNNNNNNNNNNNNNNNNNNNNNNNNNNNNNNNNNNNNNNNNNNNNNNNNNNNNNNNNNNNNNNNNNNNNNNNNNNNNNNNNNNNNNNNNNNNNNNNNNNNNNNNNNNNNNNNNNNNNNNCCGGCCGUCACCUCGCCGUCGCCUCUCCUCGCCGUCGCCUCGCCUCGCCGUCGCCGUCACCCGCUGUGAGUCCUCCAGCCCCGAGCCCGCACACACACACACACACACAAGGAUGUUGAAUUAGUUUAGAUAAUUAGUCUUUAAUUAGUUUAGAUUAUUUAGAUUAUUAUUUUGUAUGUUUAAUUAGUUUAGAUAAUUAGUGUUUAAUUAGUUUAGAUUAUUUAGAUUAUUAUUUUUUCACUAUUAUAUAUGUAUGAAUGCAUGUUAGAUGGAUAUAAUUAGUGCUUAAUCAGUUAGAAAAUAGUGUUAUAUAGAAAUGUUAGAAAUUAAUGUUAUAUAGAAAUGUUAGAAAUGUUAGAAAUUUUAGUGUUAUUUAGAUUAUUUAGAUUAGCAUAAUUAGUGUUAUAUAGAAAUGUUAGAAAUCCAAUCAUUAAAAAAAUGUUACUUUUUGCGGGCAUAUAGCUAGUAUUUGUUCUCGACGAUGCCCGACCCGCAUCCUCGCCGUCGACCCGUCCGCGACGACGUCCAGCCGACCCAUGUUCGGGACUGGGCUCCGCCGGGCUGGCACUGGGAGGUGCUGCUUGGAGGGGCGCGCCGCUUGAUGAGGAACCCGGCCGCGGGUCCCGUCGUCGACCCUGAUCUCGUUUGGUGGCGUUCGCGUGGGCCAAUUUCGGUGCGGAGGGACCCGGCCCCGCCGGAGGUGGUACGUCGCCGUGUCAGGGAGGAGGACGAGCACGUCCAUCGCUACAUGGUUGCGUUAGAGGGCGGCAGGUUCUCCAAUACGUGGCAGUAUCUUCGGGGAUCUCACUUCAGCUAUGAUCCUGUGAGGGUUCCUUCUCUUUGGGUGUCCACCGCCCGCGCCGGAGGAACCGCGAGUGUCCUAGAUUCUUCUGUAGUAUUCGAUCUUUAUUAGCUAAUAGCCAGUGAUGUACUAUUCAAUAUUAUAUAUUAUUCGAGACGAUGUAUUCGAGAUUAUAUCUAUUAUUCUAGACGAUGUAUUCGAGAUUAUAUCUAUUAUUCGAGACGAUGUAAUUUGAAUACUAAAUUGUUUUAUAUUUCUUUUGGAUUAGUUAAAAAAAAGCUAUGGCAGACAAUACCGACAGAGAGGGAGAACAGACCAUGUUCGAUAUGAUACGCGGGCCAGAUGAUAAUCAGAAUGAAGAAGAUUAUGACGGCUCCAAAUUUCUAAACAACACCGAAGAGGGUGAUAUGAUAUUCGAUCGCGACGGCGAAAUUGAUGAAGUCAUGAACUAUGAUUAUGACGAUGACGAAGAACAUGUUGAUCCUGAAACAACAAACACCGGCGAGGUAUAUAUAUUUAUAUAAGCAGGCAUCUAGUGAUCAUCACAUGUUUUAAAUGACUUGAAGAUAUAUUAACGAAUCGAUCUUUGUUCUUUCAGCCAUCCGGAUCGAGCAAAUCUUCAAGCAAAAUGACGAAACGAGGCCCGAACAAAAAGUUGAAGCCGGGCGUAAAGUACAAUAUCGAGGCAUGCGGCCCUACUGGCAAACGAUUAGCGCCUAAGAAGAUUGCGGACAAGUUCGUUCGUCAGUGCGGAGUUCUUGUGAAGGACCAACUCCCGAUCAAACUUCAAGAAUGGAGAGCGCCAGCAAAGCCACGUCCAGAUGUUACUUUUGUCGACAAGAAUCAAAAAGAUCUGCUUUGGGAUACUCUCAUGGAACAUUUCACCCUACCAGAUCAUUUCACAGAAGCAGAUGUGCAGAAAGUCAAAGAGGCUGCUCUUAGGAUGAUGGCGAUUGCAUUCAAGAACUACAAGAAUCGUGAAUGGAACAAGUACGUCAAGGGAGGAAGGAAGACUCCAGUAUUCAAGGGAACACUGGAGAACCAAUGUGAUCAUUGGGACGAUUUCGUGAAAUUCAAGGAUUCGGAAUUAGCUAAGGAACGGUCGAGAAUAAACAAGAAGAAUGCCGAAAAAAAGGAUAAGUUCCAUAAGCUGGGGCCAGGUGGCUAUGCUGUGGCAAUGCCUAAGUGGGAUAAGUCUGAGAAAGAGAUGGAGGAUGCAGGUGUCACUCCGGCUACUAAGAGCUGGCCCCCCAGGGUCAGGACUUGGUUCUAUGCGCAUGGGGGGGGAGUUGGACCUGGAGACAGGCAAUGUUUCGACGAGGGCAAGUCUGAAGGGAGCCGACGAUGCGAUACUUGUUGCAAUAGAAGAGGCACGAACGGGGGUGUUCAAGCCCAACAGAGAGAACGACGAGCUUACGCGUGCCCUGGGAAAUCCUGAACACCCGGGAAGGACACGAGGCAAGGGCGCUAUGCCGUGGUAUGAGGGGUUUUCAGACUGGAACAACGACUACAGAACCCGUGCGAGAAAGAAGAUUGCGGAGGAGAAGAAGAGGAAGAUGGAGGAGGAGCAGAGGAAGCGGGACUAUGAACGCCUUCAAGGCCUAGAAGCAAUUCAAGCGGAAUUGGCAGUCAAAUUCCAGCGGCAGCAGGAGCAGAUCGACUCACUUACCCAUCAAAGGGGGUCUCAGCAGCUGCAACAGCUAGCGGAUGAUCCAGCAUUGGAUAGCACCGGCCCAUCCAUGCCGAGAAGCAGCGUGGGUUCCGUCCCGGACGAUGCAAUGCUGGGUAGAUACCCCGUGGAUGACAUCAUGGAGAACACUAACUGCGAGCUACACGUCAAAAUGAAGAACAUAUCCAUGAAGGUGGCGGACGGCUGUGCUUUCACAAAUCCCCCCGAUGCAACCUUCCAUUGCAACCCGAUUCCAGCGGGCUAUGCUCGUGUCUUGGUUGAUGAGGUGGUGGACCCACCAUAUUCGGGGCUACAGCUUGACAUUGCUGGAGUUGACGGCGAGCGCUUUCUCGGAGAGGCCAAACAUCGUAUCAUCCUAUGGAAAAAGGAUUGCAUCAUCUUUCGAAGGCCACCGACACCGCGUCAGCCGAGUCCUCAUCGAAGUCCGCCACCGAGUCAGCAGACUCCCGCUCCUGCAAGUCCACCAAGUCCGGCAAAGUGUCAGGCCACUCCUCCUCCAUGUCCGGCAAAGUGUCAGGACAAUCCUCCUCCUCCAAGUCCGCCACAACGUCAGACGUCCACUCCUCCUCCAAGUCCGGCACAACCUCAGGCCACUCCUCCUCGUCCAACUCAGUCCCGUCAACCGUCUCCGCCGCCUCAGCAAUCGCAGAAGAGACACCCCGCAGCUAUGGUUCGUAGCGGUACGAGUCAAGGUAGUACAGGAAGUACAGGCGGAGGCAAGCGAUAUAAAUAUGGUCCAAGCCUCAAGCCUCUUCCGCAGAGGUCUUAUGACAGGUCCGAGGAGGAAAUCACAGCCAUAUCGAAGGCCGAGGUGGAAGCCCAUUUUGCACCGAAACCGCCACCGCCGCCAAGGGAGAAAGUGCCUGAGGAAACGAUUGACCACUUCAUUCGUAUGGCUCAACCACCAGCUCCCAAGCCUGUUGACAUAGACUAUGAGCGCCACAUCAGGAAGUUAAAUCAAGCACGUCUACAAAGGGAGGCAAGCACGUCUACAUCGGGAUCGAGCAAACAAGAAGCAGCUGCCAAAAAAUGCGGGAAAACCAUUCCCCAGCUGGGAGAACAGGCGGCGCAAUUGAUCCCCUCGCUUGUUGUGCCAACAACAGGUGACAGUACACGCGCCCAAUAUUAUUGUGGGCAAACAGUGCAUGUUCCCGAGGUGGGCAAUGUGGUAAUAACGGAGGAGCAUAUAAUGCAGGCUGAAGUUCUCAACAUCACUGUUGGACAACUCCUCGAGAUCGAGCCCAUGCCUUUGCUUAGAGAGGAUGAAGUAAAACGGAAAUAUGUCCGGGGCCAACCUUUGGUCGCGCCAGACAAGGUCAAGAACCUCCCAACGAGAAUGUAUGAAUUGCAUCAAUGGUACAUGAACAUUACCAAGAUUUCAGAUCGAUUGUCCCUCAUGGUGAAUGUCAAGCAGGACCAUUACUACCAUGAGAAAGUUGUGUCCGUUGAGUAUUUAGAACUUUUUAGUUAUACAAUCAAGACGCACUCGACAAAUCUAUCAUCAGUUGCUAUUGUCUGUAAGUGAUUUCUUUCUAUAAUUUAAGUCUCAAGCUAGCUGUAGUGAUCCUUUUGAUCAAUCAUUACCUGUAAUUAUCCUCACUAUAUCUUUUUUGUGGUAUUAUGCAGGAUGAAGAUAUAUUAAAUGAGAAAAGGUGGACGCUUUGGCAUUGGGUUCAUUGACCCAAACACCGUUAAUGAAUACACAUGGAAGAUAAAUCAAUGUUAUGCAAAGGAAGUAGAGGACAACAUGCUAGAGUUCUUGAAGCGCCUCAAAUACAAUGAAUAUAUACUACUUCCUUACAACUUCCAGUGAGUCACACUGUCUUGUACUACAAAUUCUCUAUUUUUGCCUACUAGCUAGCUACAUGUUUUUGCUUACAUAUGCCCGCUUAAUUAAGACAUGAAAACGUGUGUGCAUGCAGAUAUCACUGGGUCUUGUGUAUCAUUAAGUUGACGCCGGAACAAUUGAAGUACUGGACUCACUAAUCUCAGAAAAAACUGACUAUAACAUCUUGUAUGGGAUAGUCAACGGGUAAUUUCAAUCAUUAUUAACUAUAUAUCUCGGCCUAUUUAGUUCGUCGUUUCAUGAUAUGAACUAUUUAAUAACCCCUUUAUUCAUUUUCUUUGUCGGCGGGCAGGGCUUGGACAAGGUUCAUCGCCGUCACGCCCGGCGAAUGGAAAAAAAGCUUAAAUGGUUUCGACCCAAGAUAAGCAAUUAAGUAGUACUAUAGCUCUAGCUAGCUAGCUGCCAUCUCUUUAAUUAUCAUGCUUGAUUAAUUUUUAUCUAAUUAAAUUCCAUUCUCGUAAAGGCCCUGAAGCAGGCGCAGGGGACUGAUCUGUGUGCAUUCUGCGUUUGCGAGAACAUUCGCAUGAUGGCGUCCGAAAGGAGUAGAUCUCAAAGACAGGAAUGGGUACGCUUGUCAGAACACUAUUCAUAAUUUUUACACCAUUAUCGAUAUCUAGUCACACAACUAAUACACAUGCAUAUUGAUCUCCUUCUUAACAGUUCAAAGAGGUGCAGGAGAAGCUCAUAGAAACGGAGUGCGUAGAAGCACUUCAAGAGGAAAUAGCGGGAUUUUUGCUCGACCAGGUCAUAAAUCCGAAGGGAGAAUUCUAUUACCCGCUACCGCCCCCAUGAAAACCACUUCCAAUUGUCAUCGUGCUCCGAAGGCACCAAUUAGGCUAAUGCCACUGGCUCCAAAGGCAACAUUCAUAUGUAGGAGAAAUUGUAUAUAGCUAUACAUGUGUGUAUGUGUGAAUUAAUUAAUAUGGCGGUUUGUGAGACAUUGAUGAUAUAUAUAUAUAUAUAUAUAUAUAUAUAUAUAUAUAUAUAUAUAUAGGACAAAUGUUUCCUACAAGCAGUGGUAGUUACCACCACUUGCGUUUUGUAUGUUGUAUGUAGUAUCUGUCGAAACGGAAAGUAUGUACGUGUAGUAUGUAGUAUAUAACAAUGUUUAGGUAGUAUAUAUACUAAUUUUUAGGUAGUAUGUAUCAUAUUUUGAGUAUGCUCUUUUUUACGUACAAAUAUGUACGUAUUUCACAAAUAUAACCAAAACUAUGGACUCAUAUGCAAUUUUUUCAUGUAACUUGUUUUGAAAUAUCUUAGAUAUAGUGUACGAACAUAUUUAAAAUAAUAAAAUAGUAUAUAUAAUACCGCAUGGUAGUAUAUGAGAUAUGUGGGGUAACUACCACCGGGUGGUAGGAUGGAUUUUCNNNNNNNNNNNNNNNNNNNNNNNNNNNNNNNNNNNNNNNNNNNNNNNNNNNNNNNNNNNNNNNNNNNNNNNNNNNNNNNNNNNNNNNNNNNNNNNNNNNNNNNNNNNNNNNNNNNNNNNNNNNNNNNNNNNNNNNNNNNNNNNNNNNNNNNNNNNNNNNNNNNNNNNNNNNNNNNNNNNNNNNNNNNNNNNNNNNNNNNNNNNNNNNNNNNNNNNNNNNNNNNNNNNNNNNNNNNNNNNNNNNNNNNNNNNNNNNNNNNNNNNNNNNNNNNNNNNNNNNNNNNNNNNNNNNNNNNNNNNNNNNNNNNNNNNNNNNNNNNNNNNNNNNNNNNNNNNNNNNNNNNNNNNNNNNNUAUAUAGACCUGCUAAAGUAAGCCUGAGCGCAUUAUUAUUUAGCCUACGCUCCGGCCGUGCGACCCAACCAGGUUCAUGCGCCUAAUUAACUGAACCGCCUUCUCCCCUCGUGUGCACGUACCUCGGUUUUUGGUGGGAACUCCAUCGUAAUUAUUUAAUGAAAUUACGACAGGUCCAUGCUUGUUCCUCCUCCCAUCACAUGGGCAUAAAGUAAUGAAUAAAUGAAACAUAGUAAUGGCUUACUAUAGUUAGCAAAGGGAACAUAGUAAUCAAUUACGUGGACAGUUUUUUAUAAAAUAGCAAACCUAAUCGUAAUGCUAUUACUACAUACCAAGUGACUAGCAAAAUUAGCAUGUGCGGAGCGGUAACACCGUUACCAUUAGUUCAUUUCUCAUGCAAAUUCGUUACCACUAUUGUAUUAUUUCAGUAGGUUACACUAUAAAUGAUAAUUUUAUUCCCAAUAUGUGGUAAACCAGUUACUAGAUGGACUACUAACAUAUGCUUACAAUUUUGGAACUAUAGCUUGAAAGUAGUUUCAAGUAUUUACUUGAAGCAAUUAUUUUUAUUUUUUAUUUGCAAAAUAAAUGAUUUUUUAUUCUAACAUUACCAUGUGAUUAUUUUAUGAUUAGAGAAUCAAGGAGUAGUGCAGAAGAGUCUAUAAUCAUUUUAGUUUUUUACCAUAUAUAUCAAGAGCACUUCAUUUUUUUCAUUCUUGCGAUCAUUCAAGUGUUUUUUCCAAGCACAUGUAGUAAUCCAUUACUACAUAUCGGACUGGUUUACUAGGUUUACCAUGCCCCAGGAUCAAGUCGUUCGUAAUUAUUUUUUCAUUACCAUCCACUCCAUCGUUUUUACUACUGCCAAUUAGUGAGCAGUAAUUUGUUACUACAUGUUAGCAAGAUUUUACUAUGUUUAGGGCUCAAACCAGCGAUCACUCAUUGCUUGGUAAGUAUUCUCUGUCCAUUACCAUCUCUAGUAUCCCCGUUACUGCCAAUGAAUAGUGAUCGCAGAAUCGGGAUACAGCGGACCAGGCAGGGUAAUAAAAUUAAAUGCGUUACUUUUUUUUGCAAGGACGGUUACCCUCAACCAAAUUAGUGAUGGAGAGCAGGCUUCUCCACGCGACCUGCCCGCCUAAUUAGCAUCGGCCGGAGCGCAUGCUAAGAUUUUUACCAUGCAACGAGUAAUGCAAUGUUUGAGCCCUAAUUGUAGUAAAACCUUCCUAACAUGUAGUAACGAAUUAGUACGUGCACUGGUAAUAGUAAACCGAGUAAAAUUAGGCCUAUAUGUAGUAAUGGAUUACUACAUGUCCAGGGUUUGAGCCCUAAUCAUAGUAAAACCUCACUAACAUGUAGUAACUAUUUACUACGCACACUAAUGCACAAAAAUGAUGAAGUCGACGAUAAUGAGUAAACCUAGUAAAAUAAGGCCUAUAUGUAGUAAUCCAUUACUACGUGUGCUGAUGAUAAUACAUUACUACUUCCAGCAGGGCCAAUUACUAGAUGGUAAUGGUUGGUCCGGGUUGUAGGCGUGGGAGGGAUGGGCUAAUCGUAAGUCAUUACUAAAGGAGGAACCUGGGCCUGGUUAAUCGUGUGGACGACGUGUAAGCCGUUACGGUAGAUUUCAUGGCGGAGCGCGCGCUUCGGCUAAUUAGCGCCUAUCGCCCGGUUGGGUCGAUGGGUGGGCGGAGCGUAGACUAAGUAAUAAAGAGCGCACGCUUAGUUUAGCAGGUCUAUAUAUAUAUAUAGGCAUGCUAAUCUAAGCCUGAGCGUAUACUACCUUAUUCUGCGCGCUACCAUUGUACGGGAACUAAAUUGGACCUUCCCACUCGCAUCGGCUGGAAUGGGUCCACUUAAUGUGGUGUGAGUGCAUUACUAGUUAACUUCAUCGUAAUCACAUGAUUAAAUGAUGGUAAGCAUGCUACGCUGGGUUACCAGUUUGGUUAGCCAAGUAUGGGUCGUAAAGUAUGUGCAUUCUAUAGUAAUACAUGUUUUUUCUUUUAAAAUGCUAUAGUAAUACAUGUUGUUUUGCCUUGUGGUGUGAUAGUAGUAACGAAGUCAGUUACUAUAUUUUCUAGUGUUAGUUACUACCAGGGGAAAUGUGGUUGAGCGUAGUAGUAACUAUGUGCCCUAAUUAUGGUACGUGCCAUGGAAGUUGUGGGUGCAACAGUAAUUCCAUUACUAUUGUUUGAACGUUCAUUUACUAUGUGCUUAAAUUGUGAUGCAUGAAGGAGAUGUAGUCUGUGCAGGUGUAACCUAAUUAGUAUGUUUACUAUUUUUUUCACCUAAUGUUACUAUGCAACAUAUGGCGCAAGGCCGGAGGUGGUGGGUGCAAUGGUAACCAAAUUAAUUCUUUUACUAUAUUUUACAAUGAUUGUUACUAUGAUUAGAAGAACGCCGGGGAUUACUAUUCUAGUAGCUAUUUUAGCUGGAAUAGAAUAAAGUCUAGUUUGCCGAGCGGAGUGUUGUGCGUGACUAGCAGUAUCCAUUUUAAUUCCAUUACUUUUUCCUGCAUCCGGUUUUACCAUUAUGAUUAGCGGGUGGCACGGAGCCACGGGGCGGUGGUGGGGCGCGUGAAGUGGUAACAUAAAUUAAAUGCAUUACCAUAUUUUCUAUUUCUGUUUACUCUCAAACAAUUAGCGGGGACGAGGAUUGCGCUGAUUUAGCGACCGGCGCGUAGAAUAAGAGCUUUGCGCUCUCGCUUAGUUUAGCGCNNNNNNNNNNNNNNNNNNNNNNNNNNNNNNNNNNNNNNNNNNNNNNNNNNNNNNNNNNNNNNNNNNNNNNNNNNNNNNNNNNNNNNNNNNNNNNNNNNNNNNNNNNNNNNNNNNNNNNNNNNNNNNNNNNNNNNNNNNNNNNNNNNNNNNNNNNNNNNNNNNNNNNNNNNNNNNNNNNNNNNNNNNNNNNNNNNNNNNNNNNNNNNNNNNNNNNNNNNNNNNNNNNNNNNNNNNNNNNNNNNNNNNNNNNNNNNNNNNNNNNNNNNNNAUUGGUUAAAGUUAUCUCCCGUCCCAUCCGUGGCUAGUAUGCGUCCAUUUGAUCCGACAUCUCACAAGCAAAGAUUUUAGACUUAAAAGACGUUGGUUUUCAUCGGAUACAUGCCUUCUUAAAAAUACAUGAAUACUUUUUAAAAUAUAAUGAACAUUAAAAAUAUAAUGAACAUCGGAUACAUGCCUUCUUAAAAAAAUUUCUUCCUUUUUUUUGAGGGGUAACAAAAUGUAUCUUCCAUUUAACAAACAUCAGGGCUAGUUUUUUUUUUUUUUGAGCAACUCAUCGGGGCUAUGUACGUAUGGCCUGGUGCCUGGCGUGUCUGUCAACCCAAGAGUCGUAUGCUUUUGUAAGCACUGGUCCCUGGCCCGUUAAUACGGCCCGGCCUGUGCGCGCUACGAUUCAGGGAUUCGUUGCUUCCCCCAGAAAAAAAAUACGUAUUACUUCCGUCCGUCCGGCUGCAGCUAGGGCUUCAUCUCCUGUACGCAGCUGGAUAUGAUUUAAUCACCUGGCAGGCACGAAGCUUCUUUAUUUACGACUACAUACAAGAGGCGCCGUUCGAUGGAUGCUAACUAGGUAGAGAUGACAUCGUCGAGAAGCAACUACCGCGUGAUGACGGCGGAGGAAGAGGAGGAGGCCGGCUUGUGCGUGGGCUGGAUCUUCCUCUAUAUGGCGGUGCUCUACCUCGGCUUCUUCGCCUUCUCCGCCGUGAUCUCCUACACACACGUGUUCGCCCGCGCCACCAGGUUCGACAAGAUCUUCUGGGGGGUCUUGGGAGUGCCCUGUCUGCUCAUCGCCGCCGGCAUCAUCUACCUGCUUCUACGGGAGGACUCGCCCUUCCGCAACAAGCGUGCCACCGCCCGUGUCGCUGACCUGCCGCCCGCCGAUGUGUGCUAGCCAUCCUUGGUUAUUUCUAGUGCAUGAAGUGAUUGAUGAUGUUUCACGUUUCAUCGAGUUUAUUUCACUUUCCGCUUGCUAGCUGUGACUAUCUUUUUCUUCCGUUAGAAUAUGCUUUUGCUAUAUCUUAGUUGGUAUUAUUAAUUUUGGGUUCCGAUAACGUCCAUACGUGUGGGCGUUAAGGAGUCUGGCCACACGUUUCGUGUGGUAUAUAAAGAAUCAGUUCACACGUCUACGUGUGGGCAAAACAAAUAAUGCCCACACGUUCAGUCUUUUGCCUCCCAGUCCCUCUCACACGCCUACGUGUGAGCAAAAUAGAUAAUGCCCACACGCUCGUACUCACAGCCCCGCACGCUCCGCGUGACAGUCAUCAUGCGUUCCCGCAGUUGCCAUGGUCUGGACUCUCUUUCAUUUCCGUUUAACUAUAGUUGCCAUGUUGCUGAACUACAGUUGCCACGUCUGACAACUACAGUUGCCAUAAUUGCUCAACUGCAGUUGCCAUCUCAGGUCAAGUGUUGGAUGCCAUUUUUGGACAACUGCAGCUGUUGCCAUGUAUGGUCUGGCCUACUACAGUUGCCAUGAUUUGAAAACUUUAGAAGUUGCCACCUAUAACACUAGGCAGUUGCCAUGUAGCACUACAAAAAAGGCAUGAAAAAAAAACAUGUUCUGGUAACGAGAGAGUUGUCAUCUGCUUACAAGCACGCUAGGGCAGUUGCCAUGUACCCUGCAAAAAUACAUGGCAACUCGGGUAAAAGAGACUUGCCAUCUGCUUACAAGCACGCUAGGGCAGUUACCAUGUACCCUGCAAAACACAUGGCAACUGACAGUUUUGGGUGUGGGAGAGGAGACAGGCGUGUGGGCGAACUGAUAAACGCUCACACACCAGCCCCUCUGCGUGCGUGAAAACUGGUUGUGGGCGAACUGCUAAAUGCCCACACACCAGCCCCUCCGCGUGGUGAAACAGACGUGUGGGCGACUAGAUGAAUGCCCACACACCAGCCCAGUCGUACGUGGCAUAAAUUUUUUGGCAAAACAUGCAAGAUUCGUGCAAACAGAAACGGACGUUGAUCCAUACGUGUGGGCAAGAUGCAAACAUCCACGCGUAUAAGCGUUAGUAUUUUCCUUAAUUUUCUUCGUGAGGAGGGGAACUAGGAACGUCCUCGGCUUACCCGCUAUUACUUGCCGCUUAGACGACACCGCAUACCAUAGAUCUCAUGUUGGUAUCUUUGUAGUUGUUUUCCAGAAAGUAGGUGUUUGUCCGGCUUGGGUGAACUAAAGCUCUUAAAUCAGAUAAUGUAAAAGUUAGUGCCAAAAACAAGUUGAGAUUUUGCUACAAAUCCAUUUGCCGUGAUUAAAAAUCUAACGCCAGAUUUUGAUCACUACCAAAAAAGUUUGAGGGCAGGAGAGAGAAAGUUUUAGGACACAAGAGAAUUUUCUUCUCUAAAAAACGAUGUAAGAUUGGUAUGGGCGUGGUACACGUCCGCCAGCCGAUCUUUUUCAAAGAUCGACCGGGCCGCAAGCCAUUAGGUUUAACCCAUUGAGUGGCGCGUGUUACUGUCCACCAUUGCAACACAUGCUUUGUUGCAAAAAUUUCUUACAACAGACUUUUUGUUGCAGAAUAUUUUACAGUAGACUUGUUGCAGAUUUUUCUGGCAACAAUUUUGUUGCUGAAUUUUUUGCAACAACCGUGUUGUUGCGGAUUUUUUUUGCAACAUAGUACUUGUUGCAAAAUUAUAUCUACAAAAUGAAGUUGCGUCGCAUCACAUUAGUGGUUCUUAAGAUUUGCAACAACAACGUUGUUGUUGAAAAUAGGUGCCCGCACUUGACUUCGUGCCGAGGACAUGUGGCGGACAACGGAGGCGGCAGACGCAUUGUGAUUAUCAACCGGACGAAGUCAAUCAUUUCCCAAAUUGGUGCCAAAUUUGGUUGGCCUACUUAAACUAUUAAAACAUGUUCAACAAAUAUAAAAUUAAACUAAUGCCAAAUGAAACCAAAACAAAUAUAACAUAAAUAAUACUCACUACCAAACAUGCCCGUGCAUUGCACCUUAGAAAAAUAAUAUCAUACGGACAUUGUGCAAUAAGCAUAGCUUAAUAUAUCCUCCCAAUAUAGAUGCAUGUCCUUUAUUUCAACAUAGUGUUCACAUGCGUGCUUUGCAAGAGGAGAAAUAAAAUCACAUGUCCCUCAUCCAAUAAGCAUGGCUCAAUACCUACACAGGACUACAUUAUCUAUUUCAGCGUAGCGCCUCACUUCUGUGUCACAUGCCCCUAAUCUAAUAAGCAUGCCUCAAGACCUAUACAUGUGUACAUUAUCUAUUUCAGCAUAGCGCCCCACUUGUGCUGCCGCUUGGCUGGGCAUAUUUUACAUAAUUUUGAGUUACUCUGUUUGAGCUUACAUUUCUAUAUUGUAAAGAUAAAUUAGUUUUUGUAUGUUUCAAGUCAGAAUGUCAUAAUUGCUUAAGCAACAAAUAGCAACACAAUCAAGUAUGCCAUCCCACAUAGAAAACAUGCGUUGAUUUUUUUUUUUGAAACAUACAAAGAGUCGAAAACUUAUAAAUGUUGUGUAGAACAAUUUUUUGGACCUUAUAUAAUUAAUUCAUUUGGAUCAAGUUCUCAUGCGUGGCCAUGAUUUGCCAACUCGCAUCGCUUCACCGUGCCUCCCUUCUAAAUAAAAUAUCACUUGAAUUAGACGAAAUAGAUGAAUGCAAACAUGUAUAGAAGUUCCUGCCCUUACAUUGCUUUAACCUUUCUAUUACAAAGAAUAGAUUGAUGAUGUUGGAAAUAUUAGCACCUUAUCAAUUAAUUUAAUUCACGAGUAAACAGUAAGCAUGGCAAUCACAAUAUGCAUAUCAUACUGAUACCAAAGCAUGUGAGCACGUACACUACAUCGAACCGAAACAUCUAUGAACACAACAUAUAUGGCUAGCACAUGAACGAGCAAAUAGGGGAUGAACGAAUAAUACACUCCAGUUGGCCAGGCCAACGCGGGCCUCGGCGUCAUCCAUGGGCUUCUUCUUGGCAGCAGCGCCGUCGACCAUGGUGUCGAUCCAGGGGAAGUAGUGGAAGUAGAGGAGGACAGAGACCGUGACAGAUUGGGAGCACUCACUGUUGGUGUCAAAACCGGCGGAUCUCGGGUAGGGGGUCCCAAACUGUGCGUCUAAGGCUAAUGGUAACAGGAGGCGGGGGACACCAUGUUACCUAGGUUCGAGCCCUCUCUAUGGAGGUAAUACCCUACUUCCUGCUUCAUUGAUCUUGAUGAUAUGAGUAUUACAAGAGUUGAUCUACCACGAGAUCGUAGAGGCUAAACCCUAGAAGCUAGCCUAUGAUUCUGAUUGUCCUUGUCCUACGGACUAAACUCUCCGGUUUAUAUAGACACCGGAGGGGGCUAGGGUUACACAUGGUCGGUUACAGAGAAGGGAAUCUACAUAUCCGAAUUGCCAAGCUUGCCUUCCACGCAAAGGAGAGUCCCACCCGGACACGAGACAAAAUCUUCAAUCUUGUAUCUUCAUAGUCCAACAGUCCGACAUAAGCAUAUAGUGCGGUCGUCCGAGGAUCCUCUAAUCUAGGACUCCCUCAGUAGCCCCUGAACCAGGCUUCAAUGACGAUGAGUCCGGCGCGCAGAUUGUCUUCGGCAUUGCAAGGUGGGUUUCUUCUCUGAAUACUCCAAAGUAGACCUUGAACACAAAAAUCGUGUCCGGCUCUGCAAAACAAACCCCACAUACCACCGUAGAGAGCAUAAUAUUCCACAAGUCUAAUCUGCUGACAAGUUUCCCAUAGCGUGACAUCACGCCGUAGCCCGGUCAUUAUUCGAACCGUUUUCUCAACCUGCUACUGCACAUCUUGCGAGGCGGUUUUAUUGGCACAUCUUGUCGAAGUAGAGAUCGUGUCCCCUUAUCACGGGAUUCUCAUCAAUACGGGUGUGGGUAACCCAACCGCGCCAUUAACACAGCGCUUGGGGAAUAAGCGAGUUUCCAGGGCAAGUGGGGAGGCGCAUGAUUUCUGCUUCCUUUACAAAGAGACAAGAAUUCCCCUUUUUCACCCACGCCUUCCACUUCUUCCGCCUAUUCUCCAUCGCCCGAGCUCCAGCGCCCAAGCCUUCACCUUCUCCACCCAUAAAUGUUCUCCGAGAAUGUCCAGAUCUGGAGCAGGAGGCAAAUGGAUGGCUGAGGGAGUCCUGGAUUAGGGGGUAUCCGGACAGUCGGACUGUGUACAACGUCUGGACUAUUGAAGCGUGAACAUACAAGACUCAAGACUUUGGCCCGUGUCCAGAUGGGACUUUCCUUGGCGUGGAAGGCAAGCUUGGCGAUCCAGAUAUUAUAUUUCCUUCCUUGUAACCAACUUCAUGUAAACCCUAGCCCUCUCCGGUGUCUAUAUAAACCGGAGAGGUUGGUCCUUAGAAGGCCGAUCACAAUUACAAUCAUACCAUCAUAGGCUAGCUCCUAGGGUUUAGCCUCUACGAUCUCAUGGUAGAUCUACUCUUGUACUACCCAUAUCAUCAAUAUUAAUCAAGCAGGAAGUAGGGUUUUACCUCCAUCGAGAGGGCCCGAACCUGGGUAAACAUCUGUGUCCCUUACUUCUUGUUCCCAUCAGCCUUGACGCACAGAUCAGGACCCCCUACCCGAGAUCCGCCGGUUUUGACACCGACAUUGGUGCUUUCAUUGAGAGUUCCUCUGUGCCGUCGCUGUCAGGCUCGAUGGCUCCUUCAAUCGUCAUCAACGAUGCUGUCCAGGGUGAGACUUUCCUCCCCGGACAGACCUUCGUGUUCGGCGGCUUCGCGCCGCGGGCCAAUUCACUUGGCCGCCUGGAGCAGAUCGACGGCUAUGCCCCCGGCCAUCAAAUCAGGUUCGGAAACCUGAACUACACGACGGAUAUCCGUGGAGACUUGAUCUUCGACAGAUUCGGGCCAGCGCAAGAAGCGCCGGAUAGUCAUGAUGAGCACGGCUUAGACUUGCUGUCGCACGUUGCUCGGGAUAUCACCCUGGCAAAAGCCUCGGAUCUAAAUCCAGGGCACGUUGCUUUGCGUAAGGACGGGGGGUUGGACCCCGCCCCGCAGGCCGUACCCUCAUCGGCGAUGGAGCCGAACACAGGUCUCACCUCUGAGGGAGCCUGUGACUCCAGACCCCCGGAUUCAUAUCCGGACGUAGGUCCCAGUCCGUGCGCCCCCGAGCCGGCCGAUCCUGGUUGGGCUCCGGUGAUGGAGUUCACCGCGGCGGACGUCUUUCAGCACUCGCCCUUCGGCGACAUGCUGGACUUAUUGAAGUCUCUCUCCUUGUUAGGAGACUCCGGGCCGAACUAUGUCCGGCUCGAGUGGGAAGCAGACAACAACGGAAUUCGUUGCCCGCCCACCACCCACUUCAUUGCCACGAUCGACGAUUUAACCGACGUGCUUGACUUCGACUCCGAAGACAUCGACGGUGUGGACGACGAUGCAGGAGGACUACAGGGACCACCGCGUACAGGGCGGUGGGCGGCCACCUCCUCAUACAAUAUAUAUAUGGUGGACACCCCAACGCAAACCGGUGGCGGUGAGGCAAAGGAGGAUAACCCCUCAGGGAGAAAAGCAAAAAGUGUGCGUUAUCAGCACCACUCCAAGCCCCGCCACAUCAGAAACGGCCCCGGAAACGAGAGCAGUCCGGACGGUGCCAAAGAGGAAUACAACCCUAGUCAGCCUACACUUAAGCAGGUCGGACUAAUGACGAUGGGACGCUUGGAGAGGGACAAUCACACACCCCCCUCCAACGAUGAGGCAAGCAAGUUUGCUUCAAGUGGCUCCAUAAGACCGGAAGACCCAGUGGAACAAGUUCGCUUCAAGCGACGGCUCAGGGCUACCGCAAGGAGCCUGCAAAGGAAGCAAGCGCAGCUUACAGCUGACCAAGAUGUGCUAGAGGAUAGAUGGACCAAGAUACUGGCUGCCGAAAAAUACGAACUCGACAGCCGCAAUAAAGGGCACACACGACACAACUGGCUGCCUCAACUCGAGCAGGAAAACCACGGGCACGCACACAGACGCCCACACAUCACUAUGGUCCAAGGCGGCAAGAAGCAGACACGAAGAGGCACCCUCAGACCUCGACACAAAGGUCAUAAACAUCAAGACAAGGAAGCUGGUGCCAAGUCCGGCAACGCUCAGUCCGCUAAACAGACAAAGAACAGCACAAGCCUACUCGACCGAAGACACACGCUGGAUCAGCCGUGUGAAAUUCACGGUACCCCCAGAAGGACGGCAAAGCAUACCUAUAGAGAAUGCAUGAUCCUCAAAACAAAGCGGCUGGUCGCACGCCGGAAGCAAUAAGGGAGAUGCAUCAUCAAGCCCCCCACCCCCCAGAGCGUAACAGUACGGCCGACCGCCCAGGACCACAUAAACCACGGCAAGUCAAUUGCAGUGCCCCUAGACCUAGUAGUCCAGGGGCUCCAUAACACACAAAGCCCACAAGGGUAUGACGCCAUGGAAAACAUCUCCUAAAAGAUGUAAGGCGCUAAGGCCAAGUUUUAUUGGCCCACCACUCUAAACGGUUGACUUUGGAUCACCCAAAAAUGCUACGCCAAAGAAUAAAUCCUCGGCACCUUCCCACCAUACGAUAAUUUACCGUAUGCUAACGGGAAAAACCACGUCGACUAGAUUCCACGCGGUAAAUUACCCAGGCCAACCAUCUGGACAUCCAUUGCGGAGUCCGCACUACCUCACGGUCUAAUGGCUGGGCACACCAGGGCCCGAUUAGGGACCCUGGGAGCAACAACAAGAGGACACCUAGCUGCCUUCAAGCAUUUCGCAUUUGCAAACUAACGAUUGAUGCAGAAUAGAACUGGAGACAUGGAAUUAUCCCGGACACACAAAGGAAGGAACAUGCAGGUAGAAGGCAGUUCGGAUUCAUUCUCGAUCCACUCACAACCCCCUCCAGUCCGGCCACAACAGGUUCCGCCAAAUAACACCUCUCUCCAUACAUCAUACUCAUAUGCAUAGACAUAUCAUCCUACUACAAUGCCUAGACUUAAAUAGCAAUUACCGUCUGUCAUUUAUCGCCGACGCCUCUUUGCCGAAAAUGACAGCCAUGCUUCGCGUUCGCCUGGUUAUACCAGGGGCUCCACAGUACGGCAAUAAAGUCCGACCACCUUUUCGAUCGUUCGGCACCCCGAACUUAUAGCACUAUAUGCAUCUGCUCUGAAUCAUGUCUUGGGUCAUUGGUUGGGUUUGCCUGGCUCCCAUGUUUUGGUACCUUAUGUUCCGUUCUAGCGGCUAAGGUGCGCUGUGAGAACUACUGCGAUUGUGUCCCGGUUCAGCCGGACGAGCACCACAGUAGAGAAAGCCGAAAACCGACUGUCAUGAUAAAGCGAGAGCCGGUCCGCUAUUCGAGAGGUUGUAAAAUCCUUAAAGAUUUAUUCCGCACAACACCAUUGUAAAUGCUAAGUGCGACGGAUCGGUCUUCUGAUCAGGCGCCAAUAGAGCCCCUAGUUCGGUCUUCCGAACACUAGGGGCUGCGCCGACCAUACUCGAAUUCCUAUGGCUAAGUGAGAGUAAUAAAGCCUUAUAGUCCGAUUGCCUGGUUCGCGGAAAGAUACACCUCCUUAAAAGGACCCAACUAUGGGAUAAAGAGCGUUCAGAUAUGUCCCGAACACCCCCGUAUCCUUUUUACGAGGGGGCAGAAGCCGACGCCUGGCCAACUCCCAUAAUUUGCAUACAAUAAACAGCCAUACAGGAAGAACAUAUGUUCAAAUAAAACAUGCAAUAUAUAAUAAACAUGCUAUUAUCCCAUAUCACAACAAGUGGCACAGAUGCCCUUAGGGAAAUAUGAUGUCUUAGCACACUUGUCCGCCACAAGGCGGCCCCCUUUCAUCACACCUUCAUAAUACAGCUCGGGCUUGCGGUGCUCCUUACCCUCCGGCGGCCCCUCAGUGAUCAACUUUUCUGCGUCAAGCCUCCCCCAAUGCAAUUUCGCAUGGGCAAACGCCAUACGCGCGCCUUCUAUGCAGACUGAUCGCUUGAUAGCAUCAAGCCAAGGACAGACGCCCACAAUCCGCUUGACGAGUGCGAAGUAGCUACUUGGAAUCGGCUCUGCAAGCCACAGCCGGACAACUAAGUCCUUCAUGGCUAGUUCGGCCACCUAGUGCAGUUCGACCAGCUGUUUCAUCUGAUCGAUAAAUGGCACCGGAUAGUUCGGCGCCAGAUACUGCGACCAGAAAUCCCUCUCCGCAGUCUUCUUCUCCUCGGUGCGGUAGAAUUGAGCGCCUUCUGAUAUGCUGCGAGGAAGAUAUGCAAAAGCCCCUGGAAAAAUAAGAAUUCAGCUUGCUGCUUGGAUUCUUCACAUUCUAACAUAUACAAAGCUAAGAAUACAGAAGGCCUUACCAGCCGCCACUUUCCGGGCCUCUUGAAUGUCCUGCGCAGAACCUCGGGCUUCUUCCCGAGCACCUUCUGCAUCCUCGAGAGCUUGGGCAAGCUCGGAUUCUUUCCCUUCUAGACUCUGGUCCAAGCCCUCGCUUUUCUUCACAGCUUCCUGGAGCUCUCGCUCAGCUGUGAUAACCCUGGCCUCGUGUUUUUCGCGAAGCGCCUGUUCGGCCUCAGCCUUCUUGUUGGCAUCAGUCAAAGCUUUCUUUAGUGCCUCGUAUUCGGCACCCGCUCCUAGAGCACACAAUACUAAAACUUUUUAUUCUGCAGAACCAUUCGUUCGUGCCAUCUCCAAGACAAAUGUUUUCAACAUACCUUGCUUGUCUUCCAGUUGCUUUCUCACACAGCCGAGUUCUUCCUCGGCCCGUGCAAGGCUCUGCUUCAGUUCGGACACUUCCGCAUUGAAAGCGAACAUCCUCUCUGCGGAUGCCUGUUUUCACACCAAAGGGUAUACGUUAUAGGCUCCUGCGAAGGCAGGGGGUUUGAUCCCCUGCCCGGCUCUGUCUCCUUCGCCGGACAGUGCAUCAGGGGCUACUACUCAUAUUAUGACAAAUUCCUCAAGGGUUUCCUAGGAAACAUACCUCAAAAGCCUUUAUAAGGCUAAGGCAGGACGCGUUCAGCCCGCUCUCGGUGGACCGAAUCCUUUCAACCACCUCGCCCAUAAGGGCCCAAUGCUCAUCGACAAUAGACGCGUUCUUCAACGCUGUCGAUAGACCGCCAGGAAGCUCUGCUUGAACAGAAGACGCCGGCAGCAUAGCUAGGCCCCCCGCCAUCAGGGGUGGCUGCUCGCUUGAUCCUGGAACCCUAGAGGUCCCGAGGGCCGUAUCCAUCCCCGCGUGUUCGGUACCAGGGAUAUGUCCUCCCCGGUCCGGGUCUUGUCGAGAUGACACCUUAGUGUCAUGCCCAGACUCGGGGGAAGGGGCCCGCGGAGGCGUCUCGCUCGCCAAAGCGUCCGAGUCUAGUGAAUCCUCCGACGAGGACUAGCCGACGCAGGACCUUGCCGGAGUGUGCAAUAUAUAGGCAACAGUCAAAACUACUACACCCAAAAAACAAUCCCGGACACAUGUGCAUGUUCGGAUACUUACGACUUCUCCAGGGGCUGGGCCAUGGGAUCCCUCUCUGGGCUGCUACCGGCAGCCGUAGGGGAUGCCCUUGGGAGGGAAUUUUUCCCCCUCUUGGGCGAUCCGGCCUCCAGAGAGGUGGAAGCCGUCCUCUUCCUCCCACCGUCAGGGUGAGGCUCAUCCUCCUCUGCUUCCUCCUCCUCGCCCUCGGACGAAGGAUCGUCGCUAGAGUCUUCGGAUUUGGCGUCCGAAGCCUCGCGACGCUGAAGGCCACCCCGGGUCUUCUUGACCUUCUUGGAGGCCUCUUUCUUUGGCGCCUUGUAAGGCGCGGGGACCAGCAUCUUCGUCAGAAGAGGUCCGGACGGUUCCUUCGGCAGGGGGGCUGGACAAUGUAUCCGCUCCACCUUCUUUAUCCAUCCCUGAGGUUGCAAUGAAACACGAUUAAGGUGUCUCCCGCAUAACAUGCCAGCUGAGGCAUGAAUAGACGAAGUGCGUCUGUGACUUACCGAGCUUGGAGAAUGGGAUGAUCGAUACCCACGGUCCUCGGCGGGGCCCGACCACGAUUUUCCGGACUUAAAGAGCACCUUCCAGAUAUCCUUGUGGGAGGAAUCAUAAAGCUCCCGAAGGGUUUGGUGCUCAGCCGGGUCGAAUUCCCAUAGGGUACAAGCUCGACGCUGACAAGGGAAAACCAGGCGAACUAGCAUCACCUGGACUACGUCGACGAGUUUGACGUCCCUAUCGACCACACCCUAGAUGCGCGUCUGUUGCAGUAACGGCUCAUCGGACGAGCACCAGUUCGGGCCCUUCUCGGGCCAGGACUCUGGAGCUGCCGCCCACUUCUUGCCGCGUGGUUCGGUGAUAUAGAACCACUGCUGCUGCCACUCCUUGACGGAGUCAAUGAAAGCACCUUUCGGCCAAACGGCCUUGGGCAUCUUGCUUACCAUGGCGCAGCCACACUCGACGUGUUCGCCACUCACCACCUUGGGCUUCACAUUGAAGAUCUUCAGCCAUAGGCCGAAGUGAGGUGGGAUCUGGAGAAAAGCCUCGCACACGACGAUGAACGUCGAGAUGUUGAUGAAGGAGCUGGGGGAAAUAUCGUGAAAAUCGAUCCCGUAGUAAUACAUGACUCCCCAAAUGAACGGGUGAAGGGGAAACCCGAGCCCACGGACAAAAUGGGGAAGGAACACGACUCUCUCAUGAGAUUCCGGAGUAAGGAUGACCUGUCCCACAGGUGGAAGACGGUGACCGAUCUUCUGGGCCAGAUACCCGGCUCCCCGGAGCUUUUUGAUGUCCCUCUCUUGGACAGUUGAGGCCAUCCAUCUACCUCCUGCUCCGGAUCCGGACAUCUUCGGGAAACUUCCCUUCAACGGGGAAGAAGAGUGCUUGGGUGUUAGGGCUCGCACAGAGGGCAAUGAGCUAGCGGAAGGAGAAGGCGUGGGUAAAAGAGAAAGGAACCUAACCUCCUUAUAAAGGCGAUAGUCGCCACUUGCCUGGUGGAACCCGUCUACCUCCCACUCGCCGCGGUUAGCGGCACGGUUAGAUUAGCCAUACCCGUAUUGAUGAGAAUCCCGUAAUAAGGGGACAUGAUCUCUGCUUUGACAAGACGUGUCACGGAAACCGCCUCGUAAUAAGCAUUGUGGCUAGUUGUGGGGAAACGGUUCGAAUGAUGGAUCCGACCGUAAUAACAUAUCACGUCAUUAGGGAAAAACUGUCAGCAGAUGGCCUUUGUGAAAUAUCAUUCCCUCUACGGUGGCAUAUGAAGACUGAGGGAGUCCUGGACUAGGGGGUGUCCGGACAGCCGGACUAUCAUCGUCUGCCGGACUCCAAGACUACGAAGAUACAAGAUUGAAGACUCCGUCCCGUGUCCAGAUGGGGCUUUCCUUGGCGUGGAAGGCAAGCUUGGCGAUACGGAUAUGUAGAUCUCCUACCAUUGUAACCAACUCUGUGUAACCCUAGCCUCCUCCGGUGUCUAUAUAAACCGGAGGGCUUUAGUCUGUAGGACAACAUACAUUACAACAAUCAUACCAUAGGCUAGCUUCUAGGGUUUAGCCUCCUUGAUCUCGUGGUAGAUCCACUCUUGUACUACCCAUAUCAUCAAUAUUAAUCAAGCAGGACGUAGGGUUUUACCUCCAUCAAGAGGGCCCGAACCUGGGUAAAAACAUCGUGUCCCUCGUCUCCUGUUACCAUCCGCCUAGACGCACAGUUCGGGACCCCCUACCAGAGAUCCGCCGGUUUUGACACCGACAUUGGUGCUUUCAUUGAGAGUUCCUCUGUGCCGUCACCGAUAGGCCCGAUGGCAUCUUCAACCAACAGCGCUGUCCAGGGUGAGAUUUUUCUCCCCGGGCAGAUCUUCGUAUUCGGCGGCUUCGCACUGCGGGCUAAUUCACUUGGCCAUCUGGAGCAGAUCGAAAGCUACGCCCCUGGCCGUCAGGUCAGAUUCGGAAGCCUAAACUUCACGGCAGAUGUCCGCGGAGACUUGAUCUUCGACGGACUCGAGCCACAGCCAAGCGCGCCGCACUGUGACGACGGGCAUGAUCUAGCUCUGCCGCCGAAUAGUGCCUUGGUGGCCGCACACGAAUCCGCUUCGGCCAUUAGUCCGGAGCUGAUCGCCCAGAUCGAGGGCCGGUGGAUAGACGCCGCCCUGGGGGCUUCAACAUCCACGGCAACGGAGCCGAACACUAAUUUUGUCCCUUGCGAAACUCGUGAUUCCAAGGCGCCGGACUCCUUGCCCGACUCCGAACCUCCCGCGCCCCUACCAAUCGAUUCGGAUUGGGCGCCGGUUAUGGAAUUCACCGCCGCGGAAAUCUUCCAACACUCGCCCUUUGGCGACAUCCUAAACUCGCUAAAGCAUCUCUCGCUAUCGGGAGAGCCCUGGCCGGAUUAUGGCCAGGAUGGUUGGGAUAUGGACGACGAAGAAAUUCAGAGCCCACCCACCACCCACUUUGUAGCCACUGUCGACGAUCUAACCGACAUGCUAGACUAUGACUCCGACGACAUCGAUGCUAUGGACGACGAUGCCAGAGACGAACAGGAACCAGCGCCUACAGGGCACUGGAACACCACCUCGUCAUACGACAUAUAUAUGGUGGACACCCCAAAAGACGGGGACGGCGAAGAAGCAGCGGAGGCAGACUCUUUAAAGAAGCAGCCCAAACGCCGGCGUCAGCGGCGCCUCUCUAAAUCCCGCCACAACAAGAAUGGAGAUUCCGGCACAGGAGAUAAUAAUACUCCAGAGAGUGCCGAAGACAAUCCCCUCCCGCAAGACUCGGCGCAGGAGGAUGCAGAAGCAAGCCCUCACGAGAGGGCGGCAGACGAAGAGGUUGAGGAUCAUAACUAUACGCCCCCCUCCGAAGACGAGGCAAGCCUCAACGAUGAUGAAUUCGUCGUACCUGAGGAUCCCGUCGAACAAGAGCGCUUCAAGCGCAGGCUUAUCGCCACAGCAAACAGCCUAAAGAAAAAACAGCAGCAGCUUCAAGCUGAUCAGGACCUGCUGGCUGAUCGAUGGACCGAGGUCCUCGCGGCCGAAGAGUAUAAACUCGAACGCCCCUCCAAAAGUUACCCAAAACGCAAGCUGCUCCCCCGAUUAGAGGAGGAAGCAUACAUACCUCCAUCACCAGCGCACGAUAUGGCUGACCGACCACCCCGUGGUCGUGACAGAGAGGCAUCCAGGCCCCCAGCCAAGACCGUACCCCGGCAUCGCUCCAAAAGUACGAAGCCAAGAGGGAACGCGCCAGACUUGCGAGACAUAUUGGAGGAUAAAGCAAGGCAAUCCAGAUCCAUCUACGGAUCACGUGGGCGCCCCACGACCCAUGACGAAUACCGUCGCGCUGGAUACAAUAACCCCGGCUGGGCCGAACACAGCAGACAAUGCUCUCUCGAGCUGCGUCGUGAUAUUGCUCAAUACAGAGGCGCCGCAGACCCGCUAUGCUUCACUGACGAAGUAAUGGAUCAUCAAAUCCCCGAAGGGUUUAAACCCGUAAACAUCGAAUCUUACGAUGGCACAACAGACCCCGCGGUUUGGAUCGAAGAUUAUCUUCUCCACAUCCAUAUGGCCCGCGGCGACGAUCUCCAUGCCAUCAAGUAUCUCCCACUCAAGCUUAAAGGACCAGCUCGGCAUUGGCUAAACAGCUUGCCCGCAGAGUCAAUUGGGUGCUGGGAAGACCUGGAAGCCGCAUUCCUCGACAACUUCUAGGGCACGUAUGUGCGACCACCAGACGCCGAUGACCUAAGCCACAUUAUUCAGCAGCCAGACGAAUCGGUCAGACAAUUCUGGACACGGUUCUUGACAAAGAAAAACCAAAUCGUCGACUGUCCGGACGCAGAAGCCCUUGCAGCCUUCAAACAUAACAUCCGGGACGAAUGGCUAGCCCGGCACCUGGGGCAGGAAAAGCCGAAAUCUAUGGCAGCCCUCACAUCAUUAAUGACCCGCUUCUGCGCGGGAGAGGACAGCUGGAUAGCUCGCAGCAACAAUCUCCGUAAAAAUUCUGGCAGUCCGGAUACCAAGGACAACAACGGCAGGUCACGUCGAAACAAAAACAAAUGCCGCAUUAACGUCGACGAUAAGGAGGAUACGGCAGUCAACGCUGGAUUCCGAGGCUCUAAACCCGGUCAGCGGAAGAAGCCGUUCAAAAGAACCACUCCGGGUCCGUCCAAUUUGGACCGAAUACUCGACCGCUUAUGCCAGAUACAUGGCACCCCUGAAAAACCAGCUAAUCACACUAAUAGAGAUUGCUGGGUGUUCAAGCAGGCAGGCAAGUUAAUUGCCGAAAACAACGACAAAGGGCUGAACAGCGACGACGAGGAAGAGAACCGACCGCCGAACAAUAGAGGACAGAAGGGUUUUCCCCCACAAGUGCGGACGGUGAAUAUGAUCUACGUGACCCAUAUACCCAAGAGGGAGAGGAAACGCGCACUAAGGGACGUCUAUGCGAUGGAGCCAGUCGCCCCGAAGUUCAAUCCAUGGUCCUCUUGUCCGAUCACUUUCGAUCGAAGAGACCAUCCGACCAGCAUACGCCAUGGCGGAUUUGCCGCAUUGGUUUUAGACCCAAUCGUCGAUGGAUUUCACCUCACGAGAGUCCUGAUGGACGGCGGCAGUAGCCUGAACCUGCUUAUCAGGAUACAAUGCGCAAAAUGGGCAUAGACCCCUCAAGGAUUAAACCUACAAAGACAACCUUUAAAGGUGUCAUACCAGGAGUGGAAGCCAACUGUACAGGCUCAGUCACACUGGAAGUGGUCUUCGAAUCCCCGGAUAAUUUCCGGAGCGAAGAGUUAAUCUUCGACAUAGUCCCGUUUCGCAGCGGCUAUCACGCUCUGCUCGGACGAACCGCGUUUGCAAAAUUCAACGCGGUGCCGCAUUAUGCAUACCUAAAGCUCAAGAUGCCAGGCCCUCGCGGAGUCAUCACGGUCAAUGGGAAUACGGAAUGCUCCCUCCGAACGGAGGAACAUACAGCGGCUCUCGCGGCAGAAGUACAGAGCAGCCUUUUAAGGAAAUUCUCGAAUCCGGUCAUUAAAAGGCCGGAUACAGCAAAACGCGCCCGGAGCAAUGCCAACCAAGACCACCUGGCGCGAUCAGAGCACGCAUAGCAAUGCAGCCCCAACCCCCGCCCGCGCAUGAUCGCAAGAAUAACACUCCGCGUACAUCAUUACGCUUUGGAGAUACCAUGGGCACAGGGGAAGGGGCACGAUCGCAACGGACCAAGAGUGCGGUUCGACCACACCGGGGGCUCGCAAGUGUGCCCCCCUCUCUUUUUUUAUUUUUCCCUUCUUUGUGUACACAGGACCCCGUUAACCAGAGGCCCUGUCCGGCGAUGAACCUGCCAAACUCAUGAUGCAACAGUCAGGGACGAAAGAAGGCUGCGACGAACACUCAGGUGGUCUCAAUUACGAGCAUUAAAUUUGAUUAUAUACACCAAGUCCGCAGCUCACCCCUGAAGGGGGACAUGUUUACUUAGUCCAAUCCCUUGCUUACCGCACUAUUUGUAUCAGUCCACACUCAUAGCAGAUUUCCUUUAAUAAAUAAUGCAGCACUUUUCGACUGCAAUUACAUCACCUUUUUAUAUAUAUGUUCAUUACAUGACAUCUUGCACCCGUAUAUUUUGGUACGGCCGAAUAUGCCAGGGGCUUCUGUUCCCCAAAUUAUGGUGUGAUAAAGUCCGAACACUUUCAUAAGUGCGGCACCCCGAACUUAUAGCAUUAUAUGAAUUGGCUCCGAAUCAUGUCUUGGGUCAAUAGUUGGGUUUGCCCGGCUCCCACGUUUUGGUGCCUUACGUUCCGUUCUGUCGGCUAAGGUGGCACUGGGAGAACCACUGCGAUUGCGCCCCGGUUGAGCCGGGCGAGCGCCUCAGUGGAGAAAGCUAAAACUAACUGGCAUGAUAAGGCGAGAGACUGGUCGCUGUUCAAGAGGUUUUUUCGGGUCCUUAAAGACUCACGCCGCUUCGAGCGAAGUUCCGGACAAUGUCCGACGAAGGCAUGGAUAGCGCCCCGGAUUCGGUCUUCCGAAUACCAGGGGCUUCGCCGAAAUUUAAAAUUAUAGAAUUCUAUGGCUAAGUGAGAGUGUUCAAGCAUUAUAAGUUCGGUUGCCUUGUUCAUUGUGUUGAGCGCCUCCCUAGAUGGACCCAAAAAUGGGAACAAGAGUGCUCAAGUUUAUCCCGAACACCCCAGCACUCGUGGCUUGGGGGCUGAAGCCAACGACUUGCCAUCUCUCAGAUUUUAUAAACGGCCGCACAGAAGGUAAUAUUUUAAAUUAAACAAGCGUUGCUUAACGCGCACAUGAACAAAGUUUCAGCGCGCAGGAUAAUACAUAACGAGUUUACUCAAAGAUUACAUUUCGGGGGCACUCAUCCGCAAUAUCGCGGGCUCCCUUCAGGACAGUUCUAUAAUACAUCUCCGGCGUGCGAUACUCCUUGCCCGGUGGCGGUGGGUCCGUGAGAAGCUUCUCCGCAUCCAACCUGCCCAGUGCACCUUUGUGCGGGCAAGGGCCCGACGAGCACCUUCAAUAUAGGCGGAGCGCUUGAUGACCUCCACCCAAGGGCACGCAUCCACCAGCCGCCGCACGAGGCCGAAGUAGCUUCCAGGCAUGGCCUAUCCAGGCCACAGCCGGACUAUGAGGGCCUUCAUGGCCCCCUCAGCUACCUUGUGGAGUUCGACCAGCUGGUUCAGCUGGUCGCUUGGGGGCACCGGAUGUCCGGCCUCAGCAUACUGAGACCAGAACACCUUCUCCGUCGAGCUCCCCUCCAUGCCACGAUAGAAUGCGGCGGCAUCGGACGCACUACGCGGCAGAUCUGCAAAUGCCCCUGGAGAGCUCCGAACGCGGGUAAGUGUAAGGUAGUUUACAUUAACAUGCUUGCUUUGCAUGAAAAAUGCCUUACCCGCCGCUUUUUUCUUCACAUCUUCAACCUCCUGAAGGGCCUUACGGGCCUCGGCCUUGGCGGACUUGGCACUUUCGAGAGCCGAGGCAAGCUCGGACUCUUGAGUCUUGGAGUCACGCUCCAAACUCUCAUGCUUUUCCAUGAGAGCUUGGAGCUCUUGCCGUACUUCCGCCAUCCGUGCCUCCUGCUUCUUUCGCUCUUCCCGCUCCGCGGCCACACUGCGUUCGGCCGCGGACACAGCCUCCUUCAGGGCUGCCACCUCGUUCGUGGCCCCUGCAAUACCCAUAUUGUCCUUGUUAAUUUUCUUGCAACCAAAAUCCUUUUCUGUAAGGUAACUAUUCAAAGGGGUGUUAAUCACCUUCUUUGUCCUCGAGCUGCUUCUUAGCAUGGCCGAGCUCUUGCUCGGACCGCUCGAGAUCCUUCUUCAACACUUCGACCUCCGCCGAUAGUGCGGCAGAGGUCAGCAGCGCAGCCUGCAAACCCAUAUUGACAUAUUUUAAGUACCCUACGUAUAUCUUGUUAGAUCCUCAGUCCGGCUUUUCUUUCCGAACGCCGAACUGAGCAUCAGGAGCUACUGUCUAUGCAGUAUUACAUUACAUAGUUUUAACUUCUUACCUCAAAGCCUGUUAGAAGGCUGCUGCAGGCUUCGGUCAGCCCGCUUUUGGCAAGCUGAACCUUUUGAAUCACCACACUCAUGAUAGUGCGGUGUUCUUCCUCGAUGGAAGCGCCUUUAAGCGGCUCCAGCAAGUUAUCCGGCGCCUCCGGUUGGACGGAGGCCGCCGGUGUCACGGUCUUGCCCUUCUUUCGAAGGGGCCGCUUGCCGGACUCUGGAACCACUGCGGGUUCUGAUGUAGAGUCCGGCGCACAGUCCGAGAGGCUGCCUGACGGCGCCUCCGGAGCCUCCUCCUGAUGGGUCCCUCUCUGGGAUCCCACCUCGGCGUCCUCACCGGCGCGUGGGGUAGAGGCAGUCGGAAGUGAAUCCACAUCCGACGGGGCCAACGACCCGCUCGAUGAGUCGGGGAGAUCGUCAUCGGCCGGACUACGGACAGAAUGCGGCAUGAAGGACACUACGCGACACGAAAGAAAUUACAUAUCAAGGAUCCGGAUACUUACGAUCUUGCCGAACGCCUGGCCCUUGGAGACCAUUCAUCCUCGCCAACGACGGUGUUGGCGAAACUGUCCGGGGGGAUAGUCCUCCCCCUCUUGGACCCUUCGGCCUCCCCUAUUGGGGAAGGCUUCCUCUUCUUCUCUCCCUCCUCUGGGAGAGAGCCCUCCUCCUCCUCGUCUUCGGGGGAGGAGUCUGCGGCGUCGUCAGACGCCUGAUUGCAGGAACUCUUUCGAGUCCCCGCGGCCACCUUCUUGGCCUUCUUCUCCGGCACCACGUGCGGUGCCGGAACCAGCAGCCCUGCUAAACGGGCGUUCUCUGGGUCUUCUGGCAUGGGAGCCGGGCUGAUAAGCAGCUUGGCCUUCCCCAUCCAUUCCUGUCAAAGGAAAAGGGAAAUUGAAACCCUCUUAGAAUCAGUUUAAUUACCACAAGUGUCCUGUAAUGGGGUUGGAUCACUUACCUCGUCAGCCGGAUGCUGCGAGCAGAAUCCGCGAUCUUCCGUCGCGGAUGCGGGGGCUUCGGCGCCCUUGAACAGCACCCUCCAGGCACCUUCGUAUGUCGUAUCGAAGAGCCCGCUCAGCGCCUGGUGCUGUUCCGGAUUGAACUCCCACAGAUUGAAUGCCCGCUCUUGGCAUGGGAGAAUCCGGCGGAUGAGCAUGACUUGGACCACGUCGACGAGCCUGAGCUUAUUGCUCACCAGCUUCUGGAUGCAGGCUCGGAGUCCCGUCACCUCCAUCGGAUUGCCCCACUGCAAGCCCUUCUCUUUCCAGGAGGUGAGCUGCGUGGGGACGCCAGAUCUAAACUCGCGGGUCGCAACCCAUGUGGGCUUGCACGGCUCGGUGAUAUAGAACCACCCCGAUUGCCACCCCUUGACGGAGUCCACGAAGGCCCCUUCGAGCCAGAGUAUGGUGGGCAACUUGCCCAACAUGGCGCCUCCGCAUUCCGCUUGCGUGCCCUUCACAACCUUCGGCUUGACGUUGAAGGUCUUGAGCCACAGGCCGAAGUGGGGCCGGAUGCAGAGGAAGGCCUCGCACACGACGAUAAACGCCGAGAUGUUGAGGAUGAAGUUCGGCGCCAGAUCGUGGAAAUCCAGGCCAUAGUAAAACAUGAUCCCCCGGACGAACGGGUGCAAUGGAAAGCCCAGUCCGCGGAGGAAGUGGGGGAGGAAGACGACCCUCUCAUGGGGCCCAGGGGUAGGGAUGAGCUGCCCCUCAUCGGGCAGCCGAUGCGCGAUAUCGCCGGAAAGAUAUCCGGCGCUGCGCAGUUUGGUGAUGUGCUCCUCCUUGACAGUGGAAGCCAACCAUUUGCCUCCCGCUCCGGACAUAUUCGGAGAAGGUCGAGGCGAGAUGCGCGAACUUGGGUGUUGGAGCUUGAGAGCGCGGAGAUGGAUAAGCAAAGGAGGAAGAAGGCGUAGGUGAGAAGGUGAAUCCUUAUCCCUUAUAUAUAGGCGGACGAAAACUAUGCGUCCCCCACCGGCCUGGUAAAACUCGCUUAUCUCCCAAGCACCACCAUCAAUGGCGCGGUUGGGUUACCCACGUCCGUAUUGAUGAGAAUCCCGGAAUAAGGGGAACACGAUCUCUGCUUCGACAAGACGUGCCAAGGAAACCGCUUCGCUAAACGUGCUGAGGUGGUAUAGUAAAAAACGAUUCAAGUAAAAGCCUGGUACCGGUAUGAUGUCACGCCGCAUAAUACGUCAGCAGAUUGAACUGGUGUACAUUUUAUUCUCUCUACGGUGGAAUGUGGAAUUUAUUUUGCAGAGCCGGACACUAUCCUGGUGUUCAUGAUCUUCUCUGGAUUAUUCAAGGGAGGAACCCGCCUUGCAAUGCCGAACAUUAUGCACGCCGGACUAAUCGUCAUUGAAGCCUGGUUCAGGGGCUACUGAGGGAGUCCUGCACUAGGGGGUGUCCGGACAGCCGGACUAUCAUCAUCCGCCGGACUCCAAGACUACGAAGAUACAAGAUUGAAGACUCCGUCCCGUGUCCGGAUGGGGCUUUCCUUGGCGUGGAAGGCAAGCUUGGCGAUACGGAUAUGUAGAUCUCCUACCAUUGUAACCAACUCUGUGUAACCCUAGCCUCCUCCGGUGUCUAUAUAAACCGGAGGGCUUUAGUCCGUAGGACAACAUACAUUACAACAAUCAUACCAUAGGCUAGCUUCUAGGGUUUAGCCUCCUUGAUCUCGUGGUAGAUCCACUCUUGUACUACCCAUAUCAUCAAUAUUAAUCAAGCAGGACUUAGGGUUUUACCUCCAUCAAGAGGGCCCGAACCUGGGUAAAAACAUCGUGUCCCUCGUCUCCUGUUACCAUCCGCCUAGACGCACAGUUCGGGACCCCCUACCCGAGAUCCGCCGGUUUUGACACCGACAAAGACCAUCUUGCAGAUCCAGACACGGUCUACGUGUUCGAUAAUCACUUUGGAGUAUUCGGAGGAGGAACCCGCCUUGCAAUGCCGAAGACAAUACUACGCGCCGGACUCAUCGUCAUUAAAGCCUGGUUCAGGGGCUACUGAGGGAGUCCUGGAUUAGGGGGUAUCCGGACAGCCGGACUGUGUACAACGUCCGGACUAGUGAAGCAUGAAGAUACAAGACACAAGACUUCGGCCCAUGUCCGAAUGGGACUUUCCUUGGCGUGGAAGGCAAGCUUGGCGAUCCGGAUAUUAUAUUUCCUUCCUUGUAACCGACUCCAUGUAAACCCUAGCCCUCUCCGGUGUCUAUAUAAACCGGAGAGGUUGGUCCUUAGAAGGCCGAUCGCAAUUACAAUCAUACCAUCAUAGGCUAGCUCCUAGCGUUUAGCCUCUACGAUCUCGUGGUAGAUCUACUCUUGUACUACCCAUAUCAUCAAUAUUAAUCAAGCAGGAAGUAGGGUUUUACCUCCAUCGAGAGGGCCCGAACCUGGGUAAACAUCUGUGUCCCUUACUUCUUGUUACCAUCAGCCUUGACGCACAAAUCGGGACCCCCUACCCGAGAUGCGCCGGUUUUGACACCGACAAUGGCCUCUACCGUCCAGGAGAAGGAUAUCAAGAAACUUUGGGAGGCCGGGUAUCUGGGCAAGAAGAUCGGCCACCGCCUUCCGACGGCGGAACAGAUUGUCCCUACUCCGGAACCCCACGAGAGGGUUGUAUUCCUCCCUCACUUUGUCCGCGGGCUAGGGUUUCCCCUCCACCCAUUCAUUCACGGCAUUAUUGUAGGAUCGAAAGUAUGUCUAGAGGGGGGGUGAUUAGACUACUUGACAAUAUAAAAAUUUAGCCUUUUGAUUAAGACAAGUUUUUGGCAAGUUCACAAUGAUGAUCAAGUCAAGUAUCACCCUACACAUGCAAUUCUAGAGUAAUGGCAGCGGAAAGUAAAUUGCACAUGUAGUAAAUAGAGGUGGAGAAGGGCAAACGCAAUUUGGAGACACGGAGAUUUUUCUCGUGGUUCCGAUAGGUGGUGCUAUCGUCAAUCCACGUUGAUGGAGACUUCAACCCACGGAGGGUAACGGCUGCGAGAGUCCACGGAGGGCUCCACCCACGAAGGGUCCACGAAGAAGCAACCUUGUCUAUGCCAUCAUGGCAUACGCCCACGGAGGACUAGCCUUACUCGGGGUAGAUCUUCACGAAGUAGGCGAUCUCCUUGCCCUUACAAACUUCUUGGUUCAACUCCACAUCUUGACAGAGGCUCCCAAGCGACACCUAACCAAUCUAGGAGGCACCACCCUCCAAAAGGUAAUAGAUGGUGUUGGUGAUGAUGAACUCCUUGCUCUUGUGCUUCAAAUGAUAAUCUCCCCAACACUCAACUCUCCUCACUGAUUUGGCUGUGGUGGAAGAAAGGAUUGAGUGGAAAGCAACUUGGGAAGGCUAGAAAUCAAGUAUCAUAUGGUGGGAGUGGAGCAACUUGAUCUCAACACAAGGGUAGGUAGUUUUCUUCUCAGAAAUGUAAGGUAGGAGUGGUAGUUCUUUUUGAUGGCUCUCUCCACGAAUGAAGAGGAGGUGGAGGGGUAUUUAUAGCCUCCACACAAAAUCCAACCGUUACACACAUUUGACCAAUCUCGGUCAGACCGAAGUUGACAACUCGGUGAGACCGAAAGUUCAAAUCUUGUGAACGUUGGGAUUUUCGGUGGGACCGAAAAUACAAUCUCGGUGAGUCCGAUUCUUCCAAAGACUAGGGUUUGCCAUUCUCGGUGGGACCGACUUUAUCAUCUCGGUGACACCGAUUUGAUUACAGAAGGUUACAGAAGGUUGGCAACACUAGUUUCGGUGAGACCGAGUUUGGAAUCGGAAAAACCGAAAUUACUAGGGUUUGGCUUUGUUGCUGAGGUGGUUCAUCUCGGUGUGACUGAGUUUAUGGAAUCGGUGGGACCGAGAUUACUUAUGAGUAUAUGUUGGAAUGAAAGAUUGCUGAUAGUUUGGGAGAUAGAUCACUAAGCACUUUGAGCAACCAGAUCAUUAUCAUAACCUCAUCCCCUUUUAAUAGUAUUGGCUUUCCUAUAGACUCAAUGUGAUCUUGGAUCACUAAACCAAAAAUGGAGUCUUGAGCUUUUGCCAAUGUUUUCCUUAGCAUUUUGAGGGGUCCACAUCUUCAGUCAUUGCCAUACCCAUAUCACUGAACUUUCUGAAAUGAUACUCAAGAAACUAUUAGUUCAAUGAUAUAUAUGUUGUUAUUAAUUACCAAAACCACCUGGGGAUUAGUUGCACUUUCAAUUAUGUAUUACUAUGGGAUCGAUUCGCAUGAUCUAUCCCCCAAUUCUUUCCUCAACAUGUCGACAUUCAUCGUCGUGUCGAGGCCUUUCUUCGCAUCUCUCCACACUUCGGAUUAUGGCUAAAGAUUUUCAAUGUGAAGCCCAAGGUGGUGAGCGGUGAGCACGCUGAGUGCGGAGGAGCCAUGGUAAGCAAGAUGCCCAAUGUCACACGGCCAUCAGGUACCUUCAAUGAUUCCGUCAAAGGGUGGCAACAACAAUGGUUCUAUGCCACUGAGCCACGCGGCACAAAAUGGGCCGCAAUUCCCGAAUUCCGAUCCGGAGCUCCAUUGCGGCUUACGUCCUGGCCCAAGAAGGGCCUGAACUGGUCUUCGCCAGAUGAGUUGGCGGUGCUCUAGGCACGUGUCAAGGGUAUGGCGGACAAAAAUAUAAAACUUGUCAAUGUUGUCCAGGUGAUGUUAGUUCGCCGGAUUCUCCCUUGUCAACACAGGGCUUGCAAUUUAUGGGAAUUCGGCCCGGCCAAGCACCAGACCCUACUAGGGUUCUUCAACUCAUCGCACAAGGACAUCUGGAAGGUGCUCUUCAAGUUCGGCAAAUCGUGGCCGGAUUCAACUGAGGACCGCGGGUACCAACUGUCCCGGCCCGUGAGUUCGGUAAGUCUUUGAAUGUUGGCAAGUCGUAUGCUUUAUUUGCAUAAUCCAAGGGAAAUGCUUAAUGUAUUUUCCCACAACUCUCCUAGGGCUGGACGAAGAAGGUAGGGCAGAUCUACUGUCCGGCCCUGCUACCAGAAGAACAAGCCGGCCCACUUCUGAUGAAGAUGCUGGUCCCGGCACCUUACAAGUUGCCGAAGAAAAAAGCCGAGAAAGAGGCCAAAGAGACCAGGGGCAGCCUUUAUCGCCAAGAAACUUCGGCCAUAGUAUCCGAAGACUCUGAGGCCCGCUCUUCCUCCAAAGAGGACGAGGAAGAGGAGGAAAGCUGAUCCCCCCCAGCAAGGGGAAGAAAGAAACGGACAACGUCCACACACUUGGAGGCUGAGUCGCCUAAGAAGGGAAAAACUCCCUUUCCGGAGGAAUCCGCCACCACCACCGACAGCAACCCGGAGUGGGAUCCCAGGGUCCAGCCCCUGGUGAAAUCAUGAGUAUAUAAAAUCCGGACACGUUUGUGUAUCCAGACUCACUAUCGUAUAGCGUUUAACGCAUUGAGUCACGCCUUUUUUGCAGUCCGGCCAGGUCCCACGCCGAACAAUCCCCAUCGGAGGAUUCACUAGGUUUAGAUGCUAUGGACAUCGAGACACCCCCAACGGCCCCCUCCCCAAAACACGUGAAUGACACCGGGGUAUCGUCCCAAAGGGACCCAGGCCGAGGAGGGGGUGGGAAGACCGUCAAAGCGGCGCCAGAGGGUCAAACCUCGGCGGCCGGACCCACAGGGGAAAAGGCUCCCAUGGACACCGACGACGGGGGCUAUCUUGAAUUCGGCCCCCAGCCGGACACAGCUCCGGAGACCAACACGGUCCUGGAAACAGGCAGGCAACCUCCCUAGAUAGAAGGGGGUGCGCCUGUUCCACCAGCAACCUCUGCCCAACCAAAGGUGCCGGAUACCUUAUCAGUAGCGCUGAAGAGCGCCUCCAUCGUUGAAUAACAUCGUGCCCUUAUGGGUGCGGUGAUUGAGAAGAUUCAGUCUGCUGAAAGCGGUGAAUGAAGCCUGCAUCAGCCUUAUAACGGGCUUUGAGGUAUGUUGUGAGGUUUCAAAGAUUGUCAUAGUAUAGAUAGUAGCCCCUGAUACACUGUUCGGUGUUCGAAAGAAAGAACCGGGUAGAGGAUCAAAUAUAUGUUCGCAGGAGACUUACCUUGUGGUACCUCUCCCUCUUUUAUUUUUUCUAAGCAGGCGUCUGUAGUGACUGCCGCCUUUCAUACUGCGGAAGUCUCCGGACUGAAGCAGAGUCUGGAGAGGGCCAAAGAAGAACUUGGCCGAGUGAAAAAGUAGUUGAAGGAUAACCAAGGUAUGCAAAAAACCUUGUUCGCAUUCAGCGCAAAUGAAUAAUUGAGUAUGAUGAAAAAAAUUCAUGAUGUGCUCUAGGAGCGACGGCCGAAGUCGAGGCUCUUAAGAAGGCGGUGGCCGAGGCCGAGAAGAAGGCAGCCACAGAGCAGGCUCUUCGUGAAAAGCACGAGGCUAGGGUUAUUGAAGUUCAGCAAGAGCUGCAAGAGGUUGUGAAGAAAUGCGAGACCUUAGAGUAGAGUUUAACGGAGAAAGAAUCCGAACUCACCAAGGCUCGUCAAGCCGCGCACGAUGCCUGGGGCAAAGCCCAAGAUGCCCUGCAGGAAAUCCAGGAGGCCAGGAAGAUUGUGGCGGGUAAGGCUUUUUCUAUGCAAAGCAAAUAUUUAAAGGGAGAAAUUCACGUUACUAAUUUGAAUUCGGAUUUCUCCAGGGGUGUUUGCGGAACUGCCGUGCAGCGUAUCUGAUGCCGCACAAUUCUACCGAGCCGAAGAAAGGAGCUCUAUGGAGAAGCUCUUUUGGUCGCAAUAUCUGGUGCCAGAGUAUCCAGUGCCCUUUGCCGAUCAAUUGAAACAGCUGAUCGAACUGAAUAGGGAGGCCGAACUAGCCAUGAAGGAUUUAAAUAUCAGGCUAUGGCCCGCCGAGGCGAUUCCCAGCAGCUACUUUGGGCUCGUAAAGCGGCUUGUAAGUGCCUGCCCUCGACUUGAAGUCAUGUAGCGACCCGACCUCAGAUGGUCAAGUCUCUGUGCUCCGGUGUCAUCCCUGGAUCAGUAAUGCUGACACCACACAGUACUUCGAAGGAUUUAUAACAGAGUAGCAAUCACACACUUAUUACAUCGUUUGUCCAAAGAGGACUUAUUACAAUAAUCAUGGCUUAAGGCCAUCUAAUAACGAUAACAGCGGAAGACUUGGAAGAUAAGUGAGUCCAUCAACUCCAACGGCAUCACUGAGUAUAGAACCACGACCUAAAAGCACCUUACUCGUCGUCUGAAAAGUCUGCAACAUGAAAGUUGCAGCCCGAAAACGGGUCAGCACAUGGAAUAUGCUGGCAAUGUAACACAUAGAGAAUGAUGAACAAUAAGCCUAUACUACAUGCAUAUUUGGCUGGUGGAAAGCUCUAUGGUUACAGUUUUGCAUAAAGCCAGUUUUUCCCUACUGCAAAGGAAAUAAAUUUAUUUAACUAUCAUGGUGGUUGUUAAACAUUGAGAAUGGUUGACAGCAUCCUCAAUCCCAAUUAAAAAGUACUCAUUAACAAACCCAUCAAUAUUAAAUUAGAGUAACAUGUUGAGAUUCAACAAAAUAUUCAAGUACUAGAUACUCAAGAUGUCCAUAACCGGGGACACGGCUAAUCAUGAUUAGUUUGUACACUCUGCAGAGGUUUGUGCACUUUUCCCCACAAGACUCGAUCGCCUCCGUUUGGUUUCUCGCACUACAUGGUGUUUGAGAAACGGAUGACCGAGACACAGUCUUUCAGAAGCGCUAGCACCUUACGAUGGGUGGACCGGUACACCUACAUCCCCUACAUCUGCUAGUCCACCAUUAUAAGAGUUCGCACAACUUAGUCAACUAUGCCAGAGCCCAUAAUGGCUUGUGGCUGCACACGUAAGUUACUAGUAUGAAUUAUCUUAUGAUCCCUUUGAGCCUGGGUGGCGGUCCAUAGGAAAAUCACACGGUACCCCCGGGAUUUCCAAAAAAACAGGCAAGUGCUGGUAACCCCAGGUGCCUCAAUCCACCCAGAUGUGUAUUUAAGUUGCCACCUUAGAUAAACCAUUAAUUAAACAAUCUCACAUCUGUCAUGGAUAUCACUCACCCAAUCCACGUCUACUAGCAUAGCAUGGCAUAAUAAGCAAACGUAGAAGUAACUCCCAAAGGUUUCAUAAGUAACAGGUAAUAGGUACUACCUCAUCUACUUCCCAUCCCACAAUUUAAUUAGAUCCUAAACAUGCAAUGUGUGAGGAUUGAUCUAAUGCAUAAAAACUGGGUAGUAGAAAAAGUAUGAUCAAGUGUUACUUGCCUUGCUGAUGAUCCGCGAAACCUAGAGAUUCAAAGUAAAAAGCGGCACACUCCGGGUGAUCUAUCGCAGUCAAACAACAAGCAUACAAUAAGUACUCUUCUAAUGCAUAGGUAAAUCUCGCAUAAAAGAUCUAACCAGAAAGUCCAACUUAAGAACCCUGGUUGCAAAAAGAAUCAAUAAAGCAACGAAAGUCAAACGGCGAGAGAAAACGACUCAGUUCUAGCAAUUUGAAACUAGGUCAAAUUUUACAGUAACAAAACUUGGUUUAAGUUGAUUAGUCGGAACGGCGGUUUCGAGACGAAACUCCAGGCUCUUGAAUCACCUGAUUCCGAUAAACGAGCGAGAAGAUAGACUAGAAAGAAAAUCGGAUCUGAAAUCGCUAUCAGAAAAAUAGCGGAAUAAAUCCGACUAAAAAGAAAGAACGACGAACGGUUGAACGAACGGAGGUUCGUUAACCAAGGCUAACCGGUGAUCACGUUCGUUGAGGCAAACGGUCCGGCGAACACUCGCUAAACAAAACCGGAAAGAAAAACCGGCGAGAAAAACCGAUCUAGGGUUUUCGGAAAGAAAACCGAAACGAAAAACCGAUCUAGAAAACCGGAACGGUUUACAAGAAAAACUGCAUCGAGGGAAUAGGUGACGCGGCGCGGGGCUAGUACCUCGAAGAGGCGAGGGGCUCCGGCGGUGGCGGCGUUGGGCGGCGGCGGCACUUGGCGGCGGCGGCGUAGGGCGGCGGCGCGGGUGUGGGGCGGCGACGUGGGUGUGGUGCUGCGCUGCUGCUAUUGCGGAGAGGAGAGGAGAGGGCUUUGGUAUGAUGUUUAGAGGGGGGGUGCUUGGGUAUUUAUAUUGGGGAGGGGUGGGUUUUGCUUGGAGGAGGGAUCAAGAAUUUGACUAGGAUUAGGAAUCCUAGGAACAAACGGAAAAACGAAAUAAGGAAAAAGAGGCAAGGGGCACCCUAGAAUCCUUUUAGGAUUCGUACAGGAGCAAGGGGCGGCGGCGGCUGCUCCCUGGCCAGGGGCGCGCGUGCGUUGGCCUUGGCCUCCUGGCCGGCGGCUUGGUGGCUUGGGCCUUUGGCCCAAGGCGCUACAGUUUUUUUUUAAAUCGGUUUCGCGCGCUGAAAAACACAGAACAUAAAAUCUACCGGACUCCAAAAUUAAUAAAGUAAAUUUUCCCCGACUCCUAAAAAUGAGCCGAACAAAAAUGAACUUUUACUCGGGCCUAAAAUGCAAUUUUUGAAAAUACGCAUUUUUUCCUAAGGCAAAUAAACUCCGAGAAAAAUCCAAAUUUGAUUUAUUUAUUAAAUCUUCAUUUUUCCUAAAAUUUGGGAAAGUCAUAUUAUUCCCUCUCAUAUUUGUGAUAUUAGAAAAAUAUUUGAAGAUAAAAUAAAUAAUCCAAAUGAUCCUCUUUUCAUAAUUUGAUAGAACUCAAAUAUGAAAAUUUCGAAAUCUCCAACUCUCUCCGUGGGUCCUUGAGUUGCGUGAAAUUUCUAGGAUCAACAAAAUGCAAGAAAAUAUGAUAUGCAUGAUGAUCUAAUGUAUAACAUUCCAAAUUGAAAAUUUGGGAUGUUACAAACCUACCCCCCUUAAGAUGAAUCUCGCCCUCGAGAUUCGGGUUGGUUAGAAAAUAGGUGAGGGUGGUCCUUGAGAAAAUCUUCUUCUCUCUCCCAGGUGGCUUCAUCCUCCGUGUGGUGGCUCCACUGAACCUUGCAAAACUUGAUAACCUUGCUGCGAGUAACUCUGCUGGCAUAUUCGAGAAUCCUGACUGGUUUCUCCUCAUACGUUAAAUCAUCCUUCAACUGAAUUGUUUCAAGCGGCACAGUAUCUCUUAGCGGUACUUCCGCCAUCUCGGCGUGACAUUUCUUCAGCUGAGAAACAUGGAAUACGCCGUGAACUCCUGACAGUCCUUCUGGUAAUUCCAACUUAUAAGCGACUUCUCCCAUGCGUUGCAAAAUCUUAUAUGGUCCAACGAAACGUGGUGCUAAUUUUCCUUUAACUUCAAAACGCUUAACUCCUCGAAGUGGGGAUACUCUAAGAUAAACUCUGUCUCCAACUUCAUAUUCUAUCGCCUUGCGUUUUGAAUCCGCAUAGCGCUUCUGUCUGGAUUGGGCUACCUUGAGGCUGUCGCGAAUCAACUUAAAUUUCUGUUCGGACUCCUUAAUCAAAUCUGGUCCAAACAACUGACGGUCUCCAACUUCGUCCCAUGACAACGGUGUCCUGCACCUUCUUCCGUAUAAAGCUUCGAAAGGUGCCAUCUUCAAGCUGGUUUGGUAACUGUUGUUAUAAGAAAACUCCACAUACGGCAAGUUAUCGUCCCAACUAGAUCCAUAAUCUAGUGCACAAGCUCUCAGCAUAUCCUCCAAAAUCUGAUUGACUCUCUCAGUCUGUCCAUCUGUCUGUGGGUGAAAAGUUGUACUGAAUUCCAGCCUCGUUCCCAAUGUUUCAUGCAACUGAUUCCAAAACUUUGAGGUAAAUUGGGUCCUCUAUCUGAUACGAUACUCCUUGGAACUCUGUGCAAACACACAAUUCUGGUCAUGUAUAUCUUUGCCAACUUAGCACUGCUAUAGGUAGUCUUGACUGGAAUGAAAUGCGCUACCUUUGUCAAGCGGCCGACUAUAACCCAAAUCGAGUCAUAGCCUGAACGAGUCUUUGGCAAACCCGUGAUAAAAUCCAUGCCUAGUUUAUCCCACUUCCAUUCGGGUAUCGGCAAUGGUUGCAACAAUCCUGCUGGAUUCUGAUGUUCUGCCUUCACUCUCUGACAUACAUCACAAACUGCUACAUACUCUGCAAUAUCCUUCUUCAUUCCGGUCCACCAGAAUGUUUCCUUCAAAUCCAAAUACAUCUUGGUAUUUCCCGGGUGAAUCGAAUAGGGUGAAUCAUGUGCUUCUUGUAGAAUCAACUUUCUGAUCUCCGGAUCAUUUGGCACAUAAACACGGUCCUCAAACCAUAGGGUAUCGUGCUCAUCCUCACGAAAUCCCUUUGCUUUUCCUUCGCUCAUUUUCUCCUUUAUAUCUGCGAUCUCCUUGUCCUUUUUCUGAGCUUCUCUGAUUUAUCCAUCAAGGUAGACUGAAUCUCCAAUGCUGCUACAUAGCCUCUCGGAACUAUUUCCAAACAUAGCUCACGAAGGUCUUCUCCUAGCUCCUUUGGUAUCUCUCCCGUCAUCAGCGUAUUGACAUGGCUCUUGCGGCUCAAUGUGUCAGCUACUACAUUAGCCUUUCUGGGAUGAUAAUGCAAUCUCAUAUCAUAAUCCUUGAUGAGUUCCAACCAUCUCCUUUGUCUAAGGUUUAACUCCUUCUGCGUGAAAAUGUACUUCAAACUCUUGUGAUCCGUGUACACCUCACAAUGAUUUCCAAUGAGGAAAUGUCUCCAUGUCUUCAAUGCAUGCACUACGGCUGCUAACUCCAAAUCAUGUGUGGCAUAAUUUAAUUCAUGAGGUUUCAGUUGUCGUGAAGCAUACGAAACAACUCUUCCUUCCUGCAUAAGCACAGCUCCAUGUCCUCGACGUGAAGCGUCGCAAUACACCUCAUAAUCCUUGGUCUGAUCUGGCAAAAUUAACACUGGUGAGGUAACCAAUCUUUUCUUCAACUCCUGGAAACUUGCCUCACAAUCCUCAGUCCAUAUAAACUUAGUAUCCUUUUUCAGCAACUCCGUCAUAGGCUUUGCAAUCUUUGAGAAGUUCUCAAUGAAUCUCUGGUAGUAUCCUGCGAGUCCAAGAAAACUCCGGAUCUCUCCAACUGUCGUUGGUGCUUCCCAUUUGGUUACGGUCUCAACCUUUGUGGGGUCAACUGCUAUCCCUUCUCCGGAUAUAACAUGUCCAAGAAUCCAACUUCCUUUAGCCAAAACUCACAUUUGCUGAACUUGGCAUAUAACUGAUGUUCCCUUAGUUUCUCCAAAACCAAUCACAAAUGUUCCUUAUGUUCCUCUUCAUUCUUCGAGUAAACCAAAAUAUCAUCAAUGAACACCACGACGAACUUAUCCAAAAACUCCAUAAACACUUUGUUCAUCAGGUUCAUGAAAUAAGCAGGUGCGUUAGUCAGUCCAAAUGACAUAACGGUAUACUCAUACAGUCCAUAUCUUGUGGUGAACGUUGUCUUAGGUAUAUCCUGUUCUCGAAUCUUCAACUGAUGGUACCCUGAUCGCAAAUCGAUCUUGGAAAACACUUUAGCGUCUUGCAAACGAUCAAACAGAUCAUUUAUCAUUGGUAGUGGGUACUUGUUCUUGAUUGUUACUGCAUUCAAUCCACGGUAAUCAACAACCAUCCUUAACGAUCCAUCCUUCUUCUCCACUAAUAGUACGGGUGAUCCCCAAGGUGAAGAACUUGGGCGUAUAUAACCUUUAUCCAAUAGCUCCUUAAUCUGCUUCUUGAUUUCCGCCAAAUCUUGUGCGGGCAUCCUGUAUGGUCGCUUCGAUAUUGGGCCUAUUCCUGGCAAAAGCUCAAUCAAAAACUCAAUGUCUCUAUCCGGUGGCAUUCCUGGCAAUUCCUCAGGAAAUACAUCAGGAUAAUCUUUCACUACUGGCACCUCUUCCUGCACAACUCCUGAUAAGCAAUUUACUUGAUUCUUAUUUGGUCCAUGUCGUGACACAUACUUGAUCCUUCUUCCUUCUGGUGUCAUGAGCAAAAUCGUCUUACUUGCGCAAUCGAUGUUUCCUCCAUACAUCGACAGCCAAUCCAUUCCAAGAAUCACAUCCAAUCCUUGGGAUUCCAGAAUGAUCAAAUCCAUCGGGAAUACAUGCCUUCCUAUACUCAAUGGCACUUGAAAACAUCCUUGUCUGGCCAUGUAGUCUGCUCCUGGUGAACUUACUAGCAUAGGGGUUUUAAGAAUCUGAGUAGGCAGACUAUACUUUUCUACAAAUCCCCUUGAUAUGUAUGAAUGCGAUGCACCAGUAUCGAAAAGAACAAGUGCAGUAAAUGACUUAACCAAAAACUUACCGAUUACUGCAUCGGGCUGAUCUUCAACCUCCUCCACAUCAAUGUGGUUCACCUGUCCCCUAUUGAAAGGGUUGGGCUUCUUUCCAGAGCUUCCAUUUCCACCUUGGCCUUCGGGACAAUCACUUGCAUAAUGUUCGGUCUUGGAACACUUGUAACAGGUGACAUGGCUCAGGUCUUUCUUGGCUGGGGUUGAUGGGGUGGUCCUGUUCUGGCCGUUGCUUCCUCCAUUCCCAUUACCAUUCUUAUGGCCAUUAUGGUUGUGCGAACUACCUCCUCCAUGGGUAUGCUGAAACUGAACUCCCUGUCUAGGUGUAUAACGGGGCUUCUGCUGGGCUCCAGAGUUAUACUUCCCCUGUCCAUACUUCCUCUUGCGGUUCUCAAUCUGCUGCUACUUUCCUUCAAUCAUGAGGGCACGGUCUACCAACUCCUGGUAGUUAUUAAACCUUGCUACCAUCAACUGCAUGCUUAACUCAUCAUUCAGUCCUUCCAGAAACUUCUCCUGCUUAGCUGCAUCUGUAGCAACGUCAUCUGGGGCAUAACGUGCUAGCUUACUAAAAUCAUCCACAUACUGGCCAACAGUCCUUCCUCCUUGGCGUAAGUUGUGAAACUCACGCUUCUUCAUGGCCAUAACUCCUGCUGAAACAUGGGCAGUGCGAAAAGCUUGCUGAAACUGAUCCCAUGUGACAGUGUCUACAGGGUAAGUGGCUGUGAAAUUCUCCCACCAUGCUGCUGCGGGUCCGUCAAGCUGAUGUGCAGCAAACUUCACCUUCUCACCAUCUGUACAUCCUACAGUGGUCAACUCCCUUCCUAUCUUGCGGAGCCAAUCAUCUGCUACAAUCGGCUCGGUGCUACUGGAAUACACCGGCGGAUUCAGCCUAAGAAAACGAGUCAAGUGAUCCGCAAGUGGUGGUGGUGGUGGGUUGUUGUUGUUGUUGUUGCCUUGGUUCUGCACCAAUGUCUGAAUCAAAGUAUUCUGCUGCUGAAUCAACUAAGUGAUCUUUGGCGGGAAAACAAACUCGGGGUCGCGUCUCGGAGGCAUCUGAGGGGUUUAGAAAAGACGAGAAAUUAAGAAUAGAAUGAGGUCUAAAGGGAAAACACUACCCAAAUGCUCAUGAGACAAAUGCACACAAAAUCACUUCAUUCAUUCAAACAAAGGGCAUACAACGGUCUAACUAUCGCAAAAGUGUGUGUACUAUAAUGUUUACAUGGAGGGAAUACUACUAGUAUAUGGUGGUCAUCUAUUAAUUUGAACCGGUGGAAGCCUCCAUGAUGUCUGCUCCAGCUUCAUCUUCAAAAUCGGGUUCACUUGGAUCCGAAUCGGUGUCGUCAAUGAUGAUGUAGUUGCUCGGACAGUCGACGUACUUGUCUUCAUUCUUGAGUGCUAACUUCUUCUUGAGUUCCCCAAUCUCACACUUGAGAUCGCUAUUUUGCCUUGCUACGGCUAUGAUGUCGUCCAUGUAUUCCUUGCGUUUAGACUUCGUCUCUCCUUCAAGUUUGAUGAUCCUUCCCUUCACAUUCUUCAACUCUACCAUAUCUUUGCACAUCUGGUACUCCUGGCAUCGAAUGUGCUGGUUUAACUCCUGGAAGAAUGCUGCAAUGGAUCUAUCCUUCUUGGUGCUGACUAUCUCCCAAUCUUCAUUCCGGCGUCCGCAAAUCUGGUAGAUAGUGUCCUUGAGUUCUUCCUGAUAAACUUCUCCAAUGCGUCCCAUGGUGAUAUGAGCUGCCAUGCUCUUUCCCAAACUCCAGGUUGGUGCACUGAAAAUACUAUCUAUGGGCUUGGUGAUUGGCGCGAAUGUUCUUCCUGGAACAUGAGCUUGAAUCUUCCAGUGCUCCUCUUCAGGCAGAGUGGCGUUGAAAGUCCCGGUGAAGCUUGGUAGUCCAAUGUUCAGGUACUUGGCGACUUCCUUCAAGUGGGAUCCAAAAGGUGUGCCUUCAUCCGGUUGGGCGUACUUGAUCUUCGCGUAUGUCAUCCUAAAAGAGUAUAAAAGAUGAGGAGUUAGAAAAUGAGAAGAGAAUAGUGAUCUAUGGCUUUAACUUAGUGGUCGUGUCCUACAGUCAGCGUGUGCUCUGAUACCAUCUCUGUAGCAACCCGACCUCAGAUGGUCAAGUCUCUGUGCUCCGGUGUCAUCCCUGGAUCAGUAAUGCUGACACCACACAGUACUUCGAAGGAUUUAUAACAGAGUAGCAAUCACACACUUAUUACAUCGUUUGUCCAAAGAGGACUUAUUACAAUAAUCAUGGCUUAAGGCCAUCUAAUAACGAUAACAGCGGAAGACUUGGAAGAUAAGUGAGUCCAUCAACUCCAACGGCAUCACUGAGUAUAGAACCACGACCUAAAAGCACCUUACUCGUCGUCUGAAAAGUCUGCAACAUGAAAGUUGCAGCCUGAAAACGGGUCAGCACAUGGAAUAUGCUGGCAAUGUAACACAUAGAGAAUGAUGAACAAUAAGCCUAUACUACAUGCAUAUUUGGCUGGUGGAAAGCUCUAUGGUUACAGUUUUUGCAUAAAGCCAGUUUUUCCCUACUGCAAAGGAAAUAAAUUUAUUUAACUAUCAUGGUGGUUGUUAAACAUUGAGAAUGGUUGACAGCAUCCUCAAUCCCAAUUAAAAAGUACUCAUUAACAAACCCAUCAAUAUUAAAUUAGAGUAACAUGUUGAGAUUCAACAAAAUAUUCAAGUACUAGAUACUCAAGAUGUCCAUAACCGGGGACACGGCUAAUCAUGAUUAGUUUGUACACUCUGCAGAGGUUUGUGCACUUUUCCCCACAAGACUCGAUCGCCUCCGUUUGGUUUCUCGCACUACAUGGUGUUUGAGAAACGGAUGACCGAGACACAGUCUUUCAGAAGCGCUAGCACCUUACGAUGGGUGGACCGGUACACCUACAUCCCCUACAUCUGCUAGUCCACCACUAUAAGAGUUCGCACAACUUAGUCAACUAUGCCAGAGCCCAUAAUGGCUUGUGGCUGCACACAUAAGUUACUAGUAUGAAUUAUCUUAUGAUCCCUUUGAGCCUGGGUGGCGGUCCAUAGGAAAAUCACACGGUACCCCCGGGAUUUCCAAAAAAACAGGCAAGUCCUGGUAACCCCAGGUGCCUCAAUCCACCCAGAUGUGUAUUUAAGUUGCCACCUUAGACAAACCAUUAAUUAAACAAUCUCACAUCUGUCAUGGAUAUCACUCACCCAAUCCACGUCUACUAGCAUAGCAUGGCAUAAUAAGCAAACGUAGAAGUAACUCCCAAGGUUUCAUAAGUAACAGGUAAUAGGUACUACCUCAUCUACUUCCCAUCCCACAAUUUAAUUAGAUCCUAAACAUGCAAUGUGUGAGGAUUGAUCUAAUGCAUAAAAACUGGGUAGUAGAAAAAGUAUGAUCAAGUGUUACUUGCCUUGCUGAUGAUCCGCGAAACCUAGAGAUUCGAAGUAACAAGCGGCGCACUCCGGGUGAUCUAUUGCAGUCAAACAACAAGCAUACAAUAAGUACUCAUCUAAUUCACAGGUAAAUCUCGCAUAAAAGAUCUAACCACAAAGUCCAACUUAAGAACCAUGGUUGCAAAAAGAAUCAAAUCGAAUAAAGCAACGAAAGUCAAACGGCGAGAGAAAACAACUCGGUUCUAGCAAUUUGAAACUAGGUCAAAUUUUACAGUAACAAAACUUGGUUUAAGUUGAUUAGUCAGAACGGCGGUUUUGAGACGAAACUCCGGGCGCUUGAAUCACCUGAUUCCGAUAAACGAGCGAGAAGAUAGACUAGAAAGAAAAUCGGAUCUGAAAUCGCUAUCAGAAAAAUAGCGGAAUAAAUCCGACUAAAAAGAAAGAACGACGAACGGUUGAACGAACGGAGGUUCGUUAACCAAGGCUAACCGGUGAUCACGUUCGUUGAGACGAACGGUCCGGCGAACGCUCGCUAAACAAAACCGGAAAGAAAAAGCGGCGAGAAAAACCGAUCUAGGGUUUUCGGAAAGAAAACCGAAACGAAAAACCGAUCUAGAAAACCGGAACGGUUUACGAGAAAAACUGCAUCGAGGGAAUAGGUGACGCGGCGCGGGGCUAGUACCUCGAAGAGGCGAGGUGCUCCGGCGGCGGCGGCGUUGGGCGGCGGCGGCGGCACUUGGCGGCGGCGGCGUAGGGCGGCGGCGUGGGUGUGGGGCGGUGGCGUGGGUGUGGUGUUGCGCUGUUGCCGUUGCGGAGAGGAGAGGAGAGGGCUUUGGUUUGAUGUUUAGAGGGGGGUGCUUGGUUAUUUAUAUUGGGGAGGGGUGGGUUUUGCUUGGAGGAGGGAUCAAGAAUUAGACUAGGUUUAGGAAUCCUAGGAACAAACGGAAAAACGAAAUAAGGAAAAAGAGGCAAGGGGCACCCUAGAAUCUUAUUAGGAUUCGUACAGGAGCAAGGGGCGGCGGCGGCUGCUCCCUGGCUAGGGGCGCGCGUGCGGUGGCCUUGGCCUCCUGGCCGGCGGCUUGGUGGCUUGGGCCUUUGGCCCAAGGCGCUACAUUUUUUUUAAAUCGGUUUCGCGCGCUGAAAAACACAGAACAUAAAAUCUACCGGACUCCAAAAUUAAAAAAGUAAAUUUUCCCCGACUCCUAAAAAUGAGCCGAACAAAAAUGAACUUUUACUCGGGCCUAAAAUGCAAUUUUUGAAAAUACGCAUUUUUCCCUAAGGCAAAUAAACUCCGAGAAAAAUCCAAAUUUGAUUUAUUUAUUAAAUCUUCAUUUUUCCUAAAUUUUGGGAAAGUCAUAAUAUUCCCUCUCAUAUUUGUGAUAUUGGAAAAAUAUUUGAAGAUAAAAUAUAUAAUCCAAAUGAUCAUCUUUUCAUAAUUUGAUAGAACUCAAAUAUGAAAAUUUUGAAAUCUCCAACUCUCUCCAUGGGUCCUUGAGUUGCGUGAAAUUUCUAGGAUCAACAAAAUGCAAGAAAAUAUGAUAUGCAUGAUGAUCUAAUGUAUAACAUUCCAAAUUGAAAAUUUGGGAUGUUACAAGUCAUCAAGUGGUCGGUUUGUAUGGAAGGUGCGCGAAUGGCCUUCGCCCGUGCAAAGGUGCACUGGGUGAAGAUGGAUGCCAAAAAGCUGAUGACCGAAGGACCGCCUGCGGGGAAGGAGCACCGCAAGCCUGAGUUAUAUUAUGAUAGUGUCCUGAAAGGAUCCCGCCAUGUAGCAGAGCAAUGUGCCAAUUAUAUUAUAUUCCCAUGAAUACAUUCAUGGUAUCCUAUGUGGUGUUGAAUAAGGUCAUUUAUAUGCUAUAAUGCCUGUUAUUUGAAAAUUUCACCUCCUGUGCGGCCGUUUUAUAUAUUAAUCCCGAGAGUUGGCCAGUCGUUGGCUCCUGCCCCCACGUAGGAAGUACGGGGGUGUUCGGAAUAAAACUGAACACUAUUUACCCCAGUUUUGGGUCCUUGAAGGAGGUGUUCAGCACAACGAACCAGGCAAUCAGACUAUAAGGCUUUAUCACCCUCACUUAGCCAUAGGAGUUUGACAAAAGAAAGGUAGGCGCAGCUGAGGGAGUCCUGGAUUAGGGGGUCCUCGGACGGCCGGACUAUGUACUUGUGCCGGACUGUUGGACUGUGAAGAUACAAGAUUGAAGACUUCGUCCCGUGUCCGGGUGGGACUCUCCUUUGCGUGGAAGCCAAGCUUGGCGAUUCAGAUAUAUAGAGCUCCUUCUCAGUAACCAACUCUGUGUAACCCUAGCCCCCUCCGGUGUCUAUACAAACCGGAGGGUUUAGUCCGUAGGACAGGAACAAUCAUAAUCAUAGGCUAGCUUCUAGGGUUUAGCCUCUACGAUCUCGUGGUAGAUCAACUCUUGUAAUACUCAUAUCAUCAAGGUCAAUCAAGCAAGAAGUAGGGUAUUACCUCCAUAGAGAGGGCCCGAACCUGGGUAAACAUCGUGUCCCCCGCCUCCUCUUACCAUUAGCCUUAGACGCACAGUUCGGGACCCCCUACCCGAGAUCCGACGGUUUUGACACCGACAUUGGUGCUUUCAUUGAGAGUUCCACUGUGUCGUCACAAUAAGGCUUGAUGGCUCCUUCAAUCAUCCACAACGAUGCGAUCCAGGGUGAGGUUUUCGUCCCUGGACAGAUCUUCGUAUUCGGCGGCUUCGCACUGCGGGCCAACUCACUUGGUGAUGUCUACUACACAACCUUCUUCUUGUAGACGUUGUUGGGCCUGCAAGUGCACAGGUUUGUAGGACAAUAGCAAAUUUCCCUCAAGUUGAUGACCUAAGGUUUAUCAACCCGUAGGAGGCGUAGGAUGAAGAUGGUCUCUCUCAAGCAACCUUGCGACCAAAUAACAAAAAGUCUCUUGUGUCCCCAACACACCCAAUACAAUGGCAAAUUGUAUAGGUGCACUAGUUCGGCGAAGAGAUGGUGAUACAAGUGCAAAAUAGAUAGUAGAUAUAGGUUUUUGUAAUCUGAAAUAAUAAAAACAGCAAGGUAACAAGCGGUAAAAGUGAGUGUAAACGGUAUUGCAAUGAUAGGAAACAAGGCCUAGGGUUCAUACUUUCACUAGUGCAAGUUCUCUCAACAAUAAUAACAUAGAUAGAUAAUAUGACAAGCCCUCAACAUGCAACAAAGAGUCACUCCAAAGACACUAAUAGCGGAGAACAAACAUAGAGAUUAUGGUCGGGUACGAAACCACCACAAAGCUAUUCUUUCGGAUCGAUCUAUAAAAGAGUUCGUACUAGAAUAACACCUUAAGACACAAAUCAACCAAAACCCUAAUGUCACCUAGAUACUCCAUUGUCACCUCAAGUAUCCGUGGGCAUGACUAUACGAUAUGCAUCACACAAUCUCAGAUUCAUCCAACCAACAUAAAAGUACUUCAAAGAGUGCCCCAAAGCUACUACCGGAGAGUCAAGAACGUGUGCCAACCCCUAUGCAUAGGUUCCCAAGUGUCACGAAACCCGCAAGUUCAUCACCAAAACAUACAUCAAGUGGAUCAAUAGAAUAACCCAUUGUCACCACGGUUAUCCCACGCAAGACAUACAUCAAGUGUUCAUAAAAGACUCAAUCCGAUAAAAUAACUUCAAAGGGGAAACUCAAUUCAUCACAAGAGAGUAGAGGGGGAGAAACAUCAUAAGAUCCAACUACAAUAGCAAAGCUCGGGAUACAUCAAGAUCUUGCCAUAGAUGGAACACGAGAGAGAGAGAGAGAUCAAACACAUAGCUACUGGUACAUACCCUAAGACCCAAGGGUGAACUACUCCCUCCUCGUCAUGGAUAGCGCCGGGAUGAUGAAGACGGCCUCCAGUGAUGGGAUGCCCCUCCAGCAGGGUGCCGGAACAGGGUCCCGAUUGGUUUUUGGUGGCUACAGAGGCUUUCGGCAGCGGAACUCUCGAUCUAUUUUCUGUUCUGGAAGUUUUAGAGUACGUAGGUUUAUAUGGGUGCAGGGAGAACGUCGGUGGAGCUACGGGGGCCCCACGAGGCAGGGGGCGCGCCCAGGGGGGAGGGUGCGCCCCCACCCUCGUGAUCACCUCCCGUAUCUUCUGAUGUGGGGUCCAAUUCCAUCAGGUGGGUUUCCUUCCAAAAAUAAAUUCUCCAGUUGAUUUCGUUCCGUUUUGACUCGUCUGAUAUUCCUUUUCCUCGAAACACUGAAAUAGGCAUAAAACAGCAAAUCUGGGCUAGGCCUCCGGUUAAUAGGUUAGUCCCAAAAAUAAUAUAAAAGUGGAUAAUAAAGCCCAAUAUUGCCUAAAACAGUAGAUAAAGUAGCAUGGAGCAAUCAAAAAUUAUAGAUACGUUGGAGACGUAUCACUUGGCCAUCUGGAGCAGAUCAAUAGCUACGCCCCUGGCCAUCAGGUCAGGUUUGGAAGCCUGAACUACACCACUGACAUCCGCGUAGGCUUGAUCUUCGACGGAUUCGAGCCCAUGACACGUGCGCCGAACAGUCACGAUAAGCAUGACUUAGAUCUGCCAUCGGACGGUGUUCAGGAGAUCACACCUGUAGCUGCCCCGGCUCUUAAUCCAGAGCAGAUCGUGCCAUCCAAGGAUGGGUGGAUGGACCCCGCCACGGAGGCCGCACACUCAGCGGCGAUAGAGUCGAACACAGACUUCGCCUCCAAUGAGGUAUGUGCCAUCGGACCCUCGGACUCGUCUCCGGCCAUAGGCUCCGAACCGUGUGCAUCCGUGCUCAAUGAACCUGACUGGGUACCGAUCAUGGAGUUUACCUCCGCGGAUAUCUUUCAGCGCUCGCCCUUGGGCGACGUGCUAAAUUUGUUGAAAUCUCUCUCCCUAUCAGGAGACUCUUGGCCGAACUAUGUCCGGCUUGAGUGGGAAGCUGACGACGAAGAAAUUCGUUCCCCAUCCACCACCCACUUAAUAGAUACUGUCGAAGACUUAACCGACAUGCUUGAUUUCGAAUCCGAAGACAUCGACGGUAUGGACGACGAUGCCGGAGAAGAACAGGAACCACCGCCCACAAGGCGCUGGACAGCCACCUCAUCAUAUGAUAUAUAUGGUGGACACGCCCAAAGAAAGCAAUGGCGACAAGGCAAUGGAGGAUCCUCGAGAAGCAAUCUAAGCGCCGGCGACGCCGCUCUGAGCCCCGCCAUAGAAAAAAUGGCGAUACCGGCACAAGAGACAAUAGCACUCCGGAUGGUGCCGAAGACGAAAACAAUCCCGCCCAGCCAAGCUUCGAGCAAGCCGGACAGGAGGAUGGGCAAGUUAGCCUUGAUAAACAGGCAAUGGAUGGAGACUCGGAGGAUGACAAUUACAUGCCCCUCUCCGAAGACGAGGUGAGCCUCGGCGAUGAUGAAUUCAUCAUGCGUGAGGACCCCGUCGAGCAGGAGCGCUUCAAGUGCCGGCUUAUAGCCACUACAAAAAGCCUGAAGAAAAAGCAGAAGCAGCUUCAAGCUUAUCAAGAUCUGCUAACUAAUAGAUGGACCGAGGUCCUGACAGCCGAGGAAUAUGGACUCGAGUGCCCAACCAAAAGUUACACAAAGCGUAGGUUGUUUCCUCGAUUCAAGGAGGAGGCUCUAGAGCCUACACUACCAGCGUAGGAUGCGGCUGACCGGCCACCUCGUGGCCGAGACAAAGCGGCGUAUCAGCCCGAACACCAGCCCGCACCCCGUCGCCAAUCAAACAAAAACACGAAGGCCCGGGGCUACACACAGGACCUGCGAGACAUGUUGGAAAACAAAGCAGGACAGUCAAGAUCGAUCUAUGGAUCACGGGGGCGCGCCCAACGCAUGACGAUGACUACCAUGCCGGAUACACUAAAAAAAUCCGGCCGGGCCGAAUACAACCGACCAGACUAUUUUGAACUGCGUCAUGAUGUAGCCCGACAUAGAGGCGCCGCACACCCCCUAUGCUUCACUGACAAAGUAAUGGAUCAUGAAUUCCCAGAAGGGUUUAAGCACGUGAAUAUCGAGCCCUACGAUGGGACUACAGACCCUGCGGUAUGGAUAGAAGAUUUCCUUCUCCACAUUCACAUGGCCCACGGGGAUGAUCUGCACGACAUCAAGUACCUCCCACUAAAACUCAAGGGACCGGCUCGGCAUUGGCUGAAUAGUUUGCCGGCAAACUCCAUUGGAAGUUGGGAGAACCUGGAAGACGCAUUCCUGGAUAACUUCCAGGGCACUUAUGUGCGACCACCGGAUGCUGAUGAUUUAAGUCACAUAACCCAACAACCCGGAGAGUCAGCCAGGAAAUUCUAGACUCGGUUCCUAACUAAAAAGAACCAAAUUGUCGACUGUCCGGAUGCCGAAGCCCUAGCGGCCUUUAAGCAUAACAUCCGUGACGAGUGGCUUGCCCGACACCUCGGCCAAGAGAAGCCAAAGUCCAUAGCAGCCCUCACGACACUCAUGACCCACUUUUGUGCGGGCGAAGAUAGCUGGCUGGCUCGCAGCAACAGCACAAGAAAUCCUGACACUUCAGAUGCCAGAGAUAGCAACGACAAGCCCCGACGCAAUAGACACAAGCGUCACAGAAAUGGUGAUAACGCCGAAGACACGGCCGUCAAUGCUGAAUUCAGUGGCUCUAAGUUCGGUCAGCGGAAAAAUCCAUUCAAAAGAAAUAGUCUGGGCCCGUCCAGUCUGGACCGCAUACUUGAUCACUCAUGUCAAAUUAACAGCACCCCCGAUAAACCAGCCAACCACACCAACAGAGAAUGUUGGGAGUUCAAACAGGUCGGCAAGUUGAAUGACAAAAACAAGGAAAAGGGGCCGUGAUACGUCUCCAACGUAUCUAUAAUUUUUUAUUGUUCCAUGCUAUUAUAUUACCCCUUUUGGAUGUUUAUGGGCUUUAUUUUACACAUUUAUAUCAUUUUUGGGACUAACCUACUAACCGGAGGCCCAGCCCAUAUUGCUGGUUUUUUUGCCUAUUUCAGUAUUUCGAAGAAAAGGAAUAUCAAACGAAGUCCAAACGGGAUGAAACCUUCGGGAGCGUGAUUUUUGGAACGAACGUGAUCCGGAGAGCUUGGUGUGCAAGUCAACAAGCUUCCGAGGGCCCCACGAGAUAGGGGGCCGCCCCCCCCCCCCAUCCCGCGUAGGGCACGCCCCCCUAUCUCGUGGGCCCCUCGGGCGGCCACCGACGUACUUCUUUCUCCUAUAUAUACCUACGUACCCCGAAAACAUCCAGGAGCACCACGAAACACAAUUUCCACCAUCGUAACCUUCUGUAUCCGCGAGAUCUCAUCUUGGAGCCUUCGCUGGCACUCUGCCGGAGGGGGGAUCAACCACGGAGGGCUUCUACAUCAACAUCCUUGCCCCUACGAUGAGUUGUGAGUAGUUUACCAGUGACCUACGGGUCCAUAGUUAUUAGCUAGAUGACUUCUUCUCUCUUUUUGGAUCUCAAUACAAUGUUCUCCCCCUCUCUUGUGGAGAUCUAUUCGAUGUAAACUCUUUCUGCGGUGUGUUUGUCGAGAUUCGAUGAAUUGUGGGUUUAUGAUCAGGUUUAUCUAUGAAUAAUAUUUGAAUCUUCUCUGAAUUCUUUUAUGUAUGAUUGAGUUAUCUUUGCAAGUCUCUUCGAAUUAUCAGUUUGGUUUGGCCUACUAGAUUGGUCUUUCUUGCCAUGGGAGAAGUGCUUAGCUUUGGGUUCAAUCUUGCAGUGUCCUUACCCAGUGACAAAAAGGGUUGCAAGGCACGUAUUGUACUGUUGCCAUCGAGGAUAACAAGAUGGUGUUUAUAUCAUAUUGCAUGAGUUUAUCCUUCUACAUCAUGUCAUCUUGCUUAAUGCGUUACUCUGUUUUUAACUUAAUACUAUAGAUGCAUGCUGGAUAGCGGUCGAUGAGUGGAGUAAUAGUAGUAGAUGCAGAAUUGUUUCGGUCUACUUGUCUCGGACGUGAUGCCUAUAUACAUGAUCAUACCUAGAUAACCUCAUAACUAUGCUCAAUUCUGUCAAUUGCUCAACAGUAAUUUGUUCACCCACCGUAGAAUACUUAUGCUCUUGAGAGAAGCCACUAGUGAAACCUAUGGCCCCCGGGUCUAUUCUCAUCAUAUUAAUCUCCAUCACUUUAUUUACUUGCUUUGCCUUUACUUUCUACUUUGCAUCUUUAUACCAAAAAUACCAAAAAUAUUAUCUCUAUCAGAUCUCACUCUCGUAAGUGACCAUGAAGGGAUUGACAACCCCUAAUCGCGUUGGUUGCGAGUAGCUAUCGUUUUGUGCAAGUACGAGGGACUUGCGCGUGACCUCCUACUGGAUUGAUACCUUGGUUCUCAAAAACUGAGGGAAAUACUUACGCUACUGUGCUGCAUCAUCCUCUCCUCUUCGGGGAAAACCAACGCAAGCUCGAGACGUAGCAAGAAGGAUUUCUGGCGCCGUUGCCGGGGAGGCUCACGCAAGCAAGUCAACAAAACCAAGUACCCAUCGCAAUCCCUAUCUCUCGCAUUAUAUUAUUUGCCAUUUGCCUCUCGUUUUCCUCUCCCCCACUUCACCCUUGCCGUUUUAUUCGCCCUUCCUCCGUUCAAUCUUUUGUUACCAUGUGCCUUCUUUUUGCUUGCAUCUUCAUUUGCUAAAAGUUUAUGGAUCCUCAUCCACUUGCUAAUCUCUUUAAGAGAUCCAAUUAUGAUGAACCUAUUGCUAGUGAAUUGAGUGCACUAGAUUAUCUUUAUGAGGUUUUGCCUGAAAUUCGUGAAUCUAAAAAUUGUGAUGAACUACUUUAUGAAGCGAUUCACAAUAGAUCUUUGAAUAAAAAGCAUGAUUGCAAUGAUUUUACUAUAAAUUCUAUUGAUGUCAAUUGUGCUAAAAAUAUGCAAAACCCUAAGCUUGGGGAUGCUGGUUUUGCUAUGUCCUCUACUUGUUGCAAUGAUCAUGAUUGGGGUGAUUCUUCUUAUGAUCUUGAAAAUUUAUUUAAUCCCCAUGAUGAAUAUGAGAUUGAUAAUAGUGUUUGCAAUAAUAUUGAAAGUGUGUUUGGAAGAGUGUCAACUUUAGAUCCCACAUAUUUGGAUAAUGUUCAAUCUUAUGAAGUUUUUGAUAAAAGUGGGUUUGGAGAGGUCAUGACUUUAGUUAAUGUUAAUCCCACUAUUUUGGAAGAGUGUCAACUUUGCAUACAUGUGGAUCGUGUUAAGAAUAUGUUUUGUGAUAGCUAUAUUGUUGAAUUUGCUUAUGAUCCUACAUGUAAUUAUUAUGAGAGAGGAAAAUAUGGUUGUAGAAGUUUUCAUGUUACUAAAUUACCUCUCUUCAUGUUGAGAUUGCUAUCAUCUCUUUGUUCUUCCUUGCAUAUGCUAGUUUUUGCUUGCCUUGAUAAUUUGUUUGCUUACAAGAUGCCUAUGCAUAGGAAGUGUGCUCGACUUAAGUGUGUUUGUCACAUGUUUUAUGAUGCUCUCUUUGUGCUUCAAUUCCUAUCUUUCAUGUGAGCAUCAUCAUAAUCCCAAUGCCUAGCUAGGGGCGUUAAACGAUAGCGCUUGUUGGGAGGCAACCCAAUUUUAUUUUGUGUUUUGUGUUUUUUUUUUGUUUUUGCUUCUGUUUAGGAAUAAAUAAUCCAUCUACCUUCUGUUUGGAUGUGGUUUUAUGUUUUAACUAGUGUUUGUGCCAAGUAGGACCUAUAGGAUAACCUACGAUGAUAGUUGAUUUGAUUCUGCUGAAAAACAGAAACUUUGCGCGCACAAAUUUAGUUAUGAUAAAUCACAGGAAUGUUCUUUUGCGUUGAUUAUCUUUUCUGAUGAUCAAUAAACAAAUUUUCCAGGACUUCCUAUUUUGGUAUAAUUUUUAGAGUUCCAGAAGUUUGCGUUAGUUACAGAUUUCUAAGGACUGUUCUGUUUUUGACAGAUUCUGUUUUUCGUGUGUUGUUUGCUUAUUUUGAUGAAUCUAUGGCUAGUAAAAUAGUUUAUGAUCCAUAGAGAAGUUGGAAUACAGUAGGUUUAACACCAAUAUAAAUAAAUAAUGAGUUCAUUAUAGUACCUUGAAGUAGUCUUUUGUUUUCUUUCUCUAACGGAGCUCAUGAGAUUUCUGUUGAGUUUUGUGUUGUGAAGUUUUCAAGUUUUGGGUGAAUUCUUUUGAUGGAUUAUGGAACAAGGAGUGGCAAGAGCCUAAGCUUGGGGAUGACCAUGGAACGCCCAAGAUAAUCCAAGGAAACCAAAAAGUCAAAGCUUGGGGAUGCCCCGGAAGGCAUCCCCUCUUUCGUCCACUUCCAUCGGUAAUUUACUUGGAGCUAUAUUUUUAUUCACCAACAUGAUUUGUGUUUUGCUUGGAGCAUCUUGUAUUAUUUGUGUCUUUGCUUGUUAGUCUACCACAAUCAUCUUUGCUGUACACACCUUUUGAGAGAACCAUACAUGAAUUGAAAUUUAUGAAUACUCUAUGUGCUUCACUUAUAUCUUUUGAGCUUGAUAGUUUUGCUCAUAGCGCUUCACUUAUAUCUUUUGAGCGUGAUAAUUUUUGCUCUAGUGCUUCACUUAGAUUUUUUUGAGCAUGGCGGUGGAUUUGUUUUGAAGAAACUUGAUCUCUCAUGCUUCACUUAGAUUAUUUUGAAAGUCGUUAAUAGCAUGGUAAUUUGCUUAAUGUUAAUAUACUUGGUAUUCAAGAUAUGUGAAACUUUCUUUUGAGUGCGUUGAAUACUAAGAUAAGUUUGAUGCUUGAUAAUUGUUUUGAGAUAUGGAGGUGAUAAUAUCAAAGUCGUGCUAGUUGGGUGAUUAUGAAUUUGAGAAAUACUUGUGUUGAAGUUUGCAAGUCUCAUAGCAUGCACGUAUGGUUAAAGUUGUGUAACAAAUUUGAAACAUGAAGUGUACCUGGCUGGCGGUCGGGGACGAGCGAUGGUCUUUUCCUACCAAUCUAUCCCCCUAGGAGCAUGUGCGUAGUACUUGAUUUUUGAUGACUUCCAAAUUUUUGCAAUAAGUAUAUGAGUUCUUUUGACUAAUGUUGAGUCCAUGGAUUAUACGCACUCUCACCUUUCCGCCUUUGCUAGCCUCUUCGGUACCGUGCAUUGCCCUUUCUCACCUUGAGAGUUGGUGGAAACUUCGCCGGUGCAUCCAAACCCCGUGAUACAAUACGCUCUAUCACACAUAAACCUCCUAUUAUCUUCCUCAAAACAGCCACCAUACCUACCUAUCAUGGCAUUUCCAUAGCCAUUCCGAGAUAUAUUGCCAUGCAACUUCCACCAUCAUCAUCGUGACAUGCAUUACUUUUGUCAUAUUGCCAUUGCAUGAUCUUGUAGUUGACAUCGUAUUUGUGGCAAAGCCACCAUGCAUUAUUUUCCAUACAUGUAACUCUUGAUUCAUUGCACCAUCCCGGUACACCGCCGGAGGCAUUCAUAUAGAGUCAUAUCUUGUUCUAAGCUUCGAGUUGUAAUCCUUAUGUUGUAAUCAAUAGAAGUGUGAUGAUCAUCAUUAUUAGAGCAUUGCCCAAAAAAGGCCAAAAAAAGGCCCAAAAAGAGAAAAGAAAAGAAAAGGGCAAUGCUACUAUCUAUUUUUCCACACUUGUCCUUCAAAGUAGCACCUUGUUCUUCAUGUAGUGAGUCUCAUAUAUUGUGCUUCAAAGUAGCACCUUGUUCUUCAUGUAGUGAGUCUCAUAUAUUGUGCUUCAAAGUAGCACCAUGUUUUUCAUAUAGUGAGUUGUCUUGUUCAUGCUAGUGGGAAUUUUUCAUUAUAGAACUUGGCUUGUAUAUUCCUACGAUGGGCUUCCACAAAAUUCCCUAGGUCUUCAUGAGCAAGCAAGUUGGAUGCACACCCACUAGUUUUCUUUUGUUGAGCUUUCAUAGCUCUAGUGCAUCCGUUGCAUGGCAAUCCCUACUCCUUGCAUUAACAUCAAUCGAUGGGCAUCUCCAUAGCUCAUUGAUUAGCCUCGUUGAUGUGAGACUUUCUCCUUUCUUGUCUUCUCCACACAAUCCCCCUCAUCAUAUCCUAUUCCACCCAUAGUGCUAUAUCCAUGGCUCACGCUCAUGUAUUGCGUGAAGGUUGAAAAAGUUUGAGAUUAUUUAAGUAUGAAACAAUUGCUUGGCUUGUCAUCAGGGAUAUAGAAGUUGGGAACAUCUUUGUGUGAUGAAAAUGAAGCAUAGCCUAACUAUAUGAUUUUGUAGGGAUGAGCUUUCUUUUGCCAUGCUAUUUUGAGAAGACAUGAUUACUUUGAUUAGUAUGCUUGAAGUAUUAUUAUUCUUAUGUCAAUAUGAACUUUUGUCUUGAAUCUUUCGAAUCUGAAUAUUCAUACCAUGAUUAAGAAGAUUUACAUUGAAACUAUGCCAAAGUAUCACUCCGCAUCAAAAAUUCUCUUUUUAUUAUUUACCUACUCUAGGACGAGCAGGAAUUAAGCUUGGGGAUGCCUGAUACGUCUCCAACGUAUCUAUAAUUUUUGAUUGCUCCAUGCUACUUUAUCUAUUGUUUUUGGACUAUAAUGGGCUUUAUUUUCCACUUUUAUAUUAUUUUUGGGACUAACCUAUUAACCGGAAGCCCAGCCCAGAAUUGUUGUUUUUUGCCUUUUUCAGUAUUUCGAAGAAACAGAAUAUCAAACGGAGUCCAAACGGAAUGAAACCGUCGGGAACGUGAUUUUCUCAUCAGAUAAGACUCAGGAGACUUGGACCCUCCGUCAAGAAAGCCACGAGGCGGUCACGAGGGUGGAGGGCGCGCCCUCCCCCUGGGCGCGCCCCCUGCCUCGUGGGCCCUCGAAGCUCCACCGAUGUACUCCUUCCUCCUAUAUAUACCUAUGUACCCCCAAUAGACAAGACGAGGAGCCAAAAAACCUAAUUCCACCGCCGCAACCUUCUAUAUCCACGAGAUCCCAUCUUGGGGCCUGUUCCGGAACUCCGCCGGAGGGGGCAUCCACCAUGGAGGGCUUCUACAUCAACACCAUAGCCCCUCCGAUGAAGUGUGAGUAGUUUACUUCAGACCUUCGGGUCCAUAGCUAGUAGCUAGAUGGCUUCUUCUCUCUUUUUGGAUCUCAAUACAAUGUUCUCCCCCUCUCUCGUGGAAAUCUAUUCGAUGUAAUCUUCUUUUUGUGGUGUGUUUGUUGAGACCGAUGAAUUGUGGGUUUAUGAUCCAGCUUAUCUAUGAAUAAUAUUUGAAUCUUCUCUGAAUUCUUUUAUGUAUGAUUGAGUUAUCUUUGCAAGUCUCUUCGAAUUAUCCGUUUGGUUUGGCCAAUUAGAUUGGUAGUUCUUGCAAUGGGAGAAGUGCAUGGCUUUGGGUUCAAUCUUGCGGUGUCCUUACCCAGUGACAGAAAGGGUUGCAAGGCACGUAUUGUAUUGUUGCCAUCGAGGAUAACAGAUGGGGUAUUUAUCAUAUUGCAUGAAUUUAUUCUCUACAUCAUGUCAUCUUGCUUAAGGCGUUACUCUGUUUUUAACUUAAUACUCUAGAUGCAUGCUGGAUAGCGGUAGAUGAGUGGAGUAAUGGUAGUAGAUGCAGAAUCGUUUCGGUCUACUUGUCUCGGACGUGAUGCCUAUAUACAUGAUCAUACCUAGAUAACCUCAUAACUAUGCUCAAUUCUGUCAAUUGCUCAACAAUAAUAUGUUCACCCACCGUAGAAUACUUAUGCUCUUGAGAGAAGCCACUAGUGAAACCUAUGGCCCCCGGGUCUAUUCUCAUCAUAUUAAUAUCCAUCACUUUAUUUACUUGCUUUGCCUUUACUUUCUACUUUGCAUCUUUAUACCAAAAAUACCAAAAAUAUUAUCUCUAUCAGAUCUCACUCUCGUAAGUAACCAUGAACGGAUUGACAACCCCUAAUCGCAUUGGUUGCGAGUAGCUAUCGUUUUGUGCAGGUACGAGGGACUUGCACGUGACCUCCUACUGGAUUGAUACCUUGGUUCUCAAAAACUGAGGGAAAUACUUAUGCUACUGUGCUGCAUCAUCCUCUCCUCUUGGGGGAAAACCAACGCAAGCUCGAGACGUAGCACAUAGCCAUUCCGAGAUAUAUUGCCAUGCAACUUUCCACCGUUCUGUUCAUAUGACACGCAUUACUUUUGUCAUAUUGCUUUUUGCAUGAUCAUGUAGUUGAGAUUGUAUUUGUGGCAAGGCCACCUUCAUAAUUUUCAUACAUAUCGCUCUUGAUUCAUUGCAUAUCCUGGUACACCGCCGGAGGCAUUCAUAUAGAGUCAUAUCUUGUUCUAGCUUUGAGUUGUAAAUCCAUAAAAGUGUGAUGAUUUUCAUUAUUAGAGCAUUAUCCUAGUGAGGAAAGGAUGAUGAAGACCAUGAUUCCCCCAGAAGUCGGGAUGAGGCUUCGGACUUUACAAAAAAAAACGAGAAAGGCCAAAAAGAAAAAAAGAAAAGAAGGCCAAAGAAAAAAAGAGAAAAAGAAAAAUAAAAUGAGAGAAAAAGAGAGAAGGGACAAUGCUACUAUCUCUUUUUCCACACUUGUGCUUCAAAAAUAGCACCAUGAUCUUCCUGCUAGAGAGACUCAUAUGUUGUCACUUUCAUAUACUAGUGGGAAUUUUUCAUUAUAGAACUUGGCUUGUAUAUUCCAAUGAUGGGCUUCCUCAAAGUGCCCUAGGUCUUCGUGAGCAAGCAAGUUGGAUGCACCCCACUUAGUUUCUUUUGUUGAGCUUUCUUAUAUUUAUAGCUCUAGUGCAUCCGUUGCAUGCCAAUCCCUACUCACUCACAUUGAUAUCUAUUAAUGGGCAUCUCCAUAGCUCGUUGAUACGCCUAGUUGAUGUGAGACUAUCUUCUCCUUUUUGUCUUCUCCACAACCACCAUUCUAUUCCACAUAUAGUGCUAUGUCCAUGGCUCACGCUCAUGUAUUGCGUGAAAGUUGCAAAGGUUUGAGAUUAUUAAAGUAUGAAACAAUUGCUUGACUUGUCAUUGGGGUUGUGCAUGAUUAAAUACUUUGUGUGAUGAAGAUAGAGCAAUAGCCAGACUAUAUGAUUUUGUAGGGAUAACUUUCUUUAGCCAUGUUAUUUUGAGAAGACAUGAUUACUUUGAUUAGUAUGUUUGAAGUAUUACUAUUUCUUAUGUCAAUAUGAACUUUUAUUUUGUAUUCAUUUGGGUCUGAACAUUCAUGCCACAAUAAAGAAAAUUACAUUAUGAAUUAUGCUAGGUAGCAUUCCACAUCAAAAAUUCUCUUUUUAUCAUUUACAUACUCGAGGACGAGCAGGAAUUAAGCUUGGGGAUGCUUGAUAUGUCUCCAACGUAUCUAUAAUUUUUUAUUGUUCCAUGCUAUUAUAUUACCCCUUUUGGAUGUUUAUGGGCUUUAUUUUACACAUUUAUAUCAUUUUUGGGACUAACCUACUAACCGGAGGCCCAGCUCAUAUUGCUGUUUUUUUUGCCUAUUUCAGUAUUUCUAAGAAAAGGAAUAUCAAACGGAGUCCAAACGGGAUGAAACCUUUGGGAGCGUGAUUUUUGGAACGAACAUGAUCCGGAGAGCUUGGAGUGCAAGUCAAGAAGCUUCCAAGGGCCCCACGAGAUAGGGGGCCGCCCCCCACUGUAGGGCGCGCCCCCUGUCUCAUGGGCCCCUCGGGCGGCCACCGACGUACUUCUUCCUCCUAUAUAUACCUACGUACCCCGAAAACAUCCAGGAGCACCACGAAACACAAUUUCCACCGCCGUAACCUUCUGUAUCCGCGAGAUCUCAUCUUGGAGCCUUCGCCGACACUCUGCCGGAGGGGGAAUCAACCACGGAGGGCUUCUACAUCAACAUCCUUGCCCCUCCGAUGAGUUGUGAGUAGUUUACCAUAGACCUACGGGUCCAUAGUUAUUAGCUAGAUGACUUCUUCUCUCUUUUUGGAUCUCAAUACAAUGUUCUCCCCGUCUCUUGUGGAGAUCUAUUCGAUGCAAACUCUUUCUGCGGUGUGUUUGUUGAGAUCCGAUGAAUUGUGGGUUUAUGAUCAAGUUUAUCUAUGAAUAAUAUUUGAAUCUUCUCUGAAUUCUUUUAUGUAUGAUUGAGUUAUGUUUGCAAGUCUCUUCGAAUUAUCAGUUUGGUUUGGCCUACUAGAUUGGUCUUUCUUGCCAUGGGAGAAGUGCUUAGCUUUGGGUUCAAUCUUGCGGUGUCCUUACCCAGUGACAGAAAGGGUUGCAAGGCACGUAUUGUAUUGUUGUCAUUGAGGAUAACAAGAUGGGUUUAUAUCAUAUUGCAUGAGUUUAUCCCUCUACAUCAUGUCAUCUUGCUUAAUGCGUUACUCUAUUCUUAUGAACUUAAUACUCUAGAUGCAGGCAGGAGUCGGUCGAUGUGUGGCGUAAUAGUAGUAGAUGCAGGCAGGAGUCAGUCUACUUGUUAUGGACGUGAUGCCUAUAUACAUGAUCAUGCCUAGAUAAUCUCAUAACUAUGCGCUUUUCUAUCAAUUCCUUGACAGUAAUUUGUUCACCCACCGUAAUACUUGUGCUAUCUUGAGAGAAGCCUCUAGUGAAACCUAUGGCCCCCGGGUCUAUCUCUUAUCAUAUUUGCUUUCAAUCUACCUUUAUUUGCAUCUUUACUUUUUGCAUCUAUAUCAUAAAAUACCAAAAAUAUAUUUAUCUUAUCAUACUAUCUUUAUUAGAUCUCACUUUCGCAAGUGGCCGUGAAGGGAUUGACAACCCCUUUAUUGCGUUGGUUGCGAGUUCUCAGUUUGUUUGUGUAGGUGCAUGGGACUUUUGAGGAGCCUCCUACUUGAUUGAUACCUUGGUUCUCAAAACUGAGGGAAAUACUUACGCUACACUUUGCUGCAUCACCCUCUCCUCUUCGAGGAAAACCAACGCAAGCUCAAGACGUAGCAGGCCGCACAGUGAUGACGACGAGGAACCCCGGCUGCCAAACACAGGAGGACAGAAGAAAUUUCCUCCCCAAGUAAAAAUGGUAAAUAUGAUAUACGCAACCCAUAUUCCCAAGCGGGAACGGAAGUGUGCACUAAGGGACGUCUACGCGAUGGAGCCAUUUACCCCAAAGUUCAACCCAUGGUCUUCUUGUCCAAUCACUUUCGGUCACAAGGACCAUCCGACCAGUAUCCGUGAUGGCGGUUCGGCCGUGUUGGUCCUCGACCCCAUCAUUGACGGAUUCCACCUUACAAGAGUCCUUAUGGAUAGUGGAAGCAGCCUGAACCUCCUCUAUUAGGAUACAGUGCACAAAAUGGGCAUCGAUCCCUCAAGGAUCAAACCCACCAAAACCACCUUUAAAGGUGUCAUACCAGGUGUAGAGGCCUGUUGCACACGCUCAAUCACACUAGAAGUGGUCUUCGGAUCCCCGGACAACUUUCGAAGCGAGGACUUAAUCUUCGAUAUUGUCCCCUUUCGUAGUGGUUAUCAUACACUACUAGGACGAACCGCAUUUGCUCGAUUCAAUGCGGUGCGACACUACGCCUAUCUCAAGCUCAAAAUUGCCAGACCUCGCAGGGUUAUAACAGUUAAUGGAAACACAGAGCACUCCCUCCGUACAGAGGAGCACACUGCGGCCCUCGCAGCAGAAGUAGAGAGCAGCCUUCUUAGGCAGCCAAGCGAGUCCGAAGUACUCUACAACAGGAUCGUCCGGCGCGUCGAGAGCUCGCCUAGAAAUUCGGCCUCCGUCCUAGUCUCAGUCAAGCGGUGAAAUUUGUGCCGCGCGUACAUAAUUACGCACUAAAAAUACCAUGGGCAUAGGCGGAGGCACGGCUACAAUAUGGUCCAUAGCGCGGCUCAAACCGCCCCAGCACCCGUACACCUUCCCCUUUUUUCUUUCUUUCAGGUCCCUAUUCUCGGGAGACUCUGCCGAUAGCCUGUUUAUCGGACCCAUCACGGGACGGAAACACCAAGGAGGCAAGGAGCUUUUGCGUACAAGGGAAUCCCCAGGUGGUCUCUGAUAACGAUCGUUAUACCUGUUUUUACAUACCCACUCGCAGCCCGCUCUUGGUUAAGACAUGUCAAAUAGUCCUAUUCGGCUUAUUGCACUACUUGUGUACAUACGCCUUGAUGUAUCAUUCAAAUAACAAUGGAAAACAAUGUACAGCGUCAGCUUAUUAUUACAUUUCUUUAUCCUUUUCCUUGAUUGUUUAUUACAAAUUGCACCCAUACAUUUUUGGUACGUUCAGCUCGCCAGGGACUUUAGUGUACCCCAUAACACGGCAAGAAAAGUCCGAACACUUUCGACAGUGCGGCACCCCAAACUUAUAGCAUUAUAUGCAUCAGCUCCGAAUCAUGUCUUGGGUCAAUAGUUGGGUUUGCCCGGCUCCCAUGUUUUGUCGCCUUACGUUCCGCUACGUCGGCUAAGGUGGCACAGGGAGAACUACUGCAAUUGUGUCCCAGUUCUUCCAGACAAGCACCUCAGUAGAGAAAGUCAAAAAUUGACUGUCAUGAUGCGGUGAGAGCUGGUCGCUGUUCGAGAGGUCUCAAAUCCUUAAAGAUUUUUUUCUGCUUUGGGCGAGGAAUCGGCCUUUUAGAAUGUCCGAUUUAGGCGUGUAUAGCGCCCCAAGUUCGGCCCUCCGAAUACCAGGGGCUACACCAAAAUUUAAAAUUAUAGAACUUCUAUGGCUAAGUGAGAGUUAUAAAGCUAUAUAGUCCGAUUGCCUUGUUCGUUGCGCUAAACACCUCCUUAAAGGACCAAAAAUUUGGAUAAAGAGUGUUUAGAUUUAUCCCGAACACCCCGGUACUAGUUGCAUAGGGGCAGAAGCCGAGGACUGGCCAACUCUCAGAUUUUAUAAAUGACCGCACAGAAGGUAAAAUUUUAAAUCAACAAGUAUUAUAUUGCGCAAAUGAACUUGUUUUCAUAUUACAGGAUCAAAUGAGUACAUUCACUCAAAUAUUACAUCCUUAGCACAUUGCUCCGCCACAAGGCGGGAGCCCUUCAGGACAAUCUCAUAAUACUUUUCAGGGUGGCAGUGCCCUUUGCCCUUCGGGGGCCCCUCCGUCAUCAGCUUCUCGGCAUCUAUCUUCGCCCAGUGCACUUUGGCGCGGGCGAAGGCCAUCCGCGCACCUUCAAUGCAAACUAACCGCUUUAUGACUUCGAGCCGAGGGCAGGCAUUCACAAGCCGCUUCACGAGACCAAAGUAGCUACUAGGCAAAGGCUCGGCAGGCCACAGCCAGACUAUGAGGUCCUUCAUGGCCAAUUCGGCCGCCUUGUGCAGUUCGACCAGUUGCUUUAGCUGGUCGCUCAAGGGCAUCGUAUGUUCAGUCCCAAUAUACUGGGACCAGAACAACUUCUCCGUCGAGCUCCCUUCUUUAGCUCAGUAGAACUCUGCGGCAUCAGAUAUGCUGCGCGGCAGAUCUGCGAAUGCUCCUGGAGAACUCCAAAUUCGGGUAAGUAAAAGGAAAGUCUCCUUCACAUGCUUGCUUUGCAUAAUGAAUGCCUUACCCGCCGCUAUCUUCUUGGCCGCAUGAAUCUCCUGGAGGGCCCUUUGGGCUUCGGCCUUGGCGUCUCGUGCACUCUGGAGGGCAUUCGCAAGCUCGGACUCUUGCGUCUUAGAGUCACGCUCCAAGGACUCGUAUUUUUUGACGAAAUCCUGGAGCUCUUGCUGGACCUCGUCAACUCGGGCCUCUUGCUUCUCGUGCUUGGCGCGCUCCUUGGCCGCUUUGUCUUUGGCCUCGGUCAGCGCCUUUCUAAGGGUAGCCACUUCGGUCGUGGCCCCUAUUAAAACUCAUGACACUUCUAUUAGAAGCAACAAUUUUUCCUUUAUAAAUAUACACACGGGGUAUUGUGUACCUUUGUUUUCAUCGAGCUGCCUCUUCACGAGGUUGAGCUCUUCCUCGGUCCGCUCCAGGUCCUGCUUCAGUCCGGAGACUUCCGCAGUAUGAGCGGCAGUGGCCAGCAACGACGCCUGCUUAUUCACAUAGACAUUUUCUGUUAGACUCCUGCGGAUGUUAUUUGAUCCUCUGUUCGGCCUUUCUUUGCGAACACCAAACAGAGCAUCAGGGGCUACUAUCUAUACUGUGAUAUUUUCCCACAAUUUUGUUACUUACCUCAAAGCCUGUUAGGAGGCUGGCGCAGGCUUUGGUCAAUCCGCUUUUGGCGGACUGGACCUUCGCAAUCACCGCACUCAUAAGAGUACGGUGGUCUUCAUCAAUGGAAGCGCCGCAAAGCGCUUCCAGCAAGUUAUCCGAUGCCUCUGGAUGAAUAGAGGUCAUCGGCACAGGCGACUCACCCUCCUUAGAGAGAGGGUGCAUGUCUGAAUCCGGAACCACUUGGGUUUCUGGAACCGCAUUUGGCUAGGGGCCAGACUUGCUGCAGCCCCCGUCAUCAGAAUCCAUGGGGGGUCUUCCCUCCCAUGUGCCCGACAUCUGGGAUUUCGCCUUGGGGCAUCUCCAGAACUGUCUCCCCUUGGUCUGGUAUCCUCUGAGACAACACCUCGGUGUCGUCCGCGGGCUUGGGGGAGGAGGCUGUCGGGAGUGAAUUGCUAUUCAUCGACGACAAGCCCAAAGACCCAUCGAAAGAGGAUACGUCGAUGUGGGCUUUGGCCGGUCUACACGAGCAUGUUUGGCAUGAUAAGAAGCAAUAAAGCAAAACAUACCGAAAGUAUUAUAGUGUCCGGAUACUUACGACCUCACCAGGGGCUUGUCCCUGGCAACCACUCCUCGCCGCUGUAGGCGGCUGUGGUGGAGUGGUCGGGGAGGGUCUUUCCUUUCUUGGACCCUUCCGCCUCCCCAGACGGGGCGGCCUUCCUUUUCUUCCCCCCCCCCCCCCCGGUUGGGGGGGGGGAUUUCCUCUUCCUCUUCCUCAUUUUCGUUGGAGGAGCGCGCCUCGGUGUCUUCGGACGAUGAGUCCGAUACAACCUUGCGCCGGAGACCUUUCCUGGUCCCCGUGGCCUUCUUCUUGGCCUUCUUCUCCGGCACCUCAUAGGGCACUAGAAACAACAUCUUCGUUAAGAGGGGCGAUGCUGGAUCUUCGGGUAGUGGAGCUGGACAGUCAAUCCGCUCCGCUAUCGCUACCCAGUCCAGUUAAAUCGGCAUGGAGGCUUAGAUUCCUCCCGCGAACAUGCUGGGGAAAGGCACAUCUUGCAAAAUAUAAAAACUUACCGGAUUGGCGGGGCGCUUUGCGCUGAGUCCGCGACCUCGGUUAUGGGCGGAGGUACCUCGGUGGCCUUGAACAGCACCUUCUAGAUAUCUUCGUACAUCAUGUCGAAGAGCUCUUGCUGCGUCUGGUGUUCGGCCGGGUCGAACUCUCACAUAUUGAAAGCCCGUCUCUGACACGGAAGGAUCCGGUGGAGGAGCAUGACCUGGACCACGUUGACAAGCUUGAUUUUCUUGCCUAUCAUAUUUUUGAUGCAGGUCUGAAGUCCGGUCAGCUCCACCGGUGAACCCCAGGCUAAGCCCUUCUCUUUCCAGGAGGUGAGCCGCAUGGGAUGCCGGAUCGAAACUCGGGGGCCGUCGCCCAGUUGGUGUUGCGCGUCUCGGUGAUGUAGAACCACCUCGAUUUCCACCCCUUCAUGGUCUCCACAAAGGAGCCUUCGGGCCAAGUGACGUUGGGCAUCUUGCCCACCAUGGCACCUCCGCACUCUGCUUGCUGGCCAACCACCACCUUUGGCUUCACGUUGAAGGUCUUCAGCCAUAGGCCGAAGUGGGGCAUAAUGCGGAGGAAGGCCUCGCACACGACGAUAAACGCUGAGAUGUUGAGGAUAAAAUUGGGGGCCAGAUCAUGGAAGUCCAGCACACAGUAGAACAUAAGUCCACGGACGAAUGGGUGGAGGGGGAAUCCCAGUCCGCGGACGAAGUGAGAGAGGAACACUACCCUCUCCUGGGGUUUCGGGGUAGGGAUGAUUUAACCCUCAGCCGGAAGCUGGUGCGCGAUGUUUGCGGACAGGUAUCCGGCCUCCUGAAGCUUUGCGAUAUCCUCCUCCGUAACGGAGGAGGCCAUCCACUUGCCUCCCGCUCCAGACAUGCUUGGAAUGGCUUUAUGGAUAAGGUGAGAACUUGGGCGCUGGAGCUCGAGUGAGGGAGAAUGGAUGAGUAGAGGAAGAAGAAGGCAUGGGUGAAAAGGGGGAAUCCUUAUCUCUUUAUAAAGGCGGUAGAAACCAUGCGCCUCCCCACUUGCCCUAUAAACUCGCUUAUUCCCCAAGCGCCGUGUUAAUGGCGCGGUUGGGUUACCCACACCCCUAUUGAUGAGAAUCCCGUGAUAAGGGGACACGAUCUCUACUUCGACAAGACGUGCCAAUGAAACCGCCUCGCAAGAUGUGUAGCAGCAGGUUGAGAAAACAGUUCGAAUAAUGACCGGGCCGCGGCGUGAUGUCACCCUAUGAAAAAUUGUCAGCAGAUUAGAUUUGUGGAAUAUUGUGCUCUCUACGGUGGUAUGUGGAAAUUGUUUUGCAGAGCCGGACACGAUCCUUGUGUUCAAAAUCUUCUAUGGAGUAUUCGGAGAAGGAACCCGCCUUGCAAUGCCGAAGACAAUCUGCGCACCGGACUCAUCAUCAUUGAAGCCUGGUUCCGGGGCUACUAAGGGAGUCCUGGAUUAGGGGGUCCUCGGACGGCCGGACUAUGUACUUGUGCCGAACUGUUGGACUAUGAAGAUUCAAGAUUGAAGACUCCGUCCCGUGUCCGGGUGGGACUCUCCUUUGUGCAGAAGGCAAGCUUGGCGAUUCGGAUAUGUAGAUCUCCUUCUUUGUAACCGACUCUGUCUAACCCUAGCCCCCUCCGGUGUCUAUAUAAACCGGAGGGUUUAGUCCGUAGGACAGGAACAAUCAUAAUCAUAUGCUAGCUUCUAGGGUUUAGCCUCUACGAUUUCGUGGUAGAUCAACUCUUGUAAUACUCAUAUCAUCAAGAUCAAUCAAGCAGGAAGUAGGGUAUUACCUCCAUAGAGAGGGCCCAAACCUGGGUAAACAUCGUGUCCCCGCCUCAUGUUACCAUUAGGCUUAGACGCACAGUUCGAGACCCCCUACCCGAGAUCCGCCGGUUUUGACACCGACAGCAGCCCCUGGUGUUCGGAAGACCACACUAGGGGCUCUAUAAGCACCUGAUCAGAAGAAAAAGUCGAUCCACCGCACGCUGCAUUAGUUAUCGCAUAAUACGGAAGAAAUCCUUAAAGAUUUUGUAACCUCUCGAACAGCUGACCAGCUCUCGCCGUAUCAUGAUAGUCAGUUUUUGGCUUUCUCUACUGAGGUGCUCGUCCGGAAGAACUGGGACACAAUCGCAGUAGUUCUCCCUUUACUACCCUAGCCGAUAUAGCGGAACGUAGGGUACCAAGCACAGGAGCCGGGCAACCCAACUAUUGACCCAAGAGAUUAUUCGGAGCCGAUGCAUAUAAUGUUAUAAGUUCGGGGUGCCGAACGACUGUGAAGGUAUUCGGACUUUAUUACCGUAUUGUGGGUACAAUGAGGCCCCUGGCCUAUUAAGGCGCAUCGUAGUGUACGGAUGCCAUUUGACAAAAAAUAUCAAUAAGAAAGAACAGCAAGUAAGCGUCAUAUAAAGCCGCAUAUUGUAAUUGAAUAAUACGUCGAGGCGUACGAGUAAAAGUAGUGCGAUAAAAAGAAAUAUGACUUCGGAACCUGCUGAGACCAGGGGGGUUGUGUGCGGAUCCGGGGAAUAAUCGGAUGAUCAUCAAGGGGAACAACUAAGGAUUCCCUUACGCAUUCGAGCUGUUUCCCUCCUUGGUAUGUUCAUCCCCUCAUGCGUCUGGUCGCCAUGUCACCAGUGAUGGCCUACACAAAAGUGGACCUGCAAGGAAAAUGCAAAAAAUGUUUGUGUGCCACUGAGCGGUUCAGCCGCAUUGGGGGCCUAACCUAGCUUUGCCUCUGCCUACCGCCGGAAUGGUUAAUUGAGCUCUUGGCGAUCUGGGCUAUCCUGCCACGGAGUAGUUCGGACUCUUUUGACGGUGUCCGGGAACCUGGCUGUUGAAUGAAGGUACGAUUGAAAAAUGCCACUCUACGCUUCUACUGCCAAGGCGGCGGUGUGCUCUUCAGUACAGAGAGAGCGUUCGGCUUUGCCGUUAACUAUUAUGACGCCACUUGGACCGGGCAUCUUGAGCUUAAGAUAAGCGUAAUGUGGCACCGCGUUGAAUCGAGCGAACGGGGUUCGUCCGUGCAGUGCAUGAUAGCUUCUGUGAAAAUGAAUGAUAUCAAAGAUUAACUCUUCGUUACGGUAAUUAUCCGGGGGUCUGAAGACUACCUCCAGAGUGACGGAGCCGCGGGCCUCCACGCCUGGUAUAACACCUUUGAAGGUGGUUUUAGUGGGUUUGAUCUUUGAAGGAUCGAUGCCCAUCUUGCACACUGUAUCCUGAUAAAGCAGGUUCAGACUGCUGCCUCCAUCCAUAAGGACUCGUGUGAGGUGGAAUCCAUCAAUUAUUGGGUCAAGGACUAGUGCGGUUGAGCCGCCCUGACGGAUAUUGGCAGGACGAUCCUUGCGGUCAAAGGUGAUCGGGCCGGACGACCAUGGGUUAUAUUUUGGGGUGACUAGCUCCGUUGCGUCGAUAUCCCUAAGUGUGCGCCUCCUCUCCCGCUUGGGAAUAUUGGUGGCAUUUAUCAUAUUCACCGUUUUAAUUUGCGGGGGAAACUUCUUUUGCCCUCCUAUGUUCGGUGGCCGGGUCUCCACGUCAUCGUCAUUGCUUUGCAACCCCUUCUCCUUGUUUUCGGCACCUGACUUGCCGGCUUGUUUGAAGACCCAGCAUUCUCUGUUGGUAUGAUUGGCUGGGGUUACUGGGGUGCCGUGAAUUUGACAUGGACGGUCGAGUAUACGGUCCAGACUGGACGUGCCCGAACUGUUUCUUUUCAAUUGUCUCUUCCUUUGACCGGUAUUAGAGCCGCUGAAUCCGGCAUUGACGGUCGUGUCUUUGGCGUUGUCGCCAUUAUUUCGACGCUUGUGUUUGCUGUGUCGGGGCUUGCCGUUGUUAUCUCUUGGUUCAGAGGUCCCAGGCUUGCUUGAGGCGAUGUUGCUACGAGCUAGCCAGCUGUCCUCGCCCGCACAGAAGCGGGUCAUGAGUGUCGUGAGGGUUGCCAUGGAUUUCGGCUUCUCUUGGCCGAGGUGUCGGGCGAGCCACUCAUCACGGAUGUUAUGCUUAAAGGCCGCUAGGGCUUCGGCAUCCGGACAGUCGACGAUUUGGUUCUAUUUGGUUAAGAACUGACUCGAGAAUUUCCUGGCUGACUCUCUGGGCUAUUGGGUUAUGUGACUUAAGUUAUCAGCAUCCGGUGGUCGCACAUAGGUGCCCUGAAAGUUGUCAAGGAAUGCGUCUUCUAGGUUCUCCCAACUGCCAAUGGAGUUUGCUGGCAGACUAUUCAGCCAAUGCUGAGCUGGUCCCUUGAGUUUUAGUGGGAGGUACUCGAUGGCAUGUAGAUCAUCGUCGCGGGCCAUGUGAAUGUGGAGAAGGAAAUCUUCGAUCCAUACCGCAGGGUCUGUUGUCCCAUCAUAUGGUUCGAUGUUUACGGGUUUAAACCCUUUUGGGAAUUCGUGCUCCAUUACUUCGUCAGUGAAGCAUAGGGGGUGUGCGGCGCCUCUGUGCUGGGCUACGCCGCGUUGCAGUUCGGAUGAAUUUGGUCUGCUGUAUUCGGCCCGGGCGGUCAUCGCAGAUCGAUCUUGACUGUCCUGCUUUGUAUUUCAAUUUGUCUCGCAGGUCAUGCGUGUAGCCUCGGGCCUUGGUGUUUUAAGUUGUUCGGCGACGGGGUGCGGGCUGGUGUUUGGGCUGAUACGCCGCAUUGUCUCGGCCACGAGGUGGUCGGCCAGCCACAUCCUGCGCUGGUAUUAUAGGCUCUAGUGCCUCGUCCUCGAAUUGAGGUAACAACCUGCGCCUCGGGUAACUUUUGGUUGGGCGCUCGAGUCUGUAUUCCUCGGACGCCAGGACCUCGGUCCAUCUGUCAGUGAGCAGAUCUUAAUCAGCUUGAAGCUGCUGCUAUUUUUUCUUCAGGCUCUUUGCAGUGGCUAUAAGCCGGCGCUUGAAGCGCUCCUGCUCGACAGGAUCCUCAGGCACGAUAAAUCAUUUGUCGCCGAGGCUCACCUCGUCUUCGGAGAGGGGCAUGUAAUUGUCAUCCUUCGAGUCUCCGUCCAUUGCCUGGUCAUCAGGGCUAGCUUGCCCGUCCUCCCGUCCAACCUGCUCGAAGCUUGGCUGGGCGGGAUUGUUUUUGUCUUUGGAAUCAUCCGGAGUGCUAUUGUCUUUUGUGCCGGUAUCGCUAUUUUUGCUAUGGUGGGGUUUAGAGCGGCGCCGCUGAUGUCGGCGCUUGGGUUGCUUCUCAAGGGGAUCACCCUCCAUUGCAUCAUUUUUAUCCUAGCCAUUGUUUUCUUUGGGUGUGUCCACCAUAUAUAUGUCGUAUGAUGAGGUGGCUGCCCAGCACCAUGUGGGCGGUGGUUCCUGUUCUUCUCCGGCAUCGUCGUCCAUAGCGUCGAUGUCUUCGGAGUCGAAAUCAAGCAUGUCAGUUAAGUCAUCGAAAGUGGCUAUUAAGUGGGUGGUGGGUGGGUAACGAAUUCCUCAUCGUCCGCUUCCCACUCAAGUCGGACAUAGUUUGGCCAAGAGUCUCCCGCCAGGGAGAGAGAUUUUAAUGAGUUUAGCACGUCGCCCAAGGGCGAGUGCUGAAAGAUAUCCACGAAGCUAAACUCCAUGAUCGGUGCCCAGUUAGAUCCGAUGGCCACGGAUGCACGCGGUUUGGAUUCUAAGGGCAGAGACAAGUCCGAGGGUCCGAUGACACAGACCUCUACUAUGUCUUCAGCUUGUGUUGGUUUUCCUUGAAGAGGAAAGGGUGAUGGAGCAAUAGUAGUGUAAGUAUUUACCUCAGUUUUUGAGAACCAAGGUAUCAAUCCAGUAGGACGCUCCUCAAAAGUCCCACGCACCUACACAAACAAAAAAAGAACUCGCAACCAACGCAAUAAAGGGGUUGUCAACCCUUCACAGCCACUUGCGAAAGUGAGACCUGAUAGAGAUAGUAUGAUAAGAUAAAUAUAUUUUUGGUAUUUUAUAAUAUAGAUGCAAAAAGUAAAGAUGGAAAUAAAAGUAGAUUGAAAGCUUAUAUGAUAAAAGAUAGACCGGGGGGCCAUAGGUUUCACUAGUGGCUUCUCUCAAGAUAGCAUAAGUAUUACGGUGGGUGAACAAAUUACUGUCGAGCAAUUAAUAGAAAAGCGAAUAAUUAUGAGAUUAUCUAGGCAUGAUCAUGUAUAUAGGCAUCACGUCCGCGACAAGUAGACCGACUCCUGCCUGCAUCUACUACUAUUACUCCACACAUCGACCACUAUCCAGCAUGCAUCUAGAGUAUUAAGUUCAUAAGAACAGAGUAACGCAUUAAGAAAGAUGACAUGAUGUAGAGGGAUAAACUCAAGCAAUAUGAUAUAAACCCCAUAUUUUUAUCCUCGAUGGCAACAAUACAAUACGUGCCUUGCAACCCUUUCUGUCACUGGGUAAGGACACCGCAAGAUUGAACCCAAAGCUAAGCACUUCUCCCAUGGCAAGAAAGAUGAAUCUAGUAGGCCAAACCAAACUGAUAAUUCGAAGAGACUUGCAAAGCUAACUCAAUCAUACAUAAAAGAAUUCAGAGAAGAUUCAAAUAUUUCUCAUAGAUAAACUUGAUAUAAAUGAUAUAAAUGUGUAAAAUAAAGCCCAUAAACAUCCAAAAGGGGUAAUAUAAUAGCAUGGAACAAUCAAAAAUUAUAGAUACGUUGGAGACGUAUCAAGCAUCCCCAAGCUUAAUUCCUGCUCGUCCUCGAGUAGGUAAAUGAUAAAAACAUAAUUUUUGAUGUGGAAUGCUACCUAGCAUAAUUCUCAAUGUAAUUUUCUUUAUUGUGGCAUGAAUGUUCAGAUCCAAAUGAUUCAAAAUAAAAGUUCAUAUUGACAUAAGAAAUAGUAAUACUUCAAGCAUACUAAUCAAAGCAAUCAUGUCUUCUCAAAAUAACAUGGCUAAAGAAAGUUAUCCCUACAAAAUCAUAUAGUUUGGCUAUUGCUCUAUCUUCAUCACACAAAGUAUUUAAUCAUGCACAACCCCGAUGACAAGCCAAGCAAUUGUUUCAUACUUUAGUAAUCUCAAACCUUCUCAAUUUUCACGCAAUACAUGAGCAUGAGACAUGGACAUAGCACUAUAUGUGGAAUAGAAUGGUGGUUGUGGAGAAGACAAAAAGGAGAAGAUAGUCUCACAUCAACUACGCGUAUCAACGGGCUAUGAAUAUGCCCAUUAAUAGAUAUCAAUGUGAGUGAGUAGGGAUUUCCAUGCAACAGAUUCACUAGAGCUAUAAAUGUAUGAAAGCUCGACAAAAGAAAUUAAGUGGGUGUGCAUCCAACUCGCUUGCUCACGAAGACCUAGGGCACUUUUGAGGAAGCCCAUCAUUGUAAUAUACAAGCCAAGUUCUAUAAUGAAAAAAUCCCACUAGUAUAUGAAAGUGACAACAUAGGAGACUCUCUAUCAUGAAGAUCAUGGUGCUACUUUGAAGCACAAGUGUGGUAAAAGGAUAGUAGCAUUGUCCCUUCUCUCUUUUUCUCUCAUUUAUUUUCUUUUUUUCUUUUUCUUUUCUUUUUUUCUUUCUCUUUUUUCUUUCUUUGGCCUUUCUCUUUUUUUCUUUUUUUUCUUUAGUCUGAAGUCUCAUCCCGACUUGUGGGGGAAUCAUAGUCUCCAUCAUCCUUUCCUCACUGGGACAAUGCUCUAAUAAUGAAGAUCAUCACACUUUUAUUUACUUAUAACUCAAGAAUUACACCUCAAAACUUAGAACAAAAUAUGACUCUAUAUGAAUGCCUCCGGCGGUGUACCAGGAUAUGCAAUGAAUCAAGAGCGACAUGUAUGAAAAUUAUGAAGGUGGCCUUGCCACAAAUACGAUGUCAACUACAUGAUCAUGCAAAGAGCAAUAUGACAAUAGUAAUGCCUGUCAGAUGAACGGAAUGAUGGAAAGUUGCAUGGCUUAUCUCGAAAUGGCAAUGGAAAUGCCAUAAUAGGUAGGUAUGGUGGCUGUUUUGAGGAAGGUAUAUGGUGGGUGUAUGGUACUAGCGAAAGUUGCGCGGUACAAGAGAGGCUAGCAAUGGUGGAAGGGUGAGAGUGCGUAUAAUCCAUGGACUCAACAUUAGUCAAAAGAACUCAUAUACUUAUUGCAAAAAUCUACAAGUCAUCAAAAACAAAGUAUUAUGCGCAUGCUCCUAGGGGGAUAGGUUGGUAGGAAAAGACCAUCGCUCGUCCCCGACCACCACUCAUAAGGAAGACAAUCAAUAAAUAAAAUUGUUCUCCAACUUCAUCACAAAGAGGUUCACCAUAUGUGCAUGCUACGGGAAUCACAACCUUCAACACAAGCAUUCUUUAAAUUCAUAAUCACCCAACUAGCAUGGCUUUAAUAUCACUACCUCCAUAUCUCAAAACAAUUAUCAAGUAUCAAAUUGAUCAUAUCAUCCAAUUCACUUCCUAUGAUAGUUUUUAUUAUACCCAACUUGGAUGCCUACCAUUCUAGGACCAACUUUAUAACCAUAGCAAAUACCAUGCUGUUCUAAAAGACUCUCAAAAUAAUAUAAGUGAAGCGUGAGAGACUAGAAAUUUCUACAAAAUUAAGCCACCGUCGUGCUCUAAAAGAUAUAAGUGAAGCACUAGAGCAGAAGCUAUCUAGCUCAAAAGGUAUAAGUGAAGCACAUAGAGUAUUCUAAUAAAUUCUAAUCAAUUAGGAUUCUCCAAAAAGGUGUGUACAUCAAGGGUGAUUGUGGUAAACUAAAAAGCAAAUACUAAUAUCAUACACGAUGCUCCAAGCAAAACACAUAUCACGUGGCGAAUAAAAAUAUAGCUCCAAGUAAAGUUACCAAUGAACGAAGACGAAAGAGGGGAUGCCUUCCUGGGGCAUCCCCAAGCUUAGGCUUUUGGCUAUUAUUGAAUAUCUUGGGGUGCCUUGGGCAUCCCCAAGCUUAGGCUUUUGCCACUCCUUAUUCCAUAGUCCAUCAAAUCUUUACCCAAAACUUGAAAACUUCACAACACAAAACUCAACAGGAAAUCUCAUAAGCUCCGUUAGUGAAAGAAAAAAAAACCACCACAUAAGGUACUGUAAUGAACUCAUUCUUUAUUUAUAUUGGUGUUAAACCUAAUGUAUUCCAACUUCUCUAUGGUUUAUAAACUAUUUUACUAGCCAUAGAUGCAUCAAAAUAAGCAAACAACACACGAAAAACAGAAUAUGUCAAAAACAGAACAGUCUGUAGCAAUCUGUAACUAACGCAAACUUCUGGAACUCUAAAAAUCCUACCAAAAUACGAAGUCCUGGACAAUUUGUCUAUUGAUCAGCACCAAAACGAAUCUUUACAAAAUCGCGUUUCUAUGAUUUAACAAAACUAAUUUCGUGUGUGCAAAGUUUCUGUUUUUCAGCAGAAUCAAAUUAACUAUCACCAUAGGUUAUCCUAUAGGUUCUACUUGGCACAAACACUAAUUAAAACAUAAAAACACAUCUAAACAGAAGGUAGAUGCAAAAUUUAUUGCUAAACAGAAACAAAAACAAAAACACUAAUAAAAUUGGUUUGCCUCUCAACUAGCGCUAUCGUUUAACGCCCCUAACUAGGCAUAAAAGCGAAGAUAGAUUUAAGUAGUGUCAUCUUUGGCACUAAAUUCAUAAGUAGCCCGCAUGAUAGAUUCAUAAGAUAAUUUGACUUUCUUUCUUGGAAAGUGCUCCGUGCCUUUCCUUAAUGGAAAUUGGAAUCUAAUAUUACCUUCCUUUAUAUCAAUAAUCGCGCCAAUCGUUCUAAGGAAAGGUCUACCAAGAAUAAUAGGGCAAGAAAGAUUGCAAUCUAUAUCAAGAACGAUAAAAUCUAUGGGCACCAAAUUUCUAUUUGCAACAAUGAGGACAUCAUUGAUUCUUCCCAUUGGCUUUUUAACGGUGGAAUCCGCAAGGUGCAAAUUUAAAGAGCAAUCAUCAAGAUCAUGGAAACCUAGAAUAUCACAUAAAGUUUUCGGAAUCGUGGAAACACUAGCACCCAAAUCACACAAAGCAAAACACUCAUGAUCUUUAAUUUUAAUCUUUAUAGUAGGUUCCCACUCAUCAUUAAGUUUUCUAGGUAUAGAAACUUCCAAAUUAAGUUUUUCAUCAUAAGAUUGCAUCAGGGCAUCAACGAUAUGUUUGGUCAAAGCUUUAUUUUGACUAUAAGCAUGAGGAGAAUUAACAACGGAUUGCAACAAGGAAAUAUAACCUUCUAAAGAACAAUUAUCAUAAUCAAAUUCCUUGAAAUCCGAGAUAGUGGGUUCAAUGCUAUUUAAAGUCAUGACCUCUCCAAUCCCACUUUUACCAAAUUUAGCAUCAAGAUCUAAAAACUCCGAAUUAUUGGGAUGCCUUCUAACUAAAGUUGACUCAUCUCCAGUCCCAUUAUUAUCAAGAUUCAUAUUGCAAAACAAAGAUCUAAUAGGGGACACAUCAAUAACUUUAAGAUCUUCAUCAUUAUUUUCAUGGAAACUAGAAGAACACGCCUUUACAAAGCAAUCUUUUUUAGCAUGCAAUCUAGCGGUUCUUUCCUUGCACUCAUCAAUGGAAAUUCUCAUGGCUUUGAGAGACUCAUUGAUAUCAUGCUUAGGAGGAGUAGAUCUAAGUUUAAGAGAAUCAACAUCAAGCGAAAGUCUAUCAACGUUCCUAGCCAAAUCAUCAACUUUGAGCAAUUUUUCUUCAAGCAAAGCAUUAAAAUUCUUUUGAGAAAUCAUAAAUUCUUUCACACUAUUCUCAAAAUCAGAGGGCAUCUUAUUAAAAUUACCAUAAGAAUUAUUGUAGGAAUUUCCAUAAUUAUUAGAGGAAUUACUAGGGAACGGUCUAGAAUUAAAGUUUCCUCUAUAAGCAUUGUUUCCAAAACUAUUCCUACCAACAAAAUUCACAUCCAUAGAUUCAUUAUUAUUCUCAAUCAAAGUAGACAAAGGAAUAUCAUUAGGAUCAAGAGGAGUAUUUUUAGUAGCAAACAACUUCAUAAGUUCAUCCAUCUUUCCACUCAAAACAUUGGUUUCUUCUAUAGCAUGCACUUUUUUACUAGAAGAUCUUUCGGUAUGCCAUUGAGAAUAAUUAGCCAUAAUAUUAUCAAGAAGUUUUGUAGCAUCUCCUAACGUGAUUUUCAUAAACGUGCCUCCCGCGGCCGAAUCUAAAAGAUUUCUAGAAGCAAAGUUCAAACCGGCAUAAAAUUUUUGUAUGAUCAUCCAUAAAUUCAAACCAUGAGUAGGGCAAUUGUGAAUCAUCAAUUUCAUUCUUUCCCAAGAUUUGGCAACAUGCUCAUGAUCAAGUUGUUUAAAAUUCAUAAUAUCGUUCCUAAGAGUGAUAAUCUUAGCGGGAGGAAAAUACUUAGAGAUCAAAGCAUGUUUGCACUUGUUCCAAGAAUCAAUACUAUUUUUAGGCAAAGACGAAAACAAACUUUAGCAUGAUCUCUAAGUGAAAACGGAAAUAACUUCAAUUUAACAAUAUCAUUAUCCGUAUCUUUCUUCUUUUGCAUAGCACACAAAUCAACAAAGUUGUUUAGAUGAGUAGCGGCAUCUUCACUAGGAAGGCCAGUGAAUUGAUCUUCCAUAACAAGAUUUAGCAAAGAAGUAUUGAUUUCACAAGACUCAACAUUAUUAAGAGGAGCAAUCGGAGUACUAAGGAAAUCAUUAUUAUUGGUAUUGGAGAAAUCACACAAUUUGGUAUUAUCUUGCGCCAUGGCAACAAGUAAUCCAACACACAAGCAAACAGAAAAAGGCAAGCGAAAAAGAGAGGAGAGGAUUGGGAAAGAGAGGGCAAAUAAAACGGCAAGGGUGAAGUGGGGGAGAGGAAAACGAGAGGCAAAUGGCAAAUAAUGUAAAUGCGAGGGAAAUGAGUUUGUGAUGGGUACUUGGUAUGUCUUGACUUGAGCGAAGACCUCCCCGGCAACGGCGCCAGAAAUCCUUCUUGCUACGUCUUGAGCUUGCAUUGGUUUUCCAUGAAGAGGAAAGGGUCAUGCAGCAAUAGUAGCGUAAGUAUUUCCCUCAGUUUUUGAGAACCAAGGUAUCAAUCCAGUAGGAGGCUCCUCAAAAGUCCCACACACCUAUACAAACAAAGAAAGAACUCGCAACCAACGCAAUAAAGGGGUUGUCAAUCCCUUCACGGCCACUUGCGAAAGUGAGAUCUGAUAGAGAUAGUAUGAUAAGAUAAAUAUAUUUUUGGUAUUUUAUAAUAUAGAUGCUAAAAGUAAAGAUGCAAAUAAAAGUAGAUUGAAAGCUUAUAUGAUAAAAGAUAGACCCGGGGGCCAUAGGUUUCACUAGUGUCUUCUCUCAAGAUAGCAUAAGUAUUACAGUGGGUGAAUAAAUUACUGUUGAGCAAUUGAUAGAAAAGCGAAUAAUUAUUAGAUUAUCUAGGCAUGAUCAUGUACAUAGGUAUCACGUCCGCGACAAGUAGACCGACUCCUGCAUGCAUCUACUACUAUUACUCCACACAUCGACCGCUAUCCUGCCUGCAUCUAGAGUAUUAAGUUCAUAAGAACAGAGUAACGCCUUAAGCAAGAUGACAUGAUGUAGAGGGAUAAACUCAAGCAAUAUGAUAUAAACCCCAUCUUUCUAUCCUCGAUGGCAACAAUACAAUACGUGCCUUGCAACCCUUUCUGUCACUGGGUAAGGACAUCGCAAGAUUGAACCCAAACCUAAGCACUUCUCCCAUGGCAAGAAAGAUCAAUCUAGUAGGCCAAACCAAACUGAUAAUUCGAAGAGACUUGCAAAGAUAACUCAAUCAUACAUAAAAGAAUUCAGAGAAGAUUCAAAUAUUUCUCAUAGAUAAACUUGAUCAUAAACCCACAAUUCAUCGGAUCUCGACAAACACACCACAAAAAGAGUUUACAUCGAAUAGAUCUCCACAAGAGAGGGGGAGAACAUUGUAUUGAGAUCCAAAAAGAGAGAAGAAGCCAUCUAGCUAAUAACUAUGGACCCGAAGGUCUGUGGCAAACUACUCACAACUCAUCGGAGGGGCUAUGGUGUUGAUGUAGAAGCCCUCCGUGGUCGAUUCUCCCUCCGGCAGAGCGCCGGCGAAGGCUCCAAGAUGGGAUCUCGCGGAUACAGAAGGUUACGAUGGUGGAAAUUGUUUUUCGUUGGCUCCCUAGAUGUUUUUGGGGUACAUAGGUAUAUAUAGGAGGAAGAAGUAUGUCAGUGGCCGCUCGAGGGACCCAGGAGCAGGGGCGCGCCCAGGAGGGGUGGGCGCGCCCUCCUAUUGGCCGCCUCGAUUGCUUCUUGACUUGCACUCCAAGUCCUCUGGAUCACGUUCGUUCCAAAAAUCACGCUCCCGAAGGUUUCAUUCCGUUUGGACUCCGUUUGAUAUUCCUUUUCUUCGAAAUACUGAAAUAGGCAAAAUAACAGCAAUACGGGCUGGGCCUCCGGUUAGUAGGCUAGUCCCAAAAAUGAUAUAAAUGUGUAAAAUAAAGCCCAUAAACAUCCAAAAGGGGUAAUAUAAUAGCAUGGAACAAUCAAAAAAUACAGAUACGUUGGAGACAUAUCAACCUCCUUGGAAGUGAAAUCUGUGUUCGGCUCUAUCGUCGCUGAGUGUGCGGCCUCCGUGGCGGGGUCCAUCCUCCCAUCCUCGGAUGGCACGAACUGAACUGGAUUUAAAGCCAGGGCAGCUAUAGGGGUGAACUCCUGAACAUCAUUCGAUGGCAGAUCUAGGUCAUGCUCAUCGCGACUGUAGGGUGCACCUGUCAUGGGCUCGAAUCAAUCGAAGAUCAAGUCUCUGCGGACGUCGGCAGUGUAAUCCAGGCUUCCAAACCUGACCUGAUGGCCAGGGGUAUAGCUAUCGAUCUGCUCCAGAUGGCCAAGCGAGUUGGCCCGUAGUAUGAAGCUGCGGAAUACGAAGAUCUGUCCGGGAAGGAAAACCUCACCCUGGACCGCAUCGUUGUAGAUGAUCGAAGGGGCCAUCAAGCCUUAUGGUGACGACACAGUGGAACUCUCAAUGAAAGCACCAAUGUCGGUGUCAAAACCAGCGGAUCUCGGGUAAGGGGUCCCGAACUAUGCGUCUAAGGCUAAUGGUAUCAGGAGGCGGGGGACACAAUGUUACCCAGGUUCAGGCCCUCUCUAUGGAGGUAAUACCCUACUUCCUGCUUGAUUGAUCUUGAUGAUAUGAGUAUUACAAGAUUUGAUCUACCACGAGAUCGUAGAGGCUAAACCCUAGAAGCUAGCCUAUGAUUCUGAUUGUCCUUGUCCUACGGACUAAACCCUCCGGUUUAUAUAGACACCAGAGGGGGCUAGGGUUACACAGGGUCGGUUAUAGAAAAGGGAAUCUACAUAUCCAAAUUGCCAAGCUUGCCUUCCACGCAAAGGAUAGUCCCACCCGGACACGGGACGAAGUCUUCAAUCUUGUAUCUUCAUAGCCCAACAGUCCGGCAUAAGCAUAUAGUCCGGCCGUCCGACGACCCCCUAAUCCAGGACUCCCACACUCACGUCGAUACGCUCCUCAAAUACCUUAUUGGUGUUUCCCCAGGCAGGAUCUCAAACGACAAGGUUCCUGAGGCACUUGCUCUUCCUACGAACCAUGCACACGGUCCUCAGGAUGGGUUUGCCGGAUGCAGCACGGAGAGAGGAACAAUAGAUGACGAUUAGGGUUGUGCAGGAGGGAGUGAGUGCGUUAGGUUUAACUCCACAGGCCAGCGCCUCCUUAUAUAGGCCUUUAGGUAGAUGGGCCAGGGCUUAGGCCCACGGCUGAUGUCUACUACACAACCUUUUCCUUGUAGACGUUGUUGGGCCUCCAAGUGCAGAGGUUUGUAGGAUAGUAGCAAAUUUCCCUCAAGUGGAUGACCUAAUGUUUAUCAAUCCGUGGGAGGUGUAGGAUGAAUAUGGUCUCUCUCAAACAACCCUACAACCAAAUAACAAACAGUCUCUUGUGUCCCCAACACACCCAAUACAAUGGUAAAUUGUAUAGGUGCACUAGUUCGGAGAAGAGAUGGUGAUACAAGUGCAAUAUGGAUGGUAGGUAUAAGUUUUUGUAAUCUGAAAAUAUAAAAACAACAAGGUAGCAAGUGAUAACAGUGAGCGUAAACGGUAUUGCAAUGGUAGGAAACAAGGACUAGGGUUCAUACUUUCACUAGUGCAAGCUCUCUCAACAAUAAUAACAUAACUGGAUCAUAUAACUAUCCCUCAACAUGCAACAAAGAGUCACUCCAAAGUCACUAAUAGUGGGGAACAAACAAGGAGAUUAUUGUAGGGUACGAAACCACCUGAAAGUUAUCCUUUCUGAUCGAUCUAUUCAAGAGUCCGUAGUAAAAUAACACGAAGCUAUUCUUUCUGUUCGAUCUAUCAUAGAGUUCGUACUAGAAUAACACCUUAAGAUACAAAUCAACCAAAACCCUAAUGUCACCUAGAUACUCCAAUGUCACCUCAAGUAUCUGUGGGUAUGAUUAUACGAUAUGCAUCACACAAUCUCAGAUUCAUCUAUUCAACCAACACAAAGAACUUCAAAGAGUGCCCCGAAGUUUCUACCAGACAGUCAAGACGAAAACAUGUGCCAACCCCUAUGCAUAAGUUCACAAGGUCACUGAACCCGCAAGUUGAUCACCAAAACAUACAUCAAGUAGAUCACGUGAAUAUCCCAUUGUCACCACAGAUAAGCACAUGCAAGACAUACAUCGAGUGUUCUCAAAUCCUUAAAGAGUCAAUCCGAUAAGAUAACUUCAAAGGGAAAACUCAAUCCAUUACAAGAUAGUAGAGGGGGAUAAACAUCAUAAGAUCCAACUAUAAUAGCAAAGAUCGCAAUACAUCAAGAUCAAGCCGAAUCAAGAACACGAGAGAGAGAGAGAGAGAGAGAGAGAAAGAGAGAGAUCAAACACAUAGCUACUGGUACAUACCCUCGGCCCCGAGGGUGAACUACUCCCUCCUCGUCAUGGAGAGCGCCGGGAUGAUGAAGAUGGCCACCGGUGAGGGAUCCCCCUCCGGCAGGGUGCUGGAACAGGGUCCCGAUUGGUUUUGGGUGGCUACAGAGGCUUGCGGCGGCGGAACUCCCUCUCUAGGUUAUGUUUCGGGGGUUUCUGUAUUUAUAGGAAUUUUUGGCGUAGGUCUCACGUCAGGGGGGGUCUCCGACCCGUCCACGAGAUUGGGCGUGCACCCCACCCUUGUGGGCAGCUCGGGACUCUUCUGUCCCAACUCUUUUACUCUGGGGGCUUCUUUUGGUCCAUAAAAAAUCAUCAAAAAUUGGCACGUCAAAUGGACUCUGUUUGGUAUUCUUCUGUAAAACUCAAAAAUAAGGAAAAAUAGAAACUGGCACUGGGCUCUAGGUUAAUAGGUUAGUCACAAAAAUCAUAUAAAAUAGCAUAUUAAUGCAUAUAAAAGAUUCUAGAUGGAUUAUAUAAUUGCAUGGAACAAUAAAAAAUUAUAGAUAUGUUGGAGACGUAUCAAGCAUCCCCAAGCUUAAUUCCUGCUCUUCCUUGAGUAGGUAAAUGAUAAAAACAGAAUUUUUGAUGUGGAAUGCUACCUAACAUAUUUAUCAAUGUAAUUUUCUUUAUUGUGGCAUGAAUGUUCAGAUCCGAAAGAUUCAAGAUAAAAGUUUAAUAUUGACAUAAAAUAGUAAUACUUCAAGCAUGCUAACCAAGCAAUUUAUGUCUUAUCAAAAUAGCAUAGCCAAAGAAAGCUUAUCCCUACAAAAUCAUAUAGUUUGGCCAUGCUUCAUUUUCGUCACACAAAAUGCUCCCAUCAUGCACAACCCCGGUUUCAGCCAAGCAAUUGGUUAAUACUUUUUAACGCGCCUCGGCCUUUUCAACCAUCACGCAAUACAUGAGCGUAAGCCAUGGACAUAGCACUAUGGGUGGAGUAGAGUAUGAUGAUAGGGAUUAUAUGAGGAAAAAAAGGAGAAAGUCUCAUAUUGACGUGGCUAAUCAACGGGCUAUGGAGAUGCCCAUCAAUUGAUUUCAAUAUGAGGAGUAGAGAUUACCAUGCAACGGAUGCACUAGAGCUAUAAAUGUAUGAAAGCUCAUCAAAAAGAAACUAACUGGGUGUGCAUCCAACUUGCCUGCUCACGAAGACCUAGGGCAUUUUGAGGAAGGCUAUCAUUGGAAUAUACAAGCCAAGUUCUAUAAUGAAAAAUUCCCGCUAGUAUAUGAAAGUGACAAAAUAAGAAACUCUCUAUCAUGAAGAUCAUGGUGCUAUUUUGAAGCACAAGUGUGGAAAAAGGAUAGUAACAUUGUCCCUUCUCUCUUUUUCUCUCAUUUUUUUAUUUGGGCUUCUAUGGCCUCUCUUUUUUUCUUUUUCCCUUUUUUUUAUUUCGUCCGGAGUCUCAUCCCGACUUGUGGGGGAAUCAUAGUCUCCAUCAUCCUUUCCUCACAUGGGACAAUGCUCUAAUAAUGGAAAUCAUCACACUUCUAUUUAUUUAUAACUCAAUACUUAGGACAAAAUAUGACUCUAUGUGAAUGCCUCCGGCGGUGUAAUGGGAUAUGCAAUGAAUCAAGAGCGACAUGUAUGAAAGAAUUAUAAAGGUGGCUUUGCCACAAAUACGAUGUCAACUACAUGAUCAUGCAAAGCAAUAUGACAAUGAUGGAGCGUGUCAUAAUAAACGGAACGGUGGAAAGUUGCAUGGCAAUAUAUCUCGGAAUGGCUAUGGAAAUGCCAUAAUAGGUAGGUAUGGUGGCUGUUUUGAGGAAGAUAUAAGGAGGUUUAUGUGUGAUAGUGCAUAUCGUAUCACGGGGUUUGGAUGCAUCGGCGAAGUUUGCACCAACUCUCAAUGUGAGAAAGGGCAAUGCACGGUACCGUAGAGGCUAGCAAAUUGCGGAAGGGUAAGAGUGCAUAUAAUCCAUGGAAUCACAUUAGUCAUAAAGAACUCAUAUACUUAUUGCAAAAGUUUAUUAGCCCUCGAAGCAAAGUACUACUAUGCAUGCUCCUAGGGGAAGGGUUGGUAGGAGUUAACCAUCGCACGAUCCCGACCUCCACUCAUAAGGAAGGCAAUCAAAGAACACCCAAUGAUUCAAAGUUGUCACACAAUGUUCACCAUACAUGCAUGCUACGGGACUUGCCAACUUUAACACAAGUAUUUCUCAAUUUCAUAAUUACCCAACUAGCAUGACUCUAACAUUACCACUUUAUAUCUCAAAACAAUUAUCAGGAAUCAAACUUCUCAUAGUAUUCAAUGCACUUUAUAUGAAAGUUUUUAUUAUAUCCCUCUUGGAUGCCUAUCAUAUUAGGACUAAUUUUAUAACCAAAGCAAAUUACCAUGCUGUUUAAGACUCUCAAAAUAAUAUAAGUGAAGUACUAGUGCAAAUGACAAACUACUCCGAAAGAUAUAAGUGAAGAUCAAUGAGUAGUCGAAUACUUAUGCAACUAUGUGAAGACUCUCUAACAUUUAAGAAUUUCAGAUAUAGGGAUAUUAUUCAAACAGAAAGCAAAACAAAAUUAAACAAAAUGACGCUCCAAGCAAAACACAUAUCAUGUGGUGAAUAAAAAUAUAGCUCCAAGUAAAGUUACCGAUUAAUGAAGAUGAAAGAGGGGAUGCCAUCCGGGGCAUCGCCAAGCUUAGGCUCUUGGUUGUCCUUUAAUAUUACCUUGGGUUGCCUUGGGUAUCCCCAAGCUUAGGCUCUUUCCACUCCUUAUUCCAUAGUCCAUCGAAUCUUUACCCAAAACUUGAAAACUUCACAACACAAAACUUAACACAAAACUCGUAAGCUCCGUUAGUAUAAGAAAAUAAAUCACCACUUAGGUACUAUUAUGAACUCAUUAUAAAUUCAUAUUGGUGUAAUAUCUACUGUAUUACAACUUCUCCAUGGUUCAUACCCUCCGAUACUACUCAUAGAUUCAUCAAAAUAAGCAAGCAACACAUAGAAAACAGAAUCUGUCAAAAAGAGAACAGUCUGUAGUAAUCUGUAACUCUCGAAUACUUCUGUAACUCCCAAACUCCUAUCAAAUUAGGAAAACCUGAAAAAUUUGUGUACCAAUCCAGAUCAAAAAGAAUCAGAUCAAAAUCACGUCUCUGUGAAUUACGAAAACUAAUUUACUGAGCGCAAAAGUUUCUGAUUUUCAGCAGGAUCAACACAACUAUCACCGUAAGCUAUCCUAAAUGUCUUACUUGGCACUUUCUUGAAACAAAAGCUAUAAAACAUGAUUACUACAGUAGCAUAAUCAUGUGAACACACAAAAACAGUAGGGGUAAAUAUUGGGUUGUCUCCCAACAAGCGCUUUUUUAAUGCCUUUUUAGCUAGGCAUGAUGAUGACAAUGAUGCUCACAUAAAAGAUAAGGAUUGAAACAUAAUGGGAGCAUCGUGAAGCAUAUGACUAGCACAUUUAAGUCUAACCCACUUCCUAUGCAUAGGGUUUGUGAGCAAACAACUUAUGGGAACAAGAAUCAACAAGCAUAGGAAGGCAAAACAAGCAUAACUUCAAAACUUUAAGCACAUAGAGAGGAAACUUGAUAUUAUCGCAAUUCCUACAAGCAUAUAUUCCUCCCUCAUAAUAAUUUUCAGUAGCAUCAUGAAUGAAUUCAAUAAUAUAAAUAUCACAUAAAGCAUUCUUUUCAUGAUCUACAAGCAUAGAAAUUUUAUUACUCUCCACAUAAGCAAAAUUCUUCUCAUAAAUAUUAUUGGGAGCAAACUCAACAAAAUAACUAUCAUGUGAGGCAUAAUCCAAUUGAAGAUUAAAAUCAAGAUGACAAGUUUCAUGGUUAUCAUUGUUCUUUAUAGUGUCAUCACAAUAAUCAUCAUAGAUAGGAACUUUAUUCUCAUAAUCAAUUGGAACCUCUUCCGAAAUAGUGGAUUCAUCAUUAAAUAAUGUCAAGACCUCUCCAAAUCCACUUUCAUCAAUAUAAUCAUCAUAAAUAGGAGGCAUGCUUUCAUCAUAAUAAAUAUUCUCAUCAAAACUUGGGGGACUAAAAAUAUCAUCUUCAUGAAACAUAGCAUCCCCAAGCUUGUGGCUUUGCAUAUCAUUAGCAUCAUGGGUAUUCAAAGAAUUCAUACUAACAACCUUGCAAUCAUGCUCAUCAUUCAAAGAUUUAGUGCCAAACAUUUUAAUGCAUUCUUCCUCUAGCGAUUGAGCACAAUUAUCGGAAUCCUUAUUUUCACGGAACACAUUAAAAAGAUGAAGCAUAUGAGGCACCCUCAAUUCCAUUUUUUUGUAGUUUUCUUUUAUAGACUAAACUAGUGAUAAAACAAGAAACAAAAAGAUUAUAUUGCAAGAUCUAAAGAUAUACCUUCAAGCACUCACCUCCCCGGCAACGGUGCCAGAAAAUUGCUUGAUGUCUACUACGCAACCUUCUCCUUGUAGACAUUGUUGGGCCUCCAAGUGCAGAGGUUUGUGGGACAGUAGCAAAUUUCCCUCAAGUGGAUGACCUAAUGUUUAUCAAUCCGUGGGAGGUGUAGGAUGAAGAUGGUCUCUCUCAAACAACCCUGCAACCAAAUAACAAAGAGUCUCUUGUGUCCCCAACACACCCAAUACAAUGUUAAAUUGUAUAGGUGCACUAGUUCGGCAAAGAGAUGGUGAUACAAGUGCAAUAUGGAUGGUAGAUAUAGGUUUUCGUAAUCUGAAAAUAUAAAAACAGCAUGGUAGCAAGUGAUAAAAGUGAGCGUAAACGGUAUUGCAAUGGUAGGAAACAAGGACUAGGGUUCAUACUUUCACUAGUGCAAGUUCUCUUAACAAUAAUAACAUAACUGGAUCAUAUAACUAUCCCUCAACAUGCAACAAAGAGUCACUCCAAAGUCACUAAUAGCGGAGAACAAACGAAGAGAUUAUUGUAGGGGACAAAACCACUUCAAAGUUAUCCUUUCUGAUCGAUCUAUUCAAGAGUCCGUAGUAAAAUAACACAAGGCUAUUCUUUCCGUUCGAUCUAUCAUAGAGUUCGUACUAGAAUAACACCUUAAGAUACAAAUCAACCAAAACCCUAAUGUCACCUAGAUACUCCAAUGUCACCUCAAGUAUCCGUGGGUAUGAUUAUAAGAUAUGCAUCACACAAUCUCAGAUUCAUCUAUUGAACCAACACAAAGAACUUCAAAGAGUGCCCCGCAGUUUCUACCGGAGAGUCAAGACAAAAACGUGUGCCAACCCCUAUGCAUAAGUUCACAAGGUCACUGAACCCGCAAGUUGAUCACCAAAACAUACAUCAAGUAGAUCACGUGAAUAUCCCAUUGUCACCACAGAUAAGCAUAUGCAAGACAUACAUCAAGUGUUCUCAAAUCCUUAAAGACUCAAUCUGAUAAGAUAACUUCAAAGGGAAAACUCAAUCCAUUACAAGAGAGUAGAGGGGGAGAAACAACAUAAGAUCCAACUAUAAUAUCAAAGCUCGCAAUACAUCAAGAUCGUACUAAAUCAAGAACACGAGAGAGAGAGGGAGAGAGAGAGAGAGAGAGAGAGAGAGAGAGAGAUCAAACACAUAGCUACCGGUACAUACCCUCAGCCCCGAGGGUGAACUACUCCCUCCUCGUCAUGGAGAGCGUCGGGAUGAUGAAGAUGGCCACCGGUGAGGGAUCCCCCCUCCGGUAGGGUGCCGUAACAGGGUCCCAAUUGGUUUUUGCUGGCUACAGAGGCUUGCGGCGGUGGAACUCCCUCUCUAGGUUAUGUUUCAGGGGUUUCUGUAUUUAUAGGAAUUUUUGGCGUAGGUCUCACGUUAGUGGGGGGUCUCCGAGCCGUCCACGAGAUAGGGGGCGCGCCCAAGGGGGUGGGCGCGCCCCCUACCCUCGUGUGCAGCCCGGGACUCUUCUGGCCCAAAUCUUUUACUCUAGGGGCUUCUUUUGGUCCCUAAAAAAUCAUCAAAAAUUGGCACGUCAAUUGGACUCCGUUUGGUAUUCUUUUUUUGUAAAAUUCAAAAAACAAGGAAAAACAAAACUGGCACUGGGCUCUAGGUUAAUAGGUUAGUCCCAAAAAUCAUAUAAAAUAGCAUAUAAAACAUCCUAGAUGGAUAAUAUAAUAGCAUGGAACAAUCAAAAAUUAUAGAUACGUUGGAGACGUAUCAACGACCGAGUCCGCGAACAGCCCACGGUCCAACGUCUCGGACAGUGGAAUAGUGGAACUUCCGUUAGUGACUCGUUAAUUAAUCCACAAUUAAUUAACCAUCCUUGUCCGACAAAAAUUAGGCUCAGCUCGGCUUGGCUCAUUCUCGCAACCCGCAGCGCACGCAUGCGUCGUGACACAGUGUGGUAUGGCAUGGCGGGGAGAGACGAGGCGGGCGGCGGAGGAUAUAAUUGUCUUAUAUGAGCCAAAGCCCAUCUAUAAUCCAACAACCCCCAAGCAAAUCUCGAUGCACAUAAGUUUGUCAACUGUUCCAAACAACAUUUUGAUAUACCUGAAUUUUUAGUGGAGACUGUUAAGUUGAACUCCCACCUAGAGCAACCAUAUUAGAUUUCUUCACAACUGAGCAACGGAGUAUGCCUUGAAUUGUCAGUUUAGCAUGUAGUAGUUUCCCCAAUUGUCAGCUGAUAUGUGGCUGCCGAAGGCUAAACCCCAUGCGUGUAGCGUAUUAGUCAUACUCCUGACCUUCUCAUGAGCUUACUAGAGAUUACCCUAUCUCAUAGGCUAUGACUAGUAGUCAAGCUCACACAGGUCAGAUCCUCCAAAGAUCGCUCUGUAGGAUAACAUCUUCCUUAUACAAGCUUUGGUACACACAUUAUGACAAAAGUAAACCUGCCUUACCGAUUAAUGGAGCAUUGCAUCUCCAACGGAGUGGGUUAGUAAGGAUACUCUCCUCAGUUGACCACUUUAUUGUUUUCCUAGGUCGUAAUACCGGGAUCUCCGAUCACAUAGGUCGGGUUACCCUCAUGGCAACUUACAUGGGUCUCAUGCCCAUCUCCUUCGAUGCAUUUUCUAUCACAAUCUGUCAUAUCCCUUGAUGACCCACAAGUAUAGGGGUUCAAUCAUAGUACCUUCGAUAAGUAAGAGUGUCGAACCCAACAAGGAGCAGAACAAAAUGACAAGCGGUUUUCAGCAAGGUAUUCUCUGCAAGUACUGAAAGUAGCUGUAACAGGUACUUUUGUUGCAAGCUAAUUCAUAUCAAGUAACAAGUAUCAAUGGUAACAAGAGUGCAGCAAGGUGUCCCAAUCCUUUUUAUAGCAAAGGACAAACUAAAGGUUUUUCUUAUAAUGAGCAAGCGUUCUCAAGGACACAUGGGAAUUCUCAUCUAGUCACGUUCAUCAUGUUUAGUUGAUUCACGUUCACUACUUUGAUAAUUUGAUAUGUGAGUGGACCAGUGCUAUGGUGUUGUUCUUACUUGAACAAGCAACCCUCUUAUGAUUACCCCCUCUCGCAAGCAUCCACAACUACGAAAGAGGAAUUAAGAUAAAUCUAUCUAUAGCAUGAAACAUAUGGAUCCAAAUCAGCGCCUUACAGAAUAACACAUAAAAUAGGUUUAAGCUUCUGUCACUCUCGCAAACCAUCAUCUACUUACUACUCCACAAUGCCUCCCCCUAAGCCCAAAUAUGGUGAAGUGUCAUCUAGUCGACGUUCACACGACACCACAAGGGCAUCGGUAGAGGCCAUACACGGCAAUGUAAGGAGACUUCAUGACGAUGUGUUGCAGAGAGAGAAAAGCCUAAUCGCCUCGGAAAAUCCAGGAUACCCAUUGUACAUGGUCAACAUGCCGCGGCAAAGGUUGUACGUCAACUCAUUCCCCGUAGAGAAGUUCUUCCUUCUAUUCGAUUACAUCUUCGACAUGUUUCACUUGAAGAAGCUGGAUUUUACGUUUGUCCGUCUUUAUGCCUUGUACAUGACCUACAUCAUCGGGAUUGAGCAGAUACCUUAUAUCUGUGUCGCUGACCAUACUUCAUGCACCCUUGUGAGGGACUACAUCAUUGAUUUCAUGGUCGCCAAUAAGGACAAGGAGACGAUUCUCAUGCCUUAUCAUCCCCUGUAAGUCAUCUAAGCGGAUAUCCUUCCUUCGAUUUCAAUCAUUCAUUUGCACGGUGGAGGCUAAUUAAUUUGAGGUGUACUUAUUUUGCGCAGCCAUGGGCGCGUCGUCCUCAUCAUCAUUUACCCUCGAUACUCCCAUGCUCUUUACUUGACCUCGUCGAAGAACAUGAACAAAACGGAUUAAAACGGCAGGUCCGCCUCAGCCAUAAGACCGACUUCUGCUGCAUCCAGCAACCGAGUGAUACUCUUAGUGAUGGAUUCUAUGUCCUACACCACAUGCUGGAGUAUAGACGGGAUCAUUAGAACCUUCGCACGUCACCUACAUCUGAGGAUGCCCAUAUUCUGCAAUGGGAAAAGAACGUAGGAGAUAUCGAGGGUCGUUAGCUUCGAGCUGAGUUCUGUCACAUCCAGCGUGAACUUGCCCAAAUCAUCAUGAAGCAGGUCCUUGAAAAAACAGGGAUGUUCUACGAGGAAGGGCAAAUGUCGCGGGAAGACGUCCGAACACGCAUAGCCGCUCAGCGUCUCGACCUGAAGACUUUCACUAAGCUCGGGGACUAUCUCCCUGACUUGGAUGGAUGGCAUGACAUGUUUGAGUGAUUGUCGAUAUAUGACAAUGUGUCCGUUUAGUCCAUACUUUCUGUAUGACGAAACUUUGAGUUAUACACGACGAAACUUUAUUUGUGAUGUAAUUAAACCGUCCUCCUCGACUAGCGAAGAUCACUCUAGUUAGGGCAUUUUGGGUACGAUGAACUUUGUUAUUUAUGCUUAUGAUAUGUUGCUUCUAUUUUUGCCAAGUCUGUCUCUUUCUAUUUUUCAACUAUAUAUGUCGCAUGUCAUCGACUCAUGUGGCGAUGCAGGUGCAUAGAUCAUCGAUGGUGAAGAAGUGCUAUGCCAGGAAUAUACGGUGAGUGGCCGGAGUGUCAGGCCCAGGUGUAUCGGUUUCCAGUUUCCGAGCGACAGCCAGUAGUUAGUUUAGGUUCACGCUAGUGCGAUAGAGGGAUACGAACUCAUGUACUGCAUAGUUCCGCUCUCACUCAUAGUGAUAGCUCUUCUCGAGUAUAUCAUUGUUUAGAUGGAUGAUGAUGUAGUUGCAAGUAAUCGAGACUUGUAUCCCUAUUUUCGAGAUGAUGACGAGAGACCACUUUGUCUUGGAUGAUGAUUAUGAUGAUGACAUGAUUUGAUGCUAUGAUUACAUUUGUAUGUGUAUGAUAUGCUAAAGGUUAUUGUAUAAAGCCUGUUCAAAUACAACACAAAUAUGCAGGAAAAAAAACAAAAACUAGUAAAACUAACAGUAGCGAGGGGAGAAAGUUAGCAGCAGUGCGCUCUUACCAUUAGCGCGUCCUAGAUAAAAGCGCUGCAGAUAUUAGUAGUAGCGUGUUGCGCUAAAGCUCGUUGCUGCUAGGCAUGUGUAGCAGUAGCGUGGGUCAACACGCGCUACUGAUACAUGUUAGCUGUUGCACCGUAUCAGUAGCGCGGGGCCCCGCGCUACUGAUACACCUAAUACACUUGCUACUACUAGGCUUUUCCCUAGUAGUGCUCCACCACCGGCCAGCAGAUGUUGCUGCCCUCUUCCUCCGUGUUGCUGCUGACGUACACUCCGCCCCACGCAAGAGUCUCCACAUUGAGCUACCCCUCUCCGUGUACUAACAGUGCACACAAGUUGUUUGUGUAUAUGUCUCAAACAAAAAAGUGUGUUUUAUAUCAUUUUACCCUAUCUCGGUGCAUCCUCUCUCUUUGGUUACAGGAGAAGUUCAUAUACAGCUACAACAGCAAAGUUCAUGUCAGAAAAUUGAAGUCCAUCUAUAUGGAAGUUGAUAAUUGUUGUGUGUAUGCAGGGGAGCACAAAAAACUUGUAGCUGAUAAAUUUUCCUUUUCUUUAGCCGCAACAAUCUUUCUUGAUGCCUGCUCUUUUUGAAGUGAUUAAAUGAUGCUUGUCUAUGGUUCUUGUUGGUGCUUGAUGUAGGAAAUAUAUUACAGUGUGCAGAUGUGAAGUUCAAUUUGAAAUAACCGAGCAGUCUGAUGAGUAUAAAAACCUUGUAUUUCCAUGUUUCUCAAAAAAUAACGAAGAAGUUUAUAUUAAAAUUUCAAAGCAUUUCAAGAUUUAAUAAACAAAAAGUAGAUUUUCCCAAUUUCUAAAAAAACAAGAAGUUCAAAUUAAAUUAAAGGAGUGGUUCAAUGUUUGUUACAAAACUCAGAUUUGUCGUUGCUCGAGUAAAUUCUUGUACAAUAAAGGCAUGACAUCAUAGAAUGAAUUACUAAAUAGAAGUAGAAAAAUGUAUGGUUUUUCACGUUUCUAAACACAAAUCUCAAUGUUUUAUUUCAAAAAUGAUUUUUUCCUAUUUCUAGAAGGCAACCAAGAAGUUCAAAAUAAUUUGAGCUUGUAUUUGAAAUAAUUUGAGCAUGGAAAUCGGAUUUUUAAGUUAAUAAAGAAUAAAACCAAUAAGUUCAACUUCAAAUAACGAAGAAGUUCGAUGUUGCUAAAAAACCUCCAAGUUUCACAUUUCUAAAAAUACACAAUGAAGUUCAAACAAAAAAGGUAGAGCAGUUCAAUGCCUAUAAAAAACUAAGAUAUUUUCACGUAACUUAGAGAAGUUCAGGUUGAUAACUGCGAUAAGUUCACGAACUACACGGUGUGAAUUUUGUAUGAAAAAAAGAAUGAAAAUACAAAGGCGAAAGGUUUUGUUGCUAGAAGUUCAAGUGCUCCGUUCGGGGAAGUUCAAAAAUUCUUGCAAGAGAGGUUCACCUUGUAUUUCCAUGUUCAAAAACACAAAAAAAAAGAAAUUGUUUUUUUUGCACUUUAGAAUAAUUCUCUCAAUCCACAAAGAAGUUCAGUUAUUAUUUGCGAGCAAUUUGAUUUUAAAAAAAAAAUUAAAAAAUUCAAAUUAUAAAAAUGGAAAAAGUUCAUGUACUACAUGAUGCGUGUUUAAUAUGAGAAAAUGAAUUAAAAGGCAGGGUCCAAACUUUUUGUUGUUAUAAGUUCAAGUCCUCGGUCGGAGAAAGUUAAAAAAUUAUUGUGAGAGAGGUAUGUACAAAAAGAAUAUCAUUUGUGUAACACUGACGAAAUAGAUGAGAAAAUUAUAAACGAAAAUACAUCACAGAAGUUCAACAUGAAAACUGCAGGAAGUUCAACUACUACAUUGAAUGAAUUUCAGAAGAAAAACUUAUAAAACCGUCGCGCGUAUGAAAAAAUGAAUUUAAGAUGAAAAAGUUUUAAAGCACGUAAAAAAUAGAGUGAAGUUCAAGUAGAAUGUAUGAGAAGUUCACGUUCUUCACGUGGUGCAUUUUCGAAAAAUCUGUUUCGCGGUAAAAGCAGAAUGAAUGAUCUCGCUGUUUUUGAAAUUACUUGAGAACAGUUUGGAAUCAGAGAAAACCAUUAAAAUGAAAAAGUUUUGCAUUUUCCGUAGCUUUUCAACAGUAUAUUAUUUGCUCCAUUCCGAUAAAGUUUGUAGAAAUUACAGCCAAAAACGUUUUUAGCCAUUUUCAAAAUUGACUUAAAGCCGUAAAGAAUUGGGAGAAACAAUAUAUACCAAAAAGUUUUGCAUUUCUUCAAGUGUUCCAACGCCAUAUAAUUUGCUGCAUUUGGACGUACAGUUUCAAAAUUAACUCGAAAAUACGAACUCGGUGGAACUUGUACCAUUUUCUAAAUUACUCAUAAACCGUUCAAAAUUAGAAAAAUAUUUCAACGCGAAAAAUUAGCGCAUUUUCAUAAGCUUUCCGACCCAUAUCAUUUGCCUCAAUUGGAUUAGCCGUUUAGAAAUGGCAUCAAAAAUACGAACUCGGUUGUUCGGUUUGUGAAAUUUUAUGAUUUUUCAAAUUACUCUUUAACCAUAGGGAAUUAGAGAAAACUAUCAACAUGUGGGAGGAGCGGUUUUGCAGCAGUUUACCAUGUCAUAUUAUUUGCCUCAUUCCGAUAAACGGUUUAGAAAUACGAUCGAAAAUACGAUUCAUGUUUUUUGUAUAAAGAAAAAAUGGUUUUCAAAACUGUUCUUAAACCGCUUACAUUUUCCAAAAAAAAUAACUUGGGUCAUGAUACUCUUGUCCAUAGGUUUCCAACUUGGAUCAGAAGAAUGUGUGUGUGUGUGUGUGUGUGUGUGUGUGAGAGAGAGAGAGAGAGAGAGAAUUCUAUGAUAUAUGAUUGGUCGUACGAGAAAUUUUAUUAUAUAUGCAUGACAUGUACAGUAUGUAGUAGUGUAAAAUAUGUUUGAAAUGAAAAAUAAUUGAAUAGAAAACACAAAAUGAAAAUGAAAAAUAAACCAUAAACACUAAAACCCUAAACUUUUAGUAUCGAUUGGUGGCACCAACCGGGACAAGGUCCCUAGGCCCCGGCGCGCGCUUUCGGCCACGUGGAAGGGAUUUAGUCUCAGCUCGUGGUAAACCGAGACUAAAGGGUGGGGGUGUCGGUGUCAAAACCGGCGGAUCUCGGGUAGGGGGUCUCGUACUGUGCGUCUAAGGCUAAUGGUAACAGGAGGCGAGGGACACAAUGUUUACCCAAGUUCAGGCCCUCUCUAUGGAGGUAAUACCCUACUUCCUGCUUGAUUGAUCUUGAUGAAUAUGAGUAUUACAAGAGUUGAUCUACCACGAGAUCGUAAUGGCUAAACCCUAGAAGUCUAGCCUAUGAGGUUAUGAUGGUUGUGGCUAAACCCUAGAAGUCUAAACCCUCCGGUUUAUAUAGACACCAGGAGGGGCUAGGGUUGUACAAAGUCAGUUACAGAGAAAGGAAUCUACAUAUCCGUAUUGCCAAGCUUGCCUUCCAUGCAAAGGAGAGUCCCAGCCGGACACGGGACGAAGUCUUCUAUCUUGUAUCUUCAUAGUCCAAUAGUCCGGCCAAAGUAUAUAGUCUGGCUGUCCGAGGACCCCUUAGUCCAGGACUCCCUCAGUAGCCCCUAAACCAGGCUUCAAUGACGAUGAGUCUGGCACGCAGACUGUCUUCGGCAUUGCAAGGCGGGUUCCUUCUCCGAAUACUCCAACAUAGCCCUCCGAACAUAGAAAUGUGUCCGGCUCUGCAAAACAAAGUACCACACACAACCAUAGAGAGUAUAAUAUUUCACGAGUCUAAUCCGCUGACAACUUUUUGUGGCGUGACCUCACGCCACUACCCGGUCAUUAUUCGAAUCGUUUUCUAGCCUAUCGCUCCGUAUUUCGAGGUGUGGUUUCAUUGGCAUGUCUUGUCAAAGCAGAGAUCGUGUCCCCUUAUCACGGGAUUCUCAUCAAUACGGGCAUGGGUAACCCAACCAUGUCAUCUGCAUGGCGCUUGGGGAAUAGGCGGAUUUUAAGGCUGCUAGCAGGGAGGCGCAUAACUUUUACUGCCUUUAUAAGGGGAUAGGGGUUCAUCCUUGUUUACCCACGCCUUCUCCUUCCUCUGCCCAUCCAUUCUCGAGCUCCAGCGCCCAAGCCCUCGCCUUCUCCGCCAAAAAAGUGCUCCAAUCAUGUCCGGAUCCGGAGCUGGAGGCAAGUGGAUGGCCUCCUCCGUCAAGAAGGACAUCACGGAGCUCCGGGAGGCCGGGUACCUGGCCAAGGAGAUCGUUCACCGACUUCCAGCUAAGGGAUAGAUCGUCCCUACCCCAGAGACCCAUGAGAGAGUUGUGUUUCUCACACACUUUGUCCGUGGCCUGGGAUUCCCUCACCACCCGUUUGUCCGUGGACUGAUGUUUUACUACGGGCUGGACUUCCAUGAUUUGGCCCCCAGCUCUAUCCUCAACAUCUCAGCAUUUAUUGUCGUGUGCGAGGCCUUCCUCCGCAUCCCACCUCACUUCGGUCUAUGGAUGAAUACUUUCAAUGUGAAGCCCAAGGUGGUGAGCGGCCAACAAGCUGAGUGCGGAGGCGCCAUGGUGGGCAAGAUGCCCAAUGUCACCUGGUGUCGGUGUCAAAACCGGUGGAUCUCGGGUAGGGGGUCCCGAACUGUUCGUCUAGGCGGAUGGUAACAGGAGACAAGGGACACGAUGUUUUACCCAGGUUCGGGCCCUCUUGAUGGAGGUAAAACCCUACGUCCUGCUUGAUUAAUAUUUAUGAUAUGGGUAGUACAAGAGUAGAUCUACCACGAGAUCAAGGAGGCUAAACCCUAGAAGCUAGCCUAUGGUAUGAAUAUUGUAAUGGAGGUUAUGUCCUACGGACUAAAGCCCUCCGGUUUAUAUAGACACCGGAGAGGGCUAGGGUUACACAGAGUCGGUUACAAUGGUAGGAGAUGUACAUAUCCGUAUUGCCAAGCUUGCCUUCCACGCCAAGGAAAGUCCCAUCCGGACAUGGGACGGAGUCUUGAAUCUUGUAUCUUCGUAGUCUUGGAGUCCGGCGGACGAUGAUAGUCCGGCUGUCCGGACACCCCCUAGUCCAGGACUCCCUCAGUAGCCCCUGAACCUGGCUUCAAUGACGAUGAGUCCAGCGCGCAUAAUGUUCGGCAUUGCAAGGCGGGUUCCUCCUUUGAAUAAUCCAGAGAAGAUUGUGAACACCCGGAUAGUGUCCGGCUCUGCAAAAUAAAUUCCACAUUCCACCGUAGAGAGAAUAAAAUGUACACAAGUUCAAUCUGCUGACGUUUUUUGUGGCAUGACGUCACACCACUACCAAGCCUUUACUUGAAUCGUUUUUUAUUAUACCACCUCCGCGCGUUUAGCGAAGCGGUUUCCUUGGCACGUCUUGUCGAAGCACAGAUCGUGUUCCCCUUAUUCCGGGAUUCUCAUCAAUAUGGACGUGGGUAACCCAACCGCGCCCGUCGCCACGCCUCCUCUAUCGAAGGCGAAUCCCGAACGGUCAUGGCGACAGCUCUUGGUAUUCCCCCUCUUUAUAAUAGGACCAAGGCUUGUUUCUUCUCUUCAAUCUUCCAUCGAAUCUUCUCCUUGCUCUAAGUUCCAAACACUCAGAGCCCUAGAUACGAGCGCUUCGGACCUUCAACAAUGUCUGGCUCCGAUCUUCAGGGCCGAUGGAUGCCCUCCUCCGUCACGGAGGAGGACAUGCUGAAGCUACGUGAGGCCAAGUACCUGUCUUACGAGGUUGCACACAGGCUGCCUGCCGAAGGGCAGGCCAUCCCCACCCCCGAGCCCGGCGAGUAUGUCGUCUUUAUAUCCCACUUCCAUCGGGGUUUAGGCUUCCCGACGGAUCCUUUUGUGAGAGGGCUCAUGUUCUACUACGGGUUGGAAUUCCACGACUUGGCUCCGGAGUCUAUCCUCCAUAUCUCCACAUUCAUCAUUGUCUAUGAAGCCUUCCUCCGCGUCACCCCCCACUUCGGCCUGUGGCUGAAGACCUUCAAUGUGGAGCCGAAGAUGGUCGGGGGGCGUCAAGCUGAAUGCGGCGGGGCGGCCAUAAGCAGGAGGGCCGAUGCCCCGUGGCCUGAGGGCUCCUUCCAAGAGGAGCUCGGCUUAUGGCAGCAGGAGUGGUUCUACAUCACCGCUCCAAGGGGCAGCAAGCAGAAGCCGCCGCCUUCGUUCUGCUCGGGACCUCCACGACGGUUGAUGUCGUGGGUCAACCAAGGGCUCAAUUGGGGGCCGUCAAAAGACGUGCCCCUAUUGCAGGGCCGGCUUUGAGACCUCCAGGCGAGGGAGAUCGAUCUGAUCAUGGUGGUGUAGGUCAUGCUAAUUAGGCGUCUCCUGCCCUGCAAACGCCGUCCUCUCCGGCUAUGGGAGUUCAAUCCGGAGGGACCAAGGAUUCUCCAACACUUCAUGGGUAUGACACCCAUGGAGAUGUACAAGUUGUUCUUCAGAUCACAGGUGGUGUGUCCGGAAUUGACCGAGGAUGCCGGCCUAAGCUGCAAACGCCCGGAUACUCGAGUAAGUAGCUCCGUGCUUGGAUGUACCAUUUGUUUGCUUUUCAUAAUUCGCUUUUUAACCCGUUAUCCUCCAACAGGAGUAGAUUGCGCAAUCAAAGCUGAUAAGGUGUCCGGCCCCCCUCCCAGAGACCGCACCGGAGCCCGUGCUGGUCAGAAUGUUGGAGGUUGCGCCUUCAGAAGGAGGCGAGGGGGAGAACAGAGGAGCUACCGCCCCGCCCAAGGGGUCGCUCGAAGAAGGGGGAUCGAGAAUCCCUCCCUCCAGGGGGAGAAGAGGACCGCCUCCAAAGACCCGGAGGCCAAAGCACCUAAGCGGGGGAAGAAAUCUUCGCCGGAGGGUCCUGCGUCCGGGGAGACCCCGACCGCACAGUCUUCUCUAAAGAAUCAGCUCUCUAGCAAGCCGUGAGUAGGAAAAGGGGAAUUCAUUAAUUAAAAACAUCCCUAUCUGUGCCUCUGAAGAUAACCGAAAUUUUUACCUUGUAGUUCAGAUCUGCAACCUUCUCAGAUGAGUUCGUCUUCGGGGGAUCUUCGCCGGGAGAUGAUGGAGAGCGAGACGCCUCCGUCUGCCGUGCAGCCGGAUAGGGCGGACGAGCCUGAAGUGUCGUCACGGAGGGUAUCCCCGAGCCCGGAGGAGCCGGAGAGUCCAGCGCUGACUAGUGUUCGGCCGGGGGAGCUGAAGGAUCUGCUUGAGAGGGCGUCCGUCUCAGAAGGUCACCGUGCGUUGAUGAGCAUGGUGAUUGGAAGGAUUUCGUCCGCCGAAAGCGGACUGCACAAUGCCGUCAGGAGUUUGCUAGCGGGGUUUGAGGUACGUGAAAACGACGCGCCUUUUUGACAGAUCUACACAUGAAAGUGUACCCUGUAUAGAUAGUAGCCCCUGAAACUCGAUAGGUUGCCGGAAACGACAGCGUGCCGAGGAUCAAAAUCACAGGUAUUGAGCGUCGCCUUUCCUAUGCAGGUGGCGGAUAGUCCGGGGGCUAGCCGGACUGAUGGAGUUUCUGAAUUAAUGCGGCAACUCGAUGUAGCGGAUGCGGACAUCGCGCUAGUCAACAAGCGACUUGACGAGUCACAAGGUAAAUUAAUUCUCCGCAGUCACCUAUUAAGGGAGCUAAAGCUCACCUCUUACAAUAUUUAUGCAUGACGCAGAUGGUGCUGCUGCUGUGGAGAGCCUUCGGGCAGAACUUGCUCAAGCCAAGGAGCAGGCCAGAAGAAGCAAGGCGGCUGCCUCGAGGGCGGCCGAGCAGUUAGAAGCCGAAAGGGCUGCACACUGCCGAAGCAGGGGAGAGGUGGCCGAAUUGGCCGUUAAAUUGAAGGAUGAUGCCGACCGCAAUGAGGCUCUUGAAAAGGAGCGCCUAUCGGAGCGGGAAGACCUGGUGAAGGCCACCGCCGAAGCCAAGGAUGCCCGUUCUGCAAUGUAGGCUAUGAAAGAGGAGCUGUGACAGGCCGGAGACAUUGUGGCUGGCAAGCCUUUUCUGCUACGCCACAGGUUUACGGAUCCAAAGUAUGUCCAGCUUGGCCAGUUGUGGGGUCCGGAGGAUCCAUAUAUGGACUUAGCGGCGAGUGCGGCAGAUGCCGUUGUGCACUUCCGAAGCCAGAAGGAUCACAAGACGGAAGAGCUAUUUUGGUCUCAAUUCCAUAGUCCGGAUCGUUCACUUCCGCUGACCGAUAGGUUGGCCGAAUGGGCUGAGCUGAACAGGCUAUCCGGACUUGCCAUGACGGAUAUCGUGGCGCAUGUCUGGCCAGAGAGGCCCAAGGCGACGAGCUAUUUUGGCUUAUUGCAGCAAUUCCUUGGGGCGGUGCCGCAUAUCAAGGAGAUGAAGUGGUCGGCCUGCAUAGAGGGUGCGCGGAUGGCCCUUGCCCGUGUGAAGACACAUUGGACAGAGAUGGAUGCGGCCGUUGUAGCAACCCAGGGUUCGGACGAAAGCCGGUUACCCGCCGAGCACUAUUUUGGGGAAGUUAUGUGUGGUGCUCGUGUAAUACAGUCGCAGUGCUCAAAAAAUGUCACAUUCAAAUGAACGUUUUUUAUUUUGUAAAACAAUGAUUAUGAUGUAAUUGCUUUUUAUACUUGUGCGUUCCAAGUAUUGAAAUAUCUCCUAUGCGGCCGUUUAUGUAUACACGUGUAUAACCUGAAAGAUGGCAGUCUUCGGCUUCAGCCCCCACGCACAAGGUGCGGGGGUGUUCGCAAAAAUAGCGCAUUUUCACACUUAAUCCGACGUCUCGGUCCUGUGGAGGAGGUGGUAGCGUAGCAAAUGAGGCAAUCCGGACUAUGAUGCUUUAUCACUUUCACUUGGCCAUUGGAGUUCGAGGGUGGGGCUACGAUAUAGCCCCUGGGGGGCACCGCGCUCUCCGAAUUCAAGGCGUGUAUGUGCCUGACCGGGAAACGGUCCUUCGUCAAAGCGGAGGAAUUCUAAACAUUCCGGUGGUCGAUCGAGUGGUUGACCAGUCUCUCGCUGUAUCAUGACAGUCGGUUUUCGGCUUUCUCUACUGAGGUGCUUCGCCCAGCCGAACUGGGGAACAAUCGCAGUAGUUCUCCUAGUGCCGCGUUAGCCGAUGAUACGGAACGUAAGGCAGCAAAACACAGGAGCCGGGCAAACCCAACAUUUGACCCAAGACAUGAUUCGGAGCUGAUGCAUAUAAGGCCUAACUCGAGACGCCGAACACUCCCUAAGGUGUUCGGUCUUUAUAAUAAUGGGCAGAACAAUGCCCUAAGCACCUAGUGUCCAGGUACAGGCAGGGUCAUCUGAUGCGGCCGAUGCCAAAACGUCAGGCUCCACUCUGGUUAUAAUGAGAAACCAGGGGAUUAUAGCAACAAGAGACAGUAAAAAAGGUUUACGCAGGGUCUUAAUCUGAAAAGAAUCCUUGCAACGGGUCCCUACUGCACGUCUGCGCCUGUGUCUCCAUUGUGUCGCUAUCCUGGACGGGUGUGCACGUUGUUCAUCUGUAAAAAGAGAGGAACUUAGUUUGAAAGGAAAUCGUGCAAAAAAAGGUAUAUAUGAAAAAUAUUAAUAAGUAAAGCGGAGUCUAUAUUAGCUCGUUGUUGCUUAUACGCUCAGCCCCUUGUAAAGGGGCGUGCGGCUAGGGAGCCCCUAGCUUAUUUGAGCCGGACUCGUCUAGCCGUGUCCGGGGUCUUUACAUGACCCUCGCAAUGAAAUGAUGCUACAUGGGCCGGGCAUUUUAAGUGUAAGAGACGCGUAAUGUGGUAUGGCGUUGAAGCGGACAAAAGCUUCACGUCCCAAUAGUGCUUGAUAGCCACUUUUGAAUGGGGCGACAUGAAAGAUUAGUUUUUCAUGUCGGUAGUUGUUUGGUGACCCGAACACAACUUCUAGUAAUAAGGAGCCCGUGCACUUGGCAUAAGGGCCUGGCGUUACUCCUUUAAAGGAGGUGCGGCUAUGCCGAAUUUUAGUAAGGUCUAUCCCCAUCUUGCGGAUUGUGUUUGGAUAUAGCAGGUUUAAAUCGCUGCCUCCGUCCAUCAGGACUUGUGUAAAUUGUAGUCCGUCGAUUAUGGGAUCCAAUAUCAGAGCAGUCCAGCCUGCAUUCCGAAUACUUCUAGAGUAAUCCAGGUUGUCGAAAGUGAUUGGUUUUGACAUCCAAUCUCGAGGUUCCGCUGGGGUGGACCGUGCGGGACCCAUCUUAGCGGGUGCCGCAUUGUUUUUCCGUAUCAUCACAUGAAGUGAGUUUACUACUUUGACUUCUUGUGGGAAAGUCUUUUGUUUUCCGGUGCUCUGCUUGUGGGGUUUGUCAUCAUCCUCGCUUGAUGCGUCGAGCCCCUUGUGUUCGGCAUUUAGUCGGCCAGACUGUUUGAAAACCCAACAAUCUCGGUGGGUGUGGUUUGCAGGCCUUCUGGGGGUACUGUGGAUUUGACAUAUCCGACCCAAAAUUUUGCUUAAGUUGGAUAGCUCGUCACUGUUAUCCUUAAGAGGUAGUGUUUUGUUGUUUGGCCGCGAGCUUUUGAAUCCGGCGUUGACCUCCGUAUUCUUUGGGCUUUUUUCCUUAUUCCGGCGCUGAUCCUUUCUGCGCCGUGAUUUUCCGUUUCCAUCUCUAGUCUCGGACGUACUCGGCUCGCUGGUGCUGCACCUUGCUAGCCAGCUGUCUUCUCCCGCGCAAAAGCGGGUCAUGAGGCUUGUUAGUGCGGACAUUGUCCUCGGCUUCUCUUGGCCGAGGUGUCUGGCAAGCCAUUCGUCUCGGAAGUUGUGUUUAAAAGCUGCUAAGGCUUCGGCGUCCGGACAGUCGGCUAUUUGGUUCUUUUUAGUAAGGAACCUAUUCCAGAAUUUGCGCGCUGACUCUCCGGGCUGUUGAGUUAUAUGACUUAGAUCAUCUGCAUCUGGAGGGCGGACAUAAGUCCCUUGAAAAUUUGCUCUAAACGCGUCCUCAAGCACUUCCCAACUUCCAACAGUGUUUUUUGGGAGGCGUUUGAGCCAAUGACGGGCUGGCCCUUUGAGCUUGAGGGGUAAAUAUUUUAUGGCGUGGAGAUCAUCUCCUCUAGCCAUGUGUAUGUGUAGUAUAUAAUCCUCUAUCCAGACUCCAGGGUUUGUUGUUCCGUCGUAAGCCUCUAUGUUUAUGGGUUUAAACCCUGCUGGGAAUUCAUGAUCCAGCACCUCAUUGGUGAAACAUAGUGGGUGUGCGGCGCCCCUGUAUUUGGGUGUGCCGUUGUCUUCAAACACUUGACAUGUUGUGCUCUUUCCUGGGGCCCUUUUUUUGGCCCGUAAAUGGACAUGGCUGGGCCAUCCGUUUUCCCGGGGUCAUGAAUCGGCUUAUGUGCGGCGCCGCUUGUAGAUUUGGGCCUAUCAUCUGGCCGUCUACCCGGCCAGGCGACCUCUUUGUUUUUUGACUGUGGGGGCUCUAUGGCUUCCUCGUCAAAUUCUGGUAGCAGCUUGCGCUUUGGAUAGCUCUUUGAUUGAUGGCCAUUGCCGUAUUUGUCUGCGGUUUUGAGCACUUUGCUCCACCUCUUUCUGAGUAUGUCUUUUGCUAUUUUGAGCUUCCGUUUUUCCUUCUUCAGGCUUCUUGCGGUGGCGACGAGUCUUCCGUGAAGGUUUUUGUGUUCCGGUAGUAUGUCCGGUGUGAGGUCGUCCGGACUGUUGGUUUCGCCGGGAUUGGAUUGAUUAUCUAGUUCGCCCUGUUCGGACGGCUGCUUGGUUGCAUGUUCGUCGUCCACUGGUUAGCCCUGCUCUAACGCUGGGUCAUUAGGAGUGCUGUCUUUGUCGAGGCGGGGCUUAGGGCGGCGCUUGCGUUGCCGCUUUGGUUGUUUAUCGGCGGGAUUAUCCUUGGCCGCACCCCGUUGUUCCUCGUCGUCGCUUCCUUUUGGGGUAUCCACCAUAUAUACGUCAUGUGUCGAGGUGGUCUUCAAGUGCCUUGUAGGCGCUGGUUCUUGAUCGUCUCCGGCAUCGGCGUCCAUACCGUCGAUGUCUUCGGAGUCGUAGUCUAGCAUGUCUGUUAGAUCAUCGACAGUGGCUACAAAGUGGGUGGUGGGAGGGCUUUGAAUUUCUUCGUCGUCCGCAUCCCAACCGUCCUGGCCAUAAUCCGGCCAGGGUUCUCCGGAUAGCGAGAGAUGCUUUAGCGAAUUUAGGAUGUCACCGAAGGGUGAGUGUUGGAAGAUGUCCGCGGCCGUGAACUCCAUGAUCGGUGCCCAAUCAGAUUCGAUUGGCAGGGGUGCAGGAGGUUCGGAGUCCGGCAAGGAGUCCGGCACCUCGGAGUCACGAGCUUUACAAGGGACAAGGUUAGUGUUCGGCUUCAUUGCCGUGGAAGGUGCAGCCCCCGAGGCGGUGUUCAGCCACCGGUCCUCGAUCUGGGCGAUCGGCUCCGGACUGAGGGCCGGAGCGGAUUCGUGUGCGGCAACCAAGGCACUGUCCGGCGGCAGAGCUAAAUCAUGCCCAUCGUGACAGCGCGGCAUGCUCGGCUGAGGCUCGAGUCCGUCGAAGAUCAAGUCCCCGCGGAUGUCGGCCGUGAAGUUUAGGCCUCCGAACCUGACCUGAUGGCCAGGGGCGUAGCUUUCGAUCUGCUCCAGAUGGCCAAGUGAGUUGGCCCGCAGUGCGAAGCCGCCGAAUACGAAGAUCUGUCCGGGGAGAAAAGUUUCACCCUGGACGGCGUUGUUGAUUGGAUAAGCCAUCGAGCCUAUCGGUGACAGCACAGAGGAACUCUCAAUGAAAGCACCAAUGUCGGUGUUAAAAUCGGCGGAUCUCGGGUAGGGGGUCCCGAACUGUGCGUCUAGGCGGAUGGUAGCAGGAGACAAGGGACACGAUGUUUUACCCAGGUUCGGGCCCUCUUGAUGGAGGUAAAACCCUACGUCCUGCUUGAUUAAUAUUGAUGAUAUGGGUAGUACAAGAGUAGAUCUACCACGAGAUCAAGGAGGCUAAACCCUAGAAGCUAGCCUAUGGUAUGAAUAUUGUAAUGGAGGUUAUGUCCUACGGACUAAAGCCCUCCGGUUUAUAUAGACACCGGAGAGGGCUAGGGUUACACAGAGUCGGUUACAAUGGUAGGAGAUCUACAUAUCCGUAUUGCCAAGCUUGCCUUCCACGCCAAGGAAAGUCCCAUCUGGACACGGGACGGAGUCUUGAAUCUUGUAUCUUCGUAGUCUUGGAGUCCGGCGGACGAUGAUAGUCCGGCUGUCCGGACACCCCCUAGUCCAGGACUCCCUCACCUGGCCCGAAGGCUCUUUCUUGGAUAUUGUAAAAGGGUGGCAGUUGGGGUGGUUCUACAUCACCGAGCCGCGCGACACCAACUGGGCGGCGGCCCCUGCGUUUCGAUCCGGCGUUCCGAUGCGGCUCACCUCCUGGCAAGAGAAGGGCCUGACCUGGGGUUCUCCGGAUGAGCUGAUAGCGCUCCAGACGCGCGUCCAGAGUAUGAUAAUCAAAAAGGUCAAGCUCGUCAACGUGAUACAGGUUAUGCUUGUCCGCUGGAUUCUUCCGUGCCAAUGUCGGACUUGCUAUCUGUGGGAGUAUGACCCGGCCAAGCACCAGACCCUAUUAGAGCUCUUCGGCACGACGCACGAAGAUAUAUGGAAGGUGCUUUUCAAGGCCAAUGAGAUGCCGCCGGCCGCGGACAAGGAUCGUGGGCACGACCUAACUCACCCUGCAAAUCCGGUAAGUCCUUUCACGUUUUCAAGGUGUACCCUUUACUCACAUAUUAGAGGAAGGCAUCUAAGUCUCCCUAUCGAUUAUUUCAGGAUUGGACAGAGAUAGUGGAGCAGAUUGACUGUCCGGCUCCGCUGCCCGAAGACCCAAAGACUCCGCUCCUGACGAAGAUCUUGCUUCCGGCACCUUACGAGGUGCCGGAGAAGAAGGCCCAAAAGAAGGCCAAGGGGACCAGAGGUGGUCUCCGCCGCAAGGGUACUUCGGACGCGAUGUCCGAAGGCGCCGAGGCUCACUCCUCUGUCGCUGAAGACGACGAGGAGGAGGAAGAAGAAGAAAUCCACUCCCCCUGUAGGGGGAGAAAGAAGAGGGCGGCCUCCACACAUGGGGAGGACGAGGCGUCCAAGAAGGGGAAAACUUCCCUUCCGGACAGCUCCACGGCGGCCACCAACAGCAGCGGGGAGUGGGAGCCCAGGGUCAAGCCCCUGGCCAAAUCGUAAGUAUCCGAACACUUUCAUGUACCCGGCCUUUUUAUAUUUUGUUCUACUGUGCUGAUUUAUGCAUUUGCAAUCCGGCUCGGUCCAGUCCCGAGCAGUCCUUAUCCUCAGAGGAUUCGCUGGAUCCGGCUAUGAUGGACAGCGAGACCCUUCCAUUGGCCACCUCUCCUUGGGACCUGGAUGGCUCCGAGGCAUCGUCCCGAAGGAUCCCCGUCCCAGGAGAAAAUCUGGCGGCCGUACAGGAGGCGGCAGAGGGUGAAGCCUUGGCUGCCGGACACACGGGGGAGCAGGCCCCCAUGGAUACUGACGAAGGGGGCCGUAUUCAAUUCGGCCCUCAUCCAAAUACAAUUCCGGAGACCCCUACAGUUCCGGAAUCAGGCGAGCAACCCCCUUCGAAGGGAAGGGUCGCGCCUAUGCCGUCGGUGACCUCUGUCCAGCCAGAGGCACCAAACAGGUUGCUGGAAGCGCUGAAAGGCGCUUCCAUUGUUAACGAACACUAUACCCUAAUGGGUACAGUGAUUGGGAAGGUCCAGGCCAUGAAAAGCGGGUUGGCUGAAGCCUGCACUAGCCUUCUAACAGGCUUUGAGGUAAGUAAUGUAAUUGUAAAAAGAGUGUCAUAGUAUAGACAGUAGCCCCUGAUGCUCUGUUCGGUGUUCGGAAAGAAAAGCUGAACAGAGGAUCAAAAUAAUUUUCGCAUGAGUCUAACAUAAUAUUUCUAUGUGAAUAAGCAAGCGUCACUGCUGGCUGCUGCCGCUCAUACUGCGGAGGUCUCCAGACUGAAGCAGAACCUGGAGCGGGCCGAGGAAGAGCUCGGCCUCGUGAAGAAGCAGCUGGAGGAUAACCAAGGUAUGCAGUAACCUGCGUGUAUAUUUAGGAAGGAUGAAUGGUUCGUGUUGACUAAAGUGUCAUGAACUUUAUUAGGGGCCACGACCGAGGUAGCGGCCCUCAAGAAGGUGUUGGCCAAGACCGAGGACAAAGCGGCCAAGGAGCGCGCCGGGUGCGAGAAGCAGGAGGCCCGGGUCAGCGAGGUCCAGCAAGAGCUCCAGGACGCCGUCAAGAAGUACGAGUCCUUGGAGCGCGAUUUUAAGACUCAAGAGUCCGAACUUGCCAAGGCCCGCUAGAGCGCACAAGAUGCCCGGGCCGAAGCCCAGGGCGCCCUCCAGGAGAUCCAGGCGGCCAAGAAGAUUACGACGGGUAAGGCUUUCAUCAUGCAAAGCAGAUAUGUGAAGAAAACUUUCCUUUUACUUACCUGGAUUUGGAGCUCUCCAGGGGCGUUUGCGGAUCUGCCGUGCAGCAUAUCAGAUGCUAUAGAAUGUUAUCGAGCCGAAGAAGGGAGCUACGGAGAAGCUGUUCUGGUCUCAAUACGUUGGAGCAGAACAUCCAGUGUCCUUUAGCGACCAGCUAAAACAGCUGGUCGAGCUGCAUAAGGCGGCCGAACUAGCCAUGAAGGACUUAAUAGUCCGGCUAUGUCCUGCCGAGCCCAUGCCCAGCAGCUACUUUGGACUCGCCAAGCAACUUCUUAGUGCCUGCCCGCGGCUUGAAGCCAUCAAGCGGUCGGUCUAUAUCGAAGGCGCGCGGAUGGCCUUUUCCCGCGCCAAGGUGCACUGGGCAAAGAUGGAUGCCAAGCUGAUGACCGAUGGGCCGCCUGAGGGCAAGGAGCACCGCUGACCCGAACUGCAUUUUGACAGUAUCCUGGAGGGAUCCCGCCUUGUGGUAGAGCAAUGUGAUAAGGAUGUCAUAUUCCCAUGAACGCACUCAUGUUAUCCUGUCAUGUAAUAUUAAACAGAUCCGUUAUGCAAUAUAAUGUCUGUUAGUUUAAAAUUUUACCUCCUGUGCGGCCGUUUAUGAAAAUCUGAGAGUUGGCUAGUCGUCGGCUUCUGCCCCCAUGUAGGUAGUACGGGGGUGUUCGGGAUAAAUCUAAACACUCUUUACUUCACAUUUUGGUCCUUAAAAGAGGUGUUUAGCGCAACGAACAAGGCAAUCGGACUAUGCGGCUUUAUCACCCUCACUUAGCCAUAGGGGUUUGACAAUGAAAAUUUUGGCGCAGCCCCUGGUGCUCGGAAGGCCGAACUUGGGGCGCUAUACACGCCUAAUCAGAUGAAAACCGAUUCCUCGCAUAAAGCGGGAAAAAUCUCUAAGGACUUGAAAACCUCUCGAACAGCUGACCAGCUCUCGCCGCAUCAUGACAGUCAGUUUUCGGCUUUCUCUAAUGAGGUGCUCGUCCGGAAGAGCCGGGACACAAUCGCAGUAGUUCUCCCUUUACUAGCCUAGCCGAUAUAGCCGAAUGUAAGGUAGUAAGCACAGGAGCCGGGCAACCCAACUAUUGACCAAAGACAUGAUUCGGAGCCGAUGCAUAUAAUGCUAUAAGUUCGGGGUGCCGAACUGUACUGUAAAAGUGUUCGGACUUUAUUGCCGUAUUGAGGGGUGUGAUGAAGCCCCUAGCAAAGUAAUACGUACCAGAGUGUACGGGUGCAAUAAGUAAUAAAUACAAAGACAAGGAAAGAAAAUCAAGUAAUAAGCUAACGCCACCAAUUAUUUUCCGUUGUAAUUUGAUUAAUAUGUCAAGGCAUAUUUGUACAAGUAAUGCGAUAAGAAAAUAAGGCUAUUUGACAUGCCAUGACCAAGACCGAGCUGCACACGGGUAUUUAAAAUAGGUAUAACGAUCAUUAGCAGAGACCACUUGGGGAUUCCCUUGUAUGUCAAAGCCCCUUGCCUUCUUGGUGUAUCCAUCCCAUGAUGAGUCUGAUGAUCAGGUUAUCAGAAGAGCCUCGAGAAGAGAAAAACAUGAAAUAAAAAAGAAAAGGUGAAGGUAUGUGGAUCCAGGGGCGGUUGAGCCGCAUUAUGGACCACGGUCUAGUUGUGCCUCUAUCCCUGCCCAUGGUAUUUUGAGUGCGUACAUAUGUACGCGCGGCGCAAAUGUCGUCGCUUGAGUGGGACUGGGACGAAGGCCGAAUUGCUAGUCGAGCUCUGGACGAGCUGGACAGUCCUGCUGCAGAGUAGUUCGGACUCGCUUGACGGUGUCCGGGAGCUUUACUACCGAAUUGAGGUUCUGCCUAAGAAGGCUACUCUGUACUUCUGCUGCAAGGGCUGCGGUGUGCUCCUCAGUACGGAGGGAGCAUUCCGUAUUUCCAUUGACCGUUAUGACACCGCGUGGUCCGGGCAUUUUAAGCUUGAGGUAGGUGUAGUGCGGCAUCGCAUUAAAUCAAGCGAAUGUGGUUCGUCCGAGCAGUGCAUGAUAGCCUCUGUGGAAGGGGACGAUAUCAAAGAUUAACUCUUCGCUUCGGAAAUUAUCCGGAGAUCCGAAGACCACUUCUAGUGUGAUUGAGCCCGUACAGCAGGCCUCUACACCUGGUAUGACACCUUUAAAGGUGGUUUUUGUGGGCUUGAUCCUUGAGGGAUUGAUGCCCAUUUUGCGCAUUGUAUCCUUAUAGAGCAGGUUCAGGCUACUGCCACCAUCCAUGAGGACUCGCGUAAGGUGGGAUCCAUCAAUAAUUGGGUCAAGGACCAGUGCGGCUGAACUGCCAUGACAGAUACUAGUCGGAUGGUUCCUGCGAUCGAAGGUGAUCGGAGAGGAGGGCCAUGGGUUAAACUUUUGGGGCGAUUGGCUUCAUCGCGUAGACGUCCCUGAGUGCAUGCUUGCGCUCUCUCUUGGGGAUAUGGGUGGCGUAUAUCAUGUUCACCGUUUUGACUUGGGGGGGGGGGAUUUCUUCUGUCCCCCUAUAUUCGGUGGUCGGGGUUACUCGUCAUCUUCAUUGCUUUGUGACCCUUUCUCCUUAUUAUCGGCAUUUAACUUGCCAGCCUAUUUGAAAACCCAACAUUCCCUGUUGGUAUGAUUGGCUGGUUUAUCAGGAGUGCCAUGGAUUUGGCAUGGUCGAUCAAGUAUGCGGUCCAGACUGGAUGGGCCAGGAUUGUUUCUUUUAAAUGGCUUCUUCCACUGACUAGACUUAGAACCACUGAAUCCGGCGUUGACCGCCGUGUUUUCGGUGCUAUCACCGUUGUUUCGACGCUUAUGUCUAUUGCGUCGGGGCUUGCCGUUGCUGUUUCUAGCUCCAGAAGUGCUAGGUUCGCUUGUAUUGUUAUUGCAACGGGCUAGCCAGCUAUCUUCGCCCGCACAGAAGCGGGUCAUGAGUGCCGUAAGGGCUGACAUGGACUUUGGUUUUUCCUGGCCGAGGUGUCUGGCCAGCCAUUCAUCGCGGAUGCUGUGCUUAAAGGCCGCUAGGGCUUCGGCGUCCGGUCAGUCGAUGAUAUGGUUCUUUUUAGUUAGGAGUCGAGUCCAGAAUAUCCCGGUUGACUCUCCGGGCUGUUGGAUUAUGUGACUUAGGUCAUCGGCAUCCGGAGGUCGGACAUAUGUGCCUUGGAAGUUGUCGAGGAAGGCGUCCUCCAAUUCCUCCCAGCUGCCAAUGGAGUUUUCGGGCAGACUGUUUAACUAGUAUCUAGCUGGUCCCUUGAGUUUAAGCGGGAGGUACUUGAUGGCGUGAAGAUCAUUGACGCGGGCCAUAUGAAUGUGGAGAAGAAAAUCCUCAAUCCAUACCGCGGGGUCUGUUGUGCCAUCAUAUGAUUUGAUGUUUAAGGGUUUAAACCCCUCUAGGAAAUCAUGUCCCAUUACUUCGUCAGUGAAGCAAAGGGGGUGUGCGGCGCCUCUGUAUCGGGCCAAGUCGUGACAUAGCUCGGAUGGAGCUCGUCUACGGUUUUUGGCCCGAACGUGGUUAUGUUUGUCAUGUUCAGCCAGAUGGCCAUCAUCGCGCGUCGAGGCACGCCCCCGUGAUCCAUAGAUUGAUCUUGUCUGACCUGCUCUCUUUUCCAAAUCGCGUCGCAGGUCAUGUGUAUAUCCCCGAGCUGUUGUAUUUAUGUUUGUUCGGCGAGGUAGCGUGGGCUGGCAUUCGGCCUGAAGUGCCGCUUUGUCCCAGCCACGUGGUGGUCGGUCAGCCGCAUUGUACCUUGGUAGGACGGGCUCCAGUGCCUCGUCAUCAAACUGUGGUAGCAGCUUGCGCUUCGGGUAACUUUUGGUUGGGCACUCGAUGAAGGAAAUAUGCCCUAGAGGCAAUAAUAAAGUUAUUAUUUAUUUCCUCAUAUCAUGAUAAAUGUUUAUUAUUCAUGCUAGAAUUGUAUUAACCGGAAACAUGAUACAUGUGUGAAUACAUAGACAAAACUAUAGUCACUAGUAUGCCUCUACUUGACUAGCUCAUUAAUCAAAGAUGGUUAUGUUUCCUAACCAUAGACAUGUGUUGUCAUUUCAUUAGUGGGAUCACAUCAUUAGAAGAAUGAUGUGAUUGACAUGACCCAUCCCGUUAGCCUAGCACUUGAUCGUUUAGUAUUCUGCUAUUGCUUUCUUCAUGACUUAUACAUGUUCCUGUAACUAUGAGAAUUAUGCAACUCCCGUUUACCGGAGGAACACUUUGGGUACUACCAAACGUCACAACGUAACUGGGUGAUUAUAAAGGAGUACUACAGGUGUCUCCGAAGGUACAUGUUGAGUUGGCGUAUUUCGAGAUUAGGUUUUGUCACUCCGAUUGUCGGAGAGGUAUCUCUGGGCCCUCUCGGUAAUGCACAUCACUAUAAGCCUUGCAAGCAAUGUAGCUAAUGAGUUAGUUACGGAAUGAUGUAUUACGUAACAAGUAAAGAUACUUGCCGGUAACGAGAUUGAACUAGGUAUUGGAUACCGACGAUCAAAUCUCGGGCAAGUAACAUACCAAUGACAAAAGGAACAACGUAUGUUGUUAUGCGGUUUGACCGAUAAAGAUCUUCGUAGAAUAUGUAGGAACCAAUAUGGGCAUCCAGGUCCCGCUAUUGGUUAUUGACCGAGAAUGGUUCUAGGUCAUGUCUACAUAGUUCUCGAACCCGUAGGGUCUGCACGCUUAAUGUUUUGAUGACAGUUUUAUUAUGAGUUUAUAAGUUUUGAUGUACCGAAGUUUGUUCGGAGUCCCGGAUGUGAUCACGGACAUGACGAGGAGUCUCGAAAUGGUCGAGACAUAAAGAUUGAUAUAUUGGAAGCCUAUGUUUGGACAUCGGAAUGGUUCCGGGUGAAAUCGGCAUUUUACCGAGUACCGGGAGGUUACCAGAACCCCCGGGGGGGUUAUUGGGCCUACAUGGGCCUCGAGGGAGAAGAGGGAAGGAUGCAGGAGGGGGCCGCGCGCCCCUCCCCUUCCUAGUCCGAAUAGGACAAGGGAGGGGGGGCGGCGCCCCCCCUUUCCUUCUCCUCUUCCUCCUCUUUCCCUCCUUCUCCUACUCCUACUUGGAAAGAGGGAGUCCUACUCCCGGUGGGAGUAGGACUCCCCCCUUGGCGCGCCCUCCUUGGCCGGCGGCCUCCUCCCCCCUGGCUCCUUUAUAUACGGGGGCGGGGGGCACCCCAUAGACACACAAGUUGAUCUACGUAUCGUUCCUUAGCCGUGUGCGGUGCCCCCUUCCACCAUAUUCCACCUCGGUCAUAUCGUCGCGGAGUUUAGGCGAAGCCCUGCGCCGGUAGAACAUCAUCAUCGUCACCACGCCGUCGUGCUGACGGAACUCAUCUCCGGAGCUCGGCUGGAUCGGAGGCCGGAGAUCGUCAUCGGAGGCCGGAGAUCGUCCGUACGUUCGGUGCUUGGAUCGGUCGGAUCGUGAAGACGUACGACUACAUCAACCGCGUUGUGAUAACGCUUCCGCUUACGGUCUACGAGGGUAUGUGGACGAACACUCUCCCCUCUCGUUGCUAUAUCAUCACCAUGAUCUUGCGUGUGCAUAGGAAAUUUUUUGAAAUUACUACGUUCCCCAACAGUGGCAUCCGAGCCUAGGUUUUAUGCGUUGAUGUUAUAUGCACGAGUAGAACACAAGUUAGUUGUGGGCGAUACAAGUCAUACUGCUUACCAGCAUGUCAUACUUUGGUUCGGCGGUAUUGUGAGAUGAAGCGGCCCGGACCGACAUUACGCGUACGCUUACGCGAGACUGGUUUCACCGUUACGAGCACUCGUGCUUAAAGGUGGCUGGCGGGUGUCUGUCUCUCUCACUUUAGCUGAAUCGAGUGUGGCUACGCCCUGUCCUUGCGAAGGUUAAAACAGCACCAACUUGACGAACUAUCGUUGUGGUUUUUGAUGCGUAGGUAAGAACGGUUCUUGCUAAGCCCGUAGCAGCCACGUAAAAUUUGCAACAACAAAGUAGAGGACGUCUAACUUGUUUUUGCAGGGCAUGUUGUGAUGUGAUAUGGUCAAGACGUGAUGCUAUAUUUUAUUGUAUGAGAUGAUCAUGUUUUGUAAUCGAAGUUAUCGGCAACUGGCAGGAGCCAUAUGGUUGUCGCUUUAUUGUAUGAAAUGCAAACGCCCUGUAAUUGCUUUACUUUAUCACUAAGCGGUAGCGAUAGUCGUAGAAGCAAUAGAUGGCGUAACGACAAUGAUGCUACGAUGGAGAUCAAGGUGUCGCGUCGGUGACGAUGGUGAUCAUGACGGUGCUUCGAAGAUGGAGAUCACAAGCACAAGAUGAUGAUGGCCAUAUCAUAUCACUUAUAUUGAUUGCAUGUGAUGUUUAUCCUUUAUGCAUCUUAUCUUGCUUUGAUUGACGGUAGCAUUUUAAGAUGAUCUCUCACUAAUUAUCAAGAAGUGUUCUCCCUGAGUAUGCACCGUUGCGAAAGUUCUUCGUGCUGAGACACCACGUGAUGAUCGGGUGUGAUAGGAUCUACGUUCAAAUACAACGGGUGCAAAACAGUUGCACACGCAGAAUACUCAGGUUAUACUUGACGAGCCUAGCAUAUACAGAUAUGGCCUCGGAACACGGAGACCGAAAGGUCGAGCGUGAAUCAUAUAGUAGAUAUGAUCAACAUAGCGAUGUUCACCAUUGAAACUACUCCAUCUCACGUGAUGAUCGGACAUGGUUUAGUUGAUUUGGAUCACGUGAUCACUUAGAUGACUAGAGAGAUGUCUGUCUAAGUGGGAGUUCUUAAGUAAUGUCAUUAAUUGAACUUAAAUUUAUCAUGAACUUAGUACCUGAUAGUAUUUUGCUUGUCUAUGUUUGUUUGUAGAUAGAUCGCUCGUGCUGUUGUUCCGUUGAAUUUUAAUGCGUUCCUUGAGAAAGCAAAGUUGAAAGAGGAUGGUAGCAAUUACACGGACUGGGUCCAUAACCUGAGGAUUAUCCUCAUUGCUGCACAGAAAAGUUACGUCCUGGAAGCACCGCUGGGUGCCAGGCCUGCUGCUGAUGCAACUGACGACGUUAAGAACGUCUGGCAGAGCAAAGCUGAUGACUACUCGAUAGUUCAGUGUGCCAUGCUUUACAGCUUAGAACCGGGUCUUCAACGACAUUUUGAACGUCAUGGAGCAUAUGAGAUGUUCCAGGAGUUGAAGUUAAUAUUUCAAGCAAAUGCCCGGAUUGAGAGAUAUGAAGUCUCCAAUAAGUUCUAUAGCUGCAAGAUGGAGGAGAAUAGUUCUGUCAGUGAACACAUACUCAAAAUGUCUGGGUAUAAUAAUCACUUGAUUCAACUGGGAGUUAAUCUUCCUGAUGAUAGUGUCAUUGACAGAAUUCUCCAAUCACUGCCACCAAGCUACAAGAGCUUCGUGAUGAACUAUAGUAUGCAAGGGAUGAACAAGACUAUUCCCGAGCUCUUCGCAAUGCUGAAAGCUGCGGAGGUAGAAAUCAAGAAGGAGCAUCAAGUGUUGAUGGUUAACAAAACCACCAGUUUCAAGAAGAAGGGCAAAGGGAAGAAGAAGGGAAACUUCAAAAAGAACAGCAAGCAAGUUGCCGCUCAAGAGAAGAAACCCAAGUCUGGACCUAAGCCUGAAACUGAGUGCUUCUACUGCAAGCAGACUGGACACUGGAAGCGGAACUGCCCCAAGUAUUUGGCGGACAAGAAGGAUGGCAAAGUCAACAAAGGUAUAUGUGAUAUACAUGUUAUUGAUGUGUACCUUACUAAUGCUCGCAGUAGCACCUGGGUAUUUGAUACUAGUUCUGUUGCUAAUAUUUGCAACUCGAAACAGGGACUACGGAUUAAGCGAAGAUUAGCUAAGGACGAGGUGACGAUGCGCGUGGGAAAUGGUUCCAAAGUCAAUGUGAUCGCGGUCGGCACGCUACCUCUACAUCUACCAUCAGGAUUAGUAUUAGACCUAAAUAAUUGUUAUUUGGUGCCAGCGUUGAGCAUGAACAUUAUAUCUGGAUCUUGUUUGAUGCGAGACGGUUAUUCAUUUAAAUCAGAGAAUAAUGGUUGUUCUAUUUAUAUGAGUAAUAUCUUUUAUGGUCAUGCACCCUUGAAGAAUGGUCUAUUUUUAUUGAAUCUCGAUAGUAGUGAUACACAUAUUCAUAGUGUUGAAACCAAAAGAUGCAGAGUUGAUAACGAUAGUGCAACUUAUUUGUGGCACUGCCGUUUAGGUCAUAUCGGUGUAAAGCGCAUGAAGAAACUCCAUACUGAUGGGCUUUUGGAAUCACUUGAUUAUGAAUCACUUGGUACUUGCGAACCGUGCCUUAUGGGCAAGAUGACUAAAACGCCGUUCUCCGGUACUAUGGAGAGAGCAACAGAUUUGUUGGAAAUCAUACAUACAGAUGUAUGUGGUCCGAUGAAUGUUGAGGCUCGUGGCGGAUAUCGUUAUUUUCUCACUUUCACAGAUGAUUUGAGCAGAUAUGGGUAUAUCUACUUAAUGAAAAACAAGUCUGAAACAUUUAAAAAGUUCAAAGAAUUUCAGAGUGAAGUGGAAAAUCAUUGUAACAAGAAAAUAAAGUUUCUACGAUCUGAUCGUGGAGGAGAAUAUUUGAGUUACGAGUUUGGUCUACACUUGAAACAAUGCGGGAUAGUCUCGCAACUCACGCCACCUGGAACACCACAACGAAAUGGUGUGUCCGAACAUCGUAAUCGUACUUUACUUGAUAUGGUGCGAUCUAUGAUGUCUCUUACCGAUUUACCGCUAUUGUUUUGGGGUUAUGCUUUAGAGACGGCCGCAUUCACGUUAAAUAGGGCACCAUCAAAAUCGGUUGAAAUGACGCCUUAUGAACUAUGGUUUGGCAAGAAACCAAAGUUGUCGUUUCUUAAAGUUUGGGCUACGAUGCUUAUGUGAAGAAACUUCAACCAGAUAAGCUCGAACCCAAAUCGGAGAAAUGUGUCUUCAUAGGAUACCCAAAGGAGACUAUUGGGUACACCUUCUAUCACAGAUCUAAGGGCAAAAUUUUCGUUGCUAAAUUCGGAUCCUUUCUAGAGAAGGAGUUUCUCUCGAAAGAAGUGAGUGGGAGGAAAGUAGAACUUGAUGAGAUAACGGUAUCUACUCCCUUAUUGGAAAGUAGUUCAUCACAAGAACCGGUUCCUGUGACAACUACACCAAUCAGUGAGAAAGCUAAUGAUAUUGAUCAUGAAACUUCAGAUCAAGUUUCUACUGAACCUCGUAGGUCUACCAGAGUAAGAUCCGCACCAGAGUGGUACGGUAAUCCUAUUCUGGAAGUCAUGUUACUUGACCAUGAUGAACCUACGAACUAUGAGGAAGCGAUGAUGAGCCCAGAUUCCGCAAAAUGGCUAGAGGCCAUGAAAUCUGAGAUGGGAUCCAUGUAUGAAAACAAAGUAUGGACUUUGGUUGACUUGCCCGAUGAUCGGCAAGCCAUUGAGAAUAAAUGGAUCUUUAAGAAGAAGACAGACGCUGAUGGUAAUGUAACUGUCUAUAAAGCUCGACUUGUUGCGAAAGGUUUUCGACAAGUCCAAGGGGUUGACUACAAUGAGACUUUCUCACUCGUAGUGAUGCUUAACUCUGCCCGAAUCAUGUUAGCUAUUGCUGCAUUUCAUGAUUAUGAAAUUUGGCAAAUGGAUGUCAAAAAUGCAUUCUUGAAUGGUUUUCUAGAAGAAGAGUUGUAUAUGAUGCAGCCAGAAGGUUUUGUUGAUCCAAAAGGUGCUAACAAAGUAUGCAAGCUCCAGCGAUCCAUUUAUGGACUGGUGCAAGCAUCUCGGAGUUGGAAUAAACGUUUUGAUAGUGUGAUCAAAGCAUAUGGUUUUAUACAGACUUUUGGAGAAGCCUGUAUUUACAAGAAAGUGAGUGGGAGCUCUGUAGCGUUUCUAGUUUUAUAUGUAGAUGACAUAUUAUUAAUUGGAAAUGAUAUAGAAUUUCUGGAUGGCAUAAAGGGAUAUUUGAAUAAAAGUUUUUCAAUGAAAGACCUCGGUGAAGCUGCUUACAUAUUGGGCAUCAAGAUCUAUAGAGAUAGAUCAAGAAGCUUAAUAGGACUUUCACAAAGCACAUACCUUGACAAAAUUUUGAAAAAGUUCAAAAUGGAUCAGGCAAAGAAAGGAUUCUUGCCUGUGCUACAAGGUGUGAAGUUGAGUCAAACUCAAUGCCCGACCACAGCAGAAGAUAGAGAGAAAAUGAAAGAUGUUCCCUAUGCUUCAGCCAUAGGCUCUAUCAUGUAUGCAAUGCUGUGUACCAGACCUGACGUAUGCUUAGCAAUAAGCUUGGCAGGAAGGUACCAAAGUAAUCCAGGAGUGGAUCACUGGACAGCGGUCAAGAACAUCCUGAAAUACCUGAAAAGGACUAAGGAUAUGUUUCUCGUAUAUGGAGGUGACAAAGAGCUAGUCGUAAAUGGUUACGUCGAUGCAAGCUUUGACACUGAUCCGGACGAUUCUAAAUCGCAAACCGGAUACGUGUUUAUAUUAAACGGUGGAGCUGUAAGUUGGUGCAGUUCUAAACAAAGAGUCGUGGCGGGAUCUACAUGUGAAGCGGAGUACAUAGCUGCUUCUGAAGCAGCAAAUGAAGGAGUCUAGAUGAAGGAGUUCAUUUCCGAUCUAGGUGUCAUACCUAGUGCAUCAGGACCAAUGAAAAUCUUCUGUGACAAUACUGGAGCAAUUGCCUUGGCAAAGGAAUCCAGAUUUCACAAGAGGACCAAGCACAUCAAGAGACGCUUCAAUUCCAUUCGGGACCAAGUCCAAGUGGGAGACAUAGACACUACUAGGGAAAAGGCUAGCAGUAGCGCGGGUUUUCAGGCUAGCAGCAGCGCGGGUGGCCGCGCUACUAAUAAGGCGCUACAGCUAACUCAUAGUAGUAGCGCGGCCCCAACCAGCACUACUACUGUUGAACGAUAUCAGCAGCGCUUUUUAGGAACGCGCUACUAUUAACUAGCUGUAGCGAUUUCUUCAUCCCACGCUACUGCUAUAUCUUUCAUCAUUUUCCCUUUCAGUUCUCCUUUCAGAUGCUAGAAACUAGGUACUAUCUUUCAUCAAAUUCAUAAACCAUUACUAGGUACGGUAGUACUCCCUUCGUUCCAAAUUACUCGUCGCGGUUUUAGUUCAAACCACGACGAGUAAUUUGGAACAAAGGGAGUACUAAGAUAACAAUUUCAUGCAUAGCCAAACAUGCAUCCUCAAGUAGUACAUGGUCAUAUCAACGGCCAUCAUCAUAUGUAGUUCUAGAUGAUAUCGACGACGAUCAUCAUAUGCAGUUCUAGAUGAUAUAGCCACACACACAUAUGUAGUUCUAGAUGAUAUAGCCACACACACAUAUGUAGUUCUAGAUGAUAUCGAAGACAAUCAUCAUCCUCAAGCCUGGGCGGUUGGUGUUCCUGAUAGUAAUUAGGAUGGCCUGUCCAACACGAAGAUUCUUGCCAUCGAGGAAUUUCUUCCACCCAACCGAGCUUAAGUGUGUGCGACCGUCCGUGUCCACGCGGUAAGUACAGGUUGUGACGGAGCCCCUUGCAGUAAGGCGUAGUCCAGCUGAGCCUUCUUCAUCAGGCUCGAUACCAUAACUCACAGAUAUGCUCUUUGCCAAUUUCUGAAUAAGAAAAACAUAUCAAUUAAUAAGCAUGUGAUCAAACUCUACACUAAAACAUAUAUAUCAUCGACUAGAUUCCACACAACAUAUACCAUAUCAUUGGACUGUACACUAAGUAAUUCACACUAUUAAUUUGCAUUUGUAGGUAUAACAUACCAUAUCAUGUCGAUCAACCAUGGUAUUUGUCAAGCGGGUCACGAAUGGCACCCCGACAAAGUCAGCACGUGG
rnacentral:lncRNA from 1 species